rnacentral:lncRNA from 1 species
UACUUUGAUGGCUGGUUAGGACAGAAGUUUCGGCCCCUUUGAAGCUUGAAGAACCGUGAAAGCUCCUCCCUUUUCCAGCUAAAUGUGUUGUCCAAGACUUAGAGCUAAGUGGUAUGUGAAGUUUUGGUUGAAUCUAUGGAGGUUUGGUUGUGAUUUUUGUGAGAUUGUUAGAAGGAAAUGGUGAAGAGCUGCGGCUGUGCUAUCCGUCCAUUGCAGUAGCAGAAAUGAAAUGUGAUUCGGAUCCUUUGCGUACAAAAGACGCUUGACGUCUAAUAUUUUAAAUACGUAAAAUUUUAAUUGCAACUAGUGCCCUACGCGCGCGUUUUGUGUUCGAUUUCUCUCACGUUUGUUGCACUAGUGCACUAAACCUCUAGGGCACUUACAUUCAUAUAAAUAUUAUUCAUUCUUAAUUGUCCCAAAAUAAUGGUCCAAAAUCCCUCAAUUAAGCGCGCACGUGAAAACGCGUAUUUCUAAUUUAGGCGCAAUAAAAUUGAAACCUUUGAGAAAAUCUUAUAACGAUCGUACCACUAACUAUCACUUCAAUAUUUAAACCUAAAAUUGCCUAUUUUAGGACCAUUGUAUAUGUCUUAAAUUUUUGAGCUUAUUGUACUCCUAAUUGGCUAAAGUUUUCAGACACGUUUUCACUUUUUCACUAAACAAACUUCUAAGAAAAUAAUUUUUUUUGAAACGAGACACUUUAAAAAUAUAACGAAGCUAUAAAACCAUAUAUUUAGGUCUAAUAAGCAUAGAAAAUAAUAUUCGGGCAAAAAUCCAAAUAGAUAAUUAAUUGAGCCAAAAUUAGGGGUUUAAAAAUAAUAAUUUUACGAGUCCUCACGUGAAUUGAGUAUUAAUUCCUCAAUUAUCCUUUCUUAAUCUAUUAUUGAUCGUUCUUAAUUCUCCAAUAUUAAUACACUCUCGAUUCAAAUAUAGUCUCGAAAAACGUGCACUCGUUGUUUCGAACUAAACGAGUUUUCGAAGAGUGAAUUUUUCCAACAAAACUCUUUUAAAAAUAUAAAAGAGGCGUCGUUCCAUAUAAAUGGAUUUUAAAUGAUGGAAAUAAAUAAUUUGGAGAAAAAUGAGUAAAUAAAUAUUUAAACAAACUACUAAUAUUCGAUAAAAUAAAAUAAAAAAUUUCGGGUCCUCACAGAAGGAUAGAAAAUAAAAUGAAGGCACACCAAAAAAAAAGGGCUAUCCUAUUUGUGCUCAUUAAAUAGGAAACAUUGCUAAUGAGUAAAAGCAAUGCUUGAUUGGUUUCAUCCAAUGGUGUACUUUAAGGAAAUAAUGAGAUACUUGUGGAUAUAGCAUAUUGGCAAUAUUUAUAUCUUGUGCGUAAUGCCUUGAAAUUGAAGUAUAUUCUUAAACAAUUUCUUCCAAAAUUAUUUAAACGCCACUUUGAUUAUGAUAUGGAUGAAAAUCAAGUUUAAGAUAUUAUGUUUAGUUUUGUGAGGGUGAUCAACCUACACAUAAAGAAACUAUACAAAAGAAACAAGACUAUCUUGCUCCAAGAAAUUUAGAUUCUUUUACACUUCAAAAAUUAUUAGAACUGAAGAUUUAAAUUUCUUAAGAGCAUGAAGUAAGUGGGAGUGUUUUGACUCUGGAAUGGAGUAUUGAAAAGGUAAGGAUUCAUAUUUGACUCCUUUGAAUAUGGAAAAUUGAUAGCUUUUCUCAAAAUUAUUAUUUAAUUAUUUUAGAUAAGCAAUCGAAUGAAAAAUUCCUUGUCAAAUAAACACAUGAAGUAAAUCUACAUUGAACCCACUGGUUGAGUUAUCUUAUAGACAGCGGGAGGAAAAAUGUUCUCUAUAAAAAAUUGAAGUUCUUUAAUUACUAUGUUGUAUAUCUACAAGAGUUUAAGGAUGAAUUGUGUAAUGUUUUCAUGAGGUGCAAAUGGAGAAAUCUCCGUGUUUCAAGAAUAGUGUCACAAAUUACCACAAAAUCUCUACCAAAUUUGAGAGAUUAUAUUUGGGGUAAUUAUGGCACUAGUAACUCACUAUUAGAGAUACAUUAGAUAAAUAUGAAAAUGAAUGUCCUUAACGCAAUUCUUGAUAAUUAGGCAUAUACAUGUGUCACCAUGGUAGAGAAUGUAAUUUAAACCAAAUUAUUGCUCCUCAAUAGUAUAUUAAUUUGUUCUUCAUUUGAUCUUAGAAGAAUUUUUCUAGUAAAUUAAUAUACAUUAAGGUUAGUGGGAGUAAUACUAUGAGAGUUUUUCUCAAUCAUGAUAUUUGUGAAACCCUUCUAUCAUUAAUAUUCACAAAAUAGAAUGUAAAAGAUAGUUAAUCUGUCUUAGAACCUUCAUGCAAGAGUUCCUUGGUAAUAAAGAACAAAUAUUACUUUUAAAUAAUAAUAGUGAACAAUUGCAUAAUGUUCACAUCAUGCAUUGGAAUGAAUAUAAAUUCACCAAGAACGCUAUGAAGUUGUACUACAGGCAUCUAUUGUUUGGCCUAAAGUUUGUCGAUAUUGUAUUUUGGCUAAUAUAGAUAUUUGAUUUGAUUAUACCCUUUCAUUAUGUAUACAUAAAAGAGUGGAAGUCAAGACAUUCAGGUCGACACAAGGUAUUCAAUAGUUAUUUAGAAAGUAAAAUGUAGCUAUUGAGUACACAUCAAGGUGUUAUUAUUGUUGAUCAACAAUUAAAGGUUGCCGGGUAAGUUGUUAAUGAUCAAAUAACUCAUAUAGAACUCACUAGGUCAUUUAGUAUUUUGCUAUCAUUCUAAAACUAUUGUUGUUGUCUAGACACUCAAAAUACUUAUGUUUACAUGAUUUUGUGCACAUUAUUGUUCAUGUAUAAAGUAAAGAUCAUGUGAUCCAUAAAGUUGAAUCCUGAAUAACUUAUAUGAAGUUAUUCAUAAAAUUUUUUUAAAGCACUUGAUUAGAAAGUAUAAUAUAUUGUAAUACAUAGAAGGAAGUGUUUGUCAUGAGAACAUAAUCGCCAUGAUUCAUGUAUUAUUAUUUUCUGAUUAAGCGACUAUUACAUAAUUGUUGAAUUUGGUGAGUGACAAACAAAACUUAUGGCCAUUUUAAGUAUCUAAUCACUCAUAUGUUAACUGACUAUUUCAUGUGGGUCAAGUGGAAGAAAGUAAAACUUGCCUCUUUUAGAGGCAAUUGUGACCCAUAUGAUUGAUUCUAAAUUAAUUGAUAUCCUAAUUAAUUGAUUGAUAUUUUCAAUAAUUAAUUAGUAUUUUCCAUUUGUUAAUGAUUGAUUGAUAUCUUUUGCUAAUUGAUAUAUGAUUCAAUCAAUUAACCAACCAAAUCAAUCAAUUAGUCAGAAAAGAUUAUGGAUUAUGACAAGAUUUUUUUGAUGGAAGGAAACCCUAGAGAUUUUGAUAAUUGCUAGUAAGGGUUCCUGGCCUAACCUAUAAAUAGCCUAUGGUAUCCCAUCAACACUACACUCUCUGAUUAGGUAUAGACUAGAAACUCCUUACUCUAACUUUUUCUUCUAUAUAUAUAUAUAUAUAUAUAUAUUGGAAUAGACAAGAAAGAGUCAAAGAGAUGAGGAGAGACCAAUUUGUACUUAAUAAUGAUGGUUAGAGGUAAGUCUAUUUAGAUUUUCGCUGCAUAGUACAUUCAUAUGUACAUAAUUAGUAUAGCAAGCUCAACCCUAUUGACAAUUCUAUUUUGUAUGUAUAUAUUCUUGCUGUGACGACUCUCAAUAGUGCACAAGUACCGCGUUUACUCUUGUCAAACUGUGUCUGCAAUUAGAUUGAUUUUGAUUACAGAGCUCAGGGGACAAUGCGAAAGAAAUGCUGUGUAAGGGACCUCUGUAUUUUCUCAGUGCAAAAUUCAUCCAAAAUGAGCUCGUGCUAGGCUCCUGCUUGAUAGGAUCUUGGUUUUGAGCUGAAAUUUAACUCAAUUAGUUGGUAAGGCUAGCUGGAAUCAGUUAGAGCCAUUUAUUGGGUAAGCAAAGCUCAGAGUUUUCUAACCAAGACAUAAAAAGCAUGAUAAUGCAGCAGAGGACGAUGUGUCCUGGCCUCCUUUUGAUAAAAUCCAACUUUGGUGGGGUAGGAGGUUGGCUAAAAUGUAAGUUGAAAUUUUGGAAAAUGAGAAUAUAGGAACAUUCAAAUUUCAUAGGGAUAAUUUUAGAAACCUCCCCUAAGGUUUCUGAUAGUUUCACUGUCUUCCCCUAAAGUUUUAAAUAUAUCACUAACCUCCCUUAAAACUAAAUUUUCUUGUAACAAAUUAGCGCAAUUCAAAAAAAUUAAUAAUAAAAAAAUGAUUUCAAGAGUGAGAAAAAUAUUUCAUACAAAAGUGCCCCUCAACUAAUUACUAGUUGGUUGACUUAGAAUCAAAAGGGAUUAUUAGUUAAGAAUAGAAAAUAAAAACCAUAGUUAGAAUGUGUCAGUGUAAGUAAGGCAAAUUACAAUACUAGCAUGAGCCCACUAGAAUUCAAUAACAAUGGCUCGCAAAAUCAAAGAAUUGGAAGGAAAUUUUAUUAAUUUAGAAUCAAUAUUUACACAUUGAAUUCCUCAAUUCUUAGUGGUGAAAUUUGGAAGAUUUUGAGUAAGAAUUAAAUAAGACUAAGUAUGACCUUUUCAAGAAAAAUGCCACAUUAAAUAAAAAAUAUAAAAUAUGAUCAAAUAUUGUUUUGAAUUAUUUCUUUUACUUACAAGGUCCAUUAUUUCACAUGAUUACUAAGAAAUUUCUAUCAUUUGUAACAAAAAAAACAACUCUCAGGCAAUGUUUGCAUGAAUAGAAUGGAAAUGACUUUAAUGGAAAAUAAGUAAAUCAAAGUGGAGAAAAUCAUUUUAAACAAUCUUUUUGGAAUUAUGUAUACAAAGAAAAAGAAAAAAAAUUGAAAAUAGGGAGAGAAUAGAUUAUGUGCAGUUACACUUUAUCUAAACUUAAUAAAAUUUAUUUGUAAACAUAUUUUAACAAUUUAUCCUUUUUGUGCAUUUUUGUAUUCAUCUUGUUAUUUUUAUAAAAAAAACUUAUGAAAUAAUAAUCUCUCAAUAUAAAUUUUAAUCUUUUUUGGGGGAAGAAAUUACAAGAACUACUAAAAUUAGAAAAAGAAUUUAAAAUGUUAACAAUUAUUGUUAUAAAAUUUGGUAUUCAAGAUUUUCAAGCUUUUUUACAUUCCAAAUUAUGGGAGUACAAGUGGCUCAACUAUCUCUCCAUACAACUAUGUAAAAUUUCCCAAGUUGCAGGGUAAUAAAGUCAUUUGACCAUUGAUGUGGUAAGCAUUGAAUUCCAAUUGGUUGACCGGGGGAGGGUAAGUGAUAUUUUAAGAAUCUUGGGGGAGGGCAGUAAAAUUGUCAUUGAAAUUAUCCCAAUUUCAUAAGUAGGGCGAAACUUUUAUUAAGUUUGUGGAUGGGGUAUGGGUUACUACUAUUCACCAAACGAACAGAUUUUUGGCUAAGUAAUUAAAUCACACUUGUAACAAUGUACACUUUGUCAAGAGCAAAAAAAUUCUUUUUUGAAAUGUGCAUCUUAUCGAACAAUAAUAUGCACCUAAAUGAUAAAAAUAUGUAGUUUGGUAAAAUGUACAUAAAUCCAAAUAUGCACAUCUAAAUUGAUACAGCUGUGUAUAGGUAUAAUCAAAUUACACACAUACAAGUCGCAAUAUGUGCACAUAAGGGUAAUUUUCUUAUUAUACUUACAAUAUUUCUUUUAAUAGUUCAUGACCAUUAACUCGCACCUCAUGCAAGGGGUAGGGAUGGAUUGGAUGUUAGAAGGAAGGGAAUGUAAGUGAAAUGUCCUGGAAUCGAGACAUCCCGCCUAUAUUAAAAAAAAAGAAAAAAAAACUCAAACGUCAUUCAUAAAUUUUCCAAAACUUACACCUUCUUUUAAAUUUUAAAUCUUUCUAUUCCCUUUCUCCCAAUUAUCCCAAAAUUUAAAUUGGCUGGUGGGAACAUGAAAAAAUAACUACGGUAGUAGGGAUCUAGACUCCUUCACUUGAAUGGGCCAAAUUUGAGUGAUGUUAUUUUCAGCAGCACGAAAGACACCGUAACUUCUAAAAUUAUAAACAAACACAAAACUCCCUCAGUCAUUGAAAGUUAUAAACAUAUAUAAAGGUCCCUUGGUCGUUACAUGUAUUGUUCGGGAUUUUAAAUAUUCGUGAAAGUGUAUAAAAAUCACAAGUCAAAUAUCUAAGCUAUAGGGUUAACGAUAUAGGAUGACGAUUGAGAAAAAUUACAGUUAAAGAGUUUUUUGUGGCUUUCAAAAUUACAAUGGUUUUUCGCAUUCCUAUUUUCCUUUUAUUAUACACUUAAAUCGAUGUUGUUUGCCAGGAUAAAUAUAAACGUGGCCCAAAAAGAGUAGGAACUAUCUCGUGCACCAGCAUACGUAGUUUUAUUGUAUAACUGAUACUAAUACGUAUAUAUUUGUUGGUAUCCAUUCCGGUUCAAUAGAAAAAAGUUCUACAUUCUUUAAGGAUUUGGUGCUAAGGUUUCCAAGGCGCGGCUUGGGUAGUGGUGCGGCAGUCCAUGGCUGCCAUCUGCCCACCUGAUGGAGGGCAGCCUGCCCCUCCUACCUUUCAACGCAAAUCCUUUUCAGAGUUGUUCACGAAGAAUUCACAGCAGCCGACGCUAUCCUUUGCGGCACAGGAGGCUACACACAAAGGGGAACCUGCGUUGAUUUUCCCACAGGCAGCGGUCGAAGCUCUAGCCAGUCCAUUUCGUUUCGCAUUGAUUGGGAAAUUCUCUAGACGUAGACCGAAGUUGGAGGAGGUGAGGAAGUUCAUUGCAUCGCUGGAUUUACGUGAGAACCCGGUGGUGGGCUUGUUGGACGUAAGACAUGUGUUAAUUCAGUUGAACAAUGAAACUGAUUUCCAUCGUGUAUGGUUUAGGAGGAUCUGGUAUGUGUCUUCCUUCCCCAUGAGAGUAUUCAAAUGGACCACGGACUUCCAUGUUGACAGGGAGUCGUCGGUGGUUCCGCUCUGGCUUCAAUUACCAAAACUCCCGCUGCACUUUUUCAAUAAGGAGGUGAUUUUCCAGAUUGCGUCUAUGGUAGGUAACCCUUUGCUAGUUGAUGCGGCUACCCUUGCAGUGUCACGGCCAAGUGUUGCACGGGUGUGUGUUGAGAUGGAUUUGUUGCGUUCGACACCGUCGCGGGUUUGGAUUGGCAAUGGAAAUCACGCUGGUUUUUGGCAAGAGCUGGUGGUGGAGAACCUUCCAAGGUACUGCUCACAUUGUUUCCGCCAAGGUCACGAUGUGGAGACUUGUCAUGUUUUAAAGCCCGAGUUGCGAGGAGCAUCUGGUCACCAUACCAAGACUACUGGAACAACACAACUACGGUUGGCAGAGACGUCGAAUACAGACAUGCCUGAUGGCCCUUUGGAGGGUAAUGGAGAAAGGCCAUCGGUAUUGAUACAAGAUGCGGCAGUAAUUGAUGGGGCAAAGGGAGAAGUUAAUGAGACUGUGACUGGCAAAGCGCUAGUUGCUCACGAUCAGUUAAUAGGUGGUACGCCUCACGAAGCUGAGCAAGGUGACCAGGUGCAGCAGUCCUGUGCUACUAUACCAGCGCAGCAGGAGAGGAAAAUGGAGGAGAAUUAUGGGACGGUGGCGGUAGAAGGUAUCGAGGUGGUGCUGCCACAUGACAAAGGAGAGGAACGUUCUGAGGAUGUGGGGAGUGGGUUGCCCGCGAGGGUGGUCGUACGUUCUGCUGAGGGGCAAGUUGAAGACAUACAAGAUACUCAACGAAGGGACGGUACCCUCUCCCCUAGGGGCAAGGAUCUUAUCCGACAAGAAGAGUCAUCACUAGAGACCGGGCAUAUAGACACGGGGGGUACCCUGGAACUAGAAGAAGUUGUUCGUAAGGAGCGAAUGGAUGCAAGGUCGCGUGGUCUCCGGGUUGGUCUCCCGUCAGAUAGAACACUACGCUCCAUGGUUAGUUCUUCAACAAAUUCUUUUUCUGUCCUUUCUGAUGAUUAAGUUACUUUUUUGGAAUAUAAGAGGGGUAGCUCGUGCUCCUAAUUUAAGGCGGUUAAGGAAACUUAUUAAAUUGUAUGAUCUUCAAUUGGUGGUUGUUGUUGAACCUAAGUUGAGGGUGGAGUCAAUUACUGAUAUUAGAAUUAAAUUGGGGAUGGAUUGUUGCAUGUUCAAUCAUUGGGGUUCUGUUUGGAUUUUCUACCGGUCAUUGUUUACGUGUCAGAUUACAGGGGAGUCUCCCCAACAUAUAACUAUUAGAGUACAAUCUCAUCUUUUCCAAGACUCCAUUAUUUUGUCUUGUAUACACGCGAAGUGUACGCAGCAGGACAGAGAGGAUUUGUGGAAUGCACUUUUGCAGGAUAAACCCGCCUUCAAUCCUUGGUUUUUGGUGGGGGAUUUCAAUGUGGUCACAAAUACAGAGGAGAAGAGGGGUGGAUUGCCAUUUAGACCGUCGGAGGGAUCAGACUUUCUGAAUUUUAUGGCGCUAGCUGGUGUCAGUGAUGCGGGAUUCUCUGGGUCAAGGUUUACAUGGUGUAAUAAUCGUUCGGGAACGGCGCGGAUCUGGAAGCGUCUGGAUCGCUUACUUCUGUGUGGGAGUGCAAUGGAGCUACCGUACCAAUUCAUGGUGCAACAUUUAGGCCGUGACCCGUCGGAUCAUGCUCCCUUGUUGCUAUCGGUGGAUACGAGGCUAGACAAUAAACCCAAGCCGUUUCGUUUCUUAAACAUCUGGACCACUCAUCCUGAUUUUCUGGGGGUUAUCAAGGACUGUUGGGUUCAUCCAGUCAAUGGCUCUCCUUUGCAAGUAUUGGCAUCGAAGUUGAGGAAUGUUAAAAAUGCCCUCAAGCAGUGGUCUAGGACGACAUUCGGGGAUAUUUUUGAAGGGGUACGUAGUGCAGAGCGUGUGGUAACCGAGUCUGAGACAGCAUACGACCUCGAUCCUACUGAGCAGCGACGGAGCGAGUUACAUCAUGCUCGGGCUCGAUUGCGCCGAGCGCUUGUAGUUGAGGAGGGUUUUUGGAGACAAAAGGCGCGGGUUAAGUGGCUUUCGGACGGAGAUAGGAACACCAAAUAUUUCCACUCCUUGGUUUCGGAAAGGAGACGUAGGGCAGUAAUUCAUCGAGUCAGGGGUACUGCUGGAGAAUGGAUCGAGGGGGAAUGCCAAAUUGGGGAGGCAGCGGUGGGUUUCUUUAAGGAACUUUUCACGGCAGAGGGGGAUCUUCCCUCCCUUACCGGUCUGGAGAUCAUACCUAAACUGAUAACAGACCAGGAAAACUCACGGUUAACGGACAUUCCAUCUCUUACAGAAGUUAAAGACAUAGUCUUUGCUAUGGAUGGAGAGAGCGCAGCCGGCCCGGACGGGUUUACAGGGAAAUUCUUUACCUUUGCUUGGGAGGUAGUGGCAUCGGAUUUAUACCGGGCGGUUGUCAGCUUUUUCUGCGGUGCUGAACUACCUAGGAGUAUCACGGCUACCUCAAUUGUGUUGCUGCCAAAAGUGGAGAACCCCCAAGAUUUUAAGCAUUUUCGUCCAAUCAGUCUGUGCAACUUUACUAACAAAAUCAUCUCCAAGCUGUUAUCGGCAAGGUUGGCGAUGAUAUUACCCCGGAUUAUAUCUCCACAGCAAAGCGGGUUUGUCCAAGGGAGGCAGAUUACAGAUAAUUUCUUGUUAGCUCAGGAGUUAGUAGCCGAUAUCGGGAAAUCAAAUCGGGGUGGCAAUGUGGUCAUCAAGUUAGACAUGAUGAAGGCUUAUGAUAAAGUCUCAUGGCCCUUUCUCCUACAGGUGCUACGAUAUUUCGGAUUCAGUGAGACCUGGAUAGACAUGAUUUGGCGAUUAAUAUCGAAUGUGUGGUUCUCGGUACUUGUUAAUGGUGGUUCAAACGGCUUUUUCAGAUCUUCACGGGGUUUACGGCAAGGGGAUCCAAUUUCACCAGCCUUAUUCGUUAUCGGAGCUGAGGUGCUGUCUAGAACCCUCAACACGCUACCCACACAAAGAGGAUUUACUCCGUUCAAAGUUCCUCCUCAUUGUUCUAUAAUUACGCAUUUGGCAUUCGCCGAUGACGUGAUUAUCUUUUCCAGUGGGGCCAAGUCAUCCCUACGUCUGAUUACACGGGUUUUGGAUGAUUAUAAUGAGGCAUCAGGUCAGCGAAUCAACCCUCAGAAGAGUUGUUUCCUUACUCAUCCACGGGCACCAUCUCAGAGGGCAGCGGUUGUUAACCAGAUACUAGGGUAUAAUAAACGCGACUUUCCAAUACGGUACCUUGGUUGUCCCUUGUAUACCGGAAGGAGCAAGAAGGUUUACUAUACGGAUAUAUACAAUGCGGUGGCGAAUCGGAUUUUGAGUUGGAAAAACCAGAUUUUAUCGCUAGGAGGCAGGGUGGUGUUGAUUCAGAGCGUGUUAUCCUCUAUGCCAAUUCACUUGCUGGCAGCCGCGUCCCCUCCAAAAGGGAUGUUGAUGGUCAUAGAGAAAUUGUUCGCCAAGUUCUUGUGGGGAUCUUCGAAUUUCGGGGAUAAAUUCCAUUGGAUACGUUGGGCAGAUUUGUGUCGGCCGAAGGAUGAAGGGGGUGUAGGCCUGCGGGGUUUGAAACAGGUCUACGACUCAUUUUCCAUUAAACUCUGGUGGAAAUUUCGACAACAACAAUCAUUAUGGGCAAAGUUUAUGUCCCAGAAGUAUUGUGCAGGUCAUCACCCUUGUCUUGCUGAUAUUGGGCAUCCGGGAUCCCAAGUUUGGCAGAGGAUGGUCACAAUGCAGCGUUUUGGGGAGGAUAAUAUUAGCUGGGUAGUUCGGGAGGGGGCUUUGGACUUUUGGCAUGAUAAUUGGAUGGGGUCAGGUGCGCUUUGUGACAAGGUUGAGGUCUUCCAUGAUCAUUCGGUGGUUGAUUUUGUAGAUCGGCGGGCUUGGAAUGUGGACAUGCUCCAUCAAUUCUUGGAUGGAGAAUUGGUUACGCAGGUUUUGGAGAUUGACCCUCCUACCGAUAGGGGAAAUGAUACAAUGGUAUGGGCAUUGACGAACUCGGGUGUUUUUUCCACUGCAUCGGCUUACUCAUUGAUCCGUCAAUCCAAUGACAAUUCUUGGCUUUUUGGUCGUAUAUGGCAGCAGGGUCUUCCAGUCAAGGUUUCUUUCUUUAUGCUGCGACUACUACAGGGGAGGCUCCCUCUUAUGGAUCGCCUAAAGAGGUUUGGGGUUUGUGGCCCAUCUAGAUGCUUGUGUUGUCAGAAUCCCCAGGAGGAGGAUUUGAAUCAUGUGUUUUGCUCAGGAGAAGGGGCACGAUUGGUCUGGCGACACUUCGAGAGUACUGCUGGUGAGUUUAGUGGGGUGCAUACGGUGCGUCAUAUGGUGUGGUCUUGUUGGUUAAGGAGGGGGACUAAUGAUCGUGUAAAGUUUUUGCAUAAUAUACUUCCUUCGGUGGUAUGCUGGGUUUUAUGGAAGGCUAGGAAUGAAGGGGUGUUUGAAGGUCGGAAGAUGAGGAUCAGGCCUACGGUGAAUCGGAUUGUUCAGUUUCUGCAUGAUUUCCUUCAGUCACGGUUCCCGGGGGUGCAGCCUUCUGCCCCUACAUGGGAAGGGUUGCUUCUCGAAUUAGGUAGUCAUCAAAGGCGGAUGGUUAUUAGGCCAGUUUACUGGGUAACUCCACGUAGAGGCUAUAAGUUGAAUUCAGAUGGAUGUUCUCGGGGGAACCCAGGAAGGAGUGGGGGGGGUGGGCUUGUGCGGGAUAGUCGAGGAAAUUUUGUAUUCGGCUACGCGGAGCCCUUCGGGGUGAUAACCAGCAUGCAGGCGGAACUUCGAGCGUUGCUAUGGGGCGUUAGACAUUGUGUGAUUCGAGGGUGCUUGGAGUUACACUUAGAGGCGGAUUCUCUCACCCUGGUUCACAUUGUUCAAGGGACUAGUGCUUGUCCUUGGCGUUUACAGAGAGAUCUGGAUGAGUUGAUGAUGUUCAAGCAAUAUUUCACAUCGAUCACACACUGCUACAGGGAAGCAAACGCACCUGCAGAUCGUUUGGCAAAUUUUGGUGCUGAUUCUAGUACAGGUCAUGUGUUUAAUACAUUCUCAGAAUUGCCGCAAUUGGUUAGGGGGGCUAUUAGAUUAGAUCGAUUAGGAUUUCCUACGUUUCGUACACGGUGUCUGGCAUGAAUUGGAAUAAGAAGCAGAAAAGGCCAAUGAAGGUGAAAAUGGCGGUUAGAAGGACAUCAAGGGAGGAAGAUUGACUGCUAAAAUCUUCAAAGAUCAUCCUUCAGAUUCACUGGAAGACAUCCUGAUAUGGAAAAAUGAAGAUUUAAUCUUAAUUUCAGUUUUUAAAUGCUUAAACUUUCACUAGCUUGUAAAUUUAUUGUCAAAUUGUGGUUUGAUGGCAGGGAGUUUCGUCCUUUUUUAAGGGGAAACUCUGCCGAAAUUUUUAUAAAAUAAUAAAAUUUCAAUUAAAAAAAAAAGUAUAUAUUUGUUGGUAGUGAAAGUAGAGAGAAAUUUAUACUUUUAUUCACUAGUUUGUUUGGAGUUCACAAGAUUGCAAAUGAGGUUGGAAUAACAUCUAUUUUUACGGAAAGCAGAAUGAAUAAUACAUUAACUAACUUUAAUACUUAUACAUGGAAUAGUACAUCAAGAUGAUAAAAUUGAGUUGUUUCAUGAGAAGAUAAGUGUAUCACAUUAAUCUAGGGGGAAAAUACAUGUAUUAAUCCUCUAGGGGAAUUGAAUGGACAUCCACAUCUAUUUGUAUUUGUUUCAUAACAAGUUUGGUGUUUUUGCCAUUUUUGUUUUGGGUAAUCAUGAAAAGUUUUAAGUCUCACAAAAAAUGAUAACUCUUUUUGUUUUAAUCCGUCGAGACAUUGGUUUACACUAUUAUCUCGCUGCAACAUAGUUUCAACAUAUUUCUCAAAAUAUUUUCAUCUAACUUUGAAUUCAUGUAUAUUCCUGUUUGGUUAAGUUACACUAAAUUUCUUUAACAAUUAUCAUUCAAUUCAAUAUACUUUAAAAUAAGUUAAAUUAAAAGAACCGUUUUCUCUUAGUCUUAAAAAGAAUUAAGUUAGUAAUAUUCAUAUUUGAGAACAACACGUUACCCACACUAAGUCUAGAAAAGAAUUACUGAUGUAUCAGAAUUAUCGUUUUCGAAAAAAAAGAUGUACCUGUUUAUUCAAAAAAAAAAAAUCAUUGUUUCACUAAUUUAGAUAAAAAAAAUCAACAAAAUUGAGAUGAUGUACAGAUUAUUGAAAAGGGGCCAAUUUUGUCAAGACUUCAUGUUUUCUCACCAAAGCUAUUGAGCACCAAUCUCAAAAAAGUCAUAAAGAGCCAAGCCAAAGCAAAAAAAAAAAUCAAUAAGGAAGGCAACAAACUGGCCUGUACGGUGACCUUAUCCUUUUGGAUUCAUUUCAGCGGAUAAUGAUUCAUUUACACUUGAUAGUGAUGUAAAUCUGCAUCCAUCUUCAAAAGCAAAAAAUACCUCCCUUGUUUCCUGUUAAUGAUCAUGGAAGUCAUCUAUAGCAUCCUAGUUCUCAGUUUCUUGGUAGUCUUAGUUGCUAUAAAACAUCUUCAAGAAAACAAGAGAACACUAAAGCCUCCAAGUCCACCAGCUCUCCCAAUUCUAGGCCAUCUGCACCUCCUGAAAGCUGCCCCUCACCGUGCUCUUCAACUUCUCUCCAUCAAAUACGGCCCCCUGAUUUCCCUUCGAUUUGGGAUUCGUCCUAUACUUGUUGUUUCCUCACCAUCUCUUGCAGAGGAAUGCUUCACUAAGACUAAUGAUGUUAUCUUUGCUAACCGACCAGGGUCCAUUUCUGGCAAAAUCCUUGGCUACAACAACAGUACUAUCGGAUUCUCUCCUUAUGGAGACCACUGGCGAAAUCUCCGCCGUGUUACCACCAUCCAUAUUUUUUCUUCCGCUAGUCUCCACAACUUUUCCUCAAUCUGGACAGAGGAAAUCCGUUUCAGUGUCAGGAAAUUGUUCUCAAUGAACUCUGAUGACAAAGUGUGGAAAGAUGUAAACAUGAACUCUGUGUUCUUGGAUUUGGUAUUCAAUGUGAUCAUGAAAAUGCUUGCAGGAAAAAAAUGGCCAUCUGAUAAAACAGCUGAUUUGUUUUCGCUGAUCUCCUUCAUGGGUAUUUGUGAUUAUGUCCCUGUCUUGAGAUGGAUUGGAUUUCGAGGGUUGGAGAAAAAUUUGAGCAAUUUACAGCAAAAGAGGGACAAAUUAUUCAGGGAUCUCAUUGAUCAAACUAGGAAAAAGGAAGGUGAAGGUGGCUCAUGCUCGACUGAGCAGAGAAGAACUGUUAUCCAAGCAUUGCUGUCCCUUCAAGAUGCUGAACCUGAAUUCUUAACUGAUGAAACUGUCAAAGGGAUCAUACUAGUAAGCCAACUUGCCAUUUCUCUUUUCUCCUUAACAUAAUAUUUUUUGCUUUGGUAAUUAUUGCUCUUUAUAUCCGGUUUCUAUUUUCAUAUUUCAUUUUUUUUUAAUGCAAAUCAACCUUUUCUCCAAUUAGUCAGUGAACUCCUCUUCUAGCUGGUAAUCUCUUAUGUUGGGCUUUACAUUCAUUUUGACAAUACAUGCCUUGUUGUUCUUCUAGAUUAUGUUCACUGCUGGAGUACACACUUCAGCUCUGACCAUGGAGUGGGCUAUGUCCCUUAUGCUAAACCACCCCCAGGUAUUGAAGAAGGCAAGGAGUGAAAUAGACAACAACGUUACACAAUCAGGGCAAUUGAUUGAGGAUUCAGAUCUCUCCAAAUUGCCAUAUUUGCGUUGCAUAAUCAAAGAAACACUUAGACUUUUUCCUGCAGCACCAACUCUUUUGCCUCAUUAUUCAUCUGAGGAUUGCACCAUAGGAGGCUUCAAAGUUCCUAAAGGCACAACUUUGUUAGUAAAUGCUUGGGCUAUUCACAGAGAUCCGAAGGUUUGGGAAGAGCCAGCCAAGUUUAAGCCAGAAAGGUUUGAGGGAAUUAAUGAAGGGGCUUGCGAUGAAGGGUUCAAAUUUAUUCCAUUUGGAAAAGGUAGGAGGGCUUGUCCAGGUGCUGCCUUAGGCAUGAGAUUUAUUAGCCUGACGUUGGGAACAAUGCUACAAUGUUUUGAUUGGGAAAGAGUAGGGCCUCAAUUGGUGGAUUUAGAAGAAAAAUCUGGUAUAACUUUGGACAAGGCCAAGCCUUUGGAAGCAUUGUUCAGGCCACGCUCAUCCAUGAUUGAAUUGGUUUCUCAGCUUUGACUAAAGAACAUGACUGGUGGCUUUUGAAGAUUGUAUCAUAAUACUAUCUGAAAUACUUAAAGCUCAAACUACAAAGGUGCACCUAUUGCAAAGUGUGAAAAAAAGUGAAAAUAAGAGGAAGGAGAAUAUAAGCAUGAAAAUCUUUCAGUCUAUGCAGUUAUUAAAUAUUAAAUAGGCUUUGAACUAAACCGUGUUUGGCUUUUUCUUUUUGCUUUUAAUAUUGGUCUUUUCAAUUCACUGUAAGUGCAUCUACUCGAGGUCUUUGGUUUUCCACAUUUGUAAUUAUAGAAAAUCUUCAACCUUAACUGCGUUUCUUUGUUGUUACAUAAAGUGGUUUUGGGGCUUCAACAAAACAAGCAAAAAGAAUGUCUUAUGAGUAGAGAUGUCAAUCAAAAUCCAAUUAUAUUGGUUCGUCCAAAUCCGCCCACCAAUGAUCGGCUCAAACUCACCCACUAAUUUUGAAUAAAUUUAAAUGAGUACCCAAUUAAAUUCAUUUAAUUAGUGAAUAGUGAGUUGACUCGAUUCAUCCAUUUGUAUCCAUUUAAAAAUAAUUAGACACUUAAACUCAAUUUUUAAUUAGUGUUAAGCAAAUAAAUUUGAAUUUCUAAUCAAUUUAAUAACAAUAAAUACCGUUAUUUCUUAUCAAAUAGCAUGCAAAAAAAAGUAGAAUUGUAAGUGACUCAUAAAUAGAUAAUUGGGUAUAUCUAUACUCAUUUAUUAAAUGGGUAUAAAUGAAUUGACUUAAUUAUACCAACUACUUAAUUAUGACCACCCAAAUCACUCAUUUUAGCACAUCUACUCAUGAGUAGCGAGGUUACCGAGCUAACUCGAACCCAAUUAUGGGUAACUCGAGCUAGACUUCAAAGAAAAUUAGCUAAGCUCAAAUUCAAGUUUAAGUUCGACAGUGAAUUUCCUUUCUAUGUCAUAACUCAGUGUAUCACCAUCUUCAAUUUAUCCACCAAAACCGUUGCUAAGUUAGCUUAAGAACUCUUUUAUUGGUAUCAGUCUCUUUUAUUUCACAUUCACUCAAAACUUUUACAUGUUUAACUUCCUUUGGCAUACUUUUUUCUUUGUCAAAUUUUUGUUGGCGGUGUAUAAAGCUUUCAAGUUUUUCAUAUAUCUGUUUGAUGUAUUAGAUAUGCAUAAUUUUGAUGUUGCAAGUAAAUUUAUGAAGAUACAACUCUUUUCGUGAGUUACAGGUACACAUUCACCACUUCGAAUCCCAGAUUAUUAGAUUUUUUUUUUGUUUUGCAUUUUUUUGAAUUUUCAAUUUAUUUGUGAACUUUUCAAAUUUUUGCAAAAAUUUGUUCUUUUAGAAUGAUGACAGGUAUUUUAGAAGAUGUCUGUAGGUAAUUAUAAGUUCAAUUUAUCCACAGUCUCGUGUAGGGAUGGCAAUGGGGGCGGGUGCCCGCGAGGGGCUCUCGGGGCGGGGGGUGGGGCGGGGGCGGGAGGGAAUUUUUUCCCCCCGCUUAGAAACGGGGCGGGGGACGGGGGAGUAUACCCCCGUCCCGCCCCCCCGCCACCGCAAAAAAAAAUAAAUAUAUAUAUAAUUAUAUAUAAUAUGUAAGUUAAUUAGUUAUAAACUUAUGAUAAUGAUAUUAUUAGUUAGAUGUAUUAUAUAAUGUAUAUUAGUUUAUGUAAUAUAAUUGAUAUUAUCAAUUAUAUGAAUAAUUAUACAUGUCUACUAAUAAAAUUUAUUAAUUAGUUAUACUAAAUUUACUAAUACAUUUAUACUAAAUUUCUAAUUACACUUAAUAGAAUAACACUUUUUUCUCAAAAAAAAGCACAAACACAAUAAUGAAUUAGUGAUUGCAUUUGUACUAAAAGUGAAAACUUGACUAUUUUAGUUAUAUUUAUUUCAUCAUAUUGGAUUGUAUUCAAAUAACUUUUGUUUGAUUGUUUUUAUGAGUUUCAAUUGUAAAAUUACAAUGAAUAAUAAUUUGGUGAUGUGUUCAUAUUUUAGUACUUGAUUAUUUAUUAAAAUUUAAUUAUAAUAAAAUUAUAUAAUAAAAUUUUAUUAACCCCGCGGGGGAAGCAGGGCAAGGCGGGGCGGGGGCGGGGGACGGGGGAGGGUCUCCCGCCCCAACCCCGCCCCGUUGCCAUCCCUAAUUUCGUGAACGUUGAAGGACCAAUACCUAUUAAGAUCGCAAAACUAAUUUUGGAGUCUCCAGAACACAUAAUUCUUAAAGAAUAUUCAAGCCAUUUUUUUUUUCAGGGUUCGUUUUCACACUCUAAUUUUUUAACUCUACAUCAGUUAAUCAAAUGACUUCAAUUUAUUAGUGCCACUAAUUUCAAGGUCAAAUUUGCUUAAAUUUUCAGUUUUGCAAGUCCCUGGAAACUUUUAUCAUCUUCAUCUCAAGUAUCCCUGUAUUCUUGCUUUUAUUAUUCACCCAUGUAAACUUGAUUCUAAAUGCACAUAUGCCUCGUUGCUAAAGUUUUUAUUCAAUGUUACUUGAUAACAACUCAUAAGUAUGCCCUUAUGAAACAGCAACAAGGAAGAUCUUGAAUGCGCCUAUUCGCAACCCAGGAAUAAAUUAACCUAAGUACAUCCCAGUAACAUGGAGAAUCAAAUCAUGGUUUCACAUAAAAUAUGAUGGACCAAACCUUUUUUCACAUAUCAAAAUAAAGAAAUAUAACUUGAAGCAACUUGACAUAAGUUACCCUGGAAUGAUAAUGCAAUAAUAUCUACUAUAGGGGGAGGGUUGGGUUGGGUGGUACGGGGGAAGGAGUGUAAGCAAGAGGCCUCGGGUUCGAAUCCUACUGUUUACACUAAAAAAAACAAUAAUAUCUGCUACAUAAACUUCUCAAUUAUGUCUGUUUUUUUUUUAACUUCUCAUUUAUGUCUAACUGCUUCUAAAAAAUGUCAGUGUCAAUAUAAUCAUUAAGAAGAAAAAUAUUGGACUGCAAAAGUGGACUUUAAGAGAAGGUUCAAGAAAAAAGGAGACUGUGCAAUUAAAUGGCAAACAUCACUUUGAUAACAAUACAUAUUUACUUAAGAAGAAUUGUAUAAAAGAAUAAACGCAAAGACUAAGAUUGUAAUUUUUUUUUAUUUUUUUUAAAUAUAAGAAUCACCUAUUAAGCUCUAUAAUUAAUAUUAAAUCUAAAAAGUCAAUUAUUUGGCCUUUAAAACUGUGUUCACAAACUUUUUAUCUCUUCAUACUCAGAUUUUAUAUAAUGUUUUAGUAAAAUCAAUAAGAACACAUGAGAAAACUAUCUCUAAAAGGCUAAGGCCGUAAAAUAAAGAGAAUGACCAAGGCAAACAAAGAGCAAAAAUGAGCAAAAUAUGACAUGAAAUAUUUGUCUCUAAAAAAGGACAAGCUCAGUGCUAAGAAAGAUAUAAAAGCUUCUUAGAAAAAGAAGCUUAGAACCAUACAAUUUUAACUAACCUAUAUUACAUUUGAAGUUUGAAUAAUUAAAAGUUCAAUGGACCGAACUAUUGUCUUGAAAUAAUAUGAGUUUUGCAAUUCUACGGUAGAUUCAUAAAAGUGCUUAAGAAACACGUGGGAUAACACUGUUGAGAAUGAUGUGUUCACUGAAUAACGAAAUUGACGGGAUUUUUAUAUAUCAAUGCAAGUUUAAUUCCGAUUUUACACCCGUUGGACUGCAAGUAUACAGGUCGCAAUUGUAGUACAAGAUGUGUAUCGGGUCGAUCCCACGAGGAGCUAUUAAAACAAUUAUUAGACACUAAUUUACUCUAUUAUUUAGACUCACAAUAAAUUUGAGCAGAAAAAUUCAGAAUUUAAUUCAACUACAAAAAUUCUUAACUAGAUAAAUGCAAUUUCACAAAAGGAAUAGAAUUCACUAAAUAUUAAGAUCUAGGGAUGUAGAUUCCACUUAUGACUCAAAAGAUCUAAAAUGAAUUAAUUCAACACUUGUUAUUGCUCUUGUUUAACCAAGGAUUCAUUUCCAGAAAUACCAAAAUCACAUUCUCAUGAUAAUAAUGGGUUAAAACAGAUUAGUUUUUCCUAAUCUCUUGGUAAAUACUAAAUCUGUUCUUAUUCACACAUGAAAUGCAGAUUUCAUCCACUUGAAUGUAUUUCUAUUCUCAUGAAUAUACAACUCAAGUUCUACUUGUGUCAUUCCAUUAUUUUUACCAUUUCUUAAUGAAUAAAAACAACUAUAAACCUGUUAUUGGUGAUCAAACAACAACAAGUAAUCAAGCAUACACAAGUAGAUAAGUUAAUACAAGAUAUAACAAGUAUAAAUCACAAUCACUUCAUAUCACUUGGCCAUAAGCUUCAUCUACUCCCUAGAUAAAGGAAAUUAGCUACUCAUGAAUGAUGAAACACUCAUAAUUUCAUUAAUGCAAAUCAUCAUGAAUUUACAAAUACAAAAAGAGUAAAGAAAGUCUUAGCCAAGAUAUGGUGAAGCCUUCCAAAAAUCUCCUUGUCUUGAAUUUAGAUGAUUACAAGAUGAAACCUCAAUUGUCCCUUUGCAAGUACCUAGCUAGAGAGAAUAUGUUUUUCUGUAAGAAACUAAGCUACGUAUGGCUCUCCCAGACCUCUCUCAAUGUCUUAGCAUAAAAACUACUCAAAGGCUCUAUUUUUCCAAGUCAAAUUCUAACCUUUGAUUCCCCAAAUCUGCACUUUGUUAGCAUAGUCAAAAACCAAUAUUUUUGACUUGAAAAUAAGCCAUCUUUAUUGCCCUUUUGUCUUCUGAGGCAUGUGCACCGAAUUCUCUUGCAGAUUGUAGCUGGAAAGUAGUUUGAACAUAAGAGAAUUGACUGAGCAAAUUGCAGAAUUACGGCCAGAAAACGCGCCUACACAAAACGCGGUUACAAGUCACGUUUUGUGUACUCGCGUAUUCACUUUGGCCUUACUUCAUCUGCGAUUUUCUCUAUCAUAAAGGCCGAACUGGCUUUUGUGCAAAACACCAAAGUUGUAGCUCUUUGAGUUAGCUUUCCAAUGCUAUAAAAAUCAUCCAAAUCGGAGUUGUGCAGCCUGAGAUAUGGUCGAAAUAGUCUCACCUGGUCAAACCUCUGUUUCCAGUUUCGACCACAGAGUGCAGCUUCUGUAUUCCGACUUUUUUUCCAUGAAAUGGGCAGAAUUGGAUUUCGAUGUCUUCAUACGAAUUGUAGGUCUCUUUCUUAGCUUUAAAAUGGUAUAAAUAUCACCUUAAUCCGAUAAGUGUAGCUCCAGAUAUGAUCAAAAUACUGAAGAGUGUUAAAACUGAUUUGUAUUGCAUUUCCUCACUUGAACGUUUUUCACUUCAUUCUUCUUGUUACCACUUGAAUUCAUCACCAACUUUCUAUUUUUCAUCUCAUUUGACAUCCUUUGGUGAUUGAAUCAUCAUUCCUGCAUAAAAAUGAAGUUUUUAUCAUUAAAAUCACUAAAAAUGCAAUAUUAUCCACUUUUACCAACAAUAUAUAAUUUUACCAAAAACCUCUUUAUUUUAUUUAUAAAACUAGAUAAUCAACUCAAAAUUAACUAAUAAAAUGCACUUAAAAAUACGUAAAAUAAACUCUUAUCAGAAAUAUGAUUUCAUCACAACUCCAAAUAUUAUCAUAGAAAUUUAUAAGUAAGAUAAUUAAGUAGUAUUAUCUUAAAACUAAAGGGAGAAAUUUUGUUUCAAUGUCGACAAAUGCAACGUGCAUUUUCUUAGUCUAUUAUUAAAAACUUGUCCAAGGAUUCUUCCAUUUUUAUAAUAGGUGUUAUCUCAUUUUAUAUGCUAAAAUUACUAAAUUAAUUUUGAGAGGUCGUUAAGUCUAUUCUAUAUCUAAAGUACCCCUUCAGAUGAUAAACUAUUUAGGGGGAAAAAACUGUGAAUUUGAACAUGCCUAAAAGAAUUAAGAAAUAAAUUUACAAUAAGGAAAGAUAGACUUAUUAUCAUUAGUGGUGACUGAAAGCAUUUUUUGUUUGAGUGAGAAUGGCCCCUAUUUUUUAUUAGAUAAAAAAUUUAAAGAAUUAAAGAUGCUCAUAAAAUAAGAUGAAACAAUAAGGGAAGGAAAUAAAUCAAUCCAUUAAGGCUGUAGGCGAGGAGCUUUAAAACUUCCUACAAAGAUAUUCUAGAAUAAGUCUGAAAAUAAUAGUAACAAAGUUGGUUUACAUUAAUAGCUUGAACAACACAAGAAAAUUAUUAAAAAAUUUUUAGUAGUUUGCCAUAGAACACAAACCACCUUAUGAAUUAUACUUGUUUGACAAUAUCAAAACUCUUUCCACAAAGCACUUAAACACCACAUACAUCAUCACACUUGAGCUCGAAUCUAGCUCAAAUCUCGGAUCGUUUACACCUAAUACAUGAGUGGUUGAGUGAUCUAGAAGUGGGCCGGAAUUUUUAAACUGAAAAAAAAUCUUUUUAUAUUUGUAAUGAUUUGACUAUUUAGAUUGAAUCAUAUAAUAAGUCCAGAUUUGGAUGUAUUGGAUGGUACCGGAGAAGCGAACGUAGAACAAGAUUUUAAAAGAAAAGGUCCUUAGUUAAACUGCAAAUUAACUCAUGUGAUUAGCUCGUGAUUGUCCACACGGCGGAUCGAAAGUGGUAAGAGAUGACACUAAAGUAUCAAAUAUAUGUUGUCCCGUACUAUUUGGAUUUCAGUGAGGUUUAUGGAGUAAUGUGAAAUCUCAGCGUGCAAAAAGGGGCCGCAAUCAAGAAUAUUUUGACUGAUCAAGCGCCUGCAUUUUGUCUUCUUCCUAUUAUUUGUUUCUAAAAUGCCAUCCUAAGGUGCAUUACUAAAUAAAGGCUCAUUUGGUAAAUAAAUUUUUUAGGUGUUUGUUUAAAAUUUUACUGUAAUUUACUGUAAGAGUUGUAGAAAAUAUUUUUGAAGUGUGUAAAUUUUUGGAUAUUUUGAUGUGCAUAGUUUUAAAGUUUUAAGAAAUUUUUUGAGAUUAAUAUAGUUAAAAUAAUUUAAAAACUUGUAACAGACAAAUUUGACAAAAAACUUGCUUGCCAAACAUGCCCAAAAUUUGCUUUUGACCACUUUGCAGAUCAAAAUAGUCUUCGGAUUAGUAAACAUUAUUAGUUUAAAGAAUUACUCUAGAGUGCAAUUUAGAAAUCCAUUGUAAACGAGAGCAAGCCAUGUAACAAGAUGUCAAACAAACUGUAAGGAUUCAAAUACGGAAUAAACAACUAUUGAGAUAUCAAAUGUAUAACAAUUUAAUGAAAAACAAGCCACAAGUAUGAAAGAUAAACGACACACAACAUUUAACGUGGUUUGACUCCACCAUUGAGCCUACAUCCACGGAGAGAAACUUGUUCUUUAUUAUGAGAGAAAAAUCUUAUACAAGAAUACAACUUGAACCCAAAUCCAACCCUUGUAUACCAUCUCUCAUGUCCCAAAAACCCUCUCUCACACCCCAUGUAUAAGGUUACAUAAUACCCCUUGUGUUUGCUUGUGUAUCUUUGUAGUAUGCCAAUCUACCUAUUUAUAGAGAACAUUACUGUCAAAAAAUCAAAUAACAAUUGGAAACCAAUACUAUUUUCUAAACUCAUAUAAAGUAGAAAAUAGUAUCUAAUUCUAGCUAAAUAGGGCUUUACUUGACUACUAUUUCAAGUAACUAAAUCCAAUUAGAAAACUAGUUACUUCCCACACCAAAUAGGAAUCUUGACUAAAAGAAAUUAAGCCAAUUUCCUAACAAAUCUCUACCUUGGCGAAUAUUUCUUUUAGCAAACACAGCAAACCAUCCAAAAACUCCAUUUGCCUUUAACUAGCAAAUAAUAUGGUACCAAAUUACACACCCGAAUCAAUACAGUCCUGCCACCAAAUUGAUUCAAUCGGCAAAUGAACAUGUGUAGUUACCAUGAGUCCAACCUGCAGUUGACUCGUGAGAAGGUGCCUCAAUUCACCAUCUCCCUUUGCAGGAUUUCUUCUCACCACCACUUGCAAUCUGGGAUCCCCUUCUGUGAGCUCUAACCCUAACCAUUGAGGCAAUUAAGUGGUAAAGUCGCCAUACUUCUUCCCAUCCUCAGGACUGUCUCGCCACAUAUAAUUUCCAAGACUCCACCUAAAACAAAAAACUCGUAUCUGUCAGAGUCUUCUGGCGUAUAGAAAUUAGAUCUCCUUGUUUCUUUGGGACACGUGCCACACCAUCCAAAAAACAUAACCAAAAUUUAAAAUCCACCGGGAUGAAGUAUCAACCGUUGGAGGUGUGAAAAGUCUCCACCAAUUCACGUCUAAAAUCAAUAUUGGAUUCCAUCUUUUCCUUGACCCUUGAAUCACCUGCCUAGAUUCACCGUCAAGCAUCUCCAUAUUUUUCGACUUUUCAUCCUUUACCAUCAAUGCUUUUUGUCAAGCUAUUGAAACAAGGAUACUACCUAUUAAAUUGUUCAAUUGAUGACAGCUACCAAUCCACUUGAUCUCAAUAGUUAACUAGGAUCCAACUACGAAUCUUGAGCAGCCCAGUCUCGCAACCAAGCUCUGAUACCACUUGUUAGGAUUCAGGCGUGGAAUAAACAACUAUUGAGAUAUUAAGUGCAUAACAAUUUAAUGAGAAACAAGCCACAAGUAUGAAAGAUAAAUGACACACAACAUUUAACGUGGUUCGACUCCACCAUUGAGCCUACGUCCACGAAGAGAAACCUGUCUUUAUUAUGAGAGGAAAAUCCUAUACAAGAAUACAACUUGAAUCCAAGUCCAACCCUUGUAUACCAUCUCUCAUCUUCCAAGAACCCUCUUUCACAACCCAUGUAUAAGGCUACAUGAUGCCCCUUGUGUCUCCUUGUGUAUCUUUGUAGUAUGUCAAUCUACCUAUUUAUAGAGAACAUUACUGCCAAAAAACCAAAUAACAAUUGGAAACCAAUACUAUUUUCUAAACUCAUAUAGAGUAGAAAAUAGUAUCUAAUUCUAGCUAAAUAGGGCUUUACUUGACUACUACUUCAAGUAACUAAAUCCAAUUAGGAAACUAGUUACUUUCCAUACCAAAUAGGAAUCUUGACUAAAAGAAAUUAAGCCAAUUUCCUAACACAAACUAAGAAGAAUUUUUUUCAACAACAGUCCUUUAUUCAACCUUUAAAAUAUCCUUUUCAUUUGUUCCAGUUGAAAAGAAUUACUCCACGAUCAAUUUUUUACAAAAGUCCUUUUGAAUAUCUGUUGGUGCAUACAAAAUUUAAAGUUGUAUUGUUAUGUUAGGCUUUACUUUCAUUUUGACAAUAAAUGCCUUGUUGUUUUGAGUGAUUAUGUUUACUGCAGGAAUACACACUUCAACUCUAACCAUGGAGUGGUUUAUGUCCCUUAUGCUAAACCACCUUGAGGUAUUGGAGAAGGUAAGAAAUGAAAUAGACAACAAUGCCACACAAUCAGGGCAACUGAUUGAGGAUUCAGAUCUCUCCAAAUUGCCGUAUUUAUGUUGAAUAAUUAAAGAAACAGUCGGACUUUUUCCGGCAGCACCAACGCUUGUGCCUCAUUAUUCAUUUGGGGAUUGCAGUAUAGGAGGCUUUAAAAUUCCUAAAAGGCAAACUUCAUUAGUAAAUACUUGGGUUAUUCAUAGAGACCCUAAUGUCUGGGAAGAACCAAACAAGUUUAAGCCAGAAAGCCAGAAAUUCGAGAGAAUGAAGAGGUAUGUGAAGAAGGGUUCAAAUUUCUUCCAUUUGGAAAAGAUAGGAGGGCUUGUCCAGGGACAGCCUUGAGCAUGAGAUUGAUUAACCUGUCAUUGGGAACAAUGCUACAAAGUUUUGAUUGGGAAAGAUUGGGUCCUCGGUUGGUGGAUUUGGAAGAAAAACUAGUUUUGACUUUGGGCAAGGCCAAGUCUUUGGAAGCAUUGUGCACAAGUCAUGCUCAUCCAUGAUUGAUAAUCAUUCCGCAGCUCUGAGUUAGCUUCCAAGGUAACUAAAGAAAUAUUUAUUUAGGGGCUGCUUGUUUCACAGAUUGGAAUCGGAAAUGGAAAUGAAAUCAUAGACUCUGGUUUUGGAAUUAAAACUUUUCAUUCCAAUAUCUUGCUUGGUUCACACAUUGGAAUUAGCAUUGUUCCAAUUCCUGAUGCUGGUUUGAUGAGUGUUUCGGAAUUAAAUGCAAUUAAAUUCCAAAAUUACCCCUGAUAUAACAAUUCUUCUAAAACAAAAGAAUUACACAUACGACAAAUUAACAUCUUCAUAAUUGUAACUACAAUAGUUAUUAACUUUUUGAUAAAACAUAAGAAAAUCAUAAAUAAUAAAAAAAUUAAUACCAGAAAAUAAAUAUAGUGGCUGCAUUAACAAGGAGUAAAUUCCCAGAAAAAGGAGUUUUUAAACAAUCAUCCAAAAGGUGACAAUUUUUGAGUCUCUUCCCAAAGGGUGAAAAAUGCAUCCAAGGAAUGUGUUCUUCCAAAUAAAAACGCAUCUUUCAAAUACGUUAUUUUAUGUUUUGGAAAUUUGUUUAAAUAUGAAAAAUUGGUUAAAUAGCCCAUAAGAUACCAGCUCUUUAUGAGAAAUUGGCAGGUUUUGUAAUAUGUUUUGUACCAGUUUUAUGAGAAACAUACAUUUAUGGGAAAAAUUGAUUAAAUAGUGCCCAAAGGAAAACUAGUAUGUUUUGUAUUUAAUAUAAAUUAAAUAUGUGAAAGUUAAAAAAAAAAAAAAGAAAUUGCCCAUAAGAUACCAGCUCUUUAAGGGAAACUGGCAGGUUUUAUAGUAUGUUUUGUAGCAACUCUUUAUGGGAAACAUACCAGCUCUUUAUGGGAAAAAUUGGUUAAAUAGCGUCCAAAGGAAUACUAGUAUGUUUUGUAUUUAACAUAAAUUAAAUAUGUGAAAGUUAAAAAAAAAAAAGGAAAUUACCCAUAAGAUACCAGCUCUUUAUGGAAAAUUAGCAGGUUUUGUAUUUAAUACGCUAUUUAACCAAUUUUUUAUAUUUAAACAAAUUUACGAAAAUUAAAAUAAUGUAUUUGAAAGUUGCAUUUUUAUUUGGAAGAACGCAUUUCUUGAAUGUGUUUUUCACCCUUUGGGAAGAGACUCAAAAAUUGUCACCCUUUAGGAAGUUAGUUUAAAAACUCUUUCUUUUUGGAAAUUUACUCUAUUAACAAGUCGUUUGUAGUUCCUAAAUUAGAUAAUGAUAUGAAAUAGAUCUCUCCUUACAUAUAUGAAUAAAAGAAGGAGACUCAAAUCACAAAAGCUAACCAUACCAAAUACAAAUCAAUUGUCUAAUCCAGUCGAGAGUGCCAGUCAAUGUCCACAAUCUCCAAAAGACUAAUCAUAUCACCAUAACAAAAAGAAAUUGCCAUCAAAUCAUCACUUUCCAGCUAACAAUAAUUUUACUUCAGCGAGUAGAUGGAGGACAAAGGAGGUUAAUUACAUAUUGUCAUUUCAUUUCUGCAGGAAGAUUGUAGAACACAUGAAGCUUGGAAAUCUGCUCCGAAAGUAUGUCGGCUGCAUUCAUUACAUCUCCACUCGGUAAAGCAAGUUUCAUUAACUCAGCAACAACUUGAUCUCUUCUAUCGGAGACCAAUUGCUCACGUUUAUCGUCAUUUGACAUGGCUGCUGCCAUAGUUGUGAAAUUAGCUUGAAUUCUCUCCACGAAAUCUCCAAAUUUGCUGGUGAGAAGUUGCAAUGAUGCAUCAAGAUCACCCCUUGUUGUUGAUGCAGAUUUUAUUUUUUUUGACACAUUUGCAAUGGGAGGUGAUUGUUUCUUUUGUUUCUUGGAAUUUCUUGUGCCUGUUGAGCUUGGUUGAGUUGAUUGCUCCAUGGAAUUUACUUCAUCUUCUUCUACCUUAUCAUUAUCCGAGUUUGACAUAGCAUCAAACCCUUCAUCUCCUUCCUCCAAAUUUUGGACAUCUUCCAUAUCUUGGACAGCUUGUGCAAAAUCUUCAGCAACAUUUCCAGUGACUCUGUCUCUUCCAUAUACAAUUUCAAGAUCUCCUAAAUAUGAAAAUUUGACAUCCCAAAAGCCCUUCGCAUCCUUAUGAGUCUAGGGGUAAGAUAAAUGAUAAUCCUAAUAAAAGGUUGAAAAAGAACAUAUCAGAAUGUAAAAAGUAAUCAAUUUCUUACCUUGCACCAAUCAUCAUACCACUGUUUUUCACAAGAAAUCUUUUUCUUAGCAUCAUUCCAACUACAACCACUUUCUUUGCACAUUUCAACAAUUGCAUGGAACCUAUUUUUGAUUCAAUAUGUGGGCUGACUUGUUUGGUACAAGUAGGUUGCUUACUCAAGAUAAUUUUAAGCAAUUCGCUCAUAUAAUUAUUUUUAAAUCCUCCAUCUGAUUUUCACAUUGGAUCACAAGCCAACUCUUGCAAUGCUUCUAUGAGCACUUUUACCUCUUCACCAGUCCAAAAACAUUUAUUUUUCCAUCUUCCACGUACAAUUUCAUCAUUCUCCAUCCUAUCAUUUAGAAGUCAACCCAUAUAUAUCAAUUAAUUUUGAUACACAAUAGCAUAUAAACUGAAAUUUAUAAUAUAACAAAACACAUAAAAGAACAUACAAUUAAAAGUCAAUCCAAAUUUAAAAGAACAUACAUCAAGUGUCAAUCUAAUUCACAAAUCCACUACAAGAGUACAUCAAAUGUCAAUCCAAAUUUAAUGAGUCUAAGAGCUAAACAUCCAUUCAUAGCUAAAUACUAAGUCUAGCCCUUCAAUUGUCAAACAUUUCAUGUGCUAAAUUAUUUCUAGAAUUUGCCCAUUGAUCACUUGGCAAAAUAGUGGAUAUGUACUCUACUUCUUCAUCACUGUCUUCAUCUUCACUUUCAUUUUCUUCACUUUGUAGUAAUUCUUGUGGAUCAAAAGUCAUGAACUUCCUUAUCAAGUUGUGCAGUAGACAACAUGCCAUAAUUAUUCGCACUUGUGUUUGAAUUGGAAAAAAUGAAGGGGAUGCUAGAAUCUUCCACCUUCCUUUUAGCAAUCCAAAACAUCUUUCUAUGAUAUUUCUAGCUUUAGAAUGUUUCAUGUUGAAAUAUUCCUCUGGUCUUUGUGGUCGAUAACCAUUGAAUUCAUUAAGGUAAUAUCUUUGCCCUCGAUAAGGGGCAAGAAAUCCAUCAGCAUUACAAUAUCAAGCAUCCACCAAGUAAUAACAACCUUCAAAAUUCAAUCAUGCACAAAUUAAUACUAGACUACCUUAUUUUCGAAAAAAAAUUGAUUGAAUGGUAUUGAAUACUGCAAUAUAUGUUUACCUUGUGGGACUCUAAGACCAUUUGGUCUAGAGAUAGCAUUUCGAAGCACACGACCAUCAUGUGCCGAACCUUCCCAACCAGGCAAGACAUAGAUAAAUUGCAUAUUAGGAGAACAAACCCCUAAUACAUUCGUUGCAAUACUUCCUUUUCUCGUUCGAUAUCUUGAUUUUUGUUCGGUGGGUGGUGUCACAUCUAUUAAUGUCCCAUCUAAGGCACCUAAACAAUUCUAUUUUAAGAAAAAUAAAAAAUAUAACAGAGUUAAAAUGUCUAUAUUGGAUAGUUUAGAUGAAAAUAUAUAUUUUAUUAAAUGAUUGUAUUUUAAUGUUUGAAUUACCUUAAAACAUUUCCAUCUCUCAUCUGUGCAAUCUUCGGUAAUAGGCUCAGGCUUCUUAAGUAAUAUAGUAUGCAAUUUCAAAACUGCUAGGAGGCAAAGAUUAAAUUGACGACUCAUCGUUUCUCUCCUUCUCCAAAAUAGACCACAAAUUGUUCUACUUUUCUUGUGGUGAGCCAAAACAUAUACAAACAUGGCAACAAUUUCUUCUAUUGACAUGUUUCUUGUAGCUUUCAAACCUCCAGUGUCUCUAAUCAUUUCACAUAAUAUCCCAAAUGUUCGUCUAUCCAUACGAAGUUCGCUAAUACAAUAAGCAUCACUCUCCCUAGUCAAAUUGAAUAAGUGUUGCAUGCGCUCAGUGACUUUUUCUUCUUUUGAUUUUAUUUGGCGUCUUCUACUUUUGAGAUGAAUAAAUAUUAACUGGUACCACAUCAUAAACAGUGCAAUAACAACCAUUAUCAUUCCUGAUAAAAUCUGGCUUUGCCCUUGAUAUUUUUUGCUUCUUCUGUUUUCAAUAGGCAAACGUGGCAUCUUUGUCUACAUAACAAUAUGACAACCAAACGUAAGUAUUCACAAUAAGACAGGUUUGACGUUGUUUGGCGGAAUGAACACAACUGAAGCUACACUUAUUGGAUUAAGGUGUAAUUUACACCGUUUCGAAGCUAAGAUAAAGGGCUACAACUUUGAUGAGAACCACUCAGUCCAGUUCAUAGUGUAGCAAGGUCAAAUUUCAAGAUACCAAACCAGAAUUGCACAAACAGGUUAGCUACCGUAUUAUGGUUAAACGACCAUAACUUAGGCUACCAAGGUCCAAUCGGGGCGUUUCCAGUGCUGUUAGAAAGCUAAGACACCGCACUAAAACUUUUGUGUUUUGGCCAAAUUCUAAUUCGGUAAGGAUCAGGGUGAAAAGUCUCGGUCAGAUUGGGUGAAGUGUCAACUCUGUCCACCGAACUCUACCUAGGGCAAUCUGGGGGUAUUUCUGUCUUUUUACAGGCUACGGAGCUUAGAUUGGGCUGAAAAUUUACAGAAAACUAUAAAACAUCAUUUUCUACAACUUUUAUGUUUUAACCUAAGGCUGAUUUGGCCUCCAACCUAGCCGAAUAGAACCGGGCAGAAUAGGGGUUAAUUGAGACCCUAAUCUGGAAAUUUCAGUACAAAGCGGAAAUUUUCCGCAAAUAGCUACAAUUUACGCAUCAAAGCUUCAUUCUAGACCAUUCCAACCCAUCAUAUAUGGCCAACCAACAUUAAACAUAUAAAAUAGAAAAAUCAUAGAUAAAAAUAAAAAUUUCACCAAUCUCUACCAAAAGUCAAGAAAUCUUCCACAAAAUCACAUCUUUAACCAACACAAGUCAUUAAUUUGACAUUAUCAAGACCAAAGAAAGAAUUCCCUAGCUACUCACCUUGCAACCUCAAGAAAGGAAGCAACUUAGCACCAAUUUCUUCCAAACCACUUCACCCACUACCUCAAAACCACCUAGCUAAGGGUUUUUAUGGAAAGAUUUGAGGUUUAAACGGUUAAAUUGCAAGAUUAAGCAAGGUUAGUUGAAGAAGAUUGAAGGGUUUUCUUUUCUUUUCUCCCUUGUGAGAGUCGGCCAAGAGAUGUAUGAAGAAGGUGAAUUUUUGGGUCAAUUUCUUGGUUAUUUAGUAAAGUUGGUAAAAUGGUCAAAGUCCAACUUUAAGUCACCAAGUGACACUUGUCACCUUUUUAGUGCAACUCUAUCCUUUUGUCUCUCCAAUGAUAAUCCAUCUAGGUAAUCUCUAAUUAUCUCUUAACACUUGAUAAAUUAAAUCCGGUAUACCCAACUAAACCUAAUUGGCCGAAUUUUACCGAACUUACCGCACUAGUGGGUCCCAUAUCCGGUAUAUACUCUUAAAACCUCAUGAACUAACUUAUACUAGAAAAAUAAUUUAAAAACCAUAUUUGCUCAUAAAAAUUAAUUUAAAAAUUUUUCGAAUAAAGAAAAUGUGAAAAGCGUGCAAUUAGAAUAAAAUAAAAUCUAAAAAUUAAGAAAAUUACGGGUUCUCACAGAUGUCAUGCCAAGAAUUUCACUUUUACAUUAUAUAUUUGGGAGUAGCCACAGUAUCCCAAAUAUUUGAUGUGAAAAGUUUUUCAUCAUAUACAGUUUGGUGAUUGAAAUUAUGGAUUUUUAGUCAACAUAUUGGCUAGUUGACAAUUUUUCUUAUAACGCCAUAUACAUAGGAGUAGCCAUAGCAUCUUAAGUAUAUUAGUGUCUGGAGAAAUUUUGUAUUUUUUUCACAUAUUGUUGAGUGAGUAAAGAAAUUAAAAAAAAGGAAUCUAUAUAAAGUUGCAAUUAAUUCACUAAGAUAGUUAUUCGGCCCCACAAGGAGGUAAUUAUUUUGCUGAGAUUAAUUGACAUGAGAUGGUAAAUUAGAAAGUAAAUUAAGAGAUAUUUCUAUGCCCACAGGUACUAAUUAUUUCUUGAAUUUAUUGUUUUAGAUUACUAGUCUUAUGAUUAAGGAAAGUAAAUUAUAUGCAUUUUUCAACCUUUGGCCAUAGGAAGGUUUGAAAUUACUAUUUGAAUUGACAUAAGGUUGAUUAAAAUCAAGGUACAAACUUCAUAGCAUUUUUAUAAUAUAGUUUUUGAUUGUUAAUUUAGUGUUUCAUUCCAAUGAUUUUAUGGUUCUUAUUAGGUUGACUUUAAAUUCGUUCUCCUUUGUUUUGGGUGCAAGUUUUAAAUUAGCACUUUUAUGAGAAUGAACAAACCAUUCUCAUAAUAUGGAUAUACUUGCUAAUAUAGAGGUUGAGUAUGAGAAUUAGAAGCAAUUUAGUAGUUUGCUCAUUCUGUCUCAUAUUCACAUAAAAUAGGGUUCAAAUCCUAAUUAUUUAUAGUUAAAUCUUGCAUGAAAGUCAUAAAGAAAUUAUUGCAAGUUUUAACUAGCACCAUUAGAAGGCUUUCUUUUGUGACACUUAAAUAUUAAAGUGUAUUUUGAAAAGAUGAGAAUUUUGCUAUAUCGUGAAUUAAAGUCCCAUCAAGUUGAGAUUGAGUUAUUUCUGUUGCAUUUCAUUCUUGAUUCUUUCAUAAAUAAUUUCUUAGCCAUUCAAACCUUUAUAAUACACAUAAAGAUAUAUGGUUAAUCACUUGUUUAACCAUGUGUAUUAAAAAAGAAUAAAGAGGUUAAGAAAUAAGAGAAACUUAACCUUCAUGAAGAAGAAAUGUAAAAAAAGAUAAUUUUGUUCUCAGUAAGUCAAACAACAAUAAAGACCAAUAUUAUUUGUAAGAGAGUGAUACUUGAUGCUUUACCUUGAGAGAAAGUAACUCAAAAGAAAAUCUCAAUUGUUGAGUGUUAUAACUUGUGAUAUAUUCGUGAAUUGGCUAAAGUUGUGAAUUUGCAUUGCUAGUAUAAUAAGUUUCUGAUUAUAUGCAAAGUGAACAAAAGUUUCUUUAUAGAAACUAAAAAUAUUCACAUAAAGUGAUGUAUUAUUGCUCAUUUCAAGAAAAUUUAUUUUUCUAAAACAUUAUUUUCUUAUUACUUUAAAAUUUUUAUUUUCAAAUUAAUUACUAUCGGGUAUGAUUACGAACCUCAUUAUCCAGUAGUAGAUUUUGAAAAUAGUGAAGUUAUUAAUUCUAAAGUUUCCAGUACCAUCUUUUGAAUUGAGCAAAAUCAUACACUUGACCACAAUAAUUAUAUUGGCAGCAAAUAUGUUUAUCACUAGGGGAAACUCCUUAAAUUUUGGCAUAGGAAAUUGAGAUAUAUCUCAAUAAAAAAUAAAGAGUUGAUAAAUCAUAAAUUUUUAAAGAUUUUAGAUUUAUUAACUAUGAUAUUUUAAGUAGACUACAUAAGUAAAGAGACUACUCAACCUGGAUGCCAUAAGAGUUUCAUUAUAACACUAAAAUUUUGUGAAUUAUUUGCUACCCUUUUUUAUUGGUGAGGGAUAUUUAUCUCAUUAUUAGAUAACUAUUCAUCAAAUACAAAGCUCCUUUCUUAUUUGAUAAAGAAUUAAUAUUUGAUACCUAUGCAAGUAUUCAAACGAGAAAGGAAAUUUGAAAUUUGAAGGAUAGAAAAUAAAAUGAAGGCACACCAAAAAAAAGGGCUAUCCUAUUUGUGCUCAUUAAAUAGGAAACAUUGCUAAUGAGUAAAAGCAAUGCUUGAUUGGUUUCAUCCAAUGGUGUACUUUAAGGAAAUAAUGAGAUACUUGUGGAUAUAGCAUAUUGGCAAUAUUUAUAUCUUGUGCGUAAUGCCUUGAAAUUGAAGUAUAUUCUUAAACAAUUUCUUCCAAAAUUAUUUAAACACCACUUUGAUUAUGAUAUGGAUGAAAAUCAAGUUUAAGAUAUUAUGUUUAGUUUUGUGAGGGUGAUCAACCUACACAUAAAGAAACUAUACAAAAGAAACAAGACUAUCUUGCUCCAAGAAAUUUAGAUUCUUUUACACUUCAAAAAUUAUUAGAACUGAAGAUUUAAAUUUCUUAAGAGCAUGAAGUAAGUGGGAGUGUUUUGACUCUAGAAUGGAGUAUUGAAAAGCUAAGGAUUCAUAUUUGACUCCUUUGAAUAUGGAAAAUUGAUAGCUUUUCUCAAAAUUAUUAUUUAAUUAUUUUAGAUAAGCAAUCGAAUGAAAAAUUCCUUGUCAAAUAAACACAUGAAGUAAAUCUACAUUGAACCCACUGGUUGAGUUAUCUUAUAGACAGCGGGAGGAAAAAUGUUCUCUAUAAAAAAUUGAAGUUCUUUAAUUACUAUGUUAUAUAUCUACAAGAGUUUAAGGAUGAAUUGUGUAAUGUUUUCAUGAGGUGCAAAUGGAGAAAUCUCCACGUUCAAGAAUAGUGUCACAAAUUACCACAAAAUCUCUACCAAAUUUGAGAGAUUAUAUUUGGGGUAAUUAUGGCACUAGUAACUCACUAUUAGAAGAACAUUAGAUAAAUAUGAAAAUGAAUGUCCUUAAUGCAAUUCUUGAUAAUCAGGCAUAUACAUGUGUCACCAUGGUAGAGAAUGUAAUUUAAACCAAAUUAUUGCUCCUCAAUAGUAUAUUAAUUUGUUCUUCAUUUGAUCUUAGAAGAAUUUUUCUAGUAAAUUAAUAUACAUUAAGGUUAGUGGGAGUAAUACUAUGAGAGUUUUUCUCAAUCAUGAUAUUUGUGAAACCCUUCUAUCAUUAAUAUUCACAAAAUAGAAUGUAAAAGAUAGUUAAUCUGUCUUAGAACCUUCAUGCAAGAGUUCCUUGAUAAUAAAGAACAAAUAUUGCUUUUAAAUAAUAAUAGUGAACAAUUGCAUAAUGUUCACAUCAUGCAUUGGAAUGAAUAUAAAUUCACCAAGAACGCUAUGAAGUUGUACUACAGGUAUCUAUUAUUUGGCCUAAAGUUUGUCGAUAUUGUAUUUUGGCUAAUAUAGAUAUUUGAUUUGAUUAUACCCUUUCAUUAUGUAUACAUAAAAGAGUGGGAGUCAAGACAUUCAGGUCGACACAAGGUAUUCAAUAGUUAUUUAGAAAGUAAAAUGUAGCUAUUGAGUACACAGCAAGGACUUAUUAUUGUUGAUCAACAAUUAAAGGUUGCCGGGUAAGUUGUUAAUGAUCAAAUAACUCAUAUAGAACUCACUAGGUCAUUUAGUAUUUUGCUAUCAUUCUAAAACUAUUGUUGUUGUCUAGACACUCAAAAUACUUAUGUUACAUGAUUUUGUGCACAUUAUUGUUUAUGUAUAAAGUAAAGAUCAUGUGAUCCAUAAAGUUGAAUCCUGAAUAACUUAUAUGAAGUUAUUCAUAAAAUUUUUUUAAAGCACUUGAUUAGAAAGUAUAAUAUAUUGUAAUACAUAGAAGGAAGUGUUUGUCAUGAGAACAUAAUCGCCAUGAUUCAUGUAUUAUUAUUUUCUGAUUAAGCGACUAUUACAUAAUUGUUGAAUUUGGUGAGUGACAAACAAAACUUAUGGCCAUUUUAAGUAUCUAGUCACUCAUAUGUUAACUGACUAUUUCAUGUGGGUCAAGUGGAAGAAAGUAAAACUUGCCUCUUUUAGAGGCAAUUGUGACCCAUAUGAUUGAUUCUAAAUUGAUUGAUAUCCUAAUUAAUUGAUUGAUAUUUUCAAUAAUUAAUUUUUUUGAUGGAAGGAAACCCUAGAGAUUUUGAUAAUUGCUAGUAAGGGUUCCUGGCCUAACCUAUAAAUAGCCUAUGGUAUCCCAUCAACACUACACUCUCUGAUUAGGUAUAGACUAGAAACUCCUUACUCUAACUUUUUCUUCUAUAUAUAUAUAUAUAUAUAUAUAUAUUGGAAUAGACAAGAAAGAGUCAAAGAGAUGAGGAGAGACCAAUUUGUACUUAAUAAUGAUGGUUAGAGGUAAGUCUAUUUAGAUUUUCGCUGCAUAGUACAUUCAUAUGUACAUAAUUAGUAUAGCAAGCUCAACCCUAUUGACAAUUCUAUUUUGUAUGUAUAUAUUCUUGCUGUGACGACUCUCAAUAGUUCACAAGUACCGCGUUUACUCUUGUCAAACUGUGUCUGCAAUUAGAUUGAUUUUGAUUACAGAGCUCAGGGGACAAUGCGAAAGAAAUGCUGUGUAAGGGACCUCUGUAUUUUCUCAGUGCAAAAUUCAUCCAAAAUGAGCUCGUGCUAGGCUCCUGCUUGAUAGGAUCUUGGUUUUGAGCUGAAAUUUAACUCAAUUAGUUGGUAAGGCUAGCUGGAAUCAGUUAGAGCCAUUUAUUGGGUAAGCAAAGCUCAGAGUUUUCUAACCAAGACAUAAAAAGCAUGAUAAUGCAGCAGAGGACGAUGUGUGCUGGCCUCCUUUUGAUAAAAUCCAACUUUGGUGGGGUAGGAGGUUGGCUAAAAUGUAAGUUGAAAUUUUGGAAAAUGAGAAUAUAGGAACAUUCAAAUUUCAUAGGGAUAAUUUUAGAAACCUCCCCUAAGGUUUCUGAUAGUUUCACUGUCUUCCCCUAAAGUUUUAAAUAUAUCACUAACCUCUCUUAAAACUAAAUUUUCUUGUAACAAAUUAGCGCAAUUCAAAAAAAUUAAUAAUAAAAAAAUGAUUUCAAGAGUGAGAAAAAUAUUUCAUACAAAAGUGCCCCUCAACUAAUUACUAGUUGGUUGACUUAGAAUCAAAAGGGAUUAUUAGUUAAGAAUAGAAAAUAAAAACCAUAGUUAGAAUGUGUCAGUGUAAGUAAGGCAAAUUACAAUACUAGCAUGAGCCCACUAGAAUUCAAUAACAAUGGCUCGCAAAAUCAAAGAAUUGGAAGGAAAUUUUAUUAAUUUAGAAUCAAUAUUUACACAUUGAAUUCCUCAAUUCUUAGUGGUGAAAUUUGGAAGAUUUUGAGUAAGAAUUAAAUAAGACUAAGUAUGACCUUUUCAAGAAAAAUGCCACAUUAAAUAAAAAAUAUAAAAUAUGAUCAAAUAUUGUUUUGAAUUAUUUCUUUUACUUACAAGGUCCAUUAUUUCACAUGAUUACUAAGAAAUUUCUAUCAUUUGUAACAAAAAAAACAACUCUCAGGCAAUGUUUGCAUGAAUAGAAUGGAAAUGACUUUAAUGGAAAAUAAGUAAAUCAAAGUGGAGAAAAUCAUUUUAAACAAUCUUUUUGGAAUUAUGUAUACAAAGAAAAAGAAAAAAAAUUGAAAAUAGGGAGAGAAUAGAUUAUGUGCAGUUACACUUUAUCUAAACUUAAUAAAAUUUAUUUGUAAACAUAUUUUAACAAUUUAUCCUUUUUGUGCAUUUUUGUAUUCAUCUUGUUAUUUUUAUAAAAAAAACUUAUGAAAUAAUAAUCUCUCAAUAUAAAUUUUAAUCUUUUUUGGGGGAAGAAAUUACAAGAACUACUAAAAUUAGAAAAAGAAUUUAAAAUGUUAACAAUUAUUGUUAUAAAAUUUGGUAUUCAAGAUUUUCAAGCUUUUUUACAUUCCAAAUUAUGGGAGUACAAGUGGCUCAACUAUCUCUCCAUACAACUAUGUAAAAUUUCCCAAGUUGCAGGGUAAUAAAGUCAUUUGACCAUUGAUGUGGUAAGCAUUGAAUUCCAAUUGGUUGACCGGGGGAGGGUAAGUGAUAUUUUAAGAAUCUUGGGGGAGGGCAGUAAAAUUGUCAUUGAAAUUAUCCCAAUUUCAUAAGUAGGGCGAAACUUUUAUUAAGUUUGUGGAUGGGGUAUGGGUUACUACUAUUCACCAAACGAACAGAUUUUUGGCUAAGUAAUUAAAUCACACUUGUAACAAUGUACACUUUGUCAAGAGCAAAAAAAUUCUUUUUUGAAAUGUGCAUCUUAUCGAACAAUAAUAUGCACCUAAAUGAUAAAAAUAUGUAGUUUGGUAAAAUGUACAUAAAUCCAAAUAUGCACAUCUAAAUUGAUACAGCUGUGUAUAGGUAUAAUCAAAUUACACACAUACAAGUCGCAAUAUGUGCACAUAAGGGUAAUUUUCUUAUUAUACUUACAAUAUUUCUUUUAAUAGUUCAUGACCAUUAACUCGCACCUCAUGCAAGGGGUAGGGAUGGAUUGGAUGUUAGAAGGAAGGGAAUGUAAGUGAAAUGUCCUGGAAUCGAGACAUCCCGCCUAUAUUAAAAAAAAAGAAAAAAAAACUCAAACGUCAUUCAUAAAUUUUCCAAAACUUACACCUUCUUUUAAAUUUUAAAUCUUUCUAUUCCCUUUCUCCCAAUUAUCCCAAAAUUUAAAUUGGCUGGUGGGAACAUGAAAAAAUAACUACGGUAGUAGGGAUCUAGACUCCUUCACUUGAAUGGGCCAAAUUUGAGUGAUGUUAUUUUCAGCAGCACGAAAGACACCGUAACUUCUAAAAUUAUAAACAAACACAAAACUCCCUCAGUCAUUGAAAGUUAUAAACAUAUAUAAAGGUCCCUUGGUCGUUACAUGUAUUGUUCGGGAUUUUAAAUAUUCGUGAAAGUGUAUAAAAAUCACAAGUCAAAUAUCUAAGCUAUAGGGUUAACGAUAUAGGAUGACGAUUGAGAAAAAUUACAGUUAAAGAGUUUUUUGUGGCUUUCAAAAUUACAAUGGUUUUUCGCAUUCCUAUUUUCCUUUUAUUAUACACUUAAAUCGAUGUUGUUUGCCAGGAUAAAUAUAAACGUGGCCCAAAAAGAGUAGGAACUAUCUCGUGCACCAGCAUACGUAGUUUUAUUGUAUAACUGAUACUAAUACGUAUAUAUUUGUUGGUAGUGAAAGUAGAGAGAAAUUUAUACUUUUAUUCACUAGUUUGUUUGGAGUUCACAAGAUUGCAAAUGAGGUUGGAAUAACAUCUAGUUUUACGGAAAGCAGAAUGAAUAAUACAUUAACUAACUUUAAUACUUAUACAUGGAAUAGUACAUCAAGAUGAUAAAAUUGAGUUGUUUCAUGAGAAGAUAAGUGUAUCACAUUAAUCUAGGGGGAAAAUACAUGUAUUAAUCCUCUAGGGGAAUUGAAUGGACAUCCACAUCUAUUGAGCACCAAUCUCAAAAAAGUCAUAAAGAGCCAAGCCAAAGCAAAAAAAAAAAUCAAUAAGGAAGGCAACAAACUGGCCUGUACGGUGACCUUAUCCUUUUGGAUUCAUUUCAGCGGAUAAUGAUUCAUUUACACUUGAUAGUGAUGUAAAUCUGCAUCCAUCUUCAAAAGCAAAAAAUACCUCCCUUGUUUCCUGUUAAUGAUCAUGGAAGUCAUCUAUAGCAUCCUAGUUCUCAGUUUCUUGGUAGUCUUAGUUGCUAUAAAACACCUUCAAGAAAACAAGAGAACUCUAAAGCCUCCAAGUCCACCAGCUCUCCCAAUUCUAGGCCAUCUGCACCUCCUGAAAGCUGCCCCUCACCGUGCUCUUCAACUUCUCUCCAUCAAAUACGGCCCCCUGAUUUCCCUUCGAUUUGGGAUUCGUCCUAUACUUAUUGUUUCCUCACCAUCUCUUGCAGAGGAAUGCUUCAGUAAGACUAAUGAUGUUAUCUUUGCUAACCGACCAGGGUCCAUUUCUGGCAAAAUCCUUGGCUACAACAACAGUACUAUCGGAUUCUCUCCUUAUGGAGACCACUGGCGAAAUCUCCGCCGUGUUACCACCAUCCAUAUUUUUUCUUCCGCUAGUCUCCACAACUUUUCCUCAAUCUGGACAGAGGAAAUCCGUUUCAGUGUCAGGAAAUUGUUCUCAAUGAACUCUGAUGACAAAGUGUGGAAAGAUGUAAACAUGAACUCUGUGUUCUUGGAUUUGGUAUUCAAUGUGAUCAUGAAAAUGCUUGCAGGAAAAAAAUGGCCAUCUGAUAAAACAGCUGAUUUGUUUUCGCUGAUCUCCUUCAUGGGUAUUUGUGAUUAUGUCCCUGUCUUGAGAUGGAUUGGAUUUCGAGGGUUGGAGAAAAAUUUGAGCAAUUUACAGCAAAAGAGGGACAAAUUAUUCAGGGAUCUCAUUGAUCAAACUAGGAAAAAGGAAGGUGAAGGUGGCUCAUGCUCGACUGAGCAGAGAAGAACUGUUAUCCAAGCAUUGCUGUCCCUUCAAGAUGCUGAACCUGAAUUCUUAACUGAUGAAACUGUCAAAGGGAUCAUACUAGUAAGCCAACUUGCCAUUUCUCUUUUCUCCUUAACAUAAUAUUUUUUGCUUUGGUAAUUAUUGCUCUUUAUAUCCGGUUUCUAUUUUCAUAUUUCAUAUUUUUUAAUGCAAAUCAACCUUUUCUCCAAUUAGUCAGUGAACUCCUCUUCUAGCUGGUAAUCUCUUAUGUUAGGCUUUACAUUCAUUUUGACAAUACAUGCCUUGUUGUUCUUCUAGAUUAUGUUCACUGCUGGAGUACACACUUCAGCUCUGACCAUGGAGUGGGCUAUGUCCCUUAUGCUAAACCACCCCCAGGUAUUGAAGAAGGCAAGGAGUGAAAUAGACAACAACGUUACACAAUCAGGGCAAUUGAUUGAGGAUUCAGAUCUCUCCAAAUUGCCAUAUUUGCGUUGCAUAAUCAAAGAAACACUUAGACUUUUUCCUGCAGCACCAACUCUUUUGCCUCAUUAUUCAUCUGAGGAUUGCACCAUAGGAGGCUUCAAAGUUCCUAAAGGCACAACUUUGUUAGUAAAUGCUUGGGCUAUUCACAGAGAUCCGAAGGUUUGGGAAGAGCCAGCCAAGUUUAAGCCAGAAAGGUUUGAGGGAAUUAAUGAAGGGGCUUGCGAUGAAGGGUUCAAAUUUAUUCCAUUUGGAAAAGGUAGGAGGGCUUGUCCAGGUGCUGCCUUAGGCAUGAGAUUUAUUAGCCUGACGUUGGGAACAAUGCUACAAUGUUUUGAUUGGGAAAGAGUAGGGCCUCAAUUGGUGGAUUUAGAAGAAAAAUCUGGUAUAACUUUGGACAAGGCCAAGCCUUUGGAAGCAUUGUUCAGGCCACGCUCAUCCAUGAUUGAAUUGGUUUCUCAGCUUUGACUAAAGAACAUGACUGGUGGCUUUUGAAGAUUGUAUCAUAAUACUAUCUGAAAUACUUAAAGCUCAAACUACAAAGGUGCACCUAUUGCAAAGUGUGAAAAAAAGUGAAAAUAAGAGGAAGGAGAAUAUAAGCAUGAAAAUCUUUCAGUCUAUGCAGUUAUUAAAUAUUAAAUAGGCUUUGAACUAAACCGUGUUUGGCUUUUUCUUUUUGCUUUUAAUAUUGGUCUUUUCAAUUCACUGUAAGUGCAUCUACUCGAGGUCUUUGGUUUUCCACAUUUGUAAUUAUAGAAAAUCUUCAACCUUAACUGCGUUUCUUUGUUGUUACAUAAAGUGGUUUUGGGGCUUCAACAAAACAAGCAAAAAGAAUGUCUUAUGAGUAGAGAUGUCAAUCAAAAUCCAAUUAUAUUGGUUCGUCCAAAUCCGCCCACCAAUGAUCGGCUCAAACUCACCCACUAAUUUUGAAUAAAUUUAAAUGAGUACCCAAUUAAAUUCAUUUAAUUAGUGAAUAGUGAGUUGACUCGAUUCAUCCAUUUGUAUCCAUUUAAAAAUAAUUAGACACUUAAACUCAAUUUUUAAUUAGUGUUAAGCAAAUAAAUUUGAAUUUCUAAUCAAUUUAAUAACAAUAAAUACCGUUAUUUCUUAUCAAAUAGCAUGCAAAAAAAAGUAGAAUUGUAAGUGACUCAUAAAUAGAUAAUUGGGUAUAUCUAUACUCAUUUAUUAAAUGGGUAUAAAUGAAUUGACUUAAUUAUACCAACUACUUAAUUAUGACCCGCCCAAACCACCCAAAUAACUCAUUUUAGCACAUCUACUCAUGAGUAGCGAGGUUAUCGAGCUAACUCGAACCCAAUUGUGGGUAACUCGAGCUAGACUUCAAAGAAAAUUAGCUAAGCUCAAAUUCAAGUUUAAGUUCGACAGUGAAUUUCCUUUCUAUGUCAUAACUCAGUGUAUCACCAUCUUCAAUUUAUCCACCAAAACCGUUGCUAAGUUAGCUUAAGAACUCUUUUAUUGGUAUCAGUCUCUUUUAUUUCACAUUCACUCAAAACUUUUACAUGUUUAACUUCCUUUGGCAUACUUUUUUCUUUGUCAAAUUUUUGUUGGCGGUGUAUAAAGCUUUCAAGUUUUUCAUAUAUCUGUUUGAUGUAUUAGAUAUGCAUAAUCUUGAUGUUGCAAGUAAAUUUAUGAAGAUACAACUCUUUUCGUGAGUUACAGGUACACAUUCACCAUUUCGAAUCCCAGAUUAUUAGAUUUUUUUUUGUUUUGCAUUUUUUUGAAUUUUCAAUUUAUUUGUGAACUUUUCAAAUUUUUGCAAAAAUUUGUUCUUUUAGAAUGAUGACAGGUAUUUUAGAAGAUGUCUGUAGGUAAUUAUAAGUUCAAUUUAUCCACAGUCUCGUGUAGGGAUGGCAAUGGGGGCGGGUGCCCGCGGGGGCUCUCGGGGCGGGGGGUGGGGCGGGGGCGGGGGUGAAUUUUUUCCCCCCGCUUAGAAACGGGGCGGGGGACGGGGGAGUAUACCCCCGCCCCGCCACCCGCAAAAAAAAAAUAAUAUAUAUAUAUAUAUAUAUAAUUAUAUAUAAUAUGUAAGUUAAUUAGUUAUAAACUUAUGAUAAUGAUAUUAUUAGUUAGAUGUAUUAUAUAAUGUAUAGUAGUUUAUGUAAUAUAAUUGAUAUUAUCAAUUAUAUGAAUAAUUAUACAUGUCUACUAAUAAAAUUUAUUAAUUAGUUAUACUAAAUUUACUAAUACAUUUAUACUAAAUUUCUAAUUACACUUAAUAGAAUAACACUUUUUUCUCAAAAAAAAGCACAAACACAAUAAUGAAUUAGUGAUUGCAUUUGUACUAAAAGUGAAAACUUGACUAUUUUAGUUAUAUUUAUUUCAUCAUAUUGGAUUGUAUUCAAAUAACUUUUGUUUGAUUGUUUUUAUGAGUUUCAAUUGUAAAAUUACAAUGAAUAAUAAUUUGGUGAUGUGUUCAUAUUUUAGUACUUGAUUAUUUAUUAAAAUUUAAUUAUAAUAAAAUUAUAUAAUAAAAUUUUAUUAACCCCGCGGGGGAAGCAGGGCAAGGCGGGGCGGGGGCGGGGGACGGGGGAGGGUCUCCCGCCCCAACCCCGCCCCGUUGCCAUCCCUAAUUUCGUGAACGUUGAAGGACCAAUACCUAUUAAGAUCGCAAAACUAAUUUUGGAGUCUCCAGAACACAUAAUUCUUAAAGAAUAUUCAAGCCAUUUUUUUUUUCAGGGUUCGUUUUCACACUCUAAUUUUUUAACUCUACAUCAGUUAAUCAAAUGACUUCAAUUUAUUAGUGCCACUAAUUUCAAGGUCAAAUUUGCUUAAAUUUUCAGUUUUGCAAGUCCCUGGAAACUUUUAUCAUCUUCAUCUCAAGUAUCCCUGUAUUCUUGCUUUUAUUAUUCACCCAUGUAAUCUUGAUUCUAAAUGCACAUAUGCCUCAUUGCUAAAGUUUUUAUUCAAUGUUACUUGAUAACAACUCAUAAGUAUGCCCUUAUGAAACAGCAACAAGGAAGAUCUUGAAUGCGCCUAUUCGCAACCCAGGAAUAAAUUAACCUAAGUACAUCCCAGUAACAUGGAGAAUCAAAUCAUGGUUUCACAUAAAAUAUGAUGGACCAAACCUUUUUUCACAUAUCAAAAUAAAGAAAUAUAACUUGACAUAAGUUACCCUGGAAUGAUAAUGCAAUAAUAUCUACUAUAGGGGGAGGGUUGGGUUGGGUGGUACGGGGGAAGGAGUGUAAGCAAGAGGCCUCGGGUUCGAAUCCUACUGUUUACACUAAAAAAAAACAAUAAUAUCUGCUACAUAAACUUCUCAAUUAUGUCUGUUUUUUUUUUUAACUUCUCAUUUAUGUCUAACUGCUUCUAAAAAAUGUCAGUGUCAAUAUAAUCAUUAAGAAGAAAAAUAUUGGACUGCAAAAGUGGACUUUAAGAGAAGGUUCAAGAAAAAAGGAGACUGUGCAAUUAAAUGGCAAACAUCACUUUGAUAACAAUACAUAUUUACUUAAGACGAAUUGUAUAAAAGAAUAAACGCAAAGACUAAGAUUGUAAUUUUUUUUAUUUUUUUUAAAUAUAAGAAUCACCUAUUAAGCUCUAUAAUUAAUAUUAAAUCUAAAAAGUCAAUUAUUUGGCCUUUAAAACUGUGUUCACAAACUUUUUAUCUCUUCAUACUCAGAUUUUAUAUAAUGUUUUAGCAAAAUCAAUAAGAACACAUGAGAAAACUAUCUCUAAAAGGCUAAGGCCGUAAAAUAAAGAGAAUGACCAAGGCAAACAAAGAGCAAAAAUGAGCAAAAUAUGACAUGAAAUAUUUGUCUCUAAAAAAGGACAAGCUCAGUGCUAAGAAAGAUAUAAAAGCUUCUUAGAAAAAGAAGCUUAGAACCAUACAAUUUUAACUAACCUAUAUCACAUUUGAAGUUUGAAUAAUUAAAAGUUCAAUGGACCGAACUAUUGUCUUGAAAUAAUAUGAGUUUUGCAAUUCUACGGUAGAUUCAUAAAAGUGCUUAAGAAACACGUGGGAUAACACUGUUGAGAAUGAUGUGUUCACUGAAUAACGAAAUAUGAUUUCAUCACAACUCCAAAUAUUAUCAUAGAAAUUUAUAAGUAAGAUAAUUAAGUAGUAUUAUCUUAAAACUAAAGGGAGAAAUUUUGUUUCAAUGUCGACAAAUGCAACGUGCAUUUUCUUAGUCUAUUAUUAAAAACUUGUCCAAGGAUUCUUCCAUUUUUAUAAUAGGUGUUAUCUCAUUUUAUAUGCUAAAAUUACUAAAUUAAUUUUGAGAGGUCGUUAAGUCUAUUCUAUAUCUAAAGUACCCCUUCAGAUGAUAAACUAUUUAGGGGGAAAAAACUGUGAAUUUGAACAUGCCUAAAAGAAUUAAGAAAUAAAUUUACAAUAAGGAAAGAUAGACUUAUUAUCAUUAGUGGUGACUGAAAGCAUUUUUUGUUUGAGUGAGAAUGACCCCUAUUUUUUAUUAGAUAAAAAAUUUAAAGAAUUAAAGAUGCUCAUAAAAUAAGAUGAAACAAUAAGGGAAGGAAAUAAAUCAAUCCAUUAAGGCUGUAGGCGAGGAACUUUAAAACUUCCUACAAAGAUAUUCUAGAAUAAGUCUGAAAAUAAUAGUAACAAAGUUGGUUUACAUUAAUAGCUUGAACAACACAAGAAAAUUAUUAAAAAAUAUUUAGUAGUUUGCCAUAGAACACAAACCACCUUAUGAAUUAUACUUGUUUGACAAUAUCAAAACUCUUUCCACAAAGCACUUAAACACCACAUACAUCAUCACACUUGAGCUCGAAUCUAGCUCAAAUCUCGGAUCGUUUACACCCAAUACAUGAGUGGUUGAGUGAUCUAGAAAUGCGCUGGAUUUUUGAAACUGAAAAAAAAUAUCUUUUUAUAUUUGUAAUGAUUUGACAAUUUAGAUUGAAUCAUAUAAUAAGUCCAGAUUUGAAUGUAUUGGAUGGUACCGGAGAAGCGAACGUAAAACAAGAUGGUAAAAGAAAAGGUCCUUAGUUAAACUGCAAAUUAACUCAUGUGAUUAGCUCGUGAUUGUCCACACGGCGGAUCGAAAGUGGUAAGAGAUGAAACUAAAGUAUCAAAUUUUUGUUGUCCCAUACUAUUUGGAUUUCAGUGAGGUUUAUGGAGUAAUGUGAAAUCUCAGCGUACAAAAAGGGGCCGCAAUCAAGAAUAUUUUGACUGAUCAAGCGCUUGCAUUUUGUCUUCUUCCUAUUAUUUGUUUCUAAAAUGCCAUCCUAAGGUGCAUUACUAAAUAAAGGCCCACUUGGCAAAUAAGUUUUUUGGGUAUUUGUUUAAAAUUUUACUGUAAUUUACUGUAAAAGUUGUAGGGAAUAUUUUUGAAGUGUGUAAAUUUUUCAAUAUUUUGAUGUGUAUAGUUUAAAAGUUUUAAAAAAAUUUUUGAGAUUAAUAUAGUUAAAAUAAUUUAAAAAUUUGUAACAGACAAAUUUGACAAAAAACUUGCUUGUCAAACAUGCCCAAAAUUUGCUUUUGACCACUUUGCAGAUCAAAAUAGUCUUCAGAUUUGUAAACAUUAUUAGUUUAAAGAAUUACUCUAGAGUGCAAUUUAGAAAUCCAUUGUAAACGAGAACAAGCCAUGUAACAAGAUGUCAAACAAACUAAGAAGAAUUUUUUUCAACAAAAGUCCUUUAUUCAACCUUUAAAAUAUCUUUUUCAUUUGUUCCAGUUGAAAAGAAUUACUCCACGAUCAAUUUUUUACAAAAGUCCUUUUGAAUAUCUGUUGGCGCAUACAAAAUUUAAAAUUGUAUUGUUAUGGUAGGCUUUACUUUCAUUUUGACAAUAAAUGCCUUGUUGUUUUGCCUGAUUAUGUUUACUGCAGGAAUACACACUUCAGCUCUGACCAUGGAGUGGUUUAUGUCCCUUGUGCUAAACCACCUUGAGGUAUUGGAGAAGGUAAGAAAUGAAAUAGACAACAAUGCCACACAAUCAGGGCAACUGAUUGAGGAUUCAGAUCUCUCCAAAUUGCCGUAUUUAUGUUGAAUAAUUAAAGAAACAUUUGGACUUUUUCCGGCAGCACCAACGCUUGUGCCUCAUUUUUCAUUUGGGGAUUGCAGUAUAGGAGGCUUUAAAAUUCCUAAAAGGCAAACUUCGUUAGUAAAUACUUGGGUUAUUCAUAGAGACCCUAAUGUCUGGGAAGAACCAAACAAGUUUAAGCCAGAAAGCCAGAAAUUCGAGGGAAUGAAGAGGUAUGUGAAGAAGGGUUCAAAUUUCUUCCAUUUGGGAAAGAUAGGAGGGCUUGUCCAGGGACAGCCCCGAGCAUGAGAUUGAUUAACCUGUCAUUGGGAACAAUGCUACAAAGUUUUGAUUGGUAAAGACUGGGUCCACGGUUGGUGGAUUUGGAAGAAAAAUCUGGUUUUGACUUUGGGCAAGGCCAAGUCUUUGGAAGGGAAACCUUUAUGGUAGGAAGGCGUUCUACCGUAGGUAGAGGAGCAGAGCAUGACACGUGUAUUUGGAAAUAAAGGUGCUAACGGACCGGUUAUGUUGUAGUCCUAAUGCGCGUGGAGAAUGUCAGCCAUAUAGAAACAUUGUAUGUGAUUUGGUAUAUUUUAAUACUGUAUCAUUUUCAAGACAUUGAUCAAACAUGAUCAGUUCAAUUUCUUUCAUUUUCUCCAAAAACUCUCAUUUUUUUCUUCUCGUAUCUUUUUCGUUUUCAAUAGAUCAGUUUGGACCAAAAAAAUAAAAUAAAAUUGAAACUAUGUAAAAGAUUCAUAAAUUAAUUGAAAAACACUUAAUAGACUACCCAAAACAUUAUCUUUGUAACUUGCAAAAACUUCAAAUAAACAUUCAAGUACUAACUAUUGGUAUUUAAAAAAUGCACUAUAUUUUAUCGAAUCAGAAUAAAUCCUUAUACUUUUUUAUUUUUAUUUGUUUUUAAUAUACUCAAGUUUUGGUAAUAAAAAGUAAGACAACAAAAGGGUAAAUUUGGAAUUACAUAAUUUAAUGUACUCAAAAUGAAUUUUUUAAAUAUUAUAUUUUAAAAUGAGCUGUAAAUAAACAAAUAGUUUAAAGUAAGGGAGGCAAGUGAGUUUCACACCCAAAAAAAAAAAAAGAGAGGCAAGCGAGAUUUUUUAAAAUUUGUGAGUGCCAAGUAAAAUUGUUAGAAACCUCCGGGGAGGUCUAUGAAAUUAUCCCAAACAAAAAUUUAGAAUGAAUAAGUUGCUUUUUAUAACGGUUCUAAAGGUUGCUUGAGACUUUAUAAAUUAGGUGUCUUGAGUUUGCAAAAACAAUUUCUUGCAUAUCUAUAGCUAGUGGAAACGGAGUUUAAACUUGCUAUAGGUUAGUUUCUUUCUUUCCAUUGUAUCCUAAAGGGUAAUUUGCCAUUCAACCUAAUUUUAUUCUGAUUUUAUCCAACUAAUAAAUUAGCUUAUGGAAAAAUGGGUAAAUGGAUAAUUUAUGGAGGAAAACCAUAAAGAGCUGGUGUUUUAUUGGAAAACGGGUUUUUUUUAUUUUAUCCGAUAAAUAAAUUUGUUUAUGAAAAAAUAGGUACUCUGUUCCUAUAAUGGAGGAAAUCCAUAAAGAGUUGGUGUUUUAUUGGAAAACGGAUUUAUUUUUAUUUUAUCCGAUAAAUAAAUUUGUGUAUGGGAAAAUGGGUAUUCUGUUUUUAUAAUAGAGGAAAGCCAUAAAGAGUUGGUGUUUUAUUGGAAACGGGUUUAUUUUUAUUUUAUCUAAUAAAUAAAUUUGUUUAUGGGAACAUAGGUACUCUGUUCUUAUAGUGGAGGAAAGCCAUAAAGAACUGAUAUUUGAUGGGAAAAUGAUAUUUUAGGAUACCAAUAGAUAACAGUUAAAACACAUUCACAGAUUUGGUAUUUUAAAUAAUGAGAUUGUUUUUAGAGGUGUUUUUAUGGUUGUAUUUUGGGAUAUUUUUAGAAUUUAAGAAUUCUUUGACAUAUUUUAUAAAAAUUUCAACCACCCACUACCACACAUUGGGACCACGGGCUAGCGAUUUUGUACAUUUUGCACACCGACCCAUAAAGAGCGGGUGCUUUGUUCAUAUGUUGGAGGAGUGCCAUAAAGAGCUGGUAUAUUAUGGGUAAAUGGGCACUUCAUGCAGCAAAACUGUAAAUUGGUAGCAUUUCUAUAAAGAAUAAAUGAAAAACGGGUAUAAUUGGCAAUUUGCUCUGAUUUUAUCUAAUAAAUAAAUUAUUAAUCCUAUGAUACCCUGCAUAAUUAAUAAAAAAUUUAUGAAAAAAUAGGUAUAACAUGUUAAACCCACAUAUUCGCCAUUUACUCUGACUGUAUUUGAUAAAUAAAUUAUUAAUCCUUCGGUACCCUAGACUUAUGAAAUGGACACUGGUGGGUUAUGCAUGCAACAUGAAUUAAAUAAAUAAUUCAUGGAGGAGUGGUAUAAAGAGCUGGUAAUUCAUUGAAAAAAGGGGAAAAUAAGCACUUUAUGGAGGAAAGCCAAAAAUAAAUAGUAAUUAAUGGGAACAUGGGUAUUACAUAUUAAACCCAUUUAUUCACUAGAAAUUUUACUUUGAUUUUAUCCUGUGAAUAAAUUAGCAUUUUUGGAAUUUAUACAUAAUUAAUUUUUUCUUUUGCAUUUCUAUAAAAAAUUAAUCGAAAAUUUUUUUUUGAGAGCACAAAAAUUCACAAGUCAAAAGUUUGGUCUAAAAGGGAAAGAAACAACUGAAUAUCAUUGUUUUAAGUACUAAAUAAAUAGAUGUAAAAUACUCGUUAAAAGUUGGUACUUUGAUCAUAUAAUGAAGGAAAGCUAUAAAGAGCAGGCCAUUUACGGGAAAAGUUUUCAUUAAUAAAAAUACGUAACGUGAGGGGGAGAGGAGGCCAAUUAGGGUGAGAGUGGCAGUAGCAGUGUGUGGUGGGUGGUGACAGGGGUGGUGGUGGGAGAGAGAAGAAAAGGGAGGAAGGAGAGGGAGAAGAGAGGAGAGUGAAAGAGGAAGAAGAGAGAGAGAGAGAGAGAGAGAGAGAGAGAGAGAGGGAGGAGAAGGGGGGUGGCAGUGGGUGGGAUGAGGGGCAGGAGUGGUCAUCAGAUGGACCGCUCUUGAGCUGUUCACGGGCCAAGGUUUGGCCCAAAAAAAUUGUACGGUUCAGAUCACUUCUUGUACCUCGUUUUUAACGAAGUGUGUGGGGCCCACAAAAAUUUGUUCUAAAGUUAUGCGUUGUGUAAAUAAAGCUACAUUGUGUGCAAAUAAAAUUACGCGGUGUGCAAAAUAUACAAAAUCGCUAGCCCGUAGUCCCAGUGGGUGGUGGUGGGUGGUUGAAAUUUUUAUAAACUAUCUCAAAUAAUUCUUAAAUUCUAAAAAUAUCCCAAAAUACAACCAAAAAAACACCCCUAAAAACAAUCUCAUUAUUUAAAAUACCAAAUCUGUGAAUGUGUUUUAACUGUUAUCCAUUGGUAUCCUAAAGUAUCAUUUUUUCCUCAAAUAUCAGCUCUUUAUGGCUUUCUUCCAUUAUAAGAAUAGAGUACCUAUGUUCCUAUAAACAAAUUUAUUUAUCAGAUAAAAUAAAAAUAAACCCGUUUCCAAUAAAAUACCAGUUCUUUAUGGCUUUCCUCUAUUAUAAGAACAGAAUACACAUUUUCCCAUGCACAAAUUUAUUUAUCGGAUAAAAUAAAAAUAAAUCCGUUUUCCAAUAAAACACCAGCUCUUUAUGGCUUUCCUCCAUUAUAAGAACAGAGUACCCAUUUUUUCAUAAACAAAUUUAUUUAUCGGAUAAAAUAAAAAUAAACCCGUUUUCCAAUAAAACACUAGCUCUUUAUGGCCUUCCCCCAUAAAUUAUCCAUUUUUCCAUAAGCUAAUUUAUUAGUUGGAUAAAAUUAGAAUAAAAUUAGGUUGAAUGGCAAAUUAUCCUUUGGGAUACAAUGGAAAACAAGAAACUAACCUAUAGCAAGUUUAAACUCCGUUUCCACUAGGUAUAGAUAUGCAAGAAAUUGUUUUUGCAAACUCAACACACCUAAUUUAUAAAGUCUCAAGCAACCUUUAGAACCGUUAUAAAAAGCAACUUAUUCAUUCUAAAUUUUUGUUUGGGAUAAUUUCAUAAACCUCCCCGGAGGUUUCUAACAAUUUUACUUGACACUCACAAAUAUUGAAAAAUCUCACUUGCCUCCCUUACUUUAAACUAUUUGUUUAUUUACAGCUCAUUUUAAAAUAUAAUAUUUAAAAAAAUCAUUUUGAGUACAUUAAAAAAUGUAAUUCUAAAUUUACCCUUUUAUUGUCUUAAAAAAUGUAAUUCUAAAUUUACCCUUUUGUUGUCUUAUUUUUAUUACCAAAACUUGAGUAUAUUAAAAACAAAUAAAAAUAAAAAAGUAUAGUGCAUUUUUAAAAUACCAAUAGUUAGAAUUUGAAUGUUUAUUUGAAGUUUUUGCAAGUUACAAAGAUAAUGUUUUGGGUAGUCUAUAAAGUGUUUUUCAGUUAAUUUAUGAAUCUUUUACAUAUUUUCAAUUUUAUUUUAUUUUUUUGGGUCCAAAUUGAUGUAUUGAAAAUGAAAAAGAUACAAGAAGAAAAAAUGAGAGUUUUUGGAGAAAAUGAAAGAAAUUGAACUGAUCAUGUUUGAUCAAUGUCUUGAAAAUGGUAGAGUAUUAAAAUAUACCAAAUCACAUACAAUGCUUCUAUAUGGCUGACAUUCUCCAUGUGCGUUAGGACUAUAACAUAACCGGUCUGUUAGUACCUUUAUUUCCAAAUACAUGUGUCAUGCUUGCUCCUCAACCUACGGUAGGACGGUCAAUGCCCUUCCUACCAUAAAGGUAUCCUCUUUGGAAGCAUUGUGCACAAGUCACACUCAUCCAUGAUUGAUAAUCAUUUCGCAGCUCUGAGUUAGGCUCCCAAGGUAACUAAAGAAACAUUUAUUUAGUUGUUUAUGAAGAUUGUAUCACGAUAAGAUCGAAAAUCGAUGCGCUCAAUCAUUCAACAAAAAAAAUAAAAUAAAAUAAAAAUAGAUGCGCUCAAACGAAAAAGGUGCACCCAAUGCUAAGCGUGUGCAACCGUCAAAAUGAGAGCAAAGAAAUAUUUAUGGAUUAAAUAAAAACAUUAUAGAUAAAUAGGCUUUGAAUAAAACUAUAUCUGGUUUUCUUUCAUUUUUUAUUUUUUCGGCCUUCUGAAAUUACUGCAAAUAUCAUCUAUUAGUUCUUUGGUUUCCAAAUUUGUGAUUGUAGAACUCCCAUAGUUCAAUAACCUUAAAUGAUUUUCUGUUGGUAGUCAUAAAUUGGUUUUGGGGCGUUUUACAACUCAAGCAACUGAAAAUACAUAUCUCAUGUGUAGGAUGCUAUCAAGUUGAGUCAAACCCAUAUGUACAAGGUUCUCGAGUUCGAGUUCAAAAAAAAAUUAGUUAAACUUGAAUUUGAACUCGAGUUCAACAAAUAUCAUAUAUUAGUGCUCAAUCUUGAUUAAAGAAAAAUAUGAGGAGCUCAAUUAGCUUGUUUAAGCAAAUUGAGCUCGGCAAAAUAAAAUUGUAAUUUGUCCUAAAAAAACUAUUAUGUAGAUAAUUUUACAUUUAUAUUAAAAACAUGUACACAGACACACAGAUUCACACAUAUUUAUUCAACAAGCUUGAUGAAAUUUUGAGUAGUAUUAUGUGGAGAUCUUGAUGUGUUAAGUUCAUGAGUAAAGAAUUGUAUCUCACCUUGAUUUCAACGAAAGAGAAAGAGUCCUUAAUAUGUUAGUAAGGGUUCAGAAUCUAAUAGUUUAAGUUUUUGGGUUAGCAUUGGAUUUCUGACUUAUAUUAUUGGGUAUCUUUGGUGAGCUCUCACGAGUGUUUCUCCCUAAUAAGUUGUAUCAGAGUUUCUAGUUACGGAACUGGACUACUUAUAGGCAAGUCGACUCUUCUCGGAUUUGGACCAGUGAAAUUCUCAUCUUGGUGGUGGAUCAAAGUGCUAAGGAAUUUGAUUGAUGUUAGACCAGAUGCACUAGGAGUUUGGUAAGGAUCUAGUUGGUGUUAGAUCAAGGAGUUAAGGGUUGGUAGGGUCUAAGAUCCGAUUUGGAUGUUGAAGAAGAGUCGGUCCAUGAGUUGAGAAGAGGUGACCUUGAGUGUUAAGGUGCAAGGUCCACUAAGAGUUUGGUAGGGGAUCCAGUUGUUGUUAGGCCAAGAUGGUAAGGGUUGGUAGAGUUCGAUAUUCGAUUUGGAUGUUGAAGAAGUGUAGGUCCAUGAAUUGAGAAGAAGUGAACUUGAGUGUUAAGGUGAGUUUUUAUUGAGUAUUAAAGUGAACUCAGUAGAACUUCUAAACUUGGAUUCAAUAUAAGUGCCAAGGGAUUUGAUUGGUGCUGGACCAAGUGCAUCAAGAGUUUGGAAGGGAGUUCAGUUGGUAUUAGACUAAGUAGGUAAGGGUUGGCAGGGGGUCCAAGAUCCAGUUUGGAUGUUAAAAAAGAGUGGGUCCAAGAGUUGAAAAGAUGUGAUUUUGAAUGUUCAAAUGAGUUUGCACUGAGUGUUAAACCAAGGAGCUAAGGAUUGAUUGGGGUUGGAGAUCUAGUUUAGAUGUUGAAGAAGAAUGAGUCCACGAGUUGAAAAGAGGUGACCUUGAAUGUUAACAUGAGCUUAUAUUGUGUAUUAAAGUGGAAUCAAAAUAGAUCUUGUAAACAUGGAUUCAAUGUGAGUAUCAAGGAAUUUGGUUGGUGUUGGACCAAGUUUAGGGGAGGUUCGAGAUCCGUUGUAAAAGAGUAGAUCCAUGUGUUGAGAAGAGGUCACCUUGAUUGUUAAGGUGAGUGUACAUUGAGUACUAAAAUGGGUCAAAGAAGAGUUUGUAAAUUUGGGUCCAAUGUAAGGAGCUACACAUGAAGGGGAAAAUUAUUAGGUUCACGAGUAAAGAAUUUUGUUUGACAUUGGUUUGAAAGAUGGAGAAAGAGUUCUUAAUUUAAGUUCAUGAGUAAAGAAUUGUGUUUAAUAUUGGUUGAAAGAUGGAAAAAAAGUCCUUAAUAUAUAAGUAAGAGCCCAAAAUCUAGUAGAUUAAACUUUUAGGUUAAUCCCAAAAUCUAGUAGAUUAAACUUUUAGGUUAUCGUUAGAUUCCUAACUUGUAUAUUAGGUCUCUUUGAUGAGGUCUCGAUUUAUGGAUCAACUUGAAGUACUUGAAUUCGACUUGACUUUUGAAUUUCACUGAACACUUUUGAGUCUUUGACUGAGCUGCCUGAUCUAUUGCCUUUUUUUUUUUUUUUUAAAUCCUAGCAAAAAGUCAAGAUCUCUAAUUUCUGGGCCCUCAAUUUUAACCACUACACUAAACCAAGGCAUCUUUGACCUUUUUUUUCUAAUUAUUUUCGUAACAAAGGAAGGGUAGAAUUUAAGAAACGAGAAAGAAGCAAGUGACUAGAAUUUAGAACCUCUAACUCUUGGGGCCUCAACCCACUGCCUACUUGCGAAAAAUGAAAAAUGUGAUAGAGGCAUGUAAAUUAUUCCCAAUAAAGAUAUAAAAAUUGGUCAAAAAAAUAUAUAAAAAUUUUAGAAAAUAUUAUUUACACUUGUGUUGGUGUUAGCGGUACUCUUUUUUUUUUCUUCCAUGUGCUUUUGCAAAGAUUUGAAACAAAAUGGACCGUCAAUCGUCAUUAACAAUAAUUGGACAAUUCGUCAAUAAAAUUAGCCAAAUAUUAAUUCCUUUCAUUGAUGAAUUGGACUGAAGUGUUCAUUGAAUUGUUACUUUGAAGCUGUAUAUUGUCUUCUACCUAGACGCAAUGAGGUAAGACUACUUACUCCUUCCGCAAAAGAUUUGCAGCAAUCUUAAAAAUGUCAAAAGAGACAAAGGUAAAAACAAUAAAUUUAAAAGAACAAAAUUGCCCUGCGUAUUGCACUUAUCAGUUAAGUCUUCUUGUAACUUUUAUAACCACAUCAUUUACUAUUGAUUGAGACAGAUAUUAAUCCAUCCGGUCAUACACAAUCUAUAUCUAUAUGUAUUCACGAAGGGGUUUUUAGCAGAAACCCUCUCAAUGGCUUCUAAACUUCUCAUUAUUUUUUCUAGAUUUUUGUAUUUAUUUUAAUCAUAAAAGUAGUGGAUUAUAACCCACCUUAUCACCAAUCAAAUUUAAAUUUGAAAUAUUCCCACUAUCCUCCAAUUUAAAAAUUUCACUCCAAUUAAAACUCCUCCAAACAUAGCAUCCUCCAUCAAUUUAAAUAAUUAAUUAAUAUGUUAUUCAAUAUUUAUAGAUAUUUGAUAUACACCUCUGAUUUAUCUGGACCUUCAAAGAUGUACAUGGAAUAUAAAGGUUAGAUUAUUUAGAUUAAUUGAUAUGACGAUAUCUGGAGUGUUUUAGCGUUCAAGGUGCAUCAAAAUGAUUUUUAUUAAUGAUCAGGUAAUCAUUCAAAUCAUAUCUUAUUUAUUAUGUUGAGUUUUAAUAUUUACUAACUUUUUAAAAAAAUUAUCAGAAAUUUGACAUGCAAGGAAUAAUAAGAGGGAGUAGUAUGCUUAGUAUUUUCGGACAACACCUCCGUGAAGGUAAGAUAUAUUUGUUUCAGAAUAUACAUGUAAUCCCAGCAGAUGCCAAGUACCGGAUUGCACCACAUCAGUUCCAGUUAUCAUUUGAGAAUGAUACAAAAAUAGUGAAGAUUUUAGAUAAUUGUGCAACCAUCCCCCGUUUCAAGUUUAAUUUGGUCAAAUUGAGACGUAUAGAACAGUACAUGGAUAAUGAUAUGCAAUUGAUAGGUACGUCCUCACAAUUAAUAUCAUUUUUAUUAUAUUUCUGCAAAUCACUUGCUAUUAAUUAAAAUUUUUUUAUUUAUUACAGAUGUAAUUGGUUUAGUUGUAUCUGUUGGUUCAUACUAUCAGAUAUCUACUAAUAACAAAAUUGGUCGGGAGAUACUAUUGGUUGACAAAAGGUUAGUUAACAAAUCUCGACAUCUUUAAAACUUUUUAUUUUUAGAGAAUUUAGAUUUGCACUUAUCAAAAUUUUGUUAACACAGUUUGACAGUAGCUCGAUUCAUAUUGUGGGAUAAAUUUGCUAAUGAUAAUGGUGAAUAGUUAUAUCAAUCUGCUACAAAAAAUAAUAUUUUACUAGCAUGUGGUAUUUGCGUAUGAAAUUUCAGAGAUAAAUCAAUUGCUUUUAGUUAUAUUCUAUAUAUUUUGAAUAGCUUUUGAGCGAACAUAAUCAUACUAUGCAGGACCAUCACUGUGCACAAUUGGAGCUAGCAAAUUGUAUAUUAAUCACAAUUUAAAUUUUGCUCGAUACCUGCGCAGUUAGUGAGUUCCUUAGUAACACUAUAUCAAACUAUUAAUAUUGUUUCGUACUCUUAUUGACAUGUAUUUCAAAAAAAUUGCAGGUUUGAAAAUAAUACAUUUGCUUGCAAGUUAGUUACGUGGUUGAGAUCAAGCAAUUUCACAACACCACAAGCACUGUUGAUAGCAAAUUUAAAGAGAAUAUGGAUAUCUGAAUAUACAAUCAUGCCUACGGUAAGUUUACUCAAUUUUAAUUAAUUACUGAACGAUUUUUUUAAAUUUAUAAUCAUAACCUAUAUCUUCUUUCAUUCUUAUUAGGUUAAAUAUUUUCGAAUACUUGAUUAUAUUCAGAGCAUUAACAUAGAAAAUAUGUUCAACGAGCUAUGCAAAAAUUGUGGACAACUAUGUGAAGAUCAUUUUUCAAAGACAGUGUGUAUGCAUUGUAAUGACGUGGUUGAUACUGUUAUUAGGUAAUUAAUUUCAUGUAUAUUUAACUUCAAUAUAUUUUUCUGUAUUGCAUAUAAUAUUUUAUUUGUCAAACAGGUACAAUGUUAACAUAUAACUUAGAGAUUCCAGUGGUAACAUACAUAUUAAUCUACAAGACAGACAUGCACGAUUUGUAUUUUGUUGUGAUGCUUUUUAUCUCAGAGAAUUACAAAGGAAGGUAGAAUUUCUUAAUAUAUAUUUAUUUUUUAUAAUACUAUUUAUAAACUAUGUAAAAAAUAUACUAAUUUUGUACGUUCUUAAUUAUCAGGAAAAUGGUGAUAGGUUGUUCGGCCAAUGAAUUAAUUCAUGCAAAAAUCGUGUAUUUUCAUUUGUAGUACGCACUCCACAAAAUUGAACAGAAUUAAUUAAAUCACCAAUUUUGGAAUUUGUAAUAAAAGUGGAUUGGUGUGAAGAGUGUUCACACCUUCAAGCAAGAUUAUCAAAUCGAAUGCUUAGUAUUUGUAAGUAUUUCAUUUUAACAACAUUCAAUUACAUUCAUUUGUAGAAAUAUAUCAUUCCCUUUUUUAAUAUAAAUUUUUUUUUCAGGAUCCAUCUUCCGAAAAAAGACAGUUCUUGAAUGAUAUACACAUUCGAUUAUAUUUCAAACUAUUAUUAAACAGAUAUUACAUUUUGAUUUUGUUGGUACAAUUUUUUCACCUUUAUUUGUUCACCAUUUUAUUUUUAUUAUUUUCAAUAAUGUUAGCACCGUGCGUAGCACGGGUGUUCACACUAGUGUAAGAGUAUUGAAGUGAAUAAUCAACACCAAAAUUUCCCUCUUGCUUCUUGAUCAAGGAGGUUCUCUUCAGCAUUCUACUUUUGAGCUUCGCCAUGUUCUUGACUCUGAAGCAUUCCCUGGAGCAAAAGAAGAACAAACAGCCUCCAAGUCCACCAGCCCUUCCAAUUGUAGGUCAUAUACACCUCAUGAGAAAUACUGCUCCUCGCUUGGCAUUCCAUAAGCUCUCCAUCAAAUACGGCCCCUUGAUUUCCCUUUAUUUUGGGACCCGCCGCAUCCUUGUCGUGUCAUCUCCAUCACUUGCAAAGGAAUGCUUCACCAAGAAUAACGAUAUUGCCUUUUGUAAACCGGCCUGAUUCCAUUUCCGCUCAGCACCUUGGCUAUAACUACACUAGCCUUGCGUUUUCUCCAUAUGGAGAUCACUGGCGUAAUCUCUGCCGUCUAACGGCCAUCCAUAUAUUUUCUUUACUUACUCUCCAACAAUAUUCAUCAAUCUGGAGAGAUGAACUACGUUUUGUUGUCAAAAAACUGUUCUCAAGUAGCUCUGAUGAGAAAACAUGGAAAGUUGCAGACCUGAACUCUUUGUUCUUGGAAUUGCUUUUCAAUGUGGUAAUGAAAAUGGUUGCAGGAAAAAGAUGGCCAUCCGAACAAUCAGGGGAUAUAUUUACACCAAGAUCGUUCUUGGAAAUUUGUGUGCGUUCCAAUUUUAAGGUGGAUCAGUUUUGGAUGGCCGGAGAAGAGUAUGAUUUACUUGCACAGGAAAAGAGACAGAGUUCCACAGGGUCUGAUUGAUAAAAUGCGAAAAAAAGGAAGGUAAAGAUGUUGCAUGUUCAACCAAGAGAAAAGAUAUUAUUCAAGCAUUGAUGUCUCUGCAAGAAGCUGAUCCUGAAUACUACACCGAUGUAUGAAUGUAAGCCCCUUUUCAUUUCAAAAAUUUCAAUUAGAAUUUCCCUCAGUUAUGUUUUUUAAGCAAGAUGAUUCACGGAGUGAUAAACCUUGUGCCUUGUAACCACAUCCAAGGUCAUAUAUCACUUUCCAGCCUGUACUGUCUGUCAUUGCAGUUGCAGGUUCAACCGCAGAGAGCAAUUUCUGGUUUCAAUCAGUAGCUAAUGUGGCCGGACAUAGGCUGCUGAUCCCAAAUGUUCUUUUAUUUCAUUUGCUAAAUUAGAUUUGAUAAUCAAGCAAACAUUUUGAUGGGGCCGGUGAUUAACUUUCACAGUUGCACCUAGUAAGGAUCACAUUCACUGUGUUGAAAUUUGGGGGCAUGACGUUAAAAUCAUUGAGUUUUACAAAAUUUCAUCUGCAUUAACGGACAAAUCCUCGUUGUUAGGUGUUGCUAAUGGUCACUAGCUCAGCUUUGAACAACUAUGUUUCCUAUAUACCAUUUUAUAAUUCAUGAUUUCUGUUUCUGCAUGUCUCAAAUUUUUUUUUGGUGGCUCAAAAGGGAAACAGAAAAAUACUAAUAUCCUUGUUUUUACCCUUAUAAAAUUUUUAACAAAGAACAUUAAAAUCAUGUUUCAACAAUAAAUACUCCAAUAAACCACUUCAGACUUUAACACUCCAAAUAUAACUACAAAAUCUUUUAGAUACAAAUUGAGGGACAAUCAGGAAAAAAAGUAAAUUGCAACUCGUCAAACAUCAAUUUCUUGAACUGUGAGCAAAAUUAAGUAUAACUAACGAAAAGGAAAGGAAAAAUUAUCCGUAACCUUGGUCGCGUAAAAAGAGUCAAGACUUCAACUGCUGAGGUUCCAGAUUGAUAUGACUUGAUGAAAGAUCUCAAAAACUAGGCAGAUGAAAGCGUCCAGAAAAGAGCUUCUGAAUUCUUAGUUCCAGAUUGAUGUGUGCUGAUGAAAAGGGUAAAAAGAGUCAAGACUUCAACUGCUGAGGUUCCAGAUUGAUAUGACUUGAUGAAAGAUCUCAAAAACUAGGCAGUUGAAAGCGUCCAGAAAAGAGCUUCUGAAUUAUUAGUUCCAGAUUGAUAUGUGCUGAUGAAAGCUCUCAAAAUCUGGGCAGUUGAAUUGAAAGUGUCUAGAAAAGAGCUUUGAAGCAUAAGGAGUCGAUUAAUUUGGUGCACUAAAGAAUUUUUUUUUUAAGUGGUGACAUGUAUAAGCAUCUAUAUUAUAGUUUAACUGUUAAAAUGGAUAGAUUUUUUUUUCUUUUUUUUUUACGCAAAAAAUAUCGUAAAGAUCUUAAUCAUAGUUUUCACAAGAGGAGACCAUCAAAUACAUCAUAGGAAUUAAAAACAUGGAUAGUUGAGAGAAAUUUCCAAAAUUAUGAUGAUUUUUAAAAAAUUUCUGUAAAAGGGGCAUUUUGAGUAUGCAAUUCCAUCCAAAGAGUCUUCGCAUUCAGCGAAUGUGAGCCAUGGAGCUCACAUUUGCUGAACGCGAAGUCACUCUGAAUUUUUAGACCCACAAAGUCCAAAAAAAAAAAAAAAAAAAAAACAGAAAACCAGACCUCGCAUUCAAAAAAUGCGAGGUCUGGCACCUCGCAACAAAUUGAAAGCUUUGGUAUUUGCUGAAACGAACUCGUGUUAAGAAGUAGAACCGCUAAAAUUUUAUUGGCAUUGACCUCUCAGUUUGUUUUCUCCUCAUUUGCUGUGUUUUAUGUUCUUUGUGGGAAUUCUUUGCUAACAUUAGUAGUUCCUCUAGAGAACGUCCACUUUUGAAACCAGUUAGGAGAUUCUAAAAAUUGACCAUUACUACAAUUGGUGCAAGCCAUUUUGCUAAACGUGAGAUCUAAAUUUUUUUUUUUUAUGUUAGAGCUAUCAUGAUAUGAAAAAUAUAUGUUCUGUCAGAGAAAAUAAAUAUUUUUUAAAUAUUUAUUGUAACUGUGAUCAUUUUGCUCUUUUUGACGACUUUGCAUAUUGUCAUUUACUAAAUGCAAGCUCCUAAAAAAAUUAAAUUUAAAUAAUAUUUGUUUUCUUCUAGCGAGCUUCUACAAAAUUAAAUUUAAAAAAGAUUUGUUCUCUUAACGGUACUUAAUGCGAGCUCCUAGCGAAUUAAAUUUAAAAAAUAUUUGUUUUGCAGAUCUCUCAUUUACUAAAUGCAAUCUUUAAUAAAAUCUUAUUUUUUUUUUAAAAAUAAUUGCUUAUGCAUUCAUUGAGUGCAAGGAGUAAAUAUUUUGGAUCUCGCAUUCGAUAAAUACGAAUUCAUAGAAAAUUCCUUUCAAAAAUUGGGGUACCAAAUAAAUGCAAAUUCGAUAAAUGAUUUAGGAUGUAUUUUGAGUAAUUGGGGGUACCAAAUGUGAUUUUCAAAAGUUAACAUUUCUGCAAAAAUUCGCAUAAGAAAACGCAGUUUGCAGCAAUACGUGACUUCUAGUCGCGUAUUACAGAAAGUGCAUUUUCAAUUCUGGAAGCUUAAGGCAUAAAACGCGACUUGAAUACGCAACUUGAAGGUGCGUAUUCAUGAUGGCGCAUUUUCAAUUCUGCAAAUACAACAGAAUACGCAGCUUGAAAACGCGACUUUAAGUUGCGUAUUCUUGAAGUCAUGUUUUGACUUCUACAAGGAACAUGAAGAAAACGUGACUUAGCAAUAUGUGACUUGAAUGCGUGUUUUGUGAAGUCGUGUAUUGUCUCACUUGUACAAAGCUUUAAAACGCGAAUUCUCUCUCAGUUUUCUUCUUCAUCUCUUUCUUCCAGCCGCGUUUUCUCUCUACUCUUCACACACAAUUCACCAAUUCUAUUUUUGCUCCAUAUCUUGGUUAAAAAUCAUUAAGCCAACACCUUUUGAGCAUUAUAUAGUCUUUCUAAUAUAUUAAAAUCCAAUAAAAACACCUCAAAAUCGGUUUUAAGGAGAUUGAAAGCUAGGGUUUCUAGUUUUAAAUUUCUUCAAUUGGAGGUCAAUUGGAGGGCGUUUCAUAGGGCUUUUUACACAGUCAUCAUCUCCAAAUAUCCUUCUGCAUAAUUGAGGUAAGUUUCUUCAUCAAAUUUACGUAUUUUAGAAGUUGAUAUUUUUCAAUUUCCUGAGCUUUUUGACAUGUUUUAAUUUCGAAAGUUUGAUGAUGUUUAUAGAUGUUUUUGGCCUCUAUUAUGCUUGUUGAUGGUAAUUAAGUAUGUUUACAAAUUCAAAUGUAGAAAAUUGAUGAUUACUAGUUCUUUAAAUUUUUAAGUUGCUAUAUUUGGCUAAAAUUGGAAAGUUGGUUUGGAAUGUUGUUGAGCCAUUGGUGAUCAAUGAUUAUGGUAUAAAAUGGUUAGUUGAUGAUGUUUUAACAUGUGCAUUGUGUAGAGAGAGUGAUUUGAUGAAUUUUGUGAGUUAUUAGAAUACAUCUUGCUUAAUCAUGUUUAUAGCUAAAUGUGUAUUAUUGUUGCUAAAAUUUGGCUGCUAUUAUCUUGAUUAGUGCUAAUUUCACUGAUUUUGAUAUAUUUGUGGCCUAUUUUGAUAGAUUGAUGAUUUUAGUAAUUUUUGACAUUUUGACUAUGUCAUUUCUCUUAUGUCAUAAUAAUGAUUGUUUAACUAUAUGUAUUUGAUUUCUUAUGACAUGGAGGGAUGUAUUUGUGGUCAUUUGAAUCAAUUCAUGUUAUUUAUUGUCAAAAAUAUGAAAUAUGUCUUAGUACAUGUGAAUAAUUGAAUCCUUCUUAUUAGGUACUAUGGCUAGGGGAAGACAGGUUGUAUAUUCAUCCUCUAGUAGUGAUGAUAUGGAUGUUAGUGAGGAGGUCGAAGUAAGUGAGGAGGAGAGGUCACCUUCUCCUCAACUGGUUAGAGGACGACCAGGUGAGGGUACUUCUCGUGGUGCCGAAGCGUCUGUCUUUGAUAGUGCUAGGUUUUCUACCCUGAGGAAUCAAGAGUGGCAUGAGGCGCACGCUAAUUUGGAGUUCCUUUUUGAGAUGCACGUGAGUCCAGGAGUUGAAAUAGUUUAUCGCAUCUCGGAGGCUUCAAUCAACUUGGUUGGGCGUCAAUUCUCACCUUGCCGAUUCACUACUACCUUGACUUGGUGCACGAGUUCUGCGGCAACAUUGAUUAUAAAGCGCGCCACAGUGGUGAGAUGGUGGAGUCAUGGGUGUGUGGGAGACAUGUUGUCUUGUCGAGGGAGCGCCUAGCUACCAUUUUGGAUUGUAACAACCAGGAUCGAGCUAUCGACUUGCAAAAGGGAUUCGUCACACUAAAUAGGCGGUGGGAUCCAUCACAUGACAUGACUAGGUUUGGUCUUGAUUACCAACCUUUUCGAUCCUCGAGGAAGGAGACAAUGUUGGCGAGUAUUUUUGAAUCCCGCCAUCAUCUCAUUAUCUAUAUGAUGGCCCACAACGUCAUACCCAAGAAGACGGGGCAUACGAAGUCCGCAAAAAUUACAUCUACUUUCUCGACUACAUGUUUCAUAAUCGGGACUCCUCCUACGCUCGAAUUCCCUUGCCGAACAUCAUUAUUAGCCACAUAAGGUCUACAGUGAGGUGGAGAAUGACGCCAUUCAAAUUGGCAUUUCCUCGUUUGCUUUCCUUGGUGUUCGAGAAUUUUGAGGUUAAUUUGCAAGGUAUACAGCAGGAAUUUGUUACACCUAAAACCAAAUUGUAGGUUUCUUCCCUUUGUCGUCUCAGUAUUGGCACGGAGAACAUUCCUCGACCUAUUCGAGAAAGUGGACAAAAGGCAAGACAUGCCCGAGAGGAAGUCGGACCUUCUACUACGGAACCUCCUCCUCCACCGUCACAAUCGAAUUGGCAGCGACUCUUCACUCGCUUGGACGAUAUCGAGUAUCGGUUGGGACGGAUGGACACUUGCCUGGAGCGGAUCGAGUAUUUAGGCAUUCCUCCACCUCGUGAUGGUGAUGAAGAUGAAGAUGACGACUGAAGCUGCACCUUUAGGAUGGCUAUUUUGUUGCUUCAGGAUUUAAUUGUCAUUUUGUUUUUAAUUUGUUGGAUGUAGAGUGUUUAACUUGACCUUUUCUGUUUUCAAGUUUUCUGUUGGAAUAUGAAUUGCAUUCAAAUGUUGUUAAUCUUGAGUCUGCUGGCAGGGUAUUUAGUCCAGUUUUAAGGGGAAAUUCUAUCAAAAAUAUUUCAAAAUCUUGUCCAAAAUUACAAAAUUGCCCUAAAAGGUUUCAAAUUUUUUCGAUUUUAUCCAAAGGGCAACAAGUUCCCUACAAGUAGUAACUCAAAUUCAUUCUACUUUUGAGAUAAAUAUAUGUGACUUUAGAACUUCCUCAUCUGUACCCCAACUGUAAUAGAGAGUCACUAAUAUCGCACUAAAAUCAAUUGUGCAAAUGAUUACAAAUGAGUUCUGAAGAAAAUUUUAUCUACUACUAAUCCUUUGUAUAUAAAUUACAAAAAAGUUAUAUUUCUUCUAUAUUAAAAGAUUUGAUAAUUAUACGGUUGGAAACACUUAAUUUUAUUAUUAAAUAAUUUUGUAAAGAAAUAACUAUACAUGUAUAAUUCUUUAUUUUCACAGGUCAAUAUAAAAUACAAUAAAAUUGUUAAUAUGUUAAGUCUUAACUUUUGAUGAAUAAAAUUCUCUUUUUUUAUACUUCUCAUACGCAAGCAUCAAAAUUUUUUGUCAUAUGUUUAAUAGAAGAAAUUUUUUCUCAUACAAGAGCAUCAAAAUUGUUCGUGGGAAAAGAGAAUUUCUUUGUAAUUUUAUGAAAGUUUCUAGUUUUGUAAAAAAGGAUCGAUAAGAUAUACGUGAUUAAGUUUUUCUGCUAAUAUUCGGGAAAGUAAAAAAUAUAAACAGGAAAUGACACAAUAAAGUAUGUCAGCCAUAAUUAGUUAGUUUAUACAAUAGCUACACAAUCAGGACAUCAUCAAUGAUGUCCAAAUUUUUCAUGAGUACUACAUCCUCUGGGUUUGCGUACUCUUUAUGUUCGACGUGACUAGUUUUGCAUUACUAUAUCGACUUGAGUAAUCUCUGACUCAAGUGUAAUAUCAUGAUAUUGGGUACUUUGACCUUCAUCUAUACCUCCUGCAUAUUGUGCAGAAGUGCCAUGAUGUAAGUCUGUAUAGGGCGUAAACUGUAAAAAAGUCACUAGAGACCUAGAAUGGCCAAUGGAUGCACUGUGCAGUUGCAUGACUUCAGUCUGAGGUAUGACUAAAGAAGAUGCGUCAACAUGGUGCUCAGUAGCCUGUGACCCUUCAUCGAAUCCAGUUUGGAUAGUGGGUUCUGGUGAUCAGAGUCUACGAUGUCGUCCACCGCCAUGCUGACCUCCGUGAAUAUUCCUAGGAGCUUGUUGAACACGACUUGCAUCUGCGUGUUGUGGAAUGUCCUAUGGUACUUGUGGACGGCGAAUGCAAGUCAGGAUGACUCCCCGACAUGAUGCAAUGUUAUUGAUGCAAAGUCCUUCAUUGUAUUAAAAUAAUUCCUGUGCUGUUCGUCACUAUGUGCUAGAGAGUCCUCAGCCAUAUAAUAUACCUGAGACAUAGCAUUCAUCUGGAGUGCAAAUAUUGGAAUGAAUAAGUAUUAAUAACGUUAAACCUUAAAAAAUUCACUACUACAAAAAUAUCCUUUUAUGAAAUUUGAAAGCUCAUUAUAGCUCCAUGUUAUGACGUUUUAACUAUAAUGACGCUCUGUCAGAAGUGUCAUCCAUUCUAACGUCACUAUAAGUUUUAUGACAGUUUCUAUGCGUCCUAAUUUGUAGUUCUUCUGGCACUUAUAAAUGUCAUUAGUUAUCGCUAUUAUGACACUUUGAAAUGACAAGAAAUGCCAGGGCACAGUUGAUGUUAUAUAAACUUAAGUGAUGCACAUAAUUAUCAUAUUUUGAAACUAUCUUGACACUUCUGCCAUGCAAGUAUAAUAAGAUAUUAUAAUACACUCACAUAAGUAGAAUAAAGUAUUAUGACACUUUUUGGUGUAACUAGAUUAAGUUAUUAUGACACUUUUUAACAUGAAAUUUUGUGAAUAUUAUGUAUAAUAAAAGUCGAAGUGAUGACCUUUUAAGUGUUAGAACUGCAUGUUGCAUUACAGCGGGCUCUAUUAAAGCAAGAGGGUCUGUGAAGUCUGCUGACGAAGAAGAAAUCGGAUUCCGUUGAUGAAGAGUUGAUGAGUCUGGAGGAAAAGGCUCACUCGACAAUCAUGAUGUGCCUGUCAGAUGAUGUCAUCACUGAGGUCGCCGGUGAAGAAACUGCUGCGGGUUUGUGGGCUAAACUUGAAAGUCUCUAUAUGACAAAGUCUUUAACCAACAAGUUGCUCCUAAAGCAACAUCUAUUCGGUCUGCGUAUGCAGGAAGGUACUCCUUUUCGAGAAAUUUAAAUCAAUUAAAUACAAUUCUUCUUGAGUUACGUAAUAUUGAUGUUAAAAUUGAGGGUGAGGAUGCCGCGUUGAUUCUGUUAGUGUCUCUAUCGUUAUCGUAUGAGAAUUUCGUUCAGUCGUUUAUUGGCGGCAAAGAUACUGUGACUCUAGAAGAAAUAAGAUCAGCACUGCAUACUAGAGUGUUGCACCAUAAGGCGGUUGGUAAUGUUACAGAUAAUCAGGUUGCUGGGUUAGUGGUCACCAGUGGUAAAGGAAAAUUUGGAAAAAAGAAGCCUGGAAAUAAGAAGCAGUUCUCUAAAGGUCCCAAGCCGGAUGAUAUCUGUAACUACUGCAAGAAAAAGGGUUAUUGGAAAUCAGAUUGCCCUAAGAAGAAGAAGCAGCAGGAAAAACAACAUGCUUCAGUUUCAGUUUCAGAAAAAGAAGCGAUAAAUUCAGAUAAAAAUCUAGCCCUAAUUGCAAACGAACCAACACAUCACUCUGAUGUGUGGGUUCUUGAUUCUGGGGCAUCCUAUCACAUAUGUCCAAAUAGGGAAUGAUUUACAAAAUAUGAGCAGAUAGAUGGCGAAAAUGUCGUGAUGGCUAAUAGCGCUAUCUGCAAGGCUUUGGGAUUGGUUCUAUCAAGAUCAGAACACAUGCUGAAAAAGUUGCCACACUGAACGAAAUUAGGCACCUUCCCAAAAUGACGAAGAAUCUGAUAUCACUUAAUACUCUUGACAGUAAGGGUUUUAGGUUCAGCGGAGGAAGUGGAGAUUUGUGCAUCAGUAAAGAUUCAUUAGUGGUUCUCAAAGGAAUUAAGCAUGGCAUCCUGUACAUCUUACAGGGUUCAACGCUAACAGGUUCUGCCACUGCUGCUGUUGCAUCUUUUGAAGAUCGUAGGUCUAAUAUGACCAAGCUGUGGCAGAUUAGGCUUGGUCAUAUGAGCGAAAUGGGGAUGCAGAUUCUGUCUAAACGUGAUCUUCUAAAAGACCACAAGGUCACCGAUCUUGGAUUCUGUGAACAUUGUACUUUCGGUAUACCACAUCGCAGAAAGUUUGGGAAGGCAAUUCACAGGACAAAAGGCACACUUGAUUACAUCCAUUCUUACUGUUGAGGUCCUUCACGAGUUGAGUUUUUGGGAAGCUAUCAAUAUUUUUUUAUCCAUGAUUGAUGAUUAUUCAAGGAUGACUUGGGUAAUCGUUAUGAAGAAAAAAGGUGAAACUUUCAAGAACUUCAAGCAGUGGAAGGCCUUAAUGGAGAAUCAAACUGGAAAGAAGAUCAAAAGGCUGAGAACUGAUUAUGGUCUAGAAUUCUAUUCAAAGGAGUUUGAUAAGUUCUGUAAAAAUGAAAGAAUUACUCGGUAUCACACAGUUCGACACACACCACAACAAAAUGGUGUAGCAGAACGCAUGAAUCAGACACUUCUAGAGAGAGCACGGUGUAUGCUCUUCAAUGCUGAGUUGCCAAGGAGGUUCUGGCCGGAAGCAGUGAGCACAGCCUGCUUCUUAAUCAAUCGUACACCUUAUACAGGUAUAAAUUACAAGAUACCUUAUGAAGUGUGGUCUGGUAUGUUCCCUACUUACUCAAAUCUGAAGGUUUUUGGUUGUACUGCAUAUUAUCAUGUCAGUGAGGGCAAACUAGAACCAAGGGCUAAAAAAGGAGUGUUUCUGGGAUAUGGAGACGGGGUUAAAGGGUAUAGAAUCUGGUCACCCUCAGAAAAGAAAGUUAUACUUAACAGAAGUGUAAUUUUUGAUGAAAACUCGAUAUUUAACCACCCCUAUGAAGACUGUUGUUGAAGAAAGUGCAAGUGUUGAUAAACAGGUAGAGCUACAAAUCAUUCAAAAUGAUUUUGAAUCACAGCAGAAAUUUGAUGAUCAUCAACAACUAUCCUUUGAAACUGAACCUCCUGCAGAAGUAGAGUCUCCAGAACCUACAUCAGCAGAAAGGUUGGCACCUAUAUCCCAUACUGUGUCAGUAACUCAGCAACACGAUAUUGGUUAUGAUCAUGCGGGGAGAGUGGGAGUACGACUUCCCAGCAGGUAUCGAGAUUUUGUAGGUUAUGCAUUUCAGGUUGUUGAGGAGGUGGAUUCCCCUGAACCCUCUACCUAUAGAGAAUCUAUUUCAGGCAGUGAGUCAGCUCAAUGGCUUGCUGCAAUGGAUGAUGAAAUGGAGUCGUUACACAAGAACGGCACUUGAGAAUUGGUCAAACGGCCAGCAGAGAGAAAGGUUGCGACUUGCAAAUGGGUCUUUAAAAGGAAGGAAGGUAUUUCUCCAGCUGAGAGCAUCAAGUAUAAAGCACGUUUUGUUGCAAGAGGGUUCACUCGAAGAGAAGGAGUAGACUACAAUGAGAUUUUCUCACCAGUGAUCAGACACACUUCUAUCAGGGUGCUACUAGCAAUGGUUGCACAUCAGAACUUAGAACUUGAGCAGUUAGACGUGAAGACAGCUUUCCUACAUGGAGAGUUAGAUAAAGAGAUUUAUAUGACUCAACCAGAUGGAUUCCAUGUUCCGGAAAAAGAAGAUUAUGUAUGCAAGUUGAAGAAAUCCUUGUAUGGAUUAAAGCAGUCCCUAAGAUAGUGGUACAAAAGGUUUGACGGCUACAUGAUUGAGCUCGGCUACAACAGAAGUCAGUGCGAUUGUUAUGUAUAUCACAACAAACUUGAAGAUGGUUCGAUGAUCUACUUGAUUCUGUAUGUAGAUAAUAUGCUUAUAGUUGUGAGGAACAAAGCUGAUAUACAGAAGUUGAAAAGUUUUCUCAGUGCAGAAUUUGAGAUGAAAGACUUGUGUGCAGCACAGAAAAUUCUGGGAAUGGAGAUUUUUAGGGAUAGAAGUCAGAAGAAGCUUUUUUUAUCACAGAAGAGUUAUAUUGAGAAUGUACUAUCCAGAUUUGGCAUGUCUACAGCAAAUCCUUGAAUACUUCGAGUGCAGUGAAUGGUCAACUAUCAAUUACACUCGCACCACAGUCAGAAGCAGAGAUAGAGUAUAUGGCUAAGGUUCCCUAUUCUAGUGCAGUGGGUAGUUUGAUAUAUGUCAUGGUCUGCAUUAGACCUGAUCUGGCACAUGCAGUCAGUGUUGUUAGCAGAUUUAUGGCUAAUCCUGGGAAGGAGCGCUGGCUGGCCGUGAAGCGAAUUUUUCGUUACCUGAGGGAUGCGUCUGAUGUUGGUCUCAUCUAUGGAGGUGAUAUAGAGUGUUUGAUUACAGGCUAUUCAGAUUCUGAUUAUACUGGAGAUAUUGAUAGUAGAAGGUCGAUGGCUGGUUAUGUUUUCACUUUUGGGCAUUCUGUAGCUAGUUGGAAAGCAACUCUACAACCUACAGUGACUCUGUCCACUAUUGAGGCAGAGUAUAUGGCACUGACGGUGGCUACUAAAGAGGGAAUUUGGUUAAGGGGACUGGUUGGAGAUCUUGGCCUACAUUAGGAUCAGGCUAAUAUAUAUUGUAAUAGUCUCAGUGCAAUAUGUCUAGCCAAGGAUCAAGUUCAUCAUGAGAGGACUAAACACAUUGAUGUUCGAUAUCACUUCUUGAGAUCCGAGACAAGGAUCAAGGUGAAGAAAAUUGGCACUGCUGACAGUCCUGCUGACAUGUUCACCAAGCCGGUUCCUCAUAAUAAGUUCAAACAUUGUUUGGACUUGCUAAAUGUCCUAAGUUUUUUAUAACCCUUAUGGGCAUUCUGAUGGUACUUAGAGACAAUUCUGAUAGUAAAAGAAGACUCUGAGUACGUCUGGCACUUCAUCAGUGCUUCUGUUACAUUUGUUUCUGAGAAGAUUCAAGUCAAAGUGGAGAUUUGUUGAAAUGUCUUGAAUCAGAUUUUCGACCUCCACUGAGUUGUUCAAAGGUCUUGAUUUUUGGGCCUAAUUUUUGGGUCCAGUCCGUUUUGAUUAUUUGGUUGUAUAUAUAUAUAUAUAUCUUAUAUCCAUUCUAUACAAAAAUAUUUGAUACAUUCCGAACCCUAAUAGAAAAAUCUGAUUUUUUCCAAAUUUGUUCUUGUUUGUUCUUCCGUUCCGCUGCAUCUGUUUUAACACCAUCCGUGUUUUAUACUUAUAAGCAGAAAUCACAUUUCAUCCUGCCUGCAUAUUGUAAAUCCUAAUUUUUGGAAUGAUAAAGUAGUUAGUCCCAUCAUAUAAAGGAAAACCAAAGUUAUUUACAUCUUCAUAGUAACUGGUGCAAUACAAUAAUCCAAACUGGUGCAAAAAUAUAUCAUCUAAGCAACUCACCUUAAAACUAUGUCAACAAAUUACAUGCUAAUUCAAAGAUUUUCCACUAGUGAGGAGUAUUGCAGUAGCAUUGUCAAUAUAUAUAAUGGAAGCAGUAGCUUGACAGGAACUCAACUAAAAAGCAUUAACAAUGUCUACAAAAAAUAGCCAUUUGAUCCAAGGAUCAUUUAGUUUUCUUCAAGAUUCACCUACAUGUGUCAUAAACCAAGCAAUUGGAGUUACCAAUCACACAGCUCUGCUUUUACAGUUUUAAUCUUAGAAAACAAAUAAAAACUAAGUUAGAGUAAAGAUUACCAAGUUUAUUGGCCAAGUAAUGGCCACUCCAAUUGCAUCUCCAAUCUUGUGGAAAUUAUGGUAUGGCCUUAUCAGCUCUUCAUCACUCUCCACAAACACAUUCACAUGGAUUUCACACCAAUGUAAUCCCAAAGGCGUGUCACCAAGAUAAAUCAUAGUUUCUGUGAAUGCAUAUUCAUGACAAAUAUUUAAGUAGGCUCAUGAUUAAAAGAGAACCAAAUGUUAGAUUAGGUAUGUCAUUAAAGGUAAUUUUCUAGUAGUAAGCAAUGUAGAUUGACCCUUAAGUCACAAGGAUAGCUAUGCACAUAAAUAACUUAGAAGAGCAAACACAAGUCAUGAGGAUUUAUGUAAAGUUUUAUUAAAGAAUUCAGUAAUAUAAAUUUAGACAUUUAGCGACGAUAAACAAUUCCAAAAUUAGAGCUACAAGUACAUGGUUUUGGUCAAUCAUGUUAAUCAGAAUAAUAAUUUUCAUCUAUGUCUUGUUGUAAGAUUUCAAUUUAUGAAGUUAAAUGUGCACUAGUGUGUAGUGAACAUAUAUUUAUUACAUUGGACUUACAUAACAUUUAAUAGCAAUUGGAAAAAAAGAAAGACUAAUAGUAACUGAAACAAGGACAAAACAAGAGGGGAAAAGCUAGACAAAUAUUAGGACCAAGAGUUUUGCCAUUUCCUGUCAGUAGUAUUCUGGUGACCCUAAUUAACAACGUUGCUAGACAAAGACCCAGUGAAAACUAAAGUCAUUAGAAAUUAAACUAACCACUGGAAUUUAUAAAAGGUGUACACUUCAUCACUGUCUUUGUACCUUGUGCAACGAGAAAUUGAAAAAAAGAAUAGAACAAAUUUCAUAGUAUAAUGCACUUUGUCCCAACCAUCUAAAAUGUCUCUGUCACCUAUUAAUUUUGUCAAAUUAAACUUAUGAGAUAUUUUAGUUGUACAAACACAUCCACAAGUAGGUCUAAUAUAAUCAAUGAAAUUAGAACAACACGAACAUAAAUGUAAGAUUAGCCCUGCUUAUGUCAUGCUCCAAUUUAAUAUAAAUGUAACAUGAGCCCUAAAAGCAUUAGCUUGACACCAAAUAGUAGAAGCUUCCUUAUGCUUUUCUAUAAGCAACAUGUUUUUUUCCUCAUUCUUGAAACUAUAAUAUCCAAAUCUUUGAUCAGUAUCUGAAUAAAAAUAGACAAAGUGAUUUCCUAAGUGAAAUGAGAUUGUGAGAGUGUCCAAACUUUUUAAAAGGCAAGAAACAACUUUACAUAUUGUCUUCACUCAAUAUAUAUCAUGCAUAAAUACUUAAUGAACAAACAAUAAUAUCACAUGACAAGAGUUGCCAAGCUACUGCUUCAUUAGGCAAUGGUCUGAGACAAAAGUAGCUAAAUACCUCAAAUAGAAAAUGCAUGUUCAAACUAAAGAUCCAAAGAGAAAACAUAAAGACACAUUCAACCAUGUUGCAAUAUUUCAGUUCUCUAUUCAACUCAAGAUUAGUUUAUAAAAUUGAUUUCAAGAAAAGAAGGCAGAGCCUUGGCAAAAAACUAAAGGGCAUGCUGCUUGGAAGAAUUGAGUAAACUAUAGAACAAAUCCAUUUGGCCCGCAAUGAAAAACUCAUUUAGUCAAUUUAUCAAAUAUGUGGUGGGUCACGGAUGCUACCAAACCGAUGCUAAAGAAGGCUAUAACAUUUACUUGGAAUCUUUCGACGGCAUCCAAUCAUCAAGAAACUUCAGUAUAACCAUCAAGAACCUUCUAUUGUUUGCUAAAAAACAAAAAGAAAAAAUUCCAAACAUGAGAAUAAAUCAAAACAAUGACACAUCAAAUCAACUAACAUUUUGAUGGCAUACUCAAAUAGCUAAGUAGAAGACAACCCUAAAUUGUUGAUGCCAUCAACCUUUUUGCUUAUUUUAGACAAAAUUGGAGAUGUAUAUGUAGACCUAAAGUUAAAAUUAUCUCUUAAAUACAAGAAAUCAAAAAGAAAACAAUCUUGAUGUUAACAAAAAAUUGAAUAAUUGAUAUUCAAUAAACUAAAAAAACAUCUUAAUCAUUGUACCUCCAUCGGUGGGAUGAAUCCCAGUUGCUUCCUCCUUGAAAAAUUAGUUGAUUGGCAAGAAAAUUGGCUAAAUUUACCCUAAAUUGAGAGAAACAAGAGAGGGAGGGAAAGGUCACAGUACAAAGAGAGAGAAAAUGCAGCGGGUGAGCAGAGAAGUAAUGAGAUGUGGUAAGUAAGAAAAGGGAGGAAAUAUUAGAAUUUUGGGUGAAAAUAAUCACGCGCUAAAGCAUAGCACCAACUUUCAAAAUUAAGGGUGAUACGAUAUAGUUUUGUCUACUUUUGGCACCUUUUUAAUGACACUCCUUACUGACUGUUAUGUUAACACCCUAUUAUGACGUUUAGGAAAUAUGUCAUAAUACAAGUGUCAUUAAAAGCUAUUUUUCUAGUAGUGAUUAUUUAAAUAAAUUUUUAUAAACGGGUAGUGGUUAGGCAAAAACUUACAAGAUAUUGUGCUCUAGCGCUAUCACCUUGAAAGUCCUCUGGAAAAGUGGGAUACCUACUUGGAUUUGAAAUAUAAAGCAUUGUCUGCUCUCGAUACUAAUGACGAUACUCAUCCGAUGGAUAUGUAGGAUCUUCAACUACAACAAUAUCUUGUACAUGCACACGCCGAUCAGUCCACACAUCUAUAUAUGCUCUAUGCGUAGUUAUCCAGUCUUGAUUCUCCCUUACCACGACGAUCUAGAGAAUGUAGGGUUACUUGAUUUUCAGUCAACUUAAGAUCAGGCAGGGAUUGAUAAUAUCUAAAUUGUCAUAUACCUAGAUGCGGAAGAUGCGGCUCGACAACUUCCCAACAUAUAAGAUACUGUCACCUCCAAAUGUCACGACCUGCAGUAUAAUAUGCAGGCAGAAAAGUGAGAACAUCCUCCGAAUAUGGCUACCAUAUGAACUGCAAAAAAGAUAAAUGAAUAUGCACAGACCACUAAGUUAAAUUGGUCUCCACAAACAAUUUACUAUAUGCACCAUUGAAUAUUGUCAAAUGCAAAAAACACAACAAAUUUAAGCAAAUUUCUGUCAUUUUUCAUAUUUUUUAAGAAAAUUUCGACAGCAUCUCCCCUAUAACUGGAAGAAAACUCCCUGUCAACAAAUCCAAGUUUGAAAUAAUCAAAUACAAUCUGUAUCUAUUCAUCUAACAGUUACAUAUUUUAUUAUCUUAUUCAAAAAAGGUAAAGUAUUAGAUGUUCAACGUCAUUGCACAAUUACAAUACCUCUUGAGGAUGUAGACCUAUCAACUGAUCUCGAAAUAUUGACACGACAUGUCUUACAACUCUGUGUAGAUAAAACCCAACAUUCCACCUAAAUAGAAUAAAUGAAGAUUUUUUUAAAACAAAUGAUUGUUAUUUAAAUUACAAAUUAUGGUCACAACUACAAUUGAUUUAUACACACCGAACUCCAUAUGGACCAGGAUAGUGCUCUAACGGCUGCACUCGAUCGGAACGCAUUAUAGGUAUACAUUCCCAUACCCAUAUCUGUAAUAAAAAUUGGAAUCAUUUCAUAAUUGUAAUAAAAUAAUAAGUAAAUAACCUUACUUUUAUUGAGUUUAAUGUAUCUGUAGCAAAACUAAUGGUCCUACAAUAAUCGAUCUAGAGGGUGAUGUGACUAUACACAGGGAUCGAUAGAGAGUCACUAAUAUCGUACUACCCCAAUUGUACCGCCCAACAAUUUUCAAGUCUCAUAAUAAGGGAAGAUAUAUUAACGGGACUUUAUUAUCAGAUUUAUCGGACAAUAAAUGACCACCUAAUAACAGGAGGAGGUAUAUGCAUGCUUGCUGUCUACAUUCGACAUCCGAAGCAUCAGUUGGCAACUCUGUAUCUAAUGCCCUGGAUAAACACCCCAAUUUUAACCUUUGUUCAUCAAAAUCCGACAGGGACGGAGAAAAACUAAUAAGCUCCUCACAUAUGAGUCCCCAUUCCUGAACACUAUAAGAUGUAUCUAUCCCUGUAAUUGGAGGACUAUUGAUCGGUAAUCCCCAUAGGACCUCUACAUCCUGUAAGGCAACUGUAACCUCUCCAACGGGUAGAUGAAAGGUAUGAAUUUCAGGCCGCCAUUGCUCCAUUAAACUAGUGAUCAGAGCAUGAUCAAUCAUCAUAUAUCCACUCUCGAGCACCCCUUCAAACCCAACCAAACGAAAAUAAUGCCAAACAGUUUCGGGAAUAGGUGUAUGCUCCCAAAAAUCCUUAUCACAUCGUCUGACAUCGAGCUAAUUGUCCAAAAUAUGCCAGAAAAAUAUGAAAUGUGCCCAUUGUGCAGUUCUUGCAGAGAUAAUAUCGUACAUGAAUGGCCCCAGAUGCAGAUCUGUUGGUGCAAGAAUGUCAAUCAUAUCGAUGUGAAUAUCUGCAAGAAUAAGUACAAUAAUGCAAAAUUUGUCAUUCCUUAUAACCAUAAACCGAAUCAUCAAAUACAAAAUAUUGAAAGAUUCAACUAAUAUAUAAGACUACACACUAUAAUGCCUAGAAUAGGAGUUUGAGAACCCAUACUAACUUGACACUUUAAGAACUAAGACCCCUUCAAACUAAAAAAAAAACAAAAAUAUUAUUUUCAUAAUUUAUCAACAAAUAGUAUAUAGCAAAAUAUACUAAUUUCAUAAUGCCUUCUAAUAGAAUUACAUGGGUUCCUAUCUCUAAAUUAUUUCAUUCAAGGUUUAUAAUUUGAGCAAUUUCUUCUAUUGUGACCCGACUGAUGAUAAUUUGUACAUUUUCUUGGUUCUUCUGGAUCUCUCUCAUCCAUCUCAUUUCGAAUUCUUCUUGCUCGUACUCUUCCUGCCCGAAAUGUAAUAUAUUUACUUCUAUCUACAUGUAACUCCCAAUCAGGUUGGAGCCAAGUAUUUGGAUGCGGUAAAGGGUUAAACCUUUCUGAAUACUGUACCGGCCACCACUUUUUUAUAAAUUGGGGCCUGUACUGCUACCACUUGGCACAAGAGCAAGUUUUAUCAAAAAAUUUGACCGUUUGUGUAUUACCCCCUUUGCCAUCCAUACGUCGGCCUGUCACAACUUUGUACACCCCUGUUGAGACAUCAAACUCCACAACCCUAUGGAGUUCGGCUUUCUGAUCAAAAAUUUUAAAUCGCCGCCAUAUCUUUGGAGGAAAAGGGUUACAGUAAUGUCUGGCAUUCUCACUUCUCGUUUCAAACAACUCAACUGUCCCGAUGAAAUGUCAUAUUGAUACAAGCCCAAAUUGGCAAAUGGCGUGCCCCUCUAAGUACAUUAUUAUAGCUUUCGGAUAUGUUGAUUGUAAGAAUACCCCCAACGAUGGCCACCGUCAUGUGUUAGACACCACUUUUCAGGUCCAAUAUCAGACAAAUAAGUUCAUGCAUCAGAAACAUGUUUCUUAUUUCUCGUUUGAACCCCCGCCACUUGCGCAAUUGUCUAGCUUUUUCCAUUGCUCAACACAACCUUUUAAGAUGCAGGCCUUUGAAGUGUGUCAUUAGUUUGCUCCUAACGUGUCGUAGGCAAAACUUAUGAAACGCCAAAGAUUCUUUUCAAUAAUCAAACUGUGUCAUGGCAUGAAUGAUACCAUUAUGACGAUCCGAAAUGACAAAAAGAGGAUACCGGUCACGAGCCACAUGGUAUCUAAAUUGCUCCAUAAAUCAUGACCAACUAGAAAUAGUCUCUUCAUCACCAAUGGCAUAAGCAAUUGGAAUUAUCUUGUUGUUGGCAUCUUGCGCAAUUGCAACAAAUAGUUUGCCUUUAUAUUCACUAUGCAAAUGAGCGCCAUCAACAUAUAUAACCGGUCUACACAUGCAAAAUGCAUCAAUAGCCGGUCCAAAAGCCCAGAAUACAAACUUAAAUGUUUUUACUCGAUCUGUACUUUCCAAAUGGUGCUACCACUUGACCACAGUUCCCGGAUUUGACUGAACAAGUGCAUCAAUAUAUUUUGGUAGUUUAGCAAAAUUGGCAUCCCAAGAUCCAAAUAUAAGUUCAAUAGCUUUGUAUCUGGCAUACCAUGCCUUUUUGUAAGAAACAUCCACCUUCAAGCCUUCCUUAACAUGACUCAUUAUAUUCUUAACUUUAAAUCUAGGAUCAUUUUCAAUGCUACAAAGUAUGUGUCUAGCAAUAACUGAAGAUGUGAGACUUGUAUUGCUAUUACUCAUCAAAUCACCUAGACAAUUAUUGUCGUUGACCCAUUUGAUUAUUUGCCACAAACUAUGAGUCUUCUUUUUCACUGCUCUAACACACUAGUCGCAUGCCGAAUACGAUGGGGUGACUGUAGUGCUAGUACUCCUAUCAAAUACAGAUUUGCAUUUGACAACCCACGUGUUACUCUCGCUCUCAACCACCCUGAACUCCCUGUUAUGAUUGAUAGACUACAUCCUAACAGCCCUACUGAGCUGUUGUUUGCUCUCAAAUAUUAUAUGUAGGCGUAUAUUAUUAUUUUUCUCACUGAAUAUAACAAUGCGCUCUAACUUACUUUUAUCAGUGAGUUGGUCAUCAUUAUGUAUGUUUCCAAGGUCAGAGAAAAAUCUAAGACCUCUUGGAACAUAUGAGAGGCCCACAAUUGCAUUGUUUGACCUACUAUCUCCUCGCUCAGUAUUCGCAACGCUCAUACCAUUAAAAGGCUAUUGGGUCUCGAGAUCCGGGUGAAAACCACAAGCUUCAUGUUCGUCAUCUGAGCCACUGUCGGACACAUCAAUUGACUCAGAUACUUCUAUGUCUUCUGUGUCAUGUUCCGAAUCAUCGUCUCCUCUAAAGCAGGGAGCUUGUCAUAUCCACUGGCAUACACAUUAUCUAUAGUUGUUGUUGGACAACUUAGACCAGGGGUGAAAUCUAAGCCAUAACAAGAUAAAUGAUACAGUGAUCCUGGAUCUCUACAACUUGGAAUCGAGUCAAGGCCGUGAACAUAUUCAACAUCACGCCUUAACCCUGAUGUGAUGCUUGACUCUGACGAGUCCCUAUCCCAAUCUCCAUGUGUAUAUUGGGAGGCCGAUGCAGUCUCUGAUACUACUGUACUAGAGUGGGACCGGAAUCUUGUUGGAUUCAUGCAUGCAUGGACAAGUGACAUCAUCGGACCAACAUUGGUAGUUGAUGAAAUGAAUAUGCUACUGACUCGAGAAUUUUGGAAAAUUUCGUCCUUCUCGAUAUAAAGCUCGGCUAUGUAUGGAACAAUUUCAUUCCAUAUAUCGUACAUUAUCUCCAGAGUUUCAUCAUCCACCACUGUGGAGACAUUAUAAGAGGUACGGCCACACGAUUGACGGAGAAAUAAAUUCAACUUGAACGUCUCCCGAUUAACCCCCAUAUAUUGAUAAAUUAUGUCAACCAAUUCCUCAUAUCCAAUUCUAUGCCGCAAUGUGAACGUACGGUUGGAGGUAUGAGGCAAGUAACAAAUUGACCCAUCCUCGUAAUGUAUUUUACCUCCCCAAUAAAGAGACACUCGCAGAGGUCUUUCUACAAACAUAUGUGUGAAAUGAUCCUUAUUUUGGGGAAAAUAAAUUAGAAUUUGUAAUACAAAAGUAUGAAACAAAUGACUAUCGGAUUAGGACUCUCUUCAAAAUAAUUUUCGCAUCAUCUCUCCCAAAUAUUAGCUCAAACUUUUCAUUAACCAUUGACCAAUUUUUUUUAGCUAUCAAUGCACUGUAAAUAAUUACUAUUUCUUAACUAGCUAAAGAAAAAACUAUAUUAAUUAUAUGAUGCAUAUAAUAGAAUGUGAAACUACAAUAAUUUGGAGGAGAAUCCCCUAUCUCAAUGUUAGAAGCAGCCUGCUUGUAAAAGUUAAUAUUUUUAGUUAAUUUUUUAUAGAAUUUGAAAGCAUAUUUUAAGUUAAUAUUCCCUCUAAAUCCCCUAUAAAUUUCGAUAGAAUGUUAUUCAUGAAUUCUUAUUCUGCAAAAAAAAAAAAGAAGAUAAGUUGAUUAAGUUCAAUAGCUUUCCUUGUUUUAUUUCACGUUUCAAAACACCCCCUUUGAGUCACUCUUGUCACCACUCCUCAAAAAAACUUUUAAGUUAAUAACUAACCAAAAAAGCCCAAAAUUAUAUCUAAGCAUGUAAAUGUCAAAACUUUUUGAAAACUUAGUAGAAUUUUUGAAAAAAUUUCAACAGAAUCUCCCCUAUAACUACGCUAAAACUCCUUGCCAACCAAUCCAAGCACGUAUCAAUUUUCAAAGCUAGUUUAUUUAAUUGCCUAAAAUAUUACGAUGCAUUCGCUAAAUCUUUCUACAUCCACCAAAUUCAUCAAAUUCGUCAUCUUUAUGGUUCAAAAGUAAAACUACAUAAAAGACCAUUCAAAUAAAAUAAUAAAGCCAAAACAAAAUGGCCAAUCAAAAUUUCCAAAUCCCUGAUAAUUUGGUCAAAAAAAGAUGUAUAUCUCAUUUUGUCAUGUUCGAGACAACCGGAGGGAUCAAAUAAAACCUACUUGUUCAAGUAAAAUGAACUUGUUCAUAUAGUUGGACAAAUAUCAUAAAUAUAAAGAGAGGCAACUUUGUUAAAGUUGUAAACUUAUAAAUUUACCUAAUAAUUAGUCUCAGAUUCCAUACAUGCACUCCAACAGAGAUUUGAUCCUACUAUUAUCAACCAAAGCCUCUUCAACUGAUAAUGUGCUCGUGUCACCAACUUUGUGCGCAUCUGUAUGAACAUGAUGGAAUUAAUGACAAAACAAAAAAAUUUAAAAAUUAGUCGUAGCAUGUAUUUGUCAAAAAUUUUUAAACAACUUUGAUAGUUUUUAAAGAGAUUUUGAUAGAAUCUCCCCUAUAAAUGGGCUAAAACUCCCUGCAGCUGAACAAAUCACAUCAAUUUAGAACACUGCAAACUAUAAUCUCCUAUUUUGCUAUAAGAGUUUAUUGCAAGGGUUAAAACUGAAAAUUCUGCUAAAAUGUCCGGGUUUAACAACAUUGCCCCCUCCAGCUUUUAAAUUGGACUUGAACUUUUUCCAUUAGCAUAAAAAUGAAAUUUAUAAGUAAAAAUUCAAUCUACUCGAAUGAAUGAAUUCAAUAAACACUCAUUCGGGUCCAAAAUCCAACUUAUUUGAAAAAUUAUAGCCUUUGGUCAUGUCUUUCAUAAUAUCUUCCAAUUUUCUAUUUUUAUUUGUACUUUGGUCCAAUAAAUCUGACCUUUUAUAAGUCCAUUUUAGAGAUUUUUGAGUUAAAGUCUUCUUGUUCCUUUUUUUUGUUCCCCCUCGAGGAUGAUCCUUUGGUCAUUGUGGCUAUCUUAUGGCCCGUUCAAUUGGAUAACAUCCACAAACAAGAACUUGUACCAAGCAUUCAUUACCAGUUUGUAUUUGUUUAUCAUAAUAUAAAGUUGAAUGGACUUAUAAAUGGCCCAUAUUUUUGUCAAUUCACCAUUGUAUUGGCUACCUAAACGUCCUGCAUCUCCUCCCACAUAUUGUAGUAUUAGUUAAUUGAGUUAAUAAAAAAUUGGGCCCUGCUUUGUGUUGCCUAAUGCUGGAUUAGUGCAAAACAACUUAAAAUCCAAAGAUGUCUGUAAUCUCUAUGAUGCAUUGUAUUUACCUUCAAAUCCAAGUUCAUGUACAACUUACAAAUCUAUUAAAUUAGGAUUGAAUGUCCCAAACUCAAGAUUUAAUUGAAUUCCUAAUCCUCAAUCCAUUUUCAUCUACUAAUACACUGGUAUCUCAAUUUGUCAUUAACCUUUUAUGUUUGUUCUCAAAAUCUCCUUCAUUAAUUGUCACUCCAGCUAACAUUUUCAUCAAAUAUAACCCAACUCAGCAGUCUUGACCCCUUAAACCACUUUCCAGGCUAGGAUAUACCACCACAAUUAAUGAUACCAAAACAGAGGGAAUGUAUUAAAUGUCAAUGUUGAUUUGUCAAAUUUCCUCCACCAAGGCAAAUUAUGCAUCGGACAAUUAUCUAUUGAUGGGACCAAAUUAUUGUCGGCAAUUGAAAUUCUGAGCAGUCAAAUUAACUGCUGUGAUUCUUGAGAGGGCAGGCCAUUAAGGAUAGUGAUUAAGAACUAUAUGUUGACUUUAGUCCCUAGCUUUUGAUAUUUACAAAACAAUGGAUGAUACUAAUACCUCUUCAAGAAAUAUUUUCAGCUAUGAAGCAAAUCUGAUUCAAAGAACAAGAGCAUUUGAAAGAGAUAAAAGAAAUUGAAAGCUGUCGGACGCUCGCGAAAACAACAUCGGACAUCCGAAAAACAAUGCAGCACUUCGGACGCAUGAAGAACUCCAUUACUGGAUGUCCGAAAGAAUUAACAUGAUUUCUCAAACUCACUAUUUAUAUAAAUAGUGUAUGGGCAGAAACUUCAAACAACUUUUGCACACUGAAGAUUACAAAAGAUAUAGAGUAGUUUUAGUGAGAAAACACUCUCUAAGGAAGAUUUGUAGUCUUGGUGGUGUGAAGUUUGUUGUAAGCUUUUCAUUUGUAAGUGAAUACUUCAAUAGUGUAACUCUGUGAGGGUUGUCCUGAGGGAUAAUAAAACUUCCUAACUUGAUCGAGUGGAGUUUAGGGCAAAGAGGAAGUGAGCCUUCUUUUGUACACAAGAUUGGUUGUAUUUCAUCAACUUGAAGAAGUUUGUUUGAAUUGAUCUACAAGCUCAAGAGGGUAAUCAAAUAGUUUGCAAUUCUUCCUUUCUUAUUUACUUAUUGUUAUCUUGUGAUCUUUAAAUUGCUUAUAUCUUCUACUUUUCUCAAGUGAUUUUGUUCAUUCAUUGAUUGAUUCAUUAUGUGAUCACUUAGAAAAGAGGGUAAAUUUCAUAUUGAGCAAAAAGUGCCCAUAAUCUGAUUAAUUUCUUAAUCAACCUAAUUCACCCCCCUCUUAGGUUGUCUUCGAUCAUUACACUAUAAAUAAGUGGGAUUUUGUAAUUUUAACUCCACAAUAAGAACAUUUGUAUUCUCUUCAUGUCCUUAAGAACAUCUGUACCAUGAAUGAACAUUAAUGUUUAACAAAAGAAAAAAAUAGCGAUUAUUCGUAGCAUUCAUUUUCACCAGAAAAAGAAACAAAAUCAAUAACUACGGGCAUUUCAGCAUCUUCUUCCGUCACUGGCCAUAGCAUCACAAAGCUUACCUUAUUCACCGAAAGAUGGCUGUACCUUCAACAUUUUCCGGUCUCCAUUUUGCAGCUUUUCGGGCCUUCAACUUUCCGAUCUCCGUUUUGCAGCUUUCUGGUGAGAGCUUCCGAGAUGACCAGAGUUGGACUCCUUCCCUCCAACGGCUGCACUCUUGAUGAAUGCUGCUGCUUCCGAGGAUUUCAAUGGCGGAUUUGGGAUGCAAUUUCCCCUCAAUUUGUAUUUCCCAAUUUUGUUGUUUCUUACGGUUUUCUGGUUAAAUGAGUCAAAGAGAGGACUGAGGUUGAAGGAGCUGGGUUUUUGUUUUUGAUCGACAGACAAAGGACCUCGCAUUUCUCAAAUGCAAGGUCUAUUUAAAAAAAAAAAAUGCUACCUGGCUUUUUGUUAGCUCGCAUUUGCUGAAUGCGAACUAAGCUAGUUCGCAUUCAGAAAAUGCGAACCACUUGAUUUUAGAAAUUACCCCACAAAUACCGUCUCUUGUAGAAAAAUUUUUUUCCAUAAUAAUUUAAGAAUUUACUCGGAUAGUUUAUUACUAUUAUAAGAUAAAUCCAUGACGAAGUAAGGGAAGUGGAGGUCAUUCCAUGUCAGUAGUUAGGCAGCGUUGAAAGAUCCCCUAAUACUUCUUUUUAUAGAGGAAAUUCUUAAAUUAUUAUGGAAAACAAAAUUUUUACAAGAGAGGCUAUUUGUGGGGGUGAUUUCUAAAAUCAGGUGGUUUGCAUUUGCUGAAUGCGAACUAGCUUAGCUCGCAUUCAACAAAUGCGAGCUAACAAAAAGCCAGGUAUAAUUUUUUUUUUUUUUAAAUUGACUUCACAUUUCUCAAAUGUGAGGUCCUUUGUCUGUCAGUCAAAAACGAAACCCAGCUCCUUCAACCUCAGUCCUCUCUUUGACUCAUUUAACCAGAAAAAUCCUAAGCAACCACAAAAUUGGAAAAUGCAAAUUGAGGGGAAAUUGCAUCCCAAAUCCGUCAUUGAAAUCCUCGGAAGUAGCAGCAUUCAUCAAGAGUGCAGCCGUUGGAGGGAAGAAGUCCAACUCUAGUCAUUUCGGAAGCUCUCGCCAGAAAGUUGAAUCCCCGAAAAGCUGCAAAAUGAAGACCGGAAACUGUUGAAGCUACAGCCAUCUUUCGGUGAAUAAGGUAAGCUUUCUGAUGUUAUUGUCCAAUAACGGAAGAAGAUGCUGAAAUGCCAGUGACGGAAGAAGAUGCUAUUGUCCAGUUACGGAAUCUCGCAUAUGCAAUGCUGACCUCGCAUGUGUCAAACGUGGGGUUGCCUAACCUUUUGACAAGGUAACCUCGCAUUUGACAAAUGCUUGAAGCAAUUUUUUUUAAAAUUUUUGCAAAAUCAGAAAUUCAAUAAUAAAUCGCAUUUGCGAAAUGCGAACUUAGUGAGCUCGCAUUUUAUAAACGUGAACAACACUUAAGCAGAAUGCUACACUCAAAAAGCUCCAUUUAUAGAAAAAUUUUAAAUUUCAUCAUAAAUUUAGAAAUUUCUCCGUAAAAUCAAGAGCAAUUUUUAGUGGAUGUGACGAGGCCGUGACGACAUUUUUACUCAAUUCCUAGGCUGCAGCAAGCAGAUCUAAAGGACCGUUCCAAAUCCCCAAAUUUGGCCUGGAAAUAUAGCAAUCUUGACAAUUUUCUCAAAAAAUCUGGCAAAUUUCACUCAUCAGCUAGCAACUCCCAUAAUAUAGCAACCUUGAUAAUUCUUAUCCAAAAAUUUACUAGCAAUUUUUACUCAUCAGCUUGCAACUGUUCCCCAAUUCUUGACAUAGCUUAUACGACAUGAUGCUACUUAACCAAAACUGAAUGAAGCUGACAGCAUUUACAAGGAACUUGGGUCAGACUUCGACCAAGAUCAAGUAAACUACGAUCUCGGUUCUAUUGUGUCAACAACAAAUUGGAACCUAAGCACUUGGAACAAAUAUUGAACAUCCCAAUAUGCUCUGCCCAAUUAUGCUCUGUCAAAGGGAUUACUGACCGCAUCAAUGUGUACGGACCUGGAAUGCUGGGAUCCCAACCUUCACCACUUUUACUGAAACCUCUAUAGUACAUGAUAACAGCAUUACAGUAAAAUAUUUGUGCUCAAUAUAGCUAGUCAAGUUGUUUCGUCCAGUCAAAUGGAUCCCAAUCUUGGGCAAAAGCAGCAACAGCUUGUUUCUGCAUCUCCAACGAUAUAUGCUUCUGUCGACAGUGCAUGUCUUCAGCAGGCAAGCGUAGCAUACCUCUUAUCACAUUUAGGCCAAAGUUGCUCUUAAAUUGCUUUUCAUCAUCAAUCACAUGAACGAAUCCCUUGUCUAGGCCAAAUUCGACAUGAAAGUAAGGGAAGUUCUUUGGAACUGAAGCACGGAGGCCCUUCUGACUGGUAUCAAUCAGCUUCUUGGCAUUAUGUUGACUCCACUCCUCCUCUGCCUCAUCAAUUGCCUGUGACAUAUCAAAAAGUAGCCAAAUGUUAAGUAUCCAAGCAUGAAACUCGAGCAGUUUUUUAUUUUAAAGACAUCAACAUGUUAAACCAAAAUAAUCAAUCAAAAAGAUCCGAUUCAUCAAUGACUAACUAAUCUAUAAACAACAAACAACAGGAGUAAGUACGAUUGGUUUAGUAAGGAAAUUCUUGCUCUAAAAGGACACAAAAGAGAAUUUACUCUCUUCAGUUUUCAAGUACAAUCAUAAGAAUAUAGAUUUACUUCCAACAUGUCACAAACAUCUCAUAUGUCUCCUUCUAGCUGAAUCACAACUAUCAGAGUUGGAUAGAACACCUGCACCAGAUCAUGACAAAUUAUUUUUAAGGUUUUCUGAUGCACAAACUGAGUAAUUCAUAAUCAUCAUUGCUCUCCAUACAAAUCAAUCAAUUUCUGCUUUUGCUUUGCAUGCCUUGAUCAAUCAACAAUUUCGUCAAGAACUCAAAGGACUACUUUUACACUUGAUUCAGGUAACACCUAGAAAAGCUAUUGCAAGACUUCUUAAACAGUUAACACUGUCAAUAAUAAAAAUGAAAAGUGGACACCACCCUCCAUGCCCUUAUCUACGCAGCAAACUCCAUAUCGUUAAACACUUUAUCAUACCAAACUAAACACCACAAAAUUUUGGUCUAGAAGGAACCCCAUGAGCUCCAAUUUAUAUUUUUCUCCAAUCUUCAGCAAGUACUGAUUGGUCAAAAUUGAAAAAGAAUUAAAAAAAAAACACAUUCACACACACGGAUGGCCUCCAGAGUCAGGAUCACCUUUAAGAUUAACCAUCAGAAAGAUGCAAAAAAAAGAAGAAACUGAAGAAAACUAACCUUCUUGAAAUACAAAGGUGCCUGUUUUGCAACUUCAUGGGGCAGCGGAAUGCAAUCCAGCAAACAAUGGCGGCGUUGCUGUGCCAAGCCCAUCACUGUUUCAAGAAACACAACAUCCUUAUCCUGCUUAGCAAACAUCAUUAUCAGGCACUUCUUGAAAUUCCGGAUUUCGUCCCAUAUAUUGUUGUCUACAGUUCUUGUCCGAGACUCAUGCUGCACAUGUCAAAAACCAUUGUUAGCGCUGUGGGAUGAUGACAAUAAUUACAAGAUCAACUCAGCAGCAAAGUUAACUUUCUUUCGUUUCCUUUUCAACACUAUUAGUGCGUAAAAACUUAAAUGUCCAUCACAAAGUUCUACGUGGCAAGCAGAAACGAUAAUCUGGGUUACCAAGGUUUCACAUUUUUCAGCAACUAAUGAAAUGUUAAUUUGGAGUAUAUUACCUUUUGCUGCCCUAUGGAUUAAGCACAAACACUUGUAAGAAUAUACCCUGAACCCCAAUUUGGUUUUAAAGAUGCAAAUGCACAACCUUCACUAGGGCAUACAAGUAGCUAUAACAUAUCAUGAAACAUCUGUAAUGCAUAUCCGUUUUGGUUCUCUUAAUUGGUUGUUUAACUGAAGAAUGCAGACCUAACCACUUUUUUGUAUACAGGGUACCUCUAAAAGAAAGGAGAAAGCAAUUCCUAUGAGUCUAAGUUUGUGAAGCACAGUGCUGAGAUAUCUCUAAAGGAUUAGGGAGAUAUCUCUAAAGGAUUAGGGACAUGCAUCUUUAUCAUAUAACAGACUAGAAAAGAGGCAUUCGUCGUACACGCUCAAGCUCCAGAAUUACAGUGGAGCAAUCCUGCUCUGGCCUAGAUAUAAACUGUAAAUAUGGGGAGAGAGAGAGAGAGAGAGAGUUCACCUGCAUAGUUAAAAUGCAGCAAUGACCAGGGACAACAGGCUGCCAAUGAGGUCGAAACAAAAUUGACACCUCUCUUUCUGUGUCAAGAGGCGAUUUGCAAUCCUAGUUGCCUGACUUAUCUCAUUUGGUUUUUGGUCUGUACCCAUUCCUUUGUGCCGAGUCUUUUUCCUUGGACCAUCAUCAUAAUCAUACUCAUCAUCUGCCUAACCAGAGAUGUUAUACUGCUGGUUCCACAUUAUCUUUUGAGCCAGAUACAAGUCAGCGUCGUCCUCCUUCAUCUUUUGUCGAGCAGAUACACCAUGAAUGAUAUAUCUGCUUGUGCUCCCAUCAAUCCGUGGUCUGUGAGACUCAUCCUCAGCAUCUGGCUUUGCCUUUGUGUUUUCAGCCUCCUUCACAAGUUUUUCAGCCUCUUCAUGUUUCCCUUUCAUGCGAAGCUGCAUGACUUUGGCAGCCAACUGGUUUGCCUUCAAUGCUGGCUUCACAGUUGGACCAUCUUCACCAUGUCUUUCAACCAAAUUUGAUUCCACUAGUCUGUCAUUUUUUGCAUUUGAAGAACUGACAGGAUCAUUUGAACUAUCAUUUUUCUUUUGCAUAAAGUCACGCAUAAAGCUUCCAUCAUUGGAAAACUUAUUUAAGCUAGACACUGCAGCAGAGAGGUUGAUAUCCUGAGCAGGCAUCUUACGCUUUCCCCAGGAUAAAGAAUCCUGAACUUUUGGUAUUCUCAUAUUAGCAUGGCACGAAGACCCAUCCUGCAAAAAGUUACUGUUAGGAUUCUAAAACUUAUCAGGAAAGGGAAGAAAACCAUCCAUAAAGAAAUAUGACUGGGAAAGUCUGGGAAGUUUUUGAAAAAUUACCAAAAACUAAUCACAUACUUCUUUUGAAAUUGGAAAAUUUUGUAUCAUUAAGCCAACGUCUUUCAGAAACAACACAGUCUGGAGAAAUCAUACCUUCUCAAUAAAUAUUCCCUUGUCUCUAUCUGCAUCUGUUUGUUCUCCGUCCUUUAGCCUUCUCCUCCGACUUUUUAUCGCAUGAAGAUGAGCAUGAUUUGGUGCCACUCUAUGGGAUGCCACAGAAACUGCCAGCUCUCCAAGAGAGCCCCACCGAUCUUCAACCACCUGUACAAAGUUAGUUCAUUACACAAUACUAGCUUGAAUGAAGAAUCUAAAUAAGAAACCUAAGACAAUCCCACAUACCUCCUCAAGCUUCCGUCCUUCACAGGCUGCUUGCUCCUGAGCUCGUUUCAAUGCUUUCAACCUCCAGCUUGCACCUCCAUCACCCACAAGUGAAGAAAAAAGAACUUGGUUCUGACAAGCAUUAACAUCUGAAUCUUCUGGAUACCCACUACCAUUAUUCUUCAAAUAUGGAUUCAAGUCCCUGGGAUUCAUCUUCUUAGUCUGAACCAAAAAAUAUACCAGGAAAUAGAAUAACCAAACUGUAUUUGAAAAUGCAUGAUAACAGCAAUUUGGCAUCUACAGAUAAAAUCAGCCCAGAGAACAAUCCACAACAGGCAAGAUAAACACUCUCAACGUUGACAAGAAAACACAAGUAUUGGCAGAUCGGUCAAACCAAUCAUAUAAAAAAUUACAUGAAGGCACAACUCAACUGAACAAAAGCCACAGGGCAAUGCUUCCUGCAAGAACAUGUAGUUUUGUGCAUAGACGAGUUGAUUUCAGACCCAAAAAUAAAUAAAUAAAUCAAUAAAGCACACACACACACAAGUUUGGAGAAAAGAACUAAAUAAAAAUGGAAAAAAUCCAGAAGGGAAUUUAGAUUAUCACUUUGAAUUGAGAUUGACUCAUUCAAGGUCAUCCAGGAUUGAAAUGUUACCAUUGCUACUAAGCUAAUAGCACGUGAGAAUAUACUACAAAAGAACCAAGUCCUUAAUCCAAUUACUCCAAGAGAGCCGUUAAAGCCUCUCCAAGUGUCUCUAGUCUCCCCUGUCUCAUUUUUAUUGAUCCUAAAUGCUUGUUCUGUCUAUUAUCCAUUAACACCAAAGUUCCUCAAACUCCAAUUACCAACAGGCAGCCCCUAUCCAUUUCUCGUCUUUUCUUGACAAUCAAAAGAAGAAAGCGGGGCAAACGAUUGAACCCAAAAAUGUCAAUCGCAGCCUUUUUUUUUUUGGGGGGGGAACCAAAGCACAUAGAAGUUCCUUUACCAACUGUUGUUCCCAAGGUUUCUCCAUCACCAAAAUUCUGGCCUUUUUAAACUAAAACGUUGCCGCUACAGUAUGUUCAAUGGUAGAGAACAAACAUCAGAUUUACGCGUUUGCAGAUUUUACAUUAAAAAAAAAGUCUAAAUAAUUUGAAAGCUAACCUCUUCACGUUCAACCUGAACCUCCUGUUGCUUGUCCGAAACCGUUGCCGGAGUCUUUUCCAUGGUAUCCUUCGGUCGCAGCAUCCAGUCCAAACCCAUCUCUUUCCUUGAAAUAUCUCUCAAGUUCUGGGAUUCAGAACCUCCACCAUUAUCUGACCAAUUUAGCAAAAGAAUAGACAGAUUAGUGGAGUCAAAUAAUUUCAUCAAUGAAUGGACUUUCACCAUGAUUUUCAGAUAUUUUCAGGGUAUAAACAAAUUUUUAAAAAAAGGGGAAAAAAACCUUACCCGUAUCCCAUUUACACAAGAAAUCGCACAGAAAGGCAGCCAUAACAAAUCAAUCUUUAACCCAAAAUUAAUUCUCUGUUUGAAGACUCUUCACCAAACAGCAAGUCGGUAGCAGAAGUUCAAGAGAAGGAGAAGGAAAAAUAAAAGGGCGAAGAAAACGAGGAGGCUUUCAUAUCAUAUGCGCGGUGGGUGGUGGUGAAAUUCGAAGCACAGAGGGAGAAUAGAAUAACAGACUCGAGUCGGAAACCUCCCUUGAAGAGGUUUCUGGCGGUGCUUCACAAACCUCCCUUGAAAAAGUUUCCAACGGUAUUAGUAUUUUUUUUUUCAGAGAUAACAAUUAUAGUAUAACCUAUGUAUCCUAAAUUAUAGGGAAUGAGAGUCGAAAAAGGCAUUGUAUUAGGAACUAAUAGGUACACAAAUUUUACUAAAUCAAGGGAGUGCUUUAGUAUAAUUCUUCAAUUUUUUUUACCGCAUAUGAGAUUUAAACCACCCAACUACAGCACAAGGAGGUGUUAAAGGGACUUAACACUAUGCCACUUAGCCAAGCACAGUAGUUUCUAACGGUAUUAGUGGUACCCUUAAUUCUGAAAAAUCUCACUUCUCUUAAUUAUUUUUUUGGGAUAAUUUCAGAAACCUCCCUUUCAUGCAGCCACGACCAAAUAUCACCAUUAGAAACCUUCAAAUGAUCAAAUUGCCCUUAAAAACUUGUGCCAACAAAUAUUGAAAAUAUGAGAAAAAGAAAUUAUUUUAAAGUAUAAUUUUUUUCUGCUACUUGGCACCAAAUAGUUGGAGGUAUAUAUAUGUUUAAAGCGUCAAAUAACACUUAUAAUGGCAUUAUCUAAGAAAAUCCAAAAUAGCUUUAAAAAAAAAACAAGGAACUAGAGGCUCAACCGUUCGUGAUACUUCACUUGGUGAAGGAUUUGUGCUAAAAGGUGACAAAUAUACCACAAUUUAGGUUGCAGCAAAUUCACUAGAUGUAAAAAGAUCAAAGCUUUUUUUGGUUUAUUAAACCUACUUAUAAGUUUUCUAAGUAUUGAUUGUUAUUUGUCAUAUUAAUGCACCUAAUGCUUGUCAUGGAUAUAAUUUAAAUUAGAAGAUUAUUAAGUUUUCCAAGUAUUGAUUGUUAUUUAUCAUAUUAAUGCUUGUCAUGGAUAUAAUUUAAAUUAGAAGAUUAUGCUAUACUUGUGAAUGUGCCUUUAUGCUAUUUUAUGAUGGUUACAGAUGACUUUGUUUAUAGAAUAUUUUCAACUAAAGUUCCCAUGAAUUUUUCUUUUGGCAAUUUUGCUAGCCUUAUAUGCUGACACCAAAUUUUUUAUUUAAUUUUAGCUUUACUUGUUUUCAAUUUUAGGUUUAUUUUAUUUUUAUUUUUAUUUUAUUAUUUAUUUUGCCUUCAUACCAAAUUUCAAAAAAAAAAGAAAAGAGAAAAAAGAGAAGAAAGGAAAAAUCCCCACAAAAAAUUAAAUUUGUUUUAGCCCUUUAGAUUUGGAUUUAAAGCACUUUAAUAGCAAUAAAUUUUCUAUUAAGAAUUAAUUUCUGUUGUUUAAACUUGAAUAAAAAAAAAGAAAAAAAAGAGAAAAAAGGACACACGUUAUUUCCUCAUUUUUACAGGCUUCGGACAACACAGAAAAUUGCAGCUGGCCAUUUCUUCCAUUUUUUACUCAUUUUCCGUUGCAUUUUUUUUUUCCUCCAAGUACUCUCAGUACAAGGCCAACGCAUCUUGGUGUUAAGUUCCAGGAUCAAUGCCCAUCUAAGGGCCCAAAUUCUUGCCAAAAAUGCAGCUCCAAUCUCCUCCCUUUGUUCUAGGUUUUGGAGGGUUUCGGCAGCUAUAAAAGCUAAGGAUAACAAGCAAAGAGAGGGGGGGUGGUGACGGCUGAGAAUCGAAAGGAAAAACAAAUGGACAGGAGCGGCUAGGUUUAGAGGAAGAGAAUUUGGUGAGUAUAAGAGAUAGAGAGAGCGUGGGAUAGAGCAAAAAGAAAACAGCAAGAGAAGGAAAACAGGGAGUGAAUAGCAGCGGAGAAAAGAGCGAGAGAGGUAGGAGAUCGAGGGUGGCGUUCGGCUGCACAAGAGGAAGAACCAAGCGAGGAAAACUGAGGGAAGGCAAGGUGAAGUGAGGUUUCGGCUAGAGGAAGGAAACCGAGAAAACAAGAAAGAAGAAACUCAGAGCCUAGAGUAUCAAGCUUGCGUUUUUUUUUACUGAAGACUGCAAUUUCAUCUCCUUCGAUCGCUGGUGGAGCGUAUUCAAUCUCUUGCGGAUUCUCCAGCGCCGAAAUUUCUGUAGUAAAGACUUUGGCUUGCAACCUCAGAUUUAAAUCUUGCUAUCCUCAGAUCCCUCACGUUUAACUAGUGUUUCCCAGCAUUAAAGGUAACCCUUUUAUCUUUUUCCGCUUAUACCUCAUCAGACUUGAAAAAAUAUAGUUGAAAUCUUUGCUGCCAUGCCUGCUGUUGCAUUUUUCAGCUUUCCUUCCUUCCUGUUUGUGAUUUGGUAGGAAAAGAGGAUUGUUGAAUCUUUGAUCUUGUGUCAUCGCUUGUUUAUUUUUGUUGGAUUGAGGCUCCUAUGGGGUUAGACCAUGAAUCCGUGAGUCUUGCUUUGGAUUAUUGCUGUUCUCAUGUGUUGAACAAAUUUCUGAAGUUGCAGAAUAUGGUUGAUUCGUUGAGUUGCAUAGUUUUGGUUUGUUGCUUGCUGUAGUGUCGACAAAUCCUUUUCCUUUCUUCGGUUGCUGGGGUUUUAGCUUGUUUGCGGUUCUUGACUUGCUUGCUGUUUGAUUGGGAUGGCCUGUCUAUGUGUACCGCAAGUCUCACUCCUUUCUUUGCUGCAUUUCUGGUCUAAUUGAUUUGAUUGGAUCUUCUAGGAUAGAUGAUCAUGUUAAUGACAAUAGGAUAAAAUCCUAGCACUUGGGUUUGGUUGUCCAAUAGAGUUUGUUUCUGAGUUUCUUGCGCACAAACAUAUCCAAGCUGAAAUAAAAUAAAAAGCUGCGUUCAUCCUUAUGACUUGCUGUGUUCUUUCCCGCAACAGCCUCACCAAAUGGGUUUGCCACCUAAUUUGCUAUGUGAUCUUGUGUUAGAAAGAGGAAGUUGAAUCGCUGGUGUUGAUUUUGUGUGUUGUUGGUUCAAAGGCACAUAGAUUAGGCUCGAAUAUUUGCUGGAAAUCAAGUUCCCGUAAUGGCUGGAAAAUGCAGAAUAUUGCUCUUCGAUGCAUGCAUGAUCAUGUUACCAAAAUUGCACUUUGCUCCCCUUAGCUUCUAUCUAUGCUUCUAUGGCCCAAAGAAUGGGAAAAAUCAAUCAAAUUGCCCCCUCAAACUUUCUUUUUCCUUUUUAAUUGGAUCCUAAUUUUGUGAAUAUGGACUGUUUAGUUAUUUAAAUGCUUUUAAUGAUUCAAUUUCAUAUUUAUGUGAUUAUUUGUGAUGCCUUGACCUUUUCUUUUAUUUUUGGAGAGUAAAUAAGCAAUUUCACUCCAUUAAGGCUCCAACUCAAGGGAGGUACAUCAUAUCCCUUAUUUCUUACUUUAUUUGACGUGCCCUAUGUGACUUUACGUGUUUAAUUGCAUGCCUCUUGGAUGUUUAUUUAUUUAUUUCAUUUAUUUAUUUAUUUGAUUUAUUGGCUUUAGCUUUGUAUAUUUAUUUUAGUUCAAUUUUGAUCAUUUGAAAAGCAUUUGAAUGCCAAAGUUGUAAUAGCUAGGUUAUUAUUAAUUAUUUUGUUCCUUUCCCUCCUAGAUUGUAGUAGGCUUCCCCCGAAUGUAAUAGUUAGGGUCUUAUUUGUUUUAUUUGCCUUGUGUGUUUUUGCAUGCCUAUGUGUUAUGUGUUACUCGCUUUCCUAGGGUCUUGCAUCUAGAUACCAUACUUAUGUGUUAUGUGCUAUAUGUGAUUUACGUGUUUACCUACUUUUAUUAGGUCUUACAUGAUUUAUUUGAUUGUAACUGAUGUGUGACGUCACCACACUAGUCCAACGCUAGUUGUGGUCAAUUUCUCGAAUCCACACUAGUCCAACGCUAGUUGUGGCCUUUUGUUCCGACAUUUCUCACUGGUCCAAUGCUAGUGAGAAAUUGUAGACAUAGGCUAGUCCAACGCUAGACCCUUAGGAACAAUCCGCACGUUAGAUCAUGAUUGUAUGAUAAAUCACUUCAUCUCAUGCAUAUUUUCACAUUUUAGGGCCUUUUAUCAUGUUUUGCAUGACAUCCCUCUUUAUACGUAUAUCCCUUCCCCCAUAUUUUUCCUUAUAUGUAUAUUACUUACCCCUUUGUAUGAAACAUGACAUUAGACUUGCAUUCCAUUUAAGCAUUAGACCUAGGUUAGUACAUUUGCUUGGUUAGACUAGAAAAAAUCCCUUGGAUAUGGGAUAUGGACGAGUUUGGCUUCUCUAACCUUAGCACGCUCGUAUUUCCUCUAUUAAAGGGAACAUUGGAGUCACGAACAUUAGUUCCCCCGUACCCGACAUGAUGCAUUCCUUUAGGCCACGUAUAUUUGUAUAAUUACUCUUAUUUUCCUUUUCUUUCUUUCGAGUCUCAUGAUUUGCAUUAUUUGUGACUUUUUCGAAGAGUCUUUAUUGGGCGUCACAAUUAAUGUGAUUGGUACCAAGUAAGUUUUGAAGAUACAUUUCGACCCUCCGAUACCCUAUUAGGUUUAGGGUUUGCAUUCAUAUAAAACAUCCAAAAUGUGAUAAAUCUUAAGGGUAAAAUAAGAAAAUCUUUGACUAAAUCGCGCAACUAGCCUUGGCUAGGUUGAAAGGGUGCCUUGGAUUCUUAUUCUUGCCUUCCCUUUUUUCAAAUGUGACUCCCGAAUCUUUUUCUCUGAUUUUCGUAGACUUGGAGUCGUUUAAAAAGCGUUUUCUACUUUUCCCUUUAAAAUUCAUUUUUUAGGUGACUUGGUACACCUUAACUCUAUACCAAGUGGCGACUCUAUUUUUUGUUCAAAAAAAAAUCCUUUUUAAACUAUAUUUUGGGUCAAAUCGUCGCAUUUUCAAGUCCCAUUUAGACCCACAUGUUUUUCAUUUUCUUUUUAAAUCAAAAAUUCAUUUUUUAAUCAAAAAUUGAAUCAAAAGCCAUUUUCCUAAACUCGUCUUUUAUUUUUCUCUAUUUAAAAAUGGAGCGCGACAAUUGGCGACUCCACUAGAGAUUUUGAGAGUCCGAGCAAAUUUGAUUUAGUCAAUCUUUUUUUUCUUUUAACCUUUUCAUAUAUCAUAUUUGGAUGUUUAGGGUUGCAUUUUUCCUUUUUAGGAUUUUUGCAUUUCACGCGUAUCAAUUCACUCCAUCACCCUUUGCAUACAAUUGAUUUUGAUGGAUGGAUGGUUUAUUUAUGUGAUCCCGUGCAUUGCAUUGCAUUUGGGUAGGGGGUAUUUCCCUAGAGUCUCGCGUUGAUUCUCGAUCCCUCCUCUCCAAACGAGCACUGGCAUACGUGCAUACGCUUUAUUUUUUAUCCCUCCUUUAUUUUUCUUUUAGUGGCUUGUCACGCCACUCUACUCUAUUAGGAUUAGGCGACCCACUUGGACGUAUGAUCGCGACACGACGUGUGCGUAACAUGAUCCGAGGGGUCACUCAAUCUUCUGCUUUAAGCUGUGGGUUAAUAACCUUUAGCUUUUAGUCGAAGGUUGAGGAUUUUUAUAGAUUCACUCAGACAUGUAGCUCUGAUACGACGUGUGCGUAGCAAUGUCUGGGGAAUCGCUCGAGCCACCGACAAAGAAUCUUGGGAUUGAUGACCCUUGGUUUCCCAGUCUGAAGGCUCGGGGACCUAAAACCUGUCGAGUUUAGAUGCAUUAGUGAGUCAAUACCUCAUGCAUCCAUAAUAGUUCAUCUAGGACAGAGUCUGUCUCACCCUAUUAGGGACACCAUUUGUUAGGAAAUUGGAUUAAUUUCUUUUAGGUAAAAUUCCUGUUUUGUGUGGAAGUAACUAGUUUCCUAAUUGGAUUUAGUUACUUGAAGUAGUAGUCAAGUAAAUUCCUAUUUAGCUAGAUACUAUUUUCUACUCUAUGUGAGUUUAGGAAAUAGUAUUGAUUUCCAAUUGUUAUUUGGUUUUUUUGGCAGUAAUGUUCCCUAUAAAUAGGUGGGUUGGCAUACUACAAAGAUACACAAGAAAGGAGCGAGAGAGUUCUUAGUAGGUGAGAGAGUUAUACAAGAGUUGGGGUUUGGGAAUCAAGUUGUAAUCUUGUGGUGUUUUUCUCUCAUAGUAAGAACAAGUUUUUCUCUCCGUGGAUGUAGGCUUGGUGAUUAAGCCGAACCACGUUAAUUCUUGUGUGUUGUUCAUCGUUCGUGUUAGAUAUUGUUUUCUAUUAAAUUGUUGGUCUUUUCUUUUUCAAAUAAUUGGCCUGAUAUCCCAACAAGUGGUAUCAGAGCCGAUGGUUCGGCUGGGCAGUGACUCCAGGAUAAAAAGCCAGUGGGAGUGGUAAGGCGUGGCUUGGAUAAGAGCGGGGAAAAAAAAAAUCAUGCAGACCUGCAGUGAGGUAAGGGCAUGUGGGCUCUUGAGCAAGAAUCGUACACUCUAGAUUGAAAUGGGCUUGAUGGAGUGGAUGGACUAGGGAGAGAGGUCCGAUGUGAAAAAGAUUCACAAUUGAGGGGGAGAUUGUUGGGAUAUCAAGUGUGAAUCAAUAUCCCACAUCGGAAAAAGAUGAGUAGAAUGAGGAACAUAUAAGAGAUGAGUAGAAUGAGGAACAUAUAAGUGGGAACGAUCCAUAGACCCAAUGCCUUAAGGUUUUGGGUUGGAUGUGGUGUCAAGCCCAUGGUUGUGGUUCCCAUUCUAGCUCAUGGUUAAAUUCUCCCCGGGUUUGGCUUUCUCCGAGCCCAACAAGUGGUAUCAGAGCUCCGUUGGGAUUUUGGUUAAUUAUUUGAAAUUGGGUGGUGGUAUACCAUGGGGUUUGGAACUAUACAGUUUCCAAUUCAACCAUUUAAUGGAACUACAAGUUUCACUCUUUGGCAAAGAAGAGUGAAGGAUGUUCUAGUUCAACAAGGUUUGGCAAAAGCGUUGAAUGGAAAGAACAAGAAGCCAGAGAGAAUGAAUGAUGAUGAGUUUGAAGAGUUGGACGCAAGAUGUGCGAGCACGAUUCGGCUCUAUGUGGCGGACAACAUCAUAAAUAAUGUGAUAGAUGAGGAAGAUUCUGCAGCAGACCUCUGGAAAAAGUUGAAAAAACUUUAUCUGGCUAAAAGCUUAUCCAAUAAGUUGCAUCUAAAGCGGCAACUUUAUGCACUAAAGAUGGUGGAGGGUGGCAGCCUCAUGGAUCACAUGAAUACAUUCAACGGAAUUUUGGAUCAACUCCAAAAGGUUGGCAUAGAUAUUGAGGAAGAAGAUAAGGCCCUUUUACUUCUUACCUCAGUCUCUGAUUCUUACGAAAGUGUCGUGACAACCCUGUUGUAUGGGAAGGACACUUUAGAGUUCGAGAAUGUGUAGUCUUCUUUGUUGGGUCAUGAAAAACAAAGGAAGGCAAACUAGGAUGUGACACAAGAAGUUGCGUUAAUUGCUCGAGGUGAGAAUAAAAGAGGAAAACAAUUUGGCGGUGAAUCUAAGGCAGGUGGUUCAAAGGCCAAGGGAAAGGGUGGAAUCCAGUGCUUUGGUUGUCAUGAGUUUGGCUAUAUCAAAAAAUAUUGUCCUCAUCGAAGGAAAAAUGAUGAGAAUGACUAUGAUAAUGUUGCUGGAUAUGCAUCGGGUGGAGAUAUUCUCACAAUCUCCAAAGGUAAUAAUACUUCUUCUCGUGAUGGUUGGAUUUUAGAUUCUGGAUGUGUUUCACAUGUUUGCUCCAGGUUAGACUAUUUUGAUACUCUCCAAAGAAAGAAGGCAGGUUUUAUGUCCUUGGGUGAUGGAUCUACUUGUCAAGCCAAAGGUGUUGGAGUGGUGAAAAUCAAAAUGUUGAAUGGAGAGAUUCGUUCUUUGGGUGUGUGGCUUAUGUCCCAAAAUUACGAAGGAAUCUAAUUUCUUUGAGCCAGUUAGACUCCGAGGGUUACCAUUUUUCCGCUGCAGGUGGAGUCUUGAAAAUCACACAUGGCGAUACGGUCUUGUUGAUGGGGAAGAAGUAUGGUAAUCUGUACCAUUUGAAUACCUCAAUGAAUUGGGAGCGGCAGGGGAUCCAAGAAUGCUCUCAAAUUACAAAUGGUGGUGAGAGAAAAAAUCCUGCUAUGGGAGAGGGUGCAUUGAGGCCCCUCUCGCGAGUCAACUAGAUGUUGGACUCGGUUAACUACGCACGUUCAUUUGCCGAUUGAAUCAAUUGAAAAUAAGACCGUAUUGAUUCGGGUGUGUAGUUAGGCACCAAGGUACUUGGUGGGAAAAAGCAAAUGGAGUUUUUUUGGAUGGUUUGCUGUGUUUGCUAAAAGAAAUUUUGCCAAGGUGGAGAUUUGUUAGGAAAUUGGCUUAAUUUCUUUUAGGUAAAAUUCCUGUUUUGUGUGGAAGUAACUAGUUUCCUAAUUGGAUUUAGUUACUUGAAGUAGUAGUCAAGUAAAUUCCUAUUUAGCUAGAUACUAUUUUCUACUCUAUGUGAGUUUAGGAAAUAGUAUUGAUUUCCAAUUGUUAUUUGGUUUUUUUGGCAGUAAUGUUCCCUAUAAAUAGGUGGGUUGGCAUACUACAAAGAUACACAAGAAAGGAGCGAGAGAGUUCUUAGUAGGUGAGAGAGUUAUACAAGAGUUGGGGCUUGGGAAUCAAGUUGUAAUCUUGUGGUGUUUUUCUCUCAUAGUAAGAACAAGUUUUUCUCUCCGUGGAUGUAGGCUUGGUGAUUAAGCCGAACCACGUUAAUUCUUGUGUGUUGUUCAUCGUUCGUGUUAGAUAUUGUUUUCUAUUAAAUUGUUGGUCUUUUCUUUUUCAAAUAAUUGGCCUGAUAUCCCAACACCAUUCACGAGGGGAGAGAUCCAACCCCUCUAUUCCUUUUAUUGCUUUACCUCUUUGUAUUGCUUUGCUACAAAUGUGUUAUAUGUAUUUAUCUGAUUGAACUAACUUCUCUUAAUUUUUUGUUUCCAUUGCAUUCAUAAGCCCUAGAAAAAUAAGAGUCCUGGCAUGGUACUCUCUAGGAGUCUACCUUAUUUGAUGUGACACGUUUAAAUUUAAUGCUUGGCAUUUUCAGCAUAAAUACAUGUUAUUUUAGACUCACCCCGACAUACUAAAGGGGGUUCCCUUUAGGUCACGUUUCAUUUGUAUACUACAUGUUUACGCGCUUUAAUAAACUGGCAUCAUGCAUCCACCUUAGAAGGGAAUGCCAUUUAGGGAAUCUCGUGUUAGGAACAAACCGCCCUAUGUCUCGGAUAUAUAAUCCAAUGAGACUUGCACGUUUAUAUUUCCUAUACUGUCCGAAGGGGUAGUGCACGAUGUAAGGUAGGAUCCGAUCUUUUCAAAGAUGGUAAAGCAAUUUUUUGCACAUUGGAAUAUGGGCAUCUAAUAAUUAUUUUUUGGCCAUUUUAAACAAAAUUGGUAAGAAAUUCCCUUGCGUAAAUGACAUUAACUUGAAGAAAUUCACAAAUGAUUCCUCACUGUUGAGACGAUAAAUGUAGAGGCCAAAUCUUGAUUUUAGAAGGGUCAUAGACUAAUGCAUCGCAAACUACCAGUGGAUAGAUUGAUUUUUAAAUAAACCAUCAAUUUCAUUCAAUCUAUUGAACCAUUUUAUUCAUCAAUUUCAUCCAAUCCAUUUUUUAUUUUUUUUAUUCACUCAUUUUUUUAGGACUAUCUAAGUCAAUUUUGAAUAAGUCAUCCUUUGUUUGAUCUGAUCAAUUUUGAAUAAAUCACCAAUUUCAUUCAAUUGACUAGUUCACUCAUUUUUAGGGCAAUCCAGUCGAUUUUGAAUAGAUCACCAAUUUCAUUCAAUUCAUUUGAUUAGUUUACCCAUUCUUAUGGCAAUCUUAUUGAUUUCGAAUAAAUCAUCAAUUUCGUCCGAUCCAUUUGACUAGUUUACCUAUUUUUUAGGGCAAUUCGGUCGAUUUUGAAUAAAUCAUCAUUUCACUCAAUCUGUUUGAUCAAUUGAUUUCAUUCAAUUCAUUUGAUUAGUUUAAUUUUUUUAGGGUUAUACAUUCAAUUUUGAAUAAAUCAUCAAUUUCAUUUGACCAAUUUACCAAUUUUAGGGUGACCCAGUCAAUUUUCAAUAAUUUAUCGGUUUCAUCCGAUCCAUUUGACGGUUUACGGUUUCGGUGCCAAAUUUUAGAAUUAAAAUGGCUAAUUGUUUUGAGGAAAUCAUCAAAACGCAUUCAUUCGACUUGGAUAGAUUAGGGUUUCGAUUCAUUUUAAGAAAUUUCAAAUUUCUCUAAUGACAAGCUCCUCAAAGUUAAAUCAAUUUGUACGAAUUCCUAUGCCAACCAAAACCAUUUCUUCAUUUAGAGGUUUCCUGCUGUUCAAUUGGCCCAAAAUUUUCAAAUUGCUUUCCAAUCAACUGUCAAUGAGUUGAUCGGAUCCAUCAGGUAUGGUAUAGUGCCUAUCUCAAAGGAUUACAUCAUGUUAGGCCUACCCUUGGUACUAAAAAGGUCCCCCAUAGGACAUGCAUACCGAUUUUGUAGUUUUGCCUACUAACUCGGGGUAUUUUUCUUUUGUUUUCCCCCCUCUCCUGCAUUCAUAAAAAUGUUUUAAUAAGGUGAAAAUAUUUUUCUAUGUCUGCUAAAAUUUGAAAAUUACAAGUAUUACUUGAUUCUUUGGUAAAUCCUACAUUGAAAACAUGAAAGAUGCAUCUGAAAGCUCUAGGCUAAAGCCUCUGAGAGACUUUGUAAUUGUUUUUCAAAGGAAAAUUCUGUUUAUUUGAUUUGUUAAUAUAUUUUUGUUCCAAAAAAGGGAGACAAAAGUGUAUAUGUGGGGUUUUUUUUAGAAGUUUUUUCUUCUCAUUUGUAUUAUAAUUGAAUGAGAAAUUUUGUUUAAACUUUUUCAGCAAUAAAGUCUUUGGACAAUUAUAGUUUUGUGUAUAUUUAUGUACAUUUGAUUUUGUAUCUUGCUCAUUAGAGAUUUCAUGAUGAAUUUUGAGAAAAAGAUUAAAUUGAGAUUUUUUCAACCCCCAGCCUGAAAAAUUCACAAGUGUAUGCCUUCCAAAAUCUUUACGUUCACAAGAUUAGUGAUCCAAACUGUACAAUAAGAGUGCCCGAAAUUAAAAGAAGCCACUCAAACUGAUAGAUCACUCAAAAGUCCCAAUGAAAUACCUUUUCUCCUUCACAAAGCACCCAAAAAUAAAAUAAGUCACUUUGACUGAUAAAAUGCAAAUUGGGGUAAUCUUUGCUUGAAAAAUGUUCACUGUGCCUAAUUAUAUUCAAUUCACAUCUAAGUGAAAGCAAAAUGUGCAUUAUUCUUGUUUGUUUUGAAAAAUUGGAAUGAUACUUCGAGCGCUCGUUUCUCUACCCAUACAGAUUUUAUCAUUUGCUCUCCCAUUUGAGCCUCUGAAAGAAUAAUUUCGUUUCAAAUAAGAGUCUUAAUAAUCACUACCCUACAUUGGAAAGUUCUUAGAUAUAAAAAAAAGGAGUGGAUUUUCAAUGACUAUUUCGUUACUUUGGUUGUCAUGAGGUGUAAGAAUGAUACUUUGGCCAUCGUUUCUACAACCUAAACACUAUUUAUCCUUUGCAUCCUCAUUUGAGCUAAAAUGGGUGUUUCUUGUCAAAAGCACUUACGAUCGCACCCUAUAUUGGGGAAAGAGAUUGGAGAAUUUUCCAAAAGGGGAAAAAUGCUAAAAUUAAAAGAAAGAGAGAACCCCGAAUGGGAAAAUUUAUUCUACCUGGGUUUCAAUUUUUUUUUAAAAAAAAAAAGAGAAAAGAAAAGAGAAAGAGAAAAGAAAGAAAAGUUGUCCGGCGGAUCCUCUAUGUUUCACGGAUAUGGAUGAACGGAAGUCAUCCUUGGUUAAUUGAUUCAGAUGCAUGCAAAAAAUUUCGCAUUAAUGAAAAUUUUCCUUUCAGAGUUAAUGUAAGGAACGGAUUAAAAGUCAGACCCUCUUCUUUUCCAAUCAAGCAUUCUAUUCCUAAUUAUCCCUUUUGAGCUUUCAAAAUAAAAUAUUUCAUUUGGCAACCCCUGAGAAUCGCAAACCCCACACUGGGACAAGUUUGAGUUGAAAAAGAAGAAAAGUCUCAAAAGGUGAAAAGUGAUAAGGCAACAAAAUCAAAAGACAAAGAAAGAAAAGAGAAUCUCAGUUGAACAUGAACCGGGGCAAAUUUUGAAAAGUUCAAAAGAAUGGCAGAACGCCAAAAAGAAAAAAGAGAGAAAAAUGAAAGAAGAAGACCCUCAAUUGAGAAUAAACUGGGGUGAGUUCUGAUUUAACCCUAAAAUAGGGUUGGCGCAAUAAUGCGAUCUCAGAUCAUUUAAACCACUUUUGAAAAUUUACUUUCAAAUCUUAACUUUUCUAAGCAUCCCACCAGACUCCAUUACAAAAGUCGAAAGUCCUGACUUCUGUUUCUUUGCAAUAUCUCUGUCAAGAAAAUUUCUAAUUGGCAAGUGAUGCUUGUAUACUGAUGCCAGAAUUUUUUUUAAUGUAUUUCUGAAUUGAUUAGCUGUGAAAUUGACAGUACUUAUCAUCUGAAAAUCCGCCAGGGCACCUUUGAAAAGAAAGGAAAAGGAUAAAGCAAAAAAAAUAAAUGCAAAGGAAAUGAAAAAGAUUUGAUAGUCCCUGUUAAGUGAUGACGAAAGUCACCAAAUCUAAGAUCUUUAAGUUCAAAAUAGGGGCAAUUUUGAAAAAAUGCGAUCUUCUGUGCAACGUUCUUGAAAGUCUUAUUCUUUAACUAUCGUUUUCAAGCCACAUUACAAGCUCAUAAAGUCCAUCGUUGACUUAUCCUUCAUGACAAUUCGAAGUGAGGAUUAUACUUUUGAGAAAUCCAUCAUUCAUUUGUGAUCUUAAGGCUAUAACCUUUUUCCACAUGUUUAAUUAUCGUUUCUGCCCUCAUAUUACAAGCCUAAAAAGCUUAUGUGUGACUAAAUUUUCUUAAGAAAUAGGGGUGACAAACUAUUUGCUUUCACUAAGAUGUGGUAUUGAAGGGAUUACAUAUAAUUUGGGCACAAGAAUAAGACAAAUCUUGGCCUCCCAUUUCCCUUAGUCACUUCUGAAUCAGAAAUAAUGCCCACUUGAUUGGUCCUGAAAGAUGAGCUAACAAGAGGUGGUGACCCAUUACCCUGAGCAUCAAUGCUAAACUAGGGAAGGAAUCUUUUGUAAUUUGGUAUUAUUUUGAGAAAUUCAUCAUGAAAUUUUCUGUUAGGAAGCAUAGUUUCUUACUUUGUUCAAAUAAAUGGAGAGUCAUCCAAACAAAUUUUUACAAUUAAAUGAGCCCACACUAGGGCAAAUUUUCAUUUGAGAGAUUUUGCAAAAUGAGCCUACACCGGGGCAAAUUUUUAUUUGUAAGAUUUCGCAAAAUAAACCCACACUAGGGCAAAAUUUUUUGUAACCCAUUUGAGAAUUUCGUCCAAGAGUCAAGUAAGACGUUUUUAAAUCAAUCAUACUGCUCUUUUCAUGAGUAGUAGAUGCACCAAAAAAUUUAAGUGCAUGUUGUACUUGGAUAAGCCCCUUGUGCAGGAAUCCAUGGCUUGAAAUCGAUGAAGAAGCGUAAGUCAGAAUCUUGCGAAUCAAGACCUUAAGGAGGAGCAACCUUGCCGUAACGCAAAUCAAAUGAUCGGCUGCACAAUAAUUGGUGGAAAUUGGGGCAAAUUAUUUUUUGAGAAGAUUCUCCCAAAUGGAAAAGUUGGAAAAAUCAAGAAAAAAAGAAGAAAAGAAAGAAAGAAGCAGAAGACAAAACAAAAGGGGUGGAGGCGACCUUAGCGAAAACCCGAAAGGGCACUGAGUGCUUUCGCCAACACCGGACUCCGGAGCAGAGAUAUUUGAAAGGGUCAAGACUGACGUUUCAUGCCAAAGAUUUUGCACAGUGUAUGAUCAUAAUUAUGGGAUUUGGGCAAGUGACAAUCUUUUAGUUUACUAAAAGCGCAAUUGGAUAUGUUCGUCCUUGGGAAAGCACAAUGGAACAACGAACAGUUGACAAUCUUGAUUCCAGACAGAGAAGUUUGUUUCAAUGGAAUGCCAAAAUUGAAAGUCUCAAAGUGGCUUGUUGUGAAAAUAACUCGUCGAACAAAAAUGAAGAUCACUUUGGGCUUGGACUUGGUGCCUCCUGCCAACAUCAAGACAUUCCGUUGGACUCGAACUUGGUGUCGCCCGCCAACAUCAAGACAUUCCGUUGGGCUCGGACUUUAUGCCGCCAAUGCAACCAAGACAGGCUCGGGUGUAAUCCCACUGACCAAUUCAUUAUAUUGGGGCAAAUUAUUUUUAGAAAGAUUCAAAAAAAAAUUCAAAAAAAAAUCAAAAUCAAAAAAUCAAAAAUCAAAUCAAGUUUCAUCACGGCAGGCUCGGGUUUAAUCCCGCUAACCGAUUGUCAGAGCAUUUCAUUUUGCAUUGCCACUAGCCAUGGGUCAAUCCCACUAGUGUGCAUUCUGAUUUAAAAUUUUGUUCGAUCCAAUCCCAUGAUUUUAAUUUUGUUCGAGUCAGUCCCAUGAUUUUAAUUUUGUUCGGGUCAGUCCCAUGAUUUAAAGUUUGUUCGGGUCAGUCCCAUGAUUUAAAAUUUUGUUCGGGUCAGUUCCAUGAUUUAAAAUUUUGUUCGGGCCAGUCCCAUGAUUUUAAUUAUGUUCGGGUCAAUCCCAUGAUUUUAAAUUUUGUUCGGGCCAGUCCCAUGAUUUUAAUUUUGUUCGGGCCAGUCCCAUGCUUUUAAUUUUGUUCGGAUCAGUCCCAUGAUUUAAAGUUUGAUUUUAAUUUUGUUCGGGUCAGUCCCAUGAUUUUAAAUUUUGUUCGGGCCAAUCCCAUGAUUUUAAUUUUGUUCGGGCCAGUCCCAUGAUUUUAAUUUUGUUCGGAUCAGUCCCAUGAUUUAAAUUUUGUUCGGGUCAGUCCCAUGAUUUAAAUUUUGUUCGAGUCAGUCCCAUGAUUUUAAAUUUUGUUCGGGCCAGCCUCUUUUAAAUUUUUUGUUAGGGGCAGUCCCCUUUUAAAUUUCUUGUUAGGGUCAGUCCCUUUUUAAAGUUCUUGUUCGGGUCAGUCCCGUUUUAAAUUUCCUGUUUUGGUCAAUUCUGUUUUAAAGUUCUCGCCUGGGUCAGUCCCAUUUUAAAGUUUUCAUUAAAGAGAUCAGUCCUCGUUUCAAUAAUGACAGUCAUUCGAGUGUCUGCAACCAAAGACACAGGUAAGUAUUUGGUGUCUACGUCUUUGUCUCAAGUUUCUUCGAAACUCAGACAAAGAGGGGCAAACUGUAGACACCAAAUUUUUUAUUUACUUUUAGCUUUACUUGUUUUCAAUUUUAGGUAUAUUUUAUUUUUAUUUCUAUUUUAUUAUUUAUUUUACCUUCAUACCAAAUUUCAAAAAAAAAAAAAAAAAAAAGAGAAGAAAGGAAAAAUCCCCACAAAAAAUUAAAUUUGUUUUAGCCCUUUAGAUUUGGAUUUAAAGCACUUUAAUGGUAAUAAAUUUUCUAUUAAGAAUUAAUUUCUGUUGUUUAAACUUGAAUAAAAAAAAAAAGAGAAAAAAGGACACGCGCUAUUUCCUCAUUUUUACAGGCUUCGGACAACACAGAAAAUUGCAGCUGGCCAUUUCUUCCAUUUUUUACUCAUUUUCCGUUGCAUUUUUUUUUCCUCCAAGUAUUCUCAGUACAAGGCCAACGCAUCUUGGUAUUAAGUUCCAGAAUCAAUGCCCAUCUAAGGGCCCAAAUUCUUGCCAAAAAUGCAGCUCCAAUCUCCUCCCUUUGUUCUAGGUUUUGGAGGGUUUCGGCAGCUAUAAAAGCUGAGGAUAACAAGCAAAGAGAGGGGGGGUGGUGACGGCUGAGAAUCGAAAAGGAAAAACAAAUGGGCAGGAGCGGCUAGGUUUAGAGGAAGAGAAUUUGGUGAGAGUGAGAGAUAGAGAGAGCGUGGGAUAGAGCAAAAAGAAAACAGCAAGAGAAGUAAAACAGGGGGUGAAUAGCGGCGGAGGAAAGAGCGAGAGGGGUAGGAGAUCGAGGGUGGCGUUCGGCUGCACAAGAGGAAGAACCAAGCGAGGAAAAUUGAGGGAAGGCAAGGUGAAGUGAGGUUUCGGCUAGAGGAAGGAAACCGAGAAAACAAGAAAGAAGAAACCCAGAGCCUAGAGUAUCAAGCUUGCGUUUUUUUUUACUGAAGACUGCAAAUUCAUCUCCUUCGAUCGCUGGUGGAGCGUAUUCAAUCUCUUGCGGAUUCUCCAGCGCGGAAAUUUCUGCAGUAAAGACUUUGGCUUGCAACCUCAGAUUUAAAUCUUGCUAUCCUCAGAUCCCUCACGUUUAACUAGUGUUUCCCAGCAUUAAAGGUAACCCUUUUAUCUUUUUCCGCUUAUACCUCAUCAGACUUGAAUCCAAAAUGUGAUAAAUCUUAAGGGUAAAAUAAGAAAAUCUUUGACUAAAUCGCGCAACUAGCCUUGGCUAGGUUGAAAGGGUGCCUUGGAUUCUUAUUCUUGCCUUCCCUUUUUUCAAAUGUGACUCCCGAAUCUUUUUCUCUGAUUUCGUAGACUUGGAGUCGUUUAAAAAGCGUUUUCUACUUUUCCCUUUAAAAUUCAUUUUUUAGGUGACUUGGUACACCUUAACUCUAUACCAAGUGGCGACUCUAUUUUUUGUUCAAAAAAAAAUUCUUUUUAAACUAUAUUUUGGGUCAAAUCGUCGCAUUUUCAAGUCCCAUUUAAACCCACAUGUUUUUCAUUUUCUUUUUAAAUCAAAAAUUCAUUUUUUAAUCAAAAAUUGAAUCAAAAGCCAUUUUCCUAAACUCGUCUUUUAUUUUUCUCUAUUUAAAAAUGGGGUGCGACAAGUACUUUUGCUUCACUUUUGAGGUUACUUUUUAUGACAAGAACUGACUUUGUUAUUAAAAAUAUCAAUCAAGGGAAGACCAGUGUAAUUUUUAAUAUUAGAGAAUAGUUAUGUGAGAUUGUCAGAAACCUCGAGGGAGGAUUCUGAAAUUUUCUCUUUUUUUAUAACUUUUGCAAUCCCUUUCAAAAUAUGAUAUUAAAAACUCAUUUGGGAAUAGAGGAUAUAAUCUCAUUUUAAAUUUACCCUUUUAUUUUGGACUCUUGAUUGUCAUAACACAUUAAUUUUCUUUCUUAAUUUUUGUAAAUGUGGUCAGCAUAGUUUUUUAAUUGAAAUUUAAAAGUUGGUAAUGGGGUCAAAAGACCUUUUAAUAGUUUUUUACGUCACUAGUUUGGACAAGAAAUAUAAGGAUAUUGAAAAUUAUAAAUAAUUAAGAAUACUUGUAAAUGACAUGAAAUAUUUUAUAACAAUGAAAAUGAGUUUUUGUGCCAACUUGAAAACAUCACAAACAAGUUUAUAUAUAAUUUUCAUCAUAUUUUAUUUUUCUAGUUUUCAAAUCAUUGAUUCAGAAAAAACCUAAAAAUUUGAAAAAAAAAAAGUAAACGAUUUAUAAAACUCCUUAACUCAAAACAUAUGGUAAAGAGAAUAAUACUUUUGUAACUUGUAGAAACUUUAAAUAAAGUUUAAAAUAUUAACUCUUUGUAUUUCAAAAGCGCACUAUAUUUUGUCCUAUUAGAAUUCAACUUUCAUUUUUUUAUUCUAUUUUUUAAUAUAUUCAAGCGUUUAAAAUUAUUAUAUUUGUUAAUGGGUAGUACUCCUUUUUUAUUUGUUAAUUUUUAUCACAUUUAUUGAGGUUUUGGUUAAAUUCCCCUCUUUCCUUUAUUUUUAUAUAUUAAUAAAGUAAGGACUAGCAAAAAUAUUUUGUACUAUGGACUUAGACAACAAAAGGGUAAAUUUGGAAUGAAAUUAUAUUCUUUCUCUCAGAAAAUGAGGAUUUUAAUAGUAUAUUUUGAAAUGGAUUUUAAAUGUUGCAAAAAUCUUAAAGUAAAUGAGGCAAAUGAGAUUUUUCAAAGUUGAAGAGUGUCAAAUAAUGCUGUUAAAAACCUCAAGAGAGGUUUCUAAAAUUAUCUCAAAGAUAAAAUUGUAUGUCUCUAAUUUGCAAGUGGUGGAUUAAUUAACUCAAGUAAACAUGUAUAUCUUUAAUUUGCAAGCAGUGGAUUGAGAGGUGACUAAUUUGCACUAUACUUUGAUGAAAUAUUUUGUUUGUUUUGUUCAUUUUUGGGAAAUUAUAGGUUGAAACAAAAUAAUUUGAGGUUAAAAGGUGAUUAAUAGUUUUUUGGAGUUUUUAUAUGGUUUAAGUCCCUUUUACUUGCAUUUUGUCUAUGUUUGUUGUAGGAGAUAGAAAUGGACUUCACUUGGGACGAGAAAUAAUUAUUCUUUAUGUGAUUGAAGUCCUAAAGGAUGCAAGGUUAGUGAGUUUCAAGGGUGGAUCGAGGCACAAGAACAAAAAAAAUGAGGAAACUUGAAGAUGAAGAAAAUUGGCCGAAUCCCUCUAUGAAUCCCUCCAAGAACCAGUCAGAUUGUCAGAGGGAUUCAUGGCAAAAUGUUGGCUUGAAGCAGAAACGAACAAAAGAAAAAUAGAGAAAGAAUCCCUCCAAGAAUCCGGCCAAGAUUCCAAUUGGAUUGCCCAAGGGGAUACCGGUCAAAUUUUGCGACUUUCACUUGCGCAACUUGUUUUCACCUCCAUUCUUUCACAUCUUUUGACGGAUGUUUGGCAACUAUUUUGCAGCUGUAAAAGUGACAGUUGAAGCUUUAUUUCUUAACUUGUUUCACUUAUAAAUAAAUCAUUUGCUUUAAGAAUCAAGGAGAGCUUGGAGAGAGCAAGGAAACACUGCAAAAAUGUAGUUUCUUAGCUCUUUCGUUUAUCGUAGUGUAGGAUAGUUUAGCUUAGUUCAUCCUUUCUUGUGUAGUAACUAGAUGAAGAUGAAGUUGGAGGAUGAAGAAACAAGGAGGAAACUCAUGUGACAAGGGUUACUCUACCUUUCUAACUCUUUAUCUUUUUGUAAUUGAUUCUAAAUUUAGUUAACAUAUAGGUUUGGAUUUUAUCUUCAUUAUGUCUUUCUAAAGUUUACGCCUUGAGUUUUGGUUGAAAUUUUUGUGAUUGUAUUGUGUUGAUUUCUUGGCUAUUUGAUGCUAUUAUUUUGACUAAAUUAUUUAGCACUUUUACUCCUCUAAUCAUAGUUAACUUGGUACCAUUAAUUAUGAUUAUCUAAAGGUGUUAUUUUUUUAAUGAAAAUGGGAAUUUAACGCUAGUUCAAGGAAGUGCUAAACCUAGAGAGUACACUCACAAGAAUUGAGGUACACCUUUGUGGCUUUGGUGGAUUUGUUCCAUAUAAUUUCAUUGAAAUAAUGAACUUGUAGCUAAUUUCAUAAUUAGAAAAGUAGGCAUGAAUUAGUUAUAUGUAUAAGUGAUUUACUACGAAAGUAUGUUUCACAUACAUAAGGAAAUUAUGCCAUAACUAGCCAAGGUAGUAGUGUUCAAUGAUCCAAAAUUUGCAUUUGCAUGAGUAGUUAGGGAUAUCAUGACCCAAGGAGUUUUUAUUUGCUAUUUUCUUGCACAUUUUAACAUAGUUUUAUUUUCUUCAAUUUGUUGAUUGUCUAAAUAGUAGAGGAAUCUUAAUAUUGCCAAUAGUUGUCCAUUCUUUCUUGUGGUUUAACUUAAUACCCUAUACUCAAUAUCGACUCGUAUACUUACAAAAAAUCGUGUGUGGGAUAUUUAAAACUUCAUCAAUCUAAAACUUAAUUAUGGAUUGAGCUUAAUUUUGUAUGCAUACCCCGCACUCGUCAAGUUUUUGGCGCCAUUGUUGGGGAAGAUUUGUGGCAAUAUUAGCGUGAAAAACAACUUCUUUAGUUUAGACAUUUUACUUGUUUUCUUGUAUUCAUUGUGUCUAGUUUUCUUGUAUAUUUGUUGAGUCUUUGUUUGUGUGCUUUUGUACAUGUCAAAUCACCUAUUUUUCUUGACUAAACUUAUUUUUGAAUUACUUUGAAGGCAUAUUUAGGAACUUAAGGAGAGUAGUAAACAUGGGUGGACAAAUUAUGAGAAGUGGAAAUUCAGCAAUAAAUUGUUAGUACAUGCAAGGGUCCAUGAAUAGAGAUAACCAAGCGGUGUUCAAUGAAAAACAGUAUAUAGGCAAAACAAUUUAAUAAUUUAAGUAGACAAUGAAGUUAGGUCAAUGAAGUCCACCUUUAACAAUUUAAAUAGGCAAAACAGUAUAUCAAUUUAAAACUUAAUAAGCACAAGAUUUCUUACUAUUUAGAGAUCAUGUCUGCCUGAAGUACCCUCAAUCAUAUGGGGACACACACGAAUAUCGUAAAUUAUGGGUGUCUCAAACCAAGGAAUCAUAAAAUGAGUUCCUUCAGGGUUUACCUACAAGAUGAUGGGGAUGUCUCUGCUGCCCAUCUAUCAACACCCAAAAUGUAAAAAGAAAUGGAAAAUUGAAGAAGGAUGACAUAAAGAGAUGGAAAAAUACAAUAGUUGGGUCCAUGAUUAUGAUUCUUUUGUAGUCUAGCAAAAAGAAUGCAUAGCAAAUAUGAACAUAUUUUAGGAUGCAUUUCUAUUAAAAACAAGAUGUUCGAAAUAGAAGUGAUCUAUUUUAGUUAAAUAUGCUGGAGAUAUUCAGGCAACUGCUUUUUAAGUACCUAAUGUAGAAUAUCUGAUACACUGUAGAGGAUUAAGCCACUUCACUAACAUUUCAAGGCAAAAAAUAUGCAUAUGCUUAGGGUUGUUCAACAUUAGCAUUGGCAUUGAUGAGAAAGGGAUGAGUCUUUCACUGAUUUUUCUUUCUUUUUCUAACUAAAUAUACAAUUUACACCUUGAGGAAAGCUAACAUCUAUAACAUAAUUUGCAGGCUAUGUAACAUCCAGGAUGCAUCAAACUCAUCAUCAAACCCAAUUCAGAAUGAAGCAAGAUAGAUACACAUGAAUAACGUUUUGCCAUAUUAAGCAGAGUUUCUUUCAAGUGGAUCAGAUUUCUCUCCUACUUCAACAUUGCCAUGUUGAGUAGAGUUUCAUUCAAGUGGAUUAGAUUUCUCUGUUAUUUCAACAUGAGUUGGGACACAUAACUCCUAGAAAAUAGACAAGUGAAUAUGUGAAAUUUUACAUUUAAGAACAUUUACCCAAUUACUAUAGUUAUAUCUUUGCAUAGUGUUAAGAAGAAACUUAAGAUGUAAAUGCAUUGCAAAGCAGAAUAUGACAAAGAAAAGAAGAUCUGGCUGCAAAGGAAAAUUGGGAAAUACAAUUUAUCAUUAACAUAGAAGGAAUGAAACUAUUUGACAUAAUGGCUAUUGGUUUAAGUGUACCUUCUUUUUCACACCAAUAAUACGAUUGAAUGCAACAUCUCUCUAACCUCCUUCCAUAUUGUAAAGGCUCUCUAACAAAAUAUAUGCUGUAGCAACUCCAAGAACUCCAACUUUUAUUAGAGCAAAGGCCCAUCCUAGCAACUUGGGCACAUUAAGCUUAAACUUGUCAAUGUUUGAAUUCUACAAGAGCAAGAUAUUGAGAUCAGCAUGUAAUCAUGUGCCAAUAUUAACACUAAAAAGCUAAGACUAAAAAUCAAACUCUUAUGACAAUGAGGUACCAUAUGUUCAUAGGCACCCAAAUUAAACUUACAAAAUAUAAUAAGCUACAGUUCCAAAGGAACAUAAAAAGAUUAAACAAUUCUAAAAAUUGUCAUUUCUCAUACUUAAAGCCAAUCCCCUUAAUUUGCAACACAAAUUGCCAGUAGCAGAGACAGAGAAACUAAUGAACUUAAAAAUUAAUAACAACCUUCAAAGUCACAUAAUAGAGUUUAGAAUAUGAAAAAGUAUCCCCCAGACCUUUUUAUUUUUUGAAAGAAAAACCUCAAAUAUCCUGUAAUCAAAACCCAGGUUAAAAUUCAUGAAAAUCAACAUAUAAUAAAAAAAUAAAUAACAUCCUAUAAAAUGCUUAGGCCCAAUAAAUGUAUACACUGCAAAACACAAAACUCACAGCCUCAUUUGCUGAAGAAAAAAUGAUAAGCAAAAGUAAAAAAAAUACCUUUUUUCUCUUUUUAGAGAAAAUAAAAGGCUAGUUUUAGUAGAAUGACUUUGGUGAACGGCCCUUCUAACUUGUGUGUAACUUUACCGUUUGAAAAAAAAAAGACUUUGGUAAACGGCCCUUCUACAUAAACAAGCAUAGAAAUAAUCAUAAAUCCCUCAAUUCCAACCAUCAAAAUUAGCUCAACUAUGACUAAAAGACCUAAAAUACACAAACCCCAAACACCAAACUCACUAUAAUUAACUAGUAUUUCGCCUCUUCCUAACCCUUAUCCCCAUUCCACAAAAAUGAAUUAAAAAAAAGAAAAGAAGAAAACCUCAGCCCAUUAGAAAAUCACAUCAAUCUGGGGAUAGAUCCAUAAGAGGAAAACAAAUAACCAGAGCAAAGUAAUUACAAGAAUAACUUCAAUCAAAAAAGAAGUUUACAAUAUUUAAAACAACAAUAUUACCAUAAAACUAACAUGUAAUGAUAGAAUUUGCUAGCAGCAUUCCAAUCCUGUGAAGAUCAUGAAGUUAUUUGUCCAAAAAAAACUUUUACUUGACACAUAAACAGAUAAAAACACAUGUAGAAGAAGAGGGCGCAAAAGCCCCCUUGAAGUAUAAGGGAAAAAAUUUUAAAAAAAUGCAUACGAAAAUUGAAAAAAAAAAUCCAUUUCCAAUAAAAAUAUUUAAAAAAGUGAAAAAUUUUCCAUUUAUUUUAGUUACCAGGUAUGUGAGAUUAAAAGCAAAAAGUUUGAUAGCUUAAGAGUAGGGAAGAAGCUUUUUUUAUACCCGAGUCUAUAUAUUUGCUCUUUUUUUUUCCUUCUGUCAAAAACCAAUGAUGCAACCAAUAAUGUUCAUGCUAUCUACCCUAAUUAUAUCCCUAAUUGAAAUGCCCUUGACAGAAGAAGCACCAGGCUUGUCCCCUUUGCCUUUUGAGGAAGCACCAGUUUGCUCCCUCUACUGCUUCUCUUAUUUCCUUUAUUUCCAUCCCCAUCUUUGUCCUUCUCUUUUUCCUUACUUUUGGAAAGGCCUAGCUCAUAAGAUUUUACUCUCCUAUGAAUCUUGAAUAUGAACUCCCUCUUGAUUUUUCCAAUCUUAUUGUGUCCAAAACCAGUACCCCAUGAAUUCUUGAAUUGAAAUAUCUCAACCCCAUUUUCAACCCAAAACCCCGUCAACAAAAUAGCAUAGUUUUCCUUGAGACUAUCUUCGAUAUUUUUUCCCUCUUCUGUUGGUCCAUGAUAAAUGCCCUACAAUAUAGUUAAGAUUCAAUUUUACAUCAUAUAAAAUGUUUGUGCUCGUACUUAAUUUUACUUAAUUCUGUUCUUAACCUUUCCCUUGAGAUGGAUGAAGCUUGGAUAUACCCGUAUUACACCAGUAAGAGGAAAUCAUGAGAGUGCCAAAUUGACUUCUUUUUUUGUGUGUGGCUUUAUAAAACUUUUUGCAAAGAAUCUCUUUGUCUGUAAAGACAAGGAUUCAAAGAUUUUUAUUUAGUAUUAUAUAUUUAAAAAAUUACAAAAAAAAAUUAACUAGAACAAACUUGCAUUAUGAGGUGGAUUACACCUCCUGUUGGUGCAAUCCCAUGGGUAAUCAUCAUUCAAACAAUAUCUUCGAGCACCUGCAUAUUCAAAUACCCAUUUAUAGGAGUUUCAAUUUUCCUUCACAUGGUUGAGAACUUGCAUGCUAUACUAGUAGUCUUAGCCUCUCGUAUAGACAACUGCUGGUGCUCCUCUUUAGGGUGGAGAACUUUAUAUUAUGAAGACAUUGCUUCCAAUCCAACAAUAGCUCAACAUAUAUCUUAAAAAUAAAUUACAACUACAUUAAGAUCCAAAACUACUGCUUACUACUCAUUACUGCUAAACUAAAAUAUUAUAUUAUAUUAUAGGACACAUAUCUUAAUAUACACAUUAAUAUCAAAAACUAUUGCUCACUACUAGUAAAAUAUUAUACUAAAUACUACUCAUUAAUAGUAAACUAAAAUAUUAAAUAUUAUAUUACAGGACACGUAUCUUAAAAUAGAUUAACGAAUACAUUAAUAUCCAAAACUACUGCCCACUACUAGUAAAAUAUUAUAUUACAGGAUAGGAAAUAAAGUCAUUAGCUAAGCCUAAGUCUUGCUUAAUGACUAGUAGCACAGCUCUAGCCUCAUUUAAUCAUGCAUGAUAUUCCUAUACAUCAUCAUAAUCAUAAAAAGUUUCUAGAAACAGAAAAAAAUUAGAAAAGUUUCCAAGAAUGUAAAAACAAAUUACAAGACAGAUGUACUAAGUUAUACUUUAAAAAAUUCAACUUUUUAGUAAGGAUGCAAGUUUUACAAAUAUUAUCAGUAACAAAAAUAGUGAAAAACACAAUUUUUUAGAAAAAUAAGUGAAACGAAGGGAUUUAUGCAUCCAAAACCUCUUUUUACCCAUGACAUCAAAAAUUCAAAAAAUAAGAGAUACUUAUUCCAGGAUAUCUAAUCUGUCAUUGGUCGAAAGAAGGAAGUUGAAAUAUAUGACACUAUUUUUGAUGGUUUUAGAUUUGCAGUACAUGUAGACGAGAACCAGUGAGCCGAAUUAAGGUGAAAUGCCGGACGAACUAGAAGUGGUUGGGACUAAUCCCCUAAUUUCACUCCGAUAUUUAAGUCUGAAGUUGUCAGAAGUUGUAGAGGAUAAGUAGGAUUGCAUACCUUUCAAGUGAAGAAGGUGUUAUUAUUUAUACUAAAAGAGAUAAAUAGAAAAUGAUGUGGUCUAACAGUAGUCUAAACUCAUAACAGAAGAUAUGGCUGCGAUGUCAAUAGUAAGGCUGAAUUGUAGAGUGGGUGAAUGUCAUAUCAAUCAUGCUAAUCACCAACUAUAUUUUAAAACUCAGACCGUGCAGGGACUUGAUCGAGGUCAAGGAUCAAUGGGUUUCACCGGGAUCAAAUCCAUUUAAGAAUCGGAUAAUGUCAUCAGGAUGUCAUAAGUAUAAUUAGUUUUAAAAAUUAAUAUACAAUGUAAAAUUUUUUAAAGUAUAAUAAUAUAAAAGUGUGUUCAUGCAUGUUUGAUUUAUUCAAAACUAUUGCUCACUACUAGUGAAAUAUUAUACUAAAUAUUAUAUUACAAGAUAGGAAAUAGAAUCCUUAGUUGAACUUGAAUCUUGCUUAAUAAUUAGUAGCACAAGUCUAGCCUCAUUUAGCCCCGAAUGACAUUCCUGUACAUCAUCACAUAUCAUAAAAAGUUUCUAGAAAUAGAAAGAAAAAAUUAGAAAGGUUUCUAGAAAUGUUAAAAAAAAAUUAAAAGACAAAGAUGUAUAAAGUUAUACUUUACAAAAUUCAGCUUUAUACUAAAGAUUUAAUUUUUACAAACAUUUUCAGUGACAAAAAUGGUGGUAAACACAAUUUUUAAGAAAAAUAAGUAAAAUAAAGGGAUUUAUGCAUUCAAAACCUAUUUCUUUUUACUCACGACAUCAAAAAUAUUAGAAACAAAAUGUACUUAUUCUAAGAUACCUGAUCUAUCAUUGGUCAAAAGAAAGAAGUUGAAAUAAAUGAUACUAUUUCUUGUGAUUUUAGGUUUGCCGUGCAUGCGGACGAGGACCAACGAGUCGAAUUAAGAUCGAAUGUCGGACGAGUUGGAAGUGUCGGGACUAAAUCUCCCAUUUUCACUCUGAUAUUUAAGUUAGAAAUUGUCAUGAGUUGUAUAGGAUAAGUAGGAUUGCAUACCUGCCAAGUGAGGAAGGUGUUGGUAUUUAUACUAAAAGAGAUAAGUAAGAAAUGAUGAGGUCUAAUAGUAGUCUGAUUUCGUAGAAUAAGAUACGGUUACGAUAUCAAUAGUAAAGCUGAAUUGUAGGGUGGAUGAAAUUUACAUCAAUCACAGUAAUCAUUAGCUAUAUUUUGAAAUUCAAACCAGUCAGAGACUCGAUCGAGAUUAGUAGUAGGGGUGACAAUCGGGUUCAAAUCGGGUUGAGUCCCAAUAAAAUCAAAAAUUCGCUAACCCAAACCUAACCCGUCAACUCGAAACGGGUCAGGAUACCUGACUUGAACCUGAAAUUUUUCGGGUUGGCGGGUCAAACGGGUUGACCCAAAAUGAUCCAAAAUUUAAUUUCAUUUUACUGAUUUAUUGGCUAUGAUUUUUAACAGAAUAAAUUCCAAACUAAAAAAAAAACACCAUAAGAGUAGAAACUAAUCCCAGUGGUUCAAUUGUUGCAUUUGGCUUGCAAAUUGCCACUAGCAACAACACAAGGCAGCUAAUCAGAUACAAUGAAUUUAAGACCAAAUCAUGUACCUUGGCUAAGAAUAACAACACCUGUUUCAUUUCUUCUUCUCUGAAACAGAGAAUAGAAAAAGAAACUAAUUCAACAAUAUGAUGGUCAAAAUACUAAAACAUACAGAAGCUAAGCUCGAUCUAAAUCAGUAAAUCUGCAUACAUUUUUCGCUUCUUCAAUAAUCGAUCUAGAUUAGGAAUUGCUUGCUGCUCAGACCUCAGAGAAGAAAAGCCGUUGCUUGCUUCUAACCGCCGUCUGCUAGUGACAGGUAAUGAGGUGAGGACCGUGAGGUGAACUGGUGAAGGGCAAGGCGGCACUUUCUGGUUUUGUCAUUUUGAAGAAAAGGUGAAAAAAGAUUUAGGUUAGGUGAAGUAGUGAACUGUUAAGAGGAAGAAAGAUUUCGGCUUCGGGUGAGGAUCAAGUGACAACAUUUGACUAUUUGGGCAACUUUUCAAAUUUUCUUCCUUGGCUACUGCUUAAACAAUCCACCUACAAGCUAGACAAAUUAAUAGGGCCAGCCAAGUCAAGUGAAUGUGAAUUGUUGUUUUGGUGUACAGUGGUAUUUACUAUUUAGUCUUUAGAUAAGUUUUUAAUAUUUAUUUAUUUAUUUUUAUUUUAGAAACGGGUUAGCGGGUCAACCCGAUUUGGACCUAUUUUUUUCGGGUUUAUCGGGUCUGACCCGAUUCUGACCUGAAUCCUCAAAAUCUAAACCCAAAUCCAUUAAUUUCGUAUUAGAUUCGUGUCGUGUUUUCAGGUCGUGUCGGGAAUUGCCACCCCUAAUUAGUAGUUCUGAGUCAAUCGAUUCCACUAGGGUCGGACCUAUUCAAUAAUCAAAUGAUGUCAUCAUGAUAUCAUAAAUAUAAUUAAUUUAAAAAAUUAAUGUACAAUGUAAAAUUUCUAAAAGCAUAAUAAUUUCAACAUGUGUUUAUGCACGUUUGAUGUAUCCAAAAGUAUUGCCCACUACUAGUAAAAUAUUAUACUAAAUAUUAUAUUAUAGAAUAGGAAAUAGAAUUAUUAGCUGAACAUGAGUCUUGCAUAAUAACUAUUAGCACAACUCCAGCUUCAUUUAGCCAUGAAUGAUGUUCAUAUACAUUAUCACAUAUCAUAAAAAGUUUUUAGAAACAGAAAUAAAAAAUUAGAAAAGUUUCUAGAAAUGUAAAAAAAAAAAUAAAAGACAAAGAUGUACUAAGUUAUACUUAAAAAAAUCCAACAAUAUAGUAAAAAUUUAAAUUUUACAAACGUUAUCAGUGAAAAAAAUGGUGGUAAAUACAAUUAUUUAGAAAAGCAAGUAAAACAAAGGAAUUUAUGCAUUCAAAACCUACUUCUUUUUACCCACGAUAUCAAAAAUACUAGAAGCAAGAUGGACUUAUUGUAGGAUACCUGACCUGCCAUUGAUUGAAGAAAGAAGUUGAAACAAAUGACACUAUUUCUUGUGAUUUUAGGUUUGCAGUGCAUGCAGACGAGAACCAACAAAUUGAAUUAAAGUUGAAUGCUGAAUGAGCUAAAAGUAGUCAAGACUAAAUUCCCUAGUUUCACUAUGAUACUUAAGUUAGAAAUUAUUAGGAGUUGUAUAGGAUAAGUAAGAUUGUAUACUUUUCAAUUGAGAAGAAUGAUGAUAUUUAUAUUGGAAGAGAUAAGUAGGAAGUGAUGAGAUCCAAUAAUAGUUUGAUUUCGUAGGAUAGGAUAUGGUUGCGAUGUCAAUAAUAUGGCUCAAUUGUUGGAUGGCUGAAUUUCACAUUAAUUAUAGUAGUCACCAUCUAUGUUUUGAAAUUCAAAUCGGGUAGGGACUCGGUCAAAAUUAGUGGUUAGGGUUUAAUGGAUUCCACUGGGUCAGAACCAUUCAAGAACCAGAUGAUGUUAUCAUGAUAUCAUAAAUAUAAUUAAUUUUAAAAAUAAAUAUACAAUGUAAAAUUUCUAAAAGCAUAAUAAUUUCAACAUGUAUUUAUGCAUGUUUGAUAUAUUCAAAAGUACUGCCCACUGUUCGUAAAAUAUUAUACUAAAUAUUAUAUUACAGGAUAGGAAAUAAGUCAUUAACUGAACAUGAGUCUUGCUUAAUAACUAGUAGCAGAACUCCAUCCUCAUUUAGCCAUGAAUGACGUUCACGUAUAUCAUAACAUAUCAUUAAAAAAAAAUUUAGAAAUAGAAAGCAAAAAUUAGAAAAAUUUCUAGAAAGGUAUGCAAAGAGUUACUAAGUUAUACUUAAAAAAAUCAACUAUACAGUAAAGAUGUAAGUUUUAUAAACAUUAUCAGUGACAAAAAUGCUGGAAAACACAAUUUUUUAGAAAAAUAAGUGAAACAAAGGGAUUUAUGUAUCCAAAACCUGCUUCUUUUUACCCCCAAUAUCAAGAAUACUACAACCAAAAGGUACUUAUUUUAGGUUACCUGAUUUGCCAUUAAAUCAAAAAAAGGAAGUUGAAACAAAUGACACUAUUUUUGGUGAUUUUAGGUUUGUAGUGUGUGAGGACGCGGACCAGCGAACCAAAUUAAGGUUGAAUGCCAAACGAACUGAAAGUAGUCGGGACUAAAUCUCACAAUUUCAUUCCGAUAUUUAAGUUAGAAGUUGUCGAGAGUUGUAUAAGAUAAGUAGGAUUGCAUACCUUUCAAGUUUCAAGUGAGGACGGUGUUGGAAUUUAUACUAGGAGAGAUAAGUAGAAAAUGAUAAGGUCUAAUAGUAGUUUGAACUCGUAGGAUAAGAUAUGGUUGCGAUGUCAAUAGUAAGGACAAAUUAUAGGGUGAUUGAAUGUCACUUCAAUCAUACUAGUCACCAGUUAUGUUUUGAAACUUAAACCAAAUAGAGAUUCGAUCUAGAUUAGGAGUUAGGGGUUAAUAGGUUCCAUCAGAGUUGAAUCUAUUCAAGAACUGGAUGAUAUCAUAAUUACAAUUAAUUUUAAAAAUUAAUAUAUAAUGUAAAAUUUCUAAAUGCAUAAUAAUCUCAACGUAUGUUCAUGCACGUUUGAUGUAUUCAAAAGUAUUGCCCACUACUAAUAAAAUAUUAUACUAAAUAUUAUAUUAUAGCAUAGAAAAUAGAGUCAUUAGCUGAACCUGAAUCUUGCUUAAUGACUAGUCACACAACUCCAGCCUCAUUUAGUUAUGAAUGAUGUUCCAAUACAUUAUCACAUAUCACCAAAAUUUUCUAGAAAUAGAAAGAAAAAAUUAGAAGAUUUUCCAAAAAUAUGAAAAAAAUUAAAAGACAAAAAUGUACUAACCUAUAUAAUUAAAAAAAAGUCCAUCUUUAUAGCAAAGAUGCAAGUUUUAUAAACGUUAUUAAUGACAAAGCAGUAGGAAACACAAUUUUAGAAAAUAAGUUAAACAAUGGGCUUUAUGCAUCUAAAACCUACUUUUUUUGACCUACGACAUCAAGAAUAUUAAAAGCAAGUGAUACUUAUUUUAGGAUGUCUGAUUUGCCAUUGGUCGAAAGAAAGAAGUUGAAAAAAAAAUGACACUAUUUUAGAUAGUUUUAAGUUUGCAGUGUGUGCGGACGAGGACCAACGAAGCAAAUUAAGGUCGAAUGUCAGAUGAACUGAAAGUGGUCGGAACUAGAUUCCCCAAUUUCACUCCAAUAUUUAAAUCAGAAAUUGUUGGAAGUUGUAUAGAAUAAGUAGGAUUGCACACAUUUUAAGUAAGAAAAGUGUUAAUAUUUAUACUAGAAGAGAUGAAUAUGAAAUAAUGAGAUAUAAUAGUAGUUUGAUUUUGUAGGAUACGAUAUAGUUGCGAUGUCAAUAGUAGAAUUAAAUUGUAGGGUGAUUGAAUGCUAUAUCAAUCAUACUAGUCACCAGAUAUGUUUUGAAAUUUAGACCAGGUAGGGACUCAAUCGAGAUCAGAGUUUAGGGGUCAAUGGAUUCUAUGGGAGUCAAACCCAUUCAAAAUCGGAUGAUGUCAUAAAUACAAUUUAUUUUAAAAAUUAAUAUACAAUGUAAAAUUUCUAAAAGUAUAAUAAUUUCAAAGUGUGUUCAUGCACAUUUGAUAUAUCCAAAACUACUAUCCAUUAUUAGUAAAAUAUUAAACUAAAUAUUAUAUUACAAUAUAGGACAUAGAGUUAUUAGCAGAACAUGAGUCUUGCUUAAUGACUAGUAUACAACUCCUGCCUUAUUUAAUCAUGAAGAUAUUCUUGUACAUCAUCAGAUAUCAGAAAAAAUUUCUAGAAACAGAAGGAAAAAAUUAAAAAAGUUUCCAAAAAUAUAUAAAAAAAUUAAAAUUAAAAAAGAUGUACUAAGUUAUACUUAAAAAAAAUUCAACUUUAUAUUAAAUAUGCAAGUUUUACAAACAUUAUCAGUAACAAAAAUGGUGAAAACACAAUUUUUUAGAAAAAUAAGUGAAACAAAGGGAUUUAUACAACCAAAACCUGUUUUUUUUUUUUACCCACGACGUCAAGAAUAUUAGAAGCAAAAGGUACUUAUUUUUGGACAUCUGAUCUGCCAUUGAUCGAAUAAAGGAAGUUGGGAAAAAUGACAUUAUCUUUGGUAAUUUUAGAUUUGCAGUGCGUGCGCAUGAGGACCAACAAGCCAUAUUAAAAUCGAAUGAUAGAGAUUCGAUCGAAAUCUGGGGUUAGAAGUCAAUAGAUUCGAUCGGGGUCAAAUCCAUUCAAGAACCAAAUGAUGUCAUCAUGAUGUUAUAAAUGUAAUUAAUUUUAAAAGUUAAUAUACAAUGUAAAAUUUCUAAUAAUCUCAAUGUGUGUUCAUGUACAUUUGAUAUAUCCAAAACUACUGCCCACGACUGGUAAUUAUUAUACUAUAUAUUAUAUUAUAAGAUAGGAAAUAGAGUCAUUAGCUGAAUUAGAGGUUUCGUUAAUGACGAAUAGCACAAUUUCAACCUCAUUUAGCCAUGAAUGAUGUUCCUAUACAUCAUCAUAUAUCAUUAACAUUUUCUAAAACUAGAAAAAAAUUAAAAAUUUUUCCAGAAAUAUAAAAAAAAUUAAAAGACAAAGAUUUACUAUAUGAUACUUUAAAAAAAUCCAAUUUUAUAGUAAAGAUGUAAGCUUUACAAACAUUAUCAGUAACAAAAAUGGUGGAAAACAAAUUUUUUUAGAAAAACAAGCGAAAUAGUGGGAUUUAUGCAUCCAAAAUCUGAUUCUUUUUACCCACAACAUCAAGAAAAUUAGAAACAAAAAGUACUUAUUCUAGAAUAGUUGAUUUGCCAUUGGUCGAAAGAAAAAAAUUGAUACAAAUGAUACUAUUUUCGGUGAUUUUUUAUUUGUAGUGUGUACAUAUGAGAACCAGCGAGUCGAAUUAAGUUCGAGUAUCGGAUGAGUUAGAAGUGGUUGAGACUAAAUCUCUCAAUUUUACUCUGACAUUUAAGUCAUAAGUUAUCGGGAGAUGUAUAGGACAAGUAGGAUUGCAUACCUUUCAAGUGAAAAAAGUAUUGAAAUUUAUACUAAAAGAAAUAAGUAGAAAAUAAUGAGUUCUAAUAGUAGUAUAGACUUGUUGGAUAAAAUACGGCAGUGGACAAGGACUCAAGGUUCCAUCGGAGUCGGAUCCAUUCAAUAAUCAGAUGAUGUCAUCAUGAGUCUUGCUUAACAACUAGUAGCACAACUUCAAUCUCAUUUAGCCACGAAUGACGUUCCUGUACAUUAUCACAUAUCAUAAAAAUUUUCUAGAAACAUAAGAAAAAAAUUAGAAAAGUUUUUAGAAAUGUAAAAAAAAAAGAUAAAGAUGUGUUAAGUUAUACUUAAAAAAAUUCAACUUUAUGAUAAAGAUACAAGUUUUACAAACAUUAUUAGUAUAAAAAAUGGUUGGAAACACAAUUUUUUAGGAAAAAAAGGUGAAACAAAGGGAUUUAUGCAUCCAAAAUCUGCUUUUUUUUUUUUACCCACGACAUAAAAAAUACAAGAAGCAAAAGAUACUUAUUUUAAGAUACCCGAUCUAUCAUUGGUCAAAUGAAGGAAGUUGAAACAAAUGACACUAUUUUUGGUGAUUUUAGAUUUGCAGUGCGUGCAGAUGAGGACCAGUGAAUCGAAGUAAGGUCGAAUGAUAUGGGCUUAGUCGAGAUUAGGGGUUAAGGGUCAAUAGACUUGAUCAGAAUCUGAUCCAUUAGAGAAUCAGAUGAUGUCAUCAGGAUGUCGUAAAUAUAAUUAGUUUUAAAAAUUAGUAUACAAUGUAAAUUUUCUAAAACAUAAUAAUCUCAAACGUGUAUUCAUGCACGAUUUAUAUAUCCAAAACUACUGUCCACUACUAGUAAAUUAUUCUACUAAAUAUUAUAUUACAUGAUAGAAAAUGAAUCAUUAAUUGAAUCUAAAUCUUGCUUAAUGAUUGGUAGCACAACUUCAAUCACAUUUUGCCAUGAAUAACAUGCCUCUACAUCAUCACAUAUCAUCAAAAUUUUCUAGAAUAGAAAAAAAUUGAAAAAGUUUCUAGAAAUGUUAAAAAAAAUUAAAAGACAAAGAUGUGCUAAGUUAUAUAUUAAAAAAAUCCAACUUUAUAGUCAAGAUACAAGUUUUGCAAAUAUUAUCAGUAACAAAAAUUAUUAGGAAACACAAAUUUUUAGUAAAAUAAGUUAAACAAAGAGAUUUAUGCUUCCAAAACGUGUUUCUUUUUGCCACAACAUCAAGAAUAUUAACAGCAAGGGGUAUUUAUUUUAGAAUACCUAAUCUGCCAUUAGUUGAAAGAUGAAAGUUGAUACAAAUGACACUAUUUUUGUUUAUUUUAGAUUUACGAUGCAUGUGAACGAGGAUCAAUGAGCCGGAUUAAGAUCGAAUGUGGGAAGAGUUGGAAGUGGUCGGGACUUAAUCCCACAAUUUUACUCCGAUAUUUAAAUAAGAAGUUAUAAAAAAUUAUAUAGAAUAAGUAGGAUUGCAUAUUUUUCAAGUGAAGAAGGUGUUGGUAUUUAUACAAGGAUAGAUAUGUAGAAAAUAAUGAGAUCUAAUUGUAGUCUGAUUUCAUAGAUUAAGAUAUGAUUGCAAUGUCAAUAAUAGGGAUAAAUUGUAAGGUGGUUAAAUAUCAUUUUAAUCAUACUAGUCACCAACUAUAUUUUGAAACUCAAACUAGGUAGGAACACGGUCGAGUUCAGGUAUUAGAGUUCAAUGCAUUUCAUUGGGGUCGGACCCAAUCAAGGACCGGAUGAUGUUAUCAAGAUGUCAUAAAUAUAAUUAAUUUUAAAAAUUAAUAUACAAUAAAAAUUUCUAAAAGCAUAAUAAUUUCAACGUGUGUUCAUGUACGUUUGAUGUAUCUAAAAGUAUUACCCACUAUAAGUAAAAUAUUAUGCACAAUAUUAUUUUAUAAGAUAGAAACUAAAGUUAUUAGCUGAAUCUGAUUGUUGAUUAAUGACCGGUGGCACAACUCUAGACUCAUUUAGCCAUGAAUGACAUUCCAGUACAUCAUCACAUAUCACAAAAAGUUUCUAGAAACAAAAAGAAAAAAUUAGAAAAGUUUCCAAAAAUGUAAAAAAAUUAAAAGAUAAAGAUGUACUAAGUUAUAUAUUUAAAAAAAAAAUCUAAUUUUAUAUCAAAGAUACAAGUUUUACAAACAUUAUCAAUGACAAAAAUAGUGAAAAACACAAUUUUUUAGAAAAAACAAGUGAAAUAAAGAGAUUUAUGCAUCCAAAAUCUGCUUCUCUUUACCCACGACAUCAAGAAUACUAGCAGCAAAAGAUACUUAUUCUAGGAUACUUGAUUUGCCAUUUGUUAAAAGAAGAAAGUUGAAACAAAUGAUACUAUUUUUGGUGAUUUUAGAUUUACAAUGAGUUUGUUUGGAUAAGAGUCUAUUUGGAUGAUUUAUUUAAUUUAAUUACUGUAGCACUUUUUGUAAUGCGAUGUAUGUGAGAUAAAAAGGUGAUUGAGAAGAUAAAAAAGUGAUUGGAAUUUGUGAAGCAAAUUAUUUUAUCUGAAAUGAUGCCAAUCCAAACAAACCCAAUGUGUGCAGACAAGGACUAGUGAGCCAAAUUAAGGUCGAAUGUCGAACGAGCUGAAAAUGGUCGAAACUGAAAUUUUCAAUUUUACUCCAAUAUUUAAUUUAGAAUUUAUCGAGAAUAUAGGAUAGGAUUGCAUACUUUUCAAAUGAAAAAGAUAUUUGUAUUUAUACUAGGAGAGAUAUGUAGGAAAUUAUAAGGUCUAACAAUAGUCUGACUUUGUAGGAUAAGAUAUGGCUGCGAUGUCAAUAGUAGGGUUGAAUUAUUAGGUGGUUGAAUGUCACAUCAAUCAUACCAGUCACUAACUAUAGUUUGAAAAUUAGACCGAGCAGGGACUUGAUCGAGAUUAGAGUUUAGGGGUCAAUGGGUUCGAUUGUGGUCAGAUCCAUUCAAGAACCAGAUGAUGUUAUAAAUACAAUUAAUUUUAAAAAUUAAUAUACAAUGUAAAAUUUCUAAAAGUGUAAUAAUUUCAACGUGUGUUCAUGCACGUUUGAUAUAUCCAAAGCUACUAUCCACUACUUACAAAAUAUUAUAGUAAAUAUUAGAUUACAUCAUAGGAAAUAGAGUCAUUAGUUAAACUAAGUCUUGCUUAAUGACUAGUAGUACAAUUUCAACCUCAUUUAGCCAUGAAUGAUGUUCCUGUACAUCAUCACAUAUCAUAAAAAGUUUCUAUAAACAAUAAGAAAAAAUUAAAAAGUUUUCAGAAAUAUAGAAAAAAAAGACAAAGAUGUACUAAGUUAUAUUUAAAAAAAAUUCAACUUUAUAGUAAACAUUCAAGUUUUACAAACAUUAUCAGUAACAAAAAUGAUUGAAAAUGCAAUUUUUUAGAAAAGAAAAUGAAACAAAGGGAUUUAUGCAUUCAAAACUUGCUUUUUUUACCCAUGACAUAAAAAAUACUAGAAAUAAGUGGUACUUAUUCUAGGAUAGCUGAUCUGCCGUUGGUCAAAUGAAGGAAAUUGAAAUAAAUGACACUAUUUCUGGUGAUUUUAGGUUUGCAGUGCGUGAGGACGAAAACAAACGAGUCGAAUUAAGGUUGAAUGACAGGAACUCGAUCGAGAUUAGGGGUUAGAGGUCAAUGAGUUCGACCAAGAUUGGAUCCAUUCAAGAACCAAAUGAUGUUAUCAUGAUGUCAUAUAUAUAAUUAAUUUUAAAAAUUAAUAUACAAUGUAAAAUUUCUAAAAGUAUAACAACGUGUAUUGAUGCAUGUUUGAUUUAUCCAAAACUACUGUUAUUACCGAUAAAAUAUUAUACUAAAUAUUAUAUUAUAUGAUAGGAAAUGGAGUUAUUAGUUGAAUCUGAGUCUUGCUUAAUGGCUAGUAGCACAACUCUAGUUUCAUUUAUCCAUGAAUGACGUUUUUGUACAUCAUUACAUGUCAUAAAAAAGUUUCUAGAAACAGAAAAAAAAUUGGAAAGUUUUUAGAAAUGUAAAAAAAAAAUUAAAAGACAAAUAUGUACUAAAUUAUAGUUAAAAAAUUCAACUUUAUUGUAAAGAUACAAGUUUUACAAAUAUUAUAAGUAAUAAAAAUGGUGGAAAACAUAAUUUUUUAGAAAAACAAUGAAACAAAGGGAUAUUAUGCAUCCAAAACUUGGUUUUUUGACCCACAGCAUCAAGAAUACUAGAAGUAAGAGGUACUUAUUUUAGAAUACCUGAUCUAUCAUUGGUCGAAAAAAGGAAGUUAAAAUAAAUGACACUAUUUUUGGUGAUUUUAGAUUUAUAGGACAUGCGAACGAGGACCAGCGAGCCAAAUUAAGGUCAAAUGCUAGACAAGUUAGAAGUGAUCGGGACUAAAUCCUCCAAUUUUACUCUGAUAUUGAAAUAUGAAGUUAUUGAGAGUUGUAUAGGAUAAGUAGGAUUGCAUACCUUUCAAGUAAAGAAGGUAUUGAUAUUUAUACUAGUAGAGAUAAGUUGAAAAUGAUGAGGUCUAAUAAUAGUUUGAUCUCGUAGGAUAAGAUAUGGUUGCGAUGUCAAUAGUAGGGCUGAAUUAUAGGGUGGCUAAAUGUUAAUAGUAGGGCAGAAUCAGAUCGGGCAGGGAAUCGAUCGAGGUCAGGAGUUUGUGGUCAAUCGGUUUGACCAUGGUCAAACCCAUUCUAUAACCGGCUGACGUCACCAUAAUGUCAUAAAAUAUAAUUAAUUUUAAAAAUUAACAUACAAUGUAAAAUUUCUAAAAGCAUAAUAAUCUCAAUGUUUGUUCAUGCUCAAUUGAUGUUUCUAGAAUAUUUUACAAGAAAAUGUAAAUAAAAUAAUAUAAUCAAGUAGCAAUCUAUACAAUUUAAUGCAUAUUCAACAAGUUUGGAAUUAAAUUGGAGGGAUUAUUUUAAAAAUAAUAAUAGAUUUAGGACAGAAGUUAUAAAUCAUAAAAUGUUACUAGCUAUAUUAAUAGUUUUCUAACACUAGGAGUCAAAUCAUAAAAUCAAGAAAAUUUUGAAACCCUAAAAUUGGUUUGAAUUCAAUGGUGUGGACCUGCGGGGCCCUCAGAGUGAGGUCCAACUGUCAGAUUUGACUCACUGAAAUGUGGAGUACAUACUAGUUAUCAUAGUGAAUGAAUUCCUACCUUUUAUCCUUGUUUAUCUCAUCACCUAUUUUCUUCCUUUCUUGCCUUGUCCUUUCUUUUCCAGUCGCAGUUUUCUUCUUGUAUUUCUCUCAUUUUUUUUCUUUUUUACAUCUAAAUCUUUGCAUCUUUUUCUCUAUUCACUACAAGAAAUCAACUUUUAUUAUUCAUGUUCUUUUUCCCUUUACUUCUCUUCUUUUUUUUCUCAAUUCUUUUAAUCCUAACUUUAGAUUGUUCAAUAUUAUGUUGAAAGAGCCAUAUGUGGUAGUAGCAGUGGAUAUGCGCUCAAGGAUCGAAUGCUAUAUUAAAAGUUUUAGGAGUAAAAAUGUUUGAAAUUGAAUUUUGGAAAACAAUCGAGUUUUCCCGGUUGUUUUGGGUUUUCAAUCAAACGCAGUUUUGAUCAGGUCCUUGUCCACCACAAAACUCAAACAUGACAUAUUUGAUGGGGUCCUUGUCCACCGGAUUUUUGAACACACUCAAACAUGACAUGUAUCCUAUUUUUGAUCCAAUUGGUUGAACCGAUUGGUCCAAUAUGAGUUUAAAAAUAUGGGUCACCAGUCACCAGCUACAUCGAUGACUAGUCGAGACUUUUGAUACCUCGGGUAGAUGGUCAUCUCGAGAUGAAUUCCUGUCAAAAAGCAUCUAGGCUGAGAUAUUAUCUGCGCCAGGUUAACAGAGAUGCUUUCUCAUUCAAGGUAGAUGAGGUAUUUACACUGAACCCCCUAAUUUCGGAAAGGAUAAAUAGUUCAAAGGACUAUCUUUUUCGAGGUUAUAACCCGAAUUGAUCAUGGAAUACACAUGACAAAGCAUAGUGCUACUAAAGAGACAAUAUGUUAAGAUGGAAUGACGAAUGUUAGCACAGAAAACUAAUAGCAUUAUUUUAUAGUGUCACUAAAAUUUUAGGAAACAUUUGUAGAAAAAUAAAAAUGUAAUCUACGAAUGCCAAACCUCCUUUCCAUACACAAUCAAAUGAUAUCAGAAGUUAGGGUUUUGUAAUCUAGAGCAGUUCUUAUCUGAUCAUGCCAUCUUGGCUAUCUUUAAGAACAGUUACCGGUAAUAACUGAAAAAAGAAAUUAGGGAAAUUUUUUUUUUCCAAAUGCAGAAAUCAUUCCUGUAGCAGAAGUAGGAUACAAAACUAACGCAUGAAACGGUCUCCAAAGUUCAAGCACCUGGUGUUAAAGUCAAAGUUAUCCAAAUAACCUUAAUUAAAAAUUAUAUAAUAAGUAUCUAACAGGACAAAUAAGUAAUUCUGAAAUGAAUUCCGAUCAAAGAGCAUUUAGCCCGAGAUAUCCUCUACACCAGAUUAAUCGAGAUGCUUUCUCAUUUGAGAUAGAUGAGGUAUUGACACUGAGCCCCCUAAUUCCGGAAAGAAUAAAUAGUUCAGAGAACUAUAUUUUUGAGGUUAUAACCCGAAAUGAUCAUGGAAUACGCAUGGAAAAUCAUAAUUCUGCUAAAAAGACAAUAUGACAACGUGGAAUGACAAAUAUGUCCCUCUUCUAAAAGGUGUUAGAUAAACUGUUAGUCAUUUAUGAGGGGUGAGAGUCGAGCACUUCAAGAUUCAAAAAGUCUACAUUUUCACCUUCCUUAACACCUAUAAAUAGGGGGUAAUUUAAUUCAUGACCCAUUUUCACCGUACAAUCAAAUUGUAAUUUUCAUCUAAGAUAAUCAAACGAGGUGCUUUGACAUCUCCAUCCUUGCCGAGGACUCUAUGAAAUAGUAUGCCAUAUUUUGUUGCAAUAGUUAUGGUUAAAAUAGCAACAACUUGCAAGGAAAGAGUGAGUCGAGUUUUUCUGAGAAAAAGAGGGCUAACCGUAUAGAAGAGGAGACAACGUAUACAAAUCAAACUUCCAGUUCAUGAGAGGAGUCUGUAGAAGAAUCCAAAAUAGAGAGGGUAGAAGGAUUAUCCCGGUCCACCAAGGAGUUAAAGGCAUUGUAUAAUGACGCUUUUGGUUUCGAGAUGCCUCAAGGCAUUGGGAUAGUUGUGCCUAAAACCCCUCUUAACCUCGACCUGGUUGGCUUUAGCAAACUUCCCUUAUUCAGAAGCACGAUUAAGGAGGCUGGGUCGAAAGUCUUGUUAUGAGCCUACCUGUUCUGCCAAGAUUACAAUACAUAUUGGUAGAGUCGAAUCAAUUAGUGGCCAUUUCACCCAAGGACCAAGUGGCAAUAUAUGCUGACCAUUUCCAAUUCCUUUGAAGGGAAGCACAAUCGAGGAGGCCGACUCGAGAGUCUGGUUAUGAGCCUACCCAUUUUACCGAGAUUACAAUAUAUAUUGGGUAGAACUGAAUCAUUCAGUGCCCAUUCCAUCCUAGGACCAAGUGACAAUAUAUGCUGAGCAGUUCCAAUUCCUCUGAGACAACCUUCAGUACUAAGGAACUCGGAUUACCUAGUUGACUCUGAAUGCCAUCCAAAUCUUGGUAGGGUUCAAGAUGUUAUACCAAGAAUAAGGCGUGGUUCCCAUGGUUAAUCUCUUCCAAAGGUUCUAUAUAACUAAGAGUGGUGGAAAUGAGAAGAGGUGAAUGUAAUUUGGCACCCAAUCCAAGAAUAUCGAGAAGUUAGUUGUGGAUGCCCUGACUUCCAUUAAAGAUAGACAAAUAAUUUUGCUUUUGUACCACACGAGAACUUUCUUACGGAAUUUUGGUGGAGAUCACAUAAUGCACCAGGCGACCCAUCUCUAGGACUCGUGGAAAAGUAAAAUUUUUAGAAGAUAAAAUAGUCAGGUCUCAAGAUAAAUAGUCGGUUCUUCCCUGAGGCAGUUCUAGUGGAUAGGGGCAUCAGCCAAACUUUGAUUAGCCUCAACAAAUCUCCCUAUUAUUUUUCUAGUUUUGGCAGUACUUGUAAUUUUUUUUCAUUAAGUAAUUUUGUAAUUAUUCCUAUUGCUAAGUAAUAAUUUGUCUUUUCUUUACAGUGGUGAAGGUAUUUGACUUGAUCAUCUCGUGAGCUAAAAUAGUAGCUAAAAAGCAGAAAUGCAAGCUUCUAAUGCAUAUUCUGGAGCGGGAAAGAAUUAGAAGAGUGUCUCAACCACUGCCGACUUUAGCACAUCAUAUAUCUGUUCCUAAGGGCAUUGCUACCUGAAGUUUCACUAUUAUCUUGGUUGGGCAUAAGAAGGAGAAGCUUCUCCACUCCUAUCCUCUAGUUAUUGUUGGGUCAUCUCUGCGGAAUAGACAUCUUACCCCUUUUCUGAAGCCUUCCAGUCCUGAGAUAAGGCACCUUGAGGAGUACUUUGGCUCAUCUUGGCAACUUACCAUCAAUGACCGAUCCCAAGAUCUAGGUCAAUCUCGGGAAUUGCUCCUUAACUCGGUACUGCCAUAAGAUGUUGAUUGGUCCUGAGCUGAUUGACCACCUGGCCAUUGUUUGGGUCUCGUCCAACAUCUUAGUAGCCAACAUGAUUCAAUGGUUUGGGGUCAUGUAGGAUGCCUAACAGUCAACUGCACUUCUCCUAAAGAAGGUGAAGGUUUUAGAGACAGAGCUGGAAGUGGUCAAAGCUAAAAGCGACCAUGCUAUUAUCGAGGCCAACUCCCUAAGGAUGACCUAUAAGGAAUAGCAAAAAGGACUUCAAGAGGAGAGAACAUCCAAUGAGAUAACCUUGGAGAAGGCUUGGAUCUCAGUGGUAGAGGCCUUCUUGAAAUCCAAAAAUUUUAAUAAAGACUUGGUGAGCUGACUACCUCGAGCUUUAUGUUUGGCUUCACUACAAUUAUCAAUAAGGUCGACCAUCUGCUGUCUGAGGAGGAAUUUGAAAGGAUCAAAACCAACACCAACUACAAUGAGGAUGCCAAAGAGUUGUGUGAUUGGAUGGCAGCUGGUAUCUCUCAUGCUGUUGACCUCUUCUCUUGUCAAUUGUCUUUGUAGCAAGUUCUUCUCCCCCUUUCUCUUCCUACCUCUAACAGCCUAGCCUAAUUGCCCAACUCCACCUGGCACGGCCUUUCGCAACCGAUAAUUUGCCCUGUAGGUACUGAGCAAUGGCUAGUUUUGAUUGUGUACAAAUGUUAAUUCUGUGAAGAAAUUCAUUUUGUAGUAUCAUGUUUGCUAAAUUCUUUCUACAUUUUCACAUUUUUAGAUGAUUAGUUAUGGAGUAUGUGCAUAGUGUUCUGAUUUUAUCUAAAUUUUGCUAUGUUAGGCUGAUUUUAUGGAAAAGGGCACUACUGACUGUCAUGAACAAUUUAGAUGAAGGUAGCCUCUACAAAAUGGAGACAGAUAGAAUAAAUAAUAGCAUACUUGCAUUAAAAAGCAUUUAUGGCCCGAGGUUCCUAAAUUGUUGAAGUAUUUAUCCUUUAGUUCUCUAUAUCUUAAACCAUCUGCUAUUGGUAAUAUAACUAUGACUAUGAAUUUCCAGUUUUUACAUACAUCAUAUCGUUGUUUACAAACUACAUAGCGAUAAAGUUGCAGAUAUUAGUAGAUGAGAAACCAUAACUGCAUAUGAAAUUUAUUGGAACGUGUUCUAUUGCUUGACUUCAAAUUUUCAGAUAUUUUCACCUUGAGCAGCUACAUCUGGAUUAAGUUUUCUAUAGUUAAAUAUCUAUAACAUUAGCUAUUAUAAUUUAUGAUGGAACCAGAACGGUUGCUUUAAGAGAGACUUUGGAGUGAACAUAUGAGUUUUUCAAAUUAUUGUGGUAGGGAAAAGUUUAAUUUUCAAGGACACUUCUAAAAAUUUUCAAAUCUUUAAGGGGAAAAACCAUGGAUUUCUAGGACUUGGGGUGCAUUGGCCCCUGCCUGCCUCCCCUUAGUUCUCGUGUUAAGUGUAAUUUGUAUAUUUACAAUUUUGAGUAUGCAUAUGCUUACAAUUGCUUAAAGCCGGGAAUCUAGUGGUAAUGAAUCUGUGCCUCUUUUUGGAAGAUAAAUUUGGAAGUGCAUAUACUUAAAUGUCUUAUGUUGUUUUGUGAAAAUUCUAGGUGUAUAAUCGAUUUACAUUCUAUAGGAUGAAAGUCUCAAUUCAUUCUUUUGUCAGUUGUUACGGGCUCUGCGGCUUUUUAGGAAGCAAGAUCAUGCCAUAGUGCCUGAGCUAAACCAAAGUCUUAGUUAGGUGAACGAGAUGUUGAUAGUGCUCUUUUCAAGAGAUAUAUCUACAGUGACUUUUUUUGUCGAUGUGUUUUAAUUUCUUGAAACCAUUUUCUUUGGAAAGAUAAUUGAGCUUUUUUUCUAUUGUUGGAAAAGAUAAUAGGUUGUUGACAUAAUAUUGUAGUUGGAGAUGACUGCUGAUUAAGUGUGAAUUCAGUUGAUUUGCACUCUUCAGAAGUUUAUCACAAGGUUGAACUUAUUCAUUUGGUCCUAUCUGGUACACAGUAUCACAACAAAUGGCUUCUAAAGGUAAAAGUUUUAUAGGUAAAAUGAAAAAAUUUCAUCUUCACAUUAAUUGUUAAAGAUACUCAAUGAAAGACGUGUCCAGAUUAUGGUAUGUUAUCCAUUAUAAGAUCUAAUUCAAUAUUUUUAAUUUUUUUUCCGUUUGUGGUUUACCCUUUCUAAAUUUUGUAUCUGGUCCCUUCCAUAAACUUUCUUUGAAUCUAUAUUGAAAAAUUUUAGGUUAACAAUGUAGUUGUUGUGAGCAAGUAUACGAGUCCACAUCAGUGUCAAAGGAAGGGGGAUUUCAAAAUAGCAAUCAAAAGUCCCUCACCUUAGGAAGUCUAAAUAAUUUACUAUUUUCUAUUUGUGGUUGCAAACUUAUAGCAUCCUAUUAUUUUGUGAUAGGUGAAAAAGAAAUAGCUUGUUAUAUUUCUUCUGAUAUAAUUAUUAGGAAUGCGUAUGUGUUACACUGAUGAAUCAUGUUGAUUUGCUUCAAGGUUAGAUUGCCAUGCUGAUGCCUCAUGAAGAAGCUUCCAAUUCCUUGAAGCAGUGUGAGUUCCCUUCUUCAGAAAUAUAUGUUAUGGGAAUUAACAAUAUGGCUCUGCAAACACAGCUGAAGUAUCAUUCAUUUAUGUGUGAGGAGUUUGAGCAUCCACAUAUGGCAAGGUUAUCUCAUGCGGAAUUCUACUGAUUGCCCAAAUUCUUGGUAAAAUGCUCUUGUCCUUUACCUGCUUCUAUUAAAGCCAAAAUCCACGCUUUAGGAUUGUCUUAGACCUGCUCAAAGGUCAGCAUGGUGUUAAAAUCAUCAAUCUUAUCCUAGAGCUGUUGAAAUCAGUGCCUUUGUGUCUUGAUAGAGAACUUUGAUCCCUCUAUUCUUUAAGGGCAAAGUGAACAAUCCAAAGGUAAGAGCCGCUAUGAGAUUGCAAUGGUUAUGGUUGACAUGAGUAUGGAAGCAAGCGUUGAGUGCACAUGGUGGGGUUAAGGUAUUAACACGGGACCAAUUAACAAUGAUGAGCAGAAACAUCUACGGGUACCAGAUUAUGCUUGUGCAUAUUAAAAAUGUGAUAUCCAAGAUCACUAAGAACGAAAACAGUCCAAUGAUAGAAUACAUAACAAUUCAGCUGCUGAGCUUCAAGGCAAAUCAGCAAAACUAGCUGUCGGAUUUAAAAUACACAACAAAAGUAGUGUAAGGUAUGCUGAGGCUAAUUCUUAGGUUGAAGAGCCUAUUUAUUCUGCUUUGAAUCCAAGAUACCUCCACAAGUAGAAAUGAUCGUGCACUAUGUUGAGUUGACAAUGCGAGUGUUGAUAACAUUUUGAAGUUGUUAAAUGUGGAUGCAUUUGGCAUGAUAGGCAGUACUUCUAUUGUACAUCAGUUGCAAUAUCCCAGGCACUCCUAGGCUAAUUGGUUGAUGUUUGAAAUUUUUUUGUUUUGUUUUGUUUGGCAUCACAUCAUUUGGUAUUGAAUCCGUUGACAAGAAACCGAGUAUCUCAUACUGUAGUAUCAUCCAAUAAUUGAUUGUUUUUUGAAAUGUAGUGACAAUCACUUGUUUGUUCUUAUUUAGUUCUAGCAUCACUUGUAACUUCUUGAAACAUUUGUAAUUGGCUACAGGCAGUUAACUUGGUUUACUAGCAUCCUAUAGGAUGAUGGACACUAGUGCAUUAUUUCUCAUAGUAUUUGAUGUAUCAAAAGCACUUGAUGUUUGCAUUUCUUUUUAGAAAUUAAGUUAGUGAGUCUUACAAAAGGAAAUUUCUGAAGUACAUGUAAUCUGCUUUUAGUUACUAAAUUGCAAGAAUGGUUUCUUCUUAUCGUGGAGCUGGUUGUUGUUGUGAAAUUGGAGGACUAGGAUGAUAUUGUUGCUAGUGAAAUUUCGGUGGCCUUGCAAUAUAACUAAAAUUCAGAUGAUCCUUCCACCCUGGAUUGUAGGUGUUUGAAUAAGGAUCAUAGUGCCUUUGAGGUGGAUCAGGAAAUCCCUCAUCUGUAUUCGCAUAUUCACUCAAAUCAUCCUAUAGUGUAGGGCACAUGUCAGUUGGGUGAUCUGAAACAUAGUAAUUCUAUAUGUUUUAUCCUGUUGUACCUGUCCUACAACUAAUUUUUCCACCAAAGAGGUUAGAGAAUCUAAUUUUUGUUCAAUAGAAGAAGUACUUACCUCAUUGACUUUUCUAGGGACAUAUUCCUAUCUAUCACCAAAUUGUUGACCAUUGACUACCAUACUUGAAAUUAGUUUCCUUGCUUCCAUUGGCGUUUUAUUUACCAAUACUCCUCCACUAGCAGCAUCAAUAAUUUUCCUAUCUGUUACUGAUAAUUCCUUAUAAAAAUAUUGAAUGAGAAGUUGGUCAGGAAUUUGAUGGUAAGGGCAACUUGCACAUAACUGUUUGAACCUUUUCAAUACUCGUGCGAAGCCUUUUCAUUGAAUUGUCUAAUCCCACAAAUAUCUUUCCUGAUGCUUGUAGCUUGGGAAGCAGGGAAGAAUUUUUUAAGAAACUGUGUUUUCAUCUGAGUCCAGGUGGUGAUUGAUCUAGAUGGUAAAUAACAUACCAGUCCUUUGCUUUAUCAGCUAAAGAAAAUGGAAAGACUUUUUUUUUUUUUUAGGGAUGUCCCGCAGGGAGUGGACCCCGCAGACUAUUCCCCACCCUCCACAACUUGCUGGCAGCAAGGUUCAAACCAGGGACCUAAGGCUCCAUCUUCAACAACCUCAACCGCCAGACCAAGCCCCGAAGGGCGGAAAGACUUAAUUUUAUUUGCUACUCUGUGACUCCUUGGAGCUUUAUGGUCGAGCAUACCACAUGAAAUUCCUUGAAGUGCUUGUAAUGAUCUUCACCUAGAAAUCCAUGAAAAGAAGGAAGUAAGUGAAUUAAACCAGAUUUUAACUCAAAUGGUACAUCUAAAGUAGAAUAUCUGAUGCAAAAAUGUUGUUGAUUUAAAUUAGCUGUAGCUAAUUCUCUCAAUUCUCUCGUUUGCCAUGCUUUUAAUCUUCUCUUUAGAUUCACUGGAAGAUUCAACUAAGCCAGAUGCCAGUUUUAGCCCAGGGAAUGAAGAUGAUAGCUUUGCUCAUUGCUUAGUUUCCCUUUCCAAUCUACGUGCUGUCUACUCUAUCUUAAGAUUGUAUUGUAAUUCACAUGUAUGAGAAGAUCGAAACAUAAUCUAGCAACAAAAUAAAAAGAAAAUAAAAAUGAAAAUCCAAAGAAAAUAAAUCAACAAAGGUACCAAUCCCCCGCGAUGGCGACAAAAUUUGUUGACUGUCAAAUCAACAAAUAUAAAAAUAUCUACACCAAAAAUAUAAAUUCAAUAGUAGUAAGAAGGGUAGUAUCCUCAGGGAUUGGGUGAUUUAUUUUAUUUAAAAAACAAUGACAAUAAAAUAAGAUGGGGGAUAUUGGAAAAAUUAAUCUAAGUAAUUUAAUCGACGAAAAAUAAUGAUGCAAAAUUAAAUAAAAAUAAACCAAUAUGAAAAAAGUCUCUAGUCAAAGGUUAAUCGCCACUUUGGUUCAUUUACUGAUCAUCUAUGAAAAGAAAUAAAUCAUUUAUUUAUAAACAAACCGGUUAUGGUUGUAAACAAACUCUAACAACCAGCCUCUCCGUACUUCUUCGAUAACCACAACAAACUUUGUGAUUAUUUCCUUUACCAAUUAAACAAUCCUAAUCAAACUCUUAGGAUUUAAUUUAUUAACAGUAUUAAUUAUUAGAAAGACUACCAACCUUAACCAACAAACACAUAAGAUCAGUUCAUUUAAACUAGAUUGUAUAUUCCCAUGCUAAUAAUCCGAAAGUUUCUACUACGAUUAAAUUAUAUCACUCGCCACAAAUACUAAAACUAUCAAACAAUUACAGAUUUGAUUUUUUUAGAUGACAGUAGAUUAUUCUAACAAUUAAAUAGUGAUCAAGUAUUUAACCGUAGAAAAUAAUCGUAUCAAGAACAAACAUAGAAUAUAUAAAUCUUCAUAAAUAAAUGUAACCAUAAGAACAAAUUAAAUCUCACAGUAUUCAUCGAACCAAAAUUUUGAUUAUCCUUUGACUAGAACAGGGAUUUAACCAUGCCUAAUGGUUGAAUUACAGCCAAAGACAUGAUUAGGGUUUGUUAUGGUAAAGGAAAGAAAGAAAAGAAAGUAUCUUCUACUUUAUUCUAAUGAAGGAUAAGCUAAAGCCAAAAAAGUCAGUAUUUUGCUCCUGACUUGUGAUGUACUAAUCAUUUUUAAAAGUCACUAUCAUCCUCUACUAAUACUUGCCUCCUUGUUCUCAAAAGGAUGAGAAUUUUUUAUCUAUAAUACUACCAAUAAUCCUAAAUAAAAAUAAAAGAUAUUAUUCCUAAAAAUUAAUCAAUAUGCAACUUCAAAAAGGAAAUAAAUCUCUUGAUCAGUAGAAAAAAAUUGAGCAGGGCCCAUUUCCAAUCUCGAGUUGUCCACACUUCACAACAGGUUAAGACGUGAUCGCAUCAUGUAAAGUAUGGUAUUUUGGAAAUUCAGCUUUUAAUACUCUUUUUACUCCCUUUUCACAAUAAAUUCCUAGAAAUAACACCAAAAAUCAAAUAUGAGUAAAAUCAAGCAAUUAAUACCAUAUUUUGGCAAAAUAAAAGGGAAAAAUAUAUACAAAUUAGUGUACAAUUAACCAUCUAACACCUUCACAAAUUUUUUUCUUUCCUGCUUGAAUUUUCUUAGCCUGCUUAGUGUCGAGCUUGAUCAAACACCACUAUGACAAUCAACAAUUUGGCAAGAUUUUUUUCCCUAAUCAGUGCACAACACCAACAAUCUCAACAGAAUCCCUCUUUUUAGACUUCAAUCUAAUUAGGAUCACUUUUCCCUAAUUCCAACUAAUGAACGAGUACUCUAAGACUAACUUUCACAGCCCAAUUUUUCAAUACACGAGUACUCUAGCAUAAUCUCUACACCCUUCUAUGGUAUAGGCAUCUCUAUCACAAACUCUACACAUCCUUCAGACACCACAGAUACCCUAAGAUCAAACUCUUGAACCUAGAGUUCUGAUACCACUUGUUAGGAUAAAAAAUCAUGCAGCGGAAGAAACGUGAAAUCUUCACAAAUAAUAAAGAAUAAGAAAGGCACGGGACGAAACAAAAUAUUUUGCUUCAAUUCAACUACAAACUUAGGAUUCCAAGUCCUUAAAUAGAGAAAUAUAACCACAAAUCCUAUUCUAAUUAUAAUACCAAAACAUGACUCAACUCUAUUUCCUAAACCAACUAUGACACCAAAUCUAAUAUAAUUACCAAAUAACAAAUCAAUUUCUAAAACUAUUAAAAUUCUAAAUAUGCUUGAUUUAAAAUAUAUCAACAAAUUGCAUAUGUCCCCACGUCUAUGAUUAGUUAAGGGAUAAUUUCAGAAACGUCCUGUAAGGUUUGUAGCAAUAUUACUUGGUACCUAUGAAUUUUGAGAAAUCUCACCUACUUCCCUUAAUUUUAACAUUCUGUAUCAUGAUCAACCCAAUUCGAAACAUUAUCAAGAAACUCAUAUUUGGAUAUAGCAAAUAUUUUCAUGCCAAAAUUGCCCUUGUAUUAUCCUACUAUUUUUCCAAAAGUGAAGAUAUAUUAUUGAAAGCAUGAAAAUAAAGACAAAUGGUGUGAAAGCAUAGUUCUACUAGAAUAAAUUAUAUCAGUAGGUGUUUUUAAUGUACAAAAGAUUAUUAUUUAAAAGUAUGUUUAAGAUGCUUCAAGUUAAAAAAUUAUUUCAUUCACUAUUAGGUGCUUUCGUUAAUUUGAGGAGUUUUAAAAAUUUAAGAAUUUUGCACUUUCUAAAUUGUUUUGUAUAAACUGAUGACUUGAAUAUUAGAAAUAGGCACAAUAUAUAAAAUUAUAUUUACAAACUCAUUUGAGGUAUUUUCAAAAACGUAAAAAUAACUUUCUUUAUUACAAAAUAUUUUUGAAUGAAUUUAGAAUUUUAUAAAUUAUUUAGAAUUUUUUUAAUGCUCUAACUUUUUGUCCAAAUUGAUAACUUGAAAACAAGAGAAUGAUAAAUUAUUAACAAUACAUUUAGAAACUUAUUUGAUGUAUUUUCACUAUGCAACAUGUUAUUUUUUACAAAUUAUAGAAAAAAAUUUCUUUUGCAUUUCUUGUCUAAACUGAUGACUUCAAAAAUUGCAAAUGAUCUUUCAACCUAAUUAAUAUGUUGUAAUUCUUAAGCAUUUAAUUUGGUUUGUUAUGAAAAAUUAAGGUCCACAAGAAAAGGACAAUUUUGAAAUAGAAAUGUUUUAUCUCUCUCAAAAUGAGUUUUCAAAUCACAUCUUUUGAAAUGGGUUGAUAAAGUUAUAAGAAGUUAAAAAUAAGGGUGGUAGAUGAGAUUUCUUAAAAUUUAAGAGUGCAAAAUGAUAUUGUCAUAAACCUCAGGGGAGGUUUUUGAAAUUAUCCCAUUAGUUAAUUACGACGACUAUUUCUUUGGCUUUGCAAUUAGAGAUUCAUGCUCGUCUCCAUGAUAGUAUUUUGACAAAGGAGAUUUGGAACUAUAUGAACAAAUUAAUGUUAAGAGUGUGACAUUUUUUUAACGUAGUUCAAUUUCCCGACCUCCACCCUCAAAACGGCCUUUGAAUUGUGCUUUCUCCUAUUUUGAAAAGCUAACAAGAAUACGGUCAACAAGGCAUCGGUUGAUAAUAGUAAAAUCUAAAAUCUGAAUUCUAAAACCUAAAAAUUAAUUACUGAAAACAUUACAUUGCUGAAUUGAUGAAGUUAUAUCUGUUUGAUAGCUAAGUGCAUUUAAGCAUUGAAUUGAGAUAUCACACAAGUACAGGAACUUUAUUGUUAAAAAAAUCGUCUUUAUUUGUGUAUUGGUGAGAAAGGAAAUUAUACGUGGGAGAGAGAAAACAUUGAAAUAAUUGGGAGGUGGUCUUUAAGUAUGCUUAUUUGAGUGUGAGAAUGUGUAUAUUUAAAGAGAAAAAGAGAAAAAAUGUACUUUAUACGAUAUCAUAUAUAAGAGUGUAUUGUGUAUAUGAGAAGGAUAAUAUAUGUAGCCAAUUCAGAAAAUUUAGUGAAAAUUUUUCGCUUAAAAUUUUGAAUGAAUGCGGGAUGUAUUAAAUGGUAAGACAUUUCCAUUAUCAAACAUGCUAAAUUUAAAAAAUUCUCAAUAAAUUACUUUUCAACAGAUCCAAAAUCUAGUUUGUACACGAAUUCCCUGAAUCCAACCAUAGUUUGUGCCUGCGUGUGUGUGCUCGUCGGGUGCACUGAUGAUCAUGGGAGAAAUUGUCCUUCCCAGUUUUGAUUUGACCACUACAAGCAUACUCAUACUCAAACAUUGAACUCAAAAUGAGGGGGCAGGGGAGAAAUUGUCAGUGCAUUUGACAAAAUUGUCAGUGAUUUUUAUAAGUUUAAUUUGACAAAACAAGCUUUUAUCUAUAUAUUUUUAUUGCAUUUUUCAUUACUAUUCAAGGAUCUACUUCAUCUCCCACCGCUGGUUCAUUCCCAGGGAUGUUCCAAGGACUCGAGUCAAUCGAUCAGAAAAGUAAACAAUGCUAGCAUGAUUUGUUGGGAAAAAAGGAAAUCUAUUAAAUGUCUAGUUAGAAAUUAACAAGGACCAAAGUCCGGAAGACUCCAGCAACUAAGUUUCCUGAACUUGUAAUUUCUUUACUACUUUUUGCCAAAAUUGAUCAUAAAAUGAAAUGCUCGUACAAAUAAAUGAUAGUCAAAUAAGAGUUUAGCAACAAAUAGGGACCAUAGACAAAGAACAACUGCAAUUUCCGGUAGCAAGUUGCUGGCAUUUUACCAAAGAACAUAUGUGCAAUAAAUGAUAAACUCAACUUUCAACAACUGACUGAACACAUUAACUUCGUGCAUAAGCUGUGAAUGAGGCAUUUCAAUACUUUAAAGGGGUAAGAAAAAAAGGGUUUCUACUUCUCCUAGCAAAGCUUUCUUUAACAAAUCCAUUUAAACAGACUUUCAAACUACAUAGUGGAUGUAUUAUGUUGAAUUGAUUGCCAAUUUAAGAAUUUGAAAAUCAUUCUCAUACUCAAUUGGAGCUGCUACUAUUUCUACUGAUUGGCAAAAACCAUAUCAGAGAAGAAAAAAACCUGGCUCAAGUUCUACUCGUCUAAAUCUGGUGGUACUUAACUUGUUAUAGCAGUUACCAACAAACUAAAAUACAAAUAAUAAUAAUAAUAAUAAAUAUCCAUUAGCGACUUCAAAAUUUAAAUCAACUACAAUCCAAAAAAUAAAAGCUGAAGAAAUUAGGCCGAUUCAACACUUCUAGAAAAAUUUUGGUCAUCCUACCCAAUAUUCCAUGAGUAAGCUGAAGAAAUUAGGCCGAUUCAAGCUUUCCAUGAAAAGACAACCACACCACACCUCAUUAAACCAAGUUACAAUCAUAAUUUUUCUUUCACAAGUUACAAUCAUAAUUGAGGGCUAUAAAAGAAUUACAUGAGCAAUAUUUUUGUCAUCACGCAAAAUCAACCUCGGCAACCGUUUGUGCCGGUUGUAUUCAUUUUUCACUGCGCGUAACUUCCAUUGCACACGAUAUAACUUACUUUAUACAUGACGUAAUUUUUCAACACUUUUUUGUGAACCCCACACAUGACGUGAAAAUCGAAUUACAUGCUAUAAUUUGAGCCGCACACAUUUUUUAGGCCACAUCGUAACGGUUAACCUUCAGGAACGGUUGUCACUGUCCUGCCCCAUUUCCAUCAACCUCACACUUACCAGCCAGCUGGCCACAUACAACCAUUCAUGCCACCAAAUACCAUAAAAGUCCAUAAUCUUGUCAUCCAAUCAGAAGAGAAAUAAGAGGACUAAACCAAUCCCAAUUGAAAAUUCCCUCUUAGAUUAGUCAAGAUAGAAGACACUACAAACAGUAAGGUUGUCACAUCAUCAGUGACAAGGAAAGGCAAAACACGGUUCAUCAAUAAUUGAAAUGACUAUUCAGGGCUUCGGAUAAUUAAAAAAAUAAAGUAAAACUGAAUAUAAUAAUUGGGGCAGCUCGUGGGAAGAAACUGGACGGAUCUCAUAAAUCAUUUAUAAAGAAUUCCCAAAAAAAAAAAUGUCAAUUAUUACAUUUCCUCGUUGAGUUCAUAAAGUUGGUCUGAAGUGUUUAUUGUCUUCUACCUAUGAGCCUUCAGAUAAGACGCUUAAUUUCUCCUGCAAAAGAUUCUGCAAUAAUCUUAAAAUAGUCAAAACAGCCAAAAGAAAAAUAGUAAAGAAAUGAAACUACUGGCCCCGGAUAUCCAUUCAAUCAUUCAUACAUGAAAAUUGGAGUGAAACACCAAAUUCCUCUCCCUCUUGCUUCUUGAUCAUGGAGAUUCUAUUGAGUGUUCUGAUUCUGAUCUUCUCCAUCUCGAUUGCUCUAAUACUAUACCUCCAGCGAAAGGAGAACAAACAGCCUCCAAGUCCACCAGCCCUUCCAAUUGUAGGCCAUCUCCACCUCUUGAGAAAUACUGCUCCUCACUUGGCAUUUCAUAAGCUCUCCAUCAAGUACGGCCCCGUGGUUUCCCUUCGUUUUGGGAUUCGCCGCAUCCUUGUUGUGUCUUCUCCAUCACUUGCAGAGGAAUGCUUUUCCAAGACUAAUGAUAUCGUCUUUGCAAACCGACCUGAGUCCAUUUCCAGUAAGCACCUUGGCUAUAACCACACAACUCUUGUUUUCUCCCCGUACGGAGAUCACUGGCGUAACUUACGCCGACUGACCGCCAUCCAUAUCUUUUCUUCAAUCAGUCUCCUCCAGUCCUCCUCAAUUUGGACAAAUGAAAUGCGUUUUAUUGUCAAAAAACUGUUCUCAAGUUGCUCUGAUGAGAAAAGUUGGAAAGUUGUGGACCUGAAUUCUUUGUUCUUGGAACUGGUUUUCAAUGUGGUAAUGAAAAUGAUUGCUGGCAAAAGAUGGCCAUCCGAUCAGUCAGAUGAUGCAUUUAAGCCGAGUGUUUUCUCGGAUAUUUGUGAUUAUAUUCCAAUUUUAAGGUGGAUUGGUUUUAGAGGGCAGGAGAAGAGUUCGAUUAACUUGCAGAGAAAAAGAGACAAAUUUCUGCAGGAUCUGAUUGAAGAAACUCGGAAAAGGAAUGGUGAAGAUGUUUCAUGUUCAACUAAAACAAAAGAAAUUAUUCAAGCGUUGUUGUCUCUACAAGAUGCUGAUCCUGAAUACUACACAAAUGAAACUAUCAAAGGAAUAAUGCAAGUAAGUCUCUUUUUGAGUCUUUUCUUUUCAAAGGAUAUAUCCCUCUACCAGCGCCUUUUUAUUAUAUAUAUAUGUGUGUAUAUAUAUAUAUAUAUAUAUAUAUAUAUAUGUAUAUGUAGUUCUAGGUAGGGCUGCAAACGAGUCGAGUCGAGUCGAGUUUUGAGCUAAUCGAAUCGAGUCUCGACUAAAUUUUACCAAGCUUGAGCUCGAGCUCGAACUCGACGAGCCAGCAAUUUUCGAGCUCGAGUUCGAAAAAAAUAAAAAAAUAAUAAUUAUUUUAUUUUUAAAAAAAUAAAUAAAAUAAUAUUUUUUUCUUAAUAAAUAAUAAAAUAUUAAGGAUAUAUACGUAAUUUUACUAUGAAAAUAAAAAAUAAAAAAAUAUAUAUAAUAUACAUAAUUUUAUUAUUAAAUAAAAAAUAAAAAAUAUAUAUAUACUCAAGUUCGCGAGCCGGCUCGCGAGCUAACGAGCUUAAUAUUCUGAGCUCGAGUUUCUGGAGCCGGCUCGAGCUCGACUCGAGCACUCGCGCGCGGCUCGAUUCGUUUGCAGUCCUAGUUCUAGGUUGCCCCAUACUAUUUAGGGCACAGGUUCAAUGUGCACUAGGCGAAAAUUGAGCAUUUGAGAUGAAAUUCAACAACUUCGGACUUUGCUGUCGCCUCCUAGGUCCUUGGAAUGGAGGGCUAAAUGGAAAUUUAGUGGAAUCACUGAAUAGCCUUCUAUUUUAUAAUGGCCUAUACAGUGUCCCCGCUGGUGUUGCCUUAUCAGGGCGGCUGAGAUCAAAUUUUUCUUGGUUAAAUACAAAAGACUCCCUUAUAGUUUAAUUGAAUGUUAAACUUAAUUCUCUAUAGUCCAAAAGCUUACAAUUUAGUUUCUCGUAGUUUGUGAGCUUUUGAAAUACCUACAAGAUUCAUGAUUAAAUACUUUCCAGUCAAGAACACUUGACAAACCACUGCAAAAUUUAAAACUACAACACUUUCAAUUCAAAUUGAGGGACAGUUAUGAAACGAGUAAUUCUCUGUUCAGUCAAAUAAUCAUUUUUAAACUAUGAAAAUUUAAAAAUUACUAAUAAAAUGGAUUGGAGCUAUGAUGUAUAAUCUUGGCAACCAACUAUUGUAAAGGCCAGGACUUCAACUGCUGAGGUUCCUAAUAAAUAUAUAUACCUUGGUGUUAGCUCUAAAAACCUGGCCCCUUGAAGGUUUCCAGGACUGAGUUUUGAUGCACAAGGGGCUGCCUAAGUUGGCAUGUUAAAAACAUUUCUUUUUGUGUGAUAACAUGUAAAACUACUAGGUUUUUUUUUUUUUUUUUGUAAGUCUAACAAUCUAGAUUUUGAUAAACAAUAUGGAUAGUUGAUUGGUAUUAUAAUGUAAUUUUCCAUAAUAGAGGGAAAUGAAGGUCAUUUUGUAAUUAAUCUUGUAAUGUAGAAACAUCCCGUGAUACGUCUUAUAUGAUCAGAAAAGUCUCAAUGUACAAAGUUGAUCUUCACUGAUGAAUAAUAAAAGCAAUUCUGUUUCUAAAAUUAGAUAAUUUUUCCUUGGAAGUGGAACUAACAAUUACUAUUAUUUCUGAGCAUUUAUUUCGAGUUUGCUUUGAUUUUGACUAAACUUCAGUUUGUUUGUCUAGAUUAUGUUUACAGCAGGAACACACACUUCAGCUUUUACCAUGGAGCGCGCAAUGUCAUGUCUGUUAAACCAUCCUGACAUAUUACAGAAAGCAAAGAAUGAAAUCGACGACCAAGUCACAUACUCUGGGCGUUUGCUGGAGGAUUCAGAUCUCUCCAAAUUGCCAUAUUUACGUUGUAUAAUUAACGAAACACUUAGAAUUUUUCCUCCUGCACCAACUCUUGUACCACAUUAUUCAUCUGAAGAUUGCAUCAUUGGAGGCUACAAAGUUGCUAAGGAUACAACUCUGUUUGUUAAUGCGUGGGCCAUUCACAGAGACCCCAACUUAUGGGAAGAGCCAAGCGAGUUCAAGCCAGAAAGGUUCGAGGGUUUGGAUGAAGGAUUUAAAUUUCUUCCAUUUGGAAAAGGGAGGAGGGCUUGUCCAGGGGCUGCAAUGGCUAUGAGAUUGGUUGGAUUGGCGGUGGGCACGUUGGUUCAAUGCUUUGAGUGGGAAAGUGCAGAAUCUCAAAUGGUGGAGUUUGAUGAAAAAUCUGGCGUCACUUUGGGCAAGACCAAGCCUUUGGAGGCAUUGUACAAGCCACGCCUUUCCAUGAUCAGCUUAGUUUCUCAGCUUUGAGUUUAUAUAAUAAUUUGUUUUUAAGGUAAAACAGAGACAAAUUUAAUACUUUAUCUUUUUUUUUCAGAAACGAUAAAAAUUUUAUUUCUAAUAAUAAGGAAAUAACGAUACAUUGUAUGAGCAAGGGCUCAAACUUAGACUUUACAAAAGUGGACCAGGCCACUGAGGAGCUUUGAAUUCCUCAUCAAAGUAUAUGCAUAGCUAAUCUACUCAGUUUUGCACUGAGUCUAUUCAUUUCAACAGGCAAGCUAUCAAAUGAGCAUUUCCUAAACAUUGAGCUAAGAUCUUUUAUAUCCUCCAAGUGAGUUGCCAGCCUUAAGUUGCUAGAAGCUUGAUACCUUAUCAUAUUUAGGACCUGAGUGCAUGGCGUUUGGAUCUUGAUAUACUGCCACCCUUUCUCCUUUAGCUUACAAAGUGCCAAUUUAAUGGCCAAAAAAAUGGUCCAGCACUACUGACCCAGUGCUUCUCUCCUUUAGUAUCCAAGCUGCACAUUUCUGGCUCAUGUUGUUUUCUGCUGUAACUCCAAUUCCCAUAUUUUGACCUUCUACAUGUUGUCCCACCUCAACACUAAUGUUCAGCAGGUUAUCAUCCUCCCCCACCCUUUCCUCCUCAUCUUGUGCUAUUUCUGUUUCUGAGAUGCUCAUCUGAUGUUCAGUCUGUUGUGAUUGGUGAUACUCCUCCCAGUCCUUGAUUGCUUUCCUGAUAACUUCCAUUGGAUGUCUAUUCUUCUCUUCGAAUUCAGCUUCAUUCCUGGCUUUCCAGAUCUGCCAAAGUAUUUCCACUGUUAAGGCUAUGUGUUCACUUCCAUCCUUUCUCGUCUACACUUCCAUUAACAUACUCUAUCAUCUCCUGAAAUCAGCAGUGUGUUCCUUAAGUCCAUCCCAUUGGAGAGGUGCAUCCGCUAUAUCAUUUGUGCUUGUUUGCAGUGAAAAAAAUAUGUGUUCCACUAUUUCAAUAUUUUCUCCACAUAGCUUGCAAAUUAUGUCACCUUUGCCUGUUCGCUUAUGUAUUGCUUCCCUACUUGGCAAGGUUUGGUUCAGGCUUUUCCAAACAAACAGUUUUGUUUGUGCUUUAUCUUCAUCUUCCAUAGCUGUUUCCAGACUUUUUCACUUCCUCCUUCCCAGCUUGUCUCUCCCUUGACUCUUUUGUUUACUUCCUGCUACUUAUUCUCUCUUGUUAUUGCUUCAUAUGCUGACCUAACUGUGUAUUGUCCAUUCUUGCUGUGGCUCCAAAAGGUCUACCAGUUAGGCUUACAGGGAUAUUGAGUAUCUAUCCCGCUUCUCUUGCAUUAAAGGUCCUAAAAAUUAAUGGUGAGUUCCAUCUAAAGUUGGAGAUCAGUUCACUCACUUUGCUAAUCUUGCACCCUGGGGGUUUAGGGGACUCUAAUUUACCUUCUUUGCCAUCCUGAAUCCAAGCAUCCUCCCAAAUUCUAGUGCCAUUGCCAUUCCCAAUUUUUUUCCUUGCUCCUCUCCUUACUUCCUCUCUUGCUCCCAUCAUCAUGCUUUUCCAUAUCCAGGAGGAGUUGCUUGUACUUCACAGCUCAAAGGUGACUCAUUUUAAUAAUACUUGGCUUUCAUCACCUUGCUCAUCAGCAGGUUUGGGCAGGUGAGGAGCCUCCAGAUUUGUUUGCCCAGCAAGGCUUUAUUAAAGCCUUGUAAGUCUUUAAAUCCUAAGCCACCAUUGUGCUUUCCAGAUGCCAUCUUUUUCCAUGAGCACCAGUGCACUUUCCUUUUUCCAUUAUCCUCUCCCCACAAGAACCUUGCCAUUAAAGCAUGUAUGUCUUUGCAAAGUUUCACUGGAAGCUUGAAGCAUGACAUUGCGUAGGUUGGCAUUGACAUGGUUAUAGCUUUCAGUAACACCUCUUUUCCUACUUGGGAGAGCUUCUUGUUGCACCAAUUAGAUUGUUUUCUGACAUUUGUCUCUGAUAAAUCCAAAAAUCUGGUCCUUGGUUCUGGUGAUGACCAUGGGCAGCCCCAGAUACCUCCCUUGAUGUACCACCUUUAUAUUUCCUAGUCUACUACAGAUUUCCUCUUGUUCCUCCUGUUCCAUAUUCUUGCUAAACAAGACUGAUGACUUUUCCAUGUUAUCAUUUGUCUUGAGCCUUGUUCAUACGUUUCCAGUAUCCUCAUCACCUCUUCAGCUUGAGCCUUCUCAGCUUUGCAAAAAAUCAGGGAGUCAUCUGCAAAGAAAAAGUGAUUGAUUGAUGGUCCAUUUCGACUUAUCUUCAUUCCUGUCAGCUUAUGGUUCUCUGCUUGACCCAAUAAAUUGGAGAAACCUUCUGAUACUAAUAGGAAAAGGUAAGGCGACAGGGGGUCACCUUGCCUAAUUCCCCUUGAAGGUACUACGUAUCCUUUUGAUUUCCCAUUUAUGUUGAAGGAGAAGGUAGCUAUUGUGAUGCCUUCCAUAAUCCAGUUGAUCCAUAUCUCACUGAAUCCCAUUUUGGUCAUCAUUGCCUUCAAGUAUCCCUACUCCACCCUGUCAUGGGCUUUUGACAUGUCUAACUUUAAAGCCAUGAAACCUUGAGAUCCCUACCUUUUGUUUUUAAGGUAGUGCAAGUACUCAUGAGAAACUAUAACAUUGUCCAAAAUUUGUCUUCCAUGCACAAAGGCUGCCUGGUUUUUACUGAUGCAGUUAUCCAACACUUAUUUUAGUCUGUUUGCAAGAAUUUUGGAAAUGAUUUUAUACAGAACAUUGCAAAGGCUUAUAGGUUUGAACUGCUUGAUUUCAAUGGGGUUUUCUACCUUAGGGAUCAGGGAUAUGAUACUAUGAUUGACUGCUUUUAGCAUAUGGCCAGAGUGAAAAAAACUGUUGAUAGCCUAAAUGAUGUCUGUCUUAAGGAUGUGCCAAAAUUUCUGAAAAAAGAUUGGUAUCAUGCCAUCUGGGCCAGGAGAUUUUGUUGGAUUCAUGGAGAAUAAGGCUUCUUUAAUUUCUACCUCCCUAACAAGUGUAGUAAGUCCUAUGUUCAUUUAGUUAGUGAUGGUCUGUGAUAUUCCCUGUAGCACAAAUUUAAUACUUUAUCGAGUAUAAUUACUAGCAUAGAUGGCAAAUGGGCUGGACGGACAAACUUUGGACAGGAUUCAAAUGGGAUCGAAACAUAUGGUCUAUAUCAAAGCAGUCUCAUAUUAGUCACGGCAUUAAUAUGGGCUAGUCCCAUUUUGAUAAUGGACCACACACCUAACAAAUUGCCUGUUGCCUUUUUUUUUGGAAUCUUCUCUUCUAAAAAAUCGGUGUGCUGCAAUUUUUCUAUGUACUUUGUUUGUAAUUUUAUUUAUUUUUAAUUUGUGAAAGCUCCAUACUUCUUUUUAUUCAUCAAGCAAUGAUUUCUUUAAAGUAAACAUUUAUAUUGAAUUUCAUUCAUUCUUUUCCUUGUCUCAUUGAACCCAAAAAGUUAACAUAGAUGUUGAUUUGAUAAAUUAAUGUUAAAAAAAUGCCGAAUAAUAAAACAGCAAACAACUAAAUUAUAAUAAUAAGACAAAUCUAUACUACUAUUACUUUCUAUUGUGUAAAGUCAAAACUUUAGUUUUAACAUUGGGAAAAAGUAUUAUAUCCUUUAUUUUUGAGUAAAAUGAAAGAUAGAAAAGAUCAAUUGGUACAUAAAAGUGGAAGUUGUUAAAUCGGAAGUGGUGCGCCACACCUCCCAACACUGUACCAGUACUACUAUAGUAUUUCAAGUUUCACAUCAAAAAAAACUUGAGACAUGAAGAUGGUAUUCGUACGUUUUCCUGAAAAAAAAAAAAAAAGAAAGAAGAAGAUGAAGAAGAUAGUACCAGAGUAUAUUUAAAAAAGUAAAUCUUAUAUACACUGUCAGAUAGUGUAUACACUAUCACCGUUAAAUUUAUGAUAUUUGUGCAAAAGUUGAAUUUCAAAUUCAAAUUUUACACAGUUAUCACUCUUCCAACACUGAAAGUGUAUACACUGUCAGUGUAGGAAAGAUUAAUUCUAUUAAAAAAUGAAUUCUUUUUUUUUCUAUUAAAGUAGAUCAACGCUAUAAAUAUAGAUGACCAUGCUAAAAUGAUUAAUAAACAACUAAAAAAAUGAAAAUCUUGUAAAUUGUCACUUUGGAAUCUCACAUGAUAUCCAAGCAUUCCCAUUUAUAGUUGGGUAUUGUUGGGAUUAACCUCAUUUAAAACCCAACCUCCAUCACUUAAGCCCAUUCCGUCCAAAAUUCUUUUGGACACGGAUAGCUCCAUUGGAAUUUGAGAUCAAUGCACUUGAUAAAAAAAAAAUAAAAGAAAAAAAGAGCUAAAGAAUAAAUUAGAAAAUCACAAAUGGCACAAAAGAAAUUUUAAGCAAUGUCAAUGAUGAAUUUUGCAAACUGACAGGUAGAAAUAUUUUAACUUUUUUUUUUUUUAUCGUUUUGUUUCUCAUCGUAUGGUCAGUAAAAUUAUUAGCAAUACUUACGCAUAUUGUAGGAAUUAAGUAAUUAAUUAACUGCUCAGCCAAGAUUAGUUUAGAGUCAAAGUCUUAAGUCUUAAACUUCGAUUAGUAAGUGCGUUUAAAGUAUUGGGGUCAAAAUUUAAAAUGUAAAGUAUAGCAUACGUGGGAAGUACAUGCAUCCUAAGACAUCUUUAUUCAAUAAUGAACAACCUAAAAUCAUAAAAAAAACACCAAAAGGUAAAAAUCAGCACAAAAAAAAAAAAAAAGUGUCUGGCAUAGAGUGUAUCUUGAUUAUGAUAGAAUUAUUCCUUUAAUGGAACAAGAAUAUUGAAACAACUAUAAUCUUCUUUAUCUUAAAGGCUCAUAAUUGUAUCGUAUUCUACCCUGUUUCCCAGGGUUUGUCAUAAUUAGUUAAUUAUGUCUUCGGCUUUAGAAUUAGAGAUUAAUGGUCUCGUAUUAGGUUCGAUAAGAAAAAUAUUGAAUCGAAAGAAAGAAAAUUGUUAAGAGUUCAGUAUUUUGAAGAUAAAAUAAAGAAAAGAGGUAAAUUACUCAUAACUAGGGGCAGAGGUAAAUGUCCAUGAGGGUGGGCAAUUGCUACCCCUCGAAUUUUUUAAAAUUGCUUUGUUACCCAGCAAACAUUUUUAGUCAUGCUUUAAAUUAGUUAUGAUUGUGUUGGUUGCACCCCCUAAAAUCACAAAAAUUGUACCUUGCACCCGUUCAAACAAAAAUUGAAGGGCAAAUCACCAAGUAAAAUCAAUUGAAACCCAAUGUAUUAUAAGAAAGAAGUUAAGAGAAAACAAGUUAAUAUAGGCAUAUAUAAAAUCAAGCUACCAUAUUGGAUUGAGAGCAACAAUUUAGGAAUGCAUUGACAAUUGACAAAAACAGUUGAUGUCUGUAAUGAAAGAAACAAGUUAAUUACGUGGAAAGAAAUAAACAAAAUGAGAGAAAAGACUAGAAAAAGGAAACAUAAAGGUUUUGAUACUACAUAUGGAACAAAAUGUACAUAACAUAUUUCUUUUUUUUUUUAAUUUGAUUUACUCCUAACUCUUACAAUCAUUCACUUUUGUAAAUUAGCAACAAGGUUUUACGCCGACGAUUUUUAAUUUUUCUAACCGAUUUAGAUAUUAAAUAGUUUACAAUUCAAUCGGUGACAAAUUACAAAUUCAUUUGUGGAAUAGUAUUAUUGUACUAAUUCACUAUGUGAAUGAAGAUGCCAAAUUCUAUCACUUUACGGACAAAUUAUCCAUAUUCUCCACCAUGGAGAUCCUCGACAGCUGUUUGGUCCUGAAUUUAGCCAUAUUCUCAAUUACUCCGAACUCCGAUGUACUUACUUCAAAUGAAUUUUUAUAUUGCACGUUUCAUUUUACUUUUCUUUAGCUUUAUGUUCCAUCUAUUUUCUUUCAUAAUGGUACCACGCCAGCAACCUUGGUAUUAAGAAAGUGGAAUAUACAUGGGCAAGAAAAUCAAUGUUUUUAAAUUCGUAUUGGUGAGUGAAUUGGAUGAACUUUUGAUCCUGAUUUAAUAGUUUGGUCAAAUGUUUAACUUUUUUUAUUUUCUUUAAUAUCAAAUAAUUUGGAUAAUACUGAAAUAUAUAUUAAAAAAAUUCAGUGGUAACUGGGUCAAUGGUCUGGAUUUUGAUCAAUUUAAUCAGUUUUUGACUGAGGUUAAUGGAAUUUUUUUUUCCAUUUUCUGAGCUUAGCAAGUAAUUGGACUAGUGCCAUUACUAGUUCGCAGUCCAACAGGCCAAACCACUUAAUCAGGUCUGAUUUUUAAAAUACUUAAAUGAGUUUAUCAAUCCAUGCGUGAAGAUCAUUGUAAAUGCAUGAUUGAUUACCACCAUCAUGGAAAUACAUCACAUGGAGUUGAGGAUUAUAAAAUGAAAUAAUAAUGUUUGAUCUUUUGAAUGAGCAAGAAAGACGUGCAAAUAAGUUUGAUGUCUGCAUCACAGUUUUUGAAACGAUUAAUGGGAGAUAAUGGUUGCUAUUAGGCUGCAAUUUAAAACACAUUCUUCCAUUUUUUUGAUUUUUAUUUUUUUCUUUUGAUAUAAUCUUUUACUCUUGGGAUAAUAUAAGCUAAGCCAUCUUAUUUGACAAAAACAUGCUAUGACAGGGCAACAAGACAGAGAAAUAAAAGAUGCCCUUCCGUAAGCAAAUUGAAUUGAGCUCGUUGUGACAACUGACAGGCUUUGUUGAAUAUGUAAUUUUUUCAGAAAAUAUCUUUGGUAAAAUGUACAAAAAUUUGAUUAGUGUGUAAAUCUUUGUUGACUAUUCCAUUUCUGAUUGUUUAAGUUAUGUACUCUUACACGUUUGGCAAUAUUUUAUUUUACAUUAGUAGACCAAGAUGUUUGCAGUAAUAUACUCGAUCUUCUUUUGUUUUUUAAGGGUAAAGUACGUCAAAGGUUAUCAAACUUUUCAAUAGCUUAGUUUUAUUCUUGUAACUUUUUUUUGGUACUAAAUGGUCCACUAAAUUGUUUUAAAAGUCUCAUUUUAUUCAUUGAACUAUUUUUUUAUAAGAAAUUUCUCACUAUUUUUUAAAAUUUAUUUUACCCACUCAACUACUUUUUGAACCAAAUAACCUACUAAACUUUUAAAGUGAUUUAUUUGGAUCGUUCUAUUAGAUUCUACCAUUAAGAUAGAUAAAAAGUUUGCCAUGUAGUCGUGUUUUAAAUGGAUAAAUUUGUCAUUUCACACCCAAAAUCUAUAUGUCCAAAUCAAUUAGAAAAAUUUAUAGCUUCAGAAAAACCACAAAUUCUAUUUUGGAUAGGGCCAAAAAUAGUUUCUGUGUGGAUCGAGAUUUUAUUUUGGGAUUUAGGUAUGUUUAAAAGUGAUUGAAUAGUUUAAUCCAUUGGGGUAGAUGGAUUUUAGGCCCGCAACGAUGAAAUUGUCCAUUUAAAUCAGGCUCACACGACAAACGUUCGUCUAUCUUAAUGGUAGAAUUUAAACAAAAUAGUCAAGAUGAAUCACUUUCAAGAGUUUAAUAGGCUAUUUGGUACGAAAAGUAGUUGACUGGGCAAAAUAAAACUUUUAAAAUGUUUAGUAUGUAGUUUUAUAGAAAGAAUAGUUCAAUGAGACUUUUAAAAAGUUUGAACACCUUUAAUCAACAAGUAGCAACCUUAUAUUAUUUUCUAAUGGCUGAUAGAAAGGACUAAAAGUCUAAAACAGUCCCUUGUCACAGUCGUAUCUACUCUUGUCUAUUUUCAGUUAACAAUCGUCCAAUAAUUGCAUUAAAAGAAAAUGCACACAUGAAAAAUGAAGUGAUAAACCUUAACUUGUUCAGUAUAAAGUCAACACCAAACUUCUCUCUUUCUUCUUGCUAGUUGCAUCUUGAAUUUUGAUCAUGGAGUCACUCUACAGCAUCCUAAGUCACUUAUUUUUUUUAUAUCUAUUAUUAUUUUUACUCUAACCUAUUUUAGGGGAAGAUUCAGCUAAACCUACAAAGGAAUCGACGGAAAUUGAAUCACCGUCUAACUAGACGAGUACACUAUGCAUCCAUAUAAAUCUAGAAGAAGCCACUUAAAGUGGCAAGACACAUAUACCCCAUGUCUAAUAGUAACGUGAAUUAUGAAUUUUACAUGCUUAUCAAAGCUCGGAAAGAGCGUGCUGCAGCCGGACCAUAUCACUUGCCUUAAAUAAUGAGUUUCCAAUAAAUUGCAUAUUUCGCCAGGUUAAGGGCACAAAUGGCUGCCAUGUGAACUGUUUCGGAAUGAUUUUGUCUAUUUUAACAAGAUCUAAGCCUUUCAUUUAGUCAUGUAAAUCAUUUUGAAUGCAAUGUAAAUUUAAAAUAAAAUUUUCUGAAUUCGAUAAAUAUGAUGUGAAAACGAUUUACGCCACAUGAUCUGAGCCUUAUAUAUAUUUUGGGUUAAUCCGGAUUCUCAAACCUCUCCAAAACUUCUACUGCCCUAGUUGUAUUUCCCCCCCACGGUUUGCUAUGACUGGUUUCUUACGACGGCUGAUAGAGAUUUAUACUAAUCUCCAUAUUAGUUUUGACAAAGAAGAACUUGAAUUAAAUUACAAAAUAAUAUUAAGAGAAUAGUUAAUAAAAUACGGAGUGAGAAUAAUACAGUGUUAUGCAUACCCGCAUUGCACAAGUUUUUUCUCAAAAGUAUGAUUAGAAGUUCAAUUGUAAAUGCGAGUUUAUUAUAUUUACACUUAAAAUUACACACUUAUUUUGUAGGAAAAUAAACCAAGCUAUUUUAGUUUCCUAAUUCUUUUUGGUAUCUUAUUUGUUUAGUUUCCAUAUUAGAUUAGGAAAUCUCAAGUCAGUUUCCAAAUACGUUUUGGCUUACAACCGUAUUAGCUUUAAGAAAUUUUCGAGCCUAUAAAUACUAACAGUCUAGUAGGUUAUUUGUGUGGAGAGUUGAGUUGAGUCUAGAGAUUAGACUUGAGAGAAAAUCUCAUAGUUGAGGUUUGUGAGUUAUUGUGAGCAAAGGCUACGACUUAAUAUUUGUUUUGAGUUAAAUAAAUUAUUGAGUGUUUGUUCUUCUCCUCUUCCCACAUAUUUUUUAUAUGUGUUAGAAUUGCUUCCGCUGUGUGCACGGGGAUUCUUCGUGCCAAGAAGUGAUAUCAAAGCCAGGUUUUGAUCCUAGGGCUUGUUUGCAAAAUUGGGGCUUGGAGCUUGUUCGUGAAAUUAAAGUAUGGAUCCGCAUUAUUUGCACAAUUGUCACGUUUUUAUCUUCUAUGGUAAAAACGAUUUUGAGGCUUGGAAGUCGAUGAUGAAGAAUUUUUUCCAAAAUAUUGGAGUUUGGAAUAUUGUCGAGACAGGAUAUACGGAACCGGUAGCACAUAUAGAAUUAUCAAGCAAUGCAGUUAAAGAAUUAGAGAGAAAUAGACAGUUGGAUUGCAAGGCAAUGUACUAUCUCAACACUCAAGUCCAGUUGCAUGUUGCAAAAAAAUUUAUACAUGCAAAGUCGACAAAAGAGGCUUGGACAAUGUUAAUGAAUUCAAAUCGAGGUGCUGCUAACAUAAAAAAAAUCAGAUUGCAGGAACUUAGGAGACAAUUUGAGUUGGCCCAAAUGAAAUCCACAGAGUCAUUAAAGAUUUUAUUGGUACAAUCAAAGAAAUUGUCAAUGAUAUGGAGUCCAUUGGUGAGAAUUUGGAAGAGGUUAGAGUUGUUGAAAAGUUAUGAGAUCUCUAACUGCCAAAUUUCACACCAAGAAGACAGUCCUUGAAGCCACAAAGGACCUUGACAAUUUGUCACUUGCUGAAUUGGAAGGUGAAUUGCUGACGUCUGAGAUGUUCCUGAAUCAGCAGCCAUCGGAUAUAGUAGAGGAGGUGUUACAAGGCAAGGUGGAUCACCUAAAAGGAAAAGAGGAGGUGAAUCGUAUAGACACAAAUUAAAAGGGCAAGAACUUCAGAGGUAGAGGACGUGGAGGCAGAGGUAACUUUCGUGAUCGUGGAAGAGGUAAUUAUUCUUACCAACCCAAAAAUAAUUCUAAUAGGGAUCAGAAAAACAAUCAGCAGCAAAGUCGAAGAAAUAAUUUUCAAAGACAUGAUAGAUUUAAUGUCCAAUGUUAUUAUUGUGAUAAAAUUGGUCACUAUCAGAAUGAAUGCUGGUCCAAUAAAGAGGUGCAUGCAUGCUAAAGUGGCUGAAAAUACUAGUGAUAGAGAGGAUACCUUGUUAUAUUCUAGUUCUACAUCUGAAGAGUCUAUGAAGAAUGAUUGGUUUAUUGAUUCUGGUUGUAGUAAUCAUAUGUGUGGUAAAAAGGAGAUGUUUUCUAACCUAGAUGAAUCUUUUCAUGCAUCUGUGAGAUUUGGAAACAAUGAAAAGUGUCUGUUCUUGGAACAGGAAAAAUCAGAAUUAUCUUGCAAGAUGGUCUUCGAAUUUAUUUCUGAUGUUUUUUACGUGCCAAGUUUAUAUCAUAACUUGUUGAGUUUGGGACAAUUGUCCGAGAAAGGUUAUGAUCUGCAUUUUAAAUAUGGUAAGGGCAUCAUAAGUGAUGGAAAAUUGGGAUUAAUUGCCAAGGUAAAGAUGAACCAUAGUCGUUUGUGGCCUCUUUCCCUUAACUGUGGUGAUUUACCUUGCAUUAAUUCCGUGACUUGUGAUGAUUCUUGGUUAUGGCAUAUGCGUUUUGGGCAUUUGAAUUUUGGGAGUUCGAAAUUUCUUGAAAGAAAGAAAUUAGUUAUUAGGUUGCCUUCUGUUGAGUUUCCUGACAAGAAGUGUGAGUCUUGUAUUUUGGGAAAGAAACAUAGGGAUUUUUUUCCAAAAGGCAAGGCUUGGAGGGCUCAUCGACCACUUGAACUGAUUCAUUCAGAUUUAUGCUCAGUUGAAGUUCCUUCCAAUGGUGGCAGUAAAUAUUUUAUUACCUUCAUUGAUGAUUUCAGCAAGAAGAUAUAGGUGUAUUUUUUAAGAAAUAAAUCUGAUGCAUGUGAUGUGUUUUAAAAAUUCAACUAUUAUGUAGAGAAGCAGAGUGGCUAUUUUAUUAAAACUCUGAGAAUUGAUAGAGACACUGAAUAUCUUGUUUGUGAUGACUACUUGGUGGAAAGUGGCAUAAAACAUCAAUUGACAGCCAGAUAUACACCUCAACAAAAUGGUGUGGCUGAAAGGAAGAACAGGACUGUGAUGGACAUGGUGAGAUCUAUGAUGCACUCCAAAGGUAUUCCUAUAUCCUUUUGGGCAGAAGCAGUAUCUUGUGCUAUUUAUGUUUUGAAUAGGUGCCCUGCUAGAUGCAACAUUGGGAAGACCCCACAAGAAGUUUGAAUUGGUAUGAAACCAGGUAUUUCUCACUUCAAGGUAUUUGGUUGUCUUGCAUAUGCGCAUGUUCCAGAUCAUUUGAGGAAGAAAUUAGAUAACAAAACAGAGAAGUAUAUUUUUAUUGGAUAUAGUCAUGAGACAAAGGGAUAUAAGUUAUUCAAUCCAAACAAAGGAAAGGUGAUUGUUAGUAAAGAUGUGACUUUUGAUGAACAUGGAGUUUGGAAUUGGUCCAAACAAGACCCUAAGACAUCGCCAAACUAUCCAUCCAUUUCUCCCAUUAUAGGACCGAGUGUUAAUAAGCAAGCAGUGGAGCAAGUUGUGCAACCUCAUGGUGAUCCCUCACCUUCCACUAUUCAGGUUGAGACAUCCAGUCGACCACAGAGAGAAUGCUGCAUGCCAGCCCGAUUUGAUGAUUAUGCUGUUGGUAAAGAUAAUGAUUUAACUGAUGAAGAGAUUGUGAAUUUUGCUCUUUUUGCAGAUUGUGAGCUUGUCUCAUUUGAAGAAGUUGCCAAAGAUGAUCGUUGGGUUCGUGCAAUGGAUGAAGAAAUUUAUGCCAUUGAGAAAAAUGAUACAUGGGAAUUGACCACUAUCCCACUUGAAAGAAGCCACUUGGAGUGAAAUGGGUAUAUAAGACCAAAUAUAAGCCAACAGGAGAGGUGGAUUACUUCAAAGCAAGAUUGGUUAUCAAAGGCUAUAAGCAAAAAGCAGAUAUUGAUUAUUUUGAAAUUUUUGCACCAGUUGCUAGACUUGAUACGGUUCGUAUGAUUGUCUCACUUGCUGCAAAUAAUUGUUGAAAAAUUCAUCAAAUGGAUGUAAAAUCUGCAUUUUUAAAUGGUUUUCUUGAAGAAGAGGUAUAUGUUGAGCAGCCUGUUGGUUAUGUUAGAAAAGGUCGAGAAAACAAAGUGUAUAGAUUGAAAAAGGCAUUGUAUGGUUUGAAACAAGCUCCUAGAGCUUGGUAUACUCGCAUCGAUAUUUUAUUUUAUUGAGCAUGGUUUUCUGAGAUGUCCAUGUAAGCAUACUCUAUACAUGAAAUUCAACCUUGGAGGAGAUGUCCUUAUUGUAUGCUUGUAUAUGGAUGACUUGAUAUUUACAGGCAACAAUACCAAACUAAUUUUUGAAUUCGGAGAGGCCAUGAUUAGUCAAUUUGAGAUGACAGAUUUGGGAUUGAUGUCUUAUUUUCUUGGUAUUGAGGUUCAUCAGUUGGAUGGUGGAAUUUUUAUCUCACAAAGGAAGUAUGCAAAUGAUAUUUUGAAGAAGUUUAAGAUAGAUAUGGCUAAACCAAUGAUGACCCCGGUUGAAGAAAAAUUGAAAUUAACCAAAAAUGGUACCGGUGAUUUUGUUUAUGCUACUUACUUUAGGAGAUUAGUAGGUAUUUAACUUCUACGAAACCUAACAUCACUUAUGGAGUUGGUUUGACUAGCAGAUUCAUGUAAUCUCCGCGCCAGUCCCACUUGUAAGCUGGUAAGAGGAUUUUAAGAUAUGUUCAAGGUACGUAGUCUGACGGUAUAUUUUAGUCAUUUUCACAUGGUAACAACCUUGUUGGAUACAUUGAUAGUGAUUGGGUUGAUGACAUAAUACAAAUGAGGAGCAUUUCUGGUUAUGCAUUUUACUUGGGAUCUGGUGUAUUUUCUUGAUCCUCAAAGAAACAACAGGUGGUUGCUUUGUCCAUAGCAGAAGUGAAGUACAUGGCAGCCACAAGUAGUGCUACUCAAGCACUUUGGUUGCGAAGAAUGCUUGAAUUCUUACAACACAAGCAAGACGGUCCUACCAAAAUAUUUUGUGAUAGUUUGUCUGCGAUUGAGUUGACAAAAAAUCCAGUUUUUCAUGGGCGCAGCAAACAUAUUGAUAUCAAGUAUCAUUUUAUUCAUGAGUUAGUUCAACAACAAGAAAUUGUCAUUGAUUAUUGCAGAAGUGAAGAUCAAGUAGCUGAUAUUUUGACAAAACCACUCAAAUUGGAGAGGUUCAUGAAAUUGAAGAAGAUGCUCAACAUGGUGAAAUUUGAAGAGCUUGGUUUAAGGGAGGCAAUGUAGGAAAACAAACCAAGCUAUUUUAGUUUCCUAAUUCUUUUAGGUAUCUUAUUUGUUUAGUUUCCAUAUUAGAUUAGGAAAUCUCAAGUCAGUUUCCAAAUAAGUUUUGGUUUACAACAUUUUGGAGUCUAUAAAUACUAGCAGUCUAGUAGGUUAUUUGUGUGGAGAGUUGAGUUGAAUCUAGAGAUUAGACUUGAGAGAAAAUCUCAUAGUUGAGAUUUGUGAGUUGUCGUGAGCGAAUGGCUACAACUUAAUAUUUAUUUUGAGUUAAAUAAAUUAUUGAGUGUUUAUACUCCUGCUCUUCCCAUAUAUUUUUUAUAUGUGUUAGAAUUGCUUCCGCUGUGUGCACGGGGAUCCUUCGUGCCAACAUAUUUACCAUAAAUUUUAGAUCUUAUGCUUUAUUAACAGUAGUUUUAAAUUGUAUUUUUGUACAUGAGACAUGAUAUUGAUUAUAAUUUCAUCGAACAGUUAUAGAUGCAAGUAUAUGAAAGAAGUACCAUAUGAGUCUGUUAUUUUUUUAUAGUUCAUAAAAUACAUAUUGUUUGAAAGGAAAUUUUAAAAUUUUGUCAUGAAUUGAUGUUUUUUCUGAAGUAUGAUAUCAUAAAAGUUUAUUAGGUGCUUUUGUUGAAAAGUAUGAAUAAUUUUUGUUGGAAAAUAGUAUUCAAGCCCUUGCGUUUUCAGUCACUUUUGUAUUGUUGGUAAUAAGGGUGGUCACAUAGGAUCACAUCCCAAAGGAUUUAUAAAUUGGCGGUAGGGAAGACAUUGGUUUUCUUUGUAAGCCACAUGGAGUUUUUAUCUUUGGAAAAUAAUAUUCCAUACUAACACAACUUUAUGAUAUAGAAAUAGAACAAAAGAUGGUCCACCUUGUAUUUCUUGGAUUGCGUAAUUUGAGUUGCUUUUUGUAACUGAAUUCUUUGUUAUGUAAAGUGUCACUUUCAUUUCUUUUGGGUUGUUGCUAGAGCCUUCACAUAUUGUUAAAUUAAAAAAAUUAUUCUUAAAACUUAAUUUAGUUGGUAGGGACAUUUUUUGAGGUGAUACAAGUUAUGAUUUGGAAUGAAAGAAAAUUUCUAAUCCACUUUGUCUACAAACAACGAAGUUAUAAGUAAUGCAACUAUAAAUCUCAUGAAGAAUUUGAUCCUGACUCAAGAUGAACGCUGGUGGCGAAGUUUUUAAUUCAACUUUCAAGCCUUUCUCGUGUAAGACUUUGAGUCUUUUCUUGAACCAAAAAAUUAAAUAAAUAAUAUAAAGCAAAACAUCUUUCCUUUUGCAUCUUCAUUGAUUUUCUUGAGGACUUUUGCUAUGAACGUAUACUAUUCGAUAUAAUAUGAGUUUUUCUACACUAUGGUCAGUAGGAUGGUACUUCUGUUGGGGGAGGAAGCCGAGCAAAGUUGAUUCAAUUUCCCAACGUCUACCUUCCGACCCUCAGUUUUGCUUUAAGAGUCCCUACCCAAAUGAUUAAAAUAGUCCCUCAACCUUUUUUGUUCAAAAGUUUAUGUCCCUCAACUUUAGUUCAUUAGCUGAUUAAGUCACCAGCUGUUUAACACUCAGUAACUUACUUUGUUUGGAUAGUGAAUUAGUUAAAAAAUUUACUUGCUUGCAUCAAUACAUUUUUUAAUUAUCUUUUUAUUUCAUAUAUAUGAUAUUAAAAAAGUGAUAGACUAUCAUUUUAUCUCACAUACAUCACAUCAAAAAAGUGUUACAGUAUUUUUUUAAAACAUUAUCCUAAAUAAUCUACUAUCCAAACACAUAGCUUUGCAGCAUCGAUGAAAUCUCUUGCAAGGUUGGCAUUUUUCCAAGAAGUUUUUAUAUGUGUUAUCUUAGAACAAUGGCAAUAAGCAAUUUGAUUUGCUAUGAUCUGGUGCCCCAACCAUGAAAUUCCAAACUCCAAAUAUUGGUCAUUGUACAAGUUGAUUUAUAGAUGAUGGUAACAUCUGAUUUUGGGAAAAGGUUUUCUUUCAAAUAUUCCUAUUUUCUUUGCCUUAGAUCUUCUUUUUUUUUUUGAAACAUGAACAAAUAUGUGCUUAGUGCGAUUAAGGAGGACGGACAAUCUGCCUUUUAAUUGGAGCCUUUGUGUCCUCCAAACAUGCCUUUUGAAGAUGGCUUCCUUCUAAGCUCCCGAAGUAGAUGGCUUGGCCUUUCCCUCUACCCCUGAAAAUAUCAUAUUUUUAUUAAGUUGAAAUCAAGGAAAAAUUAACCCACACGUAUGGAGGUUCCAAUGGCCAAUACCAAAAAAAAAAAAAAAGAACAAUCAUACACUACUAAACUAUUCAACACGCUCUAAAUAAAAUACAAUCUAACUAGUGGAACUACAACAAUAUACCACUAGCAAAUAAGUCAAGUGAAAAUUUUCCGAUCUAAGUCUCAACUCGAACUAAUCUUCCAAUUCUUUCUAAACCUAUCUACUCUUAAGGGUACAAUUUACAUUAUGAACAAUUCAUUCCACCACUAUAGAGGAUGCAUAUUUGAUGGUUGACUAGUUAGUCUAGAGAAAAUGUAACAUUUGGGUGGCUCAAUCACAUAAGGACAAAAUUGGCUACCACAAAAUACUUCGAGGACUUAGUUAGCUAACAUUCAAAGUUGAAGCACCAAAAUGGUUUAGUGAAAAAGUUGAGGCACUAUUUUGCUCAUUUGCUCUAUUUCCUCCAACAAAUUUAGGAAAAAAAAGAUUAUUUCGCCCAAGUCCACUGCCACUGGCACUUCUAGUAACUUAUUGUGAUGGUAAGCUCUUCUUGUAGGAAUAUUAAACCAAACAUCAAUAAUUAAUGUCCACGUGUCUUUGUUUUAUUGGUUAACUAGAUAGUUGCAUUGUGAGUUGGUAAAGUUGGCCACAUUGGAUUAGGCCCAUAGUAUUAGUAAUAGAAGUCAGCCAGCAAGAGAUGUAGUACUAUAUAGCCUCUCGUCCGUCCCCUUUAAGAAGUGGCUUCGUUGUUUUGUAUUCUGGCCAGAGUUUCAUUUGAUUAAUAGAAAACUUCCUUUGGCUCAAUAUCGUUCUUUAUUUGAUUGUUCCUGUGGGUUUCUGUGUGUUUAUUUGUUUGGGUCCUACAAAGUGAUACCAGAGCUAUAGUAGAUUGAAGUAUGAAAAACCCUAACCCAAUAUUAUUUGUUCUAUCCAAAAACUCAAAACAAAGGCGGAGUUCAAUUUCUGACAGAAACAAAUGAUAACCAAUCUCAAGGCAUGCAAAUUACAUCGAUAUAUUGAAUCUGCACUUGGCCAAGAUGCUAGUGAGGAUGAUAAGGCAACAGAUAGCUCGGCUUGGUCACAAAUUCAUUAGGUAAUUGACAUGUCAGCUUUUGGAAAAAUUUCUACGGCUGAUACGACAAAGGAGACUGAGGAUAUAUUGGAGAAAACAUACAAAGGGAUUGACAGGGUCCAACAAAAUAAUUUGAUGAUAUUGAAGAGGAAAUUUAAACUUGUGACAAUGAAGAAGUGGGAAUCUAUUGAGUCAUAUUUUUUUUUGUUUAUUAGAUAUUAAAAACGAGUUCAAACUCAAUCAGUAUAAUCUUCCUAACUGAACAUUUGUUGAGAAAGUUCUCAAUACCCUACCCAUGAAAUUUUAUUGUAAUUCAGGAAAUGAAAGAUUUGGAGGAUUUGAGUAUUGAAGAUUUGUAUGGAUCAUUAAUUCUACAUGAACAAAGAAUUAAUGAAAAAUUGGAGAAUACCUUGAAGAAGGAUACAGUAGAGAAGGUGUUGCAAGCGCAGUUGAAUUUGAGAGGCAAUAAUGAUGUCAGGGAGUAAGGCAAAUCCAGUCAGAGGAGUAGAGGUGGUUACAAUAACAAAAGUGAUCGUGACAACAAUAAUAUAGGCCGAUGAGGUACAUCAAAUCUUGGACGUGGUGGAGGUAAUAAUUUUAAUUUUAAAGGUGGUCCUGGUAGAGGCAUAGGUGGUAAUUUUGGCAGUGAAAAUAAUUUUAAUCAGAAUAAUUUUGGAUAGAGAGUUCAAUGCUAUAAUCGAAGAAAAUUGGGUCAUAGACAAUUUGAAUGUAGAUUUGGAGAAAAUGUAGAUAAAAAUUUUCAGGCUAAUGUUGUUGACAAUUAGGUGCAAGAUAAUAAUAAAAAAUUUGAAACUUUAUUAUCAGCUUGAAAUGCUGUUGAUGUGGUUGAUAAAAAUAAAUGGUACUUGGAUACGGGUUGUAGUAACCAUAUGUCUGGCAAGAAAGAAUUAUUUGUUGAGGUUGAUGAAUUUGUAUGUGGUGAAGUUAAAUUUGAAAAUAAUACAGUUUUACCAAUGAUUGGCAAAGGAAAAAUUCUUAUUAACCUGAAAAAUGGGUCUACUGAUUUUAUUUUUGAUAUUUUUAUAUUCUUGGGCUACAUCAAAAUUUGUUGAGUAUGAGCCAGUUGUUUGAGAAAAAAAUAUGAUAUUUGUAUCAGGAAUGGUAUUUGUACUAUUUUUGAUAAAAAUAUUGGAAUGAUUGCCAAUGUACCAAUGACUUCAAAUCACUUAUUUUCAUUGAAUUUGAGUAGUGCCAAUUUUUUCUAUUUGAAUACAGUGAUAGAUGACAGUAAUUGGUUGUGACAUAUGCAAUUUGGUCAUUUGAAUUUUGACAGUUUGAAAUUUUUGGCCAAUAAAAGAAUGGUUGGUGGAUUGCCUAAUAUUAGAAAUCUUGGUAAAGUCUGUGAUAUGUGCGUUUUGGGAAAAUAACAUAAGGAUACUUUUUAGACUGGCAAAUCAUGAAAGACCAGAAAAUCAUUAGAAAUUAUUCAUUUAGAUGUAUGCACUGUGGAUAUUCCUUCUAAUGUGGUUGCAGGUAUUUUACUACCUUUAUGGAUAAUUUUAGUAGAAAAACUUGGGUGUAUUUUUUGAAACAAAAAUCUGAUACCUGUGACACUUUUAAAAUUUGUGUUGAGAGGCAAAGUGGGUGUCAGAUUAAAAUUUUGAGAACAGAUAGGGGUCAAAAAUAUUUGGUGUGUGAUGAUUUUCUUGAGAAAAUGAGAUACAACAUCAGUUGACUGCUAGGUAUACCCUCCAACAAAAUGGAGUGGCAGAGAAAAGAAUAGGACAGUUAUGGAUAUGGUGAGAUGUAUAUUGAAGUUGAAAAAUAUGCCAAAAUCAUUUUGGACAGAUGUAGUUUCUUGUGCAAUUUAUCUGUUAAAUAGGUGUCCUACCAGAAGUGUUUCUGGAAAAACUUCUGAUGAAGUUUGGAGUGGUAGAAGACUAUUUGUUGGUCAUUUCAGAGUUUUUGGACCUAUUCACAUGUCCCUGAUCAAUUAACAAAGAAACUUGAUGAUAAGGGGGAUAAGUGUGUAUUUAUUGAUUAUAGUGAAGUUUUUUAGGUUUAUAAGUUGUAUAAUCCUAUGACAAAAAAGGUGAUAGUGAGCAGAGAUGUGACUUUUGACAAAAGAGGUGUUUGAGAUUGGUCUACUGGAGAUUUUGAGGUAGUAGAGGUGAUUCUAAAUUAUCAGCAAGAGAAGGAUAAUUAUGAUAUUCAGUCGUCACCAGUUGCUCAGAGUCCACAAACUGAGUUAACUAGAUGUCCCCAGCGUCAGCGAUAGAUGCCAACUCGUCUGGAGGAUUAUGUUAUUAUACUAGAUGAUGUUUCUUCUAACAAAGAUAUUGUUAAUUUUGCUUUGUUUGCAGAUUAUGACCCAGUUGUGUAUGAGGAAGUAGACAGUGAUGAUCGUUGGGUGAAAGCAAUAGAGGAAGAUAUUCAUGCAAUAGAGAAUAAUGACACCUGAGAACUUACUUCUCUUCCAGUCGAUAGAAAAGCCAUUGGAGUGAAGUGGGUGUACAAGAUAAAAUUUAAACCCAGUGGAGAAGUUGAUAGAUACAAAGCGAGACUAGUGGUGAAGGGAUACAAGUAGAAACUCAGGAUUGACUAUUUUUAAGUGUUUGCACCCGUUGCCAGGUUUGACACAGUCCGUAUAAUAAUUUCUCUAGCUGUUCAAAAUAACUGGAGAAUUUAUCAAAUAGAUGUCAAGUUAGCUUUCCUGAAUGGAUUCUUAAUGAAGAAGUGCAUGUGGAGUAGCCAGCAGGAUUUGUCAGAAGAAGUUAGGAAAAUAAAGUGUAUAGAUUAAAGAGAGCCUUAUAUGGAUUGAAAUAAAUCCCAAGAGCAUAGUAUACAAGAAUUAGUUCCUAUUUUCUAACUCGUAAUUUUCAGAGGUGUCAAUAUGAGCACACUUUAUAUAUUAAAUUUUCUACUCGCGGUGAUAUUCUUAUCAUGUACUUGUACGUAGAUGAUUUAUUUUUUAUAGGAAAUAAUUCAAAGAUUGUUGCAAAGUUCAGGGAGGUUAUGAUUAAGUAGUUUGAGAUGACAGAUAUGGGACUUAUGUCAUAUUGCUUGGGAAUUGAAGUUUAUCAGUCUGACAGUAAGGAUUUUAUAUGUCAAAAGAAAUAUGCAAGUGACAUUUUAAAUAAAUUCAAGAUGAAUAUAGCAAAACCAAUUAUGACACCAGUUGAAGAAAAAUUGAGGUUGACCAAGGAAGGCGCUGGUGGAUAUGUGACAAACAGGUUGAUUCUACGAAGAUUUAUUGUGAUAGUAAAGUCAGCAAUUGAAUUGUCCAAAAAUCCAAUACUCCAUGGGGUCUCAAGCAUAUUGACAUCAAAUAUCACUUCAUACAAGAGUUGGUUCGAGAAAAGGAGAUUGAAGUUGAUUAUUGCAGAAUUAAAGAACAAGUGGUUGACAUUUUUACCAAGACAUUAAAGACAGAGUCUUUUGUCAAGUUGAAGAAGAUGCUGGGUAUGUCCAAAUUAUAGAAGCUUUGUUUAAGGGAGGCAAUACAGAAAUAUUAAAUCAAACAUCGAUAAUUAAUGGCCACGUGUCUUUAUUUUAUUAGUUAACUAGAUAGUUGCAUUAUGAGUCAGUAAAGUUGGCCACAUUAGAUUAGCCCCAUAGUAUUAGUACUAGAAGUCUGCCAGCAAGAGACGUAGUACUAUAUAGCCUCUCGUCCAUCCCCUUAAGAAGUGGCUUCGUUGUUUUGUAUUCUAGCUAGAGUUUCGUUUGAUUAAUAGAAAACUUCCUUUGCCUCAAUAUCGUUCUUUAUUUGUUCCUAUGAAUUUUUGUGUGUUUAUUUGUUUGGGUCGUACACUUCAUCAUUUUUAUUUAUUUCCCUUUCCUUGAAAUUUGAUGUUUGACACACUUUCUUUGGUUAUAUCAUAUUGCCAAGGUUUGUAUUAACAAAGUUGAGAAUAUAAAGGGCAAAAAAGUUUAUCUAUCCACUGAUGGAAAUUUGUGCAUGGUGAUUACCUGGAAUUCAGGCUUUAUGAAAUAUAGUCAUGAAUCAUAUAGUUCUACUUUUACGGUCAAAAGUUUCCUCAACUGGUACGUUUACAAGGCAAAAUCUAUACCCCUGAGAACUAUGCUUAUUAUGUUUAUGAAGUGCUUGAUGAAAUUCCCCUGAGAACGUUGAAUUCAAUAUUUGUCUUGCAUAAUAUGUGUAACCAUAUAAUAAUCAGAGUACCUGGCUAGAAAAUGUCGGCCAUUAUCUGUCUAGAACCUGUUCUGCAGAUGUGGGGUUUUUUUUUUUUUUUUUUUUUUUUUUUUUUUUGGGUUCACCAUUUGAGACUUGCAACUUAUGUGGUGUAAACUAGCUAGGAGGAGGAAUUCAAAGUUGGUAUCCUGAAAAAUGGGAAGAAGUUAACUUGCAAUGGCUUUCGAAUGUCAAUUUGUCUUGCUGUUUGUUGCCAGAAAUCUUUCUGAAAUCUUCAUUGUAUAAUCUUUCUGGCAGGGAAUUGUCAGUUCUGGACUAUGUGUGGCUGCAGUUUUCUGGAGCUCAAUGAUGGAAGGCCCUUUGUUCGUGUCUUCUUUCACUCCUUUGGGACUAGUAUUCACUACCCUUGCUGGAUCCCUCUUUCUAAAAGAGGAGCUGUGUUUGGGAAGGUUAUGAUAUGGGGAAAAGGCAAGGAGGCAACUGCAUCUCAAGAUGGAGAAACUGAAAGCAGGAGGGAUGAAGUAACCGAUGGUAGCCAGGCUGCGCCUCUCAUUGUCCCCGGCCAUUGCACUGAUUAUCAAACAAAUGGGGUUCAUCAACAAUUUAAGCAUGAACAUGUUUUACAAGCUCGGUUAGCAUUGCCAAGAAUUGAUUGAAUAUUGCUGAGCCACUGUAUCCUUUUCUUUUUCCUUUUUUUGUCUUAGCAUUUUCUGUUAAAACAGUAGGCGAAUGGAUCUGAAUUCUGUUUCUGUAAUUCGAAAGAUGAAGAGCCACUCUCUUCUCAGCGCAUUUUUUUAGCUUGUCAAAUGUAAACUAUCCUGAAGAGUUAUAAUUGCUCUUGAUUGUGGAACCUGCAUAAUUGCUUUAGGUGUUUUGCUUUUGCGUUCUUCCUUCUUUCAGUUCAAGCACUGAGCUACAAAAUCUCAUUGAAGGCCACAAAGUUAUCCUUAUCGAUGCCUCUUAAACUUUUAUCAACUCUAACUGAUGUGUGGAAGAAAAGGAAAAACCUAAAAUUUGUCCUCCUCCUUGUCCAAAUACAUCUAAAAUUUACAAGUACAUAAAAAAGUAUCUUCAUAUUACAAGAAAUGGUAAUGUAAAAAAAAAGUAACAAAAAUAUUUAAAUGGAUUAUAAAUGGAUAAUUGAUUUUUAUUUAAUCCAUUUAGAUCCAUCCAUUUAGAUCCAUUUAAUAAAUGGAUCUAAAUGGAUUGGAUAAAUUUCAUCCACCAUCCAUUAAGUCAAAACCAAUUAUGAACCAUUUAUCCAUAUUGCCACCUCUAGUCAUGAUGUUUGAUCUUUUGCAUUUUGAGCAAGAGAGACGUAUACUUUUUUGUCUUUUCGAUUUCUUAAGGCAGAGUUUGUUUUCUUUGGCAGGGUUCAUCAAACCAUAGCUCUAUUGUCAGGCUUUAAAAUAAAACACACUUAACUUUUUUCGAAAGCAAAUAAAAUUAAAACAACUCACAACCUUUGUUGAUGCCACUGAAGUAUUGGGGCUGGUCAUAUGUACUAUAUAAAUAUUGGGUACUGCCAGCAAAUAUCUCUGGAAAGAUGCACAAAAUUUAGAUUAUUACAUGCAUAUGGUUUAAACUAUUUCAAUUUUGAUUAUUUUGGUUUUGUACCACUAUUACACUUUUGCGCUCUGACUUUGUUUAUGUUCAACCAAAUGCUAUUACUUAAAUUAAAAACCCACUGAUUUCUGAAUUUAAAAUGUUAAAUUACAUCACGCAUGAUCCCAAAUUUGGGAAGCACGUGCUUAAACUAUUUGGAAAGCACCAAAAUGUAGAAACAUGAUAGAAGGAACUAAAACCACCAAACUUAACCCAGUGCCCACCAUCAAAGUUGGUGGGGUGAGAGGUCAUAGGAUGGGAGGUCAUGGGAUCAAACUAGAGGUGUCAAAAUGGGUGACUUGGGUGGGUUUGGGUUGGGUAAAAUGGGUAAUGGGUAUAAGUGAGUCAACUCAUUUAUAGCCAUUUAAUUAGAUGGGUAUAAAUGGGUAAGUCAAAAAAUGAAUUAGGUAACCCAAUUACCCAUUUAUAACUCAUUUAUUUUAACUUUUUGCAAACUCAUUUAAAUUCACUUUUGCAAACUAAGUUAUCAAUUUAUACCACUCUUUGUACCCAUCAUUAGUUUUAAAUAUUUACUUAUAAUGUUCAAUAAACUUAAUUACCAAUUUUUUUCAUUUAUACUCUGUCACAAAAUUACCUAUUAUUUAAUAAUUGAAUAAUACGAAUAUAAAAAUUUGAAUUAAGUACUAUAAAAAUUAAUAUAAAAACUUAAUUCAAAAAUUUUGAACCCCUAACAUUUUUUUCAUAUAUAAAUUUAAAAUUUCAUUUUAUAAAGAUAAGAAAAUAGGCUAAAAUUUAUCAUAAAUUGGUAAUGCUAAAAAAUGAGCAAGUUAACAAACUAAGAAAAAAUAAAAUAAUAAGAUAAAACCAACAAAUAAUAAUAAUAAUAAUAAUAAUAAUAAUAAUAAUAAUGUUAACAUCAUGACAAAAUGAAAAUUUUGAAAAAAAAAAAGGUAGGGAAAAAGAAGAGACUUGGGGGGAAGAGAAUUUUAAAUGGGUUAAUUGGGUUUGAUGGGUUAUCCAAUAAUACCCAUUUAAUAAAUGGGUAUUAUUGGGUAACCCAUUUAUACCCAUAUGCAAAAAUUUAAGAUAUCCAUACCCAUCUAUUCAUGGACGGGUAUGGGUAAAUCUAGUUAAGUGGGUUGAUUUGCCACCUCUAGAUCAAACCCUACCCCCUACCAUUGGUCGCAAAAUGUGGCAAGCCUGCAUAGCCCAUUCGUUUGGGCUGAUAAGUAGUAUAAAUAACUGUAGGCCCACGUCUCAAUCCUAUCCACUCUCUGUAUUCAUUUCAAAAUUGCCCAGCAAUUACAUUAGAUCUACUUUUAUCCCCACAUGCAAGAUGAAGUGAAACAUGAUAGCUGCAAGAAGGACUCUCGUCAAUGGUCACUUGUCAAAGCAACUCCACUAUGCAAUUUAUGCUCCUUAAUUAUAUUAAUUAAGUAAAUGAUAUUUAUAGUAAGACAACUAUUAAUGAGGAAAAAAAUUACACCCUCCAUCUUAUUUUAUUAGGCUUGAUUUCUAUUUUAGUUUGUCUCAAAUUAUUUGUCAUAGCCAAAAAGAGGAAAAUGAACAGAGACCAAUUUCCUUUUUUUUAUCCUUCAUUAAAAAGAGUAUUAAUGUCAUGUUUUAGAAUCGAAUGCUUUAACAAACUAUUAUAAAAUUCUCAAAUUCAAAAGCAACAAACAAAAUUUGAAUUCAAGUCAAGGGGUAAUUAUGGAAACAGUUAUUUGUUGGUUGGCCAGAAAUCAAAUUCCUUAAUCUAUGUGCAAAGUUAUACAUGACAAGUCAAAUGAGACUGGAUUGAGUAUUUUGUGUUUUAAUGAUGUCAUCUUAGUGCCUAGAUUUGUUGGCUUAUUGUCCAUUUUUUUGAAUUAAUAUUGUAACUUUUAGUAAGUGAGAGAUUUUGAAUCAAGAUCUCUUACUCAUCCCUUCCAUUCUACUAUUCAACUCAACCUGGCCCAUCCCACCCCCUUUAUAUUGAAUCAAUAUUGAUGCUCAUGUAUGAAACAACUGAUACUGAUGAUCAGAGAGUGCCCAAAUGCAAAAUUACUACACUGCACAUAAAGUCAACGACAAACAUCUUUCUCCUUGCUUCUUGCAUCUUGAGCCUUGAUCAUGGAGUUACUCUACACCAUUCUAGGUCUCUUCAUAUUCUUGAUUGCUGUAAAGUAUCAGUAUCUCCGAAAAAAGAACAGAAAACUGCAGCCCCCAAGUCCUCCAGCUCUUCCAAUUUUGGGCCAUCUUCACCUUGUGAAAACUGCCCCCCACCUUGCCCUGCAAAAGCUCUCCAUCAAAUAUGGUCCCCUGAUUUUCCUUCAUUUUGGGAUUCGUCCUUUCCUUGUUGUUUCCUCGCCAUCUCUUGCAGAGGAAUGCUUAACCAAGACCAAUGAUAUUAUUUUCGCGAACCGGCCUGAGUCAGUUUCCAGUAAAUACCUUGGCUACAACUCAACUAUUCUCAUACUCUCCCCUUAUGGAGAUCACUGGCGAAAUCUCCGCCGAGUCACAACCAUCCAUAUGUUUUCUUCGAUUCAACUCCAGCGUUUCUCCUCCAUCUGGACUGAAGAAAUCCAUUUCAUCAUCAAAAAAUUGUUUUCCAGUAACUCUGAUGAGAAAACCUGGAAAGUUAAGGACAUGAGUUCUUUGUUCCGGGAGUUAUUAUUCAACGUGAUAAUGAAAAUAGUUGCUGGAAAAAGAUGGCCAUCUGAUCAGCCAGGUGAUAUAUUUUCACCGCAAGCACUCACUGAUCUUUGUGAUUAUAUUCCAAUUUUGAGGUGGAUUGGCUAUGGAGGGUUGGAGAAAGGUGUAAUCAGUUUGCACCAGAAGAGGGACGAGUUUCUUCAGGGCCUGAUUGAUCAAACGCGGAAAGAGGAAGCAGAAGACGGUUCUUGUUCGACAGAGAGAAGGAAAACAAUUAUUCAAAAAUUGUUAUCUCUACAAGAAGCAGAACCCGAAUACUACACUGAUGAAAUUGUUAAAGGAAUUAUACAAGUAAGUCUCUUCUACUUGAAUCUCUUUCUCAAAUUGGUCUAUAAUUCAUUAGGACAAGGUCAUCUCACCCAUGUAGCAGCAGUAGUACAAAUUGUCUUAGCCAUAUUUAGUGGUAGCGCUAAGACUAGUGGUGAGGGAUGCAGUGAUCCGCAACCGCAUGCUUUUCAUGGUUGAAAUUGGAUCAUAUUAGCUCGAUUUGAUCUGAAUAUUGAAAUGAUCAAAUUAAACCGUAUCUUGAUGUUGUGGUCUGAUCUGAACUGUAGCAAACACGUCCGACUGUAGAUAGGCACCGGAUCUAGUGGCGGUGAGUGGGGAAAUGGUAUAUGCCACUAACUUCAAUGUUGGUGUCUAGAUAAGGAAUUUGGUGAAAGUCUUUUCAAAAAUUUGGUGCACAUGUUUUCAACAUUAAAUAUGCCAACAUCUAGAGGUGACUGGUGAGCUGGGGGCCUGGGGCAUUCGUCAACUUGCAAAUUGGAUUAGUCUUCUUGUGGUGCUUCUUGUGGUCCAAUUGUUAUAUUUUUUAUAUUAUUUGGUGUGUAAUUAUAUGAUAUUAUUUUAUUCGAAAUAAAAAUGAUAUACAUGAAUAAAAUAUUUGAUACAUAUUCAAUACAAUAUUAUGAUAUAUUCGUACAUCAAAAAAUUUAAACAUAUAUAGCGAUUGGAUGAAAUUGCAUAAAAUAUAAUUGUACUAAGUUCUUGCCCCAAUUUAUGGCUGUAUCUAUCAUUUUACACCAUAAAAUAAUCAAAGAAUCUUUUAUGGUAUGGGCAAUGUUUAAGGUUUUAACAAUCUUUUCCGCUAAUGUGGAUUUAGGAAUCCAGUUCACAAAAUUUAUAGACACAUGAGCAUAACAUAAACAAACAAAAAAAUUUAUGUCAACAUGUUACUGUCCUUUUUUUUUCCUCAAAUAUCAUGGAUGUAAUUGCCUUAAGAUGCCCUUAUAUUUUGGCUUGACAACAAUUGUCAAUAUAACUAUCUCAACAACGUUCAACUUUCGUAAUAAAGUAAAAUUUAUCAAAAAAAUAGUAUGCACAACUUUAUUACAAGAAUGUUAAAAAUCAGCCUCUUCUUAACGAAAAAUACCGUGUAAUUGUAUCCUAAUAUUAAUUAGGGUUAAUCACAUUUUAUCCCCUUAAAAAAUACCCCAUUUCUCAGUUUACCCCAUAACCUUUAAUUUUGCUCACUUAACCCCCUUUAGGACAAAAUUGCCCUUGCAUUAUUUUGACUUUUCAUUUACCUUGUUUUCCUUUCUUUUAUUUCUUUUUCUCUUUCUUCUUUAUUUAAUUCUUCCUCUUUCCCACAAAAAUCUUCACCUUAAUGAUUGAAAUUAAAAAAGAGGAAUUACAAAGAUCUAUCUUCUUCUUAAAUGAUCAAAAAAAAUUCAAACCACUUUUCUAAAAUACAAUUUUUUUAGCCUUUCAAUUCUUUUAAUUUUGGGUUUUCCUCUUUCCUUUCUAGUUUCUCAUUUUAUUCUCAAGAAAAUAUCAUAAGAUGAAAUUGUUUUCCUUUCUUUUAUUUCUUUUUCUCUUUCUUCUCUCUAUCAUCCUUCCCAAUAGAAAAUUCGAUUUCCACAAAAAUUUUUUGUUUUGAGUUUGUAAUCACAUAUUUUUGGGCGAAGGUUUAAAAGACAUCAAAAACUAAUUUUGAUUUUUUGUAUGAUGUCACGUGUCACAAAUUUCAAUUGAUAAUUAUUAAUCAGGUCACAAUUUCAUCUUAAGAUAUUUUCUUGGGAAUAAAAUGAGAAACUAGAAAGGAAAGAGGAAAAUCCAAAAUUAAAAGAAUUGAAAGGCUAAAAAAAAUUUGUAUUUUAGGAAAGUGAUUUGAAUUUUUUUUAAUCAUUUAAGAAAAAGAUAGAUCUCUACAAUUCUUCUUUUUCAAUUUCAAUCAUUAAGGUGAAGAUUUUUGUGGGAAAAAGGAAGAAUUAAAUAAAGAAGAAAGAGAAAAAGAAAUAAAAGAAAGGAAAAUAAGGUAAAUGAAAAGUCAAAAUAAUGCAAGGGCAAUUUUGUCCUAAAGGGGGUUAAGUGAACAAAAUUAAAGGUUAGGGGGUAAACUGAGAAAUGGGGUAUUCUUUAGGGCAAAUUCCACUUUACCCCCCUGUGGUUUAGCGUUUUUUCACAUAACCCCCCUAUGGUUUCAAAAGCUAUACAUAACCCCCUUAUGGUUUGGAUUAAAGUGUCAAAGUAACAGAAAUAGUCACUCGUAACGGCGUCACCUAAAAUGUCAAAAAUACCCUUAUGUAAGGUUGAAAUUUAUGUAUUAACCAAGGGAGGUUAUGUGUAUAUUUUGAAAAUCAUAAGGGGGUUAUAUGGUAAAGUAUUAAACCAUAAGGGGGUUAUAUGGUAAAAUAUAGAAAUCAUAAGGGGUUAAUGUGUCAUGUAUAUAUAAGGGUAAUUUCGACAUUUUUAGAAGUUCCGUUACGAGUGACUAUUUCCGUUACUUUGACACUUUAAUCCAAACCAUGAGGGGGUUAUGUAUAGCUUUUGAAACCAUAGGGGGGUUAUGUAAAAAAAGGGUAAACCACAGGGGGGUAAAAUGUAAUUUACCCUAUUCUUUAAUGGGAUAAAAUGUGAUUAACCCUAUUAAUUAUACACUUUUUAAAUGUUGUUUUGUUGGCCCAAAUUGAGGCCUUUAAAAUUUGGGGAAGGUUGCUACUUGCUCCCAGCCCCCACCCCUGAUGGAGGACAAAUAGGUAAAUUCACAUUGGUGAGGUGAUAAGCUGACAAUUGAUACACGUGAUGAUAUUUGACAACGGACAAUAGAAGCAAAUCAGAUUAGGUGAUGAGACAUUAACCGUGAUACUUGUGGCUGGGUUUAAGUCAACGGUGGAGGCUGUGAGAUAGUUUUAGAAUUGGUCGUCCAUUAAUUGAUGAAAUUAUUAAUUUAUCCUCCAUUAAAACUUAAGUGAUAAAAUACUAUUUUGGUGGGGAAGAUUACUAAUUUAAAUAGACUAAUUUUCACUUUAUAUCAAAAAGUCUAAUUGUUAACACAUAAAAAAUAGAUUUGGAUGAGGAUUAAGACUAUUGGGGUCAAAAUGGGGGCAAAAUAUAGAAAUAUUGAGUGAUUACUGUUGCAAUUUUUAUAAUCUCAUAAUUUACUUCAACGCAUCAUAAUGUAGCAAAAUUUCAUUUCAAAUAUUCACAAGCAUAAAAUUGGAGUAGAACCCAAAAAUUUGCAUAUGAAUUUAGCACUAUAAUUGCAAUAAAAUUUCAAUACCGAACCAAAAUUAGAAGCCAUAUAUUAGGUAACAAAAUAUUGGGCUAAAAAAUUUUAAUAAAACACCAAAAUUAUUUACUUUUCCUUGACAACAAUCUUUUCUUACCUAGGCUAACUUGAAAUGCGUAGUAAAAUAAGGUUGAUGAGAUUCUUGAAUUGAAUUUAUUCCUUUUCUUGUUUUUUCCUGCUUCUUUUGUUUUAAUUGUCAUUCAAAGUGAUCAUAUAUUUUAUUGUUAUAUGUUUCCAAUUAGAAUUUUAUUAUGAAGUGAAAAUUAAUCCAUUUAAAGUGACAAAUUUUUUCUACCAAAGGGGUAUUUUUGUCACUUAAAAGCUUUUAAUGGAGGAAAAAUUGGUCAUCUCAUCAAUUAUUUAGAUGGAAUUAAUUUUCUUAUUAUUUUAAAGUUGACUAAGGGUGAAAAGUGCCUAUUAAAAUAGUUUAGGGUACAAAAUGCAACUAGUGUAAUAGUUCGUGGGGGUUUUCUACAUUUAACCCCCUAUUUAAUUUUGGCUUUUCAGUUUAUACUCUGAACCAUGAAUUGUGAUACUUAAGUAUAAUAUACUAUCAAUUUUGGGGCACAUCGUCCAAAUAAGAUAAAAUCAAUUAAUUCUUUUAGCAACUUUAGAAUAAAAUACUUUAAUACCCCUAAACGAAUUAGAGAAUUUGGACAAACAACAGAUUAAGGAUACUUGAAGCCUUCUAAACUAACUAUAGAAAAAGUUAUUUGGAUUUGACCAAUGGGCCAACAAAAGAACAAGAUACUGAAGUUCUAAAAUUAGCAAUUUAGAGAGUAACAAGCAAAUUGGUGAUAAUUUAGGUGUGCAUAUUGGCAAUAACACCCAAAAAAAGGUAGUUCCUUCAUGCCUUUACACAUAAUUGAGGUCUAUAGAUAUCACAUGCCAUAAUAUAUAGUUCCCUUCUUAUGUUGACUGGCGGACAUUUAUUCGCGAUCAAUGUCAAAAGUGUAAAUUAUUGAUUCAUGAUCUAUAGCAAGAGAAAUGACAUUAUUUGUCAACAACUUGAUUCUAAAAACUAAUUCCUAUUCUUUUCUUAUUCAUUCAAAAAGUUGCAUUGAAUUUGACUGUACAUUACUUCUUGUGUAGAUAAUGUUAUCAGCCGGAACACACACUACAUCUCAGACAAUGGAGUGGGCAUUGUCCAGCCUAUUAAAUCACCCUAAUGUACUGCAAAAGGCAAGAGAUGAGCUAGAAAAAAUGCAGCCUGGCCAUCUGCUAAAUGAUUCCGAUCUCUCUAAAUUGCCUUAUUUACGCUGCAUAAUCAACGAGACACUAAGGUUAUUUCCUGCGGCACCAACUCUUGUGCCUCAUUUUUCAUCCGAGGAUUGCACCAUAGGAGGCUACAAGGUUCCAAAAGGUACAACUUUGUUAGUGAAUGCUUGGGCCAUUCACAGGGACCCCAAUGUUUGGGAAGAGCCCAACAAGUAUAAGCCAGAAAGAUUUGAAGGAAUGGAUGAGGGAGGGUGGAAUGAAGGGUUCAAAUUUCUUCCAUUUGGAAAAGGCAGGAGAAUUUGUCCCGGAGCUGCCAUGGCCAUAAGGUUGGUUGGGCUGACAUUGGGCACCCUGAUUCAAUGCUUUGAGUGGGAAAGAGCAGGGCCUGAAAUGGUGGAUUUGGAAGAAAAUCAAGGAGCAACUUUGGGCAAGGCCAAGCCUUUGGAGGCAUCUUACAAGCCACGCCCAUCGAUGAUCAAAACAAUUUCUCAGCUUUAAGUUAGAUAUGUUGUUCUAUUGAGAUAAAUUGGGAUUUCUUUUUUUUUUUUUUGAAUUUAAAUAUCAAGAGAUGAGUGUCUGAUUUUUGGUUUUGAGCUCCUCUUACAAUUUCAGAUUUGUAGUUGUAACUUUCUUUCAAUACAAGUUGAUGCUACAAUUAUACAAACUUAAGUAUUUUACAUGGAAAUGUGGAACAUUAAAUUUUUCCAAUUCUAAGUAGCAUAAACAAAAUCACCAGUACCAUCUUUGGUUAAUUUCAAUUUUUCUUCAACCAGGGUCAUCAUUGGUUUAGCCACAUCCAGCUUAAACUUCUUUAGAAUAUCACUUGCAUACUUGCUUUGUGAGAUAAAAAUUCCACCAUCCAACUGAUGAAUCGCAAUACCAAGAAAAUAAGACAUCAAUCCCAAAUCUGUCAUCUCAAAUUGACUAAUCAUGGCCUCCCUGAAUUUAGAAAUUAGUUUGGGAUUAUUGCCUGUAAAUAUCAAGUCGUCCACAUACAAGCAUACAAUAAGGACAUCUCUUCCAAGGUUGAAUUUGAUGUACAGAGUAUGAUCAUAUGGACAUCUCAGAAAACCAGGCUUAAUAAAAUAAGAAUUGAUGCGAGUAUCCUAAGCUCUAGGAGCUUGUUUCAACCCAUACAACGCCUUUUUCCAUCUAUACACUUUGUUUUAUUGACCAUUCUAACAUAACCAGCAGGCUGCUCAACAUAUACCUCUUUUGCCUUUUGCUUAUGGCCUUUGACAACCAACCUUGCUUUUGUGACGACCCUACCUCCCCCUAAGGCGAACCAAGGGGUUCGGCGGACCGCCUACCCAAUUCUCGCCAGGACUCGUUCACUCACUUAUAGCUUCAAGAGCAAGUAAGAUGUGCCAAUCAAACUUAACAUAUAUACAAUCAUUAACACAGAUAUACAAUCUUCAAGGUUAAGUACAAAAGUUCAGGAUUCAACCAACUACUAAUACUAUCACUAUUACACAACAAAAGUUCUAGUCAAAAGUUUAGUCUUUCUCUAAUCACCCGUCCUUGCUCAAGAACCCUGUAAGAAAAACAAAAACUAAAGGAAUGAGCUAAAACUCAGUGAGGUUCCCAUGCACAUAACCAAGUAAUUGAAACAAGGAUAUUAUUCAGUUAAUAACAAUCAAUCGAGAAAACAUUUACAAUAUAAAAACAAAGAGAAUACACUCAUUAAAAGGAUACAUGCUCGCGUGGGGCUAUUCGUUCAAUCAUUCAUUCAUUUAGCUAGUCAUUCUCUUUCAUUUAAUCAUUCAUUUCUUCCCUUAUAAAUUCAACAUUUCCAUUCAUUCAUUUCAUUUCUCGCUACUAGCCAAUUCACUGGCCAGUUCUCCACCAAAUUUCGUGGUCGUACUCGAGUAUAUCAAAAAUUAUCUCAGGGUCACCAGUUGCCCGACCAAGUCCAUUUCUGACUCAAGUCGACUGGCAACAAAGGGCAAGGGUCCAAUUCAGCCAAUGCGACCAUACAACCCACAUAGCUUACAUUCAUGCACAGGUAAUGCCCAAUCAGUUAAUCAUUAGAAAAUUCACUUUCGCUUAGGUCAAGUGCAAUAAAGUACACACUCGACCAUUGAAAAUCCAUUUAACAGUCAUUGGAAGGCAUUUAACACUCAAUCGAAGAUUCACAACAAGUACACAGUCAUUUAAUACACAAACAUGCAAGAAACACUCACCCUAAACAAGUCACGUUUUAUCAAAAUUUAGUUCAAGACCAGCAUCUUGGACACUCCCGAAAUCUGCAGUCAAAUAUUAUCCACAAAGAGCCAAUCAUACAUGAGUGCAAGCUACAUAACUUAUAUUUCUAUAUGAAAGUAAAAAGGCAAGAAAAGGAUAGUAAGUCAUAUAGGCAAGGUGCACACAUAAUUUGUAAAAGAAAAUGAUCAAAAACGGUUAAGUUCAAAACCAAUAUGUGCAACUAAAAAUCAUGUUUCGAAUACUUGUUUAGAAUGUUAGAAAUCAGGUUUAGAACACUUGAGAAGUAUAUGUUAAGUCGGAUCAAGGAAACGAAAAACAAGAGAAAUGCAACGAGAAACAAUGAAGAUAGCAGCUUUACCAUCCUUUGGUGUUUUGAUCACAACUGAAACUACACUUAUCGGAUCGAGGAAAACUUUAUGAUGUUUCGAAAUAAGACCUAGACUUACAUUUGCUAUGAAGACAUCACCCAAUUCUCAUAUUUUCAGGGUAAAAAAUGGACAGUCAAAAACACAUGAAAAACAGGUCAGGAAAAUUAGAGUUUUUGCGCAGUCAGGAGUGCUCUGGCCAAAUUAUAAGCUAAAAUGAUCCAAUUGAUCUGAAAUUUUGCAGGAGACCCCGGUUGUCCUAAAAUAUGAUUUUAUGUGAAAAUAAUGGAUUUUAGGGUAAUUUUUAUUCCAAAUAAUUCGAAAAUCCCUAAUUGGGAAUUUGAGAAACCCUAAUUGUGCAAAAAAUUGAAAAUUUUUAAGCGAAACCCUGGUUAGUCAUUUCUAAUGCAAUUGCAUGUUCGGAUGUGUAUUAGAUAUGUGCAUGUAUGUUGUCGUAUAGUAUUAUAUAGGGUUAAGUGGGUUUAAAGGGUUAGAAAACCCUAAUCAAGGAAAAACUCUAGUUAAAUGGUGAAUGAGAAUGAUUAAGUUGGAAUCAUACCCUAAUUUUAGGUGUGACAUGGAAGUGUUUACUUGUUGGAUUUUAAGUGUGAUAAAGAUUGGUAGAGAAUAGAUAAGUAAGGUUUAAGGGUGAUUAGUGCAAUUGCUAAGUAUGAUUAGGAAUUUUAGCCUAGGUUAAUUAUAUGCUAUGGAGUAAUUUGAAAGAAAAGGAAAGUUAGUUGGGCAAGAGUUGAGAAAGUAAGAAAUCAUGGAAGCAAGGACUUAAAGGCAAUUGGCAUACUUUCUUGUGAUUGGCUAAGUGUGAUUUGAUCCUAUUCUGGUCAAAUCUGUUUUGGUUUUGAUGACCGGUUUCCGUUCAGAAUUUGGGUUGUCGGCCUUCAUGAAAGUUGUUCCAUUUGAAAUGAAUUAUCUAACUGCCAAUUUUCAGCUCAUUUGGCCAUGUGUAGCAUAGAAAACGGUUUGCACCCCAAAACUGACCAUUUGUACAUUGAUCAGAUUCCGUGGGUGACUUUGUUUGGUUCUUUUGGGACUGAAGCUUCCAGUUUCAGUUCUGGAUGUCUUCGUAACAAUUGUUGUUCAGUCUUUAAGCUUCGAAAUGGCGUCUCAUACGCCUUAAUCCGAUAUUCGUAGCUCAACUUAUGAUCAAAAUGGGAACAAGUGUCAAAUCUGCCUUUUCUCACAAACGGCCGUUUCCGUUUUCGCCGACCGUUUCCGUUUCCGGUUGGUCGUUUCUACGCGCGCGCGUGCCGUUUUUUUUGCCGUUUGCUUGUGAUCUGCUAUAUGUUAGCCGUUUUAGCCGUUUUUAGUCUAAAGUUAUAUAAUUUUCUAUUGCAGACAGCGGCGAACUUGACGGAGCAACUGGGACCCACUAGCGGACCCCACGACGUCUAGUUCCUUGUUUUGCUCAUUUUGUAUUUUUGUAAGUAUCUGGGCUAUGUGCAUAAGUUAAGGGCCUUAUGUGAUAUGUUUUAAAUGAAAGGGGUCUUAGGCGAGAGUGUACUUUAUCACACUCGACCUAAACCCUCAUUUAUACUGAAAUGGGCAUGUGAAUUGUGUGAAUGACAUGUUGUUGGGCUGAACCCCUAGAGCUUGUAGCCCGGGGUGACAUUUGUGAUGUGCAUGAUAUGAGAUAUUUGUGGGACCCGAUCUCAGGACCUAGUUAGACUAUUCGAGCCGGCAGGGGCUUGGUCGGAGUUAGUCUAACCUAGGCAUGAGAUCGCUAUGAUAUUCUGACAUGCAAAAUUGGUUAUAUAAGAACCAAACAUGUAAACCUCAGUGCAUGAACCCUAUUGCUCGAGCCGUUAUCUGUCUGUGGUGACUGGCCAGUGUGGGUGUUAAGGUAGUUGGCGGUUGACGAGUGAAGUUCUACGGACCAUAAAUUGUGCUCGACGGAGUGUCGGCAGGCGAUCAAUAGUGGCAAAUUAUUUGGCUUUGAAGCCAAUCUGUAUCCUACACCUAUGUUAUAAUCUGCUUUUAAUUUGGCAAUCUGUGUUCAUACUUGCUCCGAUUCUGUGAAAUUUACGCUUUUACCCCUGCAUACUUACUAAGCAUUUAGCUUACCCCUCCCUUUGUUUUCCUUACAGGGGUUCGACGCGGGGACCACUUUUGGACGCCGAACUAGUUUAGUUAGGUUGGAAUACUUUGAUCGGGACUUCCGGAAUGCGUGUAAUAGUAAUAGUAGUUCGAGUUCGGACCACCUUAGGGUCCACCUUUUGGUUGUAGUUAUCAUAAUAGGAUAAUGUAGUAAGAUGAGCUGCUACUUCUGAAUUGUACAUAGGGCACUUCUGCUACUGUAAAUACUGUACAUAGUAAACUUUUGGCCGUGUAUAUAAUGUGAAUGGCAACUGUUUGGGUGUGAAUAGUAUUUCUUAGUUUUUAUUUUAUUUUAUUUCGAGUCCUGGCGCGAGUUAGGCAGACGGCCUGCUAAGCCCUUUGGUACGCCUCUGGGUACGGUGGGGUCGUCACAGGUGGUAUCAGAGCGCCUAAGUUAGAGGACUUGGGUAAUUGGGACAUACAUGAUAGGCAGUAGGGUUCUGUGAUUUAUUUAAAAUGAAUGAUCUCUUUUAAGCUGAAAUGCUAUCGAACUGACCAGAUAAUGUUGAAAUUUUGUAGGGAUGGAGCCUGGCGAGCCUAGUGGAUCCAGAUCUGAACUGCGUCCUCCGAGCGUCGGGGACCCAAUUAACCAGGUUUUGUGCCGCCGAGUUCUACGCUUCCAGAGGAGGCCAAGUAGGCCUUAUGUGAUGUACUUACCUUUUGGCCGCAUGAAUAGGCCAUGUGAGUGUAGGCAUACCUAUGGGUAUCCGGACGAAGUAGUACUUGCUGUUGAUGAUGAGCGCCGCCGCCUGGCUAAGGCAAACGAGCGCUUGGACAGUCUGUUAGCGGAGGCUAGGCACGUGGGCCAUGGGCAGGUCAUGCGUAUUAGAGAGACCGAGCAGAGUCUGAGAGAGGAGGAGGAGAGGACUGAUGCCUUUCGCCAGCAGCUACAGGAGACGCGACAGCAAUUUUCGGCGAUUAAGAGGCAGAUACGAGAGCGCGUUAGAGGGAUUAUGUUUGACUGCGAGGCUCUCCUAGACAUGAUUGCGGAGGUACCGCCUCGUGCUAUCGGCCCGGAGUCGAUGGACGGGGUAGACUCUUUAGGCUCGGUUGGGGACUGGCCACCUAGGGGAGGCGUAUAAGGCCGCUCUGGAGCUUCUGUGCAUUUUCCUGCUUACUUUGGGUUUUGUAUCCGGUGGGUUUAGACCGGUUUUGGAGCCGUAGUGCUCUUGUAUGUAUUGGAUUUUGAACCGACUGGAUGUCGGUUAAUUUGUAUAUCUUUUGGCGUGACUUGUCUAUAAGACUGGUAUAUAUGUAGUAUGGCCUUUUGGGGUCAUCUUUUAUGUGUAUCUUGCGUAUUUGUUUUCAAGUGUUUUCCUUGUUUAAAUUCGAGUUGUUAAGCACUUAUUUUGUUUCUGUUGCUUUACUUUAUUAAUUUUCGCGAUAUUUAAUAUACGUUUGUUUCAAUUCUAGACUUUCUGAACCUAAAUGGACUCCGGUGGUCGAGGUAGUGGCCCAGAGGGAGAAAAUGAGAACGAACCUGACCAGGUAGCCACAGCCAUUCAGCGUAUGGCUGACUUACUUGAGAGAAUGGUUAAUCAACAAGGUCAAGGUCAGGGCCAAAAUGCUGGGAACCCUGGAGGAAAUGCGAGAAAUAAUAAUCAUGAUAGAGAGGACGGGGCAUUAGAACGGUUUCAAAAGUUUGCCCCUCCCAAAUUUGUAGGUGGACCGAACCCAGACAUAGCUGAGGGGUGGUUAGACCGAAUGCUAGAUAUCUUUGCCGCACCUGGAUAUACGAAAGAGCGGCAAAUCUUUUUUGCAACUUUUCAGUUUGAGGGAGCCGCCCGAGCUUGGUGGAAUGUCAUUAAGACCAAGUGGGAACGGGAGCAGACUCCCUGGACCUGGGUUAAUUUCACCUGGGAAUUCAAUGAAAAGUAUCUGCCACCCAUAGUGCAAGAACGGCUGGAGGACGAGUUUAUCCGCCUGCGCCAAGGGGCGUUAAGUGUGGCUGAGUACGAGACUCGGUUCACUAAACUGUCUCGUUUUGCUCCUGAUUUGGUACUCACAGAGCAAAGACGCGUUCGAUGCUUCAUUCAGGGGUUGAAUGUGGAACUCUAGAAGGCGUUAGCGGCUGUCCAGGUGGACACAAUUAGUCAGGCGCUAGAGAAGGCGCAGAGGGUAGAAGCAGCCAGGGGUCAGGUUAAAGCCUUUCAUGAGCGUAAACGUAGACAACCGAGCUCGAGUACCUACACCCCUGGGCAGAGCUCGAAGAACGAGCCACCCACCAAGUUGGGUAGAGUAGUAGGAGGUCCGCGGCCUGUUGGGACCCCAGGCUGAGGCAAUUUUGGACGAGGGCAGGCGGGGCGAGAGCCGCAGAGAGGUGGUCAGCGCGGAGGACAAAGUUCAGGACCUAAGUCGACCUGUAACUUUUGUGGAGGCAAUCAUCCCUUCGAUAAUUGUUGGAAGUAGGAUUCAGUGCGGAAGUGUUUCAGAUGUGGCAGCACAGAACACCUCAUUGCUCAAUGCCCAAAGGCUCCGCAGGAAGGAACUAGUACCCCUCAGGCAGGAGGGACUGCACCUAAGCCGAUCAAUGCAGGGGGUAAUCGACCUAAAGUACCGGCCCGAGUGUACGCUAUGGGUCAUCAAGAGGUGACUGACCCUUCGGCAGUCAUCGAAGGUACACUUUCUCUCUUUCGGCGUACCGCAAACGUUUUAAUUGACCCUGGCGCCACGCACUCUUUUGUUAACCCUGCAUUCAUGGCUCACAUUGAUGUUAAGGCUGAAAAGUUACCAUAUGACCUAGAAAUUAAGACCCCUAUCACCAAUAAGAGCUUACUUGCCAAUAUGGUUUAUAAGGAGAGUGAAGUAUGGGUCGGGGAGCAGAAAUUGCUAGUGGACUUGAUUGAAUUAGCCCUUAAGGGAUAUGACGUCAUACUAGGUAUGGACUGGUUAGCUAAAUAUUAUGCUCACCUGGAUUGUCGCACUAAAACAGUUGAUUUGCACAUACCGGGCGAACCUACACUCCAUCUAGAUGUUCGAAGAAAGUUAACCUCAGCCACUCUCAUUUCCGGGAUUAGGGCUAGGAAAUUGCUAAGUAGAGGAGCUCAAGGGUACUUGGCUGUAUUGAUUAAUACUCCACAGGAGCAGUUGAAAGUUGAAAAUGUACCUGUAGUGUGUGAAUUUCCUGAACUUUUCCCUGAGGAAUUAACUUCGCUACCGCCAGAAAGGGACAUAGAAUUCAAGAUCGAGUUGCAUCCUGGAGCUGAACCAAUUUCGAAAACCCCUUAUCGAAUGGCUCUUGCCGAACUUAAAGAGUUAAAGAUUCAAUUGCAGGAACUAUUAGAUCGAGGAUUUAUACAGGAGAGUGAAUCACCUUGGGAGCCCCGGUAUUAUUUGUCAAGAAGAAGAAUGGAGGAUUACGGAUGUGUAUAGAUUAUCGGGGAUUGAAUAACUUAACCAUUAAGAAUAAGUAUCCCUUGCCUCAUAUUGAUGAAUUGUUUGAUCAACUGCAAGGUGCAGUUGUAUAUUCGAAACUAGAUCUUCGACAGAGGUACUAUCAAUUGAGGAUUCGGAAGGAGGACAUACCUAAAAUCGCCUUUAAUUCGCGGUAUGGGUAUUUUGAGUUUGCAGUUAUGCCCUUUGGGUUGACAAAUGCUCCAGCCGCAUUCAUGGAUUUAAUGCAUAGAGUUUUCAAACCCUAUUUGGACCAAUUUGUGGUGGUCUUCAUUGAUGACAUUUUGGUCUACUCUAAGACUCGAGAGGAUCAUGAACAGCAUUUGAGGUUAGUAUUACAAACCCUUAAGGAUCAUCAGCUAUAUGCUAAGUUCAGUAAAUGUGAAUUUUGGCUGGAAGAGGUGUCCUUUUUAGGUCAUGUGAUCUCAAAAGAUGGGAUAGCAGUGGACCCCGCUAAACUAAGAGCGGUAACAGAAUGGAAGAGACCGGAAAGCCCGACUGAAGUUAGAAGUUUCUUAGGGCUUGCAGGAUAUUAUCGCCGUUUUAUUAAGAAUUUUGCUAAGAUAGCUGGCCCGUUAACGGAUUUGACUAGAAUUCACAAUCAGUUUGUUUGGACCCCGAAGUGCGAGGCCAGUUUUCGAGAGCUAAAAGGAUUAUUAACUUCCGCCCCAAUUUUAACACUACCUAAUGGAAAAGACAGUUUCGUGGUAUACACAGAUGCAUCUAAGAUGGGUUUAGACUGCGUACUUAUGUAAAAUGGACAGGUGAUAGCGUACGCAUCCCGGAAAUUGAAGCCUCAUGAGCAAAACUACCCCACUCAUGAUUUAGAAUUGGCAGCUGUAGUUUUUGCUCUCCAAAAGUGGCGUCAUUACCUCUACGGAAUAACCUUUGAGGUAUUCACCGACCAUAAGAGUUUAAAAUACUUGUUUUUCCAAAAGGAAUUGAAUUUAAGGCAACGUCGGUAGAUGAAAUUUUUAGAGGAUUAUGACUGUACCAUAAAGUAUCAUCCGGGUAAAGCAAAUGUAGUAGCCGAUGCUCUUAGUCGAAAAGCUCAAGUAUCCAGUUUACAACUUAAAGAGUGGGAGUUACUAGAAAAAGUCGGGGAGUGGAAUCCUCAACUUAAGCUACGGGGAGUACUUUUUAGCAAUAUAACAGUUACAUCUACUUUACUCCCUCGGAUAAAGGAAACGCAAAAGGAGGACACUCAGGUACAGAAGUGGACGGAGAAAGUCGAACAAAGGACGUUACCUGACUUCAAUGUGAGCUCGGAUGGGCUAUUACGGUACCGUAGCCGAUAUGUUAUACCCCAGGAUCCGGAAUUAAAGCGGGAGAUAUUAGAAGAGGCACAUAGGUCAAAAUAUACGGUACACCCUGGCACAACCAAGAUGUAUCAGGAUUUGAAGCAGUUGUACUGGUGGGAAGGCAUGAAAAGAGAAAUAGCCCAAUUUGUCCAAAUCUGCCUAACCUGCCAGUAGAUAAAGGCCGAGCACCAAAAGCCGUCUGGGUUGCUCCAACCAUUGGAAGUGCCAGAAUGGAAAUGGGAGAACAUCACUAUGGACUUUGUCUCAGGACUACCAAAAACCCAAAAAGGACAUGAUGCUAUAUGGGUGAUAGUAGAUCGUCUAACUAAAUCAGCCCAUUUCCUACCAGUGAACAUGAAGUACCCCUUAGAGAAACUAACUCAACGUUAUAUGGACGAAAUUGUACGCCUACAUGGAGUAGGGGUGGCAAUUCGGGUCCAAAUCAGGUUGGCGGGUCGGGUUCGGGUCAACCCGUCAGAAAAUCUGUUGAUCCGAACCCGACCCGCCAACCCGUGACAGGUCAGGUAUGCUGACCCGAACCCGAAAAUUUCAGGUUGACGGGUUGGCGGGUCGACCCGAAAUGACCCGAAACUUAAUUUUAAUUUAUUAAUUUAUCAUUGUAAUUUCUAAUAAAAUCAAUUUCUCACAAAACUAAUUACAUAAUCAAGUAAUAAAAAUUUAAAUAAGUAAUUUCAAACCAAAUCUAAAAUAAAUUAAACACCGUAAAAGUGUUUUAUCCCAAACAAAAUAUAAAAUAAAUUAAAACAGUAUAAAAGUAAAAAAUAAUAUAAUAUAUUAUUUGUCCAAAUAUAAUAAUUUCAACUUCACACAAAUUAAAUAAAUUCAUUUAUGAUUAAGUAAUUAAUGCCUUUGAAAAAAAGAAUAACUUAGGUUAGUUAGAUAAAAUUAUUUUUAUAUUUAUUAAAUUAUUUUUAAUUCGUAAACGGGUCAUAUCGGGUCAUAUCAGGUCACCACGGAUUGACCCGAAAUCGACCUGUUUUCUUUUCGGGUUCAUCGGGUCCAACCCGAUUCUGACCCGAAUUUCCAAAAUCUCAACCCAAAUCCAUUAAUUUCGUGUUAGGUUCGUGUCGCGUUUUCAGGUCGUGUCGAAAAUUGCCACCCCUAACAUGGAGUACCAGUGAGUAUAGUUUCGGAUAGAGACCCACGAUUUGUGUCACGGUUCUGGCAAAAGAUGCAGAAGCUUUAGGAUCGAAACUAACCUUAAGUACAGCCUACCACCCUCAGACAGACGGACAGUCGGAGCGGACGAUACAAACGCUUGAGGAUAUGCUCCGAUCGUGUGUAUUGGAUCUGGGAGGAAGUUAGAGUCAACAUCUCACUCUCAUAGAAUUUGCCUACAAUAAUAGCUAUCACUCCUCCAUACAAAUGGUACCGUGUGAAGUUCUUUAUGGACGCAAGUGCCGCUCACCGAUCUUUUGGGAUGAAGUGGGUGAAAGGAGGGUUCUAGAUGUUACCGCAGUGCCAUGGAUAGAAGAAGCGGUGGAAAAGGUUAAAAUCAUUCGCCAGAGAAUAUUAACAGCUCAAAGCCGGCAGAAGAGUUAUGCCGACCAUCGAACGAAAGACCUUGAGUUCGAAGUGGGAGAUAUGGUAUUUCUAAAGGUGACGCCACUCAGAGGAAUCAUUGCGGCCGAGAAAGGAAAGAAAUUGAAACCAAGAUAUGUAGGGCCGUAUAAGAUUCAACGACGGGUUGGAACGGUGGCGUACCAGUUGGAGUUGCCAGCUAGCAUGUCUCGUAUUCAUAACGUUUUUCAUGUCUCGUUGCUUAAGAAGUACCAUCCAGAUCCUACCCAUAUUUUACAUCUUGAGGAUGUAGAGCAAGAGGAAUCCCUCACCUACGAGGAACAACCAGUACAAAUUUUGAAUCGCAAGGUGAAGGAACUGAGGAAUAAGCAAAUCCCUUUGGUGAAAAUUUUAUGGAGAAACCACGAUGUAGAAGAGGCUACAUAGGAAAUAGAGGAGGAGAUGCAGAAGAAAUAUGCUACCUUGUUUGCCCAAAAAGGUAAUAAUUUCGAGGACGAAAUUCUUUUAAGAGGAGGAAAUUGUGAGACCCCAGUUGUCCUAAAAUAUGAUUUUAUGUGAAAAUAAUGCAUUUUAGGGUAAUUUUUAUUCCAAAUAAUUCGAAAAUCCCUAAUUGGGAAUUUGAGAAACCCUAAUUGUGCAAAAAAUUGAAAAUUUUUAAGCGAAACCCUGGUUAGUCAUUUCUAAUGCAAUUGCAUGUUCGGAUGUGUAUUAGAUAUGUGCAUGUAUGUUGUCGUAUAGUAUUAUAUAGGGUUAAGUGGGUUUAAAGGGUUAGAAAACCCUAAUCAAGGAAAAACUCUAGUUAAAUGGUGAAUGAGAAUGAUUAAGUUGGAAUCAUACCCUAAUUUUAGGUGUGACAUGGAAGUGUUUACUUGUUGGAUUUUAAGUGUGAUAAAGAUUGGUAGAGAAUAGAUAAGUAAGGUUUAAGGGUGAUUAGUGCAAUUGCUAAGUAUGAUUAGGAAUUUUAGCCUAGGUUAAUUAUAUGCUAUGGAGUAAUUUGAAAGAAAAGGAAAGUUAGUUGGGCAAGAGUUGAGAAAGUAAGAAAUCAUGGAAGCAAGGACUUAAAGGCAAUUGGCAUACUUUCUUGUGAUUGGCUAAGUGUGAUUUGAUCCUAUUCUGGUCAAAUCUGUUUUGGUUUUGAUGACCGGUUUCCGUUCAGAAUUUGGGUUGUCGGCCUUCAUGAAAGUUGUUCCAUUUGAAAUGAAUUAUCUAACUGCCAAUUUUCAGCUCAUUUGGCCAUGUGUAGCAUAGAAAACGGUUUGCACCCCAAAACUGACCAUUUGUACAUUGAUCAGAUUCCGUGGGUGACUUUGUUUGGUUCUUUUGGGACUGAAGCUUCCAGUUUCAGUUCUGGAUGUCUUCGUAACAAUUGUUGUUCAGUCUUUAAGCUUCGAAAUGGCGUCUCAUACGCCUUAAUCCGAUAUUCGUAGCUCAACUUAUGAUCAAAAUGGGAACAAGUGUCAAAUCUGCCUUUUCUCACAAACGGCCGUUUCCGUUUUCGCCGACCGUUUCCGUUUCCGGUUGGUCGUUUCUACGCGCGCGCGUGCCGUUUUUUUUGCCGUUUGCUUGUGAUCUGCUAUAUGUUAGCCGUUUUAGCCGUUUUUAGUCUAAAGUUAUAUAAUUUUCUAUUGCAGACAGCGGCGAACUUGACGGAGCAACUGGGACCCACUAGCGGACCCCACGACGUCUAGUUCCUUGUUUUGCUCAUUUUGUAUUUUUGUAAGUAUCUGGGCUAUGUGCAUAAGUUAAGGGCCUUAUGUGAUAUGUUUUAAAUGAAAGGGGUCUUAGGCGAGAGUGUACUUUAUCACACUCGACCUAAACCCUCAUUUAUACUGAAAUGGGCAUGUGAAUUGUGUGAAUGACAUGUUGUUGGGCUGAACCCCUAGAGCUUGUAGCCCGGGGUGACAUUUGUGAUGUGCAUGAUAUGAGAUAUUUGUGGGACCCGAUCUCAGGACCUAGUUAGACUAUUCGAGCCGGCAGGGGCUUGGUCGGAGUUAGUCUAACCUAGGCAUGAGAUCGCUAUGAUAUUCUGACAUGCAAAAUUGGUUAUAUAAGAACCAAACAUGUAAACCUCAGUGCAUGAACCCUAUUGCUUGAGCCGUUAUCUGUCUGUGGUGACUGGCCAGUGUGGGUGUUAAGGUGGUUGGCGGUUGACGAGUGAAGUUCUACGGACCAUAAAUUGUGGUCGACGGAGUGUCGGCAGGCGGUCAAUAGUGGCAAAUUAUUUGGCUUUGAAGCCAAUCUGUAUCCUACACCUAUGUUAUAAUCUGCUUUUAAUUUGGCAAUCUGUGUUCAUACUUGCUCCGACUCUAUGAAAUUUACGCUUUUACCCCUGUAUACUUACUAAGCAUUUAGCUUACCCCUCCCUUUGUUUUCCUUACAGGGGUUUGACGCGGGGACCACUUUUGGACGCCGAACUAGUUUAGUUAAGUUGAAAUACUUUGAUCGGGACUUCCCGAAUGCGUGUAAUAGUAAUAGUAGUUCGAGUUCGGACCACCUUAGGGUCCACCUUUUGGUUGUAGUUAUCAUAAUAGGAUAAUGUAGUAAGAUGAGCUGCUACUUCUGAAUUGUACAUAGGGCACUUCUGCUGUUGUAAAUACUGUACAUAGUAAACUUUUGGCCGUGUAUAUAAUGUGAAUGGCAACUGUUUGGGUGUAAAUAGUAUUUCUUAGUUUUUAUUUUAUUUUAUUUCGAGUCCUGGCGAGUGUUAGGCAGACGGCCUGCUAAGCCCUUUGGUACGCCUCUGGGUACGGUGGGGUCGUCACACACUCAAAUCCCAAUAACUUCAUGUUUUGUCCGAAAGCUGAUUCAGUCUAAAACAUGGAGAAAUUCGCGGUCCAAAUUGAUUCCAAAAAUAGGGUAGAGCUGAAAUUCACCAAAUUGUCUAGUUUUCUUCAAAGUUUCAACUCCCACCUCAAACCCAAUCAAGAUUACAUCACUACGCUACCUCCUGUUAACUUAACCCUAGAUACAAAACUUUCGGCAGCACCUCCCCUAUUUUCAAUCCUUUUCUCCUUGAAAAUCAAGGUGUAAACCAUAGCAAUCCCAACACAAUCAAAGCCACAAGAUAUUACAAGCCUUAUUCUAGUCUUUCAAAACCCUUCAAAAUUCACACAAAUAGAGAUUAACCGAAAGACAUCAAAGCUGAAAUUUCCCAAUUCAAGUAAAAAAAUCACUUAUUGAAGUUGUAAACAUGCAUAUCAAAGUUCAAUCACAUUCUAAUACGAUUGGACAACCUAUAUCAAAAUUACAAACUUAACAAAAACUGAAAUUUCACUUCUUAAGGUAAACUUUGCAUAUAAUUAUCACUAAUUGCGAUUAAAAGUUAGAAAUUCCACCUUAACACUAAACUAGCUUCUACUAAUCAUAUACAUGCCAAAAUCAAAGAUGAAAUAACUUAUAUAAAAUCAGAAAAAUAUCAAUAAAAUUGAAAUUUAUCAUCCCAACCCUAAAAUCGCAAGAAUCUCCAAAAAAAUCAAUAAAAAUCAAGUUAUCCAACAACUUAAUCACAAGAUUAAAGAACAAAAGAUUCUUCUAACGAUUACACCUUCCAACACCUUGAAAACAAGCAAAACAAAUCCUUUUCUUCUCAAAACACUCCACCUUUAGUUUGCUAUCACCUUAGAUGCAAAGUUAAUCAGAGUAGAUUUUGGCAAUUGGAAGAAAUUUCUCAAGAUUUGGUGAAGGAAAUCAAAGGAAAAAUGGACUUAACUUGCUUGGUUUUACUCCUCUUGAGGUUCGGCCAGCUUGGAGAAAAAAGAAUGAAGAGUUUUUGUGCUCCAAAUGAAGUGAUAAAGAUGAAGACUUAAGUGUUCCAAGACUAAAUAAAAAUGCGACACGUGGCACUACUUUGACUAUUACUUAUCUCGUGAUCUUUCUUCUUAGUUUUCAAUCACUCAUCUAUGUAGUGUUCCUCUAACUCACUCUUAACACUUCUAGGCAUAUAUUCCUUGGUAUAUAACAUCCAUUCAUGUCCACUAAAUUUAAUAUACACUUACUAGUGAGCCACACUACCAAAUGUAAUAUAACUAAACACGCACCACAAUAUAAAGCAAACAAUUAAAAUUUAACUCAACUAUAAAAAUAUCUUAUAAAUUAAAGGAUUUAAACUAGAGUAGGUCAAAAUAUUAUUGAACGCAUGCAAAAUGAGAAAAGAAUUUAAAUUUUUGUUUCAAAAUUUCACAAUCUCUCCCCUUGAAAGAAUUUCGUUCUCAAAAUUCUAACCUUCAUAAGAUUUUGGAACGGGUUGUUGUUCCAAUGAGUAUACUCUAGUUGAUGCCCUGGAUUUGUUUCCUCUUUCUUGGUUCAAUUUAGAAGUAAUCUGAUUCCUUUAUUGUAUAUUCAACCCUCUUUGUUGCUUUUUUGGACAAUUGUGAAGUUGAUGAUCAGCACUUCCUCAUAUCAAGCAUUUCUUUCCCUUUACCCAGCAUGCAUCCUGUGAUACCACGACUUUUAGGAUAUUACGGUUUCUAUAUUUUAUUUUGUUUUAAGACAUUGUUUUGUUUUAAAGAUUAGAAACCCUACUUGUACUCAAAACCCUAGUUUUACUUGUGACUAACAGGUUUUCUUAAAUCUCUCAUAUUUUAGUCGAAACACUAAUUUUAUUCUAUGAAAUUGUAAAAUCCCUUAUAUUUUCUUAAAAUUCCUUUUUCUUUGGUAUUUAUUCCCUUAUAAUAGCUAUACUACUCAUUUACCUCUCCAAUGUUUGGAAUAAAGAAUAGAAUUAAGAGUUUUCCCUUUUCAUUCAUCGUUAGGGUAAACUAAGGUUUUUACGUCUUUUCGUAGUGUGAGUACCUAGUACGGAGUGUGUACUAAAUUUAGUGAUUAAGAGUGAGUUUUAGAUAAAAUAAAGUGUGUGAUUAGAAGUAGUAAUAAUAAGUUAGUGAAUGGUAAGUGAAAACCCUAGUACGUGCGAAAUAAAGAAAAUCGGGUUAAACCGACGGGUGCCGUUUGUUACCGAUUGAACACACCAUUUGACCACCACUUUCUUACGAUAAAAUAUCAUUAAUAUUAGUGCAAAAUAUCAGCCCUUAAUCCAGCUAAAGAUGGCCGAAAAUAUUGACCAAGAAAAGGGAGGAAAAAGAAAAAUAUUGAGAUUGAAUCUUGUGGUGACACUUGGCUGUCAUCCAUCUAACUUUGACCCAAACUAAUUACCAUUUUAUUAACCUUCUUGAAGCUUCAUUUUCUCCUCCAUUCCAUCAACUUGGCCGAACCUCAAGGAGAGAGAGAGCAAGAGAAGAAAACUUCAUUUCAUCUUGAGCUUAACUUGUUUGAGUGAGAAAUCAAGCAAACUAAACCGAUUAACUUCUAAUUGGAGAGUUUAGGAAGCUUGGGGAGCUAAAAUUUUAUAAGGAGAGGUGAAGGAUAUCUUUUGAAAGCCUUUUAUUGAGGUAUUAUGGCUGUUCAUCUUCUUCCUUCCCCUUAGGCUUGUUUAAGUUAUGUAAUAACUUGUAUUCUUGUCUUGUGAUACCUAUUUAAGUGGUUUUGAUGAUUGUGGUGAUGAAAUUGUGAGUUAGGGUUUUGAAUUGUUCAUUUAUAUUUCUUGUUGUUUGGAUGGUAUAUGGUGUAUAUAAUCUUAUGUAGGAAGUUAUAGUAGUGCUUUAAGUUAGAAAUGUGAAGUUUACACUUUGAAUUCACUAGAUUCCAGAUUUGAGUUUUCAUACUACCCUUUUUUGACCGGUUCCAUUUGGCCAUGAUGGAGGCCGAAUUAGACUUAACUCCAAACAUGAAAGUUGUAGGAAAUAUGUUUUAUAGCUUCCUACAAAAUUUCAGCUCAAUCCGAGCACUGUAACUUAUGAAAUGACAAAAAUACCCUUGACUGCCAAAUGUAUUGUUUUGCGGACAGUUUCUAUUUUCCUCUGAGAUGUCACAUUUGGACCUUAAAAAUGAACUAAUUUUCUAUUGAUGUCUUAUGAGACUUGUAGUUCUCCGUCUUAGCUUCAAAACGGUAUAAGUUGUACCCCAAUCCGAUAAGCGUAGCUUUGGUUGUGACCGAUACGCUAAGAGACGUCAAAUCUGCCAUUUGGCUAUUCGUCUUUAAACUUGAUUUCUGGUUGCCGUGUUAAGACCUGUGUUGUAAUUGGAUUAUUUUGAGCCUAGUUGAAGGGCUAUUGUGUUCCCAUUGCAUACGUGUGAUUUUAGGACUGAUUUGAGAAAAAUAUUGAAGGCAUAAAUGGCUAGAAAAUAGGUAAACACAAGGGGUAAGCCGCCCAAAUUUUCACUAGAGGAAUAAAUUAGCCUUUGGAGUUCUAGUUCUGUAUUUUGCAAAUUUGACCUGGAUCCACUGAAAACUGGGUCGAGUUAUUUUCAUAAAAGUUGUAACCUUUUGUCUUAGCUUCGAGACGCUACCUAGUACACAUUAAUCCGAUAACCACAGCUUUAGUUAUGAUCAAAACCGUGUAACCCAUUUUCAUACCAUUUUUAUUUCCGCGCACGCGCAUAUGCAUUUCUUGGCCAUUUUUGCCGUUUUGGCCGUUUUAGUCCUUAUUUCCAUUUGUGAUGGUUAUUUGAUUGAUGGUUGAGUAUAAUUUUCUGCCACAGGCAAUGACGAACUGGACGGAGUCGGUGGACCUGUAUAAAGGGCUUUGAUUUGCGUGCUAACUAUUUUGAGUGAGUAAUUGAGUUGGUUUAUACGAUAAAUUAUCGAUGUGAUUUGUAUAUGUUGAAUGGGUACUUAUGCGAGGGUGUAUUUUAUCUCACUCGACUUAAACCCAUUCUCUGUUGUUGACUCAAUAUGUGAGAAUACAUACUUUGUGCUGAGUAACACCUUUUUGCUGUGUGCUGUUAGGGUGAUUACACGACUUGAGUUAAAUCCCUUGUGCUAUGUGCUGUUGAGGUGAGUAUUUUGUUGAAUACUUUGUUGAAAGAUAUCAUCUAUUGAGAGAUGGAUAUCUCAAGGCUUGGUUCCAGCCCGGUUCCAAGGAUAGACGGACUAUUCGAGUCAAUUGGGGUUUGGUCGAAAUUAGUUCCAUGCUAACCUUGGAAUUUCGUUCUUUGUUAAAGCUUUGUUUAAAGCUAAAUGAUUUAUUUUGCUCGAACUGCUAUGUACUGUUGACUGACCAGCGGGGGUUGAUAAGGUGAACGGGAAAAGCAAGUGGAGUCUACGGACCAUAAGUAUUUUGGUUGACGGAGUGUCAACAGGCAUUCAAGCUCGGGGAAUUAAACUGGUUUUGAAGCCACCCGUAUCCUACCAUUGUGAUGUUACAUUUCUGUUUAUUGGUGUGAAAUAUCUUGGUUUACAUGUUUAUUUGAAUGUGAUUUUUGUGUUUUAUCGCCGAUUAUUCACUAAGCAUAUAGUUUACCCCAUUUCAUUUGUUUUCCUUAGUAGGGGGUACGAGCGAGGCGUGAGACUUGUACAGAGUAGUCUAGUUUUGAAAUUUUGAAUUGUACUCGCACUAGCACCCGACUGAGGUUGUUUGGACUUGGAUUGUAAACACAUUAAUGUAUUUGGGCGUGUAUAAGCCUUGUAGUUGGAUCGAGUAUCAAUGUAUAUAUUAAGUUUGAACUUGUUGUGUUACUUAUUUGCUAUGAAUGUAAGUCAUUUUCUCAAGUUUCGAGUGAGUGAGUCCUGGCGAGAGUUGGACAGGCGGUCCGCCGAACCCUGGGGUACGCCUUAGAAGGAGGUGGAGCCGUCACACAUCCUAAGUAUGAUUUAUUUUUUCACAGUAAACACAAGCUAAUCGAGGAGCUUCUAUUGGAUUCUUUAGAGAGACUUCCUCUUGUCGUCCUCUUCCUACCUGACUUUUCCUUGUUGAACUUCUCUCAUAUUGUCCUUGCAUCCAUAGUGGGUAAGAUGGAAUGAUUACUCUUCUAGCUUUGGAAGAUGGUAGGAUGUCCUUAAAUUCCUCAGACUCACUACUCAGCACACUUCUUUUUCGUGUUUGAAAUGUUUUUACUUGCGCCCUUGCAAUUUCAACCCUUUGAGCUUUCUCAAGAACUUCUGUGAAUGUAGUAAUUUGAGCUGCCGCAAGAACUUUCUGGAUUUUCACAUUUAAUCCCUGUACAAACCUUACUCUUCUUUGCUCCAUAGUUACUAAUUCAGUGGUAAAUUUAGAUAAUUUAGUGAAUUGAGUUUCAUAUUCUGACACACUCAAGGCUCCUUGACGUAAUCUAAUGAAAUCGUCCUCCCUUUUUUCUUAGACUAAGGGCGGAAGGUAUUUCUCAUUAAAUUCCCAUACGAAAUUUACCCAAGUCCGCGCUAUUUGUUCCCUCUCCCACUUAGCUCUAAUCACGUUCCACAAAGCAUGAGUUGACCCUUCAAAUUGAAAUACUGCAAAAGUCGCUUGUCUCUUCUCUGAAUAAUUUAGCGCGGCAAAAAUAUUAAUCAUUUGUUCUAACCAACUCUCGGCUGCCUCCGGAUUAGAUCCUCCAAGAUAUUUAGGAGGAGAAAACUUCUGAAAACGCUCUAGGGCCCUAUCCCCUCCCCCCUUAGGUUCCCUGGAUUGGUUAAUAGGUGCUUGCCCUUGUUGUUCCACUAAACGCGCCAAAAUAUCGGUUAUUCAUUGUAUGGCUGUUGCUACCUAAUCCCCUGUUUCGGCCUGUGGUUCAUGUUGUUAUUUAGCUAUCGCUUCUCUUUCUUCUAUUAGUUCUUGAGCUUGCCUAACCCUACGUCCACGAUUAACCCCUCGUCCUCGGUUUCUUCAUCCAUCCAUACCUUUUUUUCUAUAAACUAUAUACGUGUAUGAGCAAAAAUAGAUCAGCUAUAUAUAUAGAAUAAGAAUAAAACAACGUAGGCCAAAAAUGAGAAAUACCCUUAGAAUACAUAACACAACAAAUUACAAGCUAAAUCACAAAAUAUUAUACAUAUUAUCCUACCAAAAUCAAGUUCACAAAACAUGUCUAGUACACUAUACAUAGUAGUCCGCAAUACAGCAAACACAUACAUACAUACAUGCAGAACAAAAUAAGAGACAACGAUUUUUCAAUUUCUCCAAGGGUAAAUUAUAAACCAAGUUCAUCCGUCAAAGAAAGUUCAAAAGAUCUCUACUAAAGCAAUCACUCCAAGAAUUAUAUCUAGUUCCUUAUAAAUGCAAAUGAAUGUCAAAACUCUAAAAGAUACCUUAAUGAUCUUUAAAGUCAAAGUUAGUCCCAUAGUUGUUCAAAUAGUAUCGUUGUUCAAGAAAAUGAUCCAUUACUCUUCACAUCAAUCUCACACAAUUCUCUUCUCUUCUCACUAAUCCAAUAUAAAAACCUCAAACAUCAAAUCUUACUAUCCAUCAGGAACAUAACUGCUUAAUAUUGCACUUAAACUUCACAAUACCCCACAGUCCAGCAUUCUAAACUUUAAACUUAUGUUACACUAUAGAGAUCUAAAAUCUAAAAUCUGAUACCAAUUGUGACGACCUCAUCUCCCCUUAAGGCGAACCAAGAGGUUCAGUGGACCGCCUACCCAACUCUCGUCAGAACUCAUUCACUCGCUUUUCGCUUCAAGAGCAAGUAAAGAUGUGCCAAUCAAACUUAACAUAUAUACAAUAAUUAACACAAAUAUACAAUCCUCAAGGUUAAAGUCCAAAGCUCAGGAUCCAACUAACUACUAAUACUAUCACUUUUACACAACAAAAGUUCUAGUCAAAAGUGCAGUCUUUCUCUAAUCACCCGUCCUUGCUCAAAAACCCUAUAAGGAAAACAAAAACUAAAGAAAUGAGCUAAAGUUCAGUGAGGUUCCCAUGCACAUAUCAAAACAAGGACAUUAUUCAGUUAAUAACAAUCAAUCGAGAAAACAUUCAUAAUAUAAAAACAACGAGAACACACUCAUUAAAAGGAUACAUGCUCACGUGCAGCCAUUCGUUCAAUCAUUCAUUCAUUCAGCCAGUCAUUCUCUUUCAUUCAAUUAUUCAUUUCUUCCCUUAUAACUUCAACAUUUCCAUUUAUCCAUUUCAUUUCUCGCCACUAGCCAAUUCACUGGCUAGUUCUCCAUCAAAUUUCGUGAUCAUACUCGAAUAUAUCAAACAUUAUCCCAGAGUCACCAGUCGCCCGAUCGAAUCCAUUUCUGGCUCAAAUUGAUUGGCAACGAAGGGCAAGGGUCCAAUUUUGCCAAUGCGGUACCAUACAACUCACAUAGCUUACAUUCAUGCACAAGUAAUGCUCAAUCAGUUAAUCAUUUGAAAAUUCACUUUCGCGUAGGUCAAGUGCGAUAAAGUACACAUUCGACAAUUGAAAAUCCAUUUAAUAGUCAUUGGAAGGUAUUUAACACUCAAUCGAAAAUUCACAAUAAGUACACGGUCAUUUAAUAUACAAACAUGCAAGAAACACUCACCCUAAACAUGUCACGUUUUAUCAAAAUUCAAUUCAAGGCCGGCACCUUGGCCACUCUCGAAAUCUGCAGUCAAAUAUUAUCCACAAAGAGCCAAUCAUACACGAGUGCAAGUUGCAUAAUUUAUAUUUCUAUAUCAAAACAAAAAGGCGUCAAAAGUAUAAUGAGUCAUACCUUCAAGAGCAAGUAAAGAUGUGCCAAUCAAACUUAACAUAUAUACAAUAAUUAACACAAAUAUACAAUCCUCAAGGUUAAAGUCCAAAGCUCAGGAUCCAACUAACUACUAAUACUAUCACUUUUACACAAUAAAAGUUCUAGUCAAAAGUGCAGUCUUUCUCUAAUCACCCGUCCUUGCUCAAAAACCCUAUAAGGAAAACAAAAACUAAAGAAAUGAGCUAAAGUUCAGUGAGGUUCCCAUGCACAUAUCAAAACAAGGACAUUAUUCAGUUAAUAACAAUCAAUCGAGAAAACAUUCAUAAUAUAAAAACAAUGAGAACACACUCAUUAAAAGGAUACAUGCUCACGUGCAGCCAUUCGUUCAAUCAUUCAUUCAUUCAGCCAGUCAUUUCUCUUUCAUUUCAAUUAUUCAUUUCUUCCCUUAUAACUUCAACAUUUCCAUUUAUCCAUUUCAUUUCUCGCCACUAGCCAAUUCACUGGCUAGUUCUCCAUCAAAUUUCGUGAUCAUACUCGAAUAUAUCAAACAUUAUCCCAGAGUCACCAGUCGCCCGAUCGAAUCCAUUUCUGGCUCAAAUUGAUUGCAACGAAGGGCAAGGGUCCAAUUUUGCCAAUGCGGUACCAUACAACUCACAUAACUUACAUUCAUGCACAAGUAAUGCUCAAUCAGUUAAUCAUUUGAAAAUUCACUUUCGCGUAGGUCAAGUGCGAUAAAGUACACAUUCGACAAUUGAAAAUCCAUUUAAUAGUCAUUGGAAGGUAUUUAACACUCAAUCGAAAAUUCACAAUAAGUACACGGUCAUUUAAUAUACAAACAUGCAAGAAACACUCACCCUAAACAUGUCACGUUUUAUCAAAAUUCAAUUCAAGGCCGGCACCUUGACCACUCUCGAAAUCUGCAGUCAAAUAUUAUCCACAAAGAGCCAAUCAUACACGAGUGCAAGUUGCAUAAUUUAUAUUUCUCUAUCAAAACAAAAAGGUGUCAAAAGUAUAAUGAGUCAUACUGUUGAGUUUGAUCCCUAUCUUUUGAUGUUUACAAAACAAAUGGAUGAUACUAAUAUUUCUUCAAGAUAUAUUUUCAGUUAUGAAAUUAUUUGAUUCCAUGAACAAGUGCAAUUGGAAGAAGACAAAGUAUGCUGAAGCUGUCGGACGCUCAAAAAGACUGCAUCGGACGUCCGACAACCAUUGAGUAUCUUCGGACGCAGAAAACCAGCCUAUCGGACGUCCGAUAGCACUGUUUUAUGCGUCCGACAGCAGUCAGUGAGUUUGAGAAAUUUUCUUCAAUUCUUUCGGACGUCCGAUAGGCUGGUUUUCUGCGUCCGAAGAUACUCAAUGGUUGUCGGACGUCUGAUGCAGUCUUUUGAGCGUCCGACAGCUUCAGCAUACUUUGUUUUCUUCCAAUUGCACUUGUUCAUGGAAUCAAAUAAUUUCAUAACUGAAAAUAUAUCUUGAGAAAUAUUAGUAUCAUCCAUUUGUUUUGUAAACAUCAAAAGAUAGGGAUCAAACUCAACAAUCUCCCCCUUUUUGAUGAUGACAAAACAAUGGAUGGAAAGAAACAAAAAUAAGUAUAAGCUCCCCCUCAAUCAUUGCAAUCAAAACUUUUAAGAGCCAAACUGCCAAACUCAUAAUCUCAUAAUAACUCCCCCUUACACAUUGCAUCCAUCUCUCCCCCUUUUUGUCAUCAUAAGAUGAGAGUAAUAACCAGCAACCAUAUAAAUAGUGGUUGCUAGUUGACGUCCGACACUACCAACGGCUAGUUGACUGUUCAGCUACUUUCUAUCCGUUGGAAGCUUUAAUGAGGCUCUUUCUUGGUCCUAUAUAAAUAGUGGUUGGUCAGAUACUUCAAAUAACUUUGGCACACUGAAGAUACAAAAGAUCUAGAGAGAUUUUAGUGAGAAAAUACUCCAAAAAGAAUAUUUGUAGUCUUAGUGGUGUGAGGUUCAUUGUAAGCUUUUCAUUUGUGAGUGAAUCUUUCAUGAGUGUAGCUCUGUGAGGGUUGUCCUGAGGGAUAGUAAAACGUCCUGGCUUGACCGAGUGCUGCUUGGGGCAAGGAGGAGGUGAACCUUCCUUUGUACACAAGAGUGAUUGUAAUUCAUCAACUUGAAAUAGCUUGUUUCAAUUAAUCUACAAGCUCAAGAGGAGUUGGGUAGUUAAUUGGUUUGCAAUCCUUUCCUUUUUAUUUACUUAUUGUUUCGUUUAUGAUCUUUGCAUUGGUUGUUUUGGGCCUUACACAUACAGGUAAGGUGCACGCAUAAUUUAUAAAAGAAAAUGAUAAAAAUGGUUAAGUUCAAAACUAAUAUGUGCAACUAAAAAUCAUGUUUUGAAUAGUUGUUUGGAAUGUUAGAAAUCAGGCUUAGAACACUUGAGAAGUACAUGUUAAGUCGGAUCAAGAAAAUGAAAAACAAGAGAAAGGCAACGAGAAACAAGAUGGCAACUUUGCCAUCCUUUGGUAUUUUUAUCACAACUGAAGCUACACUUAUCGGAUCGAGGUAAAUUUUAUGGCAUUUCGAAGCUAAUACCUAGAGCUAUAUUUCCCAUCAAAACAUCAUCCCCAGUUCUCACAUUUUUGGGGUAAAAAAUGGACGGUCAGGAGCACAUAAAAAAUAGGUCAGGAAAAUUAGAGUUUUUGUGCAGUAAGGAGUGCUCUGGCCAAAUCAUAAGCUAAAAUAAUCCAAUUGAUUUGAAAUUUUGCAGGUUGAAAGUUAACUCAAAUCCCUAUAACUUUCGUGUUUUGUCCAAAAGCUGAUUUAGUCUAAAACAUGGAGAAAUUUGCAGCCCAAUUUGAUUCCAAAAACAUGGCAGAACUGAAAUUCACCAAAUUGUCUAAUUUUCUUCCAAGUUUCAACUACCAACUGAAACCCAAUCAAGAUUACAAAAGUUUCGGCAGUACCUCCCCCAUUUUUGGUCCUUUUUUCUUUGAAAAUCAAGGUGUAAACCACAGUAAUCCCAACACAAUCAAAGCCACAAGUCAUAAGAUAAUACAAGCCUUAUUCUAGUCUAUCAAUGCCCUUCAAAAUUCACACAAAUAGAGAUUAAGCGAAAGACAUCAAAGCUGAAAUUUCCCAAUUCAAGUAGAAAAUCACUUAUUGAAGUUGUAAACAUGUAUAUCAAAACUCAACCACCCUCUAAUAUGAUUGGACAACCUAUAUCAAAAUUACAAACUUAACAAAAGCUGAAAUUUCACUUCUUAAGCUAAAUUUUGCAUAUAACUAUCACUAAUUGCUAUUAAAAGCUAGAAAUUCCACCUUAACACUAAACUAGCUUCUACCAAUCAUAUACAUGCCAAAUCAAAGAUGAAAUAACUUAUAUAAAAUCUGAAAAAUAUCAAUAAAACUGAAAUUUAUCAUCCCAACCCUAAAAUUGCAAGAAUCUCCAUAAAAUCAAUCAAAAUCAAGUUAUCCAACAACUUAAUCACAAGAUUAAAGAACAAAAGGAGCUUCUAAUGAUUAUACCUUCCAACACCUUGAAAACAAGUAAAACAAACCCUUUUCUUCUCAAAACACUCUACCUUUAGCUUGCUAUCACCUUAGAUGCAAGGUUAAUCAUAGUAGAUUUUGGCAAUUGAAAGAAAUAUCUCAAAAUUUGGUGAAGGAAAUCAAAGGAAAAAUGGACUUAACUUGCUUGGUUUUACUCCUCUUGAGGUUCGGCCAGCUUGGAGAAGAAAGAAUGAAGAGUUUUUGUACUCCAAAUGAAGUGAUAAAGAUAAAGACUUAAGUGUUCCAAGACUAAAUGAAAACGCGACACGUGGCACUACUUUGACUAUUACUUAUCUCUUGAUCUUUCUUCUUAGUUUCUAAUCACUCAUCUAUGUGGUGUUCCUCUAACUCACUCUUAACACUUCUAGGCAUAUAUUCCUUAGUAUAUAACAUCCAUUCAUGUCCACUAAAUUUAAUACACACUUACUAGUGAGCCACACUACCAAAAUGUAAUAUAACUAAACACGCACCACAAUAUAAAACAAACAAUUAAAAUUUAACUCUACCAUAAAAAUACCUUAUAAAUUAAAGGAUUUAAACUAGAGUAGGUCAAAAUAUUAUUUAAUGCACGCAAAAUGAGAAAAGAAUUUAAAAUUUUUUUUUCAAAAUCUCACAGCUUUGAAGCGAUCCACUUCUCCUGUUGGCUUAUAUUUGGUCUUAUAUACCCAUUUCACUCCAAUUGGCUUCCUUUCAGGUGGGAUAGUGGUCAAUUCCUAUGUAUCAUUUUUCGCAAUGGCAUGAAUUUCUUCAUCCAUUGCACGAACCCAAUGAUCAUCUUUGGCAGCUAUGAGACAGGCUCACAAUUUGCAAAAAGAGCAAAAUUCAAAAUCUCUUCAUUAGUUAAAUCAUUAUCUUUACCAACAGCAUAAUCAUCAAAUCGGGCUGGCAUGCGGUGUUCUCUCUAUGGUCGAUUGGAUGUCUCAACCUGAAUAAUGGAAGGUGAGGGAUCACCAUGAGGCUGCACAACUUGCUCCACUGCUUGCUUAUUAGCACUCGGUCCCAUAAUGGAGAAAUGGAUGGAUACUUUAGCAAUGCCUCAGGGUCUUGUUUGCACCAAUUCCAAACUCCAUGUUCAUCAAAAGUCACAUCUCUGCUAAUAAUCACCUUUCCUAUGUUUGGAUUGAAUAACUUAUAUCCCUUAGUCUCAUGACUAUAUCCAAUAAAAAUACACUUCUCUGCUUUGUCAUCUAAUUUCUUCCUCAAAUGAUCUGGAACAUGCGCAUAUGCAAGACAACCAAAUACCCUGAAGUGAGAAAUAUCCAGUUUCAUACCAGUCCAAACUUCUUGUGGGGUCUUCCCAAAGUUGCAUCUAGCAGGGCACUUGUUCAAACCAUAAAUAGCACAAGAUACUACUUCUGCCCAAAAGGAUUUAGGAAUACCUUUGGAGUGCAGAAUAGACCUCACCAUGUCCAUCACAGUCCUGUUCUUCCUUUUAGUCACACCAUUUUGUUACGGUGUAUAUCUAGCUUUCAAUUGAUGUUUUAUGCCACUUUCCACCAAAUAGUCAUAACAAACAAGAUACUCAGUGCCUUUAUUAGUUCUCAAAAUUUUAAUAAAAUAGCCACUCUGCUUCUCUACAUAAUAUUUGAGUUUUUUUAAACACAUCACAUGCAUCAGAUUUAUUUCUUAAAAAAUACACUCAUGUCUUCCUGCCGAAAAUCAUCAAUAAAGGUAAUAAUAUAUUUACUACCACUAUUGGAAGGAACUUCAACUGAGCAUAAAUCUGAGUGAAUCAAUUCAAGUGGUCGAUUAGCCCUCCAAGCCUUGCCUUUUGGAAAAGGAUCCUUGUGCUUCUUUUUCAAAAAUACAAGACUCGCACUUCUUGUCAAGAAACUCAAUAGAAGGCAACUCAAUAACUAAUUUCUUUAUUUCAAGAAAAUUCAAACUCCCAAAAUUCAAAUGCCCAAAACACAUAUGCCAUAACCAAGAAUUAUCACAAGUCACGGAAUUAAAGCAAGGUAAAUCAUCACAGUUAAGGGAAAAAGGCCACAGACGACUACGAUUCAUCUUUACCUUGGCAAUUAAUCCCAAUUUUCCAUCACUUAUGGUGCCCUCACCAUAUUUAAAAUGCGGAUCAUAACCUUUCUCAGAUAAUUGUCCCAAACUCAACAAAUUAUGAUAUAAACUUGGCACACAGAAAAUAUCAGAAAUAAAAUUCGAAGACCCAUCUUGCAAGAUAAUUCUGAUUUUUCCUUUUCCAAGAACAGACACUUUUUCAUCGUUUCCAAAUCUCAUAGAUGCAUGAAAAGAUUCAUCUAGGUCAGAAAACAUCUCUUUUUUACCGCACAUAUGAUUACUACAACCAGAAUCAAUAAACCAAUCAUUCUUCAUAGACUCUUUAGAUGUAGAACUAGAAAACAACAAGGUCUCCUCUCUAUCACUACAAUUUUCAGCCACUUUAGCGUGCACCUCUUUAUUGGACCAACAUUCAUUCUGAUAAUGACCAAUUUUACCACAAUUAUAACAUUGGACAUUAGAUCUACCACGCAUUUGAAAAUUAUUUCUUUGACUUUGCUAUUGAUUGUUUUCCUAAUCCCUAUUAGAAUUAUUUCCGGGUUGGUGAGAAUAAUUACCUCUUCCACGACCAUGAAAGUUACCUCUGCCUCCACGUCCUCUACCUCUGAAGUUCUGGCCCUUUUGAUUUGUGUCCAUAUGAUUUACCUCCUCUUUUCCUUUUGGGCGAUCCACCUUGGCUUGUAACACCUCCUCUACUUUAUCUGAUGGCUGCUGAUUUAGGAACAUCUCAUACGUCAGCAAUUCACCUUCCAAUUCAGCAAGUGACAAAUUGUCAAGGUCCUUUGUGGCUUCAAGGACUGUCUUCUUGGUGUGAAAUUUAGCAGUUAGAGAUUUCAAAACUUUUUCAACAACUCUAACCUCUUCUAAAUUCUCACUAUUGGACUCCAUAUCAUUGACAAUUUCUUUAAUUGUACCAAUGAAAUCUUUAACUGACUCCGUGGAUUUCAUCUGGGUCAACUCAAAUUGUCUCCUAAGUUCUUGCAAUCUGAUUUUUCUCACGUUAGCACCUCGAUUUGAGUUCACUAAAAUUGUCCAAGCGUCUUUUGCCGACUUUGCAUGUAUAAAUUUUUUUGCAACAUGCAACUGGACUUAAGUGUUGAGAUAGCACAUUGCCUUGCAAUCCAACUGUCUAUUUCUCUCUAAUUCUUUAACUGCAUCGCUUGAUAAUUCUAUAUCUGCUACCGGUUCCAUAUAUCCUAUCUCGACAAUAUUCCAAACUCUAAUAUUUUGGAAAAAAAUUCUUCAUCAUUGACCUCUAAGCCUCAAAAUCGCUUUAACCAUUGAAGAUAAAAACGUGACAAUUGUACAAUUAAUGCGGAUCCACACUUUAAUUUCAUGAACAAGCUCCAAGCCCCGAUUUCUCUCAGGCCUAAUCUCUAGACUCAAUUCAACUCUCCACACAAUAACCUACUAGACUAUUAGUAUUUAUAGACUCAAAAAUUUCCUAAAGCAAAUACGGUUGUAAACCAAAACUUAUUUGGAAACUAACUUGAGAUUUCCUAAUCUAAUAUGGAAACUAAACAAAUAAGAUACCAAAAAGAAUUAGGAAACUAAAAUAGCUUGGUUUAUUUUCCUACAAUAAAAUGUACAAAAAUUUGAUUAGUGUGUAAAUCUUUGUUGACCAUUCCAUUUCUGAUUGUUUAAGUUUUGUACUCUUACACAUUUGGCAACAUUUUAUUUUACAUUACUAAAUCAAGAAGUUUGCAGUAUUAUUAUACUCGAUCUUUUUUGUUUUUUAAGGGUAAGUUACGUCAAAGGUUUUCAAACUUUUCAAUAGCUUCAUUUUACUCUUGUAACUUUUUUUGGUAAUAAAUGGUCCACUAAUUUUUUAAAAAAAAUAAAUUUAUUGUACCCAUUCAACUACUUUUUGAACCAAAUAACCUACUAAACUUUUCAAGUGAUUUAUCUGGAUCGUUUUGUUAGAUUCUACUCUUAAGAUAGUUAAGAGCAGACAACCAUAUAACCAAAAUCGAAUUCGCGAGACAAAAAAAUACAAAUUACAGAAUUCAAUUUAUUUCUUAAUAAUCAAUCAUAUCUAGUUCUGAUAUCACUUAUUGAGCACCACUUAUUGAGUGAUAGUUUAUAUUAGUCUUUGGUGAAAGCAAUCACCUGUUAAAUCCAAAAUUUUUAUGGCGAUUAUUAAGAAUAAAUUAAUAAUAAAAUUACAAAAGCGCACCUGAAUUCAUGUUGACAAGCUGGCACUUGAAUCCUUGAAGAUUUUUUUGGGGAGGUCUUUCAGGUCAACACCUAUUCGCUAAUCCUUAAGAGAGCCCUUUAAUCUCUGAUAUCUCUUAUGACGAUGGGAUAUCGAGAAAAGUUAUUUUGUGAUACUAAAAAAUACGAUAAUAAUAUACAUGUAAUCUGGGAAUCAUAACCCUAUUUAUAGAUAAAUUUCUGUUAUCUUUUGUAUUCUUAUUUUAACCCAUCAUAGAAAUAGGAAACACCCGUAAGUCUCUACAUAUUAAAGAUUCAUAUUCUAUUAGAUAUAUUAAAGUCCAAAUCAUAUUUGAUCACUUUAAUUAGAUCUAAUCUUAUUUGACAGUAACAUAUAAUUAUUCAUAUAUAAAUCCAAUGUUGGAUUAAAGAUUCAACAAAAACUGCUUAAAAUUAUGGUUAAUAAUUACUUCACAGUCGGCUUUAAUUAUUAACAAAAAAUGGAUUGAUCAUACUUGUCCCCUCAAGGUUUGGAUUAGUCACGCUUUAUCACCCCAACUUCACAAAUAUAUAAUUUACCCCGUCUUGACCAGUCAAAAUAUUAAAAAUGCUUAACACUGUUAAGACAAAAUAAAGUGCUGAGGAGAUUAAAGGAUCCAUGAUUUGUUAGUGAAGGUACAAUUGUACUCUUGUAUUGGUGCAUAUGGCCUGCGAAAAAAUAAAAGAAAAGUUAUUGAUAAGUGGGAAAAAAAAACUGACAAUCGACAGCAACUAUGAUAAAAUAACUCUUGAAAAGGCCCUGAUGUACACGGGAGAAGGAGUCAGAGAAUCCUCAAAAGCACUGAAGGGCUUUUUUUUGGGGUUGUAGUGACUUAUUAAAAAACAUUUAGGGCCUGUUUAAGAUUGUUGUAUUUUUGCUAAAAAAGUAUUUUGGAGGUCAAAAAUACUUUUAACAUGUUUAAUGAAAAUCAUUCCUUAAAUUUGGAAGUAGAAUUUUUGGUCAUAAAAGCACUUUGGUAUAAGUUCAAAAUUGAUACAUUUAGAGUAACUUUUGUAUUUGAAACAAAUAAAAAAUUAAGUUUAAUAAUUUUAUUAUAAAUUUUGAACUCAAUAAACAGAUAAAUAAGUUUUGUAACCUCAAAAUUGCACAUUAUCAAAUAGAAAAAGUACUUACUCUUGUAAAUCCAAACAAUAUGAUUUAUCAAUUAAUAAAUACUUUGACUAAAAACUGUACUCAUUGAAAUGCUUUUCGAUAAGCCACCGUAACUCAGAUAGGCCCUUAAUUUAGAAGAGUUAUUCGUCAAAGUAUUUAUGAAGAGCUUCUUGUUCGAUCUAGAUUUGAAGCCCUAUUGGUAACUGGUGGACAUCUGGUCGAGGCAUUUGGUUUGGAGCGAUGUCGCAUGAGUAUAGACCUUGAUUCUGACAGGUUCUGUAGGACGAUGACCUGUUGGUAAUGUGCUUUAGUGACACUUUCAGUUGAGUACUGCCACACAAGUUCUGGUGUAGUGGAGCAAUAGUUUCCUUAGGACUCAACCUGGGAAUUCUUACAAGACUUGGAGCAGUAAUUCCUACCUAAUUUCCAUCCCUGAGGACAAGGGCUCUUUUAGAGAGGGGUAUUUGAUGCACUGAUUUUAGUUGUAUGAUUGAUUGACCAUAAGAGAUUAUAAUAGAUAAUGGUGGAAGUGAAAGUUAAUAAGUUAAAAGAAUAUUGCUGAUGCUAGUAGUUAGUUAGCACAGCCAAAGAAGUGGUUAGCUGCAACCGACUCUCCACUACUUGCUUAUAUAUUAAGCUGCGCAUAAGGAGAAACAUUCAUUUUGAUGUAUUGCUACAAAUCAUUGGUCAUUCUUCUUGUAUCUUCUCUGAGUUUUCACUACAAUAAAAUACAUGAUGCUCCCUUGAAUUUCGAAUUACUUCUUCGUCAUUUUUGUAAUUCUGUAAUGAUUCCACAGGAAAUAGGACAAAAUAGUUAGCCAAAUUCUGUUAGCCAAAUAUUCUUGGAUUUGUUAUAGUGGCAACAACUUGCAGAAAGUUAGUUACAAUUAGUUAGUUGGGGGGAACUUCUAUGAAUAGGCCAACACUAAUGUAAGGAAGGACAUGCAAAAUCUGAUCUCUAAAGAAUACAACUUCCCCGCCUCUUUUUCAAAUUCAUCCUUGCUCUCUCUCUUUCUCUUGUUCCUUCCUCUCUAUUCUUUUUUUCCUAUACUUUCUGUACCUUAGCUGAAUCAUCAGAUUCUCAACCAUUACAUUUGGUAUCAGAGCUUGCGGUCCUGGGAUUUGAAAGCUCCAAUUUGGCAACAAUGGCGGAAGGCACCAGAAUGAAGGGAUUUGAGGAAAUGCUGAAGAAACAAGAUGCAAGGAUCCAAACUAUCCUCGAAUCCAGUACAAUCGAACGUCAAGCGUUAGAGGAAAAGAUCGAGUCUAACUAUGUGGACAUGAAGGCUCUGGUGGAAGCAAACAAUGUUGAAUUAAAGGAAGAAAUGAAGAAUUUGUUGGGAUAUGCAACUUUUCCUACAUAUUUUGCUAGAUUAUGUUUGAUAUCAAAAUAAUUUAGUUAUUAGAAAAAUAAGGAUAUUUGUUAACCAAAGAUCAUGUUGGUUUGUUAACAGAUAUUUUAGAUAAGAUUUGCUAAUAGAAGGAGUUUAUAUUUUGUUGAGAUUUUUAGAAUAAUUGUUAGUUGGAUAUUUUGCUAGUUUGUUUCAUGUAAUCACUAUAAAUAGUGAGUUGAUGAAUGUAGAACAUAAGUUCAUUUUUUCCACCUUUAAUACAAGUCUCUUAUAGCUUUUAUGCAAUCACUAAGGUUGUUGUUUCUUAGUUUUAUGCCCAAAAAAAACCAACAAAGGUGGCUAUCAACGAGCCUAUAAUCAAGGGCCUUUGAGUCUUUUUUUUUUUAGAGUGAUGCAUUGGUGAGGAUCCUUUAUAAGUUCAAAGCCAUGACAGGAAAGAACUUUUUGUCAAAUGUUUCAACUUUUAGUGGUAAAACUUACCAAAUUUGGGCUAUUAAAAUUUUGGACUUAUUUGGUAGUCAAUGAUCUACGAGAUAUGGUGGAGACGAAUUUUGUUUCACCAGCAUUUGAAGAGCUGAUGGAUACACAAAUUAGAGAUCACAAAGUUGCCAGUUAGACAGAGAUCCAAGGCCAGCAUUCACAUAUCAGUUUUUGAUGCGUUUUCACAAAGAUAAUGGCUGAUGAUUUGAUUGAGAAUAAAUUAUUCUCAAUUAAAAUAAAAAGGAGAAGUUUCACUAUGAAUUGGUCAGAUUUUGACAAUUCUAAAGUGGAACAUGAUGAUGAAAUCAAGAAUUCAGAUCCUGAAAAAAUUCAGGAGGAGAUCAUUAAUAAGUGAGGAGAUAUCAAAUUGAUUCCUGAUAUUUGUCAAGAUUAUAACAUUUCUAUUUUUGAGUCUACAGAUAUUGAUGGUGAUGACAAAAUGAAGAACCAUGCAGAAUUUUAUAUUUUCUGUAUAGGUUCAAAUAUCGUCAAAAGAUGUUCCAUUUUAAACCUAUGAGAAGGUUAUUUGGAAACAUAAAAAAAAAAAAUCAUUUUUUAUGUGGAGUUUGGCACGAGAAGAUAAAAGAAGUGGUUCGUUGCAAGACUAAUAUUUAGCUUGCAUAAAAACCCAAAGGAAGAAGUUCAUUGCAAGGCUAAUCAUCAAUUGCAAAGCUUCUUACAAAAGUCUCGUUCAAAACAAGAUUCAAAGAUUUGAGAAGACAAUUCAAAAUCUGUAGCAAAAGUGGCAAGGAGGAGUGUUGGGAUGUGCAACUUUUCCUACAUAUUUUGCUAGAUUAUGUUUGAUAUCAAAAUAAUUUAGUUAUUAGAAAAAUAAGGAUAUUUGUUAACCAAAAAUCAUGUUGAUUUGUUAACAGAUAUUUUAGAUAAGAUUUGUUAGUAGAAGGAGAUUAUAUUUUGUUGAGAUUUUUAGAAUAAUUGUUAGUUGGAUAUUUUGUUAGUUUGUUUCAUGUAAUCAUUAUAAAUAGUGAGUUGAUGAAUGUAGAACAUAAGUUCAUUUUUUUCACCUUUAAUACAAGUCUCUUAUAAGUUUUGUUUGCAACACUAAGGUGUUGUUUCUUAGUUUAUUCCCAAAAAAAAACCAACAGAAUUUCAUGGUCACGAUGAAUGCUCAAUUCAAUACCCUCAUGAGGAACUUACAGGGGGAAAGGGGAAUUCUAGGCCAACCUCUUAACUCAUCUGAGCGACCUCCUAAUCAAAUACUUAGCAAAAGUCAUGAAGGAAGCCAUCCUUUUCUGGGGGAAAAGAGUCGUUUCCCAAUAGGAGUUCCCAAACUGGAAUUUCCUAGCUUUGGAGGCUCUAAUCUAUGAGAAUGGAUCAGGAAAUAUGAGAAGUUUGUUCAGCUAUAUUAGAUUCCAGAAGGACAGUAGAUGGAUGUGGCUGAACUGUAUUUGGAAGGCAAGGCUGAUCUCUAGUAUCAAAGCUUCAAGAAGGACAGAGGAGUGGUGCAAUGGGGGGAUUUUGGCUCAGAACUUUGUAGAAGAUUUGGGGAUCUGGGGGGAGGAGAUGUGGUAGAGGAGUUCAACAAAUUGUAGCAGGAUUCAUCAGUUUUAGCAUAUCAGGACAAGUUUGAAGAAUUAAGAGCUGCUGUCAUGGUAAAACUACCCCUCCUCUCUGAAUAUACUAUGUUUCUAGCUUCCUGAGUGGGCUGAAGGAGGAGAUCAAGGCUGCUGUGAAAAUGCACAUGCCCCAGACCUUACAGGUAGCAUUCGAAAAGGCUAGAUGGCAAGAAUAGUAUUUGAGCAUCAUCUUAAGGCAGAAUAAAGUACCAAUGAAGAUAUCUCCACCAAUUUCUUCUGGAAGUAAACAUACCCACCCUAAUGACCUGAGCCACAAGAAACCUGCAACUCAUGUGUUUGAGAAUAGUAUUAAGAAGGAUUCUUCUCGGGUAAGAAAAUCUCACCCACAGAAUUUCAGUACAGGAAGGAUCACAACCUGUGUUUCAAGUAUGGGGAAAAAUUUUCUCCUGGACAUAUCUGCAAGAAUAGAGGGAUACAUUGGUACUAGUAGAUGAAGAAGGAUUGCAUGGCACUGAAGUAGAUGAGGAAGAAAGGGAAAUCAUUGAGUAUCAGGGGAAUAAGUCUAGCAAGGAUGUAGCCUUCUCACUACACUCAGUCUCUGGACACAUGUCUUCUAAUACCAUUAGGAUGAUAGGACACUAUAGGGGGCACGAUUUAUCCAUUCUGCUUGAGGGGGGGAGUACCAACUGUUUUAUCAGGUUAGCCAUUACUCAACUACAUCCUGAUUCUGUGCAGAGUCAUAAGCCCUUCAAGGUGAGGAUAGCUGAUGGAAAGGAGUUAAUGUGCAAUCAGUGGAUUCCAAAUAUGAAGUGGGAAAUGCAGGGACACAACUUCACUCAGAAUGUAUAUGUGUUGGACUUAGAGCCAUAUGAUUUAAUCCUUGGGGUGGAUUGGAUGAAACAUUACAGUCCAAUGACUUUUGAUUUUAAGGAGUUGACAUUGUCUUUUGAUAAGGAGGGUGAAACUGUGUUGCUGCAAGGAGACUCCCACACUGCCAAGGUGAGGAUGAGGCAAGGGACAGCAGCACAAAGGCAUAUCAGGAAUAAAGUCAGGACUUCUUUGCAACACUCUUGCAUGAUCAGAGUACAGAACAGUCAGGUAACUCCUGUACCAAAAUCACUUACUCAAUUGCUUGACCAAUGUUAGGACAUCUUUGAGGAACCUACAUCCUUACCCCCUAUCAGAGAAUUAGACCACCAAAUACCCCUCAUACCUGAUGCCAAACCCUUCAAAAUCAAUCCCUAUAGAUAUCUCCACAUGCAGAAAUCAGAAAUAGAACGACAGGUCAAAGACCUGUUGUAAUUUGGUAUCAUACAACCUAGCCACAACCCUUUUGCAUCCCCAGCUCUCUUGGUAAAAAAAAAGGAUGGAAGUUGGAGGUUUUGUAUUGAUUAUAGGCAGCUCAACAACCUUACCAUCAAAGAUAUCCCAUUCCUACCAUUGAUGACUUGCUUGAUGAAUUGCAUAAUGCAAAAAUAUUUUCUAAAAUAGAUCUAAGGUCAGGUUACCAUCAAAUUCGUAUGAACCCCUCUGAUGUCCCUAAAACAGCCUUUAGAACUCACUCUAGCCUUUAUGAAAACCUAGUGAUGCCUUUUGGCCUCACAAAUGCCCCUACUACAUUUCAAGCCUUAAUGAAUUCCAUAUUGGAACCUUUCAUCAAAUAGUUUGUGCUUGUGUUUUUUGAUGACAUUCUUGUUUAUAGCUCAGAUCUGGACAGCCAUCUUAAACACCUAUCCCUUGUUCUUAACACCUUGAGAACCCAUUCAUUAUAUGCGAAGAUGUCUAAAUGUUCCUUUGGUCAAGAUAAAAUUGAGUAUUUGGGACAUGUAGUUACUGCUGAAGGUGUUUCUGCUGACCCUGCAAAGGUAGAGGCAAUGUUUUUCUUGCCAGUUCCUGAUAACAUUAAGGCUCUUAGGGGUUUUCUUGGAUUGACGGGGUACUACAGGAGGUUUGUCAAGCGCUAUGGGAAAAUAGCAAAGCCCCUAAUUGAGUUGCUUAAAAAGGACAGUUUCGUAUGGAAUGAAGCAGCUACUUCUGCCUUUAAGCAGCUCAAGGUGGCUAUGUCACAGGCUCCUAUACUAGCUUUACCUAACUUCUCCAUGCCCUUUAUAUUAGAGACAGAUGCAAGCCAAACAGCUAUGGGAGCAGUACUGAUGCAGCAAGGGAGACCAAGAGCAUUCAUGAGCCAAGCUUUGGGACAAAAAAAUCAAUCAGUGUCCAUUUAUGAGAAAGAGUUGCUGUCCCUGAUCACUGCUGUAGGAAAAUGGAGGCAUUACUUAUUGGGAUCUCAUUUCAUCAUCAGAACAGACCAUCAAAAUCUAAAGUACUUGCUAGACAAAAGAUCACUACUUCCCUACAACAGAAAUGGAUUGCAAAAUUGAUGGGAUUGGACUAUGAAAUCCAAUACAAAAGAGGCAAGGAUAAUACAGUUGCAGAUGCUCUUUCUAGGAGGCAAGGAGGUUCUGCAGGAGGAAGCAAUCAGGAGAGUUACAAUGGAGUCCACUCUAUAUCUGCAGUCAAACCUCUAUGGCUCUCCAAGGUAUCAGAGAGCUACAAUGGAGAUAACAAGGUCAAAGAAUUAUUAACAACACUUGCAAUAGACAACUCUAGUACACCUGAUUACUCCUACCAUCAAGGGAUUAUCAGGUACAAGGGGAAGGUAUACAUUGGAGCUACCACUGAAUUUAGGAGGCAACUUGUUAGCUGCAUGCAUGAUUCUGUAGUUGGAGGCCACUCUGGCAAUCAGGGGACCUAUCAAAGAUUGAAGAGUUAUUUCUUUUGGCCAGGAAUGAAAAAGGAAGUGGAAGCUUAUGUACAAGCUUGUGACACCUACAAGAGGAGCAAAUGAGCAAGCUAGUUACCCUGGCUUGCUACAACCUCUCGCAAUACCAGAGCCAGCUUGGCAGCAUAUCUCAAUGGAUUUUAUCGAAGGUUUGCCAAAAUCCUUGGGGCAUGAUGCCAUAAUGGUCGUGGUGGACAGGCUUACUAAAUAUGCGCAUUUCAUAUCCAUGGGGUCUCAUUUCACAGCAAAGAGUGUUGCACUGGUGUUCUUCGAGCAAAUCUAUAAACUGCAUGGUUUGCCAGUGGACAUUAUAUUUGAUAGGGACAAGAUUUUCACAAGUUUAUUUUGGCAGGAGCUUUUUCAUCAGGUGGGAACUACCCUUAGUUUCUCAUCCUCAUAUCACCCCUAGUCUGAUGGACAGACUGAGAGAGUAAAUCGAUGUGUGGAAACCUACUUGAGGGCUUUGUGUUUGCAAUAGUCUGGUCAUUGGAAAAGGUGUUUGCCUGCAGCUGAGUAGUGGUACAACACUAAUUUCCAUUCUAGUUUAUAGAUGACACCCUUCCAAGCACUCUAUGGUUAUAAACCAAAACAGCUGUGCCUACAACCAGACAACACCCAAGUACUUGCUGUGGAGAUUGGUUAACUGAGAGGGUGAAUUGGAACUCCCUACUGAAGGAAAAUUUGUUGCAUGCUUAGAACUAUAUGAAAUAGUUUGCAGACAAACACAGGACUGACAGGACAUUUGCUGAGGGGGAUUGGGUUUACCUCAAGUUACAGCCUUGUAGACAGACCACUAUGGUUGUUUGAAAAAAUUGAGCUAGCAGCUAAGUACUAUAGACCACAUCAGAUUGAAAAAAGGAUUGGAGCAGUAGCCUAUAAACUCAAGUUACCACUAGGAGCUGCUAUUCAUCCUGUAUUUCAUGUUUCGCUUUUGAAACCUUCCGCAAAAGGUGCUCCAGCUAGCACAAUAUUACCUCAGCCAAGUGAUGAAGGCUUCUUUUCGAUCACCCCAUCCUCUAUACUGGAUCGAAGAUGGAUUGAUAGGGAUGGACACAAGGUGGAGCAGAUUUUGGUGCAGUGGAAGGACUUACAAAAUGAGGAUGCAACGUGGGAAGACUUCUCAGUCAUCAAGAGUCAAUUCCCUGACUUCAAUCCUAGAGACUAGGAUUGUUUCGAGAGGGGGCAAUUGUAAUGAUUCCACAGGAAAUAGGACAAAAUAGUUAGCCAAAUUCUGUUAGCCAAAUAUUGUUGGAUUUAUUAUAGCAGCAACAACUUGCAGAAAGUUAGUUAUAGUUAGUUAGUUGGGGGGAACUUCUAUUAAUAGGCCAACACUGAUGUAAGGAAGGACAUGCAAAAUCUGAUCUCUAAAGAAUACAACUUCCCUGCCUUUUUUUCAAAUUCAUCCUUGCUCUCUCUCUUUCUCUUACUCCCUCCUCUCGAUUCUUUUUUUCCUAUACUUUCUGUUCCUUAGCUGAAUCAUCAGAUUCUCAACCAUUACAAAUUCCUAGGUCAGGGAAUUGAGACCUCCACUGACCUCUGUAUCAGAUGCCUUCACACUUGGUGCAACUACCUAUACUUUCUCAAAUGCAUAUAGAUGUAAGCAGGUCCAUUUGCAAUUCCAGAUGUUGAGGAGGUCUGCUACUUCUUUGUUGACACACUAGUCCAGCGUAUCUCUUGUUCAAUUCGACCUUUAAAGAUUGAGUGACAGAAUCAGGCUAGGUUUGAGCCCUUGCAGGAUGGUUCCCUCCUCCUUAGGUAGUAUAGUAGCUCUGUUGGAUCUCGUCUUAGUAGCAGCUUUGUUGAAUGGUUUCCCUUGUCUUAGUAGUAGCUUUGAACCUUGGAAAUUGUACCCUUGUUAUUUGUGUUUUGUUAUGUAAUUUUCUUGAGAUUUGGGUGUACUCCAAAGAAAAUUACGACUAUCGUUGUAAUUAAUCGUGAACUAAAUAAGGCUGUUUAAAGGAUUGAGCUACUUUGAGAAUGUACUACUAGAAGAACGCAAACAUAUCUGACUAGACCAAGAAUAAGGCCCUCGGAUCACUGAAUUAAGAGACUUGAAUUGUUUCCAAAUCAUGAAUGUUUGAGGGAAAGAGCAAGAAAAGAACAAAUGCUCACAAGUUUCAACAAUAUUUCAACAAAAAUCACAAGUAUCAUCCUUUACUACACUCCACUUCCUCAGCCUGCUUCUUUUAUAAAGUCUCUCACAUCAAGAAAGCAAAUUUGGACACGAGGUUCAACCACACCAGCCUGUUUUCUUUUGACAUUGAAAAUUUUUUGAACUUGUGGGGUGUUAUCUUUUGCUUUCUAGUAGACAUAAGUGGUAGCCCUAGAUACCUCCCUCACAAAGUUCGUAAAGGCAUACAAAGCAACUGAUUCAGGUAGAGCUGUCUUUCAGACUUUGUUCCAGCAUAAACAAUUCACUCUUUUGAAGAUUGGUUUGCAAUCUAGACACUCCUGUAGAGAUAUAUCAGAUGCAGAAGCCAAAAAGAAGAGGUCAUCAGGAAAUGUUGAGUAAGGUUCAGCGUCUCAACUUUGGAUGAUAAUCUGAUCUGUCUUCCUGAAUAAUUUAGCCAAAACACUAGAGAACACCUCCACUGCAAAUAGGAACAAAUAUGGUGAGAUUGGAUCACCCUGUCUAAGCCUCUAAUCAGUUCUAAAAAUCCAAUCAGAGAUCCGCAUAGAUUCAAGGAGAAACUGGCUGUAGUCACAUACUUCUAACUCCACACAAAACACACAGUUCUAAAUUUCUUGAGAUGCAUAACCUCAAAAAGAGACUCCCAAUUGACUGAAUCAUAAGCCUUCACUACAUCAACCUUUUUGGCUACUCUAGGUUUUCCAUUAAUGAGGUGACAAUGACAUUGCUUGAUAAGUUCAUGCAUGAGCAAUACAUUAUCAUAAACGGAUCUCAUUUUAAGAAAAGCACUGCCCGGUAAGAGAUGGCAUCACCACUUUAAUUCAGCCAGUGAUCACUUUUGAAAAACAUUUAUAGAGAAUGUUGCAACGAGCAACAUGCGUAACAUCUUUCACAGUGACAGGGGAGCAUUCAAAUGAAAAUAGAGAUUUUGGGAUGAGAACCACGACUGUACAGCGCUAACAAACUCCUCCCCAGUUGUCUUCCAAUUCAAUAUGGAAAAAAUCUACUGCAAAGCCAUGAGGACCAGGGCCUGUACCUCUUAUCAUUUUAAACAAUGUGCUUUUAUUUUCAUCCUGAUUGACUAGAGCUCUGAACGACCUCCUAUGACAAACUGCUUGAGCUUCAAGGAUCCAAGGGCCAUUUACCGAUCUGUAGAUAUAGGCACCGUGUCGGCAAACAAAUCCAUAAAAAGAAUGAGAGCUUCACUUUGAUUCGUUUAUAGUGAUUCAACCGUGAGCCAUGCUAAUAGUACGAAGUCUAUUUCUUUGCAAAGGAAGUUUUCAAUUUGAUUAUAUUUUUUUCUUAACGCUCUUUUCCUAAAUCCUCUUUACUGCUCCACCUUCUUCCAUGAACUCUAGUGGACUCCAUUCAUGACCUCAAUUAAAAUUUUGCAAGUACUAGGCUUCGAGCAUAUUUUAUCAGAUAAAUAGAAAUUAUUGGGAGCAAUUCAUGCCUGUCAAUGCUGCAUUGUAAGAAUACUUCUCAUGUAGUUGGCUUAUAUUAAAUCUGUAUACAUUUGAAUACCAUGAGUCUUAAACACAAUAACUUGAUUCAAUCGAAAUCCCCUAUGAUAUGCGGUCUGAAUUUAGAUCCACUACCACCUGGCUGGCGGAAAAAAUGUACUGUUUUGUCAGUUUAAUCUUCUACUCCUACUCCUAUCAAGCUGUGGUUGUUGCACAACAUUUUCCAAGGCUGUGAUUUUCACCUUUCCUUAAUAGACAUUUUAUCUUGCUGAAUCCAUAAUUAUCAACUGCAUCUAAUCUGUUCUAGAUUCUCCUUUGCAUAUGUCAAAGAGGUACUUCAGGAAAUAUUUAAAGCUAAGAUGGUAGAUAAUAAAUGACUACUUUAAAUUUCAUUAAAAACACAAAUAUUGUUAUUAAAUAUAGCAAUUGUCACAAUAAUUUUUCUACAAGGACAGGAAAGGAAACUAAAUACCACAUCAUUACUUCAUGUGGGAAAUGAUACACCAAUGAAUGUGGGACACAAAAUUUAAAUUAUAUUUAACUUAUCAUAUUAACACCUGAAUCCCUCUUAAUGAGUACCCAAUGGGCAUUUGAUUUAAUUUUACUUUUGCGAAUGACUUAAUUAAUGCCAAUAUAGUAGUUCCUAAAUUACCAAAGUUUGAAAGUUCUCUGACUAAAAAUACACAAUGUAGUCUUUACAAAUUUAGAUAUUUCUCCAAUAUAAUUUUCAGAAGGGCAAAGUAUUUAUUAGGGGGUCCAAUUAUUCAAUUGCUAGAUACGGCAAUCCUGACCUACUAAUUUACUAAUCUAUCUCUGUUCAGCGUGUGAAAGGCGUGUGAACUGACACAUUUGCAAAACGAAUUGAAGAUUAAUCUGUAAAGCAAAUUUCUUGGCUUUCUGACUUUUUAUUGUAAAGCAUUUAGGUUGAUUAAUUCACGACUCACGUGUAAGCGAAGAUUUGGGGAUUUUUCCAAGCAUUUUUUGUUGUUUCGGAUAUUAAGAGCUACUAGAAGUCUAGGACUUUACAUACUUGGUCAUUCUUUUUUGUAUAACUGGCUUCAACUUCCAUCCAUCUCUGUUCGUAACUCAUCAAGAUUCUGUUUGUGAGGAUUGGCUUUAUCUCCGUUAUUGUAACCAAACAUGGAAAAGUCCCAUGUUGUUCUUUCUCUGCUUCUGGUUCUACUGUUUCAUGUUGGCAUAGCCACAGCAGUUAAAACUGAAGAUGGAUCAGAAGCGUGGGGCUAUGUUCCAGUCAGGCCAAGUACACUAAAUCUUUUCUACAAUCUUUAUCCCAAUUUAGAUAUUUUAAGGGCAGAGAUAUAUGGAUUUACUUGUCAAUGAUGAACUUGAAUUGUUGUGCUUUUUGCAGAGGCUCACAUGUUCUGGUGGUACUACAGAAGUCCAAACAGGAUUCAUGAUCCAAAAAAGCCUUGGCCAAUAAUUCUUUGGUUGCAGGGUGGACCUGUAAGUAUCAGAAUUCUCGUGGGAUUCUCUCUAGUUUCAAUCUUUAUUGCUUGUUCAUACAAUCAACAGUAAUUUGUUUACUGAAGGGAGCUUCAGGAGUUGGACUUGGUAAUUUCGAAGAAUUCGGGCCUUUAGAUGUGUUCCUAAAGCCAAGAAAUUCGACAUGGUUGCAGAAAGCUGAUCUUCUGUUUGUGGUAGGUACAAGGUUGCAUAACGUUGGUGAAUAAUCACUUCAGCAUCAAUACUGUUUUACAAAAUAAAAUGGGAUUUCCCUGCAGGGUUUUUCUUUCAUCUGCUUAUCCAAAUUCAUUUUUGCCCGUUUCCAAUGUAAAUAGGAUUAUCCAGUUGGGACUGGUUACAGUUUUGUGGAAGACGUUAAAAACACCACAUUGUUUGUGAAGAGUGAUGUGGAGGCUGCAAAGGAUGGAACUAAAUUCUUGACUGAGUUUUUCAACAGGAAUCUGACUCUCCAAAAGAGUCCUCUGUUUAUUGUAGCAGAGUCUUAUGGAGGCAAAUUUGCUGUAACUCUGGCAUUAUCUGCUUUAAAAGCUAUUGAGGCUGGAAAGCUGAAGCUAAAUCUUGGAGGUAACAAUUGCUUUUUCAUUCUCAAAAUUAAAAUUUUAUUCUCUCUUCAAUCCUGAAGUCUUGAACUUGCUGUUACCUUUUCUGCAUAGGAGUUGCAUUGGGAGAUAGUUGGAUUUCACCAGAAGAUUUUACCGUAUGUAGUUUCUGUUCUUCAUUCGUCUCAUGAUUACUUAGUUGGAACAGCUGAAUUGAGUUCUGGCGAUCAAAAUACAGUCUUCAUGGGCUCCUCUUUUGAAAGACGUCUCAUUGCUUGACGGCAAUGGUUUCCAGAUAUCAAACAGGUAUUAAGUUAUAAUACUUGAAAGAUGGCACUAUCCUGAAUCCACGCCUCAAAUGCAUCGAUGAUGUGUUUUUUUAGUAUUGAAACUUGCGUGAAUUUAACAUUUCUGUCUAACCUAAUCAAGCUCGACAAUUUUAAGUUGUCUAAUAAGCCUAUUGUUCAAUGCAGGGUUGCUAAUCAAAUUAAGAAGCAAAUUGCAGCAGGUAAGUUUGCGGAGGCCACAGACACAUGGAAUGAAUUGGAAGAUCUAAUUACCAAGUACAGUAACAAUGUGGUAUGAAUUUGAAGAAUUUAUGUUUAAUCACAACAAAUUGUUAAGUAUGUGCUUGACGAUUCCUUUUGUGGAUAAAUACAGGACUUCUACAAUUUCCUCUCAUUUGCAGAGGACGACCCUUCAUCGCUGUCAGCUGCUUCAGAACUAAAACAACGUAUUGCAGUAAAACGGUCCUCUCCUGGAGGUGAUGGAGAUCUUUACAGCUUGAUGAAUGGUGAUAUUAAAAAGAAGUUGAAGAUUAUACCACCAAAUGUUACGUAAGUUUUUCUCCUUAGAAAAUUUUCAGACUUUUUCAGAGUUCAAUACUUUACUGUCAUUAAAGGAGUAGUGUGAUAUCAACAGAUGGGGAGGGCAGUCCAAUAGUGUUUUUGAAGCCCUGAAAGGUGACUUCAUGAGACCCAGGAUUAGUGAGGUAACUAAAGCAGCUGCAUUUUUUUUUGGUUAGGAAUUAAUCACAAAGUUUAGGAACUUUUGGUUUUUAGUUUGAGCUACACCAAGAACGUUUUUUGAAUUUCUGGAUCAGCAUUCUUUGACACAUCUCAAUUGCGAUAAGAGCAGUUACCCAAUUAUAUGCAGUAAAUUCUAAAGCAUUUGAUCAACUGCUUUUGGCAGGUUGAUGAGCUUUUAGCAAAAGGAAUAAAUGUGUCUAUCUACAAUGGACAAGUAAGAUUCUGUAAUGCUUUAUGUUGUUUCUCACAAUAUUCUCCAAAGAGGAAUGGAAAAAUAGUGUAUUAACAUUUCUGGAAGAAUGGGAUUUACACAGAAGCAGUAGAUAGAUAUUCAAGGAAAAACUUGAUAGGACUUUCUGGUUGUACUAUGAUUCCACUGCAUAGCAUUUGUUUUCAAAAAUUGGCAAUAAGAUAAUAUGGCAAUAAUGGAACAUAAUAAUGGUAACCAGGUAAAGGAUGAUAUUUUGGAGUAAUCGUACUUGUAAUUUGAUAUUUGCUCACAAUAAAUUGUGAAUUCCAGUGGAUAAACUUGAUCAGGGCAGCUUUAAUAUCCAUGCUACAAAUUUCACUGUUUUUUUUUUUUUUUUUUUUUUUUUUUUUUUGUGUUUGGCUAAGUAGUUCAAUUUUAAGUGUUGUUUUGUUGUUGGUUGUAGUUCGAUCUAAUCUGUGCAACCAAGGGAACCAACGCAUGGGUUGAAAAGCUCAAGUAAGAAAAAAAAAAUCCCAUAAGUAAAUAAGCACCAAAAUUUCUUCCCCUGAUCAGUAAUUUUUUUUGCCUAUUUUCACAGGUGGCAUGGGAUAAAAAAUUUCUUGAACAAGGAUAGAACGCCUCUCUAUUGUGGAGGUGACAAGAGUAUUAAGGGUUUCACCAAAUCAUACAGAAAUCUUCAUUUCUACUGGAUUCUAAAUGCUGGCCACUUUGUAAGUCAACAAACCAUUGUCAUAUUUCUGCUGCAUUUGUUUGUUAGUUUAAAAUUACUGUUACUUUUGCCUACUUGACAAGGUUGAGAACACAACACACACUUGUCUCAACUCUCAAUAGCUUUAGUAUGUCAUAGCCAAUCUCCACAUUUGAGAAAUGCUAAAGUUUGCAUAAUAUUGUCUUUGUCCAAGAAACCAUCAAAGGUAGUAGAAAAAGUAAUACUCCCUCCAUUCCAUUAAAACGUUCACUUCUCAUUUUUGCAUUUUCCAAAAUGCUUGUCAUGUCCAAAAGCUAAACAUAAUUUUCGCUCUCAUUUCAAAUACUCUUGUUCAUUGUCAUUUUGGGGAAGACAUUUCAAACAAUUGAGAUUUUACUCUGGGAGCAUGAAGCUGAGAAAGCUUAAAUAAUUAUCAGUAUCAGUUCCAUUGAAAGGUGGAUUGCGAAAAUGUGGCAAAACUAUGGGAUUGAAAGUAGUAAUUGCCAGACUUAUAAUGAAACUUCGGAUUAUUGAGACAAAGAUGAAACUGUGUGUGUCUGAAAGAAGAAUUGAAUGAAUUUGACAAGUAACAUCACACUUGUAUCUACUUGAGGACAAUGAAACUGGUUCUGCUGCGACGCAAUAACUACCAUUAAAGUUAGGGUAGAUCGGACUUAUACCAAUAUGUCUGGCAUUUAUUGGUGGUAAAUCUACCAAACCCUGUGGGAAUAUCCGAAUAUGAGAUGUUUAAGAACAAAAGAAAACUAUGGAACAUCUUUGUGAGAGAAAUUUUCCAUACCAAUUAUUUGUUGAAGUUGUUUAUUGGUUAUAGACAUGAGAAGGGCAAGCAGAAUGGACAUUAAGAUUUGUAGCGAAUAUGUUCUCGCUAAGUAAAUACUAUAUUUGAUAGAUUUGUAAGGAAAUUUUCUUAUAAUUAUGUAGGGGUGGCAAUUUCUGACACGACCCGAAAACACGACACGAACCUAACACGAAAUUAAUGGGUUUGGGUUGAGGUUUCGGGAGUUCGGAUCAGAAUCGGGUCGAACCCGAUGAACCCGAAAAAAAAAAUAGGUCAAUUUCAGGUCAAUCCGUGGUAACCUGAUAUGAUCCGAUGUGACCCGUUUACGAAUUAAAACUAAUUUAAUAAACAUUAAAAUUAUUUUAUCUAACUAAACUAAAUCAUUCUUUUUUUCCAAAGACAUUAAUUACUUAGUCCUAAAUGAAUUUAUUUAACUUGUGUGAAGUUAAAAUUAUUAUAUUUGGAAAAAUAAUAUAUUAUGUUAUUUUUUACUUUUAUGCUGUUUUAAUUUAUUUUAUAUUUGGUUUGGGAUAAAACACUUUUAUGGUGUUUAAUUUAUUUUAGAUUUGGUUUGAAAUUAUUUAUUUAAAUUUUUAUUACUUGAUGAUGUAAUUAAUUUUGUGAAAAAUUGAUUUUAUUAGAAAUUACAGUGAUAAAUUAAUAAAUUAAAAUUAAGUUUCGGGUCGACCCGCCAACUCAAAAUUUUCGGAUUCGUGUCAGGUACCCUGACCCGUUUCGGGUUGGCGGGUCGGAUUCGGGUCAGCAGGUUCUUUAUUAUACUUAAGCCUCAACCCGACCCGCCAACCCGAACCCGACUCGAUUGCCCCCUAUAAUUAUGUCAUAUAAAUUUAUUUGCCCUUUUCGAUUCUUUAUAGGUCCCUGUUGACCAGCCCUGUGUAGCAUUAAAGAUGAUAGGAAGCAUCACACAGUCACCUGCUGCUUCAGGGUUGGUGUCGCUUUCCAACUUAGCCAAUACAGAGGACAGAUACUGAAGAAAUAUGAACCGAAGAAUAACAUAGAAUUCUCUUUUGAUUCUGAAAAAACCAUCACAGGAAUGAGAAUUAUUUCAGAGGAAAUUGGAAAUUAUUUUUUAGUAUUUUCGUCUUGUGGAGUCUUUAUGACAUUUUUUUUAGGGCAAGUUUUACUUUAUCCCCCUGUGAUUUAAGUAUUUUUUUUUUUUUUACAUAACCCCCAUAUGGUUUUAAAAGUUAUAUAUAAUCCCCUCAUGGUUUGGAUUAAAGUGUCAAAGUAACGGGAAUGAUCAUUCAUAACGGAGUCACCUAAAAUGUCAAAAAUACCCUUAUAUAAAGUUAAAAAUUAGGAUUAAUCACAUUUAAUCCCCUUAAGGUAUACCUCAUUUCUCAGUUUACCCCCUAACCUUUUAUUUUGCUCACUUAACCCCCUAUAGGAUAAAAUUGCCCUUGCAUAAUUUUGACUUUUCAUUUAUUUUGUUUUCCUUUCUUUUAUUUCUUUUUCUCUUUCUUCUUUAUUUAAUUCUUCCUCUUUCUCACAAAAAUCUUCACCUUAAUGAUUGAAAUUAAAAAAGAAGAAUUGCAGAGAUCUAUCUUCUCCUUAAAUGAUUAAAAAAAAUAUUCAAAUCACUUUGCUAAAAUACAAUUUUUUUAGCCUUUCAAUUCUUUUAAUUUUAAAUUUUCCUCUUUCGUUUCUAGUUUCUCAUUUUAUUCCCAAGAAAAUAUCUUAAGAUGAAAUUGUGACUUGAUUAAUAAUCAUCAAUUGAAAUUUGUGACACGUGGCAUCAUUAAAAAAAAUCAAAUUAGUUUUUGAUGCCUUUUAAACCUUCACCCAGAAAUAUGCAAUUACAAACUCAAAACAAUAAUUUUCGUUGAAAUGGAAUUUUCUAUUGGGAAUGAUGAAAGAGAAAAGAAAAAGAAAAAGAAAUAAAAGAAAGGAAAACAAUUUCAUCUUAUGAUAUUUUCUUGAGAAUAAAAUGAGAAACUAGAAAGGAAAGAGGAAAACCCAAAAUUAAAAGAAUUGAAAGGUUAAAUAAAUUGUAUUUUAAGAAAGUGAUUUGAAUAUUUUUUUAAUCAUUUAAGAAGAAGAUAGAGUUCUGCAAUUCCUCUUUUUUAAUUUCAAUCAUUAAGGUGAAGAUUUUUGUGGGAAAGAGAAAGAAUUAAAUAAAGAAGAAAGAGAAAAAGAAAUAAAAGAAAGGAAAACAAGGUAAAUAAAAAAUGAAAAUAAUGCAAGGGCAAUUUUGUCCUAUAGGGGGUUAAGUGAGCAAAAUUAAAGGUUAGAAGGUAGACUGAGAAAUGGGGUGUAUCUUAAGGGGAUUAAAUGUGAUUAACCCUUUAUUUAUUUAUUAACCAAGGGGGGGUUAUGUGUAUAUUUUGAAAACCAUAAGGGGAUUAUAUGGUAAAGUAUUAAACUAUAAGAGGGUUAUAUAGUAAAAUAUAAAAAUCAUACGGGAUUAGUGUGUCAUGUAUUUAUAAGGGUAAUUACGACAUUUCUAGAAGUUCCGUUACGAAUGACUAUUUCCGUCACUUUGACACUUUAAUCCAAACUAUGAGGGGGUUAUGUAUAGUUUUUGAAACCAAAGGGGAGUUAUGUAAAAAAUGCUAAACCACAGGGGGUAAAAUGUAAUUUACCCUUUUUUUAUGUAGAAAAAAUAGAAUUUCAUUGCUGAAUUUGCUAAAAAUCAUCCAGCAGAUUUUGUUUAAGAAAGUUAGGAGGUCCAUUUUAUAGAUAUCCAUCGAGUUACUGGACUUGACACGAUUUGAUUUGCAUGUCCUUAUAGUUGGUGAAUAAUUCGAGACAUGAUAUUUGACUAGCUAGUGAUGCAUCACGUUGAGAGAUACAAACUACAGGUGCUCAAACCGUUUCAAUAGGUUUGCAAUUGAACCAGAAUCAAAAGCUUCAAAGAUAACACUUUACAUUCAAUUUGCCACAACUAAACACUCAAGCUAGUUCCUACGGUUAAGAUUUGAGGGAAAAAAAAUUACAGAAAAAAGUAGCCUACAAUUUUGCGCUACAUGUCCGAGAAAAAAAAUAUUAGCAAGUAAAAUGUCAUCAACAUACAAUAUCAAAAAAUAUACUUGCUCCCACAGAACUUAUGGUAUAUAAAAUCAUCUAUUAAAUUCAUUUCAAAACCAAAUAAGAUGAUCACUUGAUGAAAUUUGAAAUAAUAUUAUCGAGACACUUGUUUGAAUCCAUUGAUGAAUUUUUUAAAUUUGCAAACCACAUUUUUUGGAUCUCCCAGUACAAAAUUUUUUUACUACACCAUAUAAAUCGUCUUAUCAAUAUUACCAUUACGAAAUGCUGUCUUUAUAUUUAUUUAGUAUAAUUCAAGAUUAAAAUGUGCCACUAAUGUCAUGAUAAUUCUAAAAGUCUUUCGAAAAAAUCGGAGAGAAGGUUUCUUUAUAAUCGAUAUAUUGUUUUUGUGUAAAUCCCUUAGCAACAAGACGAAUUUUAUAUUUUUUUUACAAUAUCUUUCAAAUCUCUCUUAAUUUUAAAUAUUCAUUUACAACCAAUGGUUUCACUCCUUCUAACAAUUGGACAAGAUUCUAGACAUCAUUGUCUUUAUGUGAGGACCCGUAAAUUUUUCUUAUUUAUUUUAUUUUUUCGCGUGCAUUUUUCUUACUUUAUUUUAUUAUCGUAAUUUUUCAGAAAUUUUUAUAAGUGAGUAUAGUUUUUAAAUUAUUUUCUAGUAUAAGUUAGUUUGGGUCAAUUUGGAAGUGUAUUAAGGACAUGAGACCAGCUAGUGCAGUUAGUGCGAUAAAAUUUUGAACGACUAGAUUAAGUUUCGUAUUGAGAAAUAUUAUUUUACAAGGUACUAGGAGAUAAUUAGAGGUUAGUUAGAUAGAUUAGCCAUUGGAAGAAAGAAGAUAAGUUUGAACAAUUAAAAGUGCCAUGUGUUGCGACCCGAUUGGAUGGUGAACUUACCUAACUUUCUUACCUUUACUAAAAUCCCAAUUUUGACCAAGAAACCAUCUUCAUUUCCAACCUCUUGGCCGAACCUCUCAAGGAGGGAAAAGAAAAGAAAGCUUCAACUACUUCUUCCAUUUCUUGCUUAAAUCUUGAAAUCCAACCGAUUAAAUCUUGAAUUUAUCCACCAAAGUGACUUGUUAAGAGAGUUUCAAGGUAUUGGUGGAGUUGAUUUGGAGGAAAAACCCCUAAACUACUACCUUUCUUGAGCUGUGUAGGUAUUUUGUUUGGAAACUCACUUUUGUUCCUAAUAAUGGUCAAUUAGUAGUUUGUAGUGGCUAAAUAUGCUAUUUCAUGGAAGAUUUUGUGGUUUGAGGUAGAGUUAGUUAAAUUUUAGAUUUUAUUAGUGAUUUUUCUGAUUUUAUAUGACAGUUAUUGGUUGGCCAUGAAUGAUGGCUUGAUAUGGAGUAAAAUGAAGCUUUUAUAUGUUAGUUGUGGUUGUUUGCGGAAAAUUUCAGUUUUGUGCGGAAAUUUCAGUUUUAAGGUUCCAAUCUGCCCUGUUCUAACCGGCUUUAUUCAUGCAUGUUAGAGGCCGAAUCAGGCUUAAGUUAAAACAUAAAAGUUGUAGCAAAUGGUGUUAACUAGCUGCCUGCAAAAUUUCAGCUCGAUCCGAGCACUAUAGCAUGUAAAAUGACCUAAAUACCCUUGACUGCCCAUGAGCCCUGUUUCGCGGAUAGAUUUCUGUUUUCCUCAGGAAUUCCAUUUGUGACCAUGAAAAUGCAUGAUUUGGCUUUGGAGGUUUUCAUAAGAAAUAUAGGUAUAUGUUUUGGCUUCGAAACGCCAUAAGAUUCGUUUCAAUCCGAUAAGUGUAGGUUCAGUUGUGCUUAUUGUGCCAAAAGAUGUAUUUGAUAGUUUAUGAUGUGUAUGUGGUUGAUUUGAGAUGAAUUGGUGUUGCUUAUAGGAUGGAAAAGUAAGGAAAUGUAGGGAAUAUGUUGUCCAAAUUUUGGGAGUGUUGGAUUUCUUCGAGUUUGGUUGGAUUUGGAAUAUAUAUAUAAGAAAGGGUUUUGGGGUUGUUUGAGCCCUAGGUCUUCAUGUUACCUUUUCGUCCCCAAAAAUUAUGUUUUGCACCCUUGCAUUAGUAAUUAUUUGGCGAGGCAUAUGACUAGUAGUCGAGCCUCACUUAUGCAUUCCGUUUACUCAAUUUUGGAUGUGGAACCUUCAAUUGUUCUACUUUGGUUAUUUUAGAGUUUCUUGGCGAUUAAUGCCACUCUGGCAUUGAAACUUUUGAAGUAUCUGUACUUGAACCGGUAAGUGUACCACUCCCUUGAAUUAUUACUAAACUGGUUAUCUGUACUUGCAAAUUGCUAUUUGAAUAUUUUUCUCGACUGUUUAUUUUGUACGAGACAAGUGUGUACUUUAUCACACUCGUUCUCUGGCCUGUGUGGCUUGUUUCCUAUAUAUACUUGAAUCUGUUACCUGCGCCUAUUAUAAUGUCGUUGGAAGUGCAUCCAAUGACCUUCCUGUUAAAUCUGAACUCAACCUCAUUGGGAGUUAAUUGAAUCGAGCCAGCAAGGGCUUGGUCGAGAAAAUUGACAAUCCGUGGGUGCCUGUUCCUAGGGAAUCUAUAGGUAUUGGAGACUCUGGAUUUUCAGUAUACUCGAAUAUUACCAUUUCUGUUCCUGUUUGGCGUUCGGGCUCAGUAAGGAGUGUGUUUGGUGAACAGGAUUUUGGCGUUAAAGUGGUGUUCUACUGGACUGGUUCUUUAUUUGAACGUUGACGUAGGGUCAACGAGGCUGGAUCAAGUAUUGCAACGGAGAUUUGGCUCCUGAGAGCCACCUAUAUCCUUUACAUUGUGGUGUUCAUUCAUUUCUCGUAUUUGAUAUGAAUAUGUGCCUUAAAAGUGAUUUCUCAUGAGUUCUACCGUUUAUACUUUUGGUACCUCAUUGAGCUUUUAGCUCACCCCAUUCCGUUAUCAUUGUUUUCCUUACAGGGAGCAAUCUUUUGGAAUUUCGAUGUUUUGAAGAAUGAGUUGAGCUAGAAAUUCUUCUGUUCUUUUGGUAUAGCUCCUCGACAAUUUGAAAAUCCUAAAUGUAUCUUAAUACAAUGUUUCCUUUUGAUUUGUAAACUUAUAAUAUAUAUAUUUUAAAGUGUUUCCUCAUGUUUAUGUGACAUAUAUUUGGAAAUGUAAAUUCUCUCAUGUUAAACAAAGUUUACUUGUACUUGGUUGGAUUGUGACGUGGUAGCGGCACUUCCAUCUCGUUUUGAUUUUUCGUGGGAACGUUGUAGCCAAGAUUUAUUGUAUCUUUUAGUUCGGCUCAAUUGGGUUCUGAAUGUUUAUCUUCUCAAAGUUCUUUUGAGCGUUUGGUAGGAGUUACGUUUGUUCCAGAUCUGUAGUCCCGGCGAGAGUUGGGCAGGCGGUCCGCCUAACCCUUUGGUUCCUUUUAAGGUGAGAUGUGGCUGUCACAGGUGGUAUCAGAGCCGCUUCGCAUGGUCUCUACGUGGAGUGAGUUUGGGCCAAGUGAUGUUAUGAUUCUGAUUUCAUGAAUAUGUCUAAGUACUCGUAUGAGUAUAAGUUAUGAAUCGAGCAUGUUAUAAGUGUAAAAAUCUUUAUCAUGGAACUUGAGGAAGAUAGAUAUGUAUGUCGGGUCGGAAUCUAUAAUAUGGAUGAUUUACUCUUGGGACCGGCCGGCUCAAGUUGUGAAUUAUUUAUUGUGGAUUCUUUACUUGAGUACCAAGUAGUGGAGAGCGUGAGAAUAAUGGUCUGUAUCUUGAUUGAACUUGAGGUAUGUAUGGAUGACAAAGGUCAAUGCACGGAAGAUUUUACAUUGGACCUAGUAAUUAGACUGGUUGAAGGGGUUUGAUAUGAAAAUGUUAUCAUGAACUACUCUUAUACUAGUCUGGCUCGGGUUUUCUAGAGGGUGGUUAGAUUAUAAGGGAAUUCGCAUCUAAGACCUGUUCCCUUUUGCUAUGACCGUGAGGACUUGAUAAGUGUUUACUUGACUUUGAGUUAAUCUAUCUACAACCAUAGAGGUAUUUUCUACUCCUCUUGUGAGAUUCGAUACCCGUAGUUGGCGCUCGAUAAACUACCCUUACCUAUACUUUCUUGAUAUUUAUCUCUUGAUAUCAAAGUAUGGACCUGACUUGAUUAUUAUUGUGUCGAGAUCGAGAAUUUGGAAUUAGGUAUGGAAAUUUGAGAGAAAGGAUUUGGCCUCUAUACCUGUAUGCUUCUAAGUUUAAAUUUCCAUGGUUCGAUUGGGAGUAAGGGAACUUAACAGUUAUAUGGUUAAAGUCCCAAGUGUACUUGGUUACUUAUAUUGAUUUUCUAAUUUGCUUGGCAGGCUAUCCCUUGAGUUCGAGCGAAUCGAUAAAAUGGCACAUUUAGCUGAUAUGUAUAAGGAGAUAGAGAUUCUUCGAAAGGAAGUAGAAUUUCAAAAGAGAUUAGUUGAGCACUGGGAAGGGUAAUGGAAACAGGAGUAUUCGGAAAAAAUUGAGCUACUGCACAAGAACAUAGAGAUGAAAAGAAAUACGAAGGGAUUCUGGAAGAGGUACGAAAUAAGUUUGGGCUAGUGCCUUCAUCUAGUCAAAUGGCCUCUCAGGACAUUUCUAAUAAUAAAGAUGAAAGAGGUGAAGGAAGUGCUCGUGAUAACAAAGGGACACAUAAAGAAAUAGAUGGAAAAGGAGUUGCUAUGAAGGAUAAGGGGAGGAAGAAGAAAAAGAAUGGACACUUUAAAUAAGAAGAAAUGUGUGGCUGCUAAGUGUGAAAUGUGUAACAAAAGUCAUACAGGAAUAUGUUAUGUGAAAAUUGGUGCAUGCUUUAGAUGCGGCCAACUGGAACACCAAAUGAAGAACUGCCCAGAACAAAUGAAUUUUGGGAGGGCGAAACUGCUGUCAUAGUUAAAGUCAGCAAGUAGUGAUGUGUUAGCUGAAAUAAUUGUAUUUAUAGACCUAUGUGUAUGCAACCUCUAUGUAAUGAGUAUGUUUCCGAUAAAAGUAGUUGACCUAAUACUUGAUAUUUUGAUGAGUAAUAUUAAAUAUUGGUGAUUUAACAGUAUUGAAUCUCGAUUCAUGAAUCUUUAUUAUCUUUUAGCCUCGAUAUUAAGUGAAAUUUGUGUCUGUGGUUCGGAAAGAGAAACUUUUGAUGUCUUCACUGAUUUUCUUAGCAUGGCAUUUUAAUCAUAGUAUUAUUGCAAUUUCUCUCUAGAUAGAUUGUGGUAUGAGGAGAAUUUCGAGAACAAAAUUUUUUUAAGGGAGAGAGGGUGUGAGGAUCUGUAAAUUUUCUUUAUUUAUUUUAUUUUUUCGCGUGCAUUUUUCUACUUUAUUUUAUUAUCAUAAUUUUUCAGAGUUUUUAUAAGUGAGUAUAGUUUUUAAAUCAUUUUCUAGUAUAAGUUAGUUCGGGUCCAUUUGGAAGUGUAUUAAGGACAUGACCCGUUAGUGCAGUUAGUGCGAUAAAAUUUUGGACGACUAGGUUAAGUUUCGUAUUGAGAAAUAUUAUUUUACAAGGUGCUAGGAAAUAAUUAGAGAUUAUCUAGAUAGAUUAACUAUUGGAAGAAAGAAGAUAAGCUUGAACCAUUAAAAGUGCCAUGUGUCGCGACCCGAUUGGAUGGUGGACUUGCCUAACUUUCUUACCUUUACUAAAAUCCCAAUUUUGACCAAGAAACCAUCUUCAUUUCCAACCUCUUGGCCGAACCUCUCAAGGAGGGAAAAGAAAAGAAAGCUUCAACUACUUCUUCCAUUUCUUGCUUAAAUCUUGAAAUCCAAUCGAUUAAAUAGUGAAUUUGUCAACCAAAGUGACUUGUUAAGAGAGUUUCAAGGUAUUGGUGGAGUUGAUUUGGAGGAAAAAUCCCUAAGCUACUACCUUUCUUGAGGUGUCAAGGUAUUUUGUUUGGAAACUCACUUUUGUUCCUAAUAAUGGUCAAUUAGUAGUUUGUAGUGGCUAAAUAUGCUAUUUCAUGUAAGAUUUUGUGGUUUGAGUAGAGUUAGUUAAAUUUCAGAUUUUAUUAGUGAUUUUUCUGAUUUUAUAUGAUAGUUAUUGGUUGGCCAUGAAUGAUGGCUUGAUAUGGUGUAAAAUGAAGCUUUUAUAUGUUAGUUGUGGUUGUUUGCGGAAAAUUUCAGUUUUGUGCGGAAAUUUCAGUUUUAAGGUUCCAAUCUGCCCUGUUCUGACCGGCUUUAUUCGUGCAUGUUAGAGGCCGAAUCAGGCUUAUGUUAAAACAUGAAAGUUGUAGCAAAUGGUGUUAACUAGCUGCCUGCAAAAUUUCAGCUUGAUCCGAGCACUGUAGCAUGUGAAAUGACCGAAAUACUCUUGACUGCCCAUGAGCCCUGUUUCGCAGAUAGAUUUCUAUUUUCGUGAGAAAUUUCAUUUGUGACCAUGAAAAUGCAUGAUUUGGUUUGGGGUCUUCAUAAUAAUGUAGGUAUAUGUUUUGUUUCGAAAUGCCAUAAGAUUCGUUUCAAUCCGAUAAGUGUAGCUUCAGUUGUGCUUAUUGUGCCAAAAGGUGUAUUUGAUAGUCUAUGAUGUGUAUGUGGUUGAUUUGAGAUGAAUUAGUGUUGCUUGUAGGAUGGAAAAGUAAGAAAAUGUAGGGGAUAUGCUGUCCAAAUUUUGGAGUGUUGGAUUUCUUCGAGUUUGGUUGGAUUUGGAAUAUAAUAUAAGAAAGGCUUUUGGCGUUGUUUGACCCUAGGUCUUCAUGUUACCUUUUCAUUCCCAAAAAUUAUGUUUUGCCCUUGCAUUAGUAAUUAUUUGGUGAUGGAUACGACUAGUAGUCGAGUCUCACUUGUGCAUUCCGUUUACUUGAUUUUGGAUGUGGAACCUUCAAUUGUUCUACUUUGGUUAUUUUAGGAUUUUUUGGUGAUUAAAACCACUCUGGCAUGAAAACUUUUGAAGUAUCUGUACUUGAACCGGUGAGUGUACCACUCCCCUGAAUUAUUGUUAAACUGGUUAUCUGUACUUGCAAAUUACUAUUUGAAUGUCUUUCCUGACUAUUUAUUUUGUACGAGACAAGUGUGUACUUUAUCACACUCGUUCUCUGGUCUGUGUGGCUUGUUUCCUAUAUAUACUUGAAUCUGUUACAUGCGCAUCUUAUAAUGUCGUUUGGAAGUGCAUCCAACGACCUUUCUGUUAAAUCUGAGGUCAACUUCAUGGGGAGUUAAUUGAAUCGAGUCAGCAAGGGUUUGGUCGAGGAAAUUGACAAUCUGUGGGUGCCUAUUCCUAGGGAAUUUAUGGGUAUUGGAGACUCUGAAUUUCCGGUAUAUUCGAGUAUUACCAUUCCUGUUCCUGUUUGGCGUUCGGGCCCGGUAAGGGGUAUGUUUGGUGAACAGGAUUUUGGCAUUAAAGUAGUGUUCUACUGGACUAGUUCCUUUAUUUGAACGUUGACGGAUGGUCAACGAGGUUGGAUCAAGUAUUGGAACGGGGAUUUGGCUCCUGAGAGCCACCUGUAUCCUUUAUAUUGUGGUGUUCAUUCAUUUCUCGUAUUUAAUGUGAAUAUGUGCCUUAAAAGUGAUUUCUCAUGAGUUCUACUGUUUAUACUUUUGGUACCUCAUUGAGUUUUUAACUCACUCCAUUCCGUUAUCCUUGUUUUCCUUACAGGGAACAAUUUUUUGGAACUUCGAUGUUUUGAAGAAUGAGUUGAGUUAGUUAGAAAUUCUUUUGUUCUUUUGGUAUAGCUCCUCGACAAUUUGGAAACUCUAAAUGUAUCUUAAUACAAUGUUUUCUUUUGGUUUGUAAACUUAUUAAUAUGUAUAUUUUAAAGUGUUUCCUCAUGUUUAUGUGAUAUAUAUUUGGGAAUGUACAUUCUCUCAUGUUAAACAAAGUUUACUUGUACUUGGUUGGAUUGUGACGUGGCAGCGGCACUUUCAUUUCGUUUUGAUUUUUCGUGGGAACGUUGUAGCAAAGAUUUAUUAUAUCUUUUAGUUCGGCUCAAUUGGGUUCUGAAUGUUUUUCUUCUCAAAGUUCUUUUGAACGUUUGGUAGGAGUUACGUUUGUUCCGGAUCCGUAGUCCCGGCGAGAGUUGGGCAGGCGGUUCGCCGAACCUUUUGGUUCGCCUUAGGGUGAGGUGGGGCUGUCACACUUUAAUAAAUUUAAUUUCUUCAUUCAUGACAUCAAUUCACUUUUAGGAAUUUGAACUUUUUUGAUUUGAUGGAAGUUAUUUGGAUCAUCUUCCAUCAAUUCAAUGUCAUCCUUAUAUUUUUGAAGAAAAAUAAUAUAAUCAUCUAACACUGCACUUCUUCUUUUUCUAGUGGAUCUUUUUGAUGACACUGAUUCUUGAAAAGGUAGAGUUUGCUUUUCUAUAAUAGUUUGUUUUUCAACAUCAUCUUGAUUUGUUGUGUCAUAAUCAAUUUCAGAAAUAAGAUUCUGAACAAGAUUAAUGACACAUGUGAAAAUAUUAAUAUAUUUCUCUUCAAAGAUAAGAUUUUUAACUAUAUCUUCUCCCUCAAACUCAACAUCUUCAAACAAUUGAGUAUUUUGUUUCUCGAAAAUCGAUUUAGUCGUGGGAUUAUAAAACUUGUAACCCCUAGAUCUGUCAAAAUAUCCAUAGAAUAAUAACUAACCGUCUUUGAAUCUAGUUUUUUUUUUCAUUUGUCCUAUAAGGUCUUGUCUCAAUUGGACAUCCGUAAAUAUGUAAAUGUUUCAAAUUGGUCUUUUUUUCUAUCCAAAUCUUAUAAGAGAUUUUGAUAGUUAUUUUAGUUGGAACUCUGUUAAGGAUAUAUGCGGCAGUUUUAAGUACUUCUUCCUAGAAUGAUUUUGGUAAGGUAGAAUGACAUAUCAUAUUCCUUACCAUGUUUUUAAAUAUUCUAUUUCGUCUUUCAAUUAUACAUUCAUAGUAGGUGAACCCAACGUAAUAUACUGUGGGAUGAUACCGCAUUCCUUUAGGUAUUUAACAAAUGAUAUUGGACAUUGUUCACCUAAACCGUCAUAUCUACCAUAGUACUCACUACCAUGGUCAGAUCUGACGCUUUUAAUUCUUUUGUUAAAUUGUUAAAUUGGUUCUCAACUUCAACCUUAAAAUUUUUGAACAUGUUCAGCGAUUGUGAUUUUUUAGAAAUGAGAUAUAUGUAACCAUAUUCUGAAAAAUUAUCUAUGAACGUUAUAAAAUAUUGUUAACAAUUCCAAGCAGAUGUAGGAAAUGACCCACAAAUAUCUGUACAUAUAAGUUCCAAGAUGUUUAAGGACCUAUUGAUUUCAAAUCUCCUCUUAUUAGUUUGUUUCCCCUUUAUACAGUUAACACAAUUAUAAAAACUAUAAAAUUUAAGUGGUCAAGAAUUUCAUUUGACACAAGUCUUUUCAUUCUCCGUUUGAAAAUACGUCCCAAUCUCUUGUACUAUAAUACAGCUGAAUUCUCAUUCGUUAAUUUUCUCUUUACUCCUCUAGUACCCAAAUGCAAAUAUUCAUUAAAUGAGACAAUUGUAUCAAUUAAAUAUAGAUUAUCAUAAUGCAUUAAAGAACUAGAACUAAUCAAUUUUAAAUCAUGAAAUAAUUUAAAAUUUUCAUUUUCAAAUGAACAAAAAUAACCAAUUUUGUUCAAAGAAGAAAUAGGAAUCAAAUUCCGUCGAAAAGACGGUAUAAUAAAUAUUUCAUUAAGAUCCAAAUAAAAUUCGAUCUUUAACAAUAAUUUAAAAACUCCGAUUAUCUCAACUUGAACUGUUUUACCAUUAUCCACGUAAAUAUAUCUUUCAUUAUCAUUAGGUGUUUGACAAUUCAGCCAAUCCUGCAUAGACAUACUAAUGUGAGUUGUUGUACCUGAAUCUAACCACUAUGUGUGUUUGAGUAUCGAAGUUAAAUUAAUCUCAAAAUAAACCAGAUUAACAAAUAUACCUUUCUUAGUACGCUAAGCGUGAUAGUUGAUGCAAUAUUUCUUUCUAUGCCCUUCAACUCCACAGAAGAAAUAAUUAUUCUUUCUCGGAUUAAUCAAUUUUUUCUGUUAUUUCUUUUGCGGUGCCGUACCUGUAGAUUUGUUAUUCUUCUUUCUCUUAAAUUCCUUACUUUUAUUAGUAGUGGUUGGGACCAAACAAUACUCUCUGUCUAGUUUUGUUUCAAUCUUUCCUCUUCCUCUACACAAUGUGCGAGGAGUUCAUUUAGAGAUCAAGCCUUUUUUUGACAGUUGUAACUCACCUUAAACUGAUUAAACUGUGUGGGAAGGGAUAUUAAAAUCAAAUGGACCAAUAACUCUUCAGAGAGUACCAAUUUAAGUGCAAUUAAUUUCGAAACAAGAUGAGACAUCCCUAUAUUGUACUCUUUGAUAUUGUUUUUGCCAUUAUAUUUCAUUGAAAUUAAGCGUGUCAAGAGCGUAUUAAUUUCAAUUUUUCGUUCUUGAUAAAUCUUUUUUUAAUGUUCUGAAAGAACUCUUUAGCGGUAACUGUUGUUUUUGACAUUGUUUCUUUGAAUGCUUCUGGAACGGCCUUUUUAAUGAUCGUCAAAUACAAGUGAUUUGAUCUUUCUCACCUUUCCUUAUCCCUCUUUUUAUUAGAGGUACUUUGAUCUAUAAGAGGUGGAGAAUAAUCAACCCUUAACGCUAGUUCGAGAUCUAUUAUUCCAAGUACUAUUAAGAGGUUUUCUUUCCAAGAUUUGAAUUUUGUGCUAUUCAGCAUAGAAAUAUUAUUGAUGUUGGUAAUAAUAUUUGUAACAUCAUUCGCAGCUGAACAAAAAAAUAUAAAAUAAUUAAACAAUCUCACGUAAAGUAAAAUAAUAAUAAAUUCAAAUAAAGGUAACCCCAUCUCAAGAUACCAAUGUUUCAUUAAUAUUUUAUUUUUGGACAAAAAUAUUAACUUUUAAGUGAUAUCUUGAUGCAAUAAUAAACACUGAUAAUAAUAACAUGCCAAAAAUUAAUUUUUCUUUAGGUCAAUUUAUAAUUUACAUAUAAAAAGUCGAAUAAUUAUCGCGUGUUUAUUAUUACAAGUGCACAUGUAAUUUUGUCAAACAUUGAUCUUCCUUUAGACCAAUCAAUAUUCACAAAAAUUACAAAUACUCAAUAUUAUAUUCUAGAAUAAAUUAAUUUCCACAAAAGAGGUCACUUUGGUGGCAUAUUGUUUGAAUUAAUUUAUUCUAAAAUAUAUAUAAUCAAACCAAUAUUUAAAUUUAAAAUUACACAAAUUACAUAAAAUUUUUUAUUAAAGUCAACUUUGGUCAACUCUGAUCAAAAUGUGGUCAAAUCAGUCAAAUCAGGUCAAAUCAAUCAAUUAGAUCAAGACUUAUUGGACCAAAAGUCCAUAUCCAGAACUUGACCCAAAUUUAUCAUUUAACUUCAAAAUUUUUUUAAAGUCCAUAAUGCCUUAUAAGACUAUAUAUUUAAUGGGCCAACCUUAUGAAUUUUAUAAGAUUUAAAUGUCUUAUUUAACUUUAUUAGGGUUUAUUCAAAUUAGAGAAACCCUAAUGUGUAUAUUGGCUCUUAAACAAGAAAACAAGUCCAAGAAUUCAAGUUAAUAGUCCUAAUUUUAUAACCGAAGGCAUACCCAUAGCUGGAUUCAAGUGAUAUAAAUUAAACAAUUAACUAGGACAAGUAAACAUGAUUCGUGAAACACGUGCCAAUUAGUUUUAGUUUCAAUCAAAGGCAAAUGUUUGAGAUGCAAAAGUAGCCAAUCGGCCAACUAAAAUAGCAUAAGGAAACAAUGGAUCGGCCAAAGCAAUGAAUCAAUGAAAUCAAAGUGGAUUCACUGAAUUCAAUGUUAAAACAAUGGACCGUACAAUUCAUGAAUUGACUAUUGUCAUGAAAAUUGCAUCAUAACAUAUGCAAACAAUCAUGACUAGAAUUUGACCAAAAUUUUCGUGAAUCAAAACUAGAACCACGGAAUAAUUAUGACCAAAAGACUAAAGACAAAACUAACAAUCAAUCAGGACAAGCCAAUUCACACGACAUAAAUGAGUUUCAAUACAAUUCGUUUCAAGCAAAUUCACGCGAUUUCCAAAUUUGAACAAUCGCCCAUUACCGGAGUAUUCUUGUUUAAGAGCAGACAACCAUAUAACCAAAAUCGAAUUCGCGAGACAAAAAAAUACAAAUUACAGAAUUCAAUUUAUUUCUUAAUAAUCAAUCAUAUCUAGUUCUGAUAUCACUUAUUGAGCACCACUUAUUGAGUGAUAGUUUAUAUUAGUCUUUGGUGAAAGCAAUCACCUGUUAAAUCCAAAAUUUUUAUGGCGAUUAUUAAGAAUAAAUUAAUAAUAAAAUUACAAAAGCGCACCUGAAUUCAUGUUGACAAGCUGGCACUUGAAUCCUUGAAGAUUUUUUUGGGGAGGUCUUUCAGGUCAACACCUAUUCGCUAAUCCUUAAGAGAGCCCUUUAAUCUCUGAUAUCUCUUAUGACGAUGGAUAUCGAGAAAAGUUAUUUUGUGAUACUAAAAAAUACGAUAAUAAUAUACAUGUAAUCUGGGAAUCAUAACCCUAUUUAUAGAUAAAUUUCUGUUAUCUUUUGUAUUCUUAUUUUAACCCAUCAUAGAAAUAGGAAACACCCGUAAGUCUCUACAUAUUAAAGAUUCAUAUUCUAUUAGAUAUAUUAAAGUCCAAAUCAUAUUUGAUCACUUUAAUUAGAUCUAAUCUUAUUUGACAGUAACAUAUAAUUAUUCAUAUAUAAAUCCAAUGUUGGAUUAAAGAUUCAACAAAAACUGCUUAAAAUUAUGGUUAAUAAUUACUUCACAGUCGGCUUUAAUUAUUAACAAAAAAUGGAUUGAUCAUACUUGUCCCCUCAAGGUUUGGAUUAGUCACGCUUUAUCACCCCAACUUCACAAAUAUAUAAUUUACCCCGUCUUGACCAGUCAAAAUAUUAAAAAUGCUUAACACUGUUAAGACAAAAUAAAGUGCUGAGGAGAUUAAAGGAUCCAUGAUUUGUUAGUGAAGGUACAAUUGUACUCUUGUAUUGGUGCAUAUGGCCUGCGAAAAAAUAAAAGAAAAGUUAUUGAUAAGUGGGAAAAAAAAACUGACAAUCGACAGCAACUAUGAUAAAAUAACUCUUGAAAAGGCCCUGAUGUACACGGGAGAAGGAGUCAGAGAAUCCUCAAAAGCACUGAAGGGCUUUUUUUUGGGGUUGUAGUGACUUAUUAAAAAACAUUUAGGGCCUGUUUAAGAUUGUUGUAUUUUUGCUAAAAAAGUAUUUUGGAGGUCAAAAAUACUUUUAACAUGUUUAAUGAAAAUCAUUCCUUAAAUUUGGAAGUAGAAUUUUUGGUCAUAAAAGCACUUUGGUAUAAGUUCAAAAUUGAUACAUUUAGAGUAACUUUUGUAUUUGAAACAAAUAAAAAAUUAAGUUUAAUAAUUUUAUUAUAAAUUUUGAACUCAAUAAACAGAUAAAUAAGUUUUGUAACCUCAAAAUUGCACAUUAUCAAAUAGAAAAAGUACUUACUCUUGUAAAUCCAAACAAUAUGAUUUAUCAAUUAAUAAAUACUUUGACUAAAAACUGUACUCAUUGAAAUGCUUUUCGAUAAGCCACCGUAACUCAGAUAGGCCCUUAAUUUAGAAGAGUUAUUCGUCAAAGUAUUUAUGAAGAGCUUCUUGUUCGAUCUAGAUUUGAAGCCCUAUUGGUAACUGGUGGACAUCUGGUCGAGGCAUUUGGUUUGGAGCGAUGUCGCAUGAGUAUAGACCUUGAUUCUGACAGGUUCUGUAGGACGAUGACCUGUUGGUAAUGUGCUUUAGUGACACUUUCAGUUGAGUACUGCCACACAAGUUCUGGUGUAGUGGAGCAAUAGUUUCCUUAGGACUCAACCUGGGAAUUCUUACAAGACUUGGAGCAGUAAUUCCUACCUAAUUUCCAUCCCUGAGGACAAGGGCUCUUUUAGAGAGGGGUAUUUGAUGCACUGAUUUUAGUUGUAUGAUUGAUUGACCAUAAGAGAUUAUAAUAGAUAAUGGUGGAAGUGAAAGUUAAUAAGUUAAAAGAAUAUUGCUGAUGCUAGUAGUUAGUUAGCACAGCCAAAGAAGUGGUUAGCUGCAACCGACUCUCCACUACUUGCUUAUAUAUUAAGCUGCGCAUAAGGAGAAACAUUCAUUUUGAUGUAUUGCUACAAAUCAUUGGUCAUUCUUCUUGUAUCUUCUCUGAGUUUUCACUACAAUAAAAUACAUGAUGCUCCCUUGAAUUUCGAAUUACUUCUUCGUCAUUUUUGUAAUUCUGUAAUGAUUCCACAGGAAAUAGGACAAAAUAGUUAGCCAAAUUCUGUUAGCCAAAUAUUCUUGGAUUUGUUAUAGUGGCAACAACUUGCAGAAAGUUAGUUACAAUUAGUUAGUUGGGGGAACUUCUAUGAAUAGGCCAACACUAAUGUAAGGAAGGACAUGCAAAAUCUGAUCUCUAAAGAAUACAACUUCCCCGCCUCUUUUUCAAAUUCAUCCUUGCUCUCUCUCUUUCUCUUGUUCCUUCCUCUCUAUUCUUUUUUUCCUAUACUUUCUGUACCUUAGCUGAAUCAUCAGAUUCUCAACCAUUACAUUUGGUAUCAGAGCUUGCGGUCCUGGGAUUUGAAAGCUCCAAUUUGGCAACAAUGGCGGAAGGCACCAGAAUGAAGGGAUUUGAGGAAAUGCUGAAGAAACAAGAUGCAAGGAUCCAAACUAUCCUCGAAUCCAGUACAAUCGAACGUCAAGCGUUAGAGGAAAAGAUCGAGUCUAACUAUGUGGACAUGAAGGCUCUGGUGGAAGCAAACAAUGUUGAAUUAAAGGAAGAAAUGAAGAAUUUGUUGGGAUAUGCAACUUUUCCUACAUAUUUUGCUAGAUUAUGUUUGAUAUCAAAAUAAUUUAGUUAUUAGAAAAAUAAGGAUAUUUGUUAACCAAAGAUCAUGUUGGUUUGUUAACAGAUAUUUUAGAUAAGAUUUGCUAAUAGAAGGAGUUUAUAUUUUGUUGAGAUUUUUAGAAUAAUUGUUAGUUGGAUAUUUUGCUAGUUUGUUUCAUGUAAUCACUAUAAAUAGUGAGUUGAUGAAUGUAGAACAUAAGUUCAUUUUUUCCACCUUUAAUACAAGUCUCUUAUAAGCUUUUUUUGCAACACUAAGGUGUUGUUUCUUAGUUUAUGCCCAAAAAAACCAACAAAGUGGUAUCAAGAGCCUAUAUCUUAAGGGCCUGAGUCUUUUUUUUUUUAGAGUGAUGCAUUGGUGAGGAUCCUUUAUAAGUUCAAAGCCAUGACAGGAAAGAACUUUUUGUCAAAUGUUUCAACUUUUAGUGGUAAAACUUACCAAAUUUGGGCUAUAAAAUUUUGGACUUAUUUGGUAGUCAAUGAUCUACGAGAUAUGGUGGAGACGAAUUUUGUUUCACCAGCAUUUGAAGAGCUGAUGGAUACACAAAUUAGAGAUCACAAAGUUGCAGUUAGACAGAGAUCCAAGGCCAGCAUUCACAUAUCAGUUUUUGAUGCCGUUUUCACAAAGAUAAUGGCUGAUGAUUUGAUUGAGAAUAAAUUAUUCUCAAUUAAAAUAAAAAGGAGAAGUUUCACUAUGAAUUGGUCAGAUUUUGACAAUUCUAAAGUGGAACAUGAUGAUGAAAUCAAGAAUUCAGAUCCUGAAAAAAUUCAGGAGGAGAUCAUUAAUAAGUGAGGAGAUAUCAAAUUGAUUCCUGAUAUUUGUCAAGAUUAUAACAUUUCUAUUUUUGAGUCUACAGAUAUUGAUGGUGAUGACAAAAUGAAGAACCAUGCAGAAUUUUAUAUUUUCUGUAUAGGUUCAAAUAUCGUCAAAAGAUGUUCCAUUUUAAACCUAUGAGAAGGUUAUUUGGAAACAUAAAAAAAAAAAUCAUUUUUUAUGUGGAGUUUGGCACGAGAAGAUAAAAGAAGUGGUUCGUUGCAAGACUAAUAUUUAGCUUGCAUAAAAACCCAAAGGAAGAAGUUCAUUGCAAGGCUAAUCAUCAAUUGCAAAGCUUCUUACAAAAGUCUCGUUCAAAACAAGAUUCAAAGAUUUGAGAAGACAAUUCAAAAUCUGUAGCAAAAGUGGCAAGGAGGAGUGUUGGGAUGUGCAACUUUUCCUACAUAUUUUGCUAGAUUAUGUUUGAUAUCAAAAUAAUUUAGUUAUUAGAAAAAUAAGGAUAUUUGUUAACCAAAAAUCAUGUUGAUUUGUUAACAGAUAUUUUAGAUAAGAUUUGUUAGUAGAAGGAGAUUAUAUUUUGUUGAGAUUUUUAGAAUAAUUGUUAGUUGGAUAUUUUGUUAGUUUGUUUCAUGUAAUCAUUAUAAAUAGUGAGUUGAUGAAUGUAGAACAUAAGUUCAUUUUUUUCACCUUUAAUACAAGUCUCUUAUAAGUUUUGUUUGCAACACUAAGGUGUUGUUUCUUAGUUUAUUCCCAAAAAAAAACCAACAGAAUUUCAUGGUCACGAUGAAUGCUCAAUUCAAUACCCUCAUGAGGAACUUACAGGGGGAAAGGGGAAUUCUAGGCCAACCUCUUAACUCAUCUGAGCGACCUCCUAAUCAAAUACUUAGCAAAAGUCAUGAAGGAAGCCAUCCUUUUCUGGGGGAAAAGAGUCGUUUCCCAAUAGGAGUUCCCAAACUGGAAUUUCCUAGCUUUGGAGGCUCUAAUCUAUGAGAAUGGAUCAGGAAAUAUGAGAAGUUUGUUCAGCUAUAUUAGAUUCCAGAAGGACAGUAGAUGGAUGUGGCUGAACUGUAUUUGGAAGGCAAGGCUGAUCUCUAGUAUCAAAGCUUCAAGAAGGACAGAGGAGUGGUGCAAUGGGGGGAUUUUGGCUCAGAACUUUGUAGAAGAUUUGGGGAUCUGGGGGAGGAGAUGUGGUAGAGGAGUUCAACAAAUUGUAGCAGGAUUCAUCAGUUUUAGCAUAUCAGGACAAGUUUGAAGAAUUAAGAGCUGCUGUCAUGGUAAAACUACCCUCCUCUCUGAAUAUACUAUGUUUCUAGCUUCCUGAGUGGGCUGAAGGAGGAGAUCAAGGCUGCUGUGAAAAUGCACAUGCCCCAGACCUUACAGGUAGCAUUCGAAAAGGCUAGAUGGCAAGAAUAGUAUUUGAGCAUCAUCUUAAGGCAGAAUAAAGUACCAAUGAAGAUAUCUCCACCAAUUUCUUCUGGAAGUAAACAUACCCACCCUAAUGACCUGAGCCACAAGAAACCUGCAACUCAUGUGUUUGAGAAUAGUAUUAAGAAGGAUUCUUCUCGGGUAAGAAAAUCUCACCCACAGAAUUUCAGUACAGGAAGGAUCACAACCUGUGUUUCAAGUAUGGGGAAAAAUUUUCUCCUGGACAUAUCUGCAAGAAUAGAGGGAUACAUUGGUACUAGUAGAUGAAGAAGGAUUGCAUGGCACUGAAGUAGAUGAGGAAGAAAGGGAAAUCAUUGAGUAUCAGGGAAUAAGUCUAGCAAGGAUGUAGCCUUCUCACUACACUCAGUCUCUGGACACAUGUCUUCUAAUACCAUUAGGAUGAUAGGACACUAUAGGGGGCACGAUUUAUCCAUUCUGCUUGAGGGGGGAGUACCAACUGUUUUAUCAGGUUAGCCAUUACUCAACUACAUCCUGAUUCUGUGCAGAGUCAUAAGCCCUUCAAGGUGAGGAUAGCUGAUGGAAAGGAGUUAAUGUGCAAUCAGUGGAUUCCAAAUAUGAAGUGGGAAAUGCAGGGACACAACUUCACUCAGAAUGUAUAUGUGUUGGACUUAGAGCCAUAUGAUUUAAUCCUUGGGGUGGAUUGGAUGAAACAUUACAGUCCAAUGACUUUUGAUUUUAAGGAGUUGACAUUGUCUUUUGAUAAGGAGGGUGAAACUGUGUUGCUGCAAGGAGACUCCCACACUGCCAAGGUGAGGAUGAGGCAAGGGACAGCAGCACAAAGGCAUAUCAGGAAUAAAGUCAGGACUUCUUUGCAACACUCUUGCAUGAUCAGAGUACAGAACAGUCAGGUAACUCCUGUACCAAAAUCACUUACUCAAUUGCUUGACCAAUGUUAGGACAUCUUUGAGGAACCUACAUCCUUACCCCCUAUCAGAGAAUUAGACCACCAAAUACCCCUCAUACCUGAUGCCAAACCCUUCAAAAUCAAUCCCUAUAGAUAUCUCCACAUGCAGAAAUCAGAAAUAGAACGACAGGUCAAAGACCUGUUGUAAUUUGGUAUCAUACAACCUAGCCACAACCCUUUUGCAUCCCCAGCUCUCUUGGUAAAAAAAAAGGAUGGAAGUUGGAGGUUUUGUAUUGAUUAUAGGCAGCUCAACAACCUUACCAUCAAAGAUAUCCCAUUCCUACCAUUGAUGACUUGCUUGAUGAAUUGCAUAAUGCAAAAAUAUUUUCUAAAAUAGAUCUAAGGUCAGGUUACCAUCAAAUUCGUAUGAACCCCUCUGAUGUCCCUAAAACAGCCUUUAGAACUCACUCUAGCCUUUAUGAAAACCUAGUGAUGCCUUUUGGCCUCACAAAUGCCCCUACUACAUUUCAAGCCUUAAUGAAUUCCAUAUUGGAACCUUUCAUCAAAUAGUUUGUGCUUGUGUUUUUUGAUGACAUUCUUGUUUAUAGCUCAGAUCUGGACAGCCAUCUUAAACACCUAUCCCUUGUUCUUAACACCUUGAGAACCCAUUCAUUAUAUGCGAAGAUGUCUAAAUGUUCCUUUGGUCAAGAUAAAAUUGAGUAUUUGGGACAUGUAGUUACUGCUGAAGGUGUUUCUGCUGACCCUGCAAAGGUAGAGGCAAUGUUUUUCUUGCCAGUUCCUGAUAACAUUAAGGCUCUUAGGGGUUUUCUUGGAUUGGGGGUACUACAGGAGGUUUGUCAAGCGCUAUGGGAAAAUAGCAAAGCCCCUAAUUGAGUUGCUUAAAAAGGACAGUUUCGUAUGGAAUGAAGCAGCUACUUCUGCCUUUAAGCAGCUCAAGGUGGCUAUGUCACAGGCUCCUAUACUAGCUUUACCUAACUUCUCCAUGCCCUUUAUAUUAGAGACAGAUGCAAGCCAAACAGCUAUGGGAGCAGUACUGAUGCAGCAAGGGAGACCAAGAGCAUUCAUGAGCCAAGCUUUGGGACAAAAAAAUCAAUCAGUGUCCAUUUAUGAGAAAGAGUUGCUGUCCCUGAUCACUGCUGUAGGAAAAUGGAGGCAUUACUUAUUGGGAUCUCAUUUCAUCAUCAGAACAGACCAUCAAAAUCUAAAGUACUUGCUAGACAAAAGAUCACUACUUCCCUACAACAGAAAUGGAUUGCAAAAUUGAUGGGAUUGGACUAUGAAAUCCAAUACAAAAGAGGCAAGGAUAAUACAGUUGCAGAUGCUCUUUCUAGGAGGCAAGGAGGUUCUGCAGGAGGAAGCAAUCAGGAGAGUUACAAUGGAGUCCACUCUAUAUCUGCAGUCAAACCUCUAUGGCUCUCCAAGGUAUCAGAGAGCUACAAUGGAGAUAACAAGGUCAAAGAAUUAUUAACAACACUUGCAAUAGACAACUCUAGUACACCUGAUUACUCCUACCAUCAAGGGAUUAUCAGGUACAAGGGGAAGGUAUACAUUGGAGCUACCACUGAAUUUAGGAGGCAACUUGUUAGCUGCAUGCAUGAUUCUGUAGUUGGAGGCCACUCUGGCAAUCAGGGGACCUAUCAAAGAUUGAAGAGUUAUUUCUUUUGGCCAGGAAUGAAAAAGGAAGUGGAAGCUUAUGUACAAGCUUGUGACACCUACAAGAGGAGCAAAUGAGCAAGCUAGUUACCCUGGCUUGCUACAACCUCUCGCAAUACCAGAGCCAGCUUGGCAGCAUAUCUCAAUGGAUUUUAUCGAAGGUUUGCCAAAAUCCUUGGGGCAUGAUGCCAUAAUGGUCGUGGUGGACAGGCUUACUAAAUAUGCGCAUUUCAUAUCCAUGGGGUCUCAUUUCACAGCAAAGAGUGUUGCACUGGUGUUCUUCGAGCAAAUCUAUAAACUGCAUGGUUUGCCAGUGGACAUUAUAUUUGAUAGGGACAAGAUUUUCACAAGUUUAUUUUGGCAGGAGCUUUUUCAUCAGGUGGGAACUACCCUUAGUUUCUCAUCCUCAUAUCACCCCUAGUCUGAUGGACAGACUGAGAGAGUAAAUCGAUGUGUGGAAACCUACUUGAGGGCUUUGUGUUUGCAAUAGUCUGGUCAUUGGAAAAGGUGUUUGCCUGCAGCUGAGUAGUGGUACAACACUAAUUUCCAUUCUAGUUUAUAGAUGACACCCUUCCAAGCACUCUAUGGUUAUAAACCAAAACAGCUGUGCCUACAACCAGACAACACCCAAGUACUUGCUGUGGAGAUUGGUUAACUGAGAGGGUGAAUUGGAACUCCCUACUGAAGGAAAAUUUGUUGCAUGCUUAGAACUAUAUGAAAUAGUUUGCAGACAAACACAGGACUGACAGGACAUUUGCUGAGGGGGAUUGGGUUUACCUCAAGUUACAGCCUUGUAGACAGACCACUAUGGUUGUUUGAAAAAAUUGAGCUAGCAGCUAAGUACUAUAGACCACAUCAGAUUGAAAAAAGGAUUGGAGCAGUAGCCUAUAAACUCAAGUUACCACUAGGAGCUGCUAUUCAUCCUGUAUUUCAUGUUUCGCUUUUGAAACCUUCCGCAAAAGGUGCUCCAGCUAGCACAAUAUUACCUCAGCCAAGUGAUGAAGGCUUCUUUUCGAUCACCCCAUCCUCUAUACUGGAUCGAAGAUGGAUUGAUAGGGAUGGACACAAGGUGGAGCAGAUUUUGGUGCAGUGGAAGGACUUACAAAAUGAGGAUGCAACGUGGGAAGACUUCUCAGUCAUCAAGAGUCAAUUCCCUGACUUCAAUCCUAGAGACUAGGAUUGUUUCGAGAGGGGGCAAUUGUAAUGAUUCCACAGGAAAUAGGACAGUUAAUUCUGUUAGCCAAAUAUUGUUGGAUUUAUUAUAGCAGCAACAACUUGCAGAAAGUUAGUUAUAGUUAGUUAGUUGGGGGGAACUUCUAUUAAUAGGCCAACACUGAUGUAAGGAAGGACAUGCAAAAUCUGAUCUCUAAAGAAUACAACUUCCCUGCCUUUUUUUCAAAUUCAUCCUUGCUCUCUCUCUUUCUCUUACUCCCUCCUCUCGAUUUUUUUUUCCUAUACUUUCUGUUCCUUAGCUGAAUCAUCAGAUUCUCAACCAUUACAAAUUCCUAGGUCAGGGAAUUGAGACCUCCACUGACCUCUGUAUCAGAUGCCUUCACACUUGGUGCAACUACCUAUACUUUCUCAAAUGCAUAUAGAUGUAAGCAGGUCCAUUUGCAAUUCCAGAUGUUGAGGAGGUCUGCUACUUCUUUGUUGACACACUAGUCCAGCGUAUCUCUUGUUCAAUUCGACCUUUAAAGAUUGAGUGACAGAAUCAGGCUAGGUUUGAGCCCUUGCAGGAUGGUUCCCUCCUCCUUAGGUAGUAUAGUAGCUCUGUUGGAUCUCGUCUUAGUAGCAGCUUUGUUGAAUGGUUUCCCUUGUCUUAGUAGUAGCUUUGAACCUUGGAAAUUGUACCCUUGUUAUUUGUGUUUUGUUAUGUAAUUUUCUUGAGAUUUGGGUGUACUCCAAAGAAAAUUACGACUAUCGUUGUAAUUAAUCGUGAACUAAAUAAGGCUGUUUAAAGGAUUGAGCUACUUUGAGAAUGUACUACUAGAAGAACGCAAACAUAUCUGACUAGACCAAGAAUAAGGCCCUCGGAUCACUGAAUUAAGAGACUUGAAUUGUUUCCAAAUCAUGAAUGUUUGAGGGAAAGAGCAAGAAAAGAACAAAUGCUCACAAGUUUCAACAAUAUUUCAACAAAAAUCACAAGUAUCAUCCUUUACUACACUCCACUUCCUCAGCCUGCUUCUUUUAUAAAGUCUCUCACAUCAAGAAAGCAAAUUUGGACACGAGGUUCAACCACACCAGCCUGUUUUCUUUUGACAUUGAAAAUUUUUUGAACUUGUGGGGUGUUAUCUUUUGCUUUCUAGUAGACAUAAGUGGUAGCCCUAGAUACCUCCCUCACAAAGUUCGUAAAGGCAUACAAAGCAACUGAUUCAGGUAGAGCUGUCUUUCAGACUUUGUUCCAGCAUAAACAAUUCACUCUUUUGAAGAUUGGUUUGCAAUCUAGACACUCCUGUAGAGAUAUAUCAGAUGCAGAAGCCAAAAAGAAGAGGUCAUCAGGAAAUGUUGAGUAAGGUUCAGCGUCUCAACUUUGGAUGAUAAUCUGAUCUGUCUUCCUGAAUAAUUUAGCCAAAACACUAGAGAACACCUCCACUGCAAAUAGGAACAAAUAUGGUGAGAUUGGAUCACCCUGUCUAAGCCUCUAAUCAGUUCUAAAAAUCCAAUCAGAGAUCCGCAUAGAUUCAAGGAGAAACUGGCUGUAGUCACAUACUUCUAACUCCACACAAAACACACAGUUCUAAAUUUCUUGAGAUGCAUAACCUCAAAAAGAGACUCCCAAUUGACUGAAUCAUAAGCCUUCACUACAUCAACCUUUUGGCUACUCUAGGUUUUCCAUUAAUGAGGUGACAAUGACAUUGCUUGAUAAGUUCAUGCAUGAGCAAUACAUUAUCAUAAACGGAUCUCAUUUUAAGAAAAGCACUGCCCGGUAAGAGAUGGCAUCACCACUUUAAUUCAGCCAGUGAUCACUUUUGAAAAACAUUUAUAGAGAAUGUUGCAACGAGCAACAUGCGUAACAUCUUUCACAGUGACAGGGGAGCAUUCAAAUGAAAAUAGAGAUUUUGGGAUGAGAACCACGACUGUACAGCGCUAACAAACUCCUCCCCAGUUGUCUUCCAAUUCAAUAUGGAAAAAAUCUACUGCAAAGCCAUGAGGACCAGGGCCUGUACCUCUUAUCAUUUUAAACAAUGUGCUUUUAUUUUCAUCCUGAUUGACUAGAGCUCUGAACGACCUCCUAUGACAAACUGCUUGAGCUUCAAGGAUCCAAGGGCCAUUUACCGAUCUGUAGAUAUAGGCACCGUGUCGGCAAACAAAUCCAUAAAAAGAAUGAGAGCUUCACUUUGAUUCGUUUAUAGUGAUUCAACCGUGAGCCAUGCUAAUAGUACGAAGUCUAUUUCUUUGCAAAGGAAGUUUUCAAUUUGAUUAUAUUUUUUUCUUAACGCUCUUUUCCUAAAUCCUCUUUACUGCUCCACCUUCUUCCAUGAACUCUAGUGGACUCCAUUCAUGACCUCAAUUAAAAUUUUGCAAGUACUAGGCUUCGAGCAUAUUUUAUCAGAUAAAUAGAAAUUAUUGGGAGCAAUUCAUGCCUGUCAAUGCUGCAUUGUAAGAAUACUUCUCAUGUAGUUGGCUUAUAUUAAAUCUGUAUACAUUUGAAUACCAUGAGUCUUAAACACAAUAACUUGAUUCAAUCGAAAUCCCCUAUGAUAUGCGGUCUGAAUUUAGAUCCACUACCACCUGGCUGGCGGAAAAAAUGUACUGUUUUGUCAGUUUAAUCUUCUACUCCUACUCCUAUCAAGCUGUGGUUGUUGCACAACAUUUUCCAAGGCUGUGAUUUUCACCUUUCCUUAAUAGACAUUUUAUCUUGCUGAAUCCAUAAUUAUCAACUGCAUCUAAUCUGUUCUAGAUUCUCCUUUGCAUAUGUCAAAGAGGUACUUCAGGAAAUAUUUAAAGCUAAGAUGGUAGAUAAUAAAUGACUACUUUAAAUUUCAUUAAAAACACAAAUAUUGUUAUUAAAUAUAGCAAUUGUCACAAUAAUUUUUCUACAAGGACAGGAAAGGAAACUAAAUACCACAUCAUUACUUCAUGUGGGAAAUGAUACACCAAUGAAUGUGGGACACAAAAUUUAAAUUAUAUUUAACUUAUCAUAUUAACACCUGAAUCCCUCUUAAUGAGUACCCAAUGGGCAUUUGAUUUAAUUUUACUUUUGCGAAUGACUUAAUUAAUGCCAAUAUAGUAGUUCCUAAAUUACCAAAGUUUGAAAGUUCUCUGACUAAAAAUACACAAUGUAGUCUUUACAAAUUUAGAUAUUUCUCCAAUAUAAUUUUCAGAAGGGCAAAGUAUUUAUUAGGGGGUCCAAUUAUUCAAUUGCUAGAUACGGCAAUCCUGACCUACUAAUUUACUAAUCUAUCUCUGUUCAGCGUGUGAAAGGCGUGUGAACUGACACAUUUGCAAAACGAAUUGAAGAUUAAUCUGUAAAGCAAAUUUCUUGGCUUUCUGACUUUUUAUUGUAAAGCAUUUAGGUUGAUUAAUUCACGACUCACGUGUAAGCGAAGAUUUGGGGAUUUUUCCAAGCAUUUUUUGUUGUUUCGGAUAUUAAGAGCUACUAGAAGUCUAGGACUUUACAUACUUGGUCAUUCUUUUUUGUAUAACUGGCUUCAACUUCCAUCCAUCUCUGUUCGUAACUCAUCAAGAUUCUGUUUGUGAGGAUUGGCUUUAUCUCCGUUAUUGUAACCAAACAUGGAAAAGUCCCAUGUUGUUCUUUCUCUGCUUCUGGUUCUACUGUUUCAUGUUGGCAUAGCCACAGCAGUUAAAACUGAAGAUGGAUCAGAAGCGUGGGGCUAUGUUCCAGUCAGGCCAAGUACACUAAAUCUUUUCUACAAUCUUUAUCCCAAUUUAGAUAUUUUAAGGGCAGAGAUAUAUGGAUUUACUUGUCAAUGAUGAACUUGAAUUGUUGUGCUUUUUGCAGAGGCUCACAUGUUCUGGUGGUACUACAGAAGUCCAAACAGGAUUCAUGAUCCAAAAAGCCUUGGCCAAUAAUUCUUUGGUUGCAGGGUGGACCUGUAAGUAUCAGAAUUCUCGUGGGAUUCUCUCUAGUUUCAAUCUUUAUUGCUUGUUCAUACAAUCAACAGUAAUUUGUUUACUGAAGGGAGCUUCAGGAGUUGGACUUGGUAAUUUCGAAGAAUUCGGGCCUUUAGAUGUGUUCCUAAAGCCAAGAAAUUCGACAUGGUUGCAGAAAGCUGAUCUUUCUGUUUGUGGUAGUACAAGGUUGCAUAACGUUGGUGAAUAAUCACUUCAGCAUCAAUACUGUUUUACAAAAUAAAAUGGGAUUUCCCUGCAGGGUUUUUCUUUCAUCUGCUUAUCCAAAUUCAUUUUUGCCCGUUUCCAAUGUAAAUAGGAUUAUCCAGUUGGGACUGGUUACAGUUUUGUGGAAGACGUUAAAAACACCACAUUGUUUGUGAAGAGUGAUGUGGAGGCUGCAAAGGAUGGAACUAAAUUCUUGACUGAGUUUUUCAACAGGAAUCUGACUCUCCAAAAGAGUCCUCUGUUUAUUGUAGCAGAGUCUUAUGGAGGCAAAUUUGCUGUAACUCUGGCAUUAUCUGCUUUAAAAGCUAUUGAGGCUGGAAAGCUGAAGCUAAAUCUUGGAGGUAACAAUUGCUUUUUCAUUCUCAAAAUUAAAAUUUUAUUCUCUCUUCAAUCCUGAAGUCUUGAACUUGCUGUUACCUUUUCUGCAUAGGAGUUGCAUUGGGAGAUAGUUGGAUUUCACCAGAAGAUUUUACCGUAUGUAGUUUCUGUUCUUCAUUCGUCUCAUGAUUACUUAGUUGGAACAGCUGAAUUGAGUUCUGGCGAUCAAAAUACAGUCUUCAUGGGCUCCUCUUUUGAAAGACGUCUCAUUGCUUGACGGCAAUGGUUUCCAGAUAUCAAACAGGUAUUAAGUUAUAAUACUUGAAAGAUGGCACUAUCCUGAAUCCACGCCUCAAAUGCAUCGAUGAUGUGUUUUUUUAGUAUUGAAACUUGCGUGAAUUUAACAUUUCUGUCUAACCUAAUCAAGCUCGACAAUUUUAAGUUGUCUAAUAAGCCUAUUGUUCAAUGCAGGGUUGCUAAUCAAAUUAAGAAGCAAAUUGCAGCAGGUAAGUUUGCGGAGGCCACAGACACAUGGAAUGAAUUGGAAGAUCUAAUUACCAAGUACAGUAACAAUGUGGUAUGAAUUUGAAGAAUUUAUGUUUAAUCACAACAAAUUGUUAAGUAUGUGCUUGACGAUUCCUUUUGUGGAUAAAUACAGGACUUCUACAAUUUCCUCUCAUUUGCAGAGGACGACCCUUCAUCGCUGUCAGCUGCUUCAGAACUAAAACAACGUAUUGCAGUAAAACGGUCCUCUCCUGGAGGUGAUGGAGAUCUUUACAGCUUGAUGAAUGGUGAUAUUAAAAAGAAGUUGAAGAUUAUACCAAAUGUUACGUAAGUUUUCUCCUUAGAAAAUUUUCAGACUUUUUCAGAGUUCAAUACUUUACUGUCAUUAAAGGAGUAGUGUGAUAUCAACAGAUGGGAGGGCAGUCCAAUAGUGUUUUUGAAGCCCUGAAAGGUGACUUCAUGAGACCCAGGAUUAGUGAGGUAACUAAAGCAGCUGCAUUUUUUUUUGGUUAGGAAUUAAUCACAAAGUUUAGGAACUUUUGGUUUUUAGUUUGAGCUACACCAAGAACGUUUUUUGAAUUUCUGGAUCAGCAUUCUUUGACACAUCUCAAUUGCGAUAAGAGCAGUUACCCAAUUAUAUGCAGUAAAUUCUAAAGCAUUUGAUCAACUGCUUUUGGCAGGUUGAUGAGCUUUUAGCAAAAGGAAUAAAUGUGUCUAUCUACAAUGGACAAGUAAGAUUCUGUAAUGCUUUAUGUUGUUUCUCACAAUAUUCUCCAAAGAGGAAUGGAAAAAUAGUGUAUUAACAUUUCUGGAAGAAUGGGAUUUACACAGAAGCAGUAGAUAGAUAUUCAAGGAAAAACUUGAUAGGACUUUCUGGUUGUACUAUGAUUCCACUGCAUAGCAUUUGUUUUCAAAAAUUGGCAAUAAGAUAAUAUGGCAAUAAUGGAACAUAAUAAUGGUAACCAGGUAAAGGAUGAUAUUUUGGAGUAAUCGUACUUGUAAUUUGAUAUUUGCUCACAAUAAAUUGUGAAUUCCAGUGGAUAAACUUGAUCAGGGCAGCUUUAAUAUCCAUGCUACAAAUUUCACUGUUUUUUUUUUUUUUUUUUUUUUUUUUGUGUUUGGCUAAGUAGUUCAAUUUUAAGUGUUGUUUUGUUGUUGGUUGUAGUUCGAUCUAAUCUGUGCAACCAAGGGAACCAACGCAUGGGUUGAAAAGCUCAAGUAAGAAAAAAAAAAUCCCAUAAGUAAAUAAGCACCAAAAUUUCUUCCCCUGAUCAGUAAUUUUUUUUGCCUAUUUUCACAGGUGGCAUGGGAUAAAAAAUUUCUUGAACAAGGAUAGAACGCCUCUCUAUUGUGGAGGUGACAAGAGUAUUAAGGGUUUCACCAAAUCAUACAGAAAUCUUCAUUUCUACUGGAUUCUAAAUGCUGGCCACUUUGUAAGUCAACAAACCAUUGUCAUAUUUCUGCUGCAUUUGUUUGUUAGUUUAAAAUUACUGUUACUUUUGCCUACUUGACAAGGUUGAGAACACAACACACACUUGUCUCAACUCUCAAUAGCUUUAGUAUGUCAUAGCCAAUCUCCACAUUUGAAAUGCUAAAGUUUGCAUAAUAUUGUCUUUGUCAAGAAACCAUCAAAGGUAGUAGAAAAAGUAAUACUCCCUCCAUUCCAUUAAAACGUUCACUUCUCAUUUUUGCAUUUUCCAAAAUGCUUGUCAUGUCCAAAAGCUAAACAUAAUUUUCGCUCUCAUUUCAAAUACUCUUGUUCAUUGUCAUUUUGGGGAAGACAUUUCAAACAAUUGAGAUUUUACUCUGGGAGCAUGAAGCUGAGAAAGCUUAAAUAAUUAUCAGUAUCAGUUCCAUUGAAAGGUGGAUUGCCAAAAUGUGGCAAAACUAUGGGAUUGAAAGUAGUAAUUGCCAGACUUAUAAUGAAACUUCGGAUUAUUGAGACAAAGAUGAAAUGCUGUGUGUGUCUGAAAGAAGAAUUGAAUGAAUUUGACAAGUAACAUCACACUUGUAUCUACUUGAGGACAAUGAAACUGGUUCUGCUGCGACGCAAUAACUACCAUUAAAGUUAGGGUAGAUCGGACUUAUACCAAUAUGUCUGGCAUUUAUUGGUGGUAAAUCUACCAAACCCUGUGGGAAUAUCCGAAUAUGAGAUGUUUAAGAACAAAAGAAAACUAUGGAACAUCUUUGUGAGAGAAAUUUUCCAUACCAAUUAUUUGUUGAAGUUGUUUAUUGGUUAUAGACAUGAGAAGGGCAAGCAGAAUGGACAUUAAGAUUUGUAGCGAAUAUGUUCUCGCUAAGUAAAUACUAUAUUUGAUAGAUUUGUAAGGAAAUUUUCUUAUAAUUAUGUAGGGGUGGCAAUUUCUGACACGACCCGAAAACACGACACGAACCUAACACGAAAUUAAUGGGUUUGGGUUGAGGUUUCGGGAGUUCGGAUCAGAAUCGGGUCGAACCGAUGAACCGAAAAAAAAAAAUAGGUCAAUUUCAGGUCAAUCCGUGGUAACCUGAUAUGAUCCGAUGUGACCCGUUUACGAAUUAAAACUAAUUUAAUAAACAUUAAAAUUAUUUUAUCUAACUAAACUAAAUCAUUCUUUUUUUCCAAAGACAUUAAUUACUUAGUCCUAAAUGAAUUUAUUUAACUUGUGUGAAGUUAAAAUUAUUAUAUUUGGAAAAAUAAUAUAUUAUGUUAUUUUUUACUUUUAUGCUGUUUUAAUUUAUUUUAUAUUUGGUUUGGGAUAAAACACUUUUAUGGUGUUUAAUUUAUUUUAGAUUUGGUUUGAAAUUAUUUAUUUAAAUUUUUAUUACUUGAUGAUGUAAUUAAUUUUGUGAAAAAUUGAUUUUAUUAGAAAUUACAGUGAUAAAUAAUAAAUUAAAAUUAAGUUUCGGGUCGACCGCCAACUCAAAAUUUUCGGAUUCGUGUCAGGUACCCUGACCCGUUUCGGUUGGCGGGUCGGAUUCGGGUCAGCAGGUUCUUUAUUAUACUUAAGCCUCAACCCGACCCGCCAACACCGAACCCGACUCGAUUGCCCCCUAUAAUUAUGUCAUAUAAAUUUAUUUGCCCUUUUCGAUUCUUUAUAGGUCCCUGUUGACCAGCCCUGUGUAGCAUUAAAGAUGAUAGGAAGCAUCACACAGUCACCUGCUGCUUCAGGGUUGGUGUCGCUUUCCAACUUAGCCAAUACAGAGGACAGAUACUGAAGAAAUAUGAACCGAAGAAUAACAUAGAAUUCUCUUUUGAUUCUGAAAAAACCAUCACAGGAAUGAGAAUUAUUUCAGAGGAAAUUGGAAAUUAUUUUUUAGUAUUUUCGUCUUGUGGAGUCUUUAUGACAUUUUUUUUAGGGCAAGUUUUACUUUAUCCCCUGUGAUUUAAGUAUUUUUUUUUUUUUUUACAUAACCCCCAUAUGGUUUUAAAAGUUAUAUAUAAUCCCCUCAUGGUUUGGAUUAAAGUGUCAAAGUAACGGGAAUGAUCAUUCAUAACGGAGUCACCUAAAAUGUCAAAAAUACCCUUAUAUAAAGUUAAAAAUUAGGAUUAAUCACAUUUAAUCCCCUUAAGGUAUACCUCAUUUCUCAGUUUACCCCCUAACCUUUUAUUUUGCUCACUUAACCCCUAUAGGAUAAAAUUGCCCUUGCAUAAUUUUGACUUUUCAUUUAUUUUGUUUUCCUUUCUUUUAUUUCUUUUUCUCUUUCUUCUUUAUUUAAUUCUUCCUCUUCUCACAAAAAUCUUCACCUUAAUGAUUGAAAUUAAAAAAGAAGAAUUGCAGAGAUCUAUCUUCUCCUUAAAUGAUUAAAAAAAAUAUUCAAAUCACUUUGCUAAAAUACAAUUUUUUUAGCCUUUCAAUUCUUUUAAUUUUAAAUUUUCCUCUUUCGUUUCUAGUUUCUCAUUUUAUUCCCAAGAAAAUAUCUUAAGAUGAAAUUGUGACUUGAUUAAUAAUCAUCAAUUGAAAUUUGUGACACGUGGCAUCAUUAAAAAAAAUCAAAUUAGUUUUUGAUGCCUUUUAAACCUUCACCAGAAAUAUGCAAUUACAAACUCAAAACAAUAAUUUUCGUUGAAAUGGAAUUUUCUAUUGGGAAUGAUGAAAGAGAAAAGAAAAAGAAAAAGAAAUAAAAGAAAGGAAAACAAUUUCAUCUUAUGAUAUUUUCUUGAGAAUAAAAUGAGAAACUAGAAAGGAAAGAGGAAAACCCAAAAUUAAAAGAAUUGAAAGGUUAAAUAAAUUGUAUUUUAAGAAAGUGAUUUGAAUAUUUUUUUAAUCAUUAAGAAGAAGAUAGAGUUCUGCAAUUCCUCUUUUUUAAUUUCAAUCAUUAAGGUGAAGAUUUUUGUGGAAAGAGAAAGAAUUAAAUAAAGAGAAAGAGAAAAAAGAAAUAAAAGAAAGGAAAACAAGGUAAAUAAAAAUGAAAAUAAUGCAAGGGCAAUUUUGUCCUAUAGGGGGUUAAGUGAGCAAAAUUAAAGGUUAGAAGGUAGACUGAGAAAUGGGGUGUAUCUUAAGGGGAUUAAAUGUGAUUAACCCUUUAUUUAUUUAUUAACCAAGGGGGGGUUAUGUGUAUAUUUUGAAAACCAUAAGGGGAUUAUAUGGUAAAGUAUUAAACUAUAAGAGGGUUAUAUAGUAAAAUAUAAAAAUCAUACGGGAUUAGUGUGUCAUGUAUUUAUAAGGGUAAUUACGACAUUUCUAGAAGUUCCGUUACGAAUGACUAUUUCCGUCACUUUGACACUUUAAUCCAAACUAUGAGGGGGUUAUGUAUAGUUUUUGAAACCAAAGGGGAGUUAUGUAAAAAAUGCUAAACACAGGGGGUAAAAUGUAAUUUACCCUUUUUUUAUGUAGAAAAAAUAGAAUUUCAUUGCUGAAUUUGCUAAAAAUCAUCCAGCAGAUUUUGUUUAAGAAAGUUAGGGAGUCCAUUUUAUAGAUAUCCAUCGAGUUACUGGACUUGACACGAUUUGAUUUGCAUGUCCUUAUAGUUGGUGAAUAAUUCGAGACAUGAUAUUUGACUAGCUAGUGAUGCCUGACGUCGAGAGAUACAAACACAGGUGCUCAAACCGUUUCAUUAGGUUUGCAAUUUAACCAGAAUCAAAAGCUCAAAGAUAACUUUACAUUCAAUUUGCCACAACAUAUAGGCGGAUGCAUCCUAGACACUCAAGCUAGUUCCUACGGUUAAGAUUUGAGGAAAAAAAAUUGCAGAAAAAAGUAGCCUACAAUUUUGCGCUACAUGUCCGAGAAAAAAAAAAAAGAAAAAGAAAAAAAAUAUAUAUAUAUAACUCCUAAAAUUCACCUAAAAUGCCUUAGAUUCAACAGGGUAAUUUUUGUACCUUAAAACAUCCAAAUUGAAUUUUAAACAUGAAAAAAUAGCAUUUUGGGAAACUAUGAAUAUUGGAAAUUGAGUUAACUAUACUAAUCCAAAUUCUAGGGACCAAAAUGCAAAAUUAAAAUUUUUUGCUAAUGUAAAUUUGAUUUCGACUAUUUGUCAAGUUUUCCUUCUGUCUAAAAGAAGAAAAUUUUAGUACACAUUUAUUUUGCGUGAGACUUUAGAAAUUAAUUUUGCUCAUAAACCAAACAUUAGGAAUCAAAAGUGCAUUUCUCCAUUUUCAGAAAAGGAAAGUAAAACUUCCUUUGCCAAUUUGAUGAAAAUGCUCGGCAAUUUUUUCAUGCCUUCAACCAAUUUGAAUUCUAUUUUAGUAAAUCAUUCUAGUAUAAUUUCAUGAGUUUUGUCAUAAUAACAAAAACUGCCUUGCCUUUCUUUUUGUUCAAGGAAAAUUCUAAACUAGAAAAAGAGGGAUUCAGAGUCGAAUGAAGGGAUCUGACGGUUCCUGACUAAUGUCCUUGCCAACUAGUUUGGGUCUUGAGACAAUAUAGAGAGACUUAUUGUGUAAAACCUAUUUUCUAUGCAUUUGAAAUCAAAUGCAAAAAGUAAAUAAAUCAGUAAAGUGUUAUCGCCUCUGUGCAAUUUAUGGUGGGUUAGUUCAAUUUACUCUUUUACCUACUUUUAAACAGCCUAACCACUACAUGGAUAUUUAAAAAAAUUAAACUAAUCGAUUUAUUGAAAAAAAAAACCUACAAUUAGUUAAUAGUAGCAUGAAAUUGGACUCAAAAAUAAAUAAUUGAUUAGCAAUGCCUAGGCCUCAAUUUCACAGCCAAUGUGGAUUGAUCCUUGCUUGGUCAUUGGUUAUUCGAUUACUAGACUUCCGUUAAUAUUUGGUUAUUUUCAAAUAAAUUAAAAAACCAGAUCCAAUACCAAACCAAAAUUUACUUCGGUUGCGGAUAAUCGAUAUUGCUAUUAUCAGUCACUAGUUUAACGGUUAACAAAUCUUAAAUGCCUUUUAGUUUUAUGGAGGGGGAGAAAGACAUCUCAAAUACUCGAACAAUAAUCCAUCCACAAUGCAAUAAAAUGUGUGCCUCUAAAAUAUAAUCAAAAAAUAAAUAAGAAGUUAAAUUUUCACUAGCCUUGUUAAAAUAUCAUAAUAUCAUUUGUCCCUAGAGAAACACCUUCCAUUAUUAUCUCUCUCUCUCUAGAACUCAAUUUCUCUUUCUUCUCUGCAAUUUCUUCCAACCAAAACCUCAUUUGACUUCUUUGGGAAAGAGAUUAGAUAAUUGGUCUUUUCUCAUGGGAUGUAACUUUUCUCUAAUUUUAUUUCUUUAUUUGAAUAAAUUCACUUUUAAGUUUUCUAGUGAAAGAUUAUUCUCUUCUAGGGUUUCCUUGUAUGAAAAUCUUCUAUCCUAGAUUUUUAUGAUAAGAGUUUUAUUUUCUCUUAAAAUAUUCUUAUGAGAGUUUUUUUUUUUUUUUUAAUGGGUGAGAAUAGAGAUUUGGUAGAUCUCAAAAACCAAAUCAAAAAUCAAUUCUAAAUUAUUUUCUUUGGACUUGAAGUAGUUUUUAUCAAAUUUGACUAUUUAAAGACAUGCUUAAAGAUAUAUUGGAUUGCAAUGAUAUUCAUCUAAUAGAAAAUACUCUUGGAUUGCAAUGUUAUGAUCAAGUUUAUUGCUUUUUAUAUUUGUUGUGUCAAUUGAUUUUCAAAUUUGUAUGUUUACAUCAUAUUUGAUGUACUUGCUAUCAUGAAUGUAGAUAUUACAUUGAAAUUAUCCUUUUUAUCCAAAAAAAAAAAGGUAUCAUUUGUCCAUCUAGCAUGAUGAAGCCAACUAAUAGCCAACAAUAGGCCAGGGGGCUCUUGGAGGGAAGGAAGAUUGAGGUUCGCCGGAUUGUGAUGAGAUGUGAUAAAAAAGGCUGUUCGGUUGUGAAACUCGAAAAAAAAAACAAUUGGGCAACUUUGAAAUGUGUGAUUAACUUUGGGCUUAAUUCAGAUAGUCAAUAUGCUAGUAGGAUACCACUGGUAAAAGACUAGUACUAUUUUGGUCGGCCGGCUAUUAAUCAAUAACCAAAUAAAAAGUUCAUUCAUUCAUUAUUCAACUAUUCGAAUAUUAAAUUUCGGAGUCUAUUUGGUAUUAUUUAAUCCAAUUCUUGAGAUUCACUUUAGAAUAGACAAUCCUAAUAAAUUUCCAAUAACUAAGGGUGUGUUUUGAAAACUAAAAUUUGAAAUUUAAAUCUAUUAAGUUAUUGAAUUAUUAAAUAUUAAAUCUAAUACAUUUGAAUAUAUACCACAUUUAGUGAUGAGUGAAUAGUUUAUCACUUAUUUUUUGGAGCAAUUUUGCUUAGUAAAUUAAUCAGAUGUUCAAUUUUUGUUAUCAAACGCAUCUAAAUAUAUUAAAAUUGAAUCUAUUAAAUUUAAGUGCAGAAUUACAUUAUCAAACAGUUGAUAAUGGUGCAGUCGGUUUUUUUUUUGGUUUAUUCAAACUGCCCUCCAGAUGUGUCGUUCUUAUCUUCGAAAAUGUAUUACAUUGUCAAAAAAAAAAAAAAUUUUACUUUGGAACUCUGGGGUUGCUUUCUUCCGUUAGAGAAUGUGGAAAAUCAUGAAGAAGAAAGGGAGGACAGAAACAACUAUUUUUUAUAAUAAAAUAUUUCUUAAAAUUGCUUCGAAGUUGUAUACACAUAAAGUAUGUUAUAAUCAGUAGUAUUUGCUUACGAGAAGAAAGAUGGUUAAAAUUAAAUGUCAAUUUGCUACUGUAUUGGAUAACCUUGAAACUCUAGUCAUUGGAUGUUUCAAUGUUGCACGAAUAAUAUUUGGGUCUUUCUUAACAAGACAUUUGGUGUUUCAUGAAUAGAUGAAUUGAUAUCUAUUAUUCUGCGAUUAGUAUAUGCAAGUUCACUUAACAAUCAUUUUCUAGGUAUAAAACUAGCAAAACAUGAAGGACACAAACAAGAACCAAGUUUGUAUUAUAACUAACAUUAUAAUUAACACAAGAAAUAAAGUAAUAGGAGAAAUGUCACCAUUUUCACAUGAGUUUCGAAACCUCUAUCUUCAUCCUCAACUUCAUCUAGGCUUAGUUACAUACAAGGCUUGAAUGAAACAAACUAUACUAAUCUACACUACAAACUAAUGAACUAAGAAAACUAAUGAAGAUUACAUUUUUUGUGGUAUUUCUAGCCUUCAAAAGUUGUUCAAAUAAGCUCUCCAAAGGCUAUAUUUAUAGAGAAUUCAAUAUCCAAAUGAGUUGUUAAAGUUGAUGUAGAUUGCAUCUUGAAAUCAUCAAAGUUACUUCUUGAAGUCUCUAUGCUUGCUUGCUCAUAUCCAGCUGAAUUUCUUAUAGAAAAAUUGGUCAAAAACUUGUGAAACAGAGACACAAGUUGUAGAACAAGUUGCAGCCGCAAUUAAAGAAAAUGCAGGCUCAGAAAAUGUGGGCUGAGGUCACAUAUUUAUCCCAUGUUUUCCUCUUUUGUGGGUUUUCUCAUUUUUGGUCAGUCUUCAACUUUGCUCUAUUUUUGUAUCAAAUUCAACUGAUAUUUUCUAGAUCAUAGAACCUGAACUAACUCUUGCACGAAACAUGAAAGUUGUAGUCUUUGAAUGAGCUUUCCAAUGCUUCAAGAAUCAUUCAAUUUAGAGCUCUAUGUACUGAGAAAUGACCAAAAUACCCUUAAUUAAUCAAUUCUAUUUCAGCUUUCAACAACAAAAAUGAAUAGAGAAUUUUAAAAAUUUUAAAAAAUGAGUGUAAAGGAUCUAAAAAUAUUCAAUUUAACACUAGAGAUAAAGCAUGUGUUGUAGAUGCACUCUAUUUAUUUGUUUUGAAUACUAUUUUAACAAAAAAAGUAAGCAUUAAUUUGUACAUGCACUUUUAUAUACUAUUAUGUACAAAUUAUGAAUUCUUAUACCUACCAAGUGUUUUAUUUGAUCAAAAGUGAAUAUCUUAUACUUAUUUUAUAGAGUUAGCAAAUUUUUUGUCAAUUUUUCUAGAACGUUUCUAUAAUUUUUAUAGAACUUUUGUAUAAUUUUAUCAUAUGAUAAUAAAUUUUAUAGAUUGUACAAAGCACUAAGACCCAAUAUGGUCAAUUAAUAUAUUUUAGGGGCUACCUUUUUUCAGAUUGAAAAUUAAGGCACUAAUUUGAUCAAAAUUGAAUACGUUAAAGACUACUUUUCUUUUGUCUAAAACUAUGAAAACUAAUUUAGUCUAACCCAUAAACUUUGAGAACUAAAAUUUGCAUUAUAAGACAAAAGAGUUGAUGCAUUUGGAAAAGUGUAAGGGUCUAUUUGUUUGGACUGAAAUUGUUUUCCAAAAAAUGUUUUCUGAAAUUUCUGGUGUUUGGCUGUCAAAAAGGUCGCAAAAAUUUUUUCUCGUAUAAAAUGUUUUGCACAUCAAGUGUAAAAUACUCCCUCAUCUAAUUAAACGUAUCAUACUUUCAUUUUGAUUUGUCCCAAAAUUAAUAUCAUUAUCACAAUUAGCAAUGAAAUUUCACCCAUUUCCAUCUCAACCCUUAAAUAUACCAAAUUCUUUUAAUCUUUUGAUGGGCCCCAAAAAAUUAAAAGAAUUAUGCUUGGUACACGUGUGUCCCACAGCAAGUGCAACCAAUGGUUGUGCAGGAUACUUUCCCAAAAAUUGUUAGGAGACAUUCUCAAUGCUUGGAUCCAGAGUCUUGUCACCACUACUUUAUCUUUCUACCAUCCAACAAGUUUUAAUGCAUAGAAACUACAGAAGGUAUUGCUAGAAGUUAGACCAGAAUCAUUUGAAGUCUUAGCACUAUUGAAAAUAAGUUCUGAGUCUUGAGUGCGACAAAUAUUUUAGGACAGAGUAACUUAGGGUCUGUUUGAUAAUAUAAAAAAGUGUUAAAAUUGAAUCUUUUCAAACAUUCGGAUAUUUUAAAUAUUUGAUAAAUAAAAAUCUAUCUGCUAAACUUGUGUCUAUUCUUUUCAGCGCUAGAAUCCUAACUGAAUGUUUAAUUCUGAUAAGAACCAAUAAAAUUAUUUCAACUAUUUUAUCUUAUAUAAUUCUUAUCUUAUCUUAUCUACCUAACCUACCAUUGUUUAUUAAUUAUAUUUAAAAUUCUUAUAUGAUUAAACAACCUAAUAUUCUCUAUCUAACAGUUUUCCAUUUCUCUUUUCUCCUUUUUUAAUGACUUUCACAUCUUCGCCAAACUCCUCAUAUAAUAUACUUCAUUUUUUAUACUAAUUUGAUUUAAAAAUAUAUAUUAUCAUUUUCAUACCUAACAAUUUUAAAUUAAUUAAAUCAUAGGUUCUAUUUUUUUUGGUUGGAAAGAUACAAGGGCAAAAUUGUCAAAUUUUACUUAUUCAAUAUUCAAUUAUAAAUGUUUAUCAAAUAAUAUUAAUAGGUUUAGUAUUAAAAUUCAGACAUUCAUAUAUUUCUUUUUAGUGUUUAAAAUUCAGCAAAUUAAUUGUUUCAAUAUUCAGAUUUUCGAAUUCAGAUUCAGUUUUAUCAAACGGAAUCUUAUCCAAGGAAUGUACUGUGGUACUGAAGUUAUUUUCCCUUGAACAAUAAAACUGUCGGAGCUAAUCAUCUCACUAUCCCUUUAAAUAUCAAAAUUGUACGCAUGACAAAACAUCCCUCAUGAAACUUGCUGAAUAUCCACUGCCAGCGACCUCCCCUCUUCCUCACUGUUCUCGCUUAACCUACACUCGCAGCCGCAGGCACCACCUGCCAUCCUCCUCUUACUCACCUUUCUCAUACUAAUCCAUUCCUUUCAUACCAGUAUACAACUAUAUGCGUGGGAUAGAGAAACUCCACUUCUAAGGUGGGUUUUGUCUUGACAAGUUUUUUGGAAGAAAAACCUGGAAAAAAGAAAGAGAUGCUAUUGGAAAGAUCUGUUAAAGAAUUUAUACGCAUCAAAUUCGAAGCACUAAUUUUGCAGAUGAUGGUUAGAGUAAUCAAAUUUGAAACGAUUUUAAUUGACAUAUCAGCAUAUAACUAGUAUGAUAUGUAAUUGGUUUGAGAUAUUAUGAAUUCCCUUUCAUGGAGUUUGAUCUGAUUUUUGGGAAGUCGAAGGAUUUGCAUUUGGAUGGAUGGUCAAUCAACGUUGAAUCGGGUGGUGUCAUGCUGGCAGUAGGGAAGGGAAUGGAUUGGGUACCUGCCCUAGGCAUCAUUUCGCUAACCCGAUCAGUACCUUACAAAUUAGCAAUUUUUUGUUCCUUACCCGCUUCACAUAUCAGUGGGUAUCUGCUGAGAUAGGAUCGAGUCAACAGGUAUCUAUCUCGCCCCGCUUAUCAUUUAAUUUUUUAAAAAAAUUAAGUUAUAUUAAUAAGUUUUGUAUUUUACAUAUUCUUCUAAAAUUUAAUAAAGAUUUUUUUUCUGAAAAAAAAGUUUUAGAAACAAACAUGCUAAGAGAGUACAAGAAAAAGAAAAAAAUUGAAAUAUGUAGCACCUAUAUGUUUCACAUUAAUUAAACUCUUUUUUAAAAAACAUAAGAUCAUGACCUCUACAAAUGAAUCUUGUAAACAAACUAUAAUCUCCCAUAUUUAUAAUGCAAUUUGUUCAAUGAAAUUGCUUACUUAUCUCUAAAAAUAUUAUUUUAUUAUAUGUGCACAAAAAUAAAAAUUAUAUACAUAUAUAAUGUAUAUAAGCCGGUAUCCGAUUCUCUUUUGAUCUAAUCAAAUAAUACAGAUUGGGUAUCUUAAUUUUUGGAUUAGAUAGGAUCAGAUAUGACCGAUUUUCGGGUUAACAUGUAUUUUUACUCACCCCUAAUUGGCAGACGUAAACAGAGGAAUCUGAGGGGAAUAUUCUUGUUUUGAUUUUGGGGACAGUGCACCAAAUACAUGAGAAUCGAAGAACUUCCUUGAAUAAAAUUAUUUUCAUCCAAAAUCUUUUCUUUGGGAAAAAGUUUUACACUGACUAACGGACCCUAAGUGUUCCUCUAAUUAUGCAACGCAAAUAUGGCAAUUUGAAGAGAUCUGAAUGCUCCCUCCAUUGACUUGAUUGUGUAACAUCAUUGUCUAUUUUCACUCCUUGCCCUUUUUCAAUACCUCAGGGUGGCUCAGCAUAAGAGGCAUAACCGACUCCAAUGCAUGUAUAGUCAAACAGAACAAAAAGCCCAAGCAAAACAAGAGCACAACGUUAUGGCUGACUACAAUGCAUGUAUGGUCAAACAGAACAAAAUGCUCGAGCAAAACAAGCGUACAACAUUAUGCCGACUCCAAUGCAUGUACGGUCAAGCAUAAAAAAUGCCCAAGAAAAAGCAAAAGGACAGCACACAUUAUGGUGAACGGUAAAAGAUGUUCAACAAGAUUUUGUAUUAAUUGAGGAAUAAUGCUUUAUAAUUGCUGCAACUGACAGUAUAUUUUUAUGGAUGCUACCAAAGAAAACCAAACGAUUUUUUGUGAAUAAAAGUUUCUUGUCAGAUUCCAUAAUGUAAUAGAGGCUACUCUUGUCUGCUUUAGCAUUUCCAAAAUUUCUCUCUGGAGAGAUUCUUCAAAACAACCGUUGUUUAGAGAUUUAAAGCCUACUUUGGUUUUAAAAGUUGUAAACAGCAAUCGGUAUUUGAAAAAGAACCUUAAAAUUAAAUUUCAAAAAAUAAAUUUUUUCUCUACAAAUGAUUCACAAGGAGAAGACAAAAUCAAGGAAGGAAACAGUUAAGACAAAGUUUCUAAGUUUAGGCCCAAAAAAAGAAAAAGAAAAGAGAAAACUAGCUGAUUUUAAGGAAAACAAUACAAUAGCAAUCGAAAAUGCAAGUUCUUGAUUUGUUAAAAUGUUUAAAUUGGGACCCUUGUCUUAGAUCUUUUAUUUAUUUGGCGACCUAUUAUGAUAUAAAAAAGGAUAAUUUUAUAAACUUUCCUUAAGCUUUCUACAAAUUUUGCUUCGCCCCUUACAGAUUUCACUAUUAUAUAUAAUGCCCUUAUUUUUCAAAUUCAAUGUAACAAUGGCACUCCAUGCAUAUAAAAUGUUAUAAAAUAUUUCGAUUAAAAAAUUAUCCUUCCAUGGCCUUUAGAAAAUUAAUAUAAUAAAUUCAACUAAAAAUAACGAAAAUGUUUCAAAUAAAAUCAAAGAAAUUCAUAAUAAAGUAUGAUAGUCCACAAAGAAUUAAAAUGAGGUAUAAAAACAAUUGAUAGAAUAAAUAUCUAAAGCUAAUCCUUGAAAGUACCUAGGGUCACAAGAAAUUGAAAUAACAAACUUAAAUUCUAAAAAGGGUUUGAAAUUGCAAAAUAAAAACCGGAGAGAAAAUUCCUUCAUUAACAAUAGUUUAAUAGGCUACUUGAUCACAUAUACCAAUUUCUAAAAAUGAACUCUUUAAUUAUCCCAAGCAACACUAGUAUUUUCUUAAGUGUUCCUAAGCAUCAGAGUUUAGGUUUUUAAUUCUCUAUAUGGCUUUGUUAUGAUUUACCUUAUUAGAUUUUCAUGAAUUUUUUCAAAACAAAAAAAUAAAAUCAACUUAUCUCAUUUUCAUUUCAUUUUCAAAGUCCUUUGUUGGAGUUUAAUUGAAUGUAUGACUUUUAACAUUUUAUGUGAAUUUAUUGGAUAAAUGGCCGACUUUGUUGCAUUGAAAUUCAAAAUAAGGAAGCCAGGGAGGUAAGCGUAAUAUUUCCAGCUCCCCCCCAGCCCCAAGGGAGCCAAGGCGAAGUUUUACUUAUCCUUCAAAAAAAGUGCUAAGUGCUUGUGGAAUGGGGUUUAUAUUUAAUAGGUAACAACUUAAACCCUCCCCCCUCCCCCACCCCUUCCCCUCCAAAAAAAGCCCUUAUAAUUAUUUAGAUAUUUUCUCACAUUUUUUCCCCUUCACUGAAGUAGACAGCUAAUGGAUCCAGCUCCUCUCCAUUACUUAUUUUCUCCAGUUAUCCUCAAUAUAGCAAUAUGAGUUUGACAUGUGUCCAAUUUGAAGUCAAUGUCCAAGAUUUCUUUUGCUCAUAACCAGCAUCUUAACCUUGGUUAAGCACAAUCUAACAUACCAUGUUUACCAUAAUUUGGAGUAUUUGAAAAAAAAAAAAACCACCUUUUCCAGCCAAAUUUUAUAUGGGAAAAGUAAAAGAAAGAAAAGUCAAAUCAUGGAAUUUCAUGGAAAAGAAAAAGAAAGAAAAGGCAAAUCAUGGAAUUUAAGUUACAGGUAUAUCCUGCCCAAAUCAUGAUCUUGCAUCUUUUUUCUCAAACUUUCAGUGAAUUGGUAAUGUUUUUCUCACUUGAAACGGAUUUUUUGUUUUGGGAAUCUCAAAAUUGUUCUCAAAGUAAAUAUUCAGAUUAAUGUUAGGAUCCAAACACGGAACACACAACUAUUGAGAUAUUAAGUAUACAACAGUUUAUGAAAAAUAAGUCACAAGCAUGAAAGAUAAACGACAUUCAAUAUUUAACGUGGUUGAAUUAGCUCCACCAUUGAGUUUACGUGCAUAGAGAUAAUGUGAAGACUCAUAAAAUUUAUCUAUUUUAAACUUCUAAUUCUAGCUCAUUUAAUUAUUUAUUUGGCCAAUUGUCCCGAAUAUUAUUUUCUAACCUUUUUAGACCUAAUUAUAUGGAUCUAUAGCUUAGUUAUAUUUUUAAAGUGACUUGUUUAAAAAUUUAAUAUUUGAAUGCUCGUUAAGUGAAAAUAGUGAAUACGCGAUUCAAGUCAAUAAUCGAUUCGAGAAUACAAUAAGCUUGAAAAAUUGGAAACUUGCACAUUAGUCUUGAAAUAGGUAUUUUUAUGUUUAAGUGCUCAAUUAUUAGUUAGUGAUACAAUCGUUAUAAGAAUUUCUUGAAAAUUUCGCUUUAUCGCGCAAAAAUCAGAAGUACGCGUUUUUACGCGCACGAUUAAUUGAGGGACUUUAGACCUUUAUUUUUAGACCAUUAAGAGUGAAUAAUAAUAGUAUGAAUGUAAGUGCAUUAGAGGUUUAGUGCACUAGUGCAACAAACCCGAGAGGAAUCGGGCGCGAAACACGCACGAACGCGCACUAUUCCCAGUUAACUUUUGGGACAAAUCUUGGCCACAAAUUCUCAAGCUUCCUCAAGAAGCUACAACACUCUACGCUCUCUUUUCUCUCUUGGUGGCCGGCCAAAACAGCAAGGAAGGAGGAAGAAAAGCUUCACCAUUUUUACUCCAAAUCUUUGAACCAAUCUUUCUCCAUUUCAUCUCAAAAUCACACUACACUUUGCUAACCACUUGGAGACCACCUCAAGCUAGGAAAAGAGCUUCAAAUCCACGGUUUUUCUUGAGCAAGGAGGACCAAAAAUUUUGCCUUAAAUCAUCUAGGAAAGUAAGUGACGAUCAACCUUGAAAAUCUUGACUUAUGGAAGUUGUUUAGCACUUAUGAGUUCAUAAUUUCUUAUGGGUAACUUAAAUUGUUGGAAAAUUGGUGAGUGGGCUCUAUGAACUCCCACUAUGGCUUGAUGGACUGAUUUGUGGUGUUUUGAUAUUAUUAAUGUUGGUUUAGUGCUUAAAUUAAUAGAAAUGAGUGAUAUUAUGGAUGAAAGCUCAAAGGGAGUGAAGAUGGAAAACUUUCCGUUUCUGCCCUUGAAUGUCCGUGACCCUUAGAGCAAACUUUUGUGGUUAUAUUGACUUGUUUAUGAUGUAUACAUGUUGUGUGGGUGGUGUAGAAAGUUUCAUCAAAAAAUUUCAUGAUUUGGUUGGCCAAAUGAUGUGUUUUCGGAAAUCAGCAAAAACUGGAAAUUUUCCCGUAAUUGCUCUGGCAGUGUUUUUAUUUGGCUAUAACUUUUUUCUCCGACAUUGAAAUCGAGUACCGUUUGCAGCACUGGAAACUAGACAUUCCUAACUUUCCAAAAGUAUAUAAUGCACAUCCUAGUUCCACCUGAGUAGUCCAUGCCAAUAGUUUGAACAUGACUGUCCUGUUUCGCGUCUACAUUGGGAGCUCUGGUUUGAGCAGCAAAUUGAUGCUCAAAUAUAAGCUAGCUGUGGACAGAUUUUGAAAAUGAUUUCUUCUAAAAAUUAUAGAUUUAUGAAUAUAGUUUUCAACACCACUAACACGCCGAUUCCAAGUUGAAUUGAGUGAGUUGUGGCUGAAAUCCGAGACUGACUCAAUGAUUUGAAACCCUCUUUUGGCUAGUAAAUGUCCAAAUCUUGAUUGGGACUUGUUGUUUCGAAAUUUUUGGCUUUAAUCACCUAUCAAAUGCAUCUGGAUGUUUCUUAGACAUUACCUACACAAAGGAACUAUGUUUGAGAUAUUUUGUUGGUUAAACGUUUCAAAAACGGAAAACUCAUGUACAAGGCAAAUUUGUCUUGGAAAUUUGGAAACUUUGGUGAUCUGGUUAACCAACUUUCCGUACGUAUUUUUCCAUGAAAAUUGAUAGAGGAAUAACCCUCAUAUGGUAGUAUAAUAUUGCUGAAUUUGGUGCCAUUCCGAGUUCAUUCCAAUACUCAAACAAAGUCCAAAAUUUGUAAAUUGAACCUGGAAAUUUGCCUAACAGUCUCAAUUUUUCAGCAACUUUGAGCCACUAUAUCUUGGUGCUCAAAACUCCGAUUCUUAUUCCACUUAUUUUAUUUUAAACUUUGAUUACAACUCUAAUUGAGUUUCAAAUCUGAGAGGCUAAUUCAAAUUUUGUGAAUUUUUCGAAUUUCCAAAUUUGGCGAAAAACCAACCUCAAAACUGUCUCGCAAGCCUAAAACAGUAACUUUGAGCCAAUUUUUGAAUACUUUCCGUUGGGAAUCAUGGGAAAGUGUAUUCUAAUAACUUUUAGUACUUUGGAAGAAGUUUCCAACGGUACCAAUUUUUCCAAUUUGGGACUUAUAAAGAGUGAGAUACGAUUUUUCAAAAAUCUCGUAUCAAAGCUGAAAUUUUCGAAAUUUCAGGAAAUGGAGUUUUUCGAAUUCUCCUUUUCCCCUCGAUAUCACUUGAACGUUUACACUUGAUUUCAAAGAUGAAAACUCGAUUUCUCUUGUGCUUUAAAAAUCCCAUUUUUGAGCCUUGAUUCGCGAGUAAUUAGGCUCGUUUUCGUGAAAUUUUCUUAGAUUGUACAAGUGUACAAUCAUUCGUGAUAACCGGGAUUUAUAUAUGAUAGUUCACUAUUAAUUGCUCAAGCUCGCACGAGAACCUUCAAGAGGUUCCCACGAUGAGCACCUGAACUUCGAGUGACAUUUCUUCCUUGUUUAUUUGGUGAGUGUCAAGUGUAUGUAAACCUGAUACGUGCUUAAUUGUUAUUAGUGAUUGGAGAUUUUGAAAAUGCUGAGUCGAGUGUGUACUUUACCGCACUCGAUCUCAUUUAAAUGAAUCAUGAAUGACUUGAUUGAAAUGAAAUGAAUGAUUGAAUGUAUUGAAUGAUUGAAUGAAAUGAUAAAUUAUGCUAUGACUGCAUAAGUCGAUUGGAGUGAUGCCUCAUCGACCACUGAACGAUUGUAAGCACCACACCGAUUCGGGUGGGAGGUACCUCUCGAGUCAUCUCAGUACCCUAAACCUCUGAACGAUAGUAAGUAUCACACUGAUUUGGGUGGAAGAUACCUCUCGAGUCGUCUCAGAACUAUAAAGUAUUCUAAGUCGAUUGGAGCGGAGUCUCAUCGACCUCUAAACGAUAGUAAGUACCACACCGAUUUGGGUGGGAGGUACCUCUCGAGUCGUCUUAGAACCAUAAAGUAUUCUAAGUCGAUUGGAGUGGAGUCUCAUCAACCUCUUAACGAUAGUAAGUACCACACCGAUUUGGUGGGAGGUACCUCUCGAGUCGUCUCAGAACUAUAAAUCGAGCGAUAGCAAGUACCACACUGAUUUAGGUGGAAGAUACCUCUUGAGUUGUCUCAAAAACAUAAAUGGAAUAAGUGAAGUGCUACGAAUUUGAUUACCUACCCGGGUGACGGGGUGCCGUCACGAGAAGGUAUUAAAUUGAAUUUGGGCAAAGCAAUUGAAAAUUAGUUCCUAAGAGCUCCUGCAUCCUACUCAAGUGUGUUUAUUAUAAAUUAUGAAUUAAUUAAAUGUUAUAGUUUUCAUUAUUGUGUAAGUGCUAUUGUUAUUAAACUACGUGUCUUGCAUGUUUUCUUGGCCUCACGAGCAUUCGCUCUCCCGUUAGAUUUGUUUUCCUUAACAGGAACGGAUAUGGGAGGAAUUAUAGAGAAGUUUACUCGGUGACCCAUUUGAUUAGAAUUUUAAAUGUAUUUGUUUAGAAGACUUUUGAAAGUUGUAUAUUUUGAAAAAAGUAAUUGUAAGUUUGAAAUUGUGAUGUAAGAUUGAAUAUUUAAGUAUGGAAAUGACUUUGUACUUUUUUUUAUUUUCAUUGUUAGUAUUAGACUUUAAGUUUGAAUUGGAAUUGUCUCAAGUCCUGGCGAGAGUUGGACAGGCGUCCCGCGGAUACCCUUGGGUUCGCCCAUGGGAGAAGUGGGGGCGUCACAGUUGGUAUAAGAACUUAGGAUUUAGAUCUUUAUAGUGUAUUCUAGGCCUAAAACUUUAGGAUGCCGGACUGUGGGAUUUGAUUGUGUAUUAAGUGCAACGUGAUUUUGGUGUUUGAGGUUAUAGCACCAUUUUUACUCACAAAACACUAUAAGACUUUACUCUUCAAGUUAGGUUGGAGGUGGGUCAAGAUUAGAAAAUCUAAAAAACUAUCUAGUGAGUUUAAGGGUUAAAAACCUUGCUUUCCUACUCUUUUGUUUGUCAAACAUUUCGAAAGAAAAGUUGAACCAUUUGAACAAUUUUGGGCUCCACUUUAAACUUGAAAAUGAGACAUCUUUGCAUUCCGUUUUGUGAUCAACAAAAAGAAAAAUCUCAAACUGGUCAAGCCGUGACUCCUCACGUAACUUGUGGAUACUGUGGUCAGAUUAACCACACUGAGGUUGAGUGCUGGAGAAAACAAGGAAAAUGUCUGAGUUGCGCUAGUACCGAGUAUAAGUUUUCGAAUUGCACUAAAGCUUCUAAGGGAAAAGGAAAUUCUUAACAACCUGCUAAAUCCACUGCAAAAUCAGUCGAGUGCCAAAAGGAGUAAUUAAUGCUAAUGAUUGUAAGAGGGACCCAAGUAGUAGAAACUCUAUGAGUAGUGGUAAAUCUAACUCCACUCGACAAAUAGAGAUUGUAGUUUCAACCUAACAUAAACUGGCACUUUCAGAUGGUGUAAUCUUUUGUAUAGGGAUGACAUCCUUUUGAUAUAUAUUGCGACUUAACACGUUUUGAUCUUGUUGAUUCCCCUUUUCUUUUGAAAUGAUUUGAUGAACUUAUUAUAAUUUAGUAUAACUAUUAUGAUCUUUUAUGGUAUAUGAAAAUUUACCUUACUUUUGAUUGAUUUUACAGCUUAUAUAUAUCUGUAAUCUGUUGCUCCAUGUCUCAAAACCUGUAAUAAGAUCAUGAAUGGCACUUGAGAAUGGUUAAGUUCCACAAGUGUGAGUUUUGAAUGGGAGAAGUAAAAGUGAUGAAAAUUGGUCACAUGAGGGAAUGACCGGUAAAAAUUUUGAUCGAAAAGUGAAGGGGUUAAAAACGCAAGCAAGUCCUCUAAUGAAGGUUUUAUAGAGAGAUUAUGAACUAAAGGAAGCAACCUAGGAAGUAACCAUUCGAGAAAAGUAUCCAGACCUGUUCGCAGAUCAAAGUAAAUUUCGAGGACGAAAUUUUUUUAAGAGGGAGAGAAUGUGAAGACUCACAUAAUUUAUCUAUUUUAAACUCCUAAUUCUAACUCAUUUAAUUAUUUAUUUGGCCAAUUGCCCCGAAUAUUAUUUUCUAACAUUUUUAGACUUAAUUAUAUGGAUCUAUAACUUAGUUAUAUUUAAAAAAUGACUUGUUUAAAAAUUUAAUUUUUGAAUGCUCGUUAAGUGAAAAUAGUGAAUACGCGAUUGAAGUCAAUAAUCGAUUCGAGAAAACAAUAAACUUGAAAAAUUGGAGACUUGCACAUUAGUCUUAAAAUAGAUAUUUCUAUGUUUAAGUGCUCAAUUAUUAAUUAGUGAUACAAUCAUUAUAAGAAUUUCUUGAAAAUUUCGCUUUAUCGCGCAAAAAUCGGAAGUACGCAUUUUUACGCGCGCUAUUAAUUGAGAGACUUUAAACCUUUAUUUUAGACCAAUAAGAUUGAAUAAUAAUUGUAUGAAUGUAAGAGUAUUAGAGGUUUAGUGUACUAGUGCAACAAACCCGAGAGAAAUCGGGCGCGAAACACGCACGAACACGCACUAUUUUCGGUUGACUUUUGGUACAAAUCUUGGCCACAAAUUCUCAACCUUCCUCAAGAAGCUACAACACUCUCUACACUCUCUUUUCUCUCUCUUGGUGGCCAGCCAAAACAGCAAGGAAGGAGGAAGAAAAGUUUCACCAUUUUUACUCCAAAUCUUUGCACCAAUCUUUCUCCAUUUCAUCUCAAAAUCACACUACACUUUGCUAACCACUUGGAGACCACCUCAAGUUAGGAAAAGAGCUUCAAAUCCACGGUUUUUCUUGAGCAAGAAGGACCGAAAAUUUUGCCUUAAAUAAUCUAGGAAAGUAAGUGACGAUCAACCUUGAAAAUCUUGACUUAUGGAACUUGUUUAGCACUUAUGAGUUCAUAAUUUCUUAUGGGUAGCUUAAAUUGUUGAAAAAUUGGUUAGUGGGCUCUGUGAACUCCCACUAUGGUUUGAUGGACUGAUUUGUGGUAUUUUGAUGUUAUUAAUGUUGAUUUAGUGCUUAAAUUAAUAGAAAUGAGUGAUAUUAUGGAUGAAAGCUCAAAGGGAGUGAAGAUGGAAAACUUUUCGUUUCUGCCCCUGUGAAUGUCCGUGACCCUUAGAGCAAACUUUUGUGGUUAUAUUGACCUGUUUAUGAUGUAUACAUGUUGUGUGGGUGGUGUAGAAAGUUUCAUCAAAAAAUUUCAUGAUUUGGUUGGCCAAAUGAUGUGUUUUCGAAAAUCAGUAAAAACUGGAAAUUUUCCCGUUACUGCUCUGGCAGUGUUUUUGUUUUGGCGAUAACCUUUUGCUCCGACGUCGAAAUCGAGUGCCGUUUGCGGCAUUGGAAAGUAGACAUUCCCAGCUUUCUAAAAGUAUAUAAUUAACAUCCUGGUUCCAUCUGAGUAGUCCAUGCCAAUCGUUUGAACAUGACUGUCCUGUUUCGCGUCUACACUGGGAGCUCUGGUUUGAGCAGCAAAUUGAUGCUCAAAUAUAAGCUAGCUGUGGUUAGAUUUUGAAAAUGAUUUCUUCUAAGAAAUUAUAGCUUUAUGAAUCUAGUUUUCAAAGCCACUGACCACGCUCAAUUCCAAGUUGAAUUGAGUGAAUUGUGGCCGAAAUCCGAGACUGACUCAAUGAUUUGAAACCCUCUUUUGGCUAGUAAAUGUCCAAAUCUUGAUUGGGACUUGUUGUUUCGAAAUUUUUGCCGUUAAUCACCUACCAAAUGUAUCUUGGAUGUUUUAUAGACAUUACUUACACAAAGGGACCGUGUUUGAGACAUUUCGUUGGCUAAACGUUUUGAAAACGGAAAACUCAUGUACAAGGAAGAUUUGCCUUGAAAAUUUGGAAACUUUGGUGAUCUGGUUAACCAACAUUCCAUGCGUAUUUUUCCAUGAAAAUUGAUAUAGGAAUAACCCUCAUAUGGUAGUAUAAUACUGCCAAAUUUGGUGAGAUUCUGAGUUCAUUUUGAUGUUCAAACAAAGUCCCAAAGUUUGUAAAUUGAACCUGAAAAUUUGCCUAACCGUCUCAAUUUUUCAGCAACUUUGAGCCACUAUAUCUUGGUGCUCAAAACUCCGAUUCUUGUUCCGCUUGUUUUGUUUUAAAAUUUGAUUGCAACUCUAAUUGAGUUUCAAAUCUGAGAGGCUAGUUCAAAUUCUAUAAAUUUUGCCAAAUUUCCAAAGUUGGCAAAAAAUCAACCUCAAAACUAUCUUGCAAGCCUAAAACAGUAACUUUGAGCCAAUUUUUGAAUGCUUUCCGUUGGGGAUCAUAGGAAAGUGUAUUCUAAAAACUUUUAGUACUUUGGGAAAAGUUUUCAACGGUACCAAGAUUUCCAAUUUUGGACUUGUAAAGAGUGAGAUACGAUUUUUCAAAAAUCUCGUAUCAAAGCUGAAAUUUUCGAAAUUUAAGGAAAUGGAGUUUUUCGAAUUCUCUUUUUUCCUCGAUAUCACUUGAACGUUUACAAUUGAUUUCAAAAAUGAAAACUCGAUUUCUCUUGUGUUUUAAAAGCCCCACUUUUGAGUCUUGAUUCGCGAGUAAUUUAGGUUCGCUUUCGUGAAAUUUUCUUAGAUUGUACAAGUGUAUAAUUAUUCGUGAUAAUUAGGGUUUAUACAUGAUAGUUCACUAUUAAUUGUUCAGGCUCGCACGAGGACCUUCAAGAGGAUCCCACGGUGAACGCCUGAAUUUCAAGUGACAUUUUUUCCUUGUUUACUUGGUGAGUAUCAAGUGUAUGUAAACCUGAUACGUUCUUAAUUGUUAUUAGUGAUUGGAGAUUUUGAAAAUGCUGAGUCGAGUGUGUACUUUACCGCACUCGGUCUCAUUUAAAUGAAUCAUGAAUGACUUGAUUGAAAUGAAAUGAAUGAUUGAAUGUAUUGAAUGAUUGAAUGAAAUGAUAAAUUAUGCUAUGGCUGCAUAAGUCGAUUGGAGCGAUGCCUCAUCGACCACUCGAGUCGUUUCAGAACCAUAAAGUAUUCUAAAUUGAUUGGAGCGAAGUCUCAUCGACCUCUGAACGAUAGUAAGUACCACCUCGAUUCGGGUGGGAGGUACCUCUCGAGUCAUCUCAUAAUCAUAAAGUAUUCUAAGUCGAUUGAAGCGGAGUCUCAUCGACCUCUGAAUAAUAGUAAGUACCACACUGAUGUAGUGGGAGGUAAUUCUCGAGUUGUCUCAGAACUAUAAAUCAAACGAUAGCAAGUACCACACUGAUUUGGGUGGGAGGUACCUCUCGAGUCGUCUCAGAAACAUAAAUAGAAUAAGUGAAGUACUAUGAAUUUGAUUACCUACCCGAGUGACAGGGUGCCGUCACGCGAAGGUAUUAAAAUGAACAUGGGCAAAGCAAUUGAAAAUUAGCUACUGAGAGCCCCUGCAUCAUACUCAAGUGUGUUUAUUAUAAAUUAUGAAUUACUUGAAUGUUAUAACUUUCAUUAUUGUGUAACUGCUAUUGUUAUUGAACUACGCAUCUUGCAUGUUUUCUUGGCCUCACGAGCAUUCGCUCACCCAGUUAGAUUUGUUUUCCUUAAUAAGAGCGGAUAUGGGAGGAAUUAUGGAGAAGUUUACUUGGUGGCUUAUUUGAUUAGAAUUUUGAAUAUUUUUGUUUAGAAAACUUUUGGAAAUUGUAUAUUUUGGAAUAAGUAAUUGUAAGUUUGAAAUUGUGAUGUAAGAUUAAAUAUUUAAGUAUGGAAAUGACUUCGUACUUUUAUUCCGAUUUUCAUUGUUAGUAUUAGACCUUAAGUUUGAAUUAGAAUUGUCUCGAGUCUUGGCGAGAGUUAGACAGGCACCCCACGGAUACCCUUGGAUUCGCCCAUAGGAGAAGUGGGGGCAUCACAGAUAAACCCAUUCUUUAUUAUGAAAGGAAAAUCUUACACAAGAAUAUAAUUUAAACCCAAAUCCAACCAUUGUAUACCAUCUCUUAUUUCUCAUGAACCCUAUCUGACCCCAUGGAUAAGACUACAUGUUGCCUCUUGUGUGCCCCCUUGUGUGUCUCUUUGUAGUAUGUCAAUCCACCUAUUUAUAAGGAACAUUAUUUGGCCAAAACCCAAAUAACAACAGGAAACUAAUUCUAAUUCUUAGACUUAUACAGAAUAGGAAAUAACUUCUAAUCUUAAACAAAAUACGAAAUUUCUUGGCUACUACUUCAAGUAACUAAAACCAAUUAGAAAACUAGUUACUUCCACACAAAACAAGAAACUUGCCUAAAGAAAUUAAGUCAAUUUCUUAACAAAUGUCCACCUUGGCGAAAAUUUCUUUUAACAACCAUUUGCCUUCAACUACUAAAUAAUAUGGUACCAAACUAUACACCCGAAUCAAUACAGUCCUGGCACCAAAUUGAUUCAAUCGGCAAAUGAACAUGUAUAGUUAUCCCAAGUCUACCUUCCAGUUGACUCGUGAGAAAGUACCUCAAUUCACCAUCUUUGUUUACAGGAUUUUUUCUCACCACUACUUAUAAUCCGAGAUCUCCUUCUGUGAGUUCUAACCCUAAUCAUUAAGGCAAUCAAUUGAUAAAAUUACCAUAUUUCUUUUCAUGCUCAGGACUGUCACGCCAUGUGUGAUUUUCAAUACUUCACCAAAAACGAAAAAAUCGUAACUGUCAAAGUCUUCUGGGAUGUACCACAUCACACCACACAAAGAACUAUCAGAGACUUCUUUGUUUCUCUGGGACAUACCACACCACGCAAAGAACAUAACCAAAUUUUAAAAUCCACUGGAACGCAGUAUCAACCGUUGGAGGUGUGAGAAAAUCUCUACCGAUUCAUGUCCAAAAUCAAAAUUAGACUCUAUCUUUUUCUUUACCCUUGAAUCACCUGGCUAAAUUCACCGUUAAGUGCCUCCAUGCAUUUCGACUUCCUAUCCUUCACCAUCAUUUUUUUUUUGUCAAGUAAUUGAAACAAGGAUAUCACUCAUUAAAUUGUCCAAUUAGUAACAAUUAUAAAUUCACUUGAUCUCAAUAGUUAACCAAGAUCCAAACUCUUGAUCCAACCAUUCAGUUUGUUGGGAUCUAAGUGCUUGUGAGCAAUCCAAUCUCACAACCAAACUCUGAUACUACUUGUUAGGAUUCAAGCGCGGAACACACAACUAUUGAAACAUUAAGUAUACAAUAAUUUAAUGACAAAUAAGUCACAAGUAUGAAAGAUAAAUGACACACAAUAUUUAGCAUGGUUCGACUCCACCAUUGAGCCUACGUCCACAGAGAGAAACUCGUUCUUUAUUAUGAGAGGAAAACCCUACACAAGAUUAUAACUUGAACCCAAAUCCAACCCUUGCAUACCAUCUCUCAUCUUUGAAGAACCCUUUCUCACCCAUGUAUAAGACUAUAUGUUGCCUCUUGUGUGCUCCUUGUGUGUCUCUUUGUAGUAUGCUAACCCACCUAUUUAUAGGGAAUAUUAUUUGGCCAACACUCAAAUAACAACAGAAAAAAUUCUAAUACCUAGACUUAUACAGAAUAAGAAAUAACUUCUAAUUCUAAACAAAAUAGAAAAUUUCUUGGCUACUAUUUCAAGUAACUAAAAUCAAUUGGAAAACUAGUUACUUCCACACAAAACAAGAAAUUUGUCUAAAAGAAAUUAAACCAAUUUUCUAACAAUUAAUCAUAUCAUUCUCAUCUUUUUAUCUUAUUUCAUCGUUGGUUUUCUUGCUUAUGUAAUCGAUUUAUGAUUUUAGAACUUGAGUCACUAGAAUAAGUUCCAAAAGGACAAGAUAUUCUAAUUAUAUAAUUGUCUAAUGCAUAUUAACUUUUUCUUGAAGCACAACAUAUGCUAAUUGGACAUAUAAAAAUUUUUACAUUUUCAAAAGGGAGGUAGUGAAACUGAAUUUUACUAUUCAGUUUUAGAAUUUGGAAGAACUGAUAAUGUUUAGGGAUCUUCUACAGUGGAGCGGUAAAAUGAAGAAGCUGAUUAGAUGAAUAUAGAAAGGAAGGCCUAGAAUUUUGCUUCUACUAAUUUGGAUGUAUUGAAGUCAGUUAACUAAUGUUAAGAAAAUAAAUCUUAUCCCUCUAAAUACUGUAAGGACAAGUGUCAGAAUAUCCAAAAGCAUAUUUAGGGAAAUGGAAAAGGUGUUGGGUGGGUGUGUGUGUGUGUGUGAUGGAAGGAGCCAAAUCCAACGGGUAACUAGGCAUCUAGGACAAAUCGCCCAUGUAAUAUAUCUAAUCAAACUUUCCGAGCCUUCGACUUUCUUUAAUCCUUGCACACAAAUUUGCAAAGUUUGUUUGUCAGGAUUAAUUUUAUCUAUCUUUUGUGUCCGAAAUGGAAAGGUCACACGUUGUUUCUCUUCUUAUGGUUCUAUUAUUUCAGGUGGGAAGAGCCAUAGUAGUUGGAAGUCAAGAUGGAUCAGAAGCGUGGGGAUAUGUUCAAGUCAGACCAAGUAUGUUUCUGAUGUUUUAAAUGCCAAUUAAAAGGAUCACUUGUCAAUGCUGAUAUUGAGUUCUUGUGUUUGUUUCAGUGGCUCACAUGUUCUGGUGGUACUCAUGGUUCGCCAUAUCAAACGAUACUAAUACAUAUUGGCCGAGUCGUAACAGGAACGGAGGGGACCGAUACGAUACCAAUCUGUGAAUCGCGAAUAUUACUAUAUCCAUGCCGACUCGCUCUGACUCGAUCAAUAUUGGCCGAUUCGAAUCCGUGAUGCAUGAUAUCGGCGCGAUAUAUCGAAUCAACUCGGAGUCAACUGGGAUAUUUUUUUAAAUUAUGUCUUUUUAAUAUUUUCUAUUUUUAGUAAUCUUUUCGAAAUUUUGGGAAACUUUCUUGUGCUAUAAUGUGCAUAUCACCCGAUAUUCAACUGAUAUGUCGCGACGGUUGCGGAACAACCGAGACCAUAACGCGACCGCAACCCGUGAUGGCGAACCAUGGUGGUACUACAGAAGUCCAAACAGGAUUCAAGAUCUAGAAAAGCCUUGGCCAAUUAUUCUUUGCCUGCAGGGCGGACCGUGAGUAUCAGAAUUCUCAUGGGAUUCUCUCAAGUUUCAAUCUUUAUUGCUUGUUCAUACAAUCAACUGUAUUUUGUUUAUGAAGGGUGCUUCAUGAGUUGGAUUUGAUAAUUUUGAAGAAUUUGGGCCUCUAGACAUGUUUCUAAAGCCAAAAAAAAUUUGACAUAGUUGCAGAAAGCUGAUCUUUUGUUUGUGGUUGGUACUAGGUUGCAUAAUGUUGGUGAAUAAUCACAUCAGCAUCCAUACUAGUUUUCACACUGAAAUGGGAUUUUCCUACAGGUUUGUUUCUUGUAUCUCCUUAUCUAAAUUUAUUUUCGCCUGUUUGCAAUCUAAAUAGGAUUAUCCAGUUGAAACAUGCUACAGUUUUGUGGAAAACGUUAAAAACACCACAUUAUUUAUGAAGACUGAUGUGGAGGCUGUAAAGGAUGGAACUAAAUUCUUGAUUGAUUUUUUCAAUAGGAAUGAGACCUCCAAAAGAGUCCUCUAUAUAUUGUGGCUGAGUCUUAUGGAGGCAAAUUUGCCAUUACUCUGGCUUUAUCUGCUUUAAAAGCUAUUGAGGCUGGGAAGCUGAAGCUGAAUCUCAGAGGUAACAAUUCGUUUUUCAUUCUUAAAACUAAAAUCUUAGUUUCUCUUCAAUCCUAAACUCUUGAGCUAGCUCUUACCUUUUUUGCAUAGGAGUUGCAUCGGGGGAUAGUUGGAUUUCACCAGAGAUUUUAUCGUAUGUAGUUUCUGUUCUUCAUUCAUCUCAUGAUUACUUAGUUGGAAGAGGUGAAUUGAGUUCUGGUGACCAAAAUACAGUUUUCAUGGGUUCCUCUUUUGAAGACAUCUCGUUUCUUGACAACAAUGGUUUCCAGAACUCAAUCAGGUAUCAAGUUUUACACCUAAAGAUGGUACCAUCCUAAAUCCAAGCCUUAAAUGCAUCAAUGAAAUAUGUUUUUUACUAUUGGAACUUGUGUGAAUUUAGCAACCCCACUUGUUUGAUCUAAUCGAGCUCAAAAAUUUUAAGUUGCCUAAGAAGCUUGUAUUGUUCAAUGCAGGAUGGCUAAUCAAAUUAACAAGCAAAUAGCAGUAGGUACGUUUGCAGAGGCCAUAGACACAUGGAACAAAUUGGAAGAUCUAAUUACCGAUUACAAUAACAAUAUGGUAUGAAUUUUUGCAUAGUCUAAUUGAACUUAUGUUAAUAACAACAAAUCGGUGUGUUUGUGUGAUAGCCCCACCUCCCCCUAUGGCGUACCCAAGAUUUGGCGGAUCGCCUGCCCAACUCUCGCCAGGACUCAGUCACAAUUCAUGAAAAUUUAUAAAUAGAACCUCAAAAUACAACGAUAUUUAUUACAACCAUCAAUAUAGAUACAUUCAUGGACCUCCAAUGUUCAUACAGUCUAUAAUACAUCCAAAGAAUCAAACUUGCUAAAAAUCAAACCAAACAAGUCGGCUAAACACCUAUGCAAUGCUCACACGAGCAACUAACAAAUUUAGAAGAAAUCAAGACCUUCCUCAAUUCAAUCUCUCAAGUUCUCAUCCCUGUAAGGAAAACAAAUGGCGUGGAAUGAGCUAAAAAUCCAGUGAGGUUUCAAGUAAUUAAAUAGGUAAAAUACAAGACAAGUAGCAUAUCUAGACAUCGAGAAACAAGUGAAACAUGAAUGGAUCAUGACUCAGUAUAUAGCUAAGCAAGUAGCUAGAUAAAACAUGCAAAAGGUAUAGUAAGAAACACAUUCAUGUCAAGCGAUACAAGUUGCUCUUCGCGAGCAAAGUUCUACAGUAGCUUGAUCAAGAUCCGUUGACUCUCCGUCAACCAUGGAAGUAUAACGUCCGUAGAUCUUCACUUUACACCAAUUCCGUCCACCUAUCAACCCCCUUUCCUGGCCGAACACCACAGGAGUACCUAAGGUUUGUCAAUCUCAUCGACCAAACCCUUGCUAGCUCGAUUCGACCAACUAGCCUUAGGUUGGGACUUAUAGUCCCAGAUAUUCAGAUUGGAGACGUUAGUUGUCACUUACGCUCCAUAUUCAGAAAUAAACAGAGAUGGUAUUAUUCGAGCAUACCAAUAGUCAAGAAGAUAACACUCCACUCGAUAAAACAGAACAGAGGUACUGAGAUGGGAUGAGAGGUACAUCCCACUCGGAUGGAGUGUGGUACGUACAGCCACUCAGCACUUACAGGUAAAGCACAGCACAAGCACAAGUACAGGUCAUAUACAAAUCAAGUUACUUGUUCAUGUAUGAAGGGGAUAUCAAGUGUUUAGUUAUAUCAAGUUAAUUGAGUGUAUAUAAGAGCAUCCUCGCCUACACAAGUUCAAAUCACAAAUAAGUUCAGCAUAGCAUGUUUCCAAGCAUAUCAAAUAUUUCAAAUCCAAACAAUUGAAAUCAGGUGAUUAAGAACUCUAAUCAAACAAGAAAACUGGAAGGAAGCUACAGAAAUAAAAAAUUCUCUCAGUAAAUCUGGCCACCAAUCCGGCCAGGUUUUGGCCGGAUUUUUAGGGGAAACUUAAAAAGUUUGAAGCUCACUGCCUCAAAUCCAGCUGGCAAUCCGGCCAGAAAGUGGCCGAAAGUUGUAACAAACGGCUAACACAUGUUUUUAACAAAAUAUCACAAGUUCAGUUGAGAUAGGUCAAGUGCAAUAAAAUACGCACUUACCUAUGAGACGAGAAAUCAAGUACCUAGAAUUGUCUAACAACAAUGAGCAUGUAACACGUAAGUCAAGAGAAUAACCACUCGAGUGACCAACAAGUCAAGUGCAAGCAAAGCAAUUCUUUUCCUAUCAAUAUCACAAAGUGAACUACAUAGGAUCGAGUAUGAUAAAGUACAUCCUCGUCCCAAAGAUUAUCAGUUCAAGAACAACUACUUUAACCAAGUAAACAUAUCAUUCAAUCAAGGAGACAUUCCACGUAAAUAUUUUCAUGUACUUGGAACAGUCACCAAUCAAAUGCAACCCUUCACUUUAUCCCUGGUUCAUCCUCUUGAACUCUCUCAAAUCCUGUGAUUAUAUACUAUAUCAAAAGACGUGCAAUACAAAGUCAAAAUACAUGAAGAAAUUAAGAUUUCUAAGACUUCAUUUCCUUUCUCUUAAACCUCAAUUCCACUCAUAAACCAUACCCAAAACGAUUGACCAACUCCAAACUUAAAGUGAAAAAUGAAAGUACAAAUGGUUCUAAGGGAAUAGAAUUUCUUAGCUUUAUGCAACACAAUUUGAAAAAUCAUAUCUUAAGCGUCUUAAGUCCAAAAUUUUUAAAAUUUAUAUUGUCGGAAAAUAGACUCAAACAGUUACAAUUUCUCAGAAUACACUUUUGUAAGAUUCAUACCACAAGUCAGUCAAAUUCGAGCCACAAAUUGCUGCUUCAUCCAGUAAAAGACAGAACAGUGAUGCAAUUUUGGCCAACUUUGAAAAAUCAUAGAUAUUCAUAAGAAUUGAGAAAAAGGAUGAAAUUUUCUCAGUUGAUAGUAUUCUGAAUCUAGUUUCAAAUACAACAAACAGAACUCAAUUCUAAUAUUCCUACAACAAGAUAUAGUAGAUUUCCUAAGGAUGCCCACGGGUUCCUGAGAACAAAAUUUUCAACAGAACCCCCUUUGUGUUUACUACUUUUUCCAGCCAAUUUAAGGCUUCAUUCUUACCACAAAACAGCCUCAACUCAAUCAUAUACAUACCAAGCCAAAAACUCAUUAAAUCAAGCAUAUAACCAUCACCUACUCAACCUAGAAAAUGAAACCCUAAGCUGAAAUUUAUGCAUACAAGCUGAAAUUUCCUUUAGGCAAGUUAAACUAACACAUAAAAACUAGCUAUUUCACAUAGCAAAGCUACCAAACCAUGGCCAACACUUAACCAUCAUGUGUGGGCAGAAAAUUCACCAUAAAAACUGAAUUUUUCCAGAACAUCAAUUCAAAUCAUAAUAUUUCUUAUAAAACUACCAAAGUUGAAACCCUAAACCGCUAAUUGACAAAUAUUUGAAGUAGAGAGAGUUUCUUGCCAUAAAUACCUUGUAACUCCAAGAUAGAUGGAAGCUUAGUGCUUUUCCUCCAAAAAUCUCUCCACUCAAGCCCUUAAUCUUCCAUAGUGAACCACUUUUAUGGAGUAUUUUGCAAGCUUGUGGACUGAAACUCAAGAUUCAAGCUAGCAGUUGAGGUGGAAGAUGAACUUUUCUCUUGGUUUCUCCCUCUCAAAAUUUCGGCCAAGCUAGUGAAAAAUGAAGACAAUUUUUGGUCAAAUUUGAUUUUAGAAAAGUUAAGAAGACAUGGUCAAAGUCCAACAUCCAAUGGUUUCGCGACACUUGGCUCUUUAGGGUUUUGAUCUCAUUCUCUUGUCUUCCAAUGGUUUUAUCUAUCUAACCUCUAAUUAUUCCCUAACACCUUGUAAACUAAUGUCCUUUUAUGCAAGACUUCACCUAGUAGUCAAAAUUUUACUGCACUAACCGCACUAGCAGGUCCCACGUCCAUAAUGCACUUCAAACUUAACGUGUACUAACUUAUACCAAGAAAAUGAUUUUAAAACAUUACUCACUUAUAAAAAUGUCAAGGAAAUUAAGGCAAUAAUUUAAAGUAAAGAAAAUGCACUCAAAGAAAUAAAUAAAUAUAACCUAAUUUUCCAGGGUCUCAUAGUUUGUGCUUGAUGAUUUCUUUUGUGGAUAAAUACAAAACUUCAAACAAUUUCCUCUCAUUUGCAGUGGACGACCCUUUAUCGUUGUUAGCUACUUCAGAACUAAAACAACGUAUUGCAGUAAAAAGGUCCUCUCCUAGAGGCGAUGGUGAUCUUUAUGCAUUUAUGAAUGGUAAAAUUAAAAAGAAAUUGAAGAUUAUACCACCAAAUGUUAUGUAAAUUUUUCUUCUUAGAAAAAUUUCAGACUUCUUUUGAGUUCAUCACUUAAUUGUCAUUCAACGACUAAUAAUGGAAUCAACAGAUGGGGAGGGCAAUCCGGUCCUGUUUUUGAAGCCCUGAAAGGUGAUUUCAUGAGGCCAAGGAUUAGUGAGGUAACUAAAUCAGAUUUUUUUUGUUAGUAGUUAAUUAUAAAAGUUUAAGAACUUCAGACGUUUUGGUUUGAACUAUACCAAGAAUGUUUAUUGACUUUCUGGAUUAGCAUUUUGUUACACAUCUCAAUUGAAAUGAGACCAGCUUAUCCAAUUAUAUGCAGUCAAUUCUAAAGCAUUUUUCCAACUACUUUUUUGCAGGUAGAUGAACUUCUAACAAAAGGAGUAAAUGUGACUAUCUCCAAUGGACAAGUAAGAUUAUGCAACUCUAAGCAAAAGAAAUCUAAAUCUUUAUGCUUAGAAUGUUCUCCAAAAAAAUUUGAAAAAAAAUACUAUUUUAAGAUUCAUGGAAGAAUAGAUAUUUGUAGAUAUCCAAGAAAAACUUCAUAGGACUUUCUCUUUCUGAUUGUGCUAUGAUUCCACCGCAAAGUAAUUGUUUAUUGAAUUUGCUGAUAAAAAUAAUAUAGACAUCGUAGAUUAUUGGCUGCAAUACAACAGCGUGAAUAAUGGAACAAAAUAAUGGUAGUCAAGUUGGAUGGGAUUUUGAAGCAGUCAUAAUUAGUAUAAAUUUGAUACACUGACAUGGCCUUAAUCAAGUUGAAACAUUUUUUUUGUGGUCACAAAAAUUGUGACUUCUAGUAGAUAAACUUGACCUGGGAUUUUUUAUUAUCCACGCUAUGAAUUUCACUCUCUCCUUGUAUUUUUCUUUUUGGCUAAAUAGUUCAAUCAAAGUGUUAUUUUACUAUUGCUCGUAAUUUGAUCUCAUGUGUGCAACCAAGAGAACAAACGCAUGGCUUGAUAAGCUCAAGUAAGAAAAAAGAAUCCCACAAGUAAAUAAGCACCUAAAUUCACCUCCUAAGAAGAAAAAUGUACAAAAUAAAAACACCCUAUUACCCUAAUCAAUAAUCUUUUGCCUAUUUUAACAGGUGGAAUGGGAUGAAAAAUUUCUUGAACAAGGAUAGAACGCCUCUCUAUUGUGAAGGUGAUAGGAGUGUAAAGGCUUUCACCAAAUCAUACAGAAAUUUACAUUUCUACUGGAUUCUUAAUGACAGCCGCUUUGUAAGCCAACUAACUAUUGUCAUAUUCUGCUGUAUUUCUUUUAUUGGUCUAAAUUACUGUCACUCUUGCCUACUUGGCAAGAUUAAGAAGACAAGGCACACUAUUAUCCAGAAUUGGAACAAAUACGAUUGAGUUACGUCACAGUUAGGCAUGGUUAUUGUACUUUUUUCAUAAUUUAGUGUAUAUUAAUUGACACGAUUAUAUUUAGGGUUAAUUACAUUUUAUCCCCUUAAAAAAUAACUCAUUUCUCAGUUUACCCCCUAACUUUUAAUUUUGCUCACUUAACCCCCUUUAGAACAAAAUUGCCCUUGUAUUAUUUUGACUUUUCAUUUACCUUGUUUUCCUUUCUUUUAUUUCUUUUUCUCUUUCUUUUUUAUUUAAUUCUUCCUCUUUUCUACAAAAAUUUUUACCUUAAUGAUUGAAAUUAAAAAAGAUGAAUUGCAGAGAUCUAUUUUCUCCUUCAAUGAUUAAAAAAAUAUUCAAAUCACUUUCCCAAAAUAUAAUUUUUUUAGCCUUUCAAUUCUUUUAAUUUUGGAUUUUUCUCUUUCCUUUCUAGUUUCUCAUUUUAUUCUCAAGAAAAUAUCAUAAGAUGAAAUUAUUUUCCUUUCUUUUAUUUCUUUUCUUUCUUUCUUCUCUGUUUCAUCCUUCCAAUAGAAAUUUCAUUUCAAACAAAAAAUUUUAUUUUGAGUUUGUAAUUGCAUAUUUCUAGGUGAAGGUUUAAAAGGUAUCAAAAACUAAUUUUGAUUUUUUGUGUGAUGCCACGUGCCACAAAUUUCAAUUGAUGAUUAUUAAUCAGGUCACAAUUUCAUCUUAAGAUAUUUUCUUGGGAGUAAAAUAAGAAACUAGAAAGGAAAGAGGAAAAUCCAAAAUUAAAAGAAUUGAAAGGCUAAAAAAAUUAUAUUUUAGGAAAGUGAUUUGGAUAUUUUUUUUAAUCAUUCAAGGAGAAGAUAGAUCUCUGCAAUUCCUCUUUUUUAAUUUCAAUCAUUAACAUGAAAAUUUUUGUGGGAAAGAGGAAGAAUUAAAUAAAGAAGAAAGAGAAAAAGAAAUAAAAGAAAGAAAAACAAGAUAAAUGAAAAGUCAAAAUAAUGUAAGGGCAAUUUUAUCCUAAAUGGGGUUAAGUAAGCAAAAUUAAAGGUUAGGGGGUAAACUGAAAAAUGGGGUAUUUUUUAAGAGGAUAAAAUGUGAUUAACCCUUAUAUUUAUGUGUUGAAUUGAUGUAUAUGAAUAAAUUUUGAAUACAACAAAGUUAUAUAAAAGUAUACCAUAUUAUGUAGAAAGUACAAAAUCGGACAAUUACACCAAAAUUUCAACAGAACUUGUUCCUGGUCCCUAUUAUCCCAAUAGUUUUCACAAUUUGAUCGAUGUCUAAGAAACCACCCAUGUAAAAGAAAAAAUAAUACUUCCUCCAUUCUAUGGGAAAUGUCACUUCCCUUUUUUUUCACAUCCCAAAAUAUUUGUCAAGUCCAAAAAGUUAAUACAUAAUUUUUGCUUUUUUUUCUACUUUUAUUCAUUAUCUUUUUGUGGAAGAUGUUGCCAAUUCAGGUUUUACUUCAGGAGAAUAAAGUUGAGAAAGUUUAAACAAUUAUCAGUAUCAGACCACUUUUAUUAAAAGUUGGAUUGCCAAAAAGUGACAAAAGUAGUAAUUGCCAGACUUAUAUUGGAACUUUAUAUGAUGAUACAAAGAUGAAAUUGGUCCUGCUGCCAAAGCAAUAACUGCCAAGCUUUUUUUUUAAAAAAAAACCACCAAACUAUGGUAGAUUACGCCUGGCAUUUAUUGGUAAAUCUAUCAGACCCUUAUGGAAUACGAGACGUUUAAGAACAAAAGAAAAUUGUGGGACAUCUUUGUGAUAGAAAUUUCCCGCACGAAUUAUUUCUUGAAAUUAUUUAUUGGUUACAGACAUGGGAAUGGCUACCAAAAUGGACAUUGAGAUUUACUUUGAAUAUGUUCUUGCUAAAUGAAUAUAAAUAUAUAUAUAUAUGUGUUGGAUUCGUGGGCCAGCUUAUUUAUGGGACAAACUACAAAACAAACCUUAGGUUUUCAUUCUUGUGAAGAAGGAAAAAAGUCAGCCAUCACUUUUGCCUUUGGAGGAAAAACGAAGAGAGAGAAAGAGUGAAGAAGCUAGAGAAAGAGAAACUUCAAAGUCUUGAUUGGAGGGUGAUUCAAAAUCCAAUUGAGAUGAAAUUUUACACACGCGAUCCUCUCAUCAAGCCCUACUCAUCUACCUAUUCAAAUUUUGGAUUUUCUUUUUGUUUGGUAAUACUUUUUCAAACUCACUUCUUUGACAAUUGUAGUUUUUGGGAGUGAUUUUGUAGCGAUUUGACUUGGUUGAUAUUGGCAAUAUUAUUGUCAUCUGGAUGUUUCAGAUAGACCUGUGUAUUCCCAUUAUUGUGAUAGUGGAGAUUUUUGACUUGGCUAGGUCCCGUGAUUUUUUCAAUUUGGAUUUUGCACGUAAAAAUCUUGGUGUCCUGUGUCUUUUAUUUUUCUUGCAUUCUAUUAUUACUGCUGGCAUCGUUGCUUGGUGAUUUGAUUUAUUCAUAUUUUAAUUGGUACUUGGGAAAAAAGAAAUUUGUUCUGGGUUAAUUUUAAUAAUGUGUGCCUGUACCGUACUCCUUUCCCAAAAAAGUAGUAUCAGAGCAGUCAGGUUAGGUUGUUUUUUCAUACUAGUUAAAAAUGGAUGAUUCGGAUAGUGGUUGCAUGACAAAAUUAGAUGCUAAUAAUUAUUCGAUUUGAAAGUCUAGAAUGAAAAGCUAACUGUAUUGUAGAGAUUUGUUAGAACCUGUUUUAUGGUAUAAGGGUAGACCAAGUGAUAUGAGUGAUAAAAAAUAGGUUGUUAUGCACAGAAAAACUGUUGGUAAUACUAGAAAAUGAAUUAGUCAGAGUAUUUGCUAAUGACACCAGAGUUGAUAUGUUAUGAAAAAAGCUUGAGAGUAUGUAUGAACGAAAGACCAGUUUGAACAAAACUAGUUGUCUGAAACAGAUUACUAGAAUGAGAUAUAAAAAUGGGAAAGAUACGACUGAAUAUUUGAGUAAUUUUUAGAAAUUGGUAAACCAGGCAACUACGUUAAAUUUGAAUUUGGAUGAUGAAGUGUAGGCUCUAUUAUUAUUGAAUUCACUAUCGAAUAGUUGAAAAACCAUGAUGGUCUCUGUCAGCAAUUCAGUUCGAAUGAUGUGUUGAUCAUGGCUAUUGCAAAGGAGGCUGUGAUGAAUGAAGAGUUCAGGAGGAAGGAAUAAGAAAUUGUCUAUGAGUCACAGGCCCUGAUGACAGAAAAAAAAAAGAAAGAAGAGGGAGGAGCAAAAGUAAAGGACCCUACAACAAGAAUGACAAAUCCAAAUGCAAGUCUGAGUCACGAAAAAAUAUUGCAUGCAAUUAUUGUAAAAAAAAAAUGGGCAUUAUAUGAAAGAAUGCAAAAUUUUAAAAUGGGAACAAGCUGAGAAAAAGGGUAAGAGGAAAGAGAAAGGUGAUAAAGAGACUAUAGUAGUUGUGGUAGCUCAUAAUGAUAUGUUUGUGUUCUAUGAUGAUAGUCAGGUGAAUAUUAUUCAUUAUGACAGUGAUAGGGUAAUUGAUUCGAGUGCAUCCUACCAUAUUACUGCUCACAGGCAUUUCUUCUCAAUUUACACCGAAGAAUAUUUUGGAUACAUUAGAAUAGGAAAUGAGAUCUCAUGCAAAGUUGCUGACAUAGGAGACAUAUAUUUAGAUACAGAUGUCGGAUGUCAGCUGAUAUUAAGAAAUGCUCGACAUGUCCAUGAUAUUCGUCUUAAUCUUAUUUCUAAAAGAAAACUUGACGAUGAGGGUUAUCAUAACUUGCAAGGUGGAGGCAAAUAAAAACUCAGCAAAGAGAAUCUUGUUAUUGCUAGAGGAAAGAAGCAGAGUACCCUCUACUUGAUGGAAGCCAAGUUGGGGAAGAGAGAAAUGAAUGCAAUUCUUGAUUCAUCAAUUGAUUUUUGGCAUAGGCGACUUGGGCACAUUGGUGAAAAGGAAAUUCAAACACUUGUUCGCAAAUAGUUUCUACUUGAAGUUAGAGGUACUGCACUUAAAUCUUGUGUUGAUUGCAUUUAUGGAAAACAACAAAGAGUUGUAUUUUAAAAUUUUUCUCGAAGUAGAAAAUUGAAUCCAUUAGAAUUGGUGCACACUGAUAUUUACUAUAUGAAAGAUAAGUCUCUUGAUGGUGCUGUUUAUUUUAUAAGUUUUAUUGCUAAUUUUGCUAAAAAGGUUUGGUGUUUUGCUUUGAAAUCCAAAGAUCAGGUUUUGGAUGUAUUUAAAGAUUUUCAUAACAAAAUUGAAAGAGAAACUAGUAAGCAGUUAAAGUGUGUACGUACUGAUAAUGGUGGUGAGUACAGAGGACCAUUUGAAAUCGAUCACAAGUCCCGUGAGAUCAGAUUGGAGAAAACUAUACUAAAAACUCAUCAAGAGAAUGGAGUAGCAAAGAGGAUGAAUAGAUCCAUCACUGAGCGGUUAGAUGUAUGCUCUCUAAUUCUAAGUUGCCAAAAUCCUUUUGAAGUGAGGCAAUGAGGACUGCAGUUGAUUUAAUUAAUUUUUCUCCAUUAAUUCCUUUAGAUGGUGAUAUCCCAGAGAAAAUAUGGAUGGAAAAAGAUGUAUCUUUUAAGUACUUGAGAGUUUUUAGUUGCCGGACAUUUGUUCAUAUUCCUAAAAAUGAGAGGUCAAAACUUGAUGUAAAAUCAAAACAGUGUAUUUUUUGAGUUAUGGACAUGAAGAUUUUGGCUAUAGGUUGUAUAAUCCUAUUGAUAAGAAUGUGAGUAGGAGCAAAGAUAUUGUUUUCUUUGAAGAUCAAACCAUUAAAAACAUUGAUAAAGGUGACAAUCCAAAAUCCUUAUAUGACAUUUCUGCUAGUUCAAAUCUAGAUCCAAAUCUAGUUCUAGUUCAAGGGAGAGUUGAGACAGAGUAGAAAGAGGAUGUUAAUGAUGGUAAAAUCCUGCUGCCAAUGAACCUGAGCAUGAGGCGUCACCUACUCCACCACCUCCACCACAAGAUGAGUUUAGGAGAUCUACUAGAGAGAGGAGAUCUUCUAACAGAUAUAAUCCCCAUGAAUAUGUGUUAUUGACAGAUGGAGGAGAGCCAGAGUCCUACUGUGAGGUUCUAGAGCAUGAGAACAAAGAAAAUUGAUUGCGAGCCAUGCAAGAGGAGAUGGUAUCCUUGCAUGAGAAUCACACUUAUAAGUUAGUGAUAUUGCCUAAGGACAAGAGAGUUCUGAAAAACAAAUAGAUCUACAAGUUGACGACUCAAGAGUAUAGCUCACAACCAAAGUACAAAGAAAUUUUGGUUGUGAAGGGAUUUAGUCAAAAGAAGGGUAUAGAUUUUGAAAAAACUUUCUCUCCUGUUGUAAAGAUGUCGUCAAUUCAAAUUGUUCUGGGUAUUGCAACCAAUUUAAAUUUAGAGAUUGAAUAACUUGAUGUGAAAAUAGCCUUCCUGCAUGGUGAUUUGGAAGAGGAGAUCUACAUGGAAUAGCCAGAGGGUUUAAAGAAAGUGGAAAGGAAAAUCUUAUAUGUCGCCUCAAGAACAACUUGUAUAGGCUAAAACAGACACUGAGACAAUGAUACAAGAAGUUUGACUCCUUCAUGACAGACCAUGAGUACCACAGGACUACAUUUGAUCACUGUAUUUAUGUGAAAAAUUUUUCAGAUGGUGAUUUUAUUAUUCUCUUGCUGUAUGUUGAUGACAUGUUGAUUGUUAGCCAUAAUACUAUAAAAAUUGAUAGGUUGAAAAAGGAGUUAAGUAAAUCCUUUGUAAUGAAGGAUUUGGGUUCGGUUAAACAGAUACUAGAGAUGAAAAUCUCACGAGAUGGGCAAAAUGAAAAGUUUUGGUUGUCUCAAGAAAAUACAUUGAGAAAGUAUUCAACAGGUUUAACAUGAGCAAGGUUAAGUAAGUCUCAACUCUACUUACGGGUCAUUUUAAUUUGAACAUCAAGCAGUUGCUCAUGCAGUUGGAGUAGUUAGUCGGUAUCUCUCUAAUCCUAGCAAUGAGCAUUGGAAUGCUAUCAAAUAAAUUCUCAGAUAUUUUAAGAGAACUUCCAAAUUGUGUUUGUAUUUCGACAAUGGUAAAAUUAUGCUAGAUGGGUACAUCGAUGCAGAUAUAGCAAGUGAUCUUGAUAAUAGAAAAUCCACAUUUGGGUACUUGAUGAUUUUUGUAAGGGGAACAGUGUCAGGGCAAAAUAAAUUACAGAAAUGUAUCGCUCUUUCCAGUAUAGAGGCAGAGUAUAUCGCAACACUGAAAUAUGCAAGAAGACUCUUUGAUUGCAAAAAUUCCUUCAAGAGUUAGGUAUGAAACAAGAGAAGUAUAGUCUUUACGGUAACAGUCAGAGCGCUAUUCAUUUGUAUAAGAACUCAACAUUUCACUCUUGGUACAAACACAUUAAUGUGAGAUAUCAUUGGAUUCGAAAAGUAAUGGAUAACAAGUUGUUGACACUUGAGAAGAUUCAUAUAAAUGAUAAUGGUGCUAACAUGUUGAUCAAGGUAUUACCUAAGGAGAAAAUCUUGUUUUUUAGAUAGGAAGUAGGUUUGACUAUACUCUCAAAUGAGUUGGAGAGGGAAAUUGUUGAAUUUUUGGGCCAAACCACAAAAACAAAUCAUAGGUUUUCAUUCUUGUGAAGAAAAAAAAAGUUUGCCGUCACUUUUGUCUUUGAGAAAAAACGAAGAGAGAAAGGGUGAAGAAACUAGAGAGAGAGAAACUUCAAAGUUUUGAUUGGAGAGUGAUUCAAAACCCAAUUGAGGUGAAAUUUUACAUAUAUGAUCCUCUCAUCAAUCCCUACUUAUCUACCUAUUCAGAUUUCGGAUUUUCUUUUCGUUUAGUAGUAUUUUUCCAAACCCACUUCUUUGACAGUUGUAGUUUUUGGGGGUGAUUUUGUAGUGAUUUGACUUGGUUGAUAUGUUUUAGAUAGACUUGUGUAUUUCUAUUAUUGUAAUAGUGGAGAGUUUUAAUUGGACUAGAUCGCCUAUUUUUCCCAAUUUGAGUUUUUCACGUAAAAAUCUUGGUGUCUUGUGUCUUUUAUUUUUCUUGCAUUCUAUUAUUACUAUUGGCAUCGUUGUUUGGUGAUUUGGUUUAUUUCUCUUUUAACUGGUACUUGGAGAAAGAGAAAUUUGUUCUGGACUAAAUCUAAUAUUGUGUGUCUGUACUUGUACCCCUUUCCUAACAAUAUAUAAUAGAUUUGUAAGAAACUUUUCUUAUAGAGUUAUGUCCUGUAAUUUUAUUUGCCCUUUUCGAUUUCUUUAUAGGUCUUUGUUGAUCACCCCUGUGUGCCAUUAAAGAUGAUAGGAAGCAUCAUGCAGUCACCUGCUGCUUCAGAAUAGGGGUGGCUUUCCAAUUUAGACAAUAUAAAAGACCAACGCUGAAGAUACAUGAACAGAAGAAUAACAUAGAAGUCUCUUUUGAUUGUGAAAGAACUAUCACAGGAAUGUGAAUUAUUAAGAGAAAAUUGAAAAUUAAUCUUUAGUAUAUUCAUCUUGUGGUGUCAUUAUGACAUUUUCUUUUAUAGAAAAAAGAGAAUUUUCAUUACUAAAUUUGAUAAAAUCAUCCAGCACAAUUUAUUUAAUAAAGUUAGGAGGUCCAUUGUUAUUGAACUUAACAUGAUUUAAUUUGCAUGUCCUUAUAUUUGAUGGAUUAUUCGAGACUUGAUAUUUGAUUAGCUAGUGGUGCAUCAGGUCAAGGGAUACAAACUAGAGGUACUCAAACCAUUUCAUUAGGAGGGUUACGUUAGGUGAUAGGAUGGGAGGAAUUGUAAAUAUAAGAUAUUGGGUACAAGACCUCCCACUUAAGAAAAAACGUUUCCGUUACUAUUGCGAUUGAAGCAGAAUCAAAAGCCUCAAAAUAACUCUUUACAUUCAAUUUGCCACAACACAUGUAACUGGAUGCAUCCUAAACACUUGGCUAAUUCCUAUGAUUAAGAUUUGAGGGAAAAAAUUACAGAAAAAAGUAGUAUUGUAAAACUAAUUAACCAUACCAUCCAAAUUCUACACGUUAGGGACAAAAUAUAAAAUUAAAUUUUUUACUAAUGUAAAUUUGAUUUCGAUUAUUUGCCAAGUUUUUCUUCUAUCUAAACAAGAAAAUUUUAUUGCCACAUUUGUUUUGCGUGAAACUUUAGAAAUUAAUUUUGCUCAUAGUUCAAACAUUGGGAACCAAAAAUACAUUUCUCCAUUUUCCAGAAAAGAAAAGCAAAACUUCCUUCCGUUCAAUUUUAUGAACUUGUACUGGUGGACUUUGGUUGAAUUGAAUGUUGGUUUAUGGUUGGACAUUUGAGACAGUUUGGUCAGUUUCAUUAUGGUUGUAUAAUUGUCUUUCGGAAUGACAACUUCAUUUGUUGUUUUAAAUUCAUUGUUGGAUUGAGGAUUUCUUAAAUUAGGUUGCAAUAUUGUGUGUUGGUAAUAGGGUUUUGAAUGAGAUUAAACAUAGGUUUAAAUUUUAGACUAGCAGUACCAAUUCGAAAACUAGAAAAAUGAGUUAAACCAAACUCGAGUUGGUUUGUCGAACUCACACAAAUUGAACUUCAUUGAGCCAAGCUCAAGCAUAGGAAUUUUUUUGCUGAAUCAAGCUCGAGCCUUAUUUUUCUUGGCUCAGCAAGUUCAAGACACAAAAUAAUGUCAAGUUUGGCUCGAUUAACAAAAUGUUUGAUUUGAUGUGGAUCAUUUGCACCCCUAUGUAUGAUUAUGCAAGGGUAAUUUGGAAAGAAAAUCAUUUUAGCAUUUUAUGUGAAUUUUUUUUGGAUAUAUGGCCGAUUUUGUUGCAUUGAAAUUCAAGAUAAGGAAGCUAAGGAGUUAAGCAUAAUAUUCCCAACCCUAGGGGAGCCAAGUGAAAUUUUUAGAAGUUGAAGGAGGUUUUUGUAUUUAUGUCUGAAAAGAAGUACUGGGGAAAUGAAGAAUGGGGUUUAUAUUUAGGAUUCACUUUUUAUAUACUACUAUUGUAGUGAUUUUUUCACAUUAGUUGUUAUGGAUGUCUGCUAUAUGUUCAUGAUUUGAAUUCAAAUUUGAAUUCAUGUUAUGUGAUAAUUUAAACGUGCUAGUGUAAAAAAAAGUACAAUGAUAGUAUGAAAAAAACUUACUCUUAUAUCUAAGGGCAAAUUACAUAUAACCUUCCUAUAGUUUUGCAUAAUUCUAGAUGACUCCUCUAAAAUUUUAAAAUAGUCAUAUAACCCCCUAUAAUUUUAUGUAAAGCGAACAAUGGAUGGAAUGCACAAUCAAUUAUAACAAUUAAACCACACACAUUCUAAAAGUGCAUGUCAUGAAAUCAUAAUAUCCAUUUACGUUAUGAUUUGUAUAAAUAUCCACUUUAUUCUCCUAUAAUUAUUGCAUUUAUCCACAUAAUUCUCUUAUGGUUUUAUACAAAGUAGUUUAAGUCAUCAUUUGAUUUAGCAUUUAAGUAAGGGCACUAUUGGUAUUUCAAAUAAUGACAUUAAAUAGGUUAUUUUCAAUUAAAAUUUUAGUUUACUAAAAUCAUAAGGGGUAAAGUGAAUAUUUUGAAAUUUUAUGGGAGUUAUGUGGCAAUAAAUAAAAUCAUAAAGGGUUAUUAGUAGUUUACCCUAUAUUUAAUAGGUGACAACUUAACCAAAAAAAGACCCUUAUAAUUAUUUAGAUAAUUUAUCGCAUUUUCUUCGUCCAUUCUUGAAGUAGCUAGCUAACUAGGAGUUAAGGACAAAUUGCCCAUGUAAUAUGUAUAAUCGAACUUUCCUAGCCUUUGACUUUAAUUAAUCCCUCUGCUCACAAAAUUUUCAAGUCUGUUUGUUAGGAACAUGUUUAUCUAUCUUUUGCUUCCGUUGAAGUGGUAUUUCCUUCCAACGAGCUAAACUAGAUAAGUAAGGCGAGAGCUCAAUCACAUGAAGGCAGAACUCUCUAAAAAAACCUAUAAGGAAAGGACCAAUUUGUGAGGAGUCUCGAGGUCAACCCCUCAAGGUCAUUCCACAUUCAAGUUAGUUUUUGACUUGAGGAGAAGGAUAUCCUCCUAGGUGGGUGUUAGGUGUUUCUAUAUAUAGGUUUUCGUACAAGAGAGUGAUAAAGAAAUUAAGAGAUACCGAGAUCAAGAGAUAAAGAUUACCUCUUUUUGUUUGGUAUGAUAGACAUUAGUUCAAAUGAUGAUAUUUCAUCAUUUUUAAGAUAAAGAUAGUCACUAUCAUUAACAAACUAAGAUCAACCGCAUCUUCAGGUAGUCAAAAUCUUAUCCUAUCCCCAUGGUUUGAGUUCAAGAUCAGCUGGAUCUAUACCAAGUUGGGAUAGUUUGGGUGGCCACAUGGCAUACAUGCAAUGCAUAGCCCUCAAGUCAAAUUUUAUUCUUAUCUGAAUAAAUUUUACCUUUAAUGAACUAGAUAUGUAGCAAUCUACCAUUAGCCAAGCUAGAUCACCAUUACUUCCUCAAUGCCUGAAUUGACAUUCCAAGCACCACUUCGCUAAGAAAUUGUGUCCACCAAUCAUGUCAUCCCCAGAAAUUCAUAAUCCUUUUCAAAUUUUACAUGCAACUACCUUUAUUGAAUUUUCAAAAGUCCAAAAAAGUCUACAUUCUUCCCCCAUCUUCGUUCUAUAAAUAGAAGACUUCUCAUAUCUAUUUUACUCUUUUUGGCUUCCAAUAUUCUUCUUCCAGUUCUAGGUUUUCAAUUUCGAAAAACCAUCUAUCUAGGAAAUUUUGUCUUUUCUCCUCUAGUGAAUACUCCCUUCUGUAAUUUUUUUAGGCAAUCUUAUUUCUACAUCUUAAUCAGUAAGUCUCUCUUCCAAUUUAUUUAUCUCUGAUAACUCCAAUAUCUCUAUAUCUUUAUUGAAGCAUAGGUAGAUUCCUGUGAUUAUUACAGUAGCAAUCAUUUCUUCUUCUUCCUCUUCUUCAUUGUUGCCCUUUUCUUCAUUUGUCCUAAGUAUCUCCCAGAACUAUUGGAACCCAUAGAAGUAAUGAGUUCUCAUACUUUUAGAACCCCAUCUACUAACCUUAGAGUAGAUCCUGUAGAGCAGGCUAACCCUUCCGAGUAGCUCCCUAUUGUAUAACUUGCUUCUUCAGAAAAGUUUUGUACCAAGUAAGGAGAAGGUUAGGUCAGUGUUAGUGACCAAUGUCACGACCCAUGCGCUCAGGUUUACCUACCUAACCAUGGCUUCAUUGACUUUAGCUACAUCCCCAAUUUCUCCUUUACUCUUUCUCAAGGGGACAUGGACGAGUUAGCUACCAAUUAUUCCAUCUUAGAGUCCUUUGGAGCCCAAGCAACUAGCCCUAACAAAAGGGUCAAUUGACUUUCUCCUAACUAUGUUGCCAUUUAUAGGGAACGGGUUCUCUCGGGUAUAAGACUUCCUACUCCUAUGGCCCUUUUCAACAUCUUGGCCUACAAGAGGAUUAGGAUUAUUUUACUUUAACUCCAUUAAAACCACUAUAGGCUUCCUAAUCUACUAUAGUCUUUGUGUAAUUUCUUAUUCUCUUUCCUUAUUAUGAGCAUACCAUAUGCUUAAGACUUCUCAGCUUGGGUGGUUCUAUUGAGUUCUAACCCUUAUUUUUGGUGGUUCUAUUGAGUUCUAACCCUUAUUAUGAGCAUACCUAAUCUACUUUAGUAAGAGCACCCGUGAUAUUUCUAUUGAGUUCUUUAUUUCAUUAAAAGGUGAAAGAAUGAAUUCUUUUUUGUAAAAAAUCGACUUCUUUCCUCCUAAUUUUGGAAGGUAGGGGAAGUCAAAACUGAUCCUAUCAUGUCGAUCUAGACAUGGAUGCUUUUUGACUUACUCUUGAGACCUAAAGCCAAAUUACUUACCAAGAAUUUCUCCUCUAGUCAAAUUGCAACAGUCGGACUGGUCAAUCCUCUUUCCAGUGACUGGGAUUGGGAUUUACACUAAGAGGAAUACAAGAAUUGUAAUUUUUCCUUUCUCUUCCUUCCUCUCUCUCUUUACGUAGAGCUCUAACCCUUAUUUUUCUUCUUUAUAGUGAGAUAAUUCUCUCAACUCUUAUUCUUUGAGACUUCUACUCAACUCUUCACAAGCUAGUAGUAGUUCUCUUACUCAAUAGGUCAGCUCUCCUCCUACCUAGACCCCUACGGACACCAAGCAAAGUAAAGGGGGAAAUUAAGGGCAAAAAGGCGGCACCUAAGAGGAUCGUUGUGAGAAGUUCUGAUGCAAGGGAGACAGUCCAUUGUGGGCUUAAUUCGGCUGAGCAGCAGGCAGACCAUGUAUCACCACUAUUAACAUGGAACUUCAGAUAUGCAACGCCACUGAAACCUAGCCAAUAUCACACUAUCCAUGACCCCUAUUACUUUUAUUCAUCAAUGAUCGAGCUCAGUAUCCAUAUGUUGUCCACGAGUUCACUCGCAGUUCACUGUUGCCAAGGGAUAAGAGAUUCAUGGAGUUGGCUUCCAACUUCAAGUUGUUAGGCGUCUUUUAUUCUUUCUAAGCUCAGGUAGGAAGCCAAAGCUUUUGAACCUCAUCUUUUUUUUUUAAAGCAAGUUUCCCUUUAAGAAGAGUGUUUUCUAUUUUUACUAAUUUAAUCACCAUGUUUCUCCUCAAAGGAAAAUGAAUCAGUAAUGGAGGUGGCCUACCACUUUGAAAAGCUAAUGCUUGAUCUAGAGAAGGCAACCAAGAGGAAUCAGACCCUCGAAAAGUAGCUCAACACUGCAUAAAAAGAGCUUGAUUCUCUUCAGGCUCAGCUCCAAAAAGCACAGGAUUGGCUACUUAACUUGCCUUGCUUCAAAUUAGCUUGCAAGAGAUUCAAAAGAGCAAUUAAAGGGUAUGAUGUGAUCUUAGGGAUAGAUUGGUUAGCCCGUUACAAUACCCAGUUGGACUGUAGAACAAAGAUUGUAGAAUUGGGUAUUCUAGGAGAACCGACCCUGAAAUUGGAUGUAAAGGGUAGGUUAGUUUCAUCUACACUUAUCUCAAGGAUUCGGGCUAGAAAAUUGUUAAGUAAGGGAGAUCGAGGAUAUCUGGCUUUUCUUAUCAACACCCCUAGUGAUAAGGUGAAAUUAGAAGACAUGCAUGUAGUGAAAGAUUUUUCAGAUGUAUUUCCUGAAGAGUUAGAGUCUCUACCCCCGGAAUGGGAAAUAACUUUUAAGAUUGAUGUGACUCCGAGAGUAGCACCUAUCUCUAAGAUACCAUAUCGGAUGGCUCCAGCUGAAUUGAAGGAAUUGAAAUUACAACUACAGGAUUUGCUAGAAUGGGGGUUUUAAAUCCAGAAAAAUGACAUAAAACUUUGGGCAAUUCUGAUUGAUGUUUUCUUCUAGCUGUUUACGUGGGCAGUGCCUUGUUGCUGUUUCUUGCUGUUUUCCUUUCCAUUUUAUUCUUAGCACCUUGUUUGUUGUCGUGUUGGGCUUUAGAAUUUUUCUCGAAGUUCUGAGUUAGGGGUUAGUAAAUGUUUAUAUUUCCUUACGCUGUUACUGAACUUCGGUUGGGUUGGAUGGAUCCGUUUCAUUGCCUUGCUGCAUUUCAUGUUCAGGAACUUUAUUGAAUCUUCCCUCUCCCCUUUGUCCCAAGUCUUUUAUGCUGGAGUAAGUUAAGACUUGUAUUAAGUCCCUUCUAGGUUAAUGCAUAGGAGCUUAGGGAGCCGAGAGUCACCCUUGAUCAUGUUGCAGCUGUGCGAUCAGCUUCCUUUUUCUCUUGAGGUGCUGAAUUUUUUUUUUUUUGGUUUGCUUAACUUUUAGGCUUUGUUUGCUAUUCCUGGGUUGCAUUUGUCAUUUCUCUUAGCAUGGUGUAGGGGUGCGUAAUGGAAAUGGUUUCCUUGCAAAAGAGAAAUUUUUCUUUCAAUCAAGUCGUCUGAAGGGACCAGGGCAUCUCAGUUCCCCUAUUCUUUACCUUGCGCUUUGUCUUCCUAUAGUUCUAGCCUUCCCCUUUGAGUGUUCUGAGUCUUCUUAUUGAGUUUGCUUUCAUUCGUAAAACCAGAGGGAGGUGAAUAAAUCUGUUGCAAAUAUUCAUGUUGCUUUGCUGCAUUUUAUUGCUCGAAUGAUUUGAUUAGAUUUGUUGAGGUAUAGAUGAUUGUGGUUGGGUGAAGUUAACAACAUGAAUUAAAGAUCUUGUAGUCGUUUUGGUUUUCUUCUGUUGAAUUGGUAGACUUUACUUGGCCCCUUCACACGAACAAACUUGGGUGAAUAAUGAAACAUUUCUGCAGUUUCGAACCAAUGAGAAGCUAACUGAAUCCAUAUUUCAGAAGUUCCGUGGCAGAGUUCUUUUUUGUGUAGAAUGUUUAGCUCACGUUUUCAUCAUUUCAAGAUGGGUUGUGUUGUGUCUUGAAUCAAAAGAUGAUGCUUUCCUGGGACGUGUUCAAUUAGUUGUCAAAUGCCACAUGUUGCAGAAUGAAGGAAAAUAGAAAAUGCAGAAAUCUUCUUCGUAUGCAUGCAUGCAAAUCUUCAUAAAGGUUGCAUUCUUACCUCCCAAGUCCCCCUUUGUUCUAAUAUGGCCCGAAAAACUUUUAAUUUCUUUCAGAGAGGUUCCUAAUUUAAUUGCAAAUAGGCCCCUAAACUUUAUUUUUCUUUAAUUUUGAUCCUGAAACUUUGUUAAUUUUCACAAUUAAGUCCCUUCUUCUUUUAAUUUCUUAAAUGUGGGUUGCUUGCAUGAUUUAAUUGAUUCAAUUUCAUGUUUAUUUUUUAUCUUUUGUGAUUUAUUUCUUAACUAAAGUGAUGCCUUGACUUUUUUUUUGAUUUUGGAAGGUAAAUAAGUAAUUUCAUUUCAUUAGGCCAUCAACUCAAAGGAGGUACACUCUAUCCCUUGUUUUGACUUUAAUUGAUCCUAUGUGCCCUUAUAUGAUUUUAUGUACUUAAUUGCAAGCCUUUUGAAUGUUUUCAUUUUGUUUAUUUAUUUAUUUGCUUUAUUUGUUUUAAUUUUGGAUAUUUAUUUUAGUUCAAUUUCAGUUAUUUGAAAGGCAUUCAAAGGCCAAAGUUGUAAUAGUUAUGGGUUUAUUUUUAUUCUUUCCCUUUUUAGAUUGUAGUAGGGCCCCCCAAUGUAAUAGUUAGGGCUUGUUUGUUUUAUUUGCUUGGUAUGUUUUGCAUGCUUAUGUAUUAUGUGUUAUUCGCUUUCUUAGGGUUGCAUCUAGAUAUCAUGCUUAUGUGUUAUGUGCUAUACGUGAUUUAUGUGUUUACAUGCUUUUAUUUGGUCUUACAUGAUUUAUUUGAUUGUAACCAAUGUGUGACACACCACACUAGUCCAAUGCUAGUUGUGGUCAAUUUUUCGAAUCCACACUAGUCCAACGCUAGUUGUGACCCUUUAUUCUGACUUUUCUCACUAGUCUAAUGCUAGUGAGAAAUUGUAGACAUGGGCUAGUCCAACGCUAGACUCUUAGGAGCCCUCGAGCGUUAGAUCAUGGUUAUGUGAUAAAAUCACUUCAUCUCAUGCAUGUUUUCACUUUUUAGGGUUUUUACCAUGUUGCAUGACACUUUCUUAUAUAUGUACAUCCUUUAUCCCAUAUUCCUUUCUACUUAUAUCCCUAUUCCGUAUUUUCCCUUAUAUAUAUAUAUAUAUAUUCCUUACCCCUUUGUAUGAAAACAUAACAUUAGACUUGCAUUUCAUUUAAGAAAUAGAAAUUAGGUUAAAUCAUUUGCAUGCUAGAUUAGGAAAACUCCUUGGGUAUGGGAUAUGAAUGAGUUUGGCUUUUUAGCCUUAGCACGCUCAUAUUCCCUCUAUUAAAGGGAACAUUGAGUCACGAACAUUAGUCUCCACCCGAUAUGAUGCAUUCCUUUAGGUCACGUAUAUUUAUACAAUUAUUUUUAUUUUUAUUUUUAUUUUUAUUUUUAUUUUCUUUUCUUAGAGUCUCAUAUUUUUGCAUUAUUCGUGACCUUUUCAAAGAGUUCACAUUGGACAUCACAAUUAAUGUGAUUGGCACCAAUUGAGUUUUGAAAAGAAAAUUCGAUCCCUUGAUACCCUCUUAGGUCUAGGUUUUACAUUCAUAUAGUACAUCCAAAUGUGAUAAAUUUUUAGGUUAAAAUAAGAAAAUCUUUGACUAAAUCACGCAACUAGUUUUGGCUAGGUUGAAAUGGUGCCUCGAAUUUUUUUAUCCCUGCAUUCCCUUUUUUCAAAUGUGACUCCCGAGCACGUUUCUUUGAUUUUCGUAAAUUUGGAGUCAUUUAAAAAGGGUUUUCUACUUGUUUUCUUUAAAAAUUUAUUUUCAGGUGACUUUGUACAUUUUAACUCGAUAUCAAGUGGCGACUCCGAUUUUUUUCAUUAAAACCCUUUUUAAACUGUUUUUGGGUCAAAAUCGUCGCAUUUUUUAUGUUCCAUUUAGACCCAUAUUUUUCUUUAUUUUCUAAAAAAAAAUCAAAAACUCAUUUUUUAACCAAAAUUAAUCAAAAAUUCAUUUUUCUAAACUAAUUUAUUUUAUUUCAAAAAUGGGAGCGACAGUUGGCGACUACACUGGGGAUUUAGAGAGUCCGAGCAAAUUUGAUUUAGUCAACCUUUUUUUUCUUUUAACCUUUUCAUAUAUCGCAUUUGGAUGUUUAGAGUUGUAUUUUUUCUUUUUUAGGAUUUUUGCAUUUCGCACGUAUCAACUCACUCCCUUACCCAUUUGCGUACGAUUGAUGUGAUGUGAUGGAUGAUUUAUUUAUGUGAUCCUGCGCUUUGCAUUGCAUUUGGGUAGGGGGAUAUUACUCUAGAGUCUUGCGUUGAUUCUCAAUCCCUCCCUCCAAACGAAGUACUAGCAUACAUGCAUACGCUUUAUUUUUUAUCUCUCAUUUAUUUUUCUUUUAGUGGCUUGUCACGCCACUCUUUCCUAUUAGGAUUAGGCAACCUACUUGAACGUGUGAUCGUGACAUGACGUGUGCGUAGCAUGAUCCGAGGGGUCACUCGAUCUUCCAUUUUAAGUUUUGGGUUGAUAACCUUCAGCUUUUAGUCGAAGAUUGGGGAUUUUUGAUAGAUUCACUCAGACAUGUAGCCGUAACACGACGUGUGCGUAACAGUGUCUGGGGAAUCGCUCGAACCACCGACAAAGAACCUUGGGAUUGAUGACCUUUGGUUUCCAAGUCUGAAUGCUCGGGGACCUAAAACCUAUCGAGUCUAGAUGCAUUAGUGAGCCAAUACCUCAUGCAUCCAUGAUAGUUUACCUAGGGUAGAGUCUGUCUUACCCUAUUAGGGACACUAUUCACGAGAGGAGAUCCAACCCCUCUUUUCUUUAUUACUUUAUCUCUUUGUAUUGUUUUGCUAUAGUGUGUUAUGUGUAUUUAUCUAAUUGAACUUACUUUUCUUGUUUUUGUCUCUAUUGCAUUCAUAAGCCCUAGAAAAUAAAGAGUCCUGGCAUGGUACUCUCUAGGAACCUACCCUAUUUGAUGUAACACGCUUAAAUUCAAUGCUUCGCAUUUACACCAUAAAUACAUUUCAUUUUAGGCUCACCCCGGCAUACAAAAGGGGGUUCCUUUAGGUCACGUUUUAUUUAUGUAUUGCAUAUUUUAUUACUUUAAUAAACUGGCAUCAUGCAUCCACCUUAGAAGGGAAUCCCAUAUUAGGGAUAAGCCAACCCUAUAUUCCCAUGGGUAUUUAACCCUAUUUUGGAUUUGCACGUUUAAAUUCAUGUUUUGACCAGAAAAAUGGGACCUGUAGGUAAGGUACUUGACACCAGCUUUUUGUUUCUAGAUGGAAAGUCCUCGCCGAGUCCAACAGAUGUUAGUAGUACCGAUUGAGGUACAAAGAUGGCCCAUGUUGCUUUCACCCAGUGAAAUUAACCAAGUAGCUGCUCGAUUAGGACCCAUUGCAAAUUUUAAGGAUAUUAAGUCCGAUGGCUAUUUGGUAGAGACUUUAGUGCAUCUAUGGGACCCCACUUGUUCCAUUUAGACUAGGGAAAAAGGAAAUGACCAUAACAAUUGAGGAGGUUGCUGGAUUUCUUAAUUUAUCGAUUCAGGGAACUGCUGUGAUGUUUUCAUUAGUGUCUAACAAAGCUGAAUUUUGUCAUUUCACCGGGUUAAAGGAAUCAGUAAUACAAGGGUCGGACCAAAAUAUAGAGGCAAAGUUCUUAUUUGAUCGAUUCGCAUUAAGAGAUGGUUUUGAUAGGCACUUAGGAGAUUUCUCGUUUACUUCCAAGGAAAUGUGGGAACGAAAGAGAGUUUGGAUAUAUGGAUUAGUUAUGGCUGGAACCUAUCUUUUUCCCUAGGAAAGACAAAAAGAUAACCUUUAAACUCACUAAAAUCUUGUAUGAUCUGUUUCUAGGAGUCAAAGAUAAGCAAUGUUCUAUUAUUCCGACUAUUUUGGCCGAUAUAUUCAUAGCUUGCACUACCUGUCAGAGAAGUGAAAAGUUCUUUUGUGGUUCAAAUUUGAUCUUACAUGUAUGAGGUAUGGAGCACUUCAUGAGACGAUCGUCUGUUCCCGAAAGUCUACCAGUGGUUGGGUACAACUGGAUAAUCACGCAUCAUAAGCGAGUCAAUGGAGAGGGUCUGCCGAGCAAUGCGUUUGAAUGUGUUAAAUACUUAGAGAUGCUGACGGAUCAAGACAUUAGGUGGAUGCUAGACUGGACGAAUUGCUGCAGACCAAUACUUCGUACUAAAGUGUCAAAAUUUGUUCUCUUGCUGGGUACCAAGGAAUUGCCGCAUACCCAAGGAAUUGCCGCAUACACCUAAAAUUUCUGCCGAGCAAUUGUACUAAUUCCAUGUGCGGAACCGCCUUCGUGACAUGAUGUAAAUAUAUUGGCAAGUUUAUCAAUGAAAUCGACAUUUUCUUUGCACUUGUACAAAAUUGUUGUAAAAAAUAGGUUUGUGUAACGGGUCCCAUUUCGAAGGUGCUGCAUCAUGCUAGGCCUAUUCUUGACACAAAAAGGGUUCUCCCAUAGGAUAUGCACCCAAAUUUUUGGAUAGUUACUAACUCUUGUCUUUUUCUUUUUCUUAUUUUAUUGUUGUUGGAAAGGCUAAGCGAGGGAUAAAUCUAAAGGCAAUUUCUUUCAAAAUUUUCUGGUAAUAUUUAAACAUAGCUACCCGAAGAAACCCCAUUAUCACCCGAUUACGUAGUCAUGUUUCGAAAGAAAGUGUAAACAUGAGUACCCAUCCAGAACCAUCUGAUAGGCCCACAACAACAUCAUUAACUGAUUUGGCGAAUCUGGGAGCUCAGCUGAGCGAAAUUCUCAAUCGAUUUAAUGAGCUAAGCGUUGAAAUGAUGGCCCAACGGCGCGUAAUCGAUCAAUUGGUAGCUAGUGGUGCUAGCGGUGAACAACAUGAGCCAUUACCCCAGCCAAUCUGAACCUCAACCCAUAUGUUUACAUUAUACUCAAACGUCUGUUACUUCACAAGUCAUAAACCCACCUGAGGAAGCCUUUACUUAUCCCAUUCAUGGCCCACCACCUACUUAUGCACCUCACAUCCAAACUAACCCUCCUCAUGUCCAAAUUUCUAAAAUUAUCUGUCAAUUACUAUGAGCAUGCCAUUCAAACCACAAGGACCUCAUUAUUACUCCACCGCUGAGCCAUUCACCCUAGAUACCGCCGCUCAAGGAAAAGCUGAAGUUGGGGAGUCAUCCGCACCAGUGGACAAGAAUUUACUAAAGAGAUUGGAUCGGUUUGAGGAGUUUAUAAGGAAAAGCCAAUGUGUGAGCAAGCAAGGAGGUCUAAACUACAAUGAACUAUGCCUGUUUCCGGAUAUGCAAUUGCCGGUAGGUUUCAAAACACCCAAAUUUAUCAAGUACGACGGAACAGAGAAUUCCAAGACCCACCUUCGAAUGUUUACGAACAAACUAGGGAGACCAAUAGAUGAUGAGAAUCUGCCUGUGCGCUUAUUUUUCGAGAGUCUAGAAGGCGACGCGUUGGAUUGGUAUUCCAAUUUGAAGCUCAAAGAUAUGAGAUCUUGGAUGGAUUUGUCAACCGCUUUCGUGAGGCAGUAUGAAUACAAUGCGAGCUCGCUUCGACGAGGACCACAUUGGAGGGGACCAAGAGGAAACCAUCGGAGGACCACAAGACGUAUGCGAAGAGAUGGAGGAAAUUGGCCGCGAAGGUGGAGCCUCCUAUGACUGAAAAUGAGAUUGUUCGCACGUUCAUCAAAGCUCAUGACCCGCCUUACUUUGAGGAGAUUUUUCGAAUGACAGGAUGCUCCUUUGCAGAGAUUGUUAAUAAAUUGGAAAAAUAUGAUGAGUUUAUGAGAGCAGGAAAAAUUGUUAAUGCUUUAGGUUUGAAGUCACAGUUGGAAGCCAUGCAAAGCCAAAGUAGCAGUAGUAAGAAGUCUCAAUUUAAGAAAAAAGACGAGGAAGCCUCUUUUGUCUGGAACCAGGGCUCUUUUUCCCGGCCUAGAUAUCAACAAAAUCCCACCUACUCAUCUCGUUACUUAUACCAACCACGCGUCCGCCCUGUUUACAACACCACUAUCAACCAUCCCCGUCCUCGACCAAAUUAUCCAAACACACAUCAACGCCAUUUCACAUUUCUCCACCAAACUUUCAAAUUAGACCUCGUCCUCCUUUUAACCCAAGACCUAUUCCACCCCCUAACCCAAACUACCAAUACCAACAACCCGUGAUACCCAAAAUCCAACCCCAUACCGAACAUUUACCAAUCUAGGUCGCCCUGUUGACCAAUUAUAUGAGCAAUUGAAAGCUGCUAGGAAGAUUAGUACGAUACCCCCUAAAACCUAUCCCAAGGGAUUUCCCAUUGGUUAUGAUCCUCAAUCAUUUUGUACUUAUCAUUCGGGAGCCCCACAUUCAACGUCCAAUUGCUAGGCACUUAAACAAAAAAUUCAAGAUAUGAUUGAUGCUGGAGACAUAGUUCUGAGAAGGAAAGAUGGACAAAGGCCGAGUGUUAGCAACAAUCCUCUUCCUCAGCACAAGGAUACCGUGGGAGCUGUCACCAUAGAGGAAGAGAUCGAGGAACAUACACAGUACAUUAUAGACGAGGCCGAGAUCAUGGGGGUCAUUGGAGAACCAUUCAUAGUGAAGGAGGAAGCCUACGAAGUUAAGGAAAAUAUUGAUCCUUUUAUUUUGGAAAUGAUACCUUUCGAGUGUGAGCUUUCGGAACUCGUGGUACUUGAAUUGCCUGAGCAAGCUCCUGUUCUUAAUUUACAAGAGGUCCCGUGGAAUUAUAGCGAGCCUACACUGUUAAUUGGAGGAGAGAAGGUGCCCAAAAAGGAAGUGGAUGCCAUCACUAGAUCAGGGAGAAUCAUAGGGGAACCGCAGUUGAUGAAUCCUCAAAGCAAAAGAAUGUGCUACGCCAACAAAACCAGUUGUGACAGAUGAAGAGGCUUUUAAUUUCCUUCAAAAGUUAAAGAAGAGCGAGUACCAGGUGGUCGAGCAAUUGGACAAGAUGCCCGCUCAAAUUGCCAUAUUAAAUUUGCUACUUACCUCGGAACUUCACAGAGAGGCUCUGGUCAAGGUCUUAACUGAGGCUCAAUUGCCUAAGAAUAUUCCAAUUGACAAAUUCACCAAUGUAGUUGAACAUUUUUUAGCUUCCAAUCGGAUUUCUUUUUUUGACGAAGAUCUAACUGCUGAGGGGAUUGGACACAACAAAGCCUUGACAUCUCAGUCCGCUGUAACGAAAACUCUUGCCAAAGGUUCUGAUAGACAAUGGAUCCGCUCUCAAUAUCUGUCCCUGGAAUAUCUUGGUUAAGUUAGGAUUUCAAGAGGCUAAAUUGCGGCCGUCAACCACCGUGGUGAGAGGAUUUGAUGGCGCAAAAAAGGGAACCAAUGGGGGAAGUGAAUUUAGUGCUGGAAAUCGGACCUGCCCAAUUUCAAGUCAUAUGCCAAGUCAUGAAUUUUUCAAGUGUUUAUAACAUUCUCCUUGGACGGCCUCGGAUUCACACUUCGAGCGCUAUACCCUCUUUACUUCAUCAAUUGCUGAGAUUUGUGGUGAAUGGUCAAUUGAUCACAAUUUUUACGGAGGACGAUUGCACAAUGAUUGUUAAUUCUGGACCAAAUGAGGAGGACAGUAAAAAAUCUCUGUUUUCUCCUCACUAUGUGGCUGACAUUGUUUCUGUAGGAUGGAUAUCUAAGGAGAAGCCAGUGGUGGAAAUGAAUUUGCCAGAAGCUAGUGUUAUGAUGGCUAAAGAGAUGAUUCGAGGAGGAUAUGAGAUGGGCAAGGGCCUCGGGCGCAACCUACAGGGAGUUUUGGAACCAAUAGAGAUUCAAGGAAAGAAGGACACCUUCGGAUUGGGGUUUCAACCUACUAUCAAGGAUAAGAAAGAAAUGAUGAAUCGCAAAAAGGCGGAGAAGGAAGGAAGGUAACUUAUCAUGAAUAUCCCACCAUUGUAUUGUACUUUUCCUUACCCAUCAGAGGUGAUUAGAGCUGAAGUAGAUCCAAUCGAGGAAGUGGAUGUUGGAUUGUCUGAGCUAUUUGUGGGGGUUGCUUCUGAGAGGAAGCCAUUGGAGGACCCAGAAUUUUCAGAGGUGUCUACCAAAACAAUGAAGAAUUGGACUAGUGAUUUUCUUCCCUCUCGAAGGGAAUUUCGGUAAAUCUGGGGAAUUGCCUUUGGUUGCCAUGAAAGAAUUUAUUCGCAUUAUUUAUCUGUUGUCUUUCAGUUUCGUAAAUAGUUUUUAAUCAAAUGCUUUUCAAUGCAAGUCUUAUGUUGAAUCUCUUGUUGAGUCGCAUGUUAUGAUCCUUUACCUUCAAAUUCAAUGAAAUGCGUAGUGUUUAUUUUCCAAAUUAAUUUGCUUAUGCAUUGUUUUAUCUAUUUUAUUCUUUUCUAGAUGGCCAAAAAUAAAACACAUUGACCCUUUGGAUAUCACUAUUCUGAAAUUUGAUGAUUGUAAUCUCGAUAUCUCUCACGAAGUUGAAAUUUUGGAAUCAGAAAUUCAAGACGAGAGGGAUAACGAGGAAGAAUCUGACUCUUUAUUAAAGAAUCUUGAACAAUAUGAAGAGAAAUCCAAAUCGAACUUGAAGAAACAGAAGUUGUUAAUAUUGGCACUAGGACUGAGGUUAAGGAGAUAAAAAUUAGCAUUCAUUUGAAUAAAAAAUAGAGAAAAGAGAUGAUUGAAUUUUUGACAAUGUUUCAAGAUGUGUUUGCUUGGUCCUAUGAUGAUAUGCCUGGAAUUUCAAUAGAUAUAGUGGUCCAUCGAUUGCUAACUGAUCCAAAUUUUCUACCCGUGAAGCAAAAACCUCGCAAGUUUAAGCCUGAUAUAAGCCUUAAGAUCAAAGAACAAAUCGAGAAGCAGCUCAACGCUAGAAUUAUCAUGGUGUCCCAUUAUCCCAUUUGAGUUUCAAAUCUCGUACCUGUCUUGAAGAAAAGUGGAGAAGUGCGAGUCUGUGUUGAUUAUAGGAAUCUUAAUAAAGCAAGUCCGAAAGAUGAUUUUUCAUUGCCAAACAUCCAUAUUCUGCUAGACAAUACCGCAGGACAUGAGAUCGAAUCAUUUGCUGAUUGUUUUGUCGGGUAUCACCAAAUCUUAAUGGCCGAGGAAGACAGAGAGAAAACUAUUUUUAUCACACCGUGGGGGACAUUUUGCUACCGAGUAAUGCCAUUUGGAUUGAAAAAUGCCGGAGUCACUUAUCAAAGGACCAUGACAACCCUGUUCCAUGAUAUGAUUCAUAAGGAGAUGGAGGUUUAUGUGGACGACAUCAUCAUCAAAUCCGAGAGGGCGGAGGAUCAUUUGGUUGAUUUGGAAAAGAUAUUUGAGAGAUUGAGAAGAUAUAAUUUGAAAUUAAACCCUGCAAAGUGUGCAUUUUGAGCCCCUGCCGGGAAGUUAUUGGGAUUCAUUGUCAGUAAGAAGGGUAUAGAGAUAGACCCGACAAAGAUUAAAGCUAUUUGCGAAAUGCCAGUGCCAAAAAUGUAAAAGGACGUGAAGAGUUUCUUAGGAAAAAUUAACUUUAUCGGAAGGUUCAUUGCUCAGUUGGCCCACACAUGUGAGCCUCUGUUCAAGUUAUUGAAGAAAAAUGUGCCACUGCAUUGGAGUGAAGAGUGCUAGCAGCCGUUUGAUAAAAUUAAAGACUAUUUGUUGCAUCCCCCGAUCUUAGUACCACCCAAGUUAGGUCGACCAUUGAUUAUGUACUUGUCCGUGCUCGACGAGGCUGUGGGAUGUGUUUUGGAGCAGCAUGACGAUUCAGGAAAGAGGGAGCAAGCUAUUUACUAUCUCAGCAAGAAGUUCACGUCUUAUGAGGCAAAAUAUACAUUGCUUGGAAAAAGUUGUUGUGCAUUGGCCUGGGCAGCUCAGAAGUUGAGGCAUUAUUUGCUUAGUCAUACCACUUAUCUUAUCUCUCGUCAGACCCUUUGAAAUAUUUGUUGGAAAAACCAAUGCCAACUGGACGCAUGGUUAAAUGGCAGAUGAUUCUUUCGGAGUUUGACAUCAUUUUUACCACGCAAAAAGCUAUCAAGGGUCAGGCGAUAGCGGAUCACUUGGCCGAAAACCCAAGGAGGGAUGAUUAUCAACCAUUUUACACUUAUUUUCCAGAUGAGGAGGCCCUGUUCGUUGGUACAGCAGAAGACAUGAAUGAAAAAUGUUCUGAAUGGAGGCUAUUCUUUGAUGGUGCCUCAAACUCCUUUGGAGCUGGUAUUGGAGCUGUUCUGAUAUCACCUGAAGGGAAGCAUUAUCCUGGUUCCGCUAAACUGCGAUUUUUUUGUACUAACAAUAUGGCUGAAUAUGAAGCUUGCAUUUUUGGGCUAAAAAUGGCGUUGAAAAUGGAGAUUAAGGAUUUAAUAGUGUUCAGUAAUUCCGAUUUAUUCGUUCAUCAGACUCUCAAAGAAUGGAUCACUCGAUAUUCAAAGAUCGUGCCUUAUCAUUGUAUCUUAUUGGAUUUGGCGAAUAAAUUUAGAAGUUUGGAGUUCCGACAUAUUCCACGUGCCAGGAAUGUCUUCGCCGAUGCUUUGGCCACUUUAUCUUCCAUGAUUCAACAUCCAGACGAGUUGGUGAUCGAACCUAUCCAGAUUCAUUUGCAAGAAAAACCAGCUCAUUGCCUAGUUGUGGAAAAAUCUCCCGAUGGCCAUCCCUGGUAUAGUGAUAUUAAGGAAUUUCUCAAAAGGGUCCUACCCUCCUGGGGCCGAUACAACUGUCAAAAGCUUCUUGCGCAGAUUAUCAUCUAAAUUUUUCUUGAAUGGAGAGGUGGUAUACAAAAGAACGUCAAAUUUGGGCCUUCUGAGAUGUGUUGAUGAGGAUGAAACAGAUUAUUUGAUGAAAGAAGUGCAUAGUGGCGUGUGCGGAUCACAUAUGAAUGGCCAUUUAUUAGCAAAGAAGAUCAUGAGGACGGGCUAUUUUUGGCUUACUAUGGAGCAUGAUUGUGUAGUUUUUGUUGGGAAAUGUAUCAAGUGUCAAUUGCAUGGAGAUUGUUAUGUGUGCACUCCCUCUACAGAAUUACACAGUAUGACUGCUCCCUGGCCAUGUUCAAUGUGGGGUAUGGAUGUGAUUGGAGCCAUUGAUCCUCCCCACAUUCAAAUGGGCAUCGAUUUAUUCUGGUGGCGAUUGAAUACUUUACCAAGUGGGUCGAAGCUGAAUCUUAUAAGCAUGUGACUAAGAAGGUGGUGACGGACUUUCUAAGGAAGCACAUUAUUUGUCAUUUCAGUGUGCCAGAGACGUUAAUCACCGAUAAUGCCAAAAAUCUCAACAAUAAUAUGGUAGAUGGAUUGUGCGAACAGUUCAAAAUCAAGUAUCGAAACUCCUCUAUUUAUAGGCCACAAUGAACGGAGCAGUAGAGGCUGCAAAUAAGAACUUGAAGAAGAUAAUCCGUAAGAUGACUGAGAGACACCGUGAUUGGCACGAGAAGCUCCCUUAUGCAUUAAUGUCAUAUAGAACUGCUAUUCGGACUUCUAUUGGGGCAACUCCUUACAAUCUCAUGUAUGGAAUGGAAGCAGUUUUGCCAGCCGAGGUCGAAAUCCCUUCUUUAUGCAUUUUAAUGGAGGCCAAACUGGAUGAGGCUGAUUGGAUCAAACAACGUCAUGAGCAGUUGUCUUUAAUCGAUGAAAAGAGGUUAAAUGCCAUUUGUCAUGGUCAAUAUUAUCAAAAGAGGAUAGCCCAUGCUUAGAAUAAGAAGGUUAGACCACGCAUAUUUACAGAAGGAGAUAAGGUGUUGAAACACAUUUUGCCAGUACAAUAGAAAGCCAAAGGAAAAUUUGCACCAAAUUGUCAAGGCCUUUUUAUUGUCCAGGAAGUUUUGCCCGGGGGGCGCUCAUUCUUGCAGAAAUGGAUGGGCAAGUGUUCCCUCAACCAAUCAAUUCGGAUAUGUGUAAGAAAUUUUUCAUAUGAUUUCCCUUUUAGGGUUAAUAUAAAGAAUGGAGUGAAAAGUCAGGCUUUCUUUUUUUUCAAUCAAACAUUUUAUCCCUAGUCACCCCUUUUUGAGCCUUCAAAGCAAAUUAUUUAGUUUGGCAACCUCUGAGAAUCGCAAACCCCACACUGGGGCAAGUUUUGAGUUAAAAAGGUUAAAAAGUUAAAAGAGAGGUUUCAAGGGUAAAAAUCAUAGAAAAAUAAAAAGAAGAGAAACUCAAAGAAGAAAAUCUCGAUUGAGAAUAAAUUGGGGCAAUUAUUAGUAGAGUUAAUUUGAAGAUGCGAUCUCAGAAAAUCUAAACCUUCGUAAAUCCGCCUUCGAGUCUUAACCUUUUAUAAGCAUCCUACCAGAUCCCGUUACAUAAAAUCAAAAGUCCUGACUUCUAUUCUUUAUAUUACCUUUUUCGGACGAUUUCUAAUCAAAUGGCACAUGAUGUCAAAGACACCUUCACCUGUUUUGCAAAGGAAGGGUUGUUAUACUGAUGCCAUUAUUUCUUAAAACACAUUUCUGAAUUAAUGCGGGCGAUAGACGAGAUUUGUUUAUUUGGUGAAAAUCCGUAAGGGCACAUUUGAAAAGAAGAAGGAAAAGAAAAAAAAAGAAAAGAAAAAAAAGAGAAAAUAAAAGAAAAGAAAAGAAAAAAGAAGAAAAGAAAAAGAAAAAAGAGAAAAUAAAAUAAAAGAAAAUGAAAAGAAAGAAAAGAAAAGAAAAAUAAAAUAAAAUGGGCGGGGGUAACCUUAGUGAAAAUCCGAAAAGGCGUUAAGGUAGGGUUUUACAAGGAAAAGUGAGUUUGGAUCUAAAGUGCUGGUGACUUAGUUCAUUGGAAAUUCUCCUCACAUUGUGGUUCUAUUGUCAAACAUUUGAACUCCGAAGAGAUGAUAUCCAAAGGGUCAAGCAUAGCAUUUUGUUCGAAAACCAAAGUGUUUGAUUUAUCAAACACGAAAUUUGAGUAUACAAACUUAUUUAUUUGAAAUGAUUUUUUAUGCAAUAAAAGUAAAGGGUUGUGUUUAUAUUGUUAAGAUUUUUCAUCAUUAUGUGCAAUUAGAAUGUUUUUCAUGUGUUGCAUGGUCACAUUUGUCUCUUUCGUUCUAUCAAAUGGCAAUCCCUAUGAUUUAUCGAAGAGAAUAGAUACUAGAUGACACGUUGAUCUGCAUAUGAGAAAUUAUGAAAACUUGAUAUUGCUCGCAGGGCAAGAUUGAAGUACCCGCUUCGCCAAAUAAGGAGUCCAAAUGCUCAUGUUUACACUUCUCUUGAAAAAGGGGUUGAUCGGAUGGAAGCGGUAUUAUCUAUCAUUAUUUCUUUUCUUGCAGGUCUGAUAGUCCAAUAAGCAUUACACUGGGGCAAUUUUAGAGGAAGUUAUUUGUCUCCCUUCUCAAAAUUCUACGAAAGUUUUGUACGAAUCGACCGAAUGAAGAAUGAAGGCAGGCUCGGGUGUUCAUCCCACUGAGCAAAUGAAGAAUGAAGGCAGGUUCGGGUGUUCAUCCCAUUGACCAAAUGAAGAAUGAAUGCAGGUUCGGGUGUUCAUCCCACUGACCAAAUGAAGAAUGAAGGCAGGUUCGGGUAUUCAUCCCACUGACUAAAUGACAGAUGAAAACAGGCUCGAGUGUUCAUCCCACUAACCAAAUGACAGAUGAAGACAGGCUCGGGUGUUCAUCCCACUGACCAAAUAACAGAUAAAGGCAGGUUCAGGUAUUCAUCCCACUGACCAAAUGAGGAAUGAAGACAGGUCCAGAUAUUCAUCCCACUGAUCUCUUUUGAUUAUGUGUUUCAGAUCACAGUAGAAUAAAUACAGGUAAAUAUUUGGUGUCUACGUCUUUGUCUCGAGUUUCUUUGAAACUCAGAUAAAGAGGGGCAAAAUGUAAACACCAAAUUUCAAUUUAGAUUUAUUUAUCUUUAGCUUUUAUUCGAUAAUUAUCCGAUUUUACUUAUUAAAAUCAUGAUUUCGAUAUAAAAAAAAAGAAGAAAAAAAAAAGAGAAAAACUGGGAAGCCACGCCUGCGUGUCUUGCACGCGCGCUGCAUUCCAUUCAGCUUCGUCCGAAGCAGCAAAGCAGCGAGAAGGUUCAGGGAUUUCUUCCAGUUUUUUUUCCUUCCAUUUUUUCUCCCUUUUUUUUAGCUCCGUUAGAUGAUGUUGGUAUAGGCCAUCUGGCCGUUAUCUUGAGCCUAAAUUUCAUGAGGAACAAAGGCCGUCAGAUGGUUCCCCAAAUAUCGGUGGCUUCAUCUAAACCAUCGUUGAGAGGGUUUAGUUUUUGGGGUGCUAUAUAAAAGGAUGAGGCGGGUUUAAGAGAAGGGUUGUUGAGUGUUGAGAGGAGGAAUUGGCGGCUGCCUAGCAAAGGGAAACAAAAACAAAAAAGGAGAGAAUAGGGGAGCAGAGAACGGCUAGGGGUUUCGGGGAAAAAUCAAAGGAAGGGAAUAAGAGUGAGGGUUGGAGGAUAGAAAAGAAUGAGUGACGGCUGGGAAGGGUUUUGAGAGGGAGAAUCGGAUAACAGCGGAGAGGAGUUUGGGGGCUGAGAGUAUGGGAGUGACGGCUGGGGGUUGAGAGAAUAGAGUGAACAGCGGCUGAGGAAACUAAGCAAGAGAAAGAGCUCCAAGGGAGAAACCAAGAGAGAGUGGAGGCGGAGAAGAAACGAAAACAGCAGCGAAUGAGCUAACAAUUGCGAGUGAGAUAGCAAGCGCAAAAGGGAGAGAAAGAAAACUGGACAAAGGAGAAGGAAAAAGGCUCUGGAGGGGAAUGGAAAACAACGACUGAACAAGAAAGUCAGAGAAGCAAGAAGGAAACUGCAUUCGGAAGCAGCCUCUGACCAUCCUUCUGUUUUCAUCUCAACUAAGAUUCAUCCUCAGGUAACUCUUAAUCUGUUUCUCUGCUUUCAUUCCAGUUCAAUGAGUCUACUGGGUAUGAUGCAUCUGGUUUGAUUAAGAAAUAAUAAGACCUAGGAGAUACUGUGAAGGUCAUUAGAUAUGAAUAAUGUGCUGCAAAACUUUAUUUGGAAUCCACGUAUAAAAGAUUUCUGCUUUUGCUUUGUGAAUCUGGUUGGGCUUAAGGGAAGGAGGAAGGGCUCUAAUCCAUGGGUGUGGGUUAAGCUAGAAUUUUCGUUGUUUGUCUCUUGAUUAAGUUUCCUUAAUUCUUGUUGAAGUUCCAUUAGUUUUCCCAUUGAUUUCUGCUCUUUUGGUUUAUGGCUGAUGCGAGGAGUUUUCGUUUGAUGUUUAUGGUUGAUUCUUGUGUGUUUGAACAAGCAAAUCCAGAAAAAUGGCAUAAAACUUUGGGCAAUUCUGAUUGAUGUUUUCUUCUAGCUGUUUACGUGCGGCAGUGCCUUGUUGCUGUUUUCUUGCUGUUUUCCUUUCCAUUUUAUUCUUAGCACCUUGUUUGUUGUCGUGGUUGGGCUUUAGAAUGUUUUCUCGAAGUUCUGAGUUAGGGGUCAGUAAAUGUUUAUAUUUCCUUGCGCUGUUGUUGAACUUCGGUUGCGGUUGGAUGGAUCCGUUUCAUUGCCUUGUUGCAUUUCAUGUUCAGGAACCUUAUUGAAUCUUCCCUCUCCCUUUGUCCAAGUCUUUUAUGCUGGAGUAAGUUAAGACUUGUAUUGAGUCCCUUCUAGGUUAAUGCAUAGGAGCUUAGGGGAGCCGAGAGUCACCCUUGAUCAUGUUGCAGCUGUGCGAACAGUUUCCUUUUUCUCUUGAGCUGCUGAAGUUUUUUUUUUUUUUUUUUUUUUGGUUUGCUUAACUUUUAGGCUUUGUUUGCUAUUCCUGGUUGCAUUUGUCAUUUCUCUUACUUUGGUUUUAGCAUGGUGUAGGGGGUGCGUAAUGGAAAUGGUUUCCUUGCAAAAGAGAAAUUUUUCUUUCAAUCAGGUGGCCUAAAGGGACCAGGGCAUCUCAGUUCCCCUGUUCUUUACCUUGCGCUUUGUCUUCCUAUAGUUCUAGCCUUCCCCUUUGAGUGUUCUGAGUCUUCUUAUUGAGUUUGCUUUCAUUCGUAAAACCAGAGGGAGGUGAAUGAAUCUGUUGCAAAUAUUCAUGUUGCUUUGCUGCAUUUUAUUGCUCAAAUGAUUUGAUUAGAUCUGUUGAGGUAUAGAUGAUUGUGGUUGGGUGAAGUUAACAACAUGAAUUAAAGGUCUAUUGAGGUAUAGAAUGUUUAGCUCACGCUUUCAUCAUUUCAAGAUGGGUUGUGUAUUGUGUCUUGAAUCAAAAGAUGAUGCUUUCCUGGGAUGUGUUCAAUUAGUUGUCAAAUGCCGCAUGUUGCAGAAUGAAGGAAAAUAGAAAAUGCAGAAAUCUUCUUCGUAUGCAUGCAUGCAAAUCUUCAUAAAGGUUGCAUUCUUACCCUCCAAGUCCCCUUUUGUUCUACUAUGGCCAGAAAAACUUUUAAUUUCUUUCAGAGAGGUUCCUAAUUUAAUUGCAAAUAGGCCCCUAAACUUUAUUUUUCUUUAAUUUUGAUCCUGAAACUUUGUUAAUUUUCACAGUUAAGUCCCUUCUUCUUUUAAUUUCUUAAAUGUGGGUUGCUUGCAUGAUUUAAUUGAUUCAAUUUCAUGUUUAUUUUUUAUCUUUUGUGAUUUAUUUCUUAACUAAAGUGAUGCCUUGACUUUUUCUUUGAUUUUGGAGGGUAAAUAAGUAAUUUCAUUUCAUUAGACUAUCAACUCAAAGGAGGUACACUCUAUCCCUUAUUUUGACUUUAAUUGAUCAUAUGUGCCCUUAUGUGAUUUUAUGUGCUUAAUUGCAUGCCUUUUGAAUGUUUUCAUUUUGUUUAUUUAUUUAUUCGCUUUAUUUGUUUUAAUUUUGGAUAUUUAUUUUAGUUCAAUUUCAAUUAUUUGAAAGGCAUUCAAAGGCCAAAGUUGUAAUAGUUAGGGGUUUAUUUUUAUUCUUUCCCUUUUUAGAUUAUAGUAGGGCCCCCCAAUGUAAUAGUUAGGGCUUGUUUGUUUUAUUUGCUUGGUAUGUUUUGCAUGCUUAUGUGUUAUGUGUUAUCCGCUUUUUUAGGGCCUUGCAUCUAGAUAUCAUGCUUAUGUGUUAUGUGCUAUACGUGAUUUAUGUGUUUACAUGCUUUUAUUAGGUCUUACAUGAUUUAUUUGAUUGUAACCGAUGUGUGACGCACCACACUAGUCCAAUGCUAGUUGUGGUCAAUUUCUCGAAUCCAUACUAGUCCAACGCUAGUUGUGGCCCUUUCCGACUUUUCUCACUAGUCCAAUGCUAGUGAGAAAUUAUAGACGUGAGCUAGUCCAACGCUAGACCCUUAGGAGCCCCUCGAGCGUUAGAUCAUGGUUGUCUGAUAAAAUCACUUCAUCUCAUACAUGUUUUCACUUUUUAGGGUUUUUACCAUGUUGUAUGACACUUUCUUAUAUAUGUACAUCCUUUAUCCCAUAUUCUUUUCUACUUAUAUCCCCUAUUCCGUAUUUUCUCUUAUAUAUAUAUUUCUUACUCUUUUGUAUGAAAACAUAACAUUAGACUUGCAUUUCAUUUAAGAAAUAGAAACUAGGUUAAAUCAUUUGCAUGCUAGAUUAGGAAAACCUCUUGGGUAUGGGAUAUGAAUGAGUUUGGCUUUUUAACUUUAGCACGCUCGUAUUCCCUCUAUUAAAGGAAACAUUGAGUCACGAACAUUAGUCCCCGCACCCGAUAUGAUGCAUUCCUUUAGGUCACGUAUAUUUAUAAAAUUAAUUUUAAUUUUAUUUUCCUUUUCUUUUCUUACAGUCUCAUAUUUUUGCAUUAUUCGUGACCUCUCCAAAGAGUCCACAUUGAGCAUCACAAUUAAUGUGAUUGGUACAAAUUGAGAUUUGAAGAGAAAAUUCGAUCCCCUGAUACUCUCUUAGGUCUAGGUUUUGCAUUCAUAUAGUACAUCUAAAUGUGAUAAAUCUUUAGGUUAAAAUAAGAAAAUCUUUAACUAAAUCACGCAACUAACCUUGGUUAGGUUGAAAGGGUGCCUCGAAUUUUUUUAUCCCUGCCUUUCCUUUCUUCAAAUGUGACUCCCGAGCACGUUUCUUUGAUUUUCGUAGAUUUGGAGUCAUUUAAAAAGGGUUUUCUACUUUUUUCUUUAAAAAUUCAUUUUUAGGUGACUUGGUACACUUUAACUUAAUACCAAGUGGUGACUCCGAUUUUUUUCAUUAAAACCCUUUUUAAACUGUUUUUGGGUUAAAAUCGUCGCAUUUGUUUUGUCCUAUUUAGACCCAUAUUUUUCUUUAUUUUCUAAAAAAUCAAAAACUCAUUUUUUAACCAAAAUUAAUCAAAAAUUCAUUUUUCUAAACUAAUUUAUUUUAUUUCAAAAAUGGGGUGCGACACAAAUGGCUCCGUAUGAAGCGCUUUAUGGUAAAAAAUGUAAGUCUCCGAUUUGUUGGGAUGAAAUAGGUGAACGGAAGAUCUUAGACCCGAUUACAGUGUCUUGGAUUGAGGAAGCUAAUGAAAAGGUAAAGUUGGUACGCCAGAGAAUUCAAACUGCACAGAGCCGUCAAAAGAGCUAUGCAGAUAAUCGGAGGAAGGAUUUGAAAUUUGCGGUUGGAGAUCUAGUAUUUCUUCAGAUCACGCCUUUGAAAGCAAGUUUGAUGCCUGGAAAGGGAAAAAAAACUACAACCGAGGUUUGUAGGGUCUUAUAAGGUUAUCGAGCGCGUGGGACAGGUAGCGUACAAGUUGGAAUUACCACCGAAUCUAUCUCGAAUUCAUAAUGUGUUCCAUGUGUCUAUGCUUAAGAAGUAUCAUCCAGACCCUUCACAUGUCUUACACCCGGAAAGUAUUGAGAUCGAUGAGACAUUGACCUAUGAGGAGAAACUGGUUAACCUUCUAGAUAGAAAGGUGAAAGAAUUGAGAAAUAAACAGAUACCACUAGUAAAAGUUCUCUGGAAGAACCAUGGGUUAGAGGAAGCUACUUGGGAGGUCGAAGAAACAAUUCGAGAAAAGUAUCUAGACCUGUUCACCAAUCAAGGUAAAUUUCGAGAGCGAAAUUUUCUUAAGGGGGAGAGGAUGUGAGGACUCACAAAAUUUAAUAUUUUAAAUUUCAUUUCGAGCUUAUUUAAAUAUUUAAUUGCCCAUUUACUCCGAAUAUUAUUUUUUAACCUCAUUAGACCUAAUUACAUGGAUUUGUAGCUUUAUUAUAUUUUAAAAGUGGCAUGUUAAAAAUUUUAAUUUUUGGAAGUUCGUUAAACGGGAAUAGUAAAUACACGUUUGGAGAUUAUAGCUGAUUUGGGGAUACAAUAAGUUUGAAAAAUUAGAGACUUGUAUACUAGUCUUGAAAUCGAUAUUUUUAUGUUUAAGUGCUCAAUUAUUAGUUAGUGAUACUAUCGUUACAAGAAUUCUUGGAAAUUUCAUUUUAUUGCGCUUAAAUUGAAAAUACGCGUUUUUACACGCGCGAUUUAAUUGAGGGACCUUAGACCCUUAUUUUGGGAUAAUUAAGAGUGAAUAACAUUUAUAUGAAUAUAAGUGCAUUAAAGGUUUAGUGCACUAGUGAAAUAAAUUCGAGAGGAAUCGAGCACAAAAUGUGCGUGCGCGCGAAGGAGAGUUGACUUUUGGGUCAACAUGGGCCACACAUUAAAGCUUCUCUUGGAAGUUUCAUUUGAACAAACACUCUCUCUCUCUCUUCCCUCUCAUUUGGCCGGCCAUCAAGAGGAGGAAAACACCAAGGAGCUCUUCCAUUUUUCUUCUCCAAUUCUUCACAAAAUCAUCACCCAUUUCACCUCAAAUUUCACGCACACUUAGUUAAACACUUGGUGAUCAUCUUAAGCUACAAAAGGGAGCCGCUUUCCAUGAUAUUUCUUGAGUUAAGAAGGGCCGAAAAUUUCUGCCUUGCACAUCUAGGAGAGUAAGUGACGAUCUACCCUUUAAAUCUUGUUUUAUGGAAGUAGUAGUGCAUAUAUAAACUUAUGCAUGCAUGUGGAUAGCUUGUUUAUGUUGGAAAAAUUGUUGUGUGGACUCUAUGAACUCUCACUUUGGUUGGAUGGACUGAUUUGAUGAAUGAUGAUGUUAUUAAUGUUGGUUUAGUGCUUAAAUUAGUGGGAUAAUGUUGUAUUGUGGUAGAAACUCAAGGAAGGUGCAAUGAGCAAAAGUGACCAUUUUAUCCCUGCCAUGUUCGUGUACUUUGGUGCGAAUUUUUGAGAUUCUAAUGAUUUGUUUAUGAUGUAUACAUGUUAUAUGGAUAGUGUAGAAAGUUUUGUUGAAAAAUAAUAUGGUUUGGUUGGCUAAAUGUAUUGAUUUCUAAAGGAUAGCAAAACUGAAAAAUUUUCCCGGAUUGCCCAGGCAGUCCUUUUGUUUCGGCUAUAACUCCUUGCUCCGAUGUCGAAAUCGAGUGCCAUUUGCGGCACUAGAAACUAGACAUUCCCACUUGAGUGAGCCAAACCAUUCGUUUAAAAAUUGCUGUCCUAUUGCAUUGGUUCACUACAGGGCAAAACAUGAACUACAACUUGAUGCUCAAAUGUGGGCUAGUUGUGGAUGGAUUUUGAAAAUGGUUUCUUCUGAGAAAUUGUAGCUUUAUGAAUGUGUUUUCCAACGCCACCAACCACGCUCAAUUCCAAGUUGAAUUGAGUGAGUUGUGAUCAAAGUUCAAAACUGACCCAGUGUUGAACACAACCUUCUUUCGGUUAAGUGAAUGUCCUGAUCUUGUGUGGGACUUGUACUCGAAAUUUUUGGUGUUAAUCACCCCAAAUUGUGUUUUGGAUAUGUCUUAGACAUUUUCUAUACAAAUGGACCAUGUUUGAGGUACUCUGUAGGCCAAAUGUCAUGAAAACAGAAAACGAAAAACGGAACUCACAAGGCAGAUUUGCCUUGGAAUUUUGGAACUUUGGUGAUUUGGUUAACCAACUUUCCGUGCUUAUUUAUCUAUGAAAUUUGGUAGAGGAAUAGCCCUUAUGUUUUAAUAUAAUCAUACCAAAUUUGAUGCUAUUCCAAGGCCGUUUCAAUGUACAACUAAACUCCUAAAAUCUAUAAUUUAUACUUGGAAAAACCCUUGUUUAACAAGGAAAUUUUGGUAACUUUGGGUCACCAUAUCUUGGUGCUCAAAACUUCAAUUCUCAUCUCACUUGAUUUGUUUUAAACUUGGAUUACAACUCUAAUAGAGUUCCAAAUUUUAAAGGCUAGAUCAAAUUGACUGAAUUUUGCCGAAUUUUCUAAGUUGGCCAAAAACCAACUUAAAUCUGUCUUGAUAACUCAAGUUAUCAAUUUCAAGCCAAAAUUUGAAUGUCUUCCACCUAGAUUCAUGGAAAGGUAUCUUCUAGACACUUUUAGUACUUUGAAAGAUGUUUCCAACGGUACUAAAUUUUCCAAUUUUGGACAAUCAGGGAGUGAGUUAUGAUUUUCAAAAAAUGUCCCAAAAAUCAAAAUUUUUGGCCGUUUGAAAGAAAUUCGCGCGGAAAACUUCUCACCAGAUUCCGGCCUUGAAUCCGGCCAGUUUUUGGUUAGAUAAUCGGCUGGAUUGCUGUUGGAAUUUGAAAAAAAAGGAGGUUGGUCUCUGCCUCCAAUCCGGCCAGAAUCCGGCCGGAUUGUGACGUGGCUUGUCCUGUUCCGACUUCGGUCGUUCGUUUUGAAGCUUAUUUGCACGUACUCGUUCUCAUCCAAUGAUUUUAAGGAUAAUGAACCGUUUUUACUCGAGAUUUGUAACCCUAUUGAGUCUCGAUUUUCAAAAAAGAAACCUAGGAUCGAUUUUCGAGAUAUAUUCUAAUAUCGUACUAGUGUACAACCUUCCUUAUCAUUGGAAUUAUCAGUAAUAUCCCAUUAUUAAUUGCUCAGGCACACAAAAGGACCUUCAAGAGGAUCCCACAGUGAACGCCUAAAGCUCCGAGUGACAUUUCUUCCUCAUUACUUAUAUUGGUGAAUGUCAAGUGCAUGUUUACUUGAACUCCUGUGAACUUGAUACAUGUCUACUUGUUACCAAUGAUUUAAGUUUUGAAAAUGGAGUCGAGUGUGUACUUUAUCGCACUCGUUCUCAUUCGAAACUAAUAAUUUGUGAAUGACUUGCUUGAUAUGUAAUGAAUGACCUGAUGGAUAUGACAUGGAUACUAUAAUAUUUCAAAUGCUUGCUAAACAUGAAAUAGUAUGCUAUGGUUGCAUACGUCGCUGGAGUGAAUCUCCUCGACACCCAAAUGUACAUAGGAGACGCCCAAAGUCACAGGCCGACCUUGGACUCGAGCCGGCAUGGGCUUGGUCGGGAACCUUGGCGAGCCAUGAGAUAAAUAAGCUCGACCUAAUGAGAGGUCUUGCUUGGCAUACUCGUGGAGUAUCGCCUCAUAAAUAUCUUGCGGGCCCGGAAGAUGUACGGUGGACAGAGGGAAGUAAGUGGUGAUCUACGGAAUGAAAAUACCGACCCGAUUGAUGGAGUGUCAUCGCGGGAAGGUAUACGAAUGACAUCGGCAAAGCAAGUGGAAUUUAGCUCCUGAGAGCUACCAUAUCCUUGAAUUGUUUCUGUUUAAAUUUCACUAGAAUUGUUAAUUUCAUGUAUAUUCUCAUUUGACCUAUUGACUGGGCUUUUUACUUGGACUAUUUACUUGCAUGUGUGUUCUUGACUUCACGAGCGUUUUGCUCACCCUGUAGAUUUGUUUUCCUUAACAGGAAUGAGCUUGAAAUGGGACUCGAAGGAGUUCCCCUUUUGAUGCAUUUUGUAAUGAAAUUUCGAUGUAUUUGACUAGGCAUUAUGACUAUUGUUAUUUUGAGAUUUCAGAUGUAUUUUGGAAACCCGAUGCAAGGAUUGGAUAAUUGUUAAAUAUUAUUAAGAUUGAAAGCUUCCGCAUCAAUUGCCUUUCAUUAUUUGGUUGUGAUGCUUAGUACUAUAUUAAGCUUGAAUAGAAAUUGCCUGAGUCCUGGCGAAAGUUAGGCAGGCGUCUCGCGAAUACCCUUUGGUUCGGCUUAGGGAGAUGUGGGGGCGUCACAGUGUAAGACUUUCCAAAAAGGGGAGAGUAAAGCCGUCAGAGAGUUCAUUUGCUCCCCCAAAUUUGAGGAAGACUUAGUCACUCUCAGUAGACCAACCUUCCAAACAACCUAUAGUCUAGGGCCUUCUUCCUUUGUACUCAAUAGUUUUUUGUAUAAAAUAUUUCACAUUUUAAUGAAAAUCUUUCAAUGAAUUCCUCACAUUGCUGUCUUCUUUCAAUGAAUUCCUCAUAUUGCUAGCUUUUUUCAAUGAAUUUGUCAUAUUUUUGUAAUAUGUCUUGAUAUAUCUUGCCCCUAAUGUACUUAGAAAAUUUUUUAAAGUAUACUAAGUUAAAAGCACAUCGUCACCUAUUUAUUGGAUAAUUAAAAAUUAUCCAAUUUAAAUGACGAGUGUUCAAAUACAAUAAGAAUUUAGGCCAAAAAAAUAUUUUUAUUUCAAACACAUAGAAAGUACAAAAUCAAAGUUCCGAUUACUUAUUACUGGAUAAAGAGUUUCAAAUUAGUUGUGUGCCAGGGGUGCGGGAUCUCUUCUCUACUGAGAUGAGAUAGUUUAUAAUAUCCAACUUGUCUAGCCUCUAUAAUUGUGUACGGACCAUCCUAAUUAGGAUCUAAUUUAUUAGUUGCAUGUGUGUGGCUAAUUAAAUUUUUUUCUUAGGACAAGACCUCUUACCUUAAAUCUCCUUUGCAGAACUUUAAUGCUAUAGUACUAAGCUACUUGUUCUUUAUAUUUUGCCAUUCUUAUUGUGGCUUACUCCCUCUUUUGCUCUAUCAUAUCCAAGUUAUAUUUUAUUUCUUUAUUAUUGACUUCUGAAAUAAAAUUCUGAGUCCUAGAUAAGGGGACACCCACUUUUGUUGGUAUAACUGGUCUUACCCGAAAGUCAGUGCAAAUGGAGUUCCCUGAGUUGUUGUCCUUUGAGUAGUUGUUUGAUAGGCCCAUAGGAUGUUAGGCAAUUCAUCCAAUCAUUCCGAUUGUACUUGCUUCAUCUUGGUUUUCAACUUGUGCAAAACCGCCAUAUUCAUAUUUUUCACCUGCCCAUUAACUAACGGAUGUUCUACUAAAGUGAAAUGCUAUUUUACUUUCAACUCUUCAUACCACUUCGUAAAGGGAUUUUUCACAAACUACUUUCCAUUAUCCGAUAUCAGUACAUAUGGUAUCCUAAAGCGACACAUGUGAGAACUCGAGAAUUUAUAGGUAUACCUUGAAUUUAUUUUAUUUAUUUUGUUAUUAGAAAUAAUACAUAUAUUCUACAAUUGAUUAAAUUAAGUGUUUAAUUUAUUUUAUUUAUUUUGUUAUUAGAAAUAAUACAUAUAUUCUACAAUUGAUUAAAUUAAGUGUUUAAUUGAUUUCUUAUAAAUUGAAAAUAAAAAAAUCCAAGAAUGGUGUAGAAAAAAUUCUUAUAGGGGUAUGUAAAUUGGAACAAACUAAAGUUUGGGGCAAUAUUUGAAGUUGAUAGAAUAACAAAUCCUUAACCAGUAAAUAAACCAAAGCUAAAAGACCAAUUUAACCCUAAAACUUCAGCAAUCAACCAUGCAACCAAGAGGACCGCCUUCUGGAAUAGAACCGAAAGAAAAAUGAUAGGUUCUGCCAAUGCAUUUGGGCGGUGAAUUGAGAUAGCUGCCAGGAAGGAAAUGUUACUAAGCCAGCUGAGUAAGCAAUAACCAAAUAGAGAGCAGCUUAAAAGAAACAAAAACUGGCGGUGGCCGAAAGGUAACAAUCUGAUCUCCUUAAUCAAUAAGGCCGAGAGAGUUGAGAAGAAAAGUUGUCUUCCUUUCUUGCUUUCUUCCUAAAGCAGACUCGAGUGAGUGAGACGGAGUGUGAGGGAAAAGAAAGUGUAAGCUUCACCAACAGCUAACUAUGCGAACGAAAAACAGAAGGGAGGUCGAGUGAGGAGUUGUGAUAGCAAACUUGAGCAGCCUGCAACAUCGAACUUUAAGGGAACAGGUAAGAGCUAUAACCACUCUCUGUUUAGUUGAUUUAAUCCGUUAAACAUAAGCCUUAUACGUUGAAUUUAGCUAGAGGCUUAGUUCUGGUUCAAGAAAAUGUUUUGCAGAAUUUGUAACUAAGAGCAGAAAUGAGCUAUGGUUUUGUUUAGUUCUUGAAUUUAGUCUAACAUUUGUUAAGGACAACCUGUAACCGAAGAGAUGUUCCCUGCAUGCUAACUGGAACCUGAGAUUGAAGGGGAUCCUAAGGAACUAACAAAUGAUACCUUGUUGCAAUACGCAUGUGAAAGCAUGCAAAUCUGAUGCAUGCUGCUAUGCACCAGAUUACAUGCAUCAGAUUUGCAGCUAGCUGCAGAAACGAAGCAGAACUCAGUUUUUUUUCCUUUGAACCCUGGUCAUGAACUACCUUGUUUAGCUUAGAGUAACCCGCAGUAGGUUAAGUGUCCUCUGCAUAAAUGAUUGAGACCAAAACUCAGGAACCUUAACUAGUUGAUGCAACCUGCUGUGAAUCCGAGAGGGAGGAAAUUAACCUUGGGAAAGAAAAGCUGCAAACCCUUAAACUUCUAAACUAACUUACAGAGUUGAACCUGUUAUAAUGCCUCUAAACCUCCACCAGAAAGACAGAAAUGAGUAGGAACUAAACUGAUUGUUGAAGGCAGAAUAAGUCUAGUGAUGGCAGGUAACUUGUCCGAAAGAAUGAAGCAGAAUAUGCUUUUGAUCGGCCAUAUUUUACCUUGAAAAUGUGAGAAUUGGGUGUUGAUGUCAUCAUAAGAAAUGUAGGUGUAGGUCCAUAUCUUAGUUUCGAAACAUUAUAAAAUUUACCUCAAUCCGAUAAGUAUAGCUCCAGUUAUGAUCAAAACACCAGAGGUUGGCAAAGCUACCUUUCUCGUUGCCUUUCUCUUGUUUUUCCAAAUGCAUUCUACUUGAUGCUGGCCGUGAGGAAACUUAUUUUUUUAACAGCAUUUCAUCUAAUUCCCAACCCUGUAAGCAUUCAUAAAUGAUAGUUAAGGUUGCUCUGAGAUUUAACGACUAUAUCUAGUUCCACGAGUAGAGUUAAAUUAAAGCAAAUGAGAGGAAAACUCAUGAUAGUUAUAUAUCUAAAUUGGCUUCUAAUCACUUAAUAUUGUCUUUACAAAUAUGUUAAAAACAUAAAAUUUGAGGGACGAGUGUAGUGGAAUAAAAUUUAAUUUACAAAUAACUUGGAGUUUAACUAAUUUAAAAAAGGAACCAAUGGAAUAUUCCUAAGCUUUAAACUUAGAAUCUUGAGUAGAAAAUGAUUUAAUCCUAAUGUAAACAUUUUUUAAAUUAUUAACUUGAAAAGUAUGUAUAUUUCGUGAUUUAAGAUAAUAAAGUCAAUAAGUCUCGAAAUAAAUUGGGGAAUAAAUAUUGCGUAUAUUUUAUAUUUUAAAGUCAAACCUAAUUCAAAUAAUUUAAAUAAUAAGUGAACAUAUACAAAUUAUAAAUUUAUCAUGAAAUUAUAUAUUUAUCUCAGGAAGUAACUGUGAGCCAGGAGACAAGCCGAGGCUCAAGAGUAAAUUAUUUGGAUAAUUGGUGAGUGUUUUCUGAAUUUAUGUGUUUAACUGUUUAUGUGUGUCUAAGUGAAAUUAUGUGACAAAUGUGCUUAUCAUGAAUUAUUACUAAAUGAUUCCUUGUGAAGUGUAUCUCAAUUGUUUCUCGUCUUCUAAGUCAUGGGUGUACUUUAUCGUACUCGGUUUAGUUGAGUUUGAAGGUCGAUAAUUGACUGAAUGUUAUUGUAAGUGUGCAUGAAUAUAAGCCGUAUAUGUGCCUCGCUGCAUCGGCUGAACUGGGCCCCAAAACCCUCUGUUCAACGGACUAUUCGACCCAGCAAAGGGUUUUGUGGUGGUAGGAUGGUAGAUUUGAGUAAAUGUUUCGGUAUACUCGAGUAUUACCAUGAGGUUGGGAGUUAUUGAACUAAUUAUUGAAUGUAGGGGAUUGUUUGUUGUAUUGAAGGACAUAAGGAGGUGAAUCAGCGGAAUGUGCAAUGAUAUUGAAAUGAAUGUACAAUGAUGGUGAAAUGAGUGCCUCUUGAUACUGAAAUGAAUGCUCAAUGACCUUGAAGUGGCUCUAAUGCGAGCACCAUAUCCUUUUGAAAGUGAUUGUUUAGUGAAGUGCUUCCUCGAUUGCUUAAUGAAAGUGAUUGUAUAAUAAAAUGUGCACUACUUGCUUAAUUGUACUGAUUUAAGUGUUUAUUAAAUGUUGCAUACUAGGCAAACCUCACUGAGGUUUAGCUCAGCCCUUUAGUUUUUUUCCUUACAGGAGCUGGUGGUCAGGGAACGAACGAGGGAUCUUAGGAGUUAACGUGAAGAUUUUGUGAUUGUUAAUCCUUUAGUUUCAUAUUAUGGUUGAAACUUUUGUAUUGAACUUGGUAUUGUAAAAGAUUUGAGCGUUUGGUUUUCGUUAUCAAAAUAUUAUCUUUGAAGUUAAUGUAAGUGAGUGAGCCCUGACGAGAGCCAGGCAGGCGAUCCGCUAACUUUUAGGGUAUAUCUUAAAAGAAGGUGGAGCCCUCACAACACAUGAUAUUCUUUCAAAAAAAAUUUGAAUUGUUCUCCCUGUUAUAGAACUCAAGGGUUUGGUCUCUAUCCAAUUAGUAAAAUAGUUUAUGGUUACCACCAAGUAUUCAUAACCUCAAGAGCUCUAGGAAAGGAUCUAAGUAGAUCUAUUCUCUAUGGAGCAAAAGGCCAACAGCUUUGAAUAAGGAUUAUAUCCUAAGUAGGCUAAUGAUGAAUUGAUGUAUGUAUUUGGUAAGCUCUUCAUUUCAACACCAGUUCAGAAGCAUCUUUGAAGAUUGUGGGCCUAUAAUAACCCAUUAGCACACAUGUCUUUGCUAACAUUCUUGACCCAAUGCGAUUUUCACAUAUCCCUUCAUAAUUUUCUUGGAGUACAUAAUCUCCUUCUUUUGGGGUGAUGCACCUUAACUGUGAAAAUAAAUAAGACUUCCUAUAAAGAGUUUCUCGAAAGCAGACAUACCUAGUAGUUCAGAGUUUUAUUUAUAUGCUUUCUACUUAUUUCUAGUAGCAUUCUCGAGUUGAGGUAUUCAAUUAUGGGUGACAACCAUGAAUCCGAGUUAUAAAUCGCUUGAACUUCUUGCUAUUCAAACUAUGCUAUUUGACCACUUUUACUAAGAUUUCUUUAUUGAGAUGUAUAGAGGAUGAAAAAGUUAAUUUAGAUAGAGCAUUUGCCCUCUUGUUCUAGGAACGCAGAAUUUGCUCCAUCUCUACUUUCUCAAACAUCAUUACCAUUUUCCAAACUCUUGCUGGGUACUUCUUAAUCAGAUCUUCCUUAGCCUCAUAGUUCCCUUUUACUUGAUUGACUAUGAGUUGAGAAUCACCAUGAAUCUUUAAGGAAGUCACUCCUACUUGCCAAACUAACUUCAUUCCAAGCAUUAGUGCCUCAUACUCUACUUCAUUAUUGGAUGCUUUAAAGUCAAACCUUAAAGCAUAUAUCAGCUCUUCUCCUGUUGGACUGAUCAACAGUAGCCCUGCUCUACAUCCUUUCUUACAAGAGGACUCAUCCAUGAAUAAAAUUCAUGCUGAUCUAGUUUUAUCCAAGCCAUUUACUUCAAUUUGAGAUAUAACUACUCCUUCAGUUAUGAAAUCGCUAAAACUAGUGCUUUUAUCGCUGUUCUUAACUUAUAAGAGAUAUCAUGCUUAGCUAAUUCAAUAGCCCAUUUUGUCAUCCUUCCUGAUACCUUUGAUUUUGUGAGUAUUUGCUUAAGUGGUUGAUCUGUUAUGACUAUUAUCCUGAGAGAUUGAAUAAGGUUUUGAGUUUUUUAGUUGCAUGAACAAGAAUCCAAGACAAGCUUAUCUACAGAUAUGUAUACCACAUCUUGACUCACUCCAUGAAAUGCUUGUACUAACAUAAUAUACUGGUUUUUGAAUACCUUGACUUUUCUUGAACUAAGACAACAUUGGUGGCUUCUUUGCACAAAUAUAAGUAGACGAGCAGGAUUCUCCCUGUUUUUAGUGAGAUAAGAGUGGGCAGCUCAACCAAAUACCUGUUCAGCACUUCAAAGGCCUUCUGGCUGUCCUUAAUCCAUUCAAAAUUGAUACUUAUUCUGAGUAUUUUGAAGAAGGGAAGCUUUUGGUAUUCAUAAUUGAUACCUAGAUAGAGACUAUUCAAUGCUACCAUCCUUCCCAUGCACUUCUUUGACAUUUUUUGAAAGAGUCAUUUUGAUGAUAGCAUUGAGUUUAUUCGAAUUAACUCAUAUUCCAUCUUUGGAUACCAUGUAUCCUAGGAAUUUUCUAGACUUCGCCGCAAAUAUACAGUUUUUUGGGAUUAAAUGCAUCCUGCUAUCAUGCAAGAUCUCAAAAACCUCCCUUAAGUCAGGAAUGAGCUGUUAAGUAGUUCAACUCUUUACGAAUAUGUCACCUACAUAGACCUCCAUGUUCUUGAUGAUUGCUUUUGAAACAUCUUGUUUACUAGCCUUUGUAGGUAGAUCCAACAUUUUUUAAUCUAAACAGCUAUAACAAUAUGUACCUCCUUUAAUAAAAGAGGUCUUUUCCUUAUCGCUUUCCUUCAUUUCUAUCUGGUGAUAGCUCUUAAAAGUAUUCAGAAAAAUAAUAUCACAUCCAAUAAUAUAAUCUACUAGCCUGCCACCUGAGAAAGUGGGUAACAAUUCUUUAGAAAUGCCUUGUCCAGAUUGGUGAAGUCUACACACAUUCUCUAGGAUUUGUCUUCUUUCUUCACCAAUACUGGAUUAGCUAGCCAGUUCGGAUAGCAUACCUCAGUUAUGAUCCGAGAUUCUAAAAGUUUUUCUACCUCCUAAUUAAUGAUCUCAUUUCUUUCCAAGGCAAAAUUUUGCUCCUUCAACUUUACUGGUUUAGCACUUAGGUCUGCAUUUGGUUUAUGGACAACCAGCUCUACUAGUAUUCCGUAAACAGCUCCUUCAACUAUUCCUUCUCAUGCUAGAGUAGAGAAAACCCAAUUUUAAUCACCUGAUCUUGUAUUUUCUCUUCUAAUGAAAAUUCUUUUACAAUGUCCUCAGUUCUGAGUUGAUUUGCUUUUUCCUUGGUAUAAAGGAAUCCAAAUUGGUUGCUUGAGCCACCAAUUUUUCUUUCCCUUUGAGGGUGGCUAUAUAACAUGUCCUAACCACCUCAAGAUCUCCAUGAACCUCUGCUGUCCCAUUGGAAGUCAGAAACUUCAUGCACAAAUGUAAAGUUGAGGUAUUGGCUUUUAAAGAGUUAUGAGUAGAUUAGCAAAGGAACAUAUUGUAUGAUGAAGGUCCUUUAGCAACCAUGAAAUUGACUGGAACAAUUCGAUAUCUAGGGACUUUUCCAUCAGUUACCAUUAGAGUAAUCAUCUUUCAGGUUUUAUAGGAGGGCUAAAAUAUCCUACCUAUGGCCUUCUUACUGGAGUAAAUUGCCUAUCUUUUAACUUAAGGUUCUUGAAAGUUUUGUAAUAUGAUACAUCUACUAUGCUUCCUGGAUCUAUAAACACUUAUUUGAAAUUAUUAGUGAUCACAUCUAGAUAAUUGGCUCUUGAUGGCUUGAUGCCAAUGAGACAAAAUCCUCAGGUCCAUAUAUGACUUCUCAUAUAUGUUCAAUUCAUUGGGUAGAAUUAUCCUCUUCUAGUAGAGUUUCGUUUUUUUUUUGGGUUGAAUGACUAUUCUCACUAGUAGGUCCUCUAGCUAUUGCAUUGAUGACUCGAACUAGAUUUUGUGAAUCAAGAUCAAGUGAACGAUCUCGAGGUGAUCUCUGUUGAUCUCGUUUGUCGUUUUCUCCUUUAUCAUUUUGAUUGUUCGGACUAUAAUCUUUUCUUUCUCCCUAGGAAGCUUGGUUAUUUUGAACGUACUCUUUCAAGUUUCUCAUUUGAUCAGCUCCUCUAUUUCUUUUUUUUUUUAAUCCUUGCAUUUGUCAAUGUCGUGACUGAUAUCCCUAUGAAAAGUACAAUAAAGGAUUUUAUUCCUUUAUUUUUGGAACCAGACAUCCUAGGAGACCUUCUUUCAAUAUCUUUUGCUUCCAUUACUGCCAAGAUUUGAGAUCUUGGUAUUGUUAAGGGCGUGAAAUUCUUUUCCUGAGAUGGACUCUUCCUUUUAGAAAGUUGGUCAAAAAUGUUCCUCUUGAUCUGCCCAACUUAAAGGUCAAUGGUUCCAUUCUUUCUUCAUCUAUCUUCAAAGUCUUUCUCAGAUUCUUGUUUAAGACGAGUAGCCUUCUCGGCAGUUCCAUCUACAUGAGCUCUAUUCAAUAGUUCUUCCAAUGUCAUAGGUGGUUUCUUGGCAAAUUUAUAAUAUAACUCAUUACUUCUCAAGCCAUUUAUAAAUGCUACCAUCAUCACCUUAUCAUCUUUAUCUCAGGUUUGGAGACUCAUUAUUAAAAUUAGUCAUAUAAUUCCUAAUAGACUUAUCAUGCCUUUGUUUUAUCACCAUUAAUGUGCUGCAUUCUUGGAGUAAACUUUGGAAGAGACGAAUUGUGCUACAAAUUGCCUAGCUAGUUCAAGGAAAGACUUGACUAAUCUUAGUGGUAAUACUGGAACCAAAGCUGAGCCCUUUCCUUCAAGAUCAUAGGAAAGGUCUUGCAAUGAUUCUCAUCUAUAGUGCUUUGCAGUCAUAUAUGAGUAAGAAACACAAACAGGUGAUCCUCAAGAUUUGUAGAUGCAUCAUACAUAUCCAUAGUAGGAAUUUUAAAUCUUUUUGGUGGAGGAUAUUCUUCAAUUUCCUUGACAAAGGGAGAAAACUAUGUAAAGAUCUGCAUAUUGAUUUGGCUGCAGGAUUAGAUCGAGUUCAUCCUGAAUUGGAUCCUUAGGCAUAGGGUAUUCCAAAUAACUUUUUAUUAACCGAGCAUGAGAGCAAUGAGAGUAGUGCUUACUAGUUUUUGAGAUAAAAAUAUGCUUCCUAAAGGGAGAGUAAACCCGUUUCCUCUUAGGGGAUGAUCAUCAUCAGAGCUAUUUUAGGACAACAAAGCUUGCCUUUCUAUCAUCUUUAUCAGAGCUUUUGAAUUUUACACCUCUUCUGCCUUAUUUUUCCUUUCACCAGGUGGACAAUAUCAUCAAAUAAAGGGAAAUUAUUUGGUACAAAAUUCAUAAUUUUCUCUUUCUUCUCCUCUAAAAUCUAAUAGUCAUUGUUACCCUAAGUUUGCCCAGGGAUGUCAUGAGGUUCUUUGGGGUCACUUUAAUUGGUAUUGCCUAUAGAUUACUUGGAGGCUGUCUUUGUCAUAAGGAAGUUAUAUUACUCCACUUCCCAUAGAGAGCGCAAAUUGUUGAAGCAGUAUUUCCUUCCACUGAGUUGAACUAGAUAGGUAAGAAGGGAGCUCAAUCGUAUAAAGGUAGAACUCUCUAAGAAACAUACAAGGAAAGUACUAAUUCAUGAAGAUCCUCGGGGUCAAGUCUCUAAGGCCACUCUGAUUCUCAAGUCAUUUUUUGACUUGAGGAGAAGAAUAUCCUCCUAAUUAGGUGUUAGGUAUCCCUAUAUAUAGGUUUUCGUACAAGAGAGUGAUAAGAGAUUAAGACUAACAAGAUAAAGAGACAAAGAUUACCUCUUUUUGAUUAGUUGAAUAAGCAUUAGUUCAUAUGAUGAUUUUCUUAAGAUUAGGAUAGUUAUUAUCACUAACCAACUCAGAUCACCCUUAUUUUAGGAAGUCAAAAACUUAUCCUACCCCUAAAGUUUAAGUUCAAAGUCAACUCAGUUUAUACCACACUAGGUUAGUUUUGGUGACCACAUAGCAUACAUACAAUGUAUACCUCUUCAGUGUCUGAAAUGGAAAAGUCAGACGCUGUUGUUUCUCUUCUUAUGAUUCUACUAUUUCAUGUGGGAAUAGCAAUAGCUGCUGGAAGUCAAGAUGGAUCAGAAGCGUGAGGAUAUGUUCAAAUCAGGCCAAGUAUGUUUCUGAUGUUUUAAGUGCCCAUUACAUGUAUUACUUGUCAAUGUUGAUAUUGAGUUCUUGUGUAUGUUUCAGAGGCUCACAUGCUCUGGUGGUACUAUAGAAGUCCAAACAUGAUUCAAGAUCUCGAAAAGCUUUGGCCAAUUAUUCUUUGGCUGUAGGUAGGGCUACAAAUGAGCCAAAUCGAGUCAAAUGUUGAUUUAAUUUUAGCAAGUUCGAGGUUGAAGUCGAGUUCGACGAGCUCUCAAUACAAAGUUCGAAGUCAAACUUGACCUCAAAUUUGAACCAAGUCGAGCUCGAUCUCGAGUUUAAAAAAUAAAAAAAUUUAUCUUAUUUUUAAAAGAAUGAUUAAAAUAGUAAUUUUUCUUAAUAAAUAACAAAACAUUAUGGAUAUAUAUAUAUAUGUGUGUAAUUUUAUUAUUUAAAUUAUAUAUAUAUAUAUAUAUAUAUAUAUAAUUGAGCCAACUCAUGAGUUAACAAGUUGAUUAUCUUUGUGUUCAAGCUUGACUUAGUUAGUUCAAACUCGACUCAAGUUCGAUAUUGACUGGCCUCGAGUUGAAUAUUGAUUCGAGUUACUCGUGAUCAGUCAUGAGUGGCUCUACUUGUAUGUAGCCUUAGCUGCAAAGUAGACCUGUGAGUAUCAGAAUUCUCAUAGGGUUCCCUCAAAUUUCAAUCUUGAUUAUUUUUAUGAUAAAACAAUCUGUUUUUGUAGUGAAGGGAGCUUAGGUGUGGGAAUUGGUAACUUUGAGGAGAUUGGGCCUCUAGAUGUUUUCCUAAAGCGAGGAAAUUCAACAUGGUUGCAGAAAGUUGAUCUCCUGUUUGUGGUAGGUAAUGGUUGGUACAUUAAUGUUAGUGAAUUAUCUCAUUAAUAUGCGGCUUUUUCAAAAAUCAAUUUGGGAUUUUCCUGGAGGGUUUUUUCUUGUAUUUUCUUACCUGAUUUUGUUUUCUAGUAAUUGUGCAUAGAAUUAUCUAGUUGGGACUGGUCAUAGUUUUGUGGAAGACACGGAAGACACGACAUUGUUUGUGAAAAGUGAUUUUGAGGCAACAACUGACGAAACUACAUUCUUGAUCGAAUUUUUCAAAGGGAACGAGAUCCUUUAGAAGAGUCCUCUGUACAUUGUAGGAGAGUUUUAUGGAGGCAAAUUUGCUAUUAAGGCUUUAUCUGCUUUAAAGGCUAUUAAAGCUAGAAAAUUGAAGCUAAAUCUUGGACUUAAAAAUUGAAUUUAGAGCCCUAAAAUUGAAUAUGGAGUACUUUUUUUCUUAAAUCCCAAAGUAUUGAGCUAUUACCUUUAUAAAUAUAAGUUGCAUUAAGGGAUAGUUGGAUCUCACUAGAAGAUUCUUCAGUUUGUAGUCAGUAUUUUUUUCUUUACUUGUUCACUAGUGUCAUGAUUAGGGCAGCUGAAUUGAGUCUUAUAUUGAAAUGCAGUCUUCAUGGGUCCUCUUAUAAAAGAUGUCUCGUUGCUUGACAGCAAUGAUUUGAAGAAAUCAAACAGGUCUUCAAUGUUUAUGCUUUAAACUAGUAGUACAUAUUAGCAUAAUUCUCUAAUCUAAUCAAGCUCAAAGAUUUUGGUUCUCUAAUAAGUCUAUAUUGAAUGUAGGAUAGUUCUUCAAAUUAAGAAGCAAAUUGCAGCAGGUAAGCUUGCAGAGGCCACAGAAACAUGGAAGGAAUUGAUAGCAGUCAUUAGCCAUUAUAGUAAUAAUAUGGUAUGAAUUCUUUUGACGUUUUUCCUAGCCUAUCUAAACUUAAAGGUAAUCACAAUAAAUUGGUAAAUUUAUGCUUGCGAUUUCAUUUGUGUAUAAAUAGAGUAUUUCUACAAUUUCCUCUCAAUUUUACAUGAGGAUGAGCCUUUAUCAUUAUCAGCUGAAUCCAAACUAAAACACAAAAUUGCAGUAAGAAGGUACUCAGUAUACCCUCAGAGAUUGAGGUGCCCUUCCGAAGGUGAUGGUAAUGAUGAUAAUGUUACCUAGAUGAAUGGUUAUAUUAGAAAGAAGUUAAGGACUAUAUCACUGAAUGUCACGUGAGUUUUUCUCCUUAGAAAAUUUUUUACUUCUCAGAGUUGGAGAAGUAAUAAUGGCUAGAACAGAUGGAAGGAUUUUCAACUUGUUGCUAGAGCCAUCAAGGUGAUUUCAUUAGGACAUGGAUUAGGGAGGCAAAUAUAUCAGCUUUUGUGUUUUAGUCGACAACGAAAAGUCGGGAAGUUUUCAGGAACUAUAUCAGUUUGUAAUUUUGAAUUAUACCAAAAAUGAUUUUUUUCCUCAUUUGAUCAGCAUUCUUCAAUCACAUCUCAAUUGAGAUAAGACCAGCUUAUCCAAUUACAUGCAGUAAAUUCUCAAGCAUUUGUUCAACUACUUUUUGCAGGUCGAAGAACUUUGAGCAAAUGGAGUAAAUGUUAAUAUCUAAACGAGCACAUUUCUGCAAUGGUGUAAGAAAUAUAGAGCAGGAAUGAUGCUUUAUUUUCCAUGCUAUCAAUUUGACUUUCUUUAGUUUGAUUAGAAUGUUAUUUAUUGUUGCUGGUAGCUUCAUCUCAUCUGUCCAACCAACGUAUCCAAUGCCCACAUGGGUUGAAAAGCUCAAGUAGGAAUUAAUUAAUCCCACAAGUAAUGAGAACCCAAAUCCCUUUCUAAGAAAAACACUCUCUUAUCAAAAUCAGUGACUUUUUUCCUAUUUCAUUGGUGGGAUGGGAUCACAUUUUUCUUGAAUAUGGAUAGAACUCCUACGCAUUUUGAAGAUGACAAAGAGUAUAAAGGGUUUCACCAAAUCAUACAGAAAUUUACAUUUCUACUGGAUUCUUAAUGCUGGCCACUUUGUAGGUCAACUAACUAUUGUCAUAUUUCUGCUGUAUUUGUCUCUGUUGGUCUAAAAUUACUAUGACUCUUGCCUACUAGAGGCAAGGUUGAGAAGACAACACAUCCAAUAGUUUUAGUACGUCAUAGCCAAUCUCCUAAUUUUGGAAGGCUAAAGUUUUGCACAAUUUUAUCAUGAAUGUAGAAGAAAAUGUAAGGUUUUUUUUUUAUUUCAAAUUUGUAGUCUUUUAUUGAUGAGAAUAAAAGUUACACUCAAAGAAACAUCAUUUUGAAGUACAGGAUUGGACUAUAAAGACAACAAAUGAACCAGAAAUGUUUGGUGCUUAGUUGAAAGGCAAAAUAUCUCAAAUUCUCCUUUAUCCUCAGCCCUUCAUACGCUUAAUUUUCCGAAUGAAGGCAUCCCUAAUCUGUCAAGGCGAAUUGCUCCACGGGCCAUAGUUGGAAACAAGUGGAAGGAGUCGUAUAACUUGAGUUGAUGCUCUGGAUGAGAGACGCCCACAUUGGACAAUGCAUCAGCGACUGUGUUAGCUUCUCUAUAACAAUGUGAAAAACGAUCAGGAUCUUCCACGAAUUGCCAAAUCUGCCUAAUCUCUCGUCGAAUCUUCCAAGGGCAGUGAAUACGUUUCUGAAGAAUUCCAAUUAAUACCAAAGAAUCCGAUUGAAUAUAGAGAUUCUCAAAACCCCUAUGUAUGCAUGUUUGAAUGCCAAUAAGAAGAGCCCGGGCCUCUGCACUUAGACAUGUAGUUUCUCCAAGAUAUGCCGAAAAACCAAUCAAAGGAAUACCAUGUGAAUCCCGAAGAACCCUACCUCCUCCACCCAGUCCUGGAUUACCCUUAGAACAGCCAUCGGUAUUUAGAGUAAACCGACCAGUUUCCUUUGGUUCCCAACGAACAAGUUUGUACGUGACAUAAGUGUGAGAUGUAUACGGCCAAUCAUACAAAUGGUAGAAUGAAUGAGCCUUGAAAACUUGUUUGAAAUGAAUUUCCACAAUGGUCUGGAUUUCCAAGGAAAUGGCAAGACAAAUGGCGGGAGAUCUCAUAUGGACAUCCUCAAAUAAUGCCUUUAUUUCUUGCUUUCCAAAUUUGCCAACAUACUAUACUGGGAAGAAUGCGUCCAAUGAGUCGCUGUAUCUCUUAAUCAUAUGAGUGCAACCACCAACCCACUAUACAGGAGCGUAAAGAAGAGCCUGGAAAAGUCAAUCCACAUGAAGCUCCAAAAUAAUUCCAAACUGUUGAAGCUAUAUGGCCUUUGGAAAAUAAAUAUUCAAUUGACUCCUCAGAUGCGGAAUCGCAGCAGAAACACUUUGAUGGUAAAUGUAAACCAAGUUUACGUAACCUAUCCGGUAAAGGCAGCCUGUGCAGCAACAAUCUUAACAUGAAGAAUGAAAUUUUGAGUGGAAUCUGAGGAUGCCAAAUGCUAUCAAAAACCAUAGACUUGUUUCGUGCUUGCCUAAUAUCCCGAAAUGCCGAAGCUAGAGAGAAGAUUCCAGAUGUUGUGGACAUCCAAAAGACUUCAGCUUCACCCCAGUCUUCCGGGACUGGAUGCUCUAAAAUGGAGGAACCAGAUCCUCGGCAAUGUCUGAUAUAAUCUACUCACAUCCCAGUGUCCAUUGAUGAUAAAAUCACCAAACGACAAAUUAGAGACAACUGUCGUACGGAGAAACAAGGCACCCCCUCCCAACCAAUUGUCGUACCAAAAAUGACAAGCUCCAUUCUUGAUAUCCCAUAGCAUAGAUAGCUCCACUUGUCGACUUACAUUGGCCAUCCUUCUCCAGAUUGCGGAGUCCAAUGACCUGAUUUCAACCUGACAAGAUGUAGUAGUUACAGUACUUAGCUUUCAUGAAUGAAGCCCAAACGAGCAUCCCUUUCUGAAGUUCCACCAAAGCUUGAAUGAGAAUGCUGUGUAGAUGUCCUGUAACCUCCGGAAACCAACUCCUCCCUCAUCUACGGAUAGCACAUCUGAGACCACCGUAUCCAGUGAAAUUUUGACUCCUCGGAGGAUGACCCCCAUAGGAAGGUCGAGAAGGCUUUUUCUAUAGUUCUAAAAACCUUACCCGGGAUAACCGCUGCUGACAACAGGUGUACUGGCAUCGUUGCCAACACAUGUUUGAUUAGAACUAUUUUGCCUCCAAGAGAAAGCAUCCUUGAUUUCCAUGACCUUAUUCUCCCUAGGAUAGAUUGGCAAACUUCCCCAAAAUAUGAUGAUUUACAUCUGCCAAAAUAGAGGGGAAAUCCCAAAUAACGUAUCGGAAAUGGUUGAUAAAUAAAUUUGGUGAUACGUUCAAUCACCCUUCUUCUUGCCGGUGGUAUCGAGGGAUGUACUAAGUAACAACUUUUUAGCACAUUUAUCAAUUGUCCAGAACACCUUUGAUACGCAUCUAGCACCUGCAUGAUAAGCUUUAGAGAAUAAGAAGAUCCAUUUGUAAAAAUUAGAAUAUCAUCCGCAAAAGCCAAAUGAGUUAUAGUAGGACAUGCAAAGGGGACUUUGAAACCCACAAACCCCGAUUGCAUAGCAAGAUUAUUUAAUCCUCUAGAUAACACCUCAGCUCCUAUAAUGAAUAAAGCAGGCGAUAAUGGAUCACCCUGACGUAGGCCUCGUGUAGAUUUAAAGAAACCAUGCGAUGCCCCAUUUAUAAUGAUAGAAAACCAGACAUUGGAGAUCAAGCGCCAAACCAAAUCAAUGAAUCUUUCUCCAAAGCCAAAUUUCUGAGAACACCAAUGAUAUGAUCCCAUGUCACUCGGUCAUAUGCCUUAGACAUAUCCAACUUCAUGACCACAUUACCACCUCUAGUCUUUUUCCCAAUACCCGACACAACCUCCUGUGCUAGCAAAAAGUUGUCUGUUAUAUUACGGCCCUUCACAAAGCCUGUCUGCUGGGGCGAAAUAAUUUUGGGCAAUAGAGAAGCCAGUCUAUCAGCUAAGAUCCUGGAUAACAACUUAUUGAAGAAGUUACAUAGACUGAUUGGCCUAUAAUGAGAAAAGUCCUGAGGAUUUGGCUUUUUUGGAAUUAAUACAAUUGAGGUAGAGUGAUAAAUCGAGGCAACUCUGCCCCACAGAAAAAGCUGAGAAUUGCCUUGUAGACAUCUUGGGCAAUAAUUUCCCAGGCAAAUGUAAAAAAUUUGCCUGUGAAGCCAUCGGGGCCGGCAGCACUAUCCCCAUCCAUUGACUUCAGGACUCGAUGAAUCUCUUCAAUCGAAGGCACUUCUUCCAAUUUACUAUUUUCCUCUUCCGAUAUCAUGUGUGGAAUCAUAUGUCGCAUAUCAGAAGAUGACUCAAGAUAGCCAGUGAAGAGAUCAGAGAAAUAUGAUACAGCCUCAGUUGCUAUAUCAGCAUUGGUGUCCACCCAAACUCCAUUUAACUUUUUGAUUCGGUGUAUCAUUCCUUUAAUCCGUCUCUGUCUUACAACUGCAUGGAAAUACUUUGAAUUGCGAUCUCCCUGUUGAAGCCAUUUUGCCCUGGCUUUUUGGCUCCAAAAUUGCUCUUCUAUUGACAGUGCAUUCCGCAACUCUGCCUGGCCUUACUGAGCUCAACCUGAAAUUCCUCCGAUGCAUAUUGAUCCAUCGAUUCUUCUGCUUGUUUGACCACCUUCCGCAGAACGUACAGCAUCAAAUAUAUUGCCAAAAUGUUGCUUGUUCCAUGUAUGAAUAGCCCUCCUCGUUGCCAAUAAUUUAGAGCACAAAACACGUAGCGGGAUCCACUCACAUUUUGGUUCCAAGCCUGUCGAAUCACAUCCAAUAGUUCUGAUUUGCUCGUCCAGACAUUCAAAAAUCUGAAAGGUCGUGGACUAUUGUCUGAUCGAUCAGAAAACGUAAUUUUCAAUGGUGCAUGAUCCGAGGGAUGUCUUGGCAGAUGGAGUACAGAAAUCACGUCUGAGAGAUCCAAACAAGACCCAUUAAUUAAAAAUCUAUCCAAUCUUUUUGAAACCCGAGCUCUACCUCUCCGAUUAUUAGACCACGUGAAACUAGCUCCUGAAAAGCCACAUCCAAAACCCUGCCUCUUCCAUAAAAGACAUGAAAUCCGUGCCUUCUGCUAUAGCAAACGGACGUCCACCUCGUUUCUCGUGAGGGGCUAAAAUAACAUUAAAGUCACCCCCAAUACACCAAGGUAGUGAAACCGGCUUGUCAUUUAAUAAUGAACACCAUAAGCCACACCGCUCCUCUAAUGAACAUUUAGCAUGGACAAAAGACAUGAUGAUUGGAGAAGAAAACAAUUGACUUUGAACAUGUAUUGAAAUAUGCUGAUCCGAACUACCAAUAAUGGAACACUCAAAAGGGCUACUAUAGAAUAUCCAAAUAUCACCCGAUAAGUUAACAAAGAAAUAAUCAAAUACUAAUCGUAGACGAAUGGACUCAAUUUUGGACACGUCUAACUUUGGUUCACAAAUGACAACAAACUUCAAAUGGUGAGCACGAACUAAAUUUUUCAAUCUUCUUAAAUUAGGGGCUUUAGCAACCCCUCUGAUAUUCCAAAAUAAACCACUAAUCAUGAGAAAAAACCUGGAAAGAAUUUUGAGAUGAUGUCGCUGAACGUAGCUGCCUGUCGGAUGGGAAGCCAGCUCGCACACCCUUAACACGGUCAUGUCGGCAAUCCAUUUGAACUCCUACAGAUUGGUCAAUGUUUAGAUUGUGUAUUGAUGGCUCAGCCGACUUCUCACGUGGUAUGACCAAUCUCGGAGAUAAAUUUCCUACGUUAGUUGGCAAAGCUACUUCAUCAGCCGCAUUGGAUUUGGAAUCUUCAUCAUCAGCUCCACGCAAGUCGACAUAUAGAUUAUCUGUCUCAGCAAUGUCGGACCUUUCAUGAUAAACUAAUCCCAAGUUAUGCUCCCCAAUAAGCUGGGCCCCGAUGUAUUAUUCCCAUUGGAAUUGUGGGGCAGUUGAUUAAUUGUGCUUGUGGUGUCGAUCAUUUGAUGCUGAACCAUUCCAACGUUAUGAUUCCUGUGACUUUGUGGCCCCUCACAAUCAUUUCCAUAGCAAGCUGUCAAUUGGUCUUCCACUACCGAAUGCUCCUUAUGGACAUGCAUUGCGGCAUCAGCAACCGAAUGUGGAUGUGCAUCAGUUUUGGAAGCUGCUGUGUUUUUUCCCUCCUUGAGCGCGCAAGCGUCGGCAACUGCAUCGUUUUGCUCCGGUGCUCCAGAAUGUUCCAUUGCAGGUGUUGACGUUCCUUCAAUUUCAAUUACGCCCGUAAGUCGCGCCUUUUCAGUAGCUGACUUGAAUUCCAUUGAUGCUUUUCCUUUGGCUUCAGUAUUGCAUUUGUCAGCAGUUCCCCCAGAUUCCUUUGUUACAGCUGUUGUAAUUCCUUCGGCUUCAUUCGCACCAGAAAUUUGCAUUUCUUCAGGAGCUGUUGUAUCCUCUUUUGAUAAUUUAUCUUUAGCCUCUGAGUCAUUACAUACAUUUGUAAUGACUAAUUUAUGCUGGGUAUUUCCAGGUAUCUUUGAGCCAUGCUUAAGCCUUUUGGCUUGAUUGUUUUGGAGUUGAUGCCCACCAUCGAUGAAGUUUUUCUUGCAGUUUUCGGAAGAAUGACCCAAUCUCCAGCAAGAUGAGCAAUAUCUUGGCAAAUCAUCUGGUACAAUUUUUUGCCAAAAGCCGGUUUCUCCUUCAACCGCCACCCAGAUUCUCGAUAAAACAGGCUUUGCUACAUCGAUCUCCACGCAUACCCUUGCCACACUAGGACGCGUCCCAGCAGCCGUUGCCGAAUCCAAAAACAAUGGUCUUCCUACUGGAGAUAAUAUGGAAAACAACGAAUGUUUAUCAAAAAAUGGAUAGGUAAAUUUGGAAGUUCAACCCAAACUGGAACCAGAGAGGAUUCUCUGAGCACAUGAAAUUCCCGAGACCAUCGAAAUACACGCAUUGGAAAUUUGCCUAACUGCCAAAUCCUCUCGUCCAAAUCCUGUUAAAAUCUGCUUCAGCGGAGCACUUGAUCAGAACAUGCCUGUAAUCCAUCAAGCCAAUGAAAAUGUGGUCUUUUAGAUUUAAGGAAGCAAAAACUUGCGAAUAUCUUCUAAAGAAGGUCUCCCAUGAGAGAAUUUUCCAACUAAAGACCAUCGAAACGGCUCCGCGAGUUUUUCUGCAUCUGCUCUGGAGAAAAUGACUGCAGCUUCACCUUUGUAGACAGUCGCUUGCCGAAUUGGAAUAAAAGAUGUUGAAGGUUGUGAAAAAAGUUGGGAGAAAGAUUUUUUUUUUGUAGGAGAUCCUUGCCCCUCAGCCGACGGCUGAAGGGCAGCCAUGAAAAAACUGAGAAAUGACUUGAUCCAUGCUUUUUGCUAGUUUGUUUUGGACAAAUUUUUUCCCCAACUUUAAGUUACACUUUUAAAAAUAGGGUUAUUAUCACUUUAAUGGAGUUUGUUAAUUCAAUUAAAAAGACAUGUUUAUCUCUUAAAAUUAUUAUCAUUUUACCUUCAUAAACUAUAGCUUUAUUAUCAAUUUACCCCUAGAAUUAUUUUUUAGGCAAUUUAUCCCACAAUUAAACCAAUUUAGCGAGUUAAAAAACUUUAGAAAAAAAGUAUCAUCCUCUUUAAAUAAUAAAAUAAUAAAAAAUUUAGAGUGGUUCUUCUUUUUUAGUAUCAAGAGAAAAAGUCAAAGUAUUAAUCUCUUUCUUCUUGGCAAUCUUAUUAAUAUUAAAAAAAAGAAAGGUUGGGAAAGAGAGAGAGAGAGAGCUCAAUUCUUAUUUUUAAAAAAUACAAAUAAGAAAGAAUUCAAUAUUUUUAUUUUUUAAAGUUACUUUACUUUUUUGUUUACUAUCCAAUUCUAAUUCUAAUCUUGGUGAUGUUAAAGUAAUACGAUUAUAUUAGAUUCUUUCUUAUUUUUUUCUUUGCAAAAUCUAAUUGUUUUUGUCUCCUUCUCUCCUAUCUCUUUUUCUUUUCUUAGUAUUAAUAAGUAUGAAAAAAGAAAUUUGAAAAAAUCAUUUUUUAUGUUUUUGGAACUCUUAGAGUGAGAAAAAAAAGGACGAAUAAUCAUUCCAAUUUUUUUAGUUAUAUAUAGAAAGAAUAGAUACAUUAAUAUUUUUUUGAACAUACUAUUGUGGCUAAUAAUGGGGUAAAAUGCCUAGAAAAUAUUGUUAGGUUGUAUCACUGUAAUUUAAAGGGGUGAAAUGAUAAUGAUAAUGUAGUAAUGCUAAUAAAUAAAAGGGUAUUUUUAUCCCAAAUUUGUUAACAUGUUGAGUUGAACUACUUAAUUAUGGGGGUGGAAUGACUAAAAAAUAAUGUUAGGAGAUAAAUUGAUAGUAGUGAUAUAGUUUAAGGGAGUAAAGUGAUAAUAAUCCUUAAAAUACUCCAAAGUUUUUAAAAUAUACACCCAAAAUACCCUAAAGCAUACAAAAAAGUCUUUUCCUUCUUCCUUCUUUCCCUACCUCAACCCGCUGUCACCACCAUCGACCACCUCAGCCUCUCCUUUUUUUUUUUUUAAUUCUCUCAUUCUCUCUCCCUCACCUCCUCCCCCUCACUUGUCCUCCCUAGUCACAGGAAGAGGGGAGGGGAUGGGGUCUGGGAGAGGAGGGAGAGAGAGUGGCAGGGAAAAGAGAGGGAGGGUGAGGGUGAGGGUGGCGGUUGCACUAGGGAGGGUGGGAGAAGGAGAGCGAUGGUGGUGUGGGGAAGGAAGAGAAAGAGAAAGAAAAGGAAAAGAAAAAAAAGAAAGUUUUUAAUUUUUUCAAACUCUCAAAUAUACAAAAGUUUUUUUUAUGAGUUCUACAUUAAGUUAUAUGGUAAAAUUUUAUAUAGACACCAAAAAAAUACACCAUCCAGGUGAACCCAUUAUUUUUCUUGAUCCUUCCCAUUGAAAUGGUUAUUCUCAUUUUUGUGCAUCUAAAUAUAUUUGUCAUAUUCAAAAAGUAAGAACAUAAUGUUUACUCUUUUAUGCUCCAAAUCAUUGUCUUUUGUGGAAGACAUGCAUGUCGUUCCAUUCAGAUGUUCAAUUCGAGAGGAUAAACUUCGAAAAAGUUUAGCUAAUUGUCUCUACCAAAAAGCAACAAAACACUAGCACGAAGUAAUUGAUGGGCUUGUAUGGAAUUUAUAUAUGAAGAUAGCAAGAUGUGUAACGUGUGCAUCUAAUACAAGAAUUAAAUGAAUUUAAGAGGUACUAAGACACCACAUCACUACUACUGGAUAGUCAAACGGUUUUGCUUUACCAUGCACUAACAGAUGUCUGCCAUUUACUGGUAAAUUUACUAAUCAAGAAUGGGACAUGAAUUUUAAAGAAGAAAGAAAGCUAUGGAAGUAAAAUUUCACGCACCAUUUAUUUGUUGAAGUUAUUGACAGAUAUCAGUAGUUUCGAUCAAAGGAAAUUAAGAUCAUAUGCUGAACGAAUUCUUGCAAAAUUAAUGUAUGUUAGGUCUUGUCCUAGAAAAUUGAACAAGAAGAACAAAAAGACUCUUGACAAUCCAACAAAGGCAAUAGCACAACAAAUAAAUCAAACAAGAGAUCAAAAUUACGCGGUUCAAUAGAAUUGGCCUACAUCCAUGGGCGAAAGAGAAACAUAAUAUUACUACAAACUAGAGAGUACAAAAGAGAGAAAGUACAAAAUCAUAGAAAAUCAUUCCAAAAUCUAAAAGCACCUAAAACUAAAGUGAAAAUCAUUCAAAACGUCCUUCACAUUUUACAAGAUAACUUUUUUCGUCCCUCACUUUUAAAAGUAUAAUUUUACGUUUUCUUACAAAUUCACAUUGACCACAAUUUGGUUCCUACCUAGGUUUUCGACUAGUUUUUUGUCGGAAUCCACCACGUGACUUGCAUGUGAUCAUUUUUUAAGGUCAAAAUUAUCAAAUCAAUUUUUACAUAAUUUGAUUCAUAGUCCCUCACAUUUCACAAAUGAAUUUUUUCGUCCCUAACAUUUUACAAAAUGAAUUGUUUCGUUCCUCACAUUUCAAAAAAUGAAAAUUUUCAUCCCUCACAUUUUUCAAAAUGACUUUUUUCAUCCCUCAUUGAUCAUGUGUAUGAAUAGCUUUUUUUCUAUAACCCACAUAUAUGUUUAUUUGAUUUUACCUGAACAAUACGAAUAGCAUGUAAUUUAUCUCUAUUAGAUUUCAUCUAAAUAUGCUAAUCAUAGUUAUACACAUGCUAUUCAAUAGAUAUAUAUAGGGUUUUAAGCUAAUAAUUUUGUUUGAAACCCAUGUAUAUAUUUAUGUGAUUUCACCAUUUGAACCUAUUCAAUAUUUGUGACCUUUCUCUUUUGGUAAUAAUUUAUUUAUUGAGUUGUAUAAUAAGGUCAUCUAAUUAAUGGGUUCUAAUUUGAAUUCUAUAAUUGUGCUAACAAAUUUCAGUUUAAAUUUGAAUUCUACUCGAUACUUUUAAUACCAAUAGUUGAAUUACUUGUCUUGUGAUUGUCUUAAAAUUUGAAAGUGCCAAUCACUUAUUUCUUUUUGUCAUACUUUUCUUUUGUUUAUUUUUUCUGUCCAAAUUUAAUUCGAUAGAAACACUCGAUAAUAUUUAGGAUUAAAUGUCUUCUUUAUUUUCAAAUUUUGAGUAAAAGAAAAUCAAUAUAAGUGAAAAACUAACAAUUUUUUUAAAACCAUAUAUAUAUAUAUAUUUGAUUUCACUUGAACAGUACGAAUAGUAUCUAAUAUAUCUCUAUUUGAUUUCACAUGCUAUUCGUACUGUUUAGGUGAAAUCAAAUAGAUAUAUACAUGGAUUUAAAAAAAAUUAUUCACACACAUGAUCAAUAAAAUAUGAAAAAAAUCAUUUUGAAAAAUGUGAAGGAUGAAAAAAUUCAUUUUGUAAAAUGUAAGGGGUGAAAAAAUUUAUUUUAUGAAAUGUGAGGGAUUAUGAAUCAAAUUAUAUCAAAUUUGAUUUGACAAUUUUGUCCUUAAAAUAUGAUCACGUGCAAGGCGCGUGGUGAAUUCCGACAAAAAACUAGUCGAAAACCUAAUUAGAGACCAAAUUUGACUAAUGCGAAUUUGUAAGGGACGUAAAAUUAUAUUUUUAAAAGUGAGGGACGAAAAAAGUUAUUUUACAAAAUGUGAGGAACGUUUUGAAUGAUUUUCCCAAAACUAAAAACACAAAAGAGACUAAAUAGCACAAAAAGUUUAAUGGUCCAAAGGUUCACCAACUUGCUCUUUUAGUUUGAUGCAUAAACAAAAUCUCUCUCGACUUGGGGCAUGAGACCCAAAAAACUUCUCUUGAAUGGAGCCUUCAAACUUGGAUUGGUACGCUUAAUAUAUUUUAACUCAUAAAGUCCAUUGUAUUUAGAACCACCAAGAGAGAGAUUUCUUUGUAAAUUUUUUGAUAUGGGAUACAAAGAUAAACUCAACAAAUCUCCACCUUGGCAUGUAUCCAACAUCGACAAAUGAUAGACAAGUGGCAAAUAUGCUACACUUCCCCACAAAAGUUCCAACAGAACCAAUGAGUCACAAAAAUCCCAAUAGCUAGAUCCCAACGUACCAUCAAAAAAUCAAAAUACAAAAGACUCAACGGAUUCCAACUGGCAAAACACGCAAAAAAUACAACAGAUCCCAAAGGGUUAAAAACAUAAAUAUGAUAAUUUUGCUUUUCAAGUUCACUAUGUAGGACGGCUCCCAAAUUGUCCUCUCUCGCGCUCAGGAAAGACCAGUUUUUUUAUCAUAGAAGAAAAGUGGGAAUAUGAUAUGGUGACAAUUGAGAUGGCAUCUAGUAGGGCUCGUGGUCAAUUUGGUGGUGGAAGUGCAUCACCAAACUCGAAAAGCUGCUUUCAUUCUUGCUGAAUAACUGAACAUCAAUCUUUCCAAGGUUAGAAACUCAAUUUACUCACGUUUGCUGCUACUGGAAUUUUAAUUUUCUUUGCAUCUGUUGUUGCUGAAAAUUGGGUUUCACCAAACUUUAGUUGUUGGUGUUUGAAUUCAUUAGUGUAGCCUUGCACCUCAAUUGUUUGUCAAUUUGCUUCAACGAAGUUUAUGCCAAAAUAGACAUCAGCUCUACGUCCCUAGUUGCCGGAGAUGGAGGCCUGUGGGCCGUCUGACAAGCUUCCGGACAGUGGGACUUCAGUUUUGAGGUCCUUUGCAUCAGUAUUGGCAGAUGGUACAAACAAACUGAUGCCUUAGCCUUGGGAAAGGUCUCAACCUUUAGAGGAGAGCCAGCCUUGCGCAUCUCUCGCAGGGAAAUAGAGCAGCUUUCUGUUCCAUUUUAGAACUCUUUGGUGGGGCGCUUCUCGUUCAGCAGACCACCCAUGGAAGUUAUUAGGAAAUUCUUUCUUUCGCUGGGUUUACGAGAUGACUGUAAGGUUAGGCUCCUUGACCAGAAACAUGUUCUAAUCCGUCCGGUGUUGGAGGAAGACUUCACCCGUCUUUUUGCAUGUAGAAUCUGGUAUGUUAGUAACUCGCCAAUGUCAAUUUCGAAGUGGUCGCUAGAGUUCAAGGUAGACCAGGAAUUAUUGAUAGCUCCAAUUUGGGUUUGUUUCCUAGAGUUGCCAAUUCCAUUUUUUCAGCAGACCCAAUUAUUCAAGCUUGCAUCUACUUUGGGAAGGCCUCUUAAGAUUGAUGCAUCAACUAGUGACAUGCACCGUCCUUCCAUAGCCAAAGUUUUGGUGGAGCUUAAUGUUGCGUCUAAUCCUGUGUGGCGUAUUGGGAUAGGUGAUGAGCACUUCGGGUUCUAGCAACCUGUUGAGAUGGAAAUGUGGCCAUCUUACUGUGGGUUUUGCAGUAGGUUUGGCCAUGCAGAGGAGUAGUGCUUUCAUAAAAAUCCUUUCUUGCGAUCUGAUCCGCCAAUUCACGAAAUCCCUUCUAAAACACAGAAACAACUCCAAAUCUAUGUUCCAAAAGUAGUGAAUGAGAAGGAGAAGGAGUUGGAGGUGACGACAGUCCAGAGCAAACUGGCUGCAAAUGUCAACCAAGAACAAGGAAUGUCUGCUGAUCAUGCUUAGAUAAUUCCGGAGGCUGCCACUUGAGGGAAUAAUUCGCAGUUUGUUUUGGAUAGUAUUAAUCCUGAUGAUUUUCAAUCGAAUAUUGGGCAAAAUCAUAAGGGUAAGAAAAAGAUGUCUGAUGUUCAAUCUUUGGUUUUACCAAACCUGCAAAUGAAUAAGCCGUUCGUUAUACGGGAGCCUCAAGGGUCUGGUGUGGAUCGAAAUUUGAGUGGGUAUCUCGGAUAGGGAAAUCUACAAAGUCUGUUAUUGUCACAGAUCGGGUUGUGGUACCGGAGCAUGGAACAGAUGUUGGGCUACAGACUUCGACUUCAAAUCCACUUGAGGAUGGGAAUUCACUGAUCCGGAGUCUGAGAAUGACCAUUCCAUUCAACCAGCUAAUGGCGCAUUCACAGAGGCUGCAUCGGAAGAGAAGGCGAUGGAGGCUGGCGACUCCUCAUAGCAAGGUAAUGGAAUUACGUCUGAUGUGGCAAACGGUGCACUUGCGAAGGUAGACAAGUCCAUGACCCACGUGAUAUGGUGUCAGUUGGAGACACACACCCCUUGUGGGUACAAGUACAAGUACAAGAACAGACACGAAAUCCUCUAUGCCUCAAAAUCCACGGUUUAAAAAUGUGCCACAAUUUAAAGAUGUGUUCGAAGAGCUUAAAUGGGAGAAAUUACAUGGUAGGAUCCCCCUCGUAUAUCAAAAGCCUUUUCUUCAUUCAAAUACAACAUGCAAUGGUGACAAAAAUGAAGAAGAAGAAGAAGAACAUUCACAACGCGAUAAAGACAAAGACCAAGACCAGAAACUAGUUCACAAGCAAUUUACCCAAGUGAUUUCAAAGAAAGCGAGGAAGCAGCUUUCAAAAAAAGAUAAAACAAUGCAAACACGUCAAGAUGUUAAAUCAAAUUCCCAUGCUCACUCACAAUCCCACAAAUGUGGGGCACCAUCAUGUGGAUGAUUUCGUUCAAUUCAUCUGUUAUGUAUUUAGAUUCGCAAAUUUUUCCAUAUGUGCGUAUUAUUGUUGAUCCUUAGCUGCCCUUUUACUUUAAUAGAGGUCAGGUUUAGCCCCCCUCUAAUUCGCUGUACUCUUUUCGGAUAUAAAUAAAUUAAGGGAUGGAUCCCUAUUUAAAAAAAAAAAUUCACUAUGUAGGAAAGUUGUCUUAACAUCAAGCUGUUCCAACUCCAAAUCAUAUAUGACAACUAAAGCAAGUAAAAUACGAAUAUAGCUAUGCUUAACAACAAGUGAAAAUACAUAAUUGAAAUCAACAAUUUGUACCCAACUGUAAUCCUUUGCAAUCAAUUGUACCUUGUACAUUGCAUUUUCAACUCCUGAAACACCUUCAUUCUUCUUGAAUACUCAUUUGCAUUCAACUUCUUAUCUAAAGAUAAUUUUACAAGAACCCAAGUUCCAUUUUGGUAGAGACUCAAUUUCUUCAUUUAUUGCAAUAUAUCACUAAGUAGAAUCAUCACAAUAAACUAACAUCUAAAUAGGUAAAAGACUUGUAAAUUCCAUCAUUCUGUUUUGUAAUGGACAAAGCAUAUGCAAUCAAAUUUACAUAUCCUUGUAGUGGUCGAAAUCCCUCCUUGAACUAUUUUUGGCUGUUGAAUAUUGCUCCUCUUCUGGAUUAUUUUCAUUAGUAGAUUCAAGUGCAUCUACUAGCAUUUGCUGAAUAGAAGAACUAGACUAAGAAAGAACAAAACUGCCAAUUUCAAUUUUCACCUAUUUCUACAUACUAUCAUCUGUACCACAAGAACUAGAAGACUCCUUGGAAGAUAGUAUAGAGAAUAUAUCGGAAAUAACAUCUCUACUGAUCAUAAGUUUUGGGAAUUUCAGAUGAAGAAAACACAAUAUAUGCCCUUUUACCCCAAAAGCAUACCCAAGAAAAGUACUUUUUUUAGCCCAAAACUUCAAUUUUUCAUUAUUUACAUGCAUGUGUGUUGUACACCCAAAAGCUAUUAAAUUAGAGUAGUUAGUAGUAGUGCACAACCAAACUUCCUCAAGAGUUUGAAAAUCAAGAGAUGUAGAAGGAGCGCGAUUGACAAUGUAACAAGCCAUAUAGAUAGCCUCUGCCCAAAAAUCCUUUAUCAAUUGUGCAUUAAAGAUCAUACAUCUAUCUCUUUUCCAAAAGCGUUCUGUUCAUGUGUUCUACCAUACCAUUUUAUUGAGGUAUCAUUCUAACAAUGUGGUCUCGAUUAAUUCCUUCAUUCUUGUAAAUUCAUCAAAUUCACCUUCACAGAAUUUCAUGCCAUUAUCUAUUUUAAGCCCUUAAUUUGCUUAUCUAUCUGUUUCUCAAUCAAAACUUCUAUUGUUUGAAAGUUAGGCAAACAUGAUUCUUAUGGUUAAGAAAAUAAACUCAAAUUUUCCUUAAAUAAUCAUCAAUGAAAGUUAAUAUAUAGCUUGCACCACCCUUAGAUGAAACACGAAUUGAACUCCAUAGAUCUAAAUAAAUAUAAUCAAGACCUUUAGUCUUGUGAAUUGUUGAUGAAUUGAAACUGACCUUUUUUGUUUUUCGAAGACACAGUGUCCAUAGAAUUCCAAUGACCCAAUACUUUGUCCACAAAGAAGUCCCCUUUUGUUUAGUAUGUCCAAGUCUUUCUCACUUGCAUUUCAAAUGCAUAUGCCACAAUUUGAUGAUGUCAAAAUCAAAUAAAGAUGAUAGUAGAUCCUGUGAUAAUAGAUCCUUGCAAAAUAUACAAAUGACUAGACUUGCAAGUUUUUAUAACAACAAAAACAUCUCUAGAAACCUUCAAAAUGCCAUUUCCAGCUGUGUAUUUGAAUCCAAGGGCCUCCUAGAUUCCUCAAGAGAUGAAAUUCUUUUCUAAAUCAAGAACAUGUCUAACAUUAGUGAGUGUUCUCACAAUAUAUCAUGCAUUUUAAUUCAGACUGUACUCUUACGAAUAGUAUCAUAAAUGUCAUUAUUGCCCAUUAAAACAAAUCCACCAUUACCAGGCUCAUAAGUAGAAAACAAAUCCCUAUUGAGACACAUGUGAUAAGAACACCUUGAAUCUAAAAUUCGUUCUUUUUUAGACCUUGUUCUGUCAUUAGUCACAAAGAAAAUAUUUCUAUCACUCUCAUUAGCUGCAACACAAGUUUCAGCAAUGUCAAUAUAUUCCUUACAAUGUUUUCCCUUUUUCUUUAGUUUAUUUUUCAAUAUAAAGCAAUUAGCCAUAAUAUGCCUCAUUUUGUGACAAUAAUUACACUCCAAAUUUCUAUGUCUAGAUUUAGAUCUAAAUUUAGACCUACUACUGUCAGAUUCUUUUUAUCAAUUCUACCACUAAUGCCUUUUGCCUGACCCCCCAUUAAUUUUUCUAAUGAUAUCUCUGUCUAUCUACUUCUCAGUUUUUAAUGCAGAUUUAAGUUUUCAAUAUGAAACUGUUUCUUUUCCAUAAACCAUAUUAUUGUGAAAUACUUAAACGAUUGGGGAAGGGAUAACACAACAAUAAUAGGAUGUAAUCUUCAUUAUCAAUUUUCGAAUAAAUAUUCUCCAAAUCCAUAAUAAUGAUGUACCUUCAGUCAUCUAAAAUAUAUAUAGACUUUGCCUUAGAUAAACUUGAUUCUCAACUAUCUUCUUCGUAUACAGAACUUUAAUCUUGUCCCAAAUGGCCUUAGUUGAAGUCUUAGCGGCUAUCUCCCAUAAAAUCUCGUCAUAGAGAUUUAAAAUAAUACUUGAUCUUGUCUUCUUAUCCAUUUCAACAAAAUUCGCAUAUGUCAUAUUCUUUAAUUUUUUCAACUUUCUGUAUCACUAAAUCAACUCCGUGUCGAACCAAGGUCACCUCCAUCUUAAGCUGCCACAAUCCGAAGCUGACACUCCUGUAUAAUUUUUCGACUACUGUCUUUAUUAUUGUCAUUGUCGCCACAUAAUCUAGAGAGAAAUUUUGAUACUAGUUCCUCAGGUCUAAUCCCUUGAAAUUGACCAACAAAAAUAAUAGUACUCUUGGCAAUCUAACAAAGAGAAUAACAUAGCAAAUAAAUCAAAUAGAGAGAUAUCAAAAUUUAUGUGGCUCAGUCAAAUUGACUUACAUCCAUGAGCAAAGGAGUAAUAUAAUAUUACUAUGAGUAAGAGAGUACAAAAGAAAAAGUACAAAACCCUAAAAAAUAAUUCUAAGAUCCAAAGGUACCCAAAUCUGAAAAUACAAAAAAGACUAAAACUGAAAGUAUAAAAGAGUCUAAAUAGUAUAAUAGACUUAGUGGUUCAAAGGCCCACUAAUUUGUCCUUUUCAUUUGAUAUUUAACCAAAAUUUCUCUUAACAUAGUACAUUUAAACUCAUUUAAAUCCAUUGUAAUUAAAGCCACUAAGAGAAGAGAUCUCUUUAUAAAAUUCUCAAUAUGGGAUACAGAAUCAAAUUCAACAAUAUAUAUUUGUUGAAUCUAUGACCCCGUUUGGUAAGUGAGUUUUUUAGAUAUUUGUCUAAAACUUUACUGUAAUUUACUGUAGAAGUUGUUAAAAAAAAAUUUUAAUGUGUAAAUUUUUAGAUAGUUUGAAGUGUAUAGUUUAAAAACUUUAAGAAGUUUUUUGAAAUUGCUUUAGUUAAAGUUAUUAAAAAACUUGUAGCAGACAAACUUCGCCAAAAACUUGCUUGCCAAACAACGUAUAUUAAAAUUUCUUCUAUUUGUCCCACUAUUUUAUUUUCCCUUCUUGUUUUCUUUGUAGGUUCUUAUUGACCAGCCCUGCGUAGCAUUGAAGAUGAUAGGAAGCAUCACAAAUCACUUGCAGCUUUAGAGUAGACAUUGGCUUUCCAAUUUAACCCCACACGAGAUAGACUCUGAAGAAAUAAGAAGAGGAGAUGACCUAUAGAUAGCCUGCUCAGGGAGGGGAAAAGAAUAACAGAAAAGAAGUCCAUUGAUUGCCAAAGAAAAAUAUCACAAGAAUCAGAAUCAUUUCAGAAGAAAAAGGAGAUUAAUCGGGACCUUGUUUUUCACAUUAUUGUAUCACAGUAGUUUUUUCAGUUUAUGACGUGAUUUUAAUUUGCUUGUGCUGAUAGAGAUUAACUCUGAGGCGUUUAUUUUAAUGACAUUGGGUUCGGUGCUCAAAUGCACAUUAGGGGUAUUAAUACCUUUUCAUUGUGGGCAAAAAAAAAAACAUUUCAUUAGGGUUGCAACUCAAUAAAAAUUAAAAAAGAAAUGCACAGAUGCUUCCUAGCGUUUCACGCAAUUAUAUGCCUAAAAUCAUAUACUGAAACAAGUUCUAUUUUUAAGAUUUGGAGAUUAACUUGCAGCAAAAAGUAGCCUCAAUUUCUGUCUUAAGAGAAAAAACAUAGAAUUCUUUGAAAUCCAAAAUAACUGUAAAGCUUCUAAAAUUCACCCAGAGAAUGAAUAUUUGUACAUAAUUGAACACCACAUAUCUAAUUUUAAUCGUAAACGGAAAGUAUUUUGCCAAACUCAGACUCUUUGAAAUAUUUAGAGUCAACUAAACCAUACUCCAAACUUUGGGAGUUAUGAUAUAAAGUCAAAACGUUGACUAACAUCCAUUCAAUUUCAUUGUAAGCCAUUGUUAGAUUUCUGUCUAUUAUCGUAUUUUACCUAAAAUUAAAGAUUUUAAGAAUCAUAUUUAUUACCCUCGAAAGAUUAUAAACGAGUUUUGCUUAUAAGGCAAACGUUGCAAACUACAAUUGCAUUUUCCCUUCUCCAAAAAGGAAAAAUGAAAAAAAAAAAUCCCCCAGUCAGUCCAGGUGAAUAAUCUAGGUGUUUUCUCUUGCAUUCAACUAUUCUAAAUUCUAAUUCACGCUUACUGCUAAUCCUCGAUUCAUGUCAGUUGAAGACCCAUCGCAAUAUUUUGACUGAACCAUAAUCUUCUUAUAAUUCCUCGAGUUUUAGCAAUGAGUUCUAAAAUUUGAACUAACCUUGUUUAACAUGAAGAGACAUUUCACAUAAUUAUCUGUUGCUUUUGACUUUGAAACUAAAUGAUAAAAAUUAACCAAUUGAAUAAUUUGUUAGAAGCACAGUACAAUUUUAUUUUAAAAAUUGUCGUAGAUUAUCAAUUCAACUUAUCCUUGUCCUGUUCUCCAACUUCUAAAAUGCCUAUUUUUUUGAUACAAAGAAAAUAAAUAGGCUUUUUUUGUUCUAAAAAGCCUAUUUAUGAAACGGGUAUAAAAAAUUUGAAGCAAUUUGUAAUAAGUAUAUGAAACGGUGACUCAAUAACGCUUAUUUGAUUUAUUUCAUUUAAUAACAAUCAUUUUCUGGUUUAUUUGAAUUGUGAACCUCCCCACUGUCCUCAAAAAAGUAUUGACUAACAAUACGAUAUGAAACCUGGGUCCGUGAUGGACUAGAGUCCUAAACAAGUUUAAUAUGCUUCAAGCUUUUUACAUUUUAGAAGGAUACAAAAGAUUUAUUUUACAAAGACUUGCCAGAGUAAAGAAGAAGUGGGGAACAAGCACACUUGGAGAGCACAAUACAACGGAGAGUUGUAUGUUGCGUUCGGGAAGGAUGAUUUACUCCCGAAAAGGAAUCUAUUAGUUCGUUAUUAUCACUUUACUCCUAUAAUAACAUCUCGUUUUACUAUCGUUAUUCCCUUUAUUAUUAUUUUUCGUUAUUUUACUCUCAAGACUAAUGUCAAAUGUAAUAAAGUUUAUUGACUCAAGUGAAAGAUAUGUUUAGCUUUAUGAUUAUCAAUUUACUCUGUUAAACUAUAACAUUAUUAUCAAUUUACUCCAUAAUAUUAUUUUUAAACACUUUACCCUAUCAUUAACUAACUCAGCAAGUUAAACAAAUUUAGAUGAAAGUACAUUCGUUACUUGCAUAGUUAAAAAAUAAAGGAAAAAAUAUAGAAAAGCCCUUUGAGGUUAAGUGAACAUAAACUUUAGUACCUCGUGAUUUAAACUAAUUUAAAAUAGUUACAAAAAUUGUUUGAAUUAACGGGUUUGAAAUACAUGCGCGUUUUUUUUUUGCAAGUAUUUGUAGUGGAAACAAACAAAAUUUCAGUUGAUAUAUCUAUUAUACCCUUAGAGUUAUAAUACAGAAAAAUUACACGUGGUUAAGCAAACCUACACAAAAAGUCCCUUAUAGUUUCAAAUCAUGUAAUCUAGUACCUUAUGGUUUGAACUAAUAUAAAAAUCAACAAAAAUAAUUUAAAUUAACGAGUUUGAGGUUGCUUGACGUGAAAAUAAUUUUUUAAAACCAAAUUUUUAGCUAAUGUAGAACUUUCAAAAACAACCCAAAACUCCCAAAUACAACUCACCUUAUUUCUAUACAUAAAAUAAAUAAAUAAAAAUUCCUAAAUAAAGCUCACCUUAUUUUUAUACACAAAUUAAAUAAAUAAAAACUUUCAAAUGCAACUUACCUUAUUCCUAUGCACAAAAUAAAUAAAUAAAAAUAACAUGUAACCAUAUGGGCUUUUUCAUUGGCUUAAUCAUAGAGGAUUUUUCCAUGAGUUUGCCUAAUAGGAUGAUUGCUAGAAGGUCUUUUAUUACUUAUAUAUAUUAGGAUAAUUGUAUCAUUUCACCUGUCUUUGUUAGUUUUGAUGAUUUCCAUUACUAUUUCAAAUUAGUUCAAACAUGAUGAGCCGAAAUGUAUGAUUUGAAACCAAAAAGGGCUUUAUUGUAAGUUAGCUUAACCACCGGGACUUUCUUGUUUUUUAUCCACAAAUAAAAUUUUGGAAAGGUUUUUCUCCUCUUUUUCAUCCUUUUUAAUAUCAAGAGAAAAAGUCAAAACUGUUCUUCUCCCUUUUAUUUUUUGAAUCUUUUUAAUAUUUAGAGAGAGAGAGAGAGAGAGAGAGGGGUAAGGGAGAGAGAACUAAAUUCUUUAAAAAAAUAUUGAAACAUAAGAAAGUAUCCAAUGUCCUCAUUGUUUUAAAAUCAUUCCUUACUCCUCCAGUGACAAACUUAAAGUAAUCAUAAUAUUGGAUUUUUUCUUAUUUUCUUACAUUUUAAAAUUGAGUUUUCUAUCUCCCUCUCCUUCUACUUUUAUUUUCUUGAUGUUAAUAAGAGUGAAAAAAAAAAGAACGGAAAAACUGUUUUGCUUUUAUUUUCUUUGUACAUUUAGAUUGGAAAAAAAAAAGAGGAGACUAGCCGUUUCAAUCUUUUAUUAUUUUUACUUAUAUAUGAGAGAAGGGUAUUUCCUUCACAAAAAUUUCAACGCGCUAAGUUUAACUGUGUAAUAAAAUGCACAAUGCUUGGGAAUAAAUCGGCUUAGGGGUGUAGAUAAAGUAAUGAAAAAAUAACAUUGGGGGUAAAGUGAAAAUAGUACUAUAGUUAAGGGAUAAAGUAAUAAUAAUUCAGAUAAAUGAUUAAAGUUUUUGGUAGAAGUGGACCGGAAGUAGACAACAAUUUCCCAUGUAAGGCGGUGGCUUCUAAUUCAUUACUCCAAUAAUUUGUCUCCACGGAUAAAUUUUGGUUUUUGUUUAAUAUUUAAAAGUCGCCUUUAUAUGAUUUGCUAUAAGUAAUAAAACUUGAGUGUACAAGAUGGUUAAACAAUUAAGGUGGGAUUUAAAAUGGGCUUCUUUGUACUUAAAAUAUAGGCUUAAUUGCAAAGUGCACCCUUAAACUAUUACCGGUUUGUACAUUGCACCCCUAACUAUGCAUUGUAGCGAUAUACUACCUUAAUCUUUGAAUUUUUAGCACAUUACUCAAUUAUCAUUAAUUUGGUGGGAUACAAGUUAGUGAAAAGACUUCAACAACCUUGCAAAAUAGACUGUGCCUAAUUUGAUUUUUACUACUCCUAUAAUUGCUGCCACAAUCAUAUUUACAACUAAUUAAUGGCAACAAGCAACUUUAGAAGUUCACAUGCAAGGAUUUUAUUUUCUCUUCUUAUCUAUUAUUUUUCCAUUUUUUCACAGCAAAAGCAAGGAAAAAUCUUUUCACCUAUGCUUUUGUCUUGGUAAUUAGAAUGUUUAAUCUCUUAUUUAUUAAUUCAAAAUUAGUUUCCAUCAAAUUCCACUUCAGAUUCCCUAUCAGCACCAUAGAUCAAAACUAAUUAUCACCAAACUCAUAACCACAACUAACCAAAUUAGAAAAACCAAAACAAGCCACCAAGAUAAACCCAUCAUUAAUGAAACCAAAACCAUAGACCUAAAAACAACUCGUACCCUAAUUAAUUUGGGAUGGAGGAAUUGAGAUAAUAGAUAGGCGUCAUCUUUGAGAUUAGGAUAGAAAGACGAAGGUUAUUGGGGUUUUAGAGGAACUGCAAUUGAUUCAUAUGUUUUGCAAGAGUGGAAAGGAGAAUUCAAGACUUGCUUGAGAACAAAAAUCAGAGGGGUGAGGGAGUUUAAAAAAUGGAUAAGGGAUUUGUUUGAGGACAAAAAAUCAGUGAAGAAAAGGAAAUGGAAAUGGAUUGGGGCUGUUCCAGAGAUUGGAGAGUGGAGUGUAUCUCAUAGGGAGAGGCAAAAGAAUGUGAGCAUAGGAAAUGGCUAUCAUAGGGAUUUUGGUUACUCAGAAUGGGGCAAAAUAGUCAUCAAAGUUUUCUCUUGACUGAUUUAUAAUCAAUUGAGGUAAGGUGAUGAAGGUAUUAUAGUGCUACAAUUCAUAGUUUAAGAUGCAACCUACAAUCCAAAGAUAGUUUGAGGAUGCAUUUUGCUAUUAACCCUAAAAUAUAUGUAACUGGGUAAAGAAUUGGGUUGGAUGGCAUGAUAGCACAAAAUAAGAGGUGUAUCUGGUGCUAUUUUGUAUAAAAAAAAAGAUUUAAAUUUAUGAUGCUAAAUAUGUAUCUGUAACGCUAAAAAUAUGCAAUUAACAGAUAUUGAUAAUGUUAGAAUUUUGUAAUAGGCUCAUUCUCUCUUUUUGGUUGAUUAUCCUGUGCCCUUUGGGCAAAAAAUAGGAAGAGUCAAAUUAAAAUAACUUAAAAAGCAAGUAUAGUCAAGAUAUGGAAUUGGUCGAUGAAAUGGCUAGUGUCAUCUUGAUAUGAUUUGUUUAUCAUAUAUACACGCUUUAUCAAUCUGACAAGUUAAGAUACACCAUUUCACUAACAAAUAAGAAGAAAAUUUAAUCCCCUUGACAUAUGUGUGUGUGUGUGUGUAUAUAUAUAUAUAUAUAUGUGUGUGUAUCAAGUCAGCUGUUUAGAAGAUCUUAGUGAUUAUUUUAUAGACAUAUAAUUGCAUUUAUUUUUUCUUAAAAAAUUAGUAUUCAAUGAUGUUGUGUGUUUGCAACAUAUGUGAAGAACUUGAUUUUCAACGAAUGGCAAUAACUUUGGUCAUGCGACGUAGCCAAGAACUCGUUUUGAUUGAAUUUUUUAGGAGUUUUUGGAAAUUUUUUUAUAAAAAUAAUUAUACUAUAAUACUUUUUUGAAAUAUGGUAUAUCAGUUAAAAAAUAGUUAAAAAAAUGUGUCCAGAGAGUAUUUCAAAAAAACAGGUAAGAUAUUUAGACUAGAUUCAAGCACCAAUUUUCUUACAUACUCUUCCAGUUCUGUUUCUUUUAACUUAGGAAUGGAAUAAAUACCCAAAUAAUUAAAGUAUUGGGUAAAAACAAAAUGUCCCUUGUGGUAAAUCUAAUAUACAGAAAACCCCUCGUAGUUUCAAAAUAUAUAAAACGACAUCUUAUGCUUUGAAUUAAAUUGUAAAGGUGAUAGAAUCGGUUAAAAUUAAUGGAAAUGAUUUAUUGGAACCUAAAAAAUAUUUUUUUAUGCCUAAUUUUUAUCAAAUAUACCUACUUUACCCUUAGCCCCGAAUUAUCUCUCUCCAAAGAAUGAAACAAAUGAUUUUUGUUGAGCUGUCUUUUGCUUCGUUAUAUCAAGGCAUUUUUAUCAUUUCAUUUGUCCCGUUAAGUUUAACAGAUUCCGUCAUCUGUAUAAUUUUAAUAUAUGAGAUGUCGUUUUAUACGCUUUGAAACUAUUUGGGAUUUUUCUGUUUAUUAGAUUUAUCAUAGGUGACUUUUUAUUUUUAUUUGUUGCAUAGAUGAAAUGUUAUUUGCACUCUAUAUUUUGUUUUUGCAUUCCACCAUUUGUUUUAUCAUAAGUCUAAUAAAUGAAAAUUAUAUGAUUAAAAUGAUAGUGGGAGUGUAAUUAACAAAAAUUAAAGUGUGAAUACCAUUUCUCCAAGUUUUUUGUUUAAAAUAAAUAUUGAAAAGACUUGUAUUUUGUAAAACAAUUUUUAUUCCAAAAUCCAAAAUUAUACAAAUGGAGCCCAAACAAAAAUUCCAAAACUAUUAAUUGCCUAGUACCUUUCUUCUUUUUUUAAAAAAAAAUCAGGUGGCGAAGGUCGAACAGGGUCUAGAGAAACUGAUAGGGACACAAACGCAAUCUUAUGAAUUUAGAAGAGACUAUAUACAAUGGCACGUUAACGGAAGAAAAAGUUUGAAUUGUUGACCUUCUGUCACACCAAAAUUUAAAAGUCUUUGGGAGUGGUUUUGGACUUUUGGGUUGUUAGUUAAUUGCCUGGUACUUUUCGCUUCAUAAAAGUACGCAUAAUGCUAAAAGGCUGCUAUUACUUUCCAAAAUCAUUUCUACAUGGAAAGCAGGACUGUAGACUUCACACUGCAGCUUCCGUCCUACUGUACCUCUCAACUUUCCAUAACUUUGUCUUCAAGAAAACGGCUAAAAAAAAUGAAAAUGAAAACUUUCCAAAUUUCUUAGAGUAUUAACUAAUCAGCGUAACAGUAGCAUAUAUAUGUAUUCUCAGGGCUCAGACAUCAGUCUAAAUUAGUCCCAAGCUCUUUAGUUCUCAAGUCAUCAGGUAGUAUUAAAACUCAACGGAUUUUCUUCAAUUUUUGCAAGAAUGGCAAUUUUGAGUUCUCAGAAGAGAGAAGAGAUGAGAAGAAAUGAAAGUUUUCGCCGACGCCCUCGAAAGAGCAGCAAGCCCUGUAGAGCUAGGACCAAUUCAGUUGCAGAUCAGUUUCGUUUUUGGCCCUUUUUGGUUGAAAAAACCGAAACACCAACCCAGAAAUCUUGUGUAAAUAAGGGCAAGAAAAUGAUCGGAUUAGCACUGCCUAAUCUUGAUCAAGAACUGCCCACCAAGAAAUCUUGUGGAAAGCUACGUGCUGAAGCUAAAACUAGCCAAGAAAGCCGAAAAAUCGAGAUCAUUUUCAAGAAAAAAUUAGUGAAAGCCAAAGCUCAAGUUUUUCCACCUCCAUCGGCACAACUUCCAAUUGACUUCAAGAAUCACAUGAGCAGGAAACUGGGGGCGACAAGGGACCCUGUUUUGGUGAUUGAGAAGAGAUUGUUUCCAUCUGAUGUUUCAGCCAAGCUUCACAGAUUGUCCAUACCAGUCAAGCAAGUUGCCAAUCACGAGUUCUUGACAGAAGGAGAGAGGAAAAGAUUCAACAAUGGGAACAAACAAGAAAAAAUUGAUGCCAUUCUGGUUGAGCCAUCACUUUCUGAAUCCAAAAUCAGGUUCAAGAAAUGGUACAUCCAUGAUUCUGGAAUGUAUAUUUUGACUAGUGGUUGGAAUGAUGUUGUGGAGAGGAAUGGAUUGAAACAAGGAACAUUAGUGCAGCUAUGGUCAUUCCGGAAAGAAUCCCAAUUGUACUUUGCUCUGAUUAGGCUCUAGGCCCUGUUUGGAAGCCAAGUUUUUGAGCAAGUUUUUUACCUACUAGUUUUUUAACAACUUCUGCUACAGGAUCCCAAAAAACUUCUCAAAAAUUUUUACCUACAUAUUUCAAAAUAUCCAAAACAUACAAAAAAAAAAAAAUUCCCUUCCUUUUUUUUUUCUUCCUCCUCCAUCCCAACCCACCACCACCUCCGUCGCUGACCACCACGUCCGGCGCCAUUUCCUUUUUUUUUGCCUUUCAAGCAACUGAGCAUAAAGAACUGAUUCUAGCAAGGAUGAUGCCGCUUUAUGGGGAUCUCUUUCUCAGGAAGCUUCCGUUUCCUCCUCCGCACAACAGGAGCUAAUUCCAUGAUUUUUAAUGGGGAAGCGGUAGCACCUUGUCCGUGUCCACCAAAGGACACAGGACCAGAAGGCCGCGACGGGGGCUUAUGAGACGGCGUCCGCCUACUACUGCCCACUGAAGUUACAGGGGUUGAUGGACCAGGUGAUGAUACACCUGUAGCAUUGGCAGUUGCAGAAUUUUCAUGUUGGGCAUGAGCCGCCAGGGCAUGGCCCAGCCCCUAAGCCUGAAUGUGUUCAGAUAAUUGGAAAUUACUAGGGAACUGGGGACCGCCGCCUUGACGUUGCAUCUAUUGCCUCUCUGGACAGUACAAUCAAAUGCAGGCAACCAAGGCCCAAUUUAACUGCCGGGCAAGGGAAGAGGGAGGAGGAAGGGUAGAGGGGAGGAGAAGGGGAAAGGGAGGAGAGGGGUGGUGGGAAGUGGCAUUGGAGGAGGUGUUGGUGGAGGAGCAGGUGGUGGUGCAGGAGGUGGGGCUGGUGGUGGAGUUGGGGGUGGAGCAGGCGGGAGAGUAGGACGGGAGGUGGAGUUGCUGCUGAGCGUGCGGAGGUGACGGGGAAGAAGAAGAAGAAGAAGAAAAGAGAGGAAAGAAAAGAAAAAGGAAAGAAAGAAAAAGAAAAAGAAAGGGAAAGAGAAAAAAAAAAGAAAAUGAAAAAAAAAAGUUUUUCACCUUACAAAAACUUUUACAAAAUUUUUUCAAAAACUUCUACAGUGUACUACAGUAAAGUUUUAGACAAACUCCCAAAAAACUCAGGUUCCAAACAGGCCCCUAAUUACACGGUUAAAACUUUUGUGUAAUUAAUUGCAAGCUAAUCAACUAAAUGCAGUUCUGAAGUUGAUUUUCUUUUGUCGUUUUGGAAGUUGGAAGGGUGGAAACUAUUACAUAGCUAUAAAUUAUAUCUUAAUUUGCUCAAAAAAGGUUAUUAAUAUUUUAAUUUUAAUUUUAAUUUGUACGGGAUAAUUUCAGAAACCUCCCUUGAAGUUUCUGACAAUUUCACUCGGCUCCCCUUAGGUUUAAGAAAUCACACUUACUUCCUUUGAUAUAGUAAAAUACCUAUAAUGCCAUUCACUUAGUAGGAAAUUUUAAAUUUAAAAUAUGUAAAAAAAAAUCUAUUUUGCCGUCUCUUGUCUAUUUUCUAGUUAAUAUAAUAUUUUUUUAUUAUUUUCAAUUUUGUGGAUAUUAGCAAAUUGAAAUUACAAAAUAUACAAAGGGAGCAGAUUAUGUGUCAAAUUAGAAGGAAAUGAAGAAAUCACAGAGAAAUAAAUAAUGAAAUUUUUUUUAUAUUAUAUUUAAACAUGGACGGUACAAUCUACUAUGUGCGCGUGUGCAUGGUACAGCAAUUCUCAUGACAGCUUCCACUAGAAAAUAGCUAAGACUAAGAAUAAUACUCUAUUGAGAAAGCUGUCAGAUAUUCAAACGCCUCAUCUAGCAAUAUCUUAAAACUCACAGAAAAAUAGUACACAUCAAGCUUAUGCCAAAUACUUGUGCAAAAUGGGAGUGAGCAUUCCACAUCAUCAAGCUCAAGUACAUUUGACUUUAAGAUGCAGGUAAGAAUAAAUUCUGCCAUGUUCCAACAGAGCCAAAAACUGAGGAGUACUAAUAACCAAAAUUUCUCCCCAAGCCAUGAUGAAAAGGGAACAGAAGUAAAGAGCAACAAGAACAACCUGUAUCUAUGACUGUCUCGUCUUCUAUCCCGAUCUCUUUCCCUUGUUGGACUACGUCCGCGGUAGUAAUCCUUCUCAUGAUCCCAUAGCAAAAAUAACUAAAGAUGUGGAAUUUGUCAUAUUUUGUUUGUUGUUAAGAAAAUUUUUUGUAAAAUAUCAAUAAUUACAUAAUGCUUUCUUCCAUUGGAUUAGAAAUUUUUUAUUAUGAUUUUAUUGUGGAGGUAGAAUUUAUCAUAUUUUGUUUGUUGUUAAGAAAAACUUUUAUAAAAUGUCAAUAAUUACAUAAUGCUUUUUUACUUUGGAUUAGAAAUUUUUUAGUAUGAUUUUAUUGUAGAGGUAGAAUUUAUACUCUAUUUUUUAUAUAUUAAUAUUUUUAAGGCUAUAGGAGAUUUAUAAUGGUGAUUCUAGAUCAAAUUAGUUUAUAUUUGAGUAUUGAUAUUUAAUUUGGGGGUAUAACAUUAGUUGUCAAUAGGAUUUUGUGUGUGUGUGUGUGUGUAUUUCGUGGCAAGUAUUGAUACUGUGCAUGUAAUUUGGGAUCUUUUGGAUAGCUAUUUAAAUUUAGAACUUAUGUUUGGAUGGUUCAUAGGGAUUUAACUUAUUAAUUUAUGCAAAGUAUGGAAGAAAAUGAUUGAAUAUACUAUAUUUUUCUUUCUUAAUUUUGUACAAAAGGACAAUUUAGGAUUUUUGAAAGAAAAUCUAAAUUCUUGGACCUGUAUUGUUAUUAACAGUAAAAGUAGAGGAGGAAUGUGUAAUUUUUAAAACCUGAGGAGAGCUCUUUGUAAUUGUGAGAAACCUCAAGGGAGGUUUGUGAAAUUAUCCCUUGUUUAUAUGGUGGAAUGAUCAAUUCUCGCUGUCAAGCCAACCCAAUGGUGAGAUUGUGGGGUUCUGCUUUUACUGUCUUUCUUUUUAUUUAUUUAAUUUAAACUUGGGGAGCAAGAUUUGGACCUUGCAUUGACUAGCCGCGUUGACCAAGAUGGUCUGAAUCUUUUGCAGGGUUAAGAAAUGCAAGAUGACUUAUUAUUCCAAUGGGUCUCGGAGUUUACUUGUAUUACAUUGUAGGCCCCCAAUAGUGUAUGUUGAAAAAACACAUAAUUUAUUUUGAGUGCUUUCUUGUAUACUGAAUUGUAAAAUUUUUGCCCUGUUAUUUUUACUUUCACGGAAUGCAUGUUUUUGUGCUAAGAUUACAUUGAACAGGUGCAAAAAAAAAAAAAGGUAUAAUUGAUGUGAUAAAAAAGAUUGGAGUAACGCGCAAAUUGGAUAAAUGUUGGAGGUAAAUUUUCAAUAUUAACUGUAAAAGAAAUCAAUAGAUUGGUUGGAUAGACUAGUAAUGACUUUAAUUUAAUAAAGGGCCCGUUUGGCAAGUGAGUUUUUUGGGUGCUUAUCUAAAACUUUACUGUACCUUACUGUAGAUAUUGUAGAAAAUUUUUUUGAAGUGUAUAAAUCUUUGGAUAUUUUGAAGUGUAUAGUUUAAAAAUUUUGAAAAGUUUUUUAUAUUACUGUAGCUAAAAUUAUUAAAAAACUUGUAGCAUACAAACUUGGCAAAAAACUUGCUUGCUAAACAAGGAAGGCUAGCUAAAUUUUUUUUAUAAAAGUAAUAUUAAUAUGACUGUAAUUUAAUAAAGGCUGGCUAAAUUUUUUUUGUAAAAGUAUUAUUAAUUUGAUAAAGUGUAUAAAUGCAAGGGUGUACUAAAUAUGAUUUUAGGUCUUUGCAUGGCAUGUGAAGUAGAAAGCUAAGUAGUCAAAUUUGAUUAUCUCAUUUUUUUUUGGUCAAAGGUAAUUUUUUUAUUAGAAAAAUUUUGGCAGAGUUUCCCCUUAUAAAUGGACGAAACUCCCUGCCAACAAAUCCAAAUACAAGAAAAUUAUCCACAUGGUAGUAAGUUACUAUAAUGAAACUUUAUGACAGUUUGAAAACAAUUUAAUAACAACUGCAUGGUUAAAACAGAACUUGACAUCCAACCAAAUAAAGCUUAACUGCAGAAUUUUGAACUAGGCUUAUUAUCUCAUAUUGUUGAAUGUUACAUUGAUGCCCACAUUGCACCUUGCCCAAAGAUUAAAUUAUCACCCAGGAUAAGGUCCAUGCAGUAGUUUAAUUGGAAGAUAUUUUGGAGUUUGAGGGUACAAUCUUUGUCAAUUUUUCUAAUAUAGUAUAUCUCAUUCAGUUUUAGAUAUGUUGGAAUCUAUUGUAAGUUUGAUGUAAUUUAUGCCAUUAGGUAUAAAACGCAUAAAAUUGUAUUAAAGGUUGUUUUGAGAAAGUACUCGCAUGCAAUUCUCAUAACAUUAGUACAAUCUCUUCUCCAAUAGUUAAUGGUAUCUCUUAUUCCAGGUACUUUUGCCGUUCCAUCAUGUUUUAAAUAUCCAAAUCCCGUCCUCAAGAAUUUUGAUAAAAGGGCAAAAGGAGGUUUUCGAAUUAUGAAAAGGGGAUGAAUUUUGUUAUGACAGUAAACUCUUUUGUCAUCAAUGUAAACAAAAACGUAUUCACAAAAUAUUGAGAAUCCUAUCAGCUGAGUUAGUAAUUACUUAUAUUAUACUCGUACAACAUGCAUUUUAUAUAUAUAGUUAAAAAAUCUUUCGUAGUUCACACAUUUCAAAAAUACUCUUUAACACAUUGUACUUUUUAAUUAAUAGUUCAAAACACAUAAUAAAUUUUGACUUAUUAAACAUCACGAAUUAUGUUUUAAUUUUCAAAAAAACUUUAAAAUUUGUAAAAGUAUAAUCACAUACAUUUAGAGUCAAAAUAGCAAUGACAAAUAUUAUGAUUUAUAGAUGUAUACAUAUAAAAUAAUAUGGUGAUAAUAUUUUAAUAAAUUUGACACCAACAAAGUUAAAAUUCGAAAUUGGUAAGAAUGUAGCAUAAUCUUCGAAAUUAAUUGUAAUUUUACCUGUUUUUCAGUCUCAUAAUUUUCAAAUAUAUUCGUAGCAUUCACAUAUGAAUUUAUAUGUGUGAACUCAUAUUUUUGCACUGAAUUUUUAAGCAUACUUUGAAAGAAAAAUUAUAUAUACAUACGCAUAAUAUCCUCUGUUUUAAAACUCGGACCGGACCGGACCGGCCGGUCGAACCGGAAACCGGCCAGAUAGCCGGUCCGAGUCAUAUUAAAAAACCGGAAAUUUAAAACUUGGUCAAAAACUGGGUUUGACCGGGAAAAAAUCGGUUUUUCCGGUUCAACAGUAAUUUUUUUUAAAAAAAUUCAAACUUUUUAAUAUUAUGUUUUGAUCCCCUAAAUUGUUAAAACUUAUUGAUAUACCUCAAAUAUUUGAUACUUUAUAAAUAUUGUCCUAAAAUUUGAUGUUAUUUUUCAAUUAAAUUCAUAAUUUUAAUUCUAAACUUGUUAAUAUUUAUUAAAUAAUAUAAAUUGCUACUUGAUUGUUCUAAUUUCUUUGUAUUUUCUUGUUAAAUAUAUUUGAAACAUCAAAUAUAUAUGAAUAUACCUUUAUUAAUAUCAAUAUAUUAUUAGAUAUUAUAUAUAUAAUAUUUUAAUUUUUAAAUAAUUUUUAUUUAUGACGUCAUCCGGUUCGACCCUAUCGACCCUCGGUCGAACCUAUUGACCCUGACCCCUGACUCGGCCGAGUCACUAUCGCGGUCCGGUUCUGAAAACAUAGAUAAUAUCUCAUAUUAUAUCUGUCCCAUAUGUCACUAACUAUGACCAUCAGGAUAUUGAACGCAUAACACAAUUAAAGAUGGAUUGCUCUCCUUGCUUUCCCGCGCUUUUCAUAACUUCAUGAUAUAUUAUUUAGCUACCUGUCAAAAAGGGAAAAAAAAAGUGUAGGUGCAUUACUAAAAAUCAUAUGAAUUAUAUUAAGGAUUCUUACAAAUAAUAGUUACAUAUAAUUUCCUCAUGACAUUGCUACAGUCUCACCGAUAAUGGCACCUGAUUUUUCAGGUUAAUUCUACUUUGCCCCCUCAAACUAUACGCGAAAUCCACUUUAGUACCUAAACUUUAAAAUCAAACACUUAAAUCCCUAAACUACAAGAUCCGUCCCAGUUAAGUAAAUUCAUUAACAUAAUCUAGAACGUUAUUAGUGUUCUUAGAGUGUGAGAAACAUGCACCAUUAACUGAGGUCAUUGAGCGAAUUUCACAAAAAUAUAAAAAAAAAGGAAAUUAAGGAGAAUAAAUGAGAGAAAUGUUUCCUUCCAUCUAACCACCCAUUUAUUUGACUGAUCCAAGUCCUAAAAGUGCAUCCAUGUGCCUUGUACAUGUAGAAACGAAGUUGUUGAAUCUUCAGGGGGAGACUAGGGAUGGCAAUAGAGUAAAAAUGGGGCAGGGCAGAGGCAAAAUAUUUUCCUUGCCUUAAAAUGGGCGGGGGGUGGGGCAACAUACACCCGCCCCAUCCCCGCAUACAAUAAAAAAAAUAUAUAUAUAUAUAUAUAUAUAUAUAUAUAUAAAUACAACCCUAAAUUUCCUAAAAUUGCACCCUUACUUACAAAGGCCAAAGCUCUCAGUGCCAACAGGCAAUAGCUGCACUCCCGCAACAAGCCAACAACUAAAAGAAUAAUUAAGCAAGCUAUUUGGAUCAGUUCCUUCCUCCACAGUCCACACUUCAACUUUCUCUUUAGUUUUAGUUUUUCUAUUUUUUUUCUUUUCUUCUCACCAGAGUGGCCGAGCCCAGCCUGCAGCAGUAGCUCGAAUUUUGGCCUGCCAUUCUGUUCUUACAGUCCCCAAAUUGGCGCCCUGCUGUUCAUCUGCCGCUAAUCAGCAUUCAGGUACGUUUUAAUUUUCCACUUCAUAUUAGGUUGGGGUUCUUUUGCUUCUAGUAUGAUGGUUUCUUGUGGCUUGCUAUAAAUUUAUCCACUUUAGCAUGAUUCAGAUCAAGUAGGAGAAGUGAUAAGGCUUAAAGAAGACUAAUUUGGUCAUGGAUGAUUUUGUAACUCUAAUUCCAUUGCUAUUUGUGAUUUACUUGCAAUUUCAGUUCUUAAACGGGAGUAGUUCCCUUGGCAGUUUUGACUUGUCCUUUCUCGUCAGAAUUGAUGAUGAGGCUGCCAUGUAGCUCUGCCUAUUUCGACUCUCUAGUGGGUUAAAGGGCUUUUUCAGCUUGUUUAACUUGGCAAUUAUUCAGCCUUUCAACAUUGUUAGCAAGUGAUGAUAUUGGUUUCUACGUCUGUCUAUAGCUUUUGCCUUGUGGUUGCUUAUUAGAUUAGGAAGUUACCAUUGUGAGUUAAAGUAUUUCUUGAGGAGUCCAUUUGAAUUGAACCAUUGUGGGAUUCAUCUUUUGCCAGGAACUUUUUGAGUUGGCUGCUUCAGAGUUUUGUUGGCAUUUGGGUCUGGUAUGGAUCCCUCUUCAAUAGUGUGGCUUUAAGUUUAUUGUGCCUUAGUAACUAAGACAAGCUUUUAUUCAACUGAUUGCUUCUUGGAGUCUGUUAAAGCUUGUCUGCAAUUUAUGUAUAAAAAAACAAAAUUUUAUCCAAAUUUUUGUAUAUAUUUAUGAAAUUAUUUUGAAAUUCAUCAUUGUGAGCAGUCUAUUUAUUGUACUAUUUACUUUCUUGUCUUUGUAGAAUUCUUAUCACCAUGAAUCAAUCCAAAAAUCUAAUUGCAUCUGAACAAGGGGAUAAUUCAUCAACUCCACAAUCAAUGAAUGUUAAAUCAAUUGACUUGACAGAUGCAGUAGAAGAAGAUGAAUAUGAAAUUGAAGGAGGAAAAAGAAAAUCAAAAUCAAAAGUUUGGGUACGUUUUGAUGGAGAGAAAGGUGAAGAUGGCAUUUUUUUAUGGUGUGUGCAAGUAUUGUAAAAAAAAAAAUACAAGACAGGUAGCACUCAUAGGAUGAGUACCUUACAUGAUCAUUACAAAGGUGUGCUAAAAAGCCUAAACAAGAUAUCAGGCAAAUGUUACUUCAAAGUGGUAGUAAAAAAAAUGAUGGCAAACAAAAAUUGCACAAUUAUGUGUUCGAUCAACAACAAUCACGCCAUAAACUUGCAUCUGCAAUUGUAUUGCAUGAGUAUCCAUUAUCUAUUGUGGAUCAUAUAGGCUUUCAAAAUUUUGUUAAGAGUUUGCAGCCAUGUUUUAAACUUGUUUCAAGAAAUACAAUUAAAGGAGAUAUUUUGAAGAUCUAUGAAUUGCAAAGAUUGAAGAAUUGUAAUAUCUUGGAGAAGCUUGGAAGUAAGAUAGAAAUUACAACCGAUAUGUGGACUUCUAGCAACACAAAGAAAGGCUUCAUGGCUAUCACUACACAUUAUAUUGAUGAUUCUUGGAUCUUACAAAGUCAAAUUUUGAGGUAUGUUUUCAAAAGUUAAAAACUUGAAUUAUGUUUAUUGUUUGUUAUACAUGAGCAACUUUUUUUUUUUUCUUGUAUUUAGGUUUAUCUAUGUUCCUACUCCACAUACCAAAGAAGUGUUAAGUGAUAUGCUUCUUAGUUUAUUGAUGGAUUGGAAUAUUGAUCAUAAGAUAUCUACAAUUACCUUAGAUAACUGUUCCACCAAUGAUGGUAUGAUUAAUUGUUUGUUGGAAAGUUUGAAUGUGAGUGAUUUGUUGAUAGAUGGUCUAGUGCUUCAAAUGCGUUGUGCUGGCCAUAUCUUAAAUUUGAUUGUCAAAGAUGGUUUAGAAAUGAUAUCAGGUGGUAUUAGAAUUCGUGAUAGUGUGGUGUAUUGGACUGCUUAUGCUGCUAGAAUUGAAAAUUUUGAAGAAGCUGCUUGCCAAUUGCGCAUUUCUUCUACUAAAAAGUUGUGUUUGGAUUGUAAAACCCAUUCGAAUUGGAUUUUUUUAAUGUUACAAACAGUUGCAAUUUAUAAAGACGUAUUUCCACGGGUUAAAGUACGUGAGAAACGCUACACUAGUUUGCCAAAUGAUGAUGAUUGGGUAGUUUGUAAUGCUAUUUGUGAGAAGUUGAAAUUAUUCUACCAAGUCACUGAAAUGUUCUCCGGUACUUGAUAUCCUACAUCAAAUGAAUUUUUUGCAAAAGUUUGUGGCAUUAAAGUAUCAUUGGCUCAGUGGAUGAAAAGUCCAAAUUGUUUAAUUAGACUAAUGGCAAAAAAGAUAAUGGCAAAAUAUCAAAAAUAUUGGGAAGAUUGUAAUGUGAUAUUUGGCAUUGCUGCAGUUUUGGAUCCUAGAUACAAAAUGAAGUUGAUUGAGUAUUAUUUUCCUAUCAUUUAUGGUGAUGAAUCAUUCAUGAAAUUGAAGCAAUUCGUCAAAAUUGUUAUUCUUUGUUGCAUGAUUAUCAAUAUCAAUCUAGUUUGGGUGGAAAUAGAGUUGAUAGUCAGUGCAUGGCUUCACAUAGUGAGCAUGUUAGUGGGAGUCAUGAUAAGAAUGAAGUUGAAAUGGAUCGUCUUGCUGAUUUUGAUAAGUUUGUGGCUUCUAACUCUAGUGAUGUUACUUCUAAGUCGGAAUUGGAUUUUUAUCUUGAGGAAAAUGUGUUACCAAGAGUUCCGACUUGUGACAUACUUGGUUGGUGGAAAACACAUGGGGUUAAAUACCCCACUUUACAAAAAAUGGUUAAGGAUAUUCUAGUUGUACCUGUCUCAAGUGUGGCAUCUGAAUCUGCAUUUAGUACUUGUGUAAGAAUAAUUAGUCCUUACUCGCACUUGGCUCUGGAAUGAAAUAAAUAGUAUACAAAAGAUGUAACUUCUACUUUUAAAUUUAUACAAUUUUUUUUGUAUUUCUUUAUUUAGUAAAUUAGUGGCUAUUUUUUUAUUUUGGUGCAGCUACUUGCUCUACUUUGGAAGGGAUAUCAUGUAAUACAUUGUUUGAUGAAGAAGAUGAUGUUGAUUGUGUUACUGAAUAGGUAUUAAAGAAAUUUGAUUCAUCUAAAUUGAUUUUCUCCAAUUGUUUGUUAUACAUUAUAGCCUGGUGACAAGUUUCUUUUUUUUUUUAGCAUCAAAUGUCAGGGUUGCUUUAUCAAGUGAGUUAUCACAUCUCAAGAUUGAUGAAGAGCAAAUGUUCUAAAGUUGUUGAGUUAUGUUAAUGACAAGAAAAACUGGAUUUAUUGUUAAGUGUUUUUAGUUUGUUAAAUAUGAGAAAUCAACUCGACUGAGUUUGUUGAAUACAGAAUGGAUGUAACUUGACUUGUUAUGCUUUUAUUUCCAUCUUGACAGCUUUUAAAUUUUAUUUAAUGUUGUUUACAAUUGUAUUAUUGUAAAUGAACAUUUAUGAUGGGUUGAUUUCUUUCCCCGCGGGGGAUUGCGGGAGAAACGGGGCGCGGGCGGGGUAGGGGUGGGGGCAAGGGAGGGGAAUGGAGCGGAGGAUGGGGGAGUUAUUUGACAACGGGCGCGGGGAUGGGGAAGGAUCCCCCGCCCCAACCCCGCCCCAUUGCCACCCUGGAAGACCGAAGAAAAAAUGCAAAUCCGGGUCCACUUUCUCGGAUUUCAAUCUGACUCUACCAAACCAGAUUUCACUCUUUUUCUUACUGCAACAAUCAGCAGCUAUUAAGGGCUAUGAAGGUUCACUUGGGCCUAUUCUUCAGAUUUUCGACAAGAAGGAACAGAACAACGAAGACUAAGGGAGGUGGGUUAACUUCUGGUUUUUGAUAGUGUUUUAAAAACUGGACCGGAUCGGCCAGUUCGACCGAUCAGAUCACGAACCGGCCUUAGCUCUGGUCCUGUUCAUGCUUUGGGUUGAUUAUAUUUAAAAACUGUAUUGAACCGUGUGAACCGAAUUGAACCGUUGAACCAGCGAUUUUUUUGUUUUUGUCUAUUAAAUUGAAAAAAAUUAAAAAGAAUAUAUUUUCCUUAACGCUAAAGACUAAUUAUUAAAUGCCACAUUCACUCACUUUCUUCUCAUUAUUUUGCCUCUUAUCAAGUUUAUAUUUUUAUUUUGUAUUUUCUUGAAAUAAAUAUUUCUCGAAAAUAUGCUUAAGUUUUAGGAGAUAAAUAGAAAUAGAGAGAAAGCUAGCUUGGGGGGAAAGGGUAAGGGGCGAUGGACAGAGUGGUUGUAAGUUUUUAUGUAACAAAGAGAUAGAUUCACUGAAGGGGCUGCGUCGGGAUUUGAUUAAUUAAUGGGAUUUUUUUUGGUUUGGUGGAGAAUUGCUUUUGUUGCAGAUUUGAAUAUUAUAGUGAUUAAUGGUAUUAAAAAAAAGAAGAAUGAAAUUAAGAGGAACGUGGAAAUACAAAUGGAAACGGCGACUGCCUCUGACUGACUGACUCGCUAAUAUGGGUUUUUGAUUGUUUAAUUGCAUUAAACAAUAAUUUAAAAACACAAGAGUAGGAGGGAGGAUUCAUUAAAUUUGUGUUUUGACUGGGGGAAAGGGCUAGAGUGACAGCUUGGGUUUCAAAUGAAAUAAACAAUGAUGAAUCACUUUUUUAUUUGUUUGUUAAAUUUUAGGGUGAAAUUACAUUUAUAUCCUCGUUAUUUUGAUUUUCAACACUAAUAAAACCACACUAGAGGUGCGUGUUCUCACACUCUAAAAAUACUGACGGUUCAUCAAUUUUAAUAAGACAGAUCUUGUAGUUUAGGGACUUAAGUGUCCGAUUUUAAAGUUUAGAUACUGAAGUGGAAUUUCGCGUACAGUUUGAGGGAGACAAAGUGAAAUUAACUCUGAUUUUUUGGAUAGUUUAGCCUUAACCAUUUUCUAACUACCCAAAUCCUUUUUUCCACGCCAGUGAAUGACUUUUGUUAAGUGACAAACCUUAAUCUCGAGAAAACCACAAAAGGCGGCAACUCUUGAGGUUUCUCAAGAGACUUAUAAAUUAACCCAAAUCCCCCCCCCCCAGCCCGAUGUGGGAUACUAACUUCGCAAAUCCCAUCCUUAAGAAAGUUGGGAAAAGUACAGAGUGACUUUUGGCCACAAGUAUCACUCUUGACAGAAAGUUGUAUGCUUUUUGAGAAUUAGCAAAGUUGCGAUCCCCUUAGUCAAAAUUUUCCCAAGUUCCUUUUAGGAAAGCAUCAUCCUCAACUUUCCAAAACCUUUCUCGAUAUAUAAAGAAACAGAAGUACCAAAAAGAAAAACGGAAAAAAGAAAGAGGAACUUUCCAAAAUUGUUACCACUAAUCAUACAACGUUGAUUAAUUUUCCUGGUAGAUUUCCGAACCAUCAAAGGACAAAGACACUGCAUAACUAUAUAAACGCUUUCAAUGCCGCACAAUUUUAGUAUUCUAGACCUCUUCGUUUCUUCAAUUUCUUUUGUGUAAUGUUAGAAUAAACUAUAAUAGCAGCAAAAAAAAGUAUGAUGAACUUGAAAAAAAAAUCGAGAAUGGCAACGUUUAGUUUUCGUCGGCGCCCUCGAAAGUGCAGUCAUCCACUUAGAUCCUAUACAAAUUCGAUUCAAGAUAAGUUUCUGUAUUGGCCCCUGAUUGAAGAAAAAGUAACAACUUUGAAGAAAUCUCGUCAAUCUAAUACAAGAAAAAUUGAGGGGUCGUCAAAAAAUACUACCAGGUUGCCUAAUCUUGAUGAUCAUCGACAGAAAAUCAAUCAAGAGAAACGCAUGCAGGAAAAAUUACCUUUCAAGAACUCUACUGGAAAGCGACAUUCUGAAGUGAUACCAAACGGGAAAAGAACAGUGAAGAGGAAAGUAGUGAAUUCUGAUGAGCAGACUGUGUUGCAGAAUAAUGGGGAAGGCAAUGUUCAUGAAAAUCUUGUGCUGCGGAAUGGUAUUAAUAUUAAUCGUCCAUCAUCACAAGAACAGCCUGAGAAGUUGAAGAAUUUUGUGAGGGGUCUUGGAGAUACCGGGGACCCUGUUUUGGUGAUCAAGAAGAAACUAUACACAUCAGAUGUGGAUCCUGGACUUCAGAGAUUCUCAAUACCAUGUAAGCAAGUGGUGAAUGAAUUCUUGACAGAAAAAGAGAGGAAAAGAUUCAACAAAGGGAACAAACAAGAAGAAAUCGAUGCGAUUCUGAUUGGAUCAUCGUUUGUUCAAUAUAACAUCAAGUUGAGAAAAUGGUACAUGUCAAGUUCUUCCUCGUACGUUUUGGUGAGUGGUUGGAAUGAGUUCGUGGAGAAGAAUGGAUUGGAAUCCGGGAUUGACGUGCAGCUCCGGUCAUUCAAGAGGGGAUCGAAGUUGUAUUUUAUUCUGAUUAAGGUCUAAUUAGUCACAUGAUUACUAGUGUUUAAUUAAUUUGUUAAUUGAAUUCUUGGACAGUAACUGUGUUUACUCUUAGUUAAUCAUGUAAACGCAGAAUUAAUACUAUUCAUCUUGUUGAUGUUUUAAAGGUUGGAUAUAUUGCUAUUACUAAUUUUAAAUUCCAACUGUAAUGGGAUUUUUGGAGUUUGGACAAUAAUCAGAUUCCCAUGUCUUUGCUAGCAAUUUGUUAGUUAAUAUAAACUUAAUAUGGUAGAGAAGAGAGAAAGAAUCGAUUUGUUGUUAUUUGCAUGAAUUAUGUCAUGAGUAGAUAUUUAACGUAAAUUAGCCAUCGGAGACAUACCACUUUAGUAACUAAGCUGCCCUAAUACAGUUUGCACCAGAGAACUGCAUUUAUCAAUCGCCUAGUCUCAUUCCCUUAAGUAGUCAGCUAAAUGAAACACAAAAUAUCUAUCAAAAAGAGAUCAUAAAUCAUAAUACUAAACCAAAUGGCAGCUCCGGGGCACAUUACUCAAUUGACAUAUUCUAUAAUACGAAAAUGAGAAAAAGUAGGCAAUAUAGAUGUAUGGAGAAUUGUAACAGUUUGGAGGUGGACUAUGCCACCCCUUGUGCUUAGGCUUGUAUUCUGAGCUUUGUAUUCUUAAAAAUAUUUUUGUGCAAAGGUAGUGAGUUGAUGGCUAGACCUGCAUAUGAGCCUUUGUAUCUAUAUGUUGAUACUGAUUGCUCGUUGUAUUGUUUGAGGGAUUCCUACACUUGUGUUAUGUGCUACCACUUUUCUAUUAUUAAUACAAUUGAUGCUUAAAAAAAUGGGAUUAAUUUUUAUGCACUAAUAGUGUAGUAAUUUUUUUGUCUAUUAGUUAUGGAUGUAUAUCCUAUGUAUAUGAUUUGAAUUUCAAUUUGAAUUUAUAUUAUGUGACAAUAAUUUAAACCUGCUAGUAUAAAAAAAAUGUAUACUAACAGUUUAUAAAAAACUGACAAAAAAAGGAGAAAUAGUGGCUGCUGCAUUAUCCUUCAUAGGAGGUACAAAAGAAAAGAGGAAAACAAAAUGAAAAGUUUGAGAAAAUAAAAUUGUAAAUGUAACCAUUUCUUCAUUUCUUUUUUUUUUCCUGGGUUUCAAAAAAAAAGAGUAAGUGGAAGUCUACCAUUUCAAGACUGCUAGCGGCAAAAUUUGAACCCUAACUUUCAUUAAGUUGAACGCAGCCUUAAAAAUUCAGCCGCAUCCACAUAGGCUACUUUAUGAUUAGUCUAUUUAUUUCAAAUUUGGGGUAAAAUAGGAUUGAAGGGCCACAUUGCAAGAUUUCGUUCAAUUUGGAGGACCAAACUGAAACUCUGUAAGUUUGAAGGGCCAAAAUGAAUUGGUGUAUAUUAGCCUACGGUUUGGAGAUUUUCACUUAGCAAAUAAGUAAAAACAAAGUCCAAAAACUAAAAAGCAAACUAUUCAUGAAAAGAAAACGACAAAAUAUUAGGACACGAUGGCAGAAUUGGGUUGGAUUUACUAGACCCAGAUCGAUCAGGCCUACCAAAUUUCUUUAUACUUAGAUUCAAGGGAGAAUUGUAAUUUUGAUCCCCAAUCUAUAGUGUAUGCGCGUAAUUAGUCUCCAAUCUAUUUCGAAAAUCAAUUUUGGUCUCCAAUCUAUUCAAUUUUGCACUAAAAGUGGACAAUUAAUGGAAUUUCUUCAAUUUCAACCGGAACUAAGUCACGUGAGAUCAUAUGCCGGCACUAAAAUCCCUUUUUCAAUUUUUUUAAUUUCUGAAACACGUUUUUUUUAAUAUUUUCAGCUUUGUCUUGCCUUUAGACAUAUUAAACAAAGGCAUUAAAGGCUAAAAUUCACUAAUCAAUGAGUGGACCCCACCAUGUGUAGAAAUAAAUCACAAAACAAAGUAGGACGAUGACGUCCUCUACUGCCUUCUUUCCUCAUCUUCUUUCUUCCAACUCAAGAACAAACCCUAGGAGCCUCAAUCCCUUUCUAAUCAGACAAAAAAAUUUGUCAUUCUAGCAAAAAGUUGCAAGAUCUGGGCAAAAACUUGGGGUCGAGUUUCUUUUUUUUUUCAAUUUAGCUCGUCAUGGAACCAAUGAAAAAUUGCGACUACAAGCAGCAAGCAAUAAUGGUUACUUCUUGGACAGACAAUAAUCCUAGGAGAAGAUAUUUCACUUGUGCAAUCAAGAAGGUAUGGUUGUCUCUAUUUUUUAUUUCGACUUUUCUGUCUCUAUUUCUGAGUUUUGAGCUAAAGCUUUAUGAUGUUGGCUGUGAAGGGUGACAGAGGGAAAGAUGCGAUUAUUUUGAAUGGCAUGAUCCAAAAAUGUGUAGAACGUCAACAGCUCUGAUUCCUAGACUACUAUGGAGCAUGAACUCUAAGAAUGCUACAAUUGAUAGGCUAAGAGCAAGGGAAAGAAAAUUAUUGUUAGCAAUUUUGUUAUUGGUACUUCUGCUGGUUAUUGUGUUAUUGGUGUAAAAGGCAGAAGGUUGGAUAGUCUUGGUAUCAACUAAGCAACUCAAGGAAAAUGUGUUAAGUAUUAGGCUAAGCUAGGUACUGUCUAAACUUAGAGAUGAAAGACAUUCCUCCUGUUCUGUAAUUUUGGUAGUUUUUGUUGGAAUGGGUGAAUGUGUAAGUUGUAAUCUACUAUCAGGCUAGUACUUUCUGUUUUCUUGAAUGAAUAGAGAUGAAAGACAUUCAUCCGGAUUGUAAUUUUGGUAUUUUUUGUUGGAAUGGGUAAAUGUGUAAGUUGUAAUUUACUGACAUCGGCUAGUACAUUCUGUUUAUUUUGAAUGAAUGAAUAUAUUUGAUGUUCUAAUCUGCUUCUAAUUGGUUGUGCUUUUAAAGCUCAUUUACAAGUUAACUGGAUGUUGAGUUCAUUUACAUAUGUAAUUUCUAGUUUAUGCAUGAACAUGGGUUACAUAUCAUUGGAUUAAACAGUCCCAAAAAUCAGAAUAGGAAAUUCACUGCAAUCCUUGCAUUGCAGAUGUAAAGAAACAUGGAAAAAUAAUAGGAAUUCAGUGCAUCCAAGUCAUCCACAGCUAGAAGCAUACUUUCACAACCACCAUCCCAUUGAUCAAAUAAAGGCGUUUUCCUGCCUAGAAUCCUAUAUAAAACUUGAAGCAUCUAUUUAUGAUAAUUUCCACAAUCUAGAACGACCAGAAAACAGAAUGAAAACUGAACUUCAAAAACCUGAACGUCAUAUGUAAUGGAACAGAACGACCAGAAAACAAAAUGAAAACAGAACGACCAGUAAGCUACUAUAAAACCUGAACAUCAUAUGUAAUGUUGGAUAGUAAAACAAAACAAAUGAUAACAUACCAAAAAACAAAAGAAUACCAAAAGAUAAAAGAAGAUUUCAUUACUGGCUUGGAACUAAUGUACAAAAGACACAUUCAGAAUUCAUUACAAUCACCAAAUAGACACUACUUUGUCAUUUGGCAGAAAUGAUUACAAACUUCAAAACUGUCAUGUUCACGCUGGCUUGUUCUCAAGAUACAUCAGUUCCAAAUACUGACAAUAGCUACUAAUCUGACAAAAGCUACUACUAAUCAAAUUCAGCAACACAACCAUCCAAAAGGUGCUGAUUAGCAACAUUAAGCUAGGUACUGAUUAGCAACAUCCAAAAGGUGCUGAUUAGCUACAUAUCAGUUAGCUUUCCCUUUGUCAUUGCAAGGUGGAUUUGAACAUCUUUGAUCCUAAAAGGUAUCCCUGUUCUUCCUUGGCCAACUGAUUGACUGCUAUGUACCACAAAAUGCUCUGGAAUCCCAAAAGCUUCAUGCAGGUUUGGUUGAGCAGUAGGGGCAAAAGAUAUUAUGCUGUCAUCACUAGUUGCUGGGUUUUUCUAUGAUGAAUCUAUUUGCUUUACACCUUGUUUGGUUCCAUUUCCCUGCAAUACAUCAGCAUUUAACCACUAAAUAUUGAACUCACAAGAAACAAUAACUAAAUGUACAUUAAGUAAUAAAAUUACAACAGAUUUUCUUGAUUUUUUGUUCUCCUCUUCUUUGCAUUUGAAGUGUUGCCCCUGACUUGCAACAAAGCACAAAAUGCAUUAGCUGCUACAAUGUUACAAACACAGGUAUAUCUAUUUACACAAAUUACAUGCUUGACUUACAGAGUUAUCUACUCUCAUGUCAUCUAGUUGUGAGAGACUCAUAUUCUCUUGAUUUGAUUGUGUUUCCUGCCCCUGUUCACUCAUUUGACUGGCUGCAACACCUGCUUCCUCUCUAAACUUAUAUGUCCGUGUGUUAUGACCUUACUCACCACAGAAUGAGCAUUUAUGGAUUUGACCAAAUCUCCUCAUCUUCUUGCCCUGCUCCUUUAUUUGCUGUAUCUCGUCAGCAAAUUUUCUCCUCUGUUUCUUUGGUCUUCCUGGUGCUCUUCCAUAAGUUUGUGGUAGGGGUAGCUGAACAUCUACAUCUUCCCACUCAUGCUCUCCAUUCACAGGUAAAAUGCAAGGGUCAUAACACUUAAGAUACGUUUCAACACUGUAACAAUCAUCAAUGUACUGCAUAGGGUCCUUCAUAGCAAUCCACAAAGCUGAAAUUGCAUGAGCACAUGGUAUCCCUGUCAAAUCCCAUUUCCGGCAUGGGCCAGUCCUAUCCUCAAUAUUGACUACCCACUUUUCACCAUAAGGACAAGCAACUUCAAAAUUGACAUCGUUUGAUUUGUAAGACACACAGUAAGUUGCCUUGUCAAUAUUGUCCUUCAUCAUUUUUCUAAUUUUUGGACAAAAACCAAAUUUACUCCGCUUUUCCCUAGCUCUUUCUCUAUUUUCUUGCAUUCUUUGCAUGAAAACAUGCCUAAAUGCGUCCAUCAUGACAACAAUAGACCCUUUCUUGGCAUCUAAUAUUUUGCUGUUAAAUGAUUCACAUAUGUUAUUCAACAACAUAUCACAUUUAGGGAAUGUUCUGAAAUGUGAUCUACUCCACUCUGCUGGAUUCUUGUCCUCUAACCAUUUAAUUGCAUCAACAUCUAGUUCUGCUAUGGCUUCCAUUCUUCUUAUGAAUUGUGCAUGAGUAGUUGGCUUAGCCGCUUUCCAUAAGGCUUGCCUCAUGGCUGUCCCUUUGAAUCCAGUAGCUACCAUAUUGCUAUGCAUAUGCUUCACACAAAAUCUAUGAUCAGCCCUUGGAAAAACUGAAUCACAUGCCUAAAUUAUGCCCUUCUACUUGUCACUCAUUAUGGUCCAUUCAUAGUCUUUUUCAAUUUUUAGAUCCUUCUUAAGUAAAGCAAGAAACCAAAUCCAGAAAUCCUUAGCUUCUCCCUCAGUUGCUGCAUAAGCAAUUGGAUACAAACCAUUAUUUGGAUCAACUCCAACUGUUGUCAAUAAUACUCCACCAACCGCACCUUUGAGAAAAGUCCUAUCUAACCCAAACACAGACCUGCAAGCAUCUAAAAAUCCUUUUUUCACCCCAACAAAGCACAUGUCCACUCUCUGAAAUUUUCCUUGUUUGGUGACUGAAUCAAGAAUCAAAGUAGUCUUCUGCCACCUUCAUCACUACAGUACUACCUGGGUUGCUUCUCAAGAUUUCAUUGAUAUAUUUAGGCAACUUAUUGUACUGGUCCACAUCACUACCUUGGGCCAACUCCCUGCCAAUUUUUUUAGCUUUAUAGCCUUGAUGUCUACUCAAAUAGCACUUGUUCUCUUUCAUUACCAGGUUUUUGAAGCUAGCAUAAUCCAUCCUGGGAUUCUCCCUAAAUGUGUUAACAUAUUUUCUGCCAACCCACCCAGAUUUCACACUCUUGUUAUGAUAUGAAAACCCACACUUGUGCUUCUGUUGGAAUGUUCUAACUUCCAAUUUGCCAUCACCUUUCAUCUUCCUAGCAUAUAUGCACCAGUCACAUCCUUUGUUAGGACAAAUUGCCCUGCAUCUAAUGGUGUCACUCUUGGUAAAUUUAAAUGGUCUACCCGCGCUUCAUAUUCAGGUUCUAACUGCCUCUUUAAACUCCUUGAAUGUGGUAAAUACCUGCCUAAUUUCAAGGUUGGGUUAUCUGCAUUCUUGGGGUCAUACAUAGGGGCUCUUGAAAGGCCCUUUUCAUCUGAACCUUGGAGACUAUCAAUAUCUGAACCUGAAUCUGGUGCAACAUCUAUGUCGGAGUUGUCAUAAUUAGUAUUAGAAUUACUCACUGUUUGUCCCCUAGUUUCCUCUACACAUUCCUUUUUUUCAUUCAUCUUAAGCUGCUCUUUCCUGUGAUUUUCUACCCCUAACCAUUCUAAAUUAUGAUCAACAUUUUCUUCAUAGUCAUUGUCAUCAAAAUUUUGCUCAUAAUCAGAAUCUUUUCCUGAGAAUUCUCCAGAAUCAAAACCCUCUAUAUAUUCACUAUUAGAUUCAUCAUCUUCAUCUUCUAAUACAAAAUCUUCUUCAUCAACAUCAGACCCCCACUGUGAUGCUAAUAACUCGCUAAAAGAAACCUCUAUGUACAAAUCAACUAUCUUUCUAUACUCAAAUUGAUCAACACAAUAGGCAUGCAAUUCUCUAUCAUGCUGUAACCGACGGAAGCCAUGUUCCUCUAUCAAAAUGUGGUGCUUUUUGUCACCUAUAGCCCCAACCUGACUUUCUAACAUUCUAUCCAUUUCAAAAAGGCUUAUACCUGUGACCUCUACAUGAUCAAACACCCUUAAUUCACCUCCCUCAUAAUGAACAUCAGGUUCAGUUUCACAUUUUCCCUAUAAGUGACACUUCAUAGUCACUGUCGUGCUAUCACUGUCUACAUUUUAAAAAAAAAAAAGAAACAACAAACAACAAACAACCAACACAGACCAUAAUUUAGAUGACAGAAAUAGCAAAACUAACAAACUGACAAUAAAAAAUGCAUACUUUAGCAAAGAUUCAAAGACAAGGACCAUCAAUUGCAGUAAAAUAAGUCCCACUUGUAUAGUAUGAACCAGCAUGAUAAAAUCCCAUUUAGAGACACACAUGGGACCACAUCACAAAUGACAAAUUUUUUUAGUGCUUUUUUCAGGAUUGGUCAUUAAUAAAGCCUUCAUUACAGAUUUUUUGUCCCCUCAAGUACAAAAAACAUCUUUUCCACUAUAUUCUAACAUUAUAGUUGACGAUUGUGCAUAUAUAUCACAAAAAGAGGCAAAAUCACAUACCAUAAUUAGGUAUUGCCAGCUUGUUCAUUUCCUUAGGUCUCACUGCCAUUUCUGCUUUGCAAUGCCAUGAGCAGCUUCAGCUUGACUGAAUUUGACAAGAUUUUUCCGUAUUUUUUCACGUUUUGAUUCUUGAUUUUGGCUCUUAGGCUUUGUUGUUCUUUUGCUGAAGAGAAGAGAUCAGGUUGAGAAAUACGAGAGCAAAUAUUUCUUUUUCUGACAUUCAACCUUUUUGGUGGGGUCCACUCCUUGAUUAGUGAAUUUUAACCUUUAAUGUCUGUGUUUAAUAUGUCCAAAGGCAAGACAAAACUGAAAAUAUUAAAAAACGUGUUUUAGAAAUUAAAAAAAUUGAAAAUGGGGUUUUAGUGCUGGCACGUGAUCUCACGUGACUUGGUUCCGGUUGAAAUUGAAAAAAUUCCGUCAAUUGUCCACUUUUAGUGCAAAAUUGAAUAGAUUGGGGACCAAAAUUGAUUUUUGAAAUAGAUUGGGGACUAAUUACGCGCAUACACUAUAGAUUGGGGAACAAAAUUACAAUUCUCCCUAGAUUCAACUUUAUAUCAUACCCAACUCAUGACCAAAUAUAAACUAAUAUUGCAUAAAUUUAGACUUUACCCAGACCUAUUAUUCUUUUAUAGGAUCUAGAUCUGGAUAGAUUUGAAUUUUAUAAAAACCCAUAAAAAAUAUGAUAGGUUUAAAUUGGUUUCGGGUUAAACCUAACUCAUUAACAUGCCUAUCUAAAGGCUAAAUUUGUCUCAUUUAUUACACUUACAUUGAAUAAAUUCAUUUCUUUUAUGCAUGAGAAAAUAUCAUUUGUUGGUAAAAAUAAAAGCAAAAAUACCUAUUUUUAUUAAAUCAACUGUUCUGUAAAUUAAAGAAUGAUUUUGUCUUGAUAUAUCUUUUCCUACUAUGUGGUAGUCUAUUGUACCUAUCGAAUUUAAUCAAGUACUUACAUCUAUCAGAUCUAUUAUAUUUCUUUAGGUUGCUUAGUAAAGAUAUUUGGCCUACAGUUUAAUAGUAAUAAACAAAUUGUCAGAACCAAAAGAAACAAGAAAAAAAGUUGGAACUCUUGCAACACUUUGAAUACAACUUUAUGGAUGAUAUGCUAUAGAUGAAAUGCAAAAGAAUAAUUAAGUUCACAUCUCAAGACGAAAGUAUGCAUAAUAGUUUGAUGUAAAAAGGAAUCAUUUUAUAUUGACCGAAGUAACAGAAGCUUCAAAGAAUACAAAAGUUUUCGCAUUACUUGAUUUUUGAAAAAAUAGAGGGUUAAAAAACAUGCACAAGUUAUAUGAUAAGGAAAGAGUAAAAUUGGUGGAGGAAAAUCAAUAAGUGUGUCUGGAUAAGAGAUGAUUUGGGACAAUAUUUUUAAAAUAUUCAUGUAGUAGCUUUUUGAUUUGAUGUAUGUGUAAUAAAAAAGUUGUUACAAAGUAUGUUUAUGAUGUAAGCAGAUAAAUUUGUGUGAUUAGUUUUUUAUCUAAUCUAAACAUACUCAAUAUUCUUAUAACCAAACCUGUACAGAUAAAUUGGCUGCUUAAAUAUGAAAUGGAUCCAUGCUAACUUUCUUGGUGGUAGAGUAGUAUAAAAAAAAAGGAAAGAAAAGAAACCACAGCCCUUAGAUUGAUUCAAAACAACAUUAUCUUCUACACCUUUAUAAUUGCUUCAUCUGUUCUUAUCAUGCACGAAUCAACUAUCAAUUUUAUAAUUAAUAAUUUUCUCAGUAUUAUCUUAGACUAAAUCUAUUUUUCAUAUCCACAUGCAACCUACGUGCUUUAUAUAUAUAUAUAUAUAUAUAUAUAUAUAUAUAUAUAUGAAUGGAUCUGAAUAUAUGACGCGAGUAAAAUUUGAAACUCAAAAAUAAAUUAAUAUUAAUUGUGGUCCCUUCAUUCCAAUCCCUUAAUUAUACACAGUUGAGUAGCAAAAAUCAAUUCUCGAAAGAAAAUUCAUUGAUGCAAUCUAUUCUACUAGCUGUCGGAUGCAAGAGACCCAGCUACCCUGCAUUUUAAAAUCAAAACCCAGGCUCUUGUUCACUUAUUUUCUCUUUUCGUCCUCGCUCAUCCUUUUUAUGCCCCAACAGUGAAUACAAUUUGCCAAGUAUUUACUCUCGGACUCUCCGGGGCUAAAACUGUCCAAGAAGCCCACAAGGGAAUUUCAGUUAAAACAAUAGAAUUACCUAACUCAAGCACCACGAUGACCAACACCGCCACCACUGCUGCCAGACAAGCUCAGCACACCAAGUUAGAAGCAGCAGCUGGUAGCGAUAGAGAUCAAGUGACAUCAUCCAAAGUACACGUUGAAAAAUUGACUUGGCAAUGAAGUGAGUCGUGGGCGUAUUUUACUAUCAGAAUUAGAGCAUAAGAAUUGCUUUGAAGGAAUUAGCUGAUUGAGUUGAAUAAGAAGGUUGGUCAUGUAUUAUUCAGUUGGUGAAAAUUGAACCGUAAGAUUGGUCGAUCAAAAUCCUCAUAUAUGCCACAAAGAAAAAAAAAUUGCAUUCUAUACCAGAAAUUGCACAUUUUAUUGUGGCUUUAAGAGAAAAAAGUAGAAAAGAACUUGAAACUCAAGCAUUUGAUACGUCCAUAAAGUUCAAAUUGUAUGGUUUACAACGAUAAAAUAUAAUAACCUUAAAAAUAUGCUCAAAAUAACCGAUAAAUGGAUAACACUCAAAAUAACUUAUUCUCAAUUAAUUCUACAUGGAAUCCAUUUGCCAAUAGCUUUUGGUUUCAGAUUUUUCUUAGAGCUUUGGUUGGAGAUAUACUAUUAUUCUUGACAUACCGAAAUCGCAAGCCUAUUCCUCAAAAGUUUGAUUUAAUUUCAUUCUACUUAUUUAGAAUCUAAAUAAGUAGAAUGACAUUAGCGCUUUUGGUUGGAGAUAUACUGUUAUUCUUGACAUACCUAAAUUGCAAGCCUAUUCCUCAAAAGUGAGAUUUAAUGUUAGUCUACUUAUUUAGGAUCUAAAUACAAAGAGAUUUCUUCAAGCUCAUCAUUUUCAUUGAUCUAGAUUAUAGGCCAAGCAAAAGUUUUCACAUACCAGAAAAUACAGUAUGGGAGUAAUAGAUAUGGAAUGAAUGCCUUUUGCAAGUAGGCAAUGAAAAAUGGGUGCAAAAUGCUUCAUGAAAAGAUAUCACAAUUCCUUAUUUAAAUAGCUAAAUGAAUAUCCUUAAAAAUUUGAAGAGUGAUUUUCUACAACAAAUGGUAAUAUAAUUUGCAAUUAUAUUUGUUAGAAAAAAAUUUGAAGUUUUUGCUUUUGUUACAUUAUAACUUUAAUCACAAAUUCUGACCAACACAACAUGAAUAAAAAAAUUUGUAGUUGGUUAAAGAUUGAAAUCAGCUAUAUAAGCUAUUUUUAAUACUAAUAAUAGUUGUUUUUCUGAUGACAGCUAACAAUGGAAUGCGUUAUUUUGGUUCCCAAGAAAAUUUUAGCUAAUUAUAUACGUGCAUCACACGUGUAUUUUUCUGGCAAAUCAAAAGUUUUAGUCAUUUUUAUGUAAUUUUGUCACAUCAAAUGAGGUACAAAUAACAAAUAUUUAGUUGUACCAAAAAUCUACAAACCAACACGCAUUGUAAGUAUAAACUAAUAUUGUUGCACCCUCUGAACAAAAAUCUCAGCUCCACCACUAGCAGUAAACACACAUAAAUGAGCAGUGCUUAAAUCACUGUUCACCCCUAAAACUAUAAAUACCACCAUGCCUAACCCAACUAAGGUUUUGAACACUCUCCACUUUCUUUCUCUAGAAUUGUGGUUUUACUCGGAUCUAACUUGAGCAUCAAAGUGACUCUAGGGGACAAAGCCUUGACACCCAAUAUGCUUCUUAGUGUUCUGCAGGUCAUCUGAUCAGCCAGCUAGUAACCUUUCUAGUCUAUUCUGUUCUGAUAAUCAAGGAAUUGCUUCUUCAUUAUGCUUGUACACUGAGAUCAAUGAUGGAAAUGUGCACACAUUCUCAUUUGAAUAUGCACAAGACUAAAGCAAAAGCUAUACAUUCUUUUGAGAUUUUUUUUUUAUUUUGUUCACAAAUGUUCCUUCUUCCAUUAUUGAUAUAUAAAACUCCCUCUUUUUUGACAAGAUUGUUGCAUUUGGGCCCAUGUGUUUUGGAUAAAAGAUUAUUUGCAAAACAUUUCAGGAUAAUCUUAAAGAACAUUUUGUGAUGUGAAGUGAUAUAUGAGAGAUUAGAAGAUAUUUAAGAAGAUAAAAAUGUAAUUGCAAAACAAAUUUAUAAUGUGCUCUUAUAACCAUUCUCAUCCCGAUUCAAGUCCUCCUAUUUGCUAGACCUGGAUUGCUGGCUGAAGCGCAAUCGAUUUAGUUCGACCCAACCUUAAAAGUGGGUAAUGCCCGUUGAUAAACCUGAUUUCUUGUUUCCUUGAUAGAAUUUAUCCAUGGGUAUUCUCUAAUCGCAUGAAUUACAGUUUCAUUUUCUCUGCCACAAAUUGAGCAUGCCAGAUUUCUAUGUAGAUGUUUCCCAUAUUUUUCCCAAUUGGUGGGGAUUCUAUAGUGUCUAAUCAAGCAUAACUAAAUUUGCCAUCUUAUAGGCUCUUUGACCUACGGUUGUAAAUUAAUCAAGUUACUUGACUCGAAUUUGUGAGUAUCAUAGUCAAAGGCUCUACUAGAAGCCAAAAUUAACUAAGUUUGAGGUGCAUAGCAUAUGAUCUUUGGUUUGAUUUUGUUCCUAAAUUGGUUUUGAUAUGAUAUGGUGAUAUUUAUAAAAUGCCUAAUUAAGGAUACAUGUCUUAUAAUCAAAGUAGGUUUUCAGCCUUGACGCUAUGCAUCAGGUGGUUAAGACUUGUUAUUUUACUACAAUGGGUAUGAGUUUGAAAUAUUGGAGUGUGGAAAGAAUAGUUCAAAGGAAAGGAAAAGCCAACAGGGAAAGGUUCGAGUGUGCCGGUGGUUUGCAUUGGUGUCAAUUAGGUGUUGUUUGCAUGUCUUUGUAGUACUUGGUUUCUAAUUUAUCUGAGCAGGUUUGCUGCUUGUAUUUCAUGUGUUAAUUGCAUCAGGAAAGAAUUGCCAAGUAGUGCUGAAUUUCUUUAUACGUGGCCAAUUUGUUGCUAAUAUAUAUGAGGAUCAUUGUCCUUGGGAGUAGACAUAUUGCAGUCCCUAGUCAACUAGAACACUUUCUUAUUCUUCCUUUCCUUAUUACAUAUUGACGACAAUGUGUGUAUUAAGUGUUGGGGUGGGAUUUGAAGACUUUGUGCAUUGUUUGUGAUUGAUUGUUGUUUGGAAAUUUUGGAAUUGAUCUUGCUAAUAUAUUGUGCUUUUAAUUAGUUUAAAUUUGGAUUUGCUAGUAAGAAGUUUCGUCCAAUUACAAGAGAAGACUCUGCCAAAAUUUUUUCAAAAUGUUGUUCAAAAUUUUUCAAUUUGGUCCAAUUAGGAAAAAGUUCUCAACCAUUAGGAAUUCAAAUUCUCUUACUUUUGAAAUAAAUAUAUGUGAUUUGAAAAAUUCAUUUCUCAAUUAGCUUGAAAAUAACUAUUAUAAGAUUGGGACUUUUGCAUUUAAGGAAAGCAUAUCUUGUAAAAUAAAGGAAAUUAUAGCUAGAAUUUUGCAUGAUUGAUGAAGUUUCUUCUUUUUAUUUGAUUUUACAAAGUUGAGUGAUAAGUAUGAUCAAUAAAUGAAAUACUCUUCGCAUAAUUAUUCGUUAGAGGGAAUAUCUAUUUAUUAUUUUUACUUUUGAAAAAAAAAAAGAAAAGAGAAUAAGAGUUGUACUUCUAUUCUAAUGGUUCAUGUACUUAAUAAUUAGGAGUAUUCAUCUAAAAAUAUCAACUUUUGUGUAAAACAAUACUUGACUUGAGAACAUGCAAAGCAAUUCAAUUAUGUGAUGUGUUAAAUAAUCGAGAGUGUUCAUCUAAAAAUGUUGAUUCUCGGUCAAAAAGCCACGUUUGCAAUUUGAGUAAGUAUUUGUUAUAUAAAAAUAAAUCCCUCUUUUUUAUUCGUGCAAAAGAAGAUCAUAGGUUGAGGAAGUUAAAUCUUGACUAUAUGAUUUAUUUGCUUGUGAAAAUGGGAUAGGAUAAGGAAUUGAGUUGAACUUGUUGAAAAUAUGGUAUAAUUCUCUCUCUCUUUGCUUGAUAUUAUGAGUAUUUGAGGUAAAAUGAAUGAAUGUAUAAUGGUUAUCUAGUUAGCUUUGAGGAAUUAAAUUCCAAGGGUGCACACAUGUUUAUUUCAAAUGUUUGAAUCAGUGUUGGUUUGUAUUUCCUAUCACUUGAGAAAAAGCAAUGAUUCAAGUAUAAUGAAAUUUGAUAAUAUUUUGCAUAAUUUUAGCAUGUUUUAUUGCCUGAAUUUUUAAUGUGUUUAAGUUAUUUUAGGAGCUAAUUAACUAGGUUUCUAGUUAAUUUUGUACUUUGUGGUUAAGUUAGCAAAAUUUCAUUUCUAUAAAUUAAUGUGGUUUAAACUUCAUGUUUUUGUACGUUUUAAUGACUAAAUCAUCAAAUGGAGUGAAAUGAGAAAAUUUGGAUUAUUCUUAAUGAUUUCAAGUGAUUUCAAGUGACAUGAAAUACAAUAUGAUUAAAGUAUGAAAUGCAAUCAAGUUCAAAUGAAGAAAAGCAUUGACAACCCUAACAAGUUCUAGUAUUUCAGCUAUAAGUUGAACUAUAAGUAUUCAAUUGAGAUUAUUCUUGGAGCAUUUUGGAGUUAGACCAAGGGCUACAAUUAUUAUAAAGACAUCGAAAUCCAAUUCACACAUUGCAAGGAUCAAAAAGCUGAAAUACUGAGGUGCAUUUUGGCUACCAAGAUCUGAAGUUGCAUUUCGACCAGUUAGGGGUAUUUAUAUCAUUUCUCAGUCUACAGAGCUCCUAUUAACAUGACUCUUGCAUUGAAAAACUAGCUCAACAACUUUUAUGUUUUGUACAAGUGCUAGUUUGACUUCCAUUAUCAAGAAAUUUGCAACUUAAAUUAGUGGAAAAAUAGAGCAAUUUCAGGAUUAAUCAUAAAAGUGCAAACCUAUAGGAAAGAAUAAAAUGCAAGCAAAAAGGGGCCUCUACUCACUUUUGUCACCCGUGUAUUUUUGUUUUGGCUAUAUUAUAACUAGAACCAAUUGCACUUCAACUUGCAACUAUUUCCUACUACUUUUUAUAUCAAUUUUUUGAAUAGAUUUUGGUUGGAAAAUGCAAGAAGCAUCUUGCAUUUUGGAGAAUCAACUAUUGGGAAUCUCAAAAUACAAUUUGCACAACUUGAAACAUGAUUAUUUGGGAAAAAAUCUUCUAUAAAUAGGCCAAUUAUUUUGGAGUCUAGAGAAACUACACCAAAAUGUAGUAUUUCAUUAGAACUCCCUAGUUCAUUAGUUAGUAUAGAUAAGCACAGUUUUAUCUAAUCUUUGUGUAAGCUAGGCAUAGAUAAGGUAGAAGUUGAAGAUGGAGAAGUUUGGAGCUCAUCUGACAAGGGUGACAUCUUGCCUAUCACUUCAUUUCUUGUAUUGAUUCUUAUGUUUAGUUGUAAAACAGGUUUGGAUCUUGUUUUCAUGUCUUUUAUAUUUUGCUACUUUUUACACCUAGAGUUGGAUGAACCUUCCAUGACUGUUAUGUGAGGUUUUCAUGGCCAUUUGAGUUAUAUCCUGAGCAAGUUAUUUAGCAUCAUGAUUAACUGAUCAGUAAUUGUGAAUAUUUAAAGGUGUUAUAUUAUCAUUAAAAGUUGUGAUUUAAUACUAGUUUAAGAAAGUGUUAUACCUAGGGAUUAUUCUCACAAAAGUAGAGAAACAUUUUGUGGCCUUAAUCAGGUAAUUUACUAGACUCUAAUGAGUUGAUAACUAAUUUCUUCAUUAUGAAAUGUAGGUGAAGGAUAGUUAUAGGUAUGGUCAGUACGUCAGUAAAAGCAAGUAUCACAUACAUUAGGAAAUUAGCCAUGACUUAGCCAAGAUAAUGAACUUCAUUUAUCUAGUAAUUUUCAUUGAAAAGAGCAUAUAGAAAUCCCAUAAUCUUAGGUAUUUUCCUUAUUACUUUUACUACUUUUUAUGCAUCUUUCUAGCAUAAAUUUACUUACUUUAAUCGUGAUAGUCUAAAUUAUAGAGGAGUCUGAAUCACAUUGAUAAUUGACAAUCUUACUUGUGGGAUCGAUGCUCAAAAACUUCCAAUACUCAUAUAUGAUCUAUACUCGUGUACGAUCAGUGCACUUGCUGAUAAGGGCUAAUUUUGUGACUAUUUUAAAGGUGUUUCAUGUCAUUUUUGAGUCAAUUUAUGGAGUUAAAGGUUAUAAGUUGCUCUAUUUGGCUUUUAAUUGGCAUCCUAAAAUGAAGUUGUAGUUAUGAUUUCAACAUUUUACUCGUAUAAUCUCUUUGUUUUUGUAGGGUAAAAUGAUCAAGCUCAAAUGGGAAUGAAAUGGUGGACUAAUAAAUUAAUGAAUUAGAAACCUAAGAAGUCACAACGAUGAUGCAAAAAGGUGGUGCAACUCAAGAACUUGAAAGGAUGAAGAAUGGAAAGUCAUAAAAGAAAAAAGGAGAGAAACACUGAGUGUUUCUCAAAGUUUCUAGCAGUUACUACAAGGGGUUAUAGGCAAAGAGUUCGAAUUCAAGGAGCAAAAUAGGGGAAGGCAAACCUUAGGAGAAUCCCCGAGGGUUUCUCACAAACCCCUCACGAUUCAUACAUAAACCCUUCCCAAGGAUUUGUUGGCGGGUGUAAUUUGCCAACUUGCUUGACUUUUUGUUUCUUUUCUAGCCUUGAUGUGACAUAAAGAAAUAUCCGUAUAGGCCAUUUGGGGUUCUAGGAGCUUCUUUACUUGACUCUUUGGCAAGAAAUAACACAUUAUUGAGGAGAGAGUUUAGUUCUUGAACAAGAAGAACAACUUUUCUCUCUAACUUAUUGUAGUUUUAGUUUUAGCUUUAGUUUUCAUGUCUUUGAAGAAACUUGAAGAACUCUUGGUGUAACACAGAAUUUUUUAUUGCAAUGAAAAUGUUGAAACUUGGUGAUCAUGUUUCUUCAUUUGAAUAAGCAUUUCUUCCUCUUCAUUCUCCUUAUUGUUGCAUUAAUGUGUAGUUACAUUAAAGAUACUAGCUUUAUUGUUGAAUCUACCUUAACUAAAUUUCCUUGUUCUAGGGAUAGAUGAAGUUAUUGUGCUUUGAUUAUGGUUGAAUAUAGUUGAUUGUUACUAUCCCUUGUACUUGGUUAUUCUUACUUUUAUACUUGUGAAUACUUGAUCACCAUUUGCAAGACAUGAUAGUCGUUAAUUUAUGAAAGCAGUUGACAAUGAUGGAAAUGCAAUAGUUGGAACCUAAAGAGUAGACCCACAAAAGCAAUGAUGAACUUAGGUGGAUGAUUUUGACAUUUUUUGUGCUUGAUUAAGUUUUCACUUGUGAUUUCAUUACAAAAGUAAGGAAACUAUAAUGUUGACUAAAUUUGAUUCAUCAGCGAGAGCAAGUUCCAAUGACUUGAAUGAAAUGCAUCUUUAACAAAACAAGUGCAUUAGUGAUAAUUGACUAUUUCAUCCAUAAUUAGGUACAUUUAGUGGAUUCUAUGCCCUAGCACAUUUGUGUUUAGUUGAAUUUCUUCAAAUUGUUAAUUUUCCUUGCAUUAUUGUAUUUUAUUUAGUUAAAAUUCUUGAUUAGUCUAGACAAUUGAAUGAGCUAAAAUCCUUUGUAGUUGAAAGUGAUUCUCAUGGGAUCGAUCUUAACUCCCUAAUACUAUGAGCCAUGAAUUGUAUACUUGUAGUGAAUGAGGAAAUUAGGUUAAAAUUUAGAACGUAGGUUAGAAUCUUGUCAAUUUUUUGGUGCCAUUAUAGGGAAUCACGGCAAUAUUGAGGCUAAGCAACCUUUAUUAGUCUAGGCAUUGUGUUAUAUUUUGAUUAUCUUUUGAGUUUGUAGAUAGAGUAGUUUAAAAUUAUCUUACUGUGUUGUCUUGUUUGUGGUCAAUUUCUUGUGGUUUGUUGUAGUGCAUCCAUAGGGCUUUACGCAUAAUAGUUCCAUUGGAUCAGGAAAUUGACAGGACUCUUAGGAAGCAACAAAAGUGAGCACUACAAGAAACUGUAGAGGCACAAGGCAAAGGAGAAAUAACUAUCAAUCAGCAACCAAUUGAAACAAUGGCUAAGGAAGCAAAUAGGCAAGCACUUAGAGAUUUUGCUCUAUCAGGAGCUCAGGGUGCUCAAACUAGCAUUUUGAAGACUAAUGGUAAAUGUCAAUAACUCUGAGAUUAAACUUGCACUUGUACAACUGGUACAACAAUCUCAAUUUGGAGAUAAUGCUAUUGAAGAUUCAAAUGCUCACUUGGAUACUUCUUGGAAAUUUGUGAUACUAUUAAGCUUAAUGGAGUUAGUGAGGAUACAAUUAGACUUAGGCUAUCUCUUUUUUCGAAUAUAGUUAAAGUAUGUUUGCAAUCUCAUGCGCUUAAAACUUUUAUUACUUAGGAUGAUUUAUCUUGUGUUUUUUUGAACAAAUAUUUUUCACCUAGAAAGACGGCUAAACUUAGAAUAGAUAUCACCAGUUUUAGUCAACAUGUAGGUGAGUCAUUAUAUGAAGUAUGGAAAAGAUUUAGAGAGUUGUUAAGAAGGUGGCCAUACCAUAGACUCCUUAAUUGGCUUAUUGUACAAACAUUCUAUAAUGGCUUAACUUAUAUGACUAAAACUAAUGUUAAUGCUGUAGCGAAUGGAGCUUUAAUGGGUAAAUCACCCAAGGAAGCUCAAAAUUUAAUUAAGGAGAUGGUAGUUAAUAACUAUCAAUAGGCGAAUGAGCAAGACAAUCUUAGAAGACAUGUAGGUAUGUUGGAAUUUGACACCCUUAAUAUGCUAAGUGAGAAAAUGUAUAAUGUUGUUAAUUUGCUUAACAAGCAAGUUGGAGUUAGGUCUAGCUCUUAUCUAAUGUAAGUAUUUUUUUUCUUGUAUUAUAUGUGCAGGCAGUCAUGAGAAUAAUGAAUGUGCUGAUUGUGAAUAGGAUCAGUCACCUCAAAACAACCCUUACUCAAACACAUUCAAUUCGGGUAGAGAAAUCAUUCAAAUUUUAGAUGGAAAAUCCAAAUAACCGACAAAGCCUGACAAAUUCACCGGACUCUCAACCACCUAUGAAGACCAAAUCGAUUUGAGAAUUGGCAAUGAGAGACUAGCUAAUGUGUCUAAUGAUAAGAUUGAUAAGCUAGCUAAUGCCAUUACAUAAAAUUUGGAAGAAUUAAGGGGAGGAUAGACCAACUUGCAAACCUGCAUAGGAAUGUCGAAGUCCAACUUCGGCAAAUAGCCGAUGUUGUAAACAAUAGGAACCAAUAAGAGUUUCCUAGUACAACUGAGAUCAGUCCAAGAGAGCGUGUUAAAGCUAUCACCCUAUGUAAUGGUAAGCAAUUGAGUGAUCCUCCGAUCAUUGAGCGAGAUAAAUAAAGUGAGAGGGAAGAAGAAGAGAUAAGCGAGGAAGUAAUAAGAAGAUGUGCAGGGGAUAGGGAUAAAGGAAAAGAGAUUGUGAGUGACUCUUCAUCUUCUGAGACUAUUUCUAUUCCAUCAUAGGUACCAUUUUCUGAGAGUUUAAGGCAAUCAAGGACUAACAAAGAGCUUUAAAAUUUUGUAAAGAUUUUAAACAAUUACAUAUUUAUAUUCGCUUUGUUGAUGCUAUUUUGUAGAUUCCCUCCUUUGUAAAAUUUAUUAAGGAGAUAAUGACCAAAAACGAAAGUUGGAGAACUGUGAAACAAUUGCAUUAAUGGAAAAGUGCAUGCUAUUAUUCAAAAUAAAUUGCCACUUAAGUUGAAGAAUCCGAAAAAUUUCUCCAUUUCUUGCACCAUUAAUAAGGUUGAAUUUUCAAAGGCUUUAUGUGAUUUGGGUGUGAGUGUUUCUUUAAUUCCUUUAACAAUUGUUAGGCAAUUAGAAUUGAGUGAGUUGAAUUGCACUAAUAUAUCUUUGCAACUAGUUGAUCGAUCUAUUAGAUAUCUGAUGGACAUUCUUGAAACUAUACUCAUUAAAGUACAAAAGUUUAUCACCCCUAUUGAUUUUGUUAAAUUAGAUAUAGAAGGGGAUGUUAACAUAUAUUAUUAUCUUGAUAGAUCCUUUUUGGAAAGUAUAGGUACAAUCAUUGACGUUCAGCAAAACCUAAGUUCCAAAUUGGUGAAGAGGAAGUGGAGUUUGACUUGAAUCACAUGAAAAAGUGCCCCCCUUGUAUCGAUCAUGUUUAUGCUAUUGGCAUAGUUGAAAAUCUAACCAAAGAGAUGAGCUGAGUCAACCUCGACUAUGAUUCUCUUGAACUUUGUUUAAAUGGUAUAGGUAUAUAAGAGAAAGAUACGAAAGAGAUGACUAAGGACUUGGAUGCCCAAUUACCUUACAAGAGAGGCAAUUCAUAUGAAAGUUUAGAGAUGAGCAAGGACUUCCACCACCAUCAGAUCAACAAACUCCUAAGUUGGAGUUCAAGCCGUUUCAAAAGCAUCUCAACUAUGCAUUUCUUAGAGAAUGUGCGACAUUACUUGUAAUUGUGAUUGUAAACCUUGUUGUGGAGCAACUUGAGAUGCUUCUUAAAGUCUUGAGAAAACAUUUGAGAGCUAUAAGAUGGAUUAUCUUUAACAUUAAGGGUAUUAGCUCCGCCAUUUGCAUGCAUCAAAUUUUUUUGUAAAAAAUUACAAAUCAAUUAUUAAGACUCAAAGACGGCUAAAUCCAAAUAUAAAAGAGGUGGUAAGAUUAGAAAUUCUUAACUGAUUGGACACAGGUAUGAUUUUUCUUAUUUCUAAUAGUAUUUGGAUAAAUCCUAUAUAUAUGGUACCUAAAAAGGGUGAAAUCACUAUAAUUUGAGGUAAAAAUGAUGAAUUGAUUCCCUCAAAACCUGUGAUUGGAUGGAGAGUACGUGUAGAUUAUAGGAAGUUUAAUGCUGACACAAGAAAGGACCACUUUUCAUUACCUUUUUUUGAUCAAAUUUUGGAGAGACUAGUUAGUUAUGAAUUUUAUUAUUUUCUUGAUGAUUUUUUAAGAUAUAACGAGAUAGUUAUUGCUCUCGAGAAUUGAAAAAAGACCUCAUUCACAUUUUCCUAUGGCACAGUUGCUUUUAGGCAAAUGCCUUUUGGAUCUACAAUACCCCCGCUAUAUUUCAAUGUUGCAUGAUGGCAAUUUUCUUGGAUUAUAUUGAGAAAAUUAUGAAAAUUUUUACAGAUGACUUUUCCAUUUUUGGAUCUACUUUCGAUCAUUGUCUAAAUAACUUGGAUUUGAUUUUGUAGAAAUGUAAAAAGACAAAUCUCAUUCUAAUUAGGAAAAGUGUCAUUUCAUGGUUCGAGAAAGAAUUGUCUUAGAACACAAAAUUUUAUCCAUAGAUAUUGAGAUGGAUAAAACAAAGAUCGAGGUGAUUGAGAGGAUGCAUUCACACCAGCAAUAUUAAACGAAUUUGAAACUUUCUUAGACAUGCUGGUUUCUAUCAAUGAUUCAUUGAGAAUUUCUCCGAAUUAGCUAAGCCUUCAUGUGAUUUACUUACUAAAGAUGUUCCUUUUAAUUUUAAUGAUAAAUAUUUGUGUGCAUUUAAUAGAUUAAAGAAGGAACUCACUUCUAUGCCAAUUAUACCAUUACCAAACUGGAGCUUGCCAUUUGAGUUGAUGUGUGAUGUUAAUGAUUUCAUAGUAGGAGCAUAUUUUGGACAAAAAUGAAAAGAGAGAUUGCAUGUUAUCUACUAGCAAUAUUAGUAGAUUAGUUAAUGAAUUGCAACUCAAUUAUGUAAUCACAAAAAAGAACUCUUGAUGAUUAUAUUUGCAUUAGAUAAUAUUAGGUCUUAUUUAGUGGAAUCUAAAAUUAUCAUUUAUAUGGAUCAUGCAACUCUUAAAUGCUUAUUGAGUAAGAAAGAUGCAAUACCUCAAGUAAUUCAUUGAAUUUUAUUAUUGCAGGAAUUUGACUUUGAGAUCAAGAACAAGAAAGGAUAGGAGAAUUUAGUGGAAGACCAUCCUUCGUGUUUUGAAUAUGUCCCACAUGAAGAUCAAAUUCCUAUCAAGGAAAAGUUUUCGGAUAAAUUUUUGUUAGUAGUACAAAAGUCACCUUGGUAUGCCGAUUUGAUUAACUAUGUAGUUAGUGAAGUCAUUCCAAAGGAUUUGAACAACCACCAAAGGAAGAAAUUCCUUCAUGAUGCCAAGCAUUAUCUUUGAGAGGAGCCAUUUUUCUACAAACAUUGUCCCGAUGGCAUGAUAAGAAGGUUUGUGCUAGAAGAAGAGAUACAUGAUAUUUUAUUGCAUUGUCAUAGCCUUGAAAUGGGAGAACAUUUUAGUACAUCAAAAAUAGUGGCGAAAGUAUGACAAUCAAGUUUUUAUUGGCCAACUAUAUACCAAGAUAUUAGAAAUUUUAUCAAAUGUCAUGAGUGUCAAAGAACUGACAAUAUUUCUAAGAGAAAUGAAAUGCCUUUAACUAUUUUCAUGAAAGUUGGAUUUUUGAUAUGUGGAGUAUAGAUUUUAUGGGAUCUUUCCUAAUUUCUGUAAUAAUAAGUACAUUCUUAUAUCAGUUGAUAAUAUAUCAAAAUAGGUGGAAGUUGUUGUAUUGCCUACUAAUGAUGUUAAAGAUAUAAUUAAAUUCCUUAAAAGGAAUAUAUUUUGUAGGUUUGAAAUUCCAAAGACCAUUAAAAGCCAAAAAAGGUAAACAUUUUUUGUAAUAAAUCAUUUGACACUUUAUUGUUUAAAUAUGGUUGCAGGUACAAGAUUUCACUUCCUUAGCACCUGCAAGCGAAUGGCCAAGUGGAGUUCGCUAAUCAGGAGUUCAAACUUAUCUUAGAAAAAUGAUGACCAAGUUGAGGAAGAAUUGGGCAAAAAACUAGAUGAUGCAUUGUAGGACUAUAGGAUGGCAUUUAAGCAUUUGUUGGGAAUGUUGCCGUAUUGACUAAUUUAUGAAAAGCAUGCGAUCUACCUAUUGAGAUUGAGCAUAAAGCGGAUUAGGCCAUAAAGGCUAUUAGUAUAGAUUUUCAUCUUACAGGUGAGAAGAGAUUGUUUGAAUCAAGUGAAUUGAAAGAACUUUCGUCGACUUCGUGUAAGAAUGCCAAAAUAUAUAAGGAAAAGAUGAAAUUUUAGCAUGACAGGCAUCCUUCCUAAACAAUUUGAGGUUGGACAAAAGGUAUCAUUGUAGAUACUAUGAUGAUUAUUCAAUAUAAUUAUGUGAACAUAAAGAACCAUAAAACCUUAAACUUCUCCUCCCAUUAUAUGCCAUCUUUUUCCUUUCACAUUUUUCCUUUCUUCAUGACAGCUCAUGUCACCCUUCCAAAGAGUAAUCAUUUCCUCCCCUAAACCUAAGACCUCCAAACCCUAAUUGUCCAAUUCCCUCAUCUCUACUGUUUUCGGUCCUCUUUUACUCUCCUACUUUGCUAAUGUUUAGAUUUACAGCCGGCAUCUAUUAUAGGGUUCAAAAGGCUAAUGUUGAAGAGUCGCUCCACCAUUGCUUCUUUAGGAGCGAUUUCGUCGACCGAAAGAUUCCCUGUACGUUCAUCGAUAUUCCAGUUAAGGCUGAUUUUGAUGUGGCAGUCGAAGUUGCAAUGAAAGGAGGAAGGUGUUUUUUCUGCGUGCUGGGUACAGCCGUGGAAUGUGAGGAUGAGAAGGAAAAAUGCAGAAUCAUCAUGGAGAGAAUCAAUCGUAUCCUAGACUCGUACAUUGCAGCCAAAUGAGGGCGGAUAUAUGAUGCCUAUAAUGUGCUAUUACCCGAGAUUGCCGAAAAAAUAUGCAGAGUCUUAAAUUGUUUUCAAUGUUUAGAUAAAAAAAAAGAUUGAACACGAUGACGUAACUACUAAACACAUUUAUUUAAUCAAGAAGAGGGAGGAGAUUAGGCUUUUGCUCGUAAAAUACCAUCACAGAACCAUGGAUAGAACAAGAUGGAAUGGGACGACGAGAACUAAUGACAGCAGGUGCCUCCAGCGGAUGUAUGAUUUUUUAUUAUCCAUUAAAUCGUUGUUAGCUGUCGAGUGUGAUAAUUUUUGCUUGCAGGAAAACUAUGCUAAUUACACAGAUAUUCCUCUAAAACAACACCAGUAAUGGUUUCUCUAAAUUACACAGAUGUUUAGUCCUCCUUAUUUCCAUUUCUUAGACAUUUUCAAGUUCAUAUAGUCAAAAAGGAUACACUUAAAAGAUAUCAGGAUGCAAUCAACAAUCCGAUAGCCAAUUUGCCAUCUAUGGGAGAACCAAAUUUUGAAUUGGCAAGUCAAUUGGGUGACGAUUAUCUGUUGAUCAUUUAUGAAAUAGUUGCACCUGAGGAUAUGAGACUAUGUAACCUUUUGUAUGUUAUUUUAACAAUGGUCUUGUGUGAUGGUUUGAUUUUAGAAUUAGAAAGAAGAAUUAGAGUUGACAUCCACGUUUUAUUUUUAGAAUAUGGAGGAAGAAUAAAAGUUGACUACCAUGCUUUGAUUUGAGAAUUAGAAAGAAGAGUUGGAGUCGACCACUUUUCAUAUUUUAUUUGACAAGUUAAUUUUCUUAAUCAUUAUUUGAACUAGUAUUAAUUUUUACUUUAUGGAUAGAGGUUCUUUGCUGAACAUCAAAUGGCCUCACUUCCUCACUACUGAAAUAUAAUAGUACUUGCUAGUAAUUUUUUUUUAAAAAAAUGUGUUAUUGUACAAUUCAUGCCUUAGAUUAUUUUUCAAACAAAUUAAAAUUUAGGUGUUCCCUAUUCCAUCAUCGAUGUUCCAGUUAAUGUUGAUUUUGACGUGGCAGUCGAAGUUGCAAUGAAAGGAGGAAGGUGCUUUUCGCGCAUGCUGGGUACAGCCAAAUGAGGACGGAUAUGUGAUGCCUAUGAUGUGCUAUUUCCUGAGAUUAUUGAGAAAAUACGAGAAAUUUUAACUUCUUUUCAAUGUUUGGAUAAAAAAAGGAUUGAACACGAUGACGUGAAUGCUAAACAUUUUUUUAAUCAAGGAGUGGGAGGAGAUUAGCCUUUACUCGUAAAAUACUAUCAUAGAAUCGUGGGUAGAACAAGAUGGAAUGAGACGAUGAGGGCCAAUGACAGUAUAUGCCUCCAGCGGAUGUUUAAUUCUUUAUUAUUCACCAAGUUAUUGUUAGCUGUCGAGCGUGAUGAUUUUUGCUUGUAGAAAAACUAUACUAAUGAAGGAAUGCACUAUCAUCUGUUCCUAUUCAAUCAUGCAGAAAAACAUGUUUUUCCAACUCAUAUUUGCUCACGAUUGAUGGUUAGACAUCAAUCAAGUCGGAUACGUGUGUUGGAUACGCGCUCAGUCAAUCAAGGAGAAUGGACCAAGGAGACUAAGUCUAUAUCCAUUUGUGGCGUAAUUUUUGACCAUCCAAAAGAGAAAUGGAGGCAGAAAUAUAUGCAAUUAAAGGAAGAGUUAAACAAGAGGAUAACGAGUGGAGAAAAGAAUGAAAAAAAGAUGAAACAACAUUAGUAACAGUUCCUCUAAAUUACACAGAUGCUUGGUCCUCCUUGUUUGCAUUUUUUAGACAUUUUCAAGUUCAUAUAAUCGAGGAGAAUACAUUUAAAAGAUAUAUGGAUGCAAUCAAUAAUCCGGCAGCCAAUUUUUCAUUUAUGGGAGAACUGAAUUUUGAACUGGCAAGUCAAUUGGGUGACGAUUUUCUAUUGACUAUCUAUGAAAGAGUUGGAGUUGACUGCUAUUCAUAUUCUAUUUGCCAAAUCAAUUUUCUCAAUCUUUAUUUGAACUAGUAUUAAUUUUUACUUUAUAGAUAGAGGUUCUUUACUGAACAUCAAAUGGCCACGCUUCCACACUACUGAAAUAUAAUAGCACUUGCGAGUAUUUUUUUUUUUUAAAAGAAGGUGUUAUUGUGUCAUUCACGCCUUAGAUUAUUUUUCAGACAAACUAAAAUUUAAGUGUUCUUUAUUCCAUCAUCGAUGUUCCAGUUAAAGUUGAUUUUGAUAUGGCGGUCGAAGUUGAAAUGAAAGGAGAAAGGUAUUUUUUGCGCGUGUACAGCCGUGGAAUAUGAGGAUGAGAAGGAAAAAUGAAGAAUCAUCCCGGAGAGAAUCAAUCAUGUCCUAGAUUCGUACAUUGCCGCCAAAUAAGGGCGGAUAUAUAACGCCUAUGAUGUGCUAUUGCUUGAAAUUGCCGAAAAAAUACACGGACUCUUCACUUGUAUUCAAUGCUUGGAUAAAAAAAAAAAAUGAUAAUGUGCCUACUAAACAUUUUUUUAAUCAAGAAGCGGGAGGAGGUUAGGCUUUUGCUCGUAAAAUACUAUCACAGAAUCAUGGGUAGAACAAUAUGGAAUGAGACGGUGAGAGAUAAUGACAACAUAUGCAUCCAGCAGAUGUUUGAUUCUUUAUUAUCCACUAAAUGAUUGUUAGCUGUCGAGUGUGAUAAUUUUUGCUUGCAGAAAAACUAUGCUAAUGAAGGAACGUACUAUCAUCUGUUCCUAUUCAAUCAUGCGGAGAGACAGGCUUUUCUAACCCAUAUCUGGUCACAAUUGAAGAUUAGGCUUCAAUAAGAUCGAAUGAGUGUAUUGAAUACGCGUUCAAACUAUCAGGGAGAAUGGACCGAGGAGAUUAAGUCUAAAUCCAUUUGUGGCGUAAUCUUUGACUAAUCGAAAGAGAAGUGGAGGCAAAAAUAUAUGCAACUAAAGGAAAAGUUAAACAAGAGGAUAACAAGCGGAGGGAAGAAGGGAAAAAUGAUAAAACAAUACCAGUAACAGUUCCUCUAAAUUACACAGAUGCUCAGUCCUUUUUAAUUGCAUUUCUUCGGCAUUUUCAAUUUCAUAUAGUCGAGGAGGAUACGCUUAAAAGAUAUCAAGGUACAAUCAACAAUCCAGCAGCCAAUUUGUCAUCUAUGGGAGAAUCGAAUUUUGAAUUGGCAAGUCAAUUGGGUGACGAUUAUCUGUUGACCAUCUAUGAAACAGUUGCACUUGAGGAUAUGAGACUAUGUAGCCUUUUGUAUGUUAUUUUAACAGUGGUCACGUGUGAUGUUUUGAUUUUAGAAUUAGAAUGAAGAAUUAGAGUUGACUUUCACAUUUUAUUUUUAGAAUAAGGAGGAAGAAUUAAAGUUGACUACUAUGUUUUGAUUUUAGAAUUAGAAGAAAGAAUUAGAGUUGACUUUCACGUUUUAUUUUUAGAAUAAGGAGGAAGAAUUAGUUGACUACCAUAUUUUAAUUUUAGAAUUAGAAGGAAGAGUUGGAGUUGACUGCUCUUCAUAUUCUAUUUUCCAAGUUAGUUUUCUCAAUUUUUAUUUGAACUAAUAUUAAUUUUUACUUUAUAGAUAGAGGUUCUUUGCUGAGCAUAAAAUGGCCUCACAUCCUCGCUACUGAAAUAUAAUAGUAUUUGCAUAUAUUUUUGUUUUAAAAAAAAGUGUUAAUGUACAAUUCACGCCUUAGAUUAUUUUUCAGAUAAACUAAAAUUUUGAUGUUCCCAGUUCCGCCAUUGAUGUUUCAAUUACGGCUGAUUUUGAUGUGGCAGUCAAAAUUACAAUAAAAGGAUAAAGGUGUUUUUUACACGUACUGGGUACAGCCGUGGAAUGUGAGGGUGGGAAGAAAAAACACAGAAUCAUUACAAAAAGAAUCAAUCGUGUCCUAUACUCAUACAUUACUCCAAACGAGGGCAGAUAUAUGACGCCUAUGAUGCGCUAUUGCCCGAGAUUACAAUGAAAAUAGAUGAAGUCUUAAAUUGUUUUCAAUAUUUGGAUAAAAAAAAGAUUGAACACGAUGACGUAAUUGCUAAACAUUUUUUUAAUCAAGAAGAGGGAGGAGGUUAGGCUUUUGCACGUAAAAUACUAUCAUCAUAGAACCAUGUGAAGAACAAGAUGGAAUGAGACGGUGAGGGCUAAUGACAGGAUAUGCCUCUAGCGGAUGUUUGGUUCUUCAUUAUCCACUAAAUCAUUGUUAGCUGUCGAGUGUAAUAAUUUUUACUUGCAGAAAAAUUAUGCUAAUGAAUGAAUGCACUAUCAUCUGUUCCUAUUCAUUUAUGUAGAGAGACAAGCUUUUCUAACCCAUAUCUGCUCACAAUUAAUGGUUAGACCUCAAUCGAAUCGGAUGCGUGCGUUGGAUAUGCGCUCAACCUAUCAUGGAGAAUGGACCAGGUAGAUUAAGUCCAAAUCCAUUCGUGGCGUAAUCUUCGACUAUUCAAAAGGGAAGUGGAAGCAGAAAUAUAUGCAACUAAAGGAAAAGUUAAACAAGAGGAUGACAAGCAAGGGGAGAAUGGAAAAAGGAUAAAACAACAUCAGUAGCGGUUCCUCUAAAUUACACAGAUGAUCAGUCUUUCUUAUUUGCAUUUUUUAGAUAUUUUCAAUUUCAUAUAAUCGAGUAGGAUACGCUUAAAAGAUAUUAGGAUGCAAUCAACAAUUUGGCAGUCAAUUUGCCAUAUACGGGAGAAUCGAAUUUUGAAUCGACAAGUCAAUUGGAUGACGAUUAUCUAUUGAUAAUCUAUAAAUUAGUUGCACCUGAGGAUAUGAGACAAUGUAGCCUCUUACAUGUUAUUUUAAAAGUGGUCUCGUGUGAUGGUUUGAUUUUAGAAUUAGAAGGAAGAAUUAGAGUUGACUUCCACGUUUUGUUUUUAGAAUGAGGAAGAAUUAAAGUUAACUACCAUGUUUUGAUUUUAGAAUUAGAAGGAAGAGUUGGAGUUGACUGCUAUUCAUAUUCUAUUUGCCAAGUUAAUUUUCUCAAUCUUUAUUUGAACUAAUAUUAAUUUUUAUUUUAUGGAUAGAUGUUCUUUGCUGAACAUCAAAUGGCCUCAUUUCCUCACUACUAAAAUAUAAUAGUAGUUGUUAGUAUUUUUAUUUAAAAAAAAAGAUGUUAUUGUACAAUUCACGCCUUAGAUUAUUUUUCAGACAAACUAAAAUUUAGAUGUUCCCUGUUCCACCAUUGAUGUUUCAGUUACGACUGAUUUUGAUGUGACAGUCGAAAUUACAAUAAAAGGAGAAAGGGUUUUUUGCACGUACUGGGUGCAGUCGUGGAAUGUGAGGGUGGGAAUGAAAAAUAUAUAAUGAUCAUAGAGAGAAUCAAUCGUAUCCUACACUCAUACAUUGCUCCAAACGAGGGUGGAUAUAUGAUGUCUAUGAUGCGCUAUUACUCAAGAUUACAGAGAAAAUACGCGAAGACUUAACUUGUUUUAAAUAUUUCGAUAAAAAAAUUAAACACGAUGACGUAAUUGCUAAACAUUUUUUUAAUCAAGAAGUGGGAAGAGAUUAGGCUUUUGCCCAUAAAAUACUAUCACAGAAUCAUGGGUAGAACAAGAUAAAAUGAAACGGUGAGAACUAAUGAUAGCAUAUGCCUCAAGCGGAUGUUUGAUUAUUUAUCAUCGACUAAGUCAUUGUUAGCUGUCGAGUGUGAUAAUAUUUACUUGCAGAAAAAUUAUGCUAAUGAAGGAACACACUAUCAUAUGUUCCUAUUCAUUUAUGUAGAGAGACAGGCUUUUCUAACCCAUAUCUGCUCAUGAUUGAUGGUUAGACCUCAAUCGGUUCGGAUGCGUGCGUUGGAUACGCGCUCAACCUAUCAGGGAGAAUGGACCAAAGAAAUUAGGUCUUAAUCUAUUCGUGGCGUAAUCUUUGACUAUCCAAAAGAGAGUUGGAGGCCAAAAUAUAUACAACUAAAGGAAAAAUUAAACAAGAGGAUAACGAGCGAGGGAAGAAUGGAAAAAGAAUAAAACAACACCAGUAGCGGUUCAUCUAAAUUACACAUAUGUUCGGUCCUCCUUAUUUGCAUUUAUUAGAUAUUUUCAAAUUAAUAUAGUCGAUGAGGUACGCUUAAAAGAUAUCAGGAUGCAAUCAACAAUCCGCAGCCAAUUUGCCAUCUAUUGGAGAACCGAAUUUUGAAUCGGCAAGUCAAUUGGGUGACGUUAUCUGUUGACAAUCUAUGAAAUAGUUGCAUUAGAGGAUAUGAGACUAUGUAACCUCUUGAAUGUUAUUUUAAAAGUGGUCUCGUGUGAUGGUUUGAUUUUAGAAUUAGAAGGAAGAAUUAGAGUUGACUUCCACGUUUUGUUUUUAGAAUAAGGAGGAAGAAUUAAAGUUGACUACCAUGUUUUGAUUUUAGAAUUAGAAGAAAGGGUAGGAGUUGACUGGUAUUCAUAUUCUAUUUGCCAAGUUAAUUUUCUCAAUCUUUAUUUGAACUAAUAUUAAUUUUUACUUUAUGGAUAGAGGUUCUUUGCUGAGCAUCAAAUGGCCUCACUUCCUCACUACUAAAAUAUAAUAGUACUUGUUAGUAUUUUUAUUUUUAAAAAAGGUAUUGUUGUACAAUUCACGCCUUAGAUUAUUUUUCAGACAAACUAAAAUUUUGGUGUUCCUUGUUCCACAAUCGAUAUUUCAGUUAAGGAUGAUUUUGAUGUGGCAAUCGAAAUUACAAUAAAAGGAAAAAGGAUUUUUGCGAGUACUGGGUACAGCCAUGGAAUGUGAGGGUGGGAAGGAAAAAUACUGAAUCACGACGAAGAGAAUGAAUCGUAUCCUAUACUCGUACAUUACUCCAAACGAGGGCGGAUAUAUGAUACCAAUAAUGCACUAUUGCCCGAGAUUACAGUGAAAAUACGCGGAGUCUUAAAUUGUUUUCAAUAUUCGGAUAAAAAAAAGAUUGAACACGAUAACGUGAUUGCUUAAUCAAGAAGCGAGAGGAGGUUGGACUUUUGCACAAAAUACUAUCACAGAAUCAUGGGUAGAACAAGAUGGAAUCAGACGGUGAGAGCUAAUGACAGCAUAUGCCUCCAGCGGAUGUUUGAUUCUUUAUUAUCCACUAAAUCAUUGUUAGUUGUCGAGUGUAAUAAUUUUUGCUUGCAGAAAAAUUAUGCUAAUGAAGGAAUGCACUAUCAUCUGUUCCUAUUCAUUUAGGUAGAGAGACGGGCUUUUCUAACCCAUAUCUGCUCACGAUUGAUGGUUAGGCCUCAAUCGGUUCGGAUGUGUGUGUUGCAUACGCGCUCAACGUAUCAGGGUGAAUGGACCAAGGAAAUUAAGUGUUAAUCCAUUCAUGGCGUAAUCUUUGACUAUCCAAAAGAGAAGUGGAGGCCGAAAUAUAUGCAACUAAAGAAAAAGUUAAACAAGAGGAUAACGAGCGAGGGAAGAAUGGAAAAAAGAUAAAACAACACUAGUAACGGUUCUUCUAAAUUACACAUACGUUCAGUCCUCCUUAUUUGCAUUUCUUAGAUAUUUUCAAGUUCAUAUAGUCGAGGAGGUACGCUUAAAAGAUAUCAAGAUGCAAUCAACAAUCCGGCAGCCAAUUUGCCAUCUAUUAGAGAACCGAAUUUUGAAUCGCAAGUCAAUUGGGUGAUGUUAUAUGUUGACAAUCUAUGAAAUAGUUGCAUUAGAGGAUAUGAGACUAUGUAGCCUCUUGAAUGUUAUUUUAAAAGUGGUCUCGUGUGAUGGUUUGAUUUUAGAAUUAGAAGCAAGAAUUAGAGUUGACUUCCACGUUUUGUUUUUAGAAUAAGGAGGAAGAAUUAAAGUUGACUACCAUGUUUUGAUUUUAGAAUUAGAAGGAAGAGUUGGAGUUGACUGCUAUUCAUAUUCUAUUUGUCAAGUUAAUUUUCUAAAUCUUUAUUUGAACUAAUAUUAAUUUUUACUUUAUGGAUAGAUGUUCUUUGCUAAACAUCAAAUGGCCUCAUUUCCUCAUUACUAAAAUAUAAUAGUACUUGUUAGUAUUUUUAUUUUAAAAAACGACGUUAUUGUACAAUUCACGCCUUAGAUUAUUUUUCAGAUAAACUAAAAUUUAGGUGUUACCUGUUCCACAAUCGAUGUUUCAGUUACGACUGAUUUUAAUGUGGCAGUCGAAAUUACAAUAAAAGGAGAAAAGGGUUUUUUGCACGUACUGGGUGCAGUCGUGGAAUGUGAGGGUGGAAAUGAAAAAUACAGAAUCAUCACGGAGAGACUCAAUCGUAUCCUACACUCAUAUAUUGCUCCAAACGAGGGCGGAUAUAUGAUGUCUAUUGUGCGCUAUUACCCGAGAUUACAGUGAAAAUACGCGAAGUCUUAACUUGUUUUCAAUAUUUGGAUAAAAAAAAAGUUGAACACGAUGACGUAAUUGCUAAACAUUUUUUUAAUCGAGAAGCGGAAGGAAGUUAGACUUUUGUCCGCAAGAUACUAUCACAGAAUCAUGGGUAGAACAAGAUGGAAUGAGACGGUGAGAGCUAAUGAUAGCAUAUGCCUCAAGCGGAUUUUUUAUUCUUUAUCAUCGAUUAAAUCAUUGUUGGCUAUCAAGUGUGAUAAUUUUUACUUGCAUAAAAACUAUGCUAAUGAAGGAACGCACUAUCAUCUGUUCCUAUUCAAUUAUGUUCAGAGAUAGGUUUUUCUAACCCAUAUCUGCUCACGAUUGAUGUUAGGCCUCAAUUGGUUUGGAUGCGUGUGUUGGAUACGCGCUCAACCUAUCAGGGAGAAAAGACCAAGGAAAUUAAAUCUAAAUCCAUUCAUAGCGUAAUCUUUGAUUAUCCGAAAGAGAAGUGGAGGCAGAAAUAUAUGCAACUAAAGGAAAAGUUAAACAAGAGGAUAACGAGCGAGGGAAGAAUGAAAAAAAGAUAAAAGAACACCAGUAACAGUUCCUCUAAAUUACACAUAUGUUCGAUUCUCUUUAUUUUCAUUUCUUAGACAUUUUCAAAUUCAUAUAGUCGAGCAGGAUACGCUUAAAAGAUAUCAGGAUGCAGUCAACAAUUCGGCAGCUAAUUUGCCAUCUAUGGGAGUACUGAAUUUUGAAUCGGCAAGUCAAUUGGGUGACGAUUAUCUGUUGAUAAUCUAUAAAAUAGUUGCACCUAAAUAUAUGAGACUAUGUAGCCUCUUGAAUGUUAUUUUAAAAGUGGUUUCGUGUGAUGCUUUGAUUUUAGAAUUAGAAACAAGAAUUAGAGUUGACUUCCACAUUUUGUUUUUAGAAUAAGGAGGAAGAAUUAAAGUUGACUACCAUGUUUUGAUUUUAGAAUUAGAAGGAAGAGUUGGAGUUGACUGCUAUUCAUAUUCUAUUUGCCAAGUUAAUUUUCUCAAUUUUUAUUUGAACUAAUAUUAAUUUUUACUUUAUGGAUAGAUGUUCUUUGCUGAACAUCAAAUGGUCUCAUUUUCUCACUAUUAAAAUAUAAUAAUACUUGUUAGUAUUUUUAUUUAAAAAAAGGUGUUAUUGUACAAUUCACGCCUUAGAUUAUUUUUCAGAUAAACUAAAAUUUAGGUGUUCCCUGUUCCACAGUCGAUGUUUUAGUUACGGUUGAUUUUGAUGUGGCGGUCGAAAUUGCAAUAAAAGAAGAGCUGAAUUUUUGUGCGUACUGGGUGCAGCCAUGAAAUGUAAGGGUGGGAAUGAAAAAUACAAAAUCAUCACAGGAGAGAAUCAAUCGUAUUCUAUACUCGUACAUUGCUCCAAACGAGGGUGGAUAUAUAAUGCCUAUGAUGCACUAUUACCCGAGAUUACAUAGAAAAUACGUGAAACUUUAACUUCUUUUAAAUAAUUGGAUAAAAAAAAGAUUGAACACGAUUAUGUGACCACUAAAUAUUUUUUUAAUCAUGGAGCAGGAGGAGGUUAGGAUUUUACUCGUAAAAUACUAUUACAAAAUCAUGGGUAAAAUAAGAUGGAAUAAGACAGUGAGGGCUAACGACAGCAUAUGCCUCCAGUGAAUGUUUGAUUCUUUAUCAUCGAUUAAGUCAUUGUUGGCUGUCAAGUGUGAUAAUUUUUACUUUCAAAAAAACUAUGGUAAUGAAGGAACGCACUAUCAUCUAUUCCUAUUCAAUUAUGUAGAGAGACAGGCUUUUCUAACUAUAUCUGCUCACGAUUGAUGGUUAGGCCUCAAUCGGUUCGGAUGCGUGUGUUGGAUACGCGCUCAACCUAUCAGGGAGAAUGGACCAAGGAAAUUAAGUCUAAAUUCAUUCAUGGCGUAAUCUUUGAUUAUCCGAAAGAGAAGUGGAGACAGAAAUAUAUGCAACUAAAGGAAAAGUUAAACAAGAGGAUAACGAACGAGGGAAAGAAUGGAAAAAGGAUUAAACAACACCAGUAACGGUUCCCCUAAAUUACACAUAUGUUCAAUUCUCUCUAUUUGCAUUUCUUAGACAUUUUCAAAUUCAUAUAGUCGAGGAGGAUACGCUUAAAAGAUAUCAGGAUGCAAUCAACAAUUCGGCAGCUAAUUUGCCAUCUAUGGGAGAAUUGAAUUUUGAAUCGGCAAGUCAAUUGGGUAACGAUUAUCUAUUGACAAUCUAUGAAAUAGUUGCACCUGAGGAUAUGAGACUAUGUAGCCUCUUGUAUGUUAUUUUAAAAGUGGUCUCGUGUGAUGGUUUGAUUUGAGAAUUUGAAGGAAGAAUUAGAGUUGACUUCCACGUUUUAUUUUUAGAAUAAGGAGGAAGAAUUAAAGUUGACUACCAUGUUUUGAUUUUAGAAUUAGAAGGAAGAGUUGGAGUUGACUGCUAUUCAUAUUCUAUUUGCCAAGUUAAUUUUCUCAAUUUUUAUUUGAACUAAUAUUUAUUUUUACUUUAUGGAUAGAUGUUCUUCGCUGAAAAUCAAAUGGCCUCAUUUGCUCACUACUAAAAUAUAAUAGUACUUGUUACUAUUUUUAUUUUAAGAAAAGGUAUUAUUGUACAAUUCAUGCCUUAUAUUAUUUUUUACACAAACUAAAAUAUAGGUGUUCCCUGUUCCAUCAUCGAUGUUUCAAUUACGGCUGAUUUUGAUGUGGCAGUCGAAAUUGCAACAAAAGGAGAGCUGGAUUUUUUGUGCAUACUAGGUGCAGCAAUGGAAUGUGAGUGUGGGAAUGAAAAAUACAGAAUCAUCACAGGAGAAAAUCAAUCGUAUCCUAUACUCGUACAUUGCUCCAAACGAGGGUGGAUAUAUGAUGCCUAUGAUGCACUAUUGCCCGAAAUUACAUAGAAAAUACGCAAAGUCUUAACUUCUUUUAAAUAAUUGGAUAAAAAAAAAAGAUUGAACACGAUUACAUGACUACUAAAUAUUUUUUUAAUCAAGGAACGGGAGGAGGUUAGGAUUUUACUCGUAAAAUACUAUUACAAAAUCAUGGAUAAAAUAAGAUGGAAUAAGACAGUGAUGGCUAAUGACAGCAUAUGCCUCCAGCGGAUGUUUGAUUCUUUAUUAUCCACCAAGUGAUUGUUAGCUGUCGAGUGUGAUAAUUUUUGUUUGCAUUAUCAUUUGUUCCUAUUCAAUCACGCAGAGAGAAAGACUUUUCCAACCCAUACCUGCUCACGAUUGAUAGUUAGGUCUCAAUCGGGUCGGAUGCAUGUGUUGGAUACACGCUCUGCCUAUCAGGAAGAAUGGACCAAGGAGAUUAAAUUUAAAUCCAUUUGUGGCAUAAUGUUUGACUAUCUGAAAGAGAAGUGGAGGCAGAAGUAUAUGCAACUAAUGGAACAGUUAAACAAGAGAAUAACAAGUGGAGGAAAUAACGGAAAAAAGAUAAAACAACACCAGUAACGGUUCCUCUAAAUUACACAGAUGCUCGGUCCUCCUUAUUUACAUUUUUUAGACAUUUUCAAUUUCAUAUAGUUGAGGAGGAUACGCUUAAAAGAUAUUAGGAUGCAAUUAACAAUUCGGCAGUCAAUUUGCCAUCUAUGAGAGAACUGAAUCUUGAAUUGGCAAGUCAAUUGGGUAACGAUUAUCUGUUGACCAUCUAUGAAAUAGUUGCAUAUGAGAAUAUGAAACUCUGUAGACUCUUGUAUUUUAUUUUAACAGUGGUCUCGUGUGAUGUUUUGAUUUUAGAAUUAGAACGAAGAAUUAGAGUUGACUUUCACAUUUUGUUUUUAGAAUAAGAAGGAAGAAUUAAAGUUGACAACCAUGUUUUGAUUUAAGAAUUAGAAGGAAGAGUUGGAGUUGAAUGCUCUUCAUAUUCUAUUUGCCAAGUUAAUUUUCUCAAUCUUUAUUUAAACUAGUAUUAAUUUUUACUUUAUGGAUUGAGGUUCUUUGCUAAACAGCAAAUGGUCUCGCUUCCUCACUGUUGAAAUAUAAUAGUACUUGUUAGUAUUUAAAAAAAAAAAGUGUUAUUCUGCAAUUCACGUCUUAGAUUAUUUUUCAGACAAACUAAAAUUUAGGUGCUUCCUGUUCCGUCAUCAAUGUUCCAGUUAAGGUUGAUUUUGAUAUGGCGAUCGAAGUUGCAAUGAAAGGAAGAAGGUAUUUUUUACGCAUGCUUGGUACAGCCAUGAAAUGUGAGUACGGGAUGGAAUAAUCCAGAAUCAUUAUGGAGAGAAUUAAUCGUGUCAUAAACUCAUACAUUGCAACCAAAUGAGGGCGGAUAUAUGAUGCCUAUGAUGUGCUAUUUCCCAAAAUUGCCGAGAAAAUACACGGAGUCUUAACUUGUUUUCAAUGCUUGGAUAAGAAAAAAGAUUGAAUACGAUGAUGUGACUGCCAAACAUUAGAGGGAGGAGGUUAGGCUUUUGCUCAUGAAAUACUAUCACAGAAUCAUGGGUAGAACAAGAUGGAAUGAGACGGUGAGGGCUAAUGACAGUAUAUGCUUUCAGCGGAUGUUUGAUUCUUUAUUAUCUGCUAAGUCAUUGUUAGCUGUCGAGUGUGAUGAUUUUUAGUUGCAGAAAAGCUAUGCUAAUGAAGGAAUGCACUAUCAUCUGUUCCUAUUCGAUCAUGCAGAGAGAUAGGCUUUUUCAACCCAUAUAUGCUAACGAUUGAUACUUAGGUCUCAAUCGGGUCGGAUGCGCGUGUUAGAUACACGCUCGGCCUAUUAAGGAGAAUGGACCAAGGAGAUUAAAUCUAAAUCCAUUGGUAGCGUACUUUUUGACUAUCUGAAAGAGAAGUGGAGGCAGAAAUAUAUGAAACUAAAGGAACAGUUAAACAAGAGAAAAACGAGUGGAGGAAAGAUUAGAAAAAGAUAAAAGAACACUUAAUGGUUCCACUAAAUUGCACAGAUGGUCUUCCUUAUUUGCAUUUCUUAGACAUUUUCGAAUUCAUAUAGUCGAGGUGGAUACGCUUAAAAGAUAUCAGGGUGCAAUCAACAAUCCGGCAGCCAAUUUAUCAUCUAUGGGAGAACUGAAUUUUGAAUUGGCAAGUCAAUUGGGUGACGAUUAUCUGUCGACGAUCUAUGAAAUAGUUGCAUCUGAGGAUAUGAGACUCUGUAGGCUCCUGUAUGUUAUUUUAACAGUGGUCUCAUGUGAUGUUUUGAUUUUUGAAUUAAAAGAAAGAAUUAGAGUUGACUUCCACAUUUUGUUUUUAGAAUAAGGAGAAAGAAUUAAAGUUGACUACUAUGUUUUUAUUUUAGAAUUAGAAGAAAGAGUUGGCUGCUCUUCAUAUUCUAUUUGCCAACUCAAUUUUCUCAAUUUUUAUUUGAAUUAGUAUUAAUUUUUACUUUAUUGAUAGUGAUUCUUUGCUUAACAUCAAAUGGCCUCGCUUCCUCACUACUAAAAUAUAAUAAUACUUGUUAGUAUUUCUUUUCUAAAAAAAAGUGUUAUUAUAUAAUUCACACCUUAGAUUAUUUUUAAGACAAACUAAAAUUUAGGUGUUCCUUGUUCCAUCAUCGAUGUACCAGUUAAGGUUGAUUUUGAUGUGGUAGUCAAAGUUGCAAUGAAAGGAGAAAGAUAUUUUUUGCGUGUGCUGGGUACAACCGUGAAACAUGGGAAUGGUAAGGAAAAAAUACAGAAUCAUCGCGGUGAGAAUCAAUCGUAUCCUAGAAUCGUGCAUCACAACCAAUGAGGGCGGAUAUAUGAUGCCCAUGAUGUGCUAUUGCCCGAGAUUGUCGAGAAAAUACUUUAACUUGUUUUCAAUGCUUGGAUUAAAAUAAGAUUGAGCACGAUGAUAUGACUGCUAAACAUUUUUUUAAUCAAGGAGUGGGAUGAGGUUAGGUUUUUGCUCGUAAAAUAAUAUCACAAAAUCAUGGGUAGAACAAGAUGGAAUGAGAUGGUGAGUGCUAAUGAUAGUAUAUGUCUCCAAUGGAUGUUUGAUUCUUUAUUAUCUACUAAGUCAAUGUUAGCUAUCGAGUGUGAUGAUUUUUGCUUGCAGAAAAGCUAUGCUAAUGAAGGAAUGCACUAUCAUCUGUUCCUAUUUAAUCAUGUAGAGAGGCAGGCUCUUCCAACCAAUAUAUGCUUAUGAUUGGAUGGUUCAGCCUCAAUCAGGUCAAAUGCAUGUGUUGGAUACGCGCUCAAACUAUCAGGGAAAAUGGACUAAGGAGAUUAAAUUUAAGUUCAUUUGUGGCAUAAUCUUUGACUAUCAAAAAGAGAAGUGGAGGCAGAAAUAUAUGCAACUAAAGGAAGAGUUAAACAAAAAAGAUAACGAGUGGAGGGAAGAAUGGAAAAAAGAUAAACAACACCAGUAACGGUUCCUCGAAAUUACACAGAUUUUCAGUCCUCCUUAUUUGCAUUUCUUAGACAUUUUCAAGUUCAUAUAGUCGAGAAGGAUACGCUUAAAAUAUAUCAGGAUGCAAUCAACAAUCCGGCAGCCAAUUUGCCAUCUAUGGGAGAACUGAAUUUUGAAUUGACAAGUCAAUUGGAUGACAAUUAUCUGUCGGCCAUCUAUGAAAUAGUUACAUCUGAGGAUGUGAGACUCUGUAGCCUCUUGUAUGUUAUUUUAACAGUGGCCUCGUUUGAAGUUUUGAUUUUAGAAUUAGAAAGAAGAAUUAGAGUUGACUUUCACAUUUUGUUUCAGAAUAAGCAGAAAGAAUUAAAGUUAAUUACUAUGUGUUGAUUUUAGAAUUAAAAGGAAGAGUUGGACUUGACUGCUUUUCAUAUUCUAUUUGUCAAGUUAAUUUUCUCAAUCUUUAUUUGAACUGGUAUUAAUUUUUACUUUAUGGAUAGAGAUUUUUUGGUGAACAUCAAAUGGCCUCGCUUCCUCACUACUGAAAUAUAAUAGUACUUGCUAGUAUUUUUUUUUUUAAAAAAAAAGGUGUUAUUGUACAAUUCACGCCUUAGAUUAUUUUUCAGACAAACUAAAAUUUAGAUAUUCCAGUCCAUUUGAGUUGACAAGUCUAUUUUUCUAUGGAGCGAUAGAGAUAACAAAUGGUAAAAAUGAUUCUUUUAAGGUGAAUGGGUAGUACUUAAAGACUUAUUUAAACAAGUGAAAUAGCCCCAAAUGUGGUAGUUUAGUCAGGGCAUUCUUCUUUUCAUUAAGAUGAAUAGUGAAAAGUUCAAUUUAAUGACUUUAAACAAGAGAUAAUUUCAAAAACCUCCCCUGAGAUUUCUGACUAUUUCAGUUACCUCCCCUAAGGGUUUCAAAAUUACACUAGCCUCUCCUGGUAAAAUUUUGAGUCUACUUCCUUACAUCACAUAAAAUGAAUUUACUACUAUACCCACAAGAUUUUGAAGUAUCAAAAGACUAAUAUAUAACAAUUAGUACUUACGGCACAAUUAAAUUAUCUAGACUUGAUUAACUAUCAAAACUACCAUUAAAAUGCUCCUAAUAGCUAUUAGACAAAUGGCACCAGCUGCUUAUCUAUUGUAGAACCAAUUCUACACCAAUUUGACGCCAUUUAUUGAGUGAAAUUAGUGACAAACAUAUUAAAUCAAUACAUGAUUGUAAAAUAAGAAGAAGGCAUUUCAUCCAAGAAAGAAAAUUAAGAAAGAAUACAAGAGAGAAUGAAGAUUGAAAAACACAGCACCUAAUUUCAUAAUUGUGAUGGUAUUUAUUUUGACUUUGCAAGAGAAAGAAAGGAGUAUAAAAAGCAACAUUUGAUAUUUUUCUGCUGUAAAUUACAACAAGGCACAUAAUACAGGUAAGCAAUUUUUGUUGUCUCAAUCUAAUAUAAGAAAGUCAACAUAAGUUCCACACCAUGAAAAUUUGUAAGUUGAUGAUAAGAAGUUAAACCAACAUGUGAAAACUAUUGACUUAGCUAACUUAUAAACAGCAAAGAAUAAAAAAAAUGAUCAUCUAUUUUAAUGAGUGAUGGUGUUGUAUGAUCUGAUGAUAUGUAGAAAAUAUAGUUAGUUGCAGAGUUAUGGUACUUGGGUAUAAAUUUGGUUCUAUAUGUGGAUGGAUGAUGACCUUUUCUAUCAAUGUUAAACAAUACAAUUAUGUACAUCAUGUGUGUUUAUAACAGGAGUUAUUUGAUAGACUCAUUGAUCAGAAGAAUAUAUAAAUAAUUUUAGCGUAUGUGAGAGACAUAAGUUGUUUGUAAUUAAUAUUGAUUUGUAAAUCUGUGUUGUGUAUUUAUUAUUGGUUUGUUGAGUAAAAUUGCAUGCAUAUGGCAGAAUUUUGACAUAUACUUGUUGGUAAUUAACAAUUAUUGUGAAUAACGUAAGAUGGUCAUUGGUGCUUAUGACAUAGUUGUGCACUACAAGGGAAACACAGUCAGGAUCCCUAAUAUUGAUCCUAAUAAAUACUUAUACAUUAAUUUGCUAUAUGAUGUAAUUGAAAAAGUAUUGAGAGAAAUGCCAGAAAAUGUGAAUAUGAUGACACAUACAAGGCAUGAAAUUUCUGGUGAAGAUAGAAUGUGUGAUGUUAAUGAUGAUAAUGCAGUUGUCAAGAUGUUCAAAAUGUAUCAAUUUGGAAUUGUAAUCAAUUUACAUGUAUAUGACAUGAAAAUUAUUUCAACUAAAUAUGGUAAUACCAAUGUUAAUAAAAAUGUUCAAAGCACUCAAGAGAAUUUAGACCUUGAUCAGACUUCUAAAAGGAUAGCUACUAACUUUGAAAUAUCUAAUGAUAAAUAUGAAGAUUCUGGUUUUGAUGAUUCAUAAAAACAUACAUUUGACAAUGACAAUAAGAUUGAUAUAGAUAAUAAUAUGGUGUUAGUGGAUGGUAGUGAAUCAAGCAAUGUCAUUUUUUCGAGUUUUGGAGAAAAUGAAGAUGGUGAGAUUGUUCUUGAUUCUAAAUUUGAUCAAGAACCUCACCCUAUGAUAGAAGUGAUGAGAUAAAAAAUGUGGAUUUACAACCAUAGAGAUGAUAUAAAGUUUGAAAAAGGCCAAUUCUUCACUAAUGUGGAUUCGUUUAGAGUAGUCUUAAAAGAUUAUAUAAUUCAAAAAUGAUUUCCAAUAUCUAGUUUGAAGAAUGAGAAAACUAAAGUGAUUGCCAUUUAUGAUGUUGAUGGUUGCAAAUGGAGGAUUCAUGCAUUACUAGUGGCUGAUUCCAUCAUUAUUAUGCUUAAAUCCUACCAACUUGAACACACUUUUAUGAUGGAUAGGAGUAAUGUUGAGGCUACAUCCGACUAGAUUGCAAAGAAACUCAUUCCUUUGAUGAGAGAUCAUCUUAACAUAUCUAAUGAAAGGAUAGAAAUUAAGAUGGAAAAGUAUGAUGUUAGACCAAAUUACAUGCAGCAUUUUAGAGCAAAGAAAGAAAGCAGAAGAAGAGAUUCAAGGAAACUUCAACGACUUCUACAACAAAUCACCAAAAUAUGCUGAGCUUCUAAGACAACAUAAUCCAUCUAGUAUUUAUAAAAUACAUUACAAUAGUCCAAAUGUCCUAGUUGAGCCUAGAUUUCUGAGAUUAUUUGUUGGUUUCAUAGCACAAAAAAUUAGUUUGCUUGAUAGUUGAUAAUAUAUACAUUCUUGUAGCAGUUGAUUACAUGUCAAAAUAGGUAAAAGCUAUUGUAUUGCCUAUUAAUGAUGCUAAAUUUGUAAUUAAAUUCCUUAAAAGGAAUAUAUUUUGUAGGUUUGAAAUUCCAAAGACCAUUAAAAGCCAAAAAAGGUAAACAUUUUUUGUAAUAAAUCAUUUGACACUUUAUUGUUUAAAUAUGGUUGCAGGUACAAGAUUUCACUUCCUUAUCACCAGCAAGCGAAUGGCCAAACGAAGUUCGCUAAUCGGGAACUCAAACUCAUCAGAGAAAAUAGUGAACAAGUCGAUGAAGGAUUGGGUGAUAAAUUAGAUGAUACAUUAUGAGAUUAUAGGACGGAUUUAAGACUCUAUUGAGAAUGUCACCUUAUCGGCUAAUUUAUUGAAAAGUAUGCCAUCUACUUGUUGAGCUUGAGCAUAAAGCAAAUUAGACUAUGAAAGCUAAUAAUAUGGAUUUUCGUCCUGCAGGUGAGAAGAGAUUGCUUGAAUUGGAGGAAUUUCGUUUGACUUUGUAUGAGAAUGCCAAGAUGAUAUAUAAGGAAAAUGUAAAGUUUCAGCAUGAUAGGCAUCCUUCAUAAAUAAUUUGAGAUUGGACAAAAGGUGUUAUUGUAUAAUUUGUGUCUUAAAUUAUUUUCUAGACCAACUAAAAUCUCGGCACUCUAAUCCAUUUGAGCUGACAAGAGUACUUUCCUAUGAAACGGUAGAAAUAACAAAUGGUAAAAAUGAAUCUUUUAAGGUGAAUGGGUAGCGUUUAAAGACUUAUUUAACUUAGGAGUAUUUCACUCAGGGGAUUCUUCUCUUCAUUAAAAUAAAUGGUGAAAAGUCCAGUUUAACGACUAUAAACAAAGAACUAGUUGGGAGACAACCUAACCAUUUAAUGUUAUUUCUAGUGUUUAGUAUGCUUCUUGUAUUUCUUAAGUUAAUAUACGUCUUUAUGUAUUUUGUAGAUCACAGCAUCAAAAAGGUCAUGGACAUGGUCAAAAUUGGAUUUUUCCUCUUGGACAAGACAUUAACAGAGUUUUAUACUUAUACUUUGUAUUUUAGAUAUUUUUUUAAGGAGAAAUAAUAUUUUUUAUUACCAUAAAAUUAAACAAGUACAAGAACUAAUGGCCAAAAUCUAACGUCAGCCGAAACAAAACUAUCCUGGAGACAAUAUCAUACGAACCAAUGGCAAACCUUGCGAAUCUAGAAUAAGAUGAGCACGAACUAGAGAAGGCAACUACUGCAUAUGAUCAAAAAUUAACUCACCAGAUGUCCUAAUAGCUGCUAAUCUAUUUGAAGAGGAAUUGACCUCCCAAAAAUAUGCCGUAUAGAAGUUGAGAAUCAUGAAUUAGUCUUCUAAUCUUUCUCAACAGGUUACAUAAAAGCCAUUUAGCAAGUGAUUUUGAGCCAAGCUACCAAACUAAAAUUUGAGAAUCUAUUUCAAUAAGUGCUAGACACACCCUUUUUAGUUGGCAGAGUUGAAGACCAAAUAACGACAAGCUUUCUGCCAUCAAAAUAUCACACUCCCCAAAUUCUUUAUAAUACGUGAAAACCAACUUCCUCUGAUGAUCGUGCAUCAAACCUCUCCCUAAUGCCUUGCUAUGGCUAACUCGAGCAUCUGAAUUAAGUUUCAAUGAACCAUGAGGUGGUUUUUCUCAGACUACCACACAACAUGAUAACUUCUUUGGAUUUGACAAAACAUAUCGCACCAAAUAACAAUCCGAAUCACCUAUAAAGUAGGAGCUGCUUAAUCGUCCAGAAAUUCCAAACUAUUCGAAUAAUCGAUCAACCUGCCAUACUAUGUUGUCCAUGCCCCAACUUACAUUUCAAAAAUGGCUGUGAUUACUUACUAAUCAUAAAAACCAAUAGACCACUACCGAUAUGAAAACAUGAAUAUGAUCCUUUGAUGAUAUGAGAUUUGAGAAAAUCAAGGGACAAACAAUGCUUUCAAGCUCGUGCACCUAUGUAACAAAAAUCCGAAUCUGCUCAAGAAUACUUCCUUUGCAACUGGCCCCUCUAAAAAACAAGGCAAAGUUGUUUCCUCCGUAGCAUGACAACAAUCACAAAUGGAAGGAAUGCUUAGGCCUCGUGAACGUAAAGUAACAUCCAGUGGAAGAAAAUUAUGCACCAAACGCCAUGUAAAAAUGAUAACUUCAGUGGUAGAAUCGGGUUCUAAAACAGAGAAUCCACAAGGGAUAUCCUCCUUUGCCGCAAUAGUUCCCAUGCUAAUUUCACCGAAAAAAGACCAAUUUGUGACAGAAAUCAUAUCAUUCUAUCAGCCUGAUCAUGUUGAAAAAAAAAAAACUCUUGGAUAGCCCGUACCACAUGAACCGGUACCCACUGUAAAAGACGUUGCUCAUUCCAGGCCUCUCCUGAAAAGAACUCAACCACCAAAAAAUGUGGUGACUCAGAUCUAUCCAAAAUGGAACACAGUGGCUCAUCAAAUAAUCAUCUAUCUCUCCAAAAAUUCACCAAUCCCUCUCCCAACGACCAUCUAAUAUUCUGCUCCACCAAGUGUUGCAUCUCCUCCAAGUGCCUCCAUAACACUGUAGGGCAAGGGAAGGAGAUUGAGACUGCAUGAAGACCUUUUAUGUAUUUUUCAUGCAUAAAGUCAGCCCAAACAGACUCCUUAAACAGGAGCUUUCACCAAAACUUGCACGCAAAUGCUUGAGACAUAUUCUCAAAUGGCUGAAAGCCUAGACCACCCUCCUUAUCCAAGAUGACCUCUUUAAUCUUGAUAUGAGGAAAAUAUGGUUGUAGGACAGUGUUAAAUAUUUUUUUGAUUGUACGAGUUGCUUACUUAUGGAGUUAGGUUAAGGUGAGAGAUUGAAUUGAAUAUGAUUAAAUUUGAGUAGAAUUGUCUCUCCUUUACUAGACGUUAUGGGCAUUUUUGUGAGGACUUGUAAAAUCUCUUAUAUUUUUCUUAAAAUUUCCCUUAUUUGGCAUGUAUUACUUUUUAAAAGUCUUACUACUUAUUCACCCCAUAAUAAGUGCAAACAAACAUAGAAUCAAGGGUUUUUCCUUUUGUUUUCUUGUUAUCGUAAAUUAGGAUUUUUACGUCUUUACAUAGUAUGAGUAAUCGGUACGGAAUAUGUAUUAAAUUUGGUGAUUAAGAGUGAGUUUUAGAUGAGAAAAUACUGUGUGAUUAGAAGUAAUAAUAAUAAAUUAGUGAAUGGUAAGUAAAAACUCUAGUACGUGCGAGUUGAGGAAAAACGGUGCGAACCGACGUGUACCGUUCACUACCGAUUGAACACACCACUUGACCACUACUUUAUUAAUUUAAUCUCCUUGUCAUUAGUGCCAAAAUAUCAUCCCUAAUCAGCCAAGAGAGAGAGAGCCAAAAUUCUUGACCAAAAAGAAAGGAAAAAGAAGAAAAAUUCAAGAUGAAAUCUUAUGACGAAAAGUGGCGAACAUUCCAAGGUUGUUGACCAACCAAUUUCUUUCAUAUUUAUCACCAAAAAUCACUUCAUUUGCUCUUCAUUUCUGCCAUUCCAGCCGAGCCUUGAGGGGGAAAAACAAGAGAGAAAGAUCACUUCAUUCCUUCUUGAUUCCUAGCUUAGUUGAGAGAAAAUAAAAAAUUUAAACCGAUUAACUUCUAAAUUGGGAGUUUAGGAAGCUUGGGGUGCUAAAGUUUGGAAAGGAAAGGUGAAGGAUUUCUCUUGCAAGCAUCUUAGAGAGGUACAUGGUUGCCUUUCCUUUAUCUUUUUCUUAAACUUGAUUAAGUUUGGAUAACAAUUCAUACUUGUGCCAAAUGAUAGUUAUUUAAGUGGUUUGAAUGGAUGUGGUGGAUGUUUUUGAGUUUAGGGUUGAGUUGUUCAAUUGUAUUUCUUGUUAUUUAGAUAGCAUAUGAUAUCUAUAAUCUUGUAUAGGAAGUUGAAGUAGUGGUUCAAGCUAGAAAUGUGAAAGUUAAACCUUGAAUGCACUAAAUUCCAGAUUUAAGGAGUAAAACUGCCCUGUUCUGACCAGCUUUAUUUGUGUAUGUUAGAGGCCGAAUUGGGCUUAGAUUAAAACAUGAAAAUUGUAGGAAAUGAUGUUAUAUAAUUGCCUGUAAAAUUUCAGCUUGAUCGGAGUACUGUAUCAUAUGAAAUGACGAAAUACCCCUGAUUGCCAAAAGCCUCAUUUCGUGGACAGUUUUGAGAUUUCACAAGUUAUUAUCAUUUGAAUUCAGUACUGACAACCGUACUGACAAGGACAUUCUAGUUCUGUAAUUUGUAAUUUCGACCUGGAUCAAUUGUGAAAUGGGUUGAAUUGACUUCAUGAAAGUUGUAACCCUUUGUCUUACCUUUUAAACGGUAUAAUGUGCACCCCAAUCCGAUAAACGUAACUCCAGUUGUGACCAAAAUGAUAUAAGAUGUCGAAUCUGUUGUUUAGCUUUGGUCCUCAAAACUGAUUUUUUGUUUGUUUUAUUAGACUUGGGUUAUAAAUGGAUGAUUGUGGAGCCUAAUUGAAGGGUUAUGUUGAUAACAUUGCUUGUGUGUGUUUUGGGGCUGAAUGAGAAAAAUAAUGAAAUCAUAAAUGGUUGGAAAAUAGGUAAACACAAAGGGCUUGCUGCCCAAAUUUACACUCGAGAGUUAGGUUGAGAUACUCGCGACUUGAGUACGAAUUCGGGAACGAAUCUUACUUGAAUUAUCUAGGGUAUUCAAGUUUUCUUUCAUAGAGGUAUAUAAGUUAGAAUUUGGCCGAAACUUGUACCAUUGGAAAACAUGAAAGUAACGACUACUCGAAAUACAUUUUUCUCGUCACUUCGACUCAAACGGAGAUUUCAAAGGUUAAUCACUUUAAAGUUUCACUGUUUUAAAAGCGAGCAUGAGUUUACAAAGAUUCUCUAAAUAAGUUUCAAUUACGCGAUUCUCGUUAAACGAAACAUUUAAGUUUCGAACCUUAGUUACUUGUAAAAGCUUUUAAACAAUGUUUUAUCGCAGAUUUGGACUCCAAACACGGAGUAAUACCCGAACGUGACCCGUAAAGGCACUACAUCUUUUGAUAAGUACUUCCAAAUAUCUGAUUGAACUUAACACUUGUUUUCAAUACUUGACUAAUGUGAUCGAAUGAUAUUUGAUUAGUAUGGUCGGGUAAGGGUGUACUUUAUCGCACUUACCCUAAUAUGAUAUGUACGUGUUUAUUGGUGCAAGUGAUUUGAUAUACUUGUGCUUGAUUUGUAAGUGCUGGAGCGGCAGCAUGUACCCCACUCAAUCCGAGUGGGAGGUGCCUCUCAUUCCCGUCUCCGUACUUUUAUCUUGAUUCAAUCGAUUGGAGAUUUUAUCUCAUCGAAUUCUUGGGAACCCAAACCCCACUGGCUAGUUAAUCAAGUCGAACCGGCAAGGGUUUGGUCGAUUAGAUAACGAACCAUGGGUAUCUAGUGUUAUCGAGUAGAGUGUUAUCUCUUUGACUAAUCGUUAUACUCGAGUAUUACCACUAGUGUUUAUCUUGGAGUUCGGGCCCAGUAAGGGGUUUGAUUGAUGGACGGAGAUUGGAGUUAAGUGGUGUACUACUGGACUAAUUACCUUACUUGAAAGUUGAUGGAGUGUCAACUACUAUUUGAUCAAGUUAUGGUGGAACUGGUUUACCAAGGCAACUGUAUCCUUUUUACAUGAAAUACUAAUUAUGAAAUGUUGGCUGUACAAGUGUAUUGCUCAUUUUCUUGACUUGUUAUGGUCGCUAUUUCACUACUAUGUUACAUUUACUGUUAAUUAAUGGUCAAUUUGCUAUUUGGAACAUCACUGAGCUAUAGCUCACUCCUUAGUUUUGUUUUCCUUACAGGGGGUACGAGCGAGGUGUGAGACGUGUACAGACUAGCGUAGUCUAGUUGUUUUGAAUUUUGAAAUUGUACUCGCGCUAGCACCUGACUAGGGUUGUUUGUACUUGGAUUGUAAACUCGUUAAUGUAUUUGGGCGUGUAUGAGUCUUGUAGUUGGAUUUGAACAUCAAUGUAUAUAUAUUAAGUUUGAAUUUAUUGUGUUAUUUAGUUUCUAUGGAUGUAAGUUAUUUUCUCGAGUUACGAGUGAGUGAGUCCUGGCGAGAGUUGGGCAGGCGACUCGCUAAACCCUAGUGUACACCCUAGGGAGAGGUAGGAUCGUCACAAUUUUGGUGUAAUUUGAAUGGUUACAUAAUGAUUGAUUAUCUAAUCAUGGGAUUUGAAUUUGAAAAAAAAUAUGUGCUUUGGAUAGACACUUGAAUCAUUGGUUUUGUAGUUUAUUGAUAUUGCUUGAGAACAAGCAAUGAUUUAAGUGUGGAGAAGUUGAUAAGCGCUAAUUUUAUUAUUAGUUUGAAAGUGUUUCAUAUUGUUCUUGAGUCAAUUUGUGGAGUUAAAAGAUAUAAGUUGUUCCUUUUGGCUUUUAAUUUGCAUCUUGAGAUCAUAGUUGAAGUAGUCAUGAUUAUGUUGGGUGCCAAACCAGCAAAUAUAAAAAUUUCUACUCCAAAAAUCUAAUAUUCAAGUAUAAUGGUAAGUAACGUCAAAUCCUCAGGAAUUGUACAUGUUAUUAUUUUUCUUAUAAAAAUGACAAUAAAUGAAAUGGGGGUUUUAAGUAAAUUAAUAUAAGGUUGCAUUUGAUAAAACUGAAGUCUGAAAACUGAAAUCUGAAAUUUGAAGUCUAAAUCCAUUGAAUUAUUAAAUUGGUAAGUAUUAAAUCAAAUACGCUUGAGUGUAUAUCAUAUUCAAUGAUAAAUGAAUAACUUAUCAUUUAUUUUUUGGAACAAGUUUUCCCUAGAAAGUUCAAUACCAAUUAAUUCAAAUAUUCAAUUUUUAGUUAUCAAACACAUUUGAACAUAUUAAGAUUGUAAAUCCAUUAAUUUAAGUGCUGAAUGAGAUUAUCAAACAAGGGCUAAGUAACUUAAGCGAUGAAAAAUAAUAAUGCAAAAUUGAAUAAAAAUAAACCAAUAUCAAACAAUUCUCUAGUCAAAGGUUUAAUCGCCACUUUGGUUCAUUUAGUGAUCAUCGAUGCUAAGAAAUAAAUCAUUAUUUAUAAACACAAUUGAUUAUGGUUUUCAACAAGUUCUGACUACCUGUUUCUCCUUACUUUGUCGAUAACCACAAUAAAUUCUAUGAUUAUUUUCCUUAUCAAUUAAGUAACCCUAAACAAGCUUUUAGGAUUUAACCUGUUGACAACAUUAAAUAUUAGAAAGACUACCAGCCCUAAACACUAGGUUUUUCCAUGCCCAAGUUAAGCAAUGACGCGUGCGUAGUUAUAUACACCGUAUAAAGGAUAUGAAUGGCGUGUCGGUAGACGAGCAGUUCCAGAUAGAAUCCAUGGUGAUUGAGUACUUCUCUGAAGUGUUGGCGCAACAAGCACAAGUUCCAGUGGAUCAUUCCCUCCUAGACAUUAUCCCCUCAGUGGUUUCAGAGCAUGACAAUGAGAUUCUUCAACAAUUACCUACUGAAGACGAGAUUCAAAGAGUGGUAUUCCAGAUGAAUGGGGACAGUUAUUCGGGGCCUGCUACGUUUACCGGCUCUUUCUUUACUACAUGUUGGGACGUUGUGAAAAGGGAUGUGUGUAGAGCGGUCGGGGAUUUUUUUACGGGGGCGGAGCUACUUUGGGGGUACACAGCUACGCUGUUGGCUUUGAUUUCGAAAGUACAAGGUGCGUCUUCUUUCUCGGAGUUUAGGCCAAUUUGAUCGUGUAAUUUUGUGAAUAAAAUUCUCCUUAAAUUGCUGGCACUGCGUCUGGAGGCUAUUCUGCUAAAAUAAUCUUGCCCCAACAGAGUGGAUUUGUGAAGGGCAGGCAGAUAUCUGAUAAUAUACUACUGGCUCUGGAAAUGUGUUCGGGGUUGGGAAGGAAAGUAAGGGGUGCUAAUGUGGCAUUAAAAUUGGACAUGGCUAAAGCUUAUGAUCGGGUCUCCUGGUGUUUCUUACUACAAGUUAUGUGGAGGUUUGGGUUUGGGGAAUAGUGGAUCGAUAUGAUCUGGCGGCUGAUCUCUUCUUGCCACUUCUCCGUACUGGUGAAUGGGAAACCCUGUGAUUUUUUUCACUCAUCUCGGGGAUUGCGGUAAGGGGAUCCUCUAUCUCCGGCUCUAUUCAUCAUUGCGGUUGAGGUACUCUCGAGGGGUUUGAACGCCUUGGUGGGGAACCGGCAAUUUUUACUGUUUCUGGUUGCUCGAGGUUGCCCCCGUUGACACAGUUAGUUUAUGCCAAUGACAUUAUUAUAUUUUGGAAUGGGACUACACGCUUGCUGUCAUGUGUGAUGGACGUACUAGAUAAAUACCAGAGAUCCUCAGAGCAGCAGGUGAACGCAUCUAAGAGUUGUUUCCUGCUGGGCAAGGGAGUGUCUCUUGCUCAUCGCAAGGUGAUCUCGCAAGUUACUGGUUUCUCCGCCAAGGAUCUGCCAAUCACCUACUUGGGUUGCCCGUUGUAUGUUGGGAGAUGGAUGAAAGGGUUGUUCACUGGCUUACUGGAUAAAGUCUCGCAGUGAUUGACGGCUUGGCGAGGUCGAUGGUUAUCCAUGAGUGCUCGGGCUCUACUCAUUAAGCAUGUGUUGAACUCAAUCCCGAUUCAUCUUUUCGUAGUGCUGAUGCCUCCGAGAGGGAUAGUUGCUGAGUUGGAGUGGAUGUUUGCUCGAUUUUUUUGGGGGGAGUCAGAAUUCGGUCUUAAAAGCCAUGACUGAAGUUAUGCCGUCCUAUGGAGGAAGGAGGGGUAGGCUUGCGGUCUUUACAAGCAAUUAGUGAUGCUUUUUCUUGUAAGCUUUGGUGGUUGUUUAGGGUGACCAGUCACUCUAGGCUACAUUUAUGCGGGGCAGGUAUGUCGGUGGUUUACAUUCUAAUCAGGUGGCUAUUUCGCCUAAGUUCUCGCUAGUUGUGCUUGAAUAUUUGGGGUGCAGUGCUCCAUGGAGAUGUGGUUGCAAUAGGACCUGUCUGGAUGGGAGUCUUCCUUCUGGUGGGAUAAUUGGAGUGGGCUCGGACUACUGGCAUGGAGGUACCCAGAGUUAGCGUCGGACGCGAAGAUUAAUGUUUUUUGGCGAGAGAAUUGAUGGGAUCUUUUGGCCCUGGCAUCCCUUCCUCCGAAAAUUGUAGCGGUGGCAGCUGAAUCCUUCUUUUGUUUUGGUACAGGUUCGGACAAGCCUGUUUGGACAUUAGAACCCUCGGAGUUUUCUCGAUAAAGUCGGCCUAUCAAUUGGUUCGGACAGCUAGAGCCCGGGCGUGGACAUUUGCAUAUAUCUGGCACUCUGCAAUUCCUCCAAAAUUGUCUUUUUUCAUGUGGCGAUUGCUACAGGGGUGGCUGCCCGUGGAUGCGGUGUUGGCGAAAUUUCAGGUUCAUGGCCCUUCUAAGUGCCAUUGCUGCUCACGGCCGCAGUCAGAAACAUUGCAGCAUGUCUUCUCUACUGGCGAUUUGGCAGACGAACUUUGGGGUUUUUUUGAAUGGUUGCUUGGCAUCUCUUCAUCCCCUGUGGUUAAUGUUAGGUCACGGUGCUUUAGAUGGUGGUUCACCCCAGUCAGAGAAAGGGCACUGCGUUGGCUUUACCGAACGCUACCCUUAAUUAUUAUAUGGUUUCUAUGGCGGGCCAGGAACACGGCCCGUUUUGAGGGUUGGAGGAUCUCAACUGGACAGGUUCGGGGUUGGAUCAUUCAUGAGGUGCGGUUGCUGGUCCAGGUGCAUUUCUCGGCCAUAUCGCGAUGGUCACUUCCGUGGACGGAGUUCCUUGAUUCUUUGUCUGCAGUGCAGCGCCACUAACCUCGACGUUAGUGUGUUGGGUGUGUCCGGGGGAUGGGUUUUUUAAGUUAAAUACGGAUGGCUGUGCCACAUCUCGUGGGGGGAGCGGCGGCGGGGUGAUUAGGGACUCAUGCGGUAGGUUUAUUCUGGCGUUUGCUAAUAUUUUUGGUCCUGUGAAUGCCUUGCAAGUGGAGGCACGUGCUCUUCUACUGGGUCUUCAGCUGGGGUGUCAAAGAGGGAUCUCCCAUUUAAUUGUUGAGUCUGACUGCCGUCUUGAUCAAUUGUUUACGAGGCUCCUGGGGGAUUCCCGCUAUCAUUCGACCUGUCGUUCGGGCUAUUCGGGGAUUGCCCCUGAGGGUUAUCGGAGGGGAAUUCUGUGGCGGACUCACUAGCAUAUUAUGCCAACGCGCGUGGUUUCUUUGAAGUGUUCUCUACGGUAGUUUAGCUACCGGGCCGCACUAGAGGGUUAUUGGCUCUAGAUAUGCAGAAUUUUUGUAACUUCCGCUUCCUUCCAGAGGUAAGGUGGCGGCCCCCUCCGUGUUUUGUACUUUGGUCUUAUCUCAUUUUAAUAAAAAUUCUGCUCACAUAAAAAAAAAAGGACUAAUAGCCCUAAGCAACAAAUACAUAAGCUUGAUUCAUUUAAACUAGAUUAUAUAUUCUCGUGAUUAUAAUCCAAAAGUUUCUAUUUCAAUCAAAUUAUAUCACUCGCCACAAAUACUAAAACUACCAAACAAUUAUGGAUUUGAUAUUUUGAGAUGGCAAUAGAUUAUUUCACAAUUAAAUAGUGAUAAGGUAUUUAACCGUAGAAAAUAAUCAUAUAAAUAAUGAACAGAGAAUAUAAAAAAUCUAUAAAUAAAUGCAACCAUAAGAACAAAUUAAAUCUCACAGUAUUCAUUGAACCAACACUUUGAUUAUACUUUGACUAGAACAAGGAUUUAGCUAAGCCUCAUGGUUGAAUUGCAGCCGAAGAAAUAAUUGUGGUUUGCUAUUGCAGAGAAAAGAAAGAAAAAAGAUAAGCGCUGGCUAAUUUUUAUUCCAAUGAAUGAAAAGCUUAAAGCCAAAGUCGUCAAUUGUCUCUUAACUUGCAUUCUUAAUCUUUGUCUACAAAAGAAAGAAAUUUGCCCACUAAUGCUUGCCUACUUCUUCUCAAAAGGAAAAGAAUCUUUUUAGCACUAAAAUACUACCAUCGUCACUAAAAAAAUAAAAGAUAUUAUUUCUAAAAAUUAAUCAAUAUCCAACUUCAAAAAAGGAAAUAAAUCUCUUGAUUAUUAGGAAAUAAUUAAGCAAGCUAGGCCCACUUCAAAUUUCGUGAUGUUCGGACUUCACAAUAGGUUAAGACGUGCUCGUGUCUUGUAAAGUAUAGUCCUCUGGAAAUUUUAAUGGCCUUUUUACUCCCUUUUCACAGCAAUUUCCUGGAAGUAACACCAAAAAUCAAACAUGAGUAAAAUCUCGUAAUUAACACCAUAUCUUGGCAAAAUAAAAAGGAAAAAUAUUCACAAAUUAUGUACACAAUUAACCAUCUAACAAAUUACAAUAUUUUACUCACAUAAUCUCUAUGUUUUUGUAGGCCAAAAUGAUCAAACUCAAUUGAGAGUAAAUUGGUAGACUAAAAGUGAUGAAUUAGAAACUUAAAAAGUCACAACGAUGAUCCAAAGAGGUGGUGCAACUCAAGAAUUUGAAAAGAUGAAGAUUGGAAAGUCAUAAAAGAAAAAGGAGAGAAAUCUCGGAGGAAUUCUCAAGGUUUCUAGCAGUUGCUGCAAGGGAUUUUGGGCAAAAAGUUUGAAUUCAAAGAGCAAAAUAGAGGAAGACAAACCCUCGAAGAAUCCCUCUAGGGUUUCUCACAAAUCUCCAUGGUUUAUUCACAAACCUCUGAGGAUUUGUUGGUGGCUGCAAGUUGUCAACUUACUUGAUUUUUUGUUUCCUUUCGCAUCCUUGAUGUGACAUAAAGCAAUGAUUUGUAUCAGUAUUUUUGGGUUUUAGGAGCUUCUUUUCUUGACUAUUUGACAUGAAGAAACACAUUGUUGAGGAGAGAGUUUAGUUCUUGAACAAGAACAACUUUCUCUCUAACUUAGCGUAGUUUUAGUUUUAACUUUAGUUUUCAUUUCUUUGAAAAAACUUGAAGACCUCUUGGUGUAACAAAUAUUUUUUAUGGUAAUGAAGAUGCUAAAGCAUAGAGAUCUUGCUUUUUAAGUUGAAUGAGAAUUUCUUCUUCUUUAUUCUCUUUAGUGUUGUAUUAAUGCUUAGUUACAUUAAAGAUAUGAACAUUAUUGUUGAAUCUACUAUGUCUAGCUAAAUCUCCUUGUUCUAAGGAUAGAUGAAAUUAUUUGUGCUUUAAUUAUGGUUGAAUAUAGUUGAUUAUUGUUAUGCCAUAUACUUGCUACUUCACUUAUUCUUGCUUUUACAUUUGUGAAUGCUUGAUCACCAUUUUGCAAGGCAUGAUAGUUUUAAUCUAUGAAAGUAGUUGGUAAUGAUGGAAAUGGAAUAGGUGGAACCUAAGGAGUAGACACACGAAAGUAGUAAUGCACUUAGUUGGAUGAUUUUGACACUUCCCAUGCUUGAUUAAAUUUCACUUGUGAUUUCACCAGGAAAGUAGAGAAACUAUAGUAUUGGCUAAAUUCAGUUCAUUGGCGAGAGCUAGUUCUGAUGACUUAAAUGAAAUGCAUCCUUAGCAAGACAAAUGCAUUAGUGAUAAUUGACUAUUUCAUCCAUAAUUAGGUACAUCUAGUUGAUUCUAUACUUUAGGACAUUUGUGUUUAGUUGACUUUUUUCAAGAUGUUAAUUUUUCUUGCAUUGUUUUAUGGUUGUUGUUAUUUACUUAGUUAAAAUUCUUGAUUAGUCUGGAUAGUUGAGUGAGCUAAAAGCCUUAGUAGUUGGAAAUAAUUCUUGUAGAAUUGCUCCUAACUCCCUGGUACUGUGAGCCACAAUGAAUAAGAGAAUUGGCAUGGGAUAAAAUUUAAAGCAUAAGUUAGACUCUCAUCACUUGCAGUAUGAAAUUUUGAGUUAUGUUUAAAACUUGGAUGCAGUUAAGGUUCAAACUCCCCAUGCAAUCACUAACUAUAAUUUUUUAGCACGCAUGCUAUUUAGGGAUUGGUGAUUUAUUGGGUAAUUUCUUUUAUUCGUUGUUUUCUUUGUUCAUCAAGUCUGAUUGGUUAUAAAUAGUGUGUUAUAUAAAGUGCUUUUAAAGAGAGUAAUGAGAGUCUCCAAUGAGCUUAUCAGGGGAUUAUCAAGUGUUUAUUGUGGUGUGACUAUUUUCAUUAGUUCGAGAUAUUAAUAAAGUUGCUAUUUUGAAUUGAGUUCUUUGUUCUCGUCUUUCUCUCUCUCUCUCUCUCAACACACAUAGAUAUAUAUAUUGUGUAAUUGUUUUAUGCCUUCAAUUAUAUAUUUCUGCGCAUUAUUAUUAGUAGAACUCAUAAAAUUUUUAUUUUUUGGAAUUCUCCAAAUUAACUGCGUGUUGUUAGACCUUAUAUUCCAAGCACAUGAAGUCAUGCCUUCAACUAAUCAGCUAAACAAAGUACAAAAGAUAAAUAAAUAAAUUUAUCAAAUGAGGUCAUAAUAGCAACCGAACGCCAGCCCAGGUCAAAUUACAUAAAUUAGGUUUUAAUAGCAUGAAAAUGAAAACGUGGCUGCCAGUGCUGCUAUCCUUCAUAAGGAAUAAAUAAAUAAAUAAAGCAAGUCAUUUUAACGGUCCAAAAAAUGCUCCAAACAAUCGAUCUUUACUCAAUAUGGUUGAAAAUAACGGUAGCACCUAUAAUCUAAAAAUCUUUAACAACUAAAUGCAAAAAUUGCCCCCAAUACAAAGUUAAUUAUCAUUUUUGCAUUAUUCUUAUUGAGAUGUCUACACUGUUUACUACAAAGUCUUGAAAAUUAUCCCCAGAACAAAAGGGAAAAGAACAACUCUAACGAUGUUGUAAUAAACUCCAUCUAAAUAAUGAUUAAUAAACCCAAAAAUAAUAAAUAACUCCAAAUGUGGUGUUUGGCAUAUCUUAAGAAUAUUCUUUGGAUUUAAGUUUUGAUUCGGUAAUACUCGAAAUAUUUCGACUUUUUUUUUCUUUAAAAUGUAACAUUGGAGAGACCAAUUCAGUGGUAAAAGGAGGGAAAGUUUCCUUCUCUAAUUUUUUGUCCUUCUUACAAUUGGUACACGUGGGGCAUUUCAUGCAUGCUCUUUACUUUCAUCAGUUUUGGUUAACACCGUUUAAAAUUAGACUCAAAUGGAACAAAUAUGAGAACAUAGGGUUCAAAGUGUUCAAUAUGAGUUUAGAGUGCAAAGUGAGAUCAUAUACAAUUUAAAGGGUGCAAAUUAAAAUCAAAUAGAAAUUAAAGGGGUGUAAAAUGGAACUAGACUUUUUAUUAUUGUGUACACACUCCAAUUAGUUUUGCUUACGAUUUUAACAAUUGGCCUCAAAUGGGAAAAAUAUGAGAGUUUAGUGUCCAAAUUGUUAAAAAUUGAAAAUUGAAACCCAAAGUGAAAGCUAGCUACAAGUUAGCAAUCCAAAGUGAAAUUAAUCUAGUUUUUCGGUAUCCACUAAAGGAUGCUUUGAGUACAUGGAAUUUGAUCGAUAGGCCACUGGUUUGAAUUUUGUAGUUUAACGAAAAAAAAAAAUAGCUUUUAUAGGUUAAUUGAUUAGCACGUGAGUUAUUAGUCCUUAAUCUUGCUGUUUAAAAAUGGUUACAUUUUCUAAAUAUAGUUCUCAAAAUAUUAAUACAGGCAACAAAUUACCUUUACGCAUUGAACAUCAAGUACUAUUACUUAAACAAUUUCAACAUAAAUACAGAAAAAGAUAUGUUCUUGCAAAUUUUCAUUCUCUUCUAAUUAUUCAGAAAUAGAAAACAUUAAUCCUCAAGGGUCAAUCUAAAACCAUUUUUAGUAAUAAAUCCGAAAACCCAGAAACCAUUUUGACUUUUCACCGCGACAAAACUAAAAUCCCAGAACCAGAAAGCAAAUAAGGAAACUUCCAAAACUAUUACUCCCCACAAACUAACAUAACGGUAAUAUGCCCCACCUGAGUCCUAAUAGGAUUCAGAUACCAACUUAGACUAUCCAACACAAAUAGCUGUAUAAAUUCUGAAUCCUCACAUUGCCGCAGAAUUUCUUCGUAGGGAUCCUUAAACCUAGUUUUCUUUUCAACAUCAGCAGCAGUUGUUCUUGAGAAGAAGACGAGAGACAGAGAUUUCUGAUCACUGGGCUUCAUCAUUCCAGUUCCGUUUUAGGUUUUCUUCAAUUAUUUCUUUUCAUUGUUAGUUUUAGGUAAUCAUUAAUAGGAAGAAAUCGUAGUUCUAGCAUCUAAGUUGGUGGAAGGGAAGAUCAAGAAUGGCGGUUCUGAAUUUCCGCAGACGCCCUCGAAAGAGGAAGUAUCCUCAAAGAUCAAAGUUCGAUUCUGCCCAGGAUGAGCAGAUAUCUUGUCCCGUGAUUGAAAAAACAGUACCUUUCAAGAAAUCCACUGUGAAUAAGGGUAAAAAGGAAGUUCUUUUGGCAAGACCCACUGGGAUCAGUUCCCAGAAUCACAAUAAUCUACGCAGAACCAGGAAAGGUUCCGCUGAUGAUCUUUCGGGAUUUCGCACAUUGACUGAAAAAACAGGGAAAAAUUGGGAGAAUAGAGGUAAAAGAACGGUUCAAUUGGCAAGAGGUACCAAAAUCUGUUUGCCCAUUCUCGAUGAUCAUCAGCUUCUCGAUCAAGAACCAUUGUUGAACGAAAAAUCAGCGGCCACACAGGAAUCUACUGGGCAAAGCAAGAUGAAGAUUACUUUUAAGAAGAAACUAGUUGUAAUGAUCGAUAUUCCUGAUCGAGUGACGAAGCAGAAAACAGGCGAUAUUUGUUCUCUUCCGUCAGAACAGAACCAGCGGGAACAACUUCCACUGGAGUUGAAGAAGUACAUAGAGGAACUGGGGGCAACAGGGGACCCUGUUUUGGUGAUUGAAAAGAAAUUGUCUUCUUCAGACGUGAACACUGGCUUCAAAGAUUGUCGAUUCCGGCAAAACAGGUUCUGAAUCACGGGUUCUUGACAGAAGAAGAGAGGAGGAGAUUCAACAUUGAUAACAAACAGCAAGAAAUUAACGCCCUCUUAAUUGAGCCAUCACUUGCUCAAUCAGGAAUCAAGUUCAAAAAGUGGUAUAUGGGGAACUCUGAAGUGUACGUGUUGGUGAGUGGGUGGAAUGAGGUUGUGAAGAGGAAUGGAUUGAAAUCAGAAACACCAGUGCAGCUCUGGUCAUUCAAGAAGGAUUCACAAUUGUACUUUGUUUUGGUUCGGUUGUAAUAGGGCUGCUCUGCAUAGCGAUGAUUAAUUUGUAAAUUACAUUCUUGAAUUUUGACGUAAUUAACUGCAGUUUAAUCAUGUUAAUGUGGGUGUUUCGAAAGUGAUGGAUAUAUAUAUAUAUAUAUAUAGCUAAAUCUAGAUCGAUCAUUCAUAUAUGUUUGUACUUAUAUAAGACUAGUAAUAUUUCGCGUGUGCUUUGUCCAUAUAUAUAUUUUCCAUAACAUAGUUUUCUAAGGUACUAAAUUUCUAAGAUGUAAUUUCUUUUAAUGGUUUCUAUGUACUAUAGUGAUGUCUUUGUGUAUUCCUUUUGCUUAUGUGGAUGUUUCGUGUAUGUUUGCCCUUACAUAACAUAAUUGUUUCCAAAUAUUGACUGAUUGCUGCCCAUGACAUCUAAAAAUGCACAACUUUGUAAAAUUUUUACUGCCAAAUUUUGCACAACACAAUUCAAAAUUAACUUGUUGGAGGCUUCAAGAUUUGCGCCUGAAUUGUCUUAAAAAUAGUUCAGACCUGUACUCCAAAUUGUUUUUAACCAGUAAAAGUUGUAAGAAGCUCUUAUAAUGUGAAAUACAGGUAGCCUUUUUGAACUAGAUAAUAACCUUAUGUUAUUAUAUAUUUGGCAUCAUUAAUUAUCUGCCACUUGUACUUAGAAACUGAAAUCUCCAAUUGCUAAGUUCUUAUGGAAAGUCAAAAAGUAUCCAGAGAUCUCAUUAGGUUUUUAUCAACUGUUUAUUGCGGUGUAACUUUCUUCGUUAGAUUAAAAUAUUCAUAAAGUUGUUAUUAUUAUGAGAGUUAAGUUAUUUAUUCUCUCCUCCUCCGACCACAUAUAGUGGGCCUGUUUGGAACCUGAGUUUUUUGGGAAUUUUUGUCUAAAACUUUACUGUAGUGCACUGUAGAAAUUUUUGAAAAAUUUUGUAGAAGUUUUUGUACGGUGAAAAACUUUUUUUCUUUUUUUUUUCUCUUUCCCUUUCUUUUCUUUUUCUUUUUCUUUCUUUCCUUUUUCUUUUCUUUCCUCUCUUUUCUUCUUCUUCUUCUUCUUCCCGUUAGCUCCACCACCCCCAGCAACAACUCCACCUCCCGCCACCCCUCUCCUCCCUUUCCCGCCGCCCCCCCUCUGCCCCUUCCCCCUCCCCCGCAGCCAGCCCCUCUGCCCCGCCACCCCCGCCUCCCCUGUUCCCCUUCCCGCUUUUCACCAUCUUUCUUUUCUUUCUUUUUUUUUCCCACAGAGAGGUGGGGGAGGAAUGGCGCCAGACGUAGAGAGAAAAAAAAAAGACAAGAAAGGAUGAUGGUAGGAGAGGAAGAGGGGGAGAGGGAAAAAAAGGGGAAAAAAAAUGAAGGUCGGCACCGGCACCGGCACCGGAAAUUGGCGCCGGAACCGGCGACGGAGCCGCAAUGGAGGUGGUGGUGGGGAGGAAGAAGAAGAAAAGGGGAAGGGAAUUUUUUUUGUUGUGUUUUGGAUAUUUUAAGUGUGUAGGUUAAAAACUUUGAUAAGUUUUUGGGGGUUCCUGUAGCACAAGUUGUUAAAAAACUAGUAUAAUAAAAACUUGGUGAAAAACAGGGCUUCCAAACAGGCCCACUAUGUGUAACUAUUUCAUCCCUUCAAUUAUAUAUUCAUGCGCAUUGUUGUUAUUGGGACUCAUAAAACUCAGACCUUUCAUUGACCAGGAAAAAUGAUUGGAUCAAGAGUCAUUGAAUCAAUCACUGGGCAAAUUAUUAUUAACCAUGACAUCAUAAAUAUAUCAUAAAUAUUAUUAAUAAAUAUUAAACAUCUAAAAAUAUGCAAAUAUUUGUAGAAACUUCAAUAAUAAUGUUAAAAAGAAUCACUUCAGCCCUUAUUCUAAUCUUUUAUGUAUUACUUGUUUGAAAUUCAAGAAUAACUUUUACAAGUAAAAGGUAAAAGAAUUAUAGAAUAGCAUUAUUAUCUACAUCUCUAAUUUUUUACAUUUUUAAUUUUGCUAAAUUAUAUGAUAAGUAGUUUAUAAGAUUGGAAUAAAAAUAAAUAGAAGGAUAUGACAAACAAAUGAAAUGCGCUAAAAAGUUACCAUAAUUAGCGUACUAUAUGGAAUAAAUGUUAGACAAGAGUUUCCAUAUCAUUAUGAGAGAGAGAGAGAGAGAGAGAGAGAGAGAGAAUGAGUAGAAAUAAGAUAAUAAUUGUUAUUGCCUGACUAAUUAGAGAUAAUAAUGCAUGGGUAAUUGGUAAGGUUUAAGUUUGGAAUGUCAUUGAAUGAAAUUAGUUGAUCAAAUUUAAUUUUUUUUGGUUAAUUAAAGUUGAGCAACAAAUUGGCCGGUUUAAUGAAAACUAUUUCGGUUCAACGGUCCAAUAAUCAAACCAUCUAGGCUAACUAAUUUUCACAAAACAGGGCAGUUUUUUUAACCCUCUAAAUUGGAGGCAUAACCCAGCUCGCCUAGCCCGAUCGAUGGUUCAACCAGCCCAACCAAGCGGUGCAAGCAGGGUUUCACCUCUUGACCUUUUCUAACCGAAGUUAGAGUUACGGUUUUUACAAAUGGAGUUCUGCAAAAAACUGCGUAUUAGUACUUAAUGUUUAAAGCAGGUAAUCCCAUUCCCUUAACUAAUUAGCUAAAAAAACUAAAAUUAAAAAGAAAAAAGAUCUACCAAAUGAGGCCAUGAUAUAUUUGCAUAAAUGAAGUUUUAAUAGCAUGAAAAUGAAAAAAGUGGCUGCUAUUGUUGCCAUCCUUCAUAAGGGGGAAAAAUGAAAGUAAGUCAUUUCAGCACUCUAAAAAAAUGCUCUAGAAAAUCCACCUUUGGUUGAAAUGACAUAAACACCUAUAACCUAAAAUCUUUAACAACUUAAAUAACAAAAUUAACCCCAAGACAUUAUCAAUUAUAAUUUAUAUUGUUUUUAUGGAGCCAUCGCGCUCUUUAUUACAAAGUUUUGAAACUUAUCACAAAAAAAGACCAAGAUUGUAAUGAACACUACCUAAACAAUAAUUAACAAAUCAAAAAGGAACAAAACAAAUCAAAGCAUAGUUUUGGCACAUCUCUAAAAUCCUAUAUUUUGAAACUCGGACCAGACAAAGACUCGGUAGAGCUCAUGAGGUCAGGGGUCAAUGGGUUCAACCGGAUUUGAUCGAUGUCAAAAAUCGGAUAAUGUCAGCAUGAUGUCAUUAAUAUAAUUUAAUUAAAAUUAAAAUAUUAUGUAAAAUGUCUAACCAUAGGUUAAUAUCAAGUAAAGUAUAUUAGUAGAUCUUUGAUGUUUCAAAUUUAUUUAACAAGAAAAUACAAAUAACAUAGAAUAAUCAACAAUAGUUCAUAUGAUUUAAUGUUUAUUUCAUAGUUUAGAAUUAAUUUUGGAGAUUUAUUUGAAAUAAAACACUAAAAUUUAGGACUAUCUAUAAUCUGUAAAAUAUUUCUAAGUACGUCAACAAUUUUGAGAUACUUUAGAGGUCAAAACAUAAAUUUGUUAAAACUUUGAGCCCAAACUGAAAAUUUCUCAUAUUUCUUCUUUGACUCUAAGCCUAGAGCAAUCACGUUGCCUUCACUUUCAUCCAUUCUUGUCCUACCUCUGUUCUUUCUUCCCUGCAACUUCUUCUUCUCCGGCUCUUUCUUUUUUUUUUUUUUUCUUUUUUCGUUUUCCAUUCCAAAUUUCAUUGUGCUAGUCUUUUCUCCUCAAACCACAAAAUAUAAAAAUUUUAUCUUAUUUUUUUAAAACUUCUCUCUUUUGAACUCUUUUUUUUUACUAUUUUAUUUCUUUUUCACCUUUUUGAUACAUGUGUGAUUAGAUCUUGUUCAAUAAAUGCAUUUAAGAUUAGAUAUGAAGGGAUCUUGUUCAAAGGAGGAAGAUGGUAUGCAAGUUUUAAGCGACUUGUCAAACGAGGAAGAUGGGUUCCAGGUUGGAGUGAAAAGGGGCAAAAAAUGAAAAACUCUAGUUCUCACCGGUUUCAUUGGCUUCCGGUCCAACCCGACUUUUGACCAGGUUUGACCGAGUUUUAAACAAACGGAUUUUUAGAAACACUCGGACCGGACAUCUAGCCGGUUCCCGAUCCAACUGGCCGGUCCGGUCCAAAUCGUCUUGCUCAAGAGCCAAAUUUGGAUGGAAUUGGAGCCAAAAGCCACAUUAUUAACAUUUUGCUCAAUUUGGAGGACCAUAUUGAAACCCUUUUUAGAUUAAAGGCCUAGAAUAAAUGGACCAUAUUAGCUUGUGAUUAGGAAUAACCCCGAAGGCGAGUGUCUGUACAGCCAAAGGGAGUAAUAGGUCGGGGGCAGGGGUGGGGGCGUUCUUCACAUUUUUUUUCCUCUGGAAAUGGUAGAGGGGACAUUAUUCAGUCCUUGCUUUAAGUAGGGUGGGGGAUGGGAGAGAAUAACCUCAUCUCGUCAUCCCAUGUAUCAUUUAAUAAAUGAGAUAAAAGAUGACAAGCCUAAUUGAAAAGAAUUAAUAAAUUAUGUGGAUAGUUGGGUUUGACCUAUUUUUGUAUCCAAUUCUUCUCUAACUAAUUUUUAUAAUAAUUUCUGUCUCUUUUUACUAAUUUUGAAUUAAAUUUUAUUAUGGUUUUCCUGUCUCUACUAAUAAAGUAUAUCUGUAUUUAUAAAUUCACUUUAAUUUCUUUAAUCCAUAUAUACUAACUUUAAUUAUUUUUAUUUUAAUUAUUAUUUCAUUAAUGUUGCUAGAAAGUUAAUAUUCCUUCAUGAAGAAAAUAUAUUUUUGCAUGUUUAGAAUUUAGUUUAGCGCAAAUAUAUAGUUUUACAUUUUAAAUCACAUAAAUAUCUAAUAAUUAAUUACAAGGAAUAUCUAUCAAUCUUUUUGUAUACCUUGCAUAUUUAAUUAGUAAUACUAUAUUAAAAAAUGUGUGCAUUGAAGUUUUGAAAGAUUAAUAUGGUACUUGAACAUUUAGAUAUAUUAAUUUUCUAUCAUAGAUAUUCACAAAUUUGUAAAAACGUUGUUUUAUCUUUUUUAAAUUACUCAUGCUUGCAUUAAAAAAGCACCAUGCGAGUACACAAGUCAAAAUACCAGUUAUAAUUUAGUUCUAAUUAGAAUAGAACUCUUAAUUUCUAUUUUUUUUUAGUGUAACUAGGAGGUUUCAAACCCGAAACUUCUCACUUAUAUUCCCUUUCCCUAUAUCACCCAACACAUCCCUCCUCCUUCAAAUAGAACUCUUAAUUAGUUAUUUGCAAUUGCAAUUAAAAAGUUUUAUACGGCAUUUAUAUUCAUUUGUAUAGCAUGCAAAGCUAGCUAUUAAUGAUACUAAUAGUAUUAUUUGUAGUAGUUGAAUAAAUAGUAUGGCAGUAGGGGAAGUUCCAUUCCUCCAAUAAUAGUAGUAAGGGAUAAUUUCACAAAUCUCUCCUAAAGUUUGCCUUAAUAUUAUUUAGCACCCUUCGUAGUUUAAAAAAUCUCCCUUACAUCCCUUUGUCAGAUUGACAAGAUAAGAUGUCUCCAUCUUGGGUGGUAAAUUGACAAUAGGAUCCUACUGGAAACCUCUAAUUGAUUAACUAAAAUUCACACCAAAAGAAAUGAAUUUGGAAAGUAAAAAAAAAAAUCAGAACAAUGAUUAACAAAACUAUUAUUUAUAAUGGUGACUUUUUUGCAGCAAUAAAAAGCACAGAACUUCUAAUCCUACUAUUACAUAAUACAUGACGGGUGUCAAGCCUGUGCAAUAAUAAAAACCUACUCAACAAAAAUAUAAUUUUGUAUAUAGCGGUGAGUAGGGUCGAAUCCACAAGAACUUGGUAUAAUUUGUUUCUUCCAAGUCCAGAGUAUGGGGGAUUUUUAUAAAGAUAUAAAAAUAACUAAUUAACUAAAUAUAAGCAACUUAGGAAAAUAAACAGGAAUUAAUCAACAAUAGAUACGACUCUAGCCAAAGGUGUAACUUUUCAGACACGGUCCAUUCAACUGAUAAUCGAUGCAAAGAUAAUUCAUUUAUUCAUUAAUAGAUUGAUUACAGUUGUCAUACACGCAAUAAAUAACCAACUUUGCCUUACUUUUUCGAUAGUCAAGGUAUGACAGUUAACUAUUUUCCUAAUCAAAAAUAACCCAGGUACGACCAUAGGAUUUAAUUUCUCAAUUGCAUUAAGAAUUAGAAAAACUCAACCCUAACCAGCAAACACGCUACGAGGGUUUUUUUAAAUUAGAUCAUAUGUUUCCCUAAUAUGGGACCAAUCACGCUAGUCACCACUGGUACUAACCAGUCAAACAAUUACGGAUUUAAUCGGUUAAUCUAACAGUAGAUGAUUAGGUUAAUUCGAAUAUCGGACCCUUGACAUUCAAAUAACAAAACAAUCAUAAGAAGUUAAAUUAGAAAACGUACAAAUACCAAUGAAUAAAAGAAAUAAGUAAAAUAAUUGAUCUCAUAGAUGUUUGGAACCACAUUUUCAUAUUAACCCUUGACUAGAAAAGAAACUUAGUUGCGCAUGGCCAAUUGAAUUUUUCCAAAGACAGCGGCAUAAGUCUUUGAUAAGAGAAAUACUAGAAAAACAAAAGACUAAGAGAAAGAUCCCUGCGGCUCCCCUCUAAGUAUCCAUCAUGCGGGAUCCGGCUAUAAGUACUACCAAUUCGGUUUCUUCCUUGGUCAACCGAGACUAGAAUUCUAAUUGAAAAAGGAAACUCCAAGAAUAAUGCCAGUUGUUUCCUAAAUAAAAAUAUCUAAGAAAAAUGGUAAUUUCCUAAUCUUCGCCAAUAAUCCAUGUGGACUCCACCUUGAAUUGGGAAACUCUUGAAAAAUCACCUCUUUUAUUACUUUUUGCUCCACCUUCCUACAAUUGGCUCCAAAUAUCAAAUAUAAGUAGAAUCGAUCAAUUGAUACAAUAUUUGGCUAGAAUAACAGGAAAAAUAAUUAUAAAUUAAAUGACAAUUUCACACCCUAUCAAUACAUCAGAAGCACAUUAAAUGGACAUUAGAAGCGAAUAUAGCCUAUGGAUUUCUUUCACUUUCUCAAAUCCUGAUUGUCAUAUUUCUAUUAUAACCAUAAUAUCGAUUCUUUGUACUAAAUGAUGUUGGUAAAGUAUAAGAGUGCCUUCUAAUGUAAUGCAACAUAUUUUACUAAUUUCCUCUUUAGGUUACUCCUUUGGCCACUAAACUUGUACUUUUUUUUUGUUCUCUUGUCGCUUUUAUAAUCCUAGAUUUGGAGUAGACAUUACACGAUUAUAAAACUAUUUAUCUACUGCAACGUCUCUUUAUUUCAUUAUUCAUUGCAUAGUUGUAAAAUUACUUAUCUGUUGCCACUUCUCUUUAUUGCAUUUACAUCUUUCCCAAUUUAUCUUUUGCCUAUUAUCCACAUUUUGGUCUUAAUUGCUGCUCUAAUGCUGAUAUAAUUGACAAUAAAAGGGCACAAAUGAAAGUAAACUAUUAUCUCUCCUCUUCUAUUAAUUUUUAAUCACAAGAGGUGAUAAUGCUAGGGAACAUGUCAAUCAAGGAAGGUAAAAGAGAUUUUUGAAACCAUGAAAAUGCUAAGUGAUAUUAAGGCAAACUUUAGGGAAGUUUUGUGAAAUUAUUCCGAUAGUAAAUUAAGGGAGAUUACACAAUAGGCAUUGGUGGCAGUAAUUGCAGUAGUAGUUAGGGCUAUUUAUCUACAUUACAUCCUAACAAAAUUAAUUAAAAUUAUUUUCAAAAACCGAAUUGUUCAUAAUAUUUUGUCAAAUGUGUAGAUUAUACAUAAAUUUUAUAUGAAAUUGACUAAAUAUUGCCAUUUGGUUAAUCACUAUAAAUUUUGUUAUAAUUUUGACUCAUUUUUCACUAUUUAAAUGUUUCACGUAAAUUGAAUAUACAAAUAUUCUCAAACAACAUUAUUUUUUACUAUGUUAAUCUAGAGACUAAAAGAAAAACAAUGACACAAUUGGAUGAUUUUGUAAAGUUAUAUAGUAAUUUAAAUAUAUUUUAAAUGGAGAGACAAAUGGAGAGAAUCCUAACCGUAGUGGUAGUAGCAGUAGUAGUAACUGUAUUAUUAAAUUAUGAUAGUAAAUUGAAAAGAGACUUUGGGGAAAAAAAAUGAAACUGCCACUCAUGGGGAGAGUGGAGCAGGGCGAGACUAUGCCGAGUUGGGUCAGGGAUGGGGAUAGGGGGAGUAAUUUGAUGACAGAGGUUCUAAAACUGCCCCACUGUCAUCCUUAAUUGCUAGUUGGAUACUUCAAAGCACAAAUAAUAAAUACUAAUUUGAUGAUGUGGAUAAAAUAAUCAUUUCAUAAUAAACAAUUUGCUCAUAUUAUUUAAUUACUAUUGGCUUCUAGUAUUACAAUCCAUCCAUAAUUUUAAACAAUAUAUUCAGAAACUUGUGUCUCAGAAUAUUUUUUUUCUAAUUAUAACAAAUUUUUCUUUUGCAUUUCUUGUCCAGACCAAUGACUUCCAAAUUAUAAAAGAUCUUUUGACCGCAUUAAUAUACUGUAAUUCUUAAGAAUUUAACUUAGCUUGUUAAGAAAACUAAAGGUCUACAAGAAAAGCAUAUUUUUGGAAUAAAAAUGUUUUAUCACUUCCAAAAUGAGUUUUUAAAUCAUAUCUUUGAAAUGGGUUGAUAAAGUCAUAAAGAGUUUGAAAAACAAGGGAAAUAUGUGAGAUUUUUCAAAAUUUAGGGGUAUCAAAUCAUAUUGUCACAAACCUCAAGGGAGGUUUUUUAAAUUAUCCCAUAAUGUUAAGAGGUUUCCGGUUUCAGUUUUAAAUUUGCUCUUGGAGAAAAUGGAAUGAAAAAUGGUUACAUUUUCUAAAUAUAGUUCUCAAAAUAUUAAUACAGGCAACAAAUUACCUUUAGGCAGUGAACAUCAAGUACUAUUACUUAAACAAUUUCAACAUAAAUACAGAAAAAGGUAUGUUCUUGCAAAUUUUCAUUCUCUUCUAAUUAUUCAGAAAUAGAAAACAUUAAUCCUCAAGGGUCAAUCUAAAUCCAUUUUUAGUAAUAAAUCCGAAAACCCAGAAACCAUUUUGACUUUCCACCGACAAAAACUAAAAUCCCAGAACCAGAAAGCAAAUAAGGAAACUUCCAAAACUAUUACUCCCACAAACUAACAUAACGGUAAUAUGCCCCACCUGAGUCCUAAUAGGAUUCAGAUACCAACUUAGACUAUCCAACACAAAUAGCUGUAUAAAUUCUGAAUCCUCACAUUGCCGCAGAAUUUCUUCGUAGGGAUCCUUAAACCUAGUUUUCUUUUCAACAUCAGCAGCAGUUGUUCUUGAGAAGAAGACGAGAGACGGAGAUUUCUGAUCACUGGGCUUCAUCAUUCCAGUUCCGUUUUAGGUUUUCUUCAAUUAUUUCUUUUCAUUGUUAGUUUUAGGUAAUCAUUAAUAGGAAGAAAUCGUAGUUCUAGCAUCUAAGUUGGUGGAAGGGAAGAUCAAGAAUGGCGGUUCUGAAUUUCCGCAGACGCCCUCGAAAGAGGAAGUAUCCUCAAAGAUCAAAGUUCGAUUCUGCCCAGGAUGAGCAGAUAUCUUGUCCCGUGAUUGAAAAAACAGUACCUUUCAAGAAAUCCACUGUGAAUAAGGGUAAAAAGGAAGUUCUUUUGGCAAGACCCACUGGGAUCAGUUCCCAGAAUCACAAUAAUCUACGCAGAACCAGGAAAGGUUCCGCUAAUGAUCUUUCGGGAUUUCGCACAUUGACUGAAAAAACAGGGAAAAAUUGGGAAAAUAGAGGUAAAAGAACGGUUCAAUUGGCAAGAGAUAGUAAAGUCAGUUUGCCCAUUCUCGAUGAUCAUCAGCUUCUUGAUCAAGGACCAUUCUUGAACGAAAAAUCAGCCGCCACACAGGAAUCUACUGGACAAAGCAAGAUGAAGAUUACUUUUAAGAAGAAACUAGUUGUAAUGAUCGAUAUUCCUGAUCGAGUGACGGAGCAGAAAACAGGCGAUAUUUGUUCUCUUCCGUCAGAACAGAACCAGCGGGAACAACUUCCACUGGAGUUGAAGAAGUACAUAGAGGAACUGGGGGCAACAGGGGACCCUGUUUUGGUGAUUGAAAAGAAAUUGUCUUCUUCAGACGUGAACACUGGGCUUCAAAGAUUGUCGAUUCCGGUAAAACAGGUUCUGAAUCACGGGUUCUUGACAGAAGAAGAGAGGAGGAGAUUCAAAAUGGAUAACAAGCGGCAAGAAAUUAACGCCCUCUUAAUUGAGCCAUCACUUGCUCAAUCAGGAAUCAAGUUCAAAAAGUGGUAUAUGGGGAACUCUGAAGUGUACGUGUUGGUGAGUGGCUGGAAUGAGGUUGUGAAGAGGAAUGGAUUGAAACCAGAAACACCAGUGCAGCUCUGGUCAUUCAAGAAGGAUUCACAAUUGUACUUUGUUUUGGUUCGGUUGUAGUGGGCUGCUCUGCAUAGCGAUACAAUCUUGAAUUUUGACGUAAUUAACUGCAGUUUAAUCAUAUGUUAAUGUAGGAUGAAAAUUAUUUUCUUUGGCUGUUUCGAAAGUGAUGAUAUAUAUAUAGAUAGCUAAAUCUAGAUCGAUCAUUCAUAUAUGUUUGUACUUAUAUAAGACUAGUAAUAUUUCGCGUGUGCUUUGUCCGUUUAUAUAUUUUCCAUAACAUAGUGUUCUAAGGUACUAAAUUUCUAAGAUGUAAUUUCUUUUAAUGGUUUCUAUAUACUAUAGUGAGAUGUCUUUUGUGUAUUCCUUUUGCUUAUGUGGAUGUUUCGUUUGAUGUCAUUUGAGUUAAAAUUUUUCAAUUUUUUAUUAAUUAAUUGUUCUCCUUCAUCUGAUUUCAUGAUUUUAUUUUCAGUUUUAGUCAAUUUUUUUCUUUUUUUUUUUUGGCGUGUUCAAUUUUUUUUCCAAAUUUUUUGGGUGUUAAUGUUUGAUAGUGCUAUUUCAGUUAGGUGUUAAUGAUUAAUCGUGCUAUUCAUAGUAAUUCAUAAAACAGCUAAUUCAUAGCUAAGCAGCUACUGCUUACAAAAUCAUCAAGAGGCUUCAGAGCCAGUAUUCUAUACAAGAACUAGGAAGAUUUAACUCUGCACGAAGGUUGAAAGCCUCCUGAGAUGCCUUCAACACUCUGGCUGCAAAGUUACCCUUUGAAGUUGAACAGCAAUAACUCCCAAACAUAAGCAGCAAAAGGACAGCAGAGAAGAAAAUAAGACGAGGUGAGUUUCAGGUGGAGAGCAACACAUUUUUUCUUACACAAGGGACCGACCUCUAUUUCCCAGAAUACUAACCUGUAUAUGUUCAGAUAAACGUUCCCUAAAAGCAAGGCUUUAUGUUUACCCCAGACAACUUUAAACCAGGGUACUUUAGAAUAAGUUUGAACAAGCUUACUUCUGGCACAAUCGACUGUGUAACCUCCAUUUAAACUAGGCAACCAGCAAUGAAUCUUCAAUUUAAGAAGCCUGUGCCAAUUCCAAGAAAACAAAGGCUUAGCCAUAACAUUUAAACACAGGAUAGUCCAUUUACCCAUAUUCUUGUAUCUGUUACCAGAAGUUUUAUCACUAAUGAGUCAUGUCAUUUGAGAUCUUGUUAUUUCACUUUGCUGAUGCAGAAACUUGGAUAACUCAUAGAGUAUGGCACUCCUGGUGCCUCUCUCUCAUUUUAUCCGUCAGAAACUGAACAAAGCAUUUGUCUUUGUGUGUUUGGAAUAACGAAACUGAACAGGACUGAACGAAGAAGUAAAGUCAUCGGGAGCUACUUAAAGCUAUCGACAUAAUCUGGAAGUUAUAUCAGGGUCAACAGACAAAUCUCGAACUACAUUGUAAAUAAUCCUGUCAUACUGGGAAUAAAAAAUACAAACAAAAUAAAGUCAGAAUUUGUCUACCUAGUGUAUUUACAAUGAUGCAAUGAAUUUUAGGAUCAAAUUCACCAUUUCAGCAUCAUAAGCAGGGCCUUCCAUCUAGAAGUGGCUUACACCUUCGAUAAGAUGAGAUUCGACACGACCUACAGCUGAACUAAGCUUGUUCUUUAAUUGCUUAACACUGAUAAACCCAUCCUGUGUUCCCAUUAUAAAAAGUUUUGGUUUUGGUGAUUUUAGGAUAGCUUUAUGAUGUCGUCCAAAGAGGAUAGAUGCCAUAAAACCAAAGGGAUAUCCUAUGCUCACAUAACCCACUACUUGCUCAACCUUAUCAACAGCAGAACCUGCAAUAGGUGUACCUGUGCCAGGAAAUAUUUGUGACAAUGUGAACAUGCAUUUCUGUAAACCACCAACAUAAGACCAAAAUAUUCGAUCAGCAUAAAAAAAUAUUGAAUUAUUUGAUCACCACCAAAAAGUAUUGUAGCUAGAAACUUUUAUCAAGUUUACACAAAAUAAGAAAAAUGAGUAACAUCAAUAUUCCGUUAACUAAUAACAUUUGCUAUUACCAAUGCACAUUAAGCUCUUAAAAAAUUUUGAAGUUAGUUUCCUUUCACUGUGCAUACAGGUGGUAAACCUACUUAUUAUUUCUUUGUUUAAACACAAAUUUAUCAUUUGAGGCAUACAAACUUAUAUCACAAAUUUGAGUUUUAUCACUGGGCAAAAUGAUUUCGUUUACUGCCACAAAAAGAAUAAUAAUAAUGUCAUUUAUUUCUUUUGCUCAAGCAUGAUGCUACUCGUUUCUUUUGUCCAAGCACUAUCAUACAACAUGGGAUCCAAACAGUUUUACCUAUAUGAAAUACCAUAAUGGGAACUGCUUAUUUUGUAUGCCAGAUGAAAGCUAUAUAAUAGAGGAACCUCAUGCUCACAAACAUUUGUAUCAAACUUUCAUAAAACUGACAAUCACAGACUUCUUUGGACAUGCACAAAGCUACAAAAAUCAGCAGCACUAAAUGCAUAAAACAAGAUUUGCACAUGAUAACCACUUUGCUUAAACAAAAUAUCUUACCAUGAAAAGAGCACACAAAUAGCAGAAUCAUUCUAGGAACAGAAAUCAGAGUCAUCCAGACAAACUUUUAUGUUCAUAAAACCCAACAGCUGACCUCAUGCAGUAAUAAGAAUCAUUUCUACCAUAUGCAUGGCAAAGGAUUUUGAAGGGAGAAAAGCUCAUGCUGCUUUGAAUGCAAUGCAGAGUAGUUUGCUAUUGGCUAAGGAAGUUCUAAAUUAUCUUUCUUAAAAUAAGUCCAGCCAAAUGUGCACGCGCUAAAUUUGGAGUUGAUCUUUGUUAUCUAUAAAGGCUAGUUCCCUGUCACAUGAGUUCAAAAGAAUCAGAACAUAAUGGUACUGUGUCAUACUUUUCUAAAAUGGUUUUCCCAAAAAAUAUAUGCUAAGCUGAACAUCUGUACAAGUGAUGGCAUGUGGAAAAGCACAAGGAUGAUCAUUAAAUUGGACUGAGAAUAGCUUCUUUUCUUUAAAAAGAAAAACUUGGACUUAGAAAUUAAGUCAUUAAGCAACAAAAGACAUUAAACUAUCAGUGGCCCUAAAUAAUAUAUGCAAUAGAUUACUACCCUGCAAAGAGUUGAUCUGGAGCACAGAUAAAUGCCAUUUUCAUGAAAAUUCAUCCUUCACCCUCUAAGAUGCAAAAACAAACAAAUAAAACCCAACAGGACCAUACCCUGAAAGACAACCCCCAGAAAACCAAGAAGUAGCUUAUGGAAGAACCUCACUAUAACUCAGAAACCAAAUGGAAUUCAGAGGAGUAGUCCACUGCUCUUUAUUAACAUGUCUACAAAGCUUCAGAACCCAAUAUGGAGCAUUUUCUUCCUUAACAAAGACACCUUAAUGACUGUGGCUUUAGACUAAAAUCAAGUUCAAAAGGAAACGCGAUUCUUUAAUUGGCAUUAAAUCUCAACAAACACAGAACCAAUCAAGAAUCUAAGAAGAAAGUUCUUCACACAUGGACAAAAUGAGUCAACUAGGAGGGAAACUCUUUAAACACUACCAACAUAAAUUUUCGUAUCAAAAUCUAAAAGCAAAUAUCUUGUUUGCUAAUAAAGGUGCAAACACUACAACACUACUAUCUAAUGCCAGCAAAAUCCUGCACAAAGAUAAAUCAAGAAAUGGACCAACUUCUCCUAAAUGGUUAUAUCCCUAUAUAAAUUCAAACUACAAGCUCAAACUGAAUAACUUUAAAUCUAAUCACCACCACUUCACUCAAAAGUCAAAAACUGAACAAUUUUAAAUCUAGUCACAACGCCUUGAAAUUAAAACUAACAAACCAGCAACUGCUAAGCGUACAAAUCCCUGAAAUUAAAACACAAAAUGUGCAAAAAAAAAAAAGCGAAUAAAGACUACCUGCAGAAGAACCCAUGGAAAGAUUCUGAGAAGCCCAUCUGCAGACAGCAACCAUAUCAUUAAUUUCUUUAAAUCCAGUGAGAGAAGACUUGCCUGUAGAUCUUCCAACUCCUCUCAUGUCAAAGGUCCUGCUUUAUAGCCUUUUCUUGCCAGCCCACUUGCAAUCCCCCUAGAAAGCCUUGACAACCACCCAAUAUGGAGUACGGAUGCACUAAAAUAACCACCAAUUCAUCAUUUCCCUUAGCUCUUUCAUCAUCUUCUUGCUCUUCAUCUUUCUUCAUCUUCUUCUUCCUCUUUUUCUCUUGGACUGAAGAUUUUUGCCUGAAGUUGAACUCCAUCACUAGUUUCAACAGUGAAGGACUUCAAUGAACAGUCAUAGGCAAUUUUUGCUCCUAACGGGAUUUCUUUCUGUAGCAAUUACUGAAAAGUAUUUUUGGCCUUUUAGGACAGGAAUUGGAAAUACAGCAAAUAAAAGCACUGAAUCGAGUUCAGCUAAAUUGCAUUUACCUCCACAAAUUUUUAUAUAUUUAUAAUUAAUUUCACAAAAAAUCAUAAUUAUUAAACUCGACCCAACAAGAGGUGGCAAAGAAGCUAGAUGGAUGGAUUACUAGAUCAGUAGGUCACUAGAAUAGUAAUUUGGACAAAAUGCUCUAGUGCCCUCAAAUUAUUAUGAAAUUUAACUUUAGUUUCUAUACGUAAAAUGUAUAUUAAAGUGCUUUUAGAUAUUAAUUAUUGUUGAAACCCUAGAAAUUAGAAAUCCGAGAGUCAAAUUCCUUUUUUUGUCCCCUCCUUUGAAGUCUCACCCCCCUCUAGUAAGAAAAGUAUUUUUAAAAAUAUUAAUUAUAAAGUUUAGAAAGAUAUAUAAUGAACAUAUAAACAUUGAUAAAAAAAUUUAUUUUCAAAUUUUUAUUAUGAAGACAUUUUUUUAUAUACAUGACCUCAUUUUUUCUCUUAGCUUAGGAUAAAAAAAAAUAGUUUUAGUUAAAUAGAUGAGUGGAUCAAAUUGAUCUAAUCCAACUAAAAAUGUUUACUAAAUGAAUCUAAAUGGUUGCCAUUUAAAUGGAUAAGAUAAAACCAUAAUCCAUCCACUUAUCCAUUUACUUUGCAAAGUCCUAAAUUGAAAAUCGAGUUUGCACAAAAAAAUAAUCCAAAAAAUUUGAAAUCUCUAUUGCUAAUCCUAAUUCUAGCAAAUUUAACAGAAGGAGGAAACAAUAAAGUUUCAAAUUUAUGACUUUUGUAAUUGCUUAAAAUUUAGUUGCAAAAAUUUCAAUAUUGCCUGAAUAAAAAGCGAAAUGAUAUUAAAGGACUAGUGAUAAAGCAUAUACUAUUCAUUUUCAAAGAAAAUUUUUCUUUUUUAAUUGCAAAGAACAAUGUCAAGAAGGCCAUACUACCAGAGCAUCUAUAAAUUGUAAUCCCCACUCUUGCCACCUAAACAAACAAAAGAAGCCACUUUUAUAGAAUAAAAGAAAAUAUUUAAAAAUAAAAAAUACUUUGAUGUUGUAUGCUGACUUUUUUUCUUCUUACUUACUACAGAAUGUACAAGUUUGUAACUAUUUUUAUAUGAGAGUAUAUAACAAGAAAAAAAGAAGCAAAGACCAAACUAUAGUUUACUAACAUGAAAAAGGUGAAGGAAGUCUAAAAAUUAGGGGAAAAAAAAAGAAAUAUGUAGUUAAUACUAUUAGAAUGCAAGCAACUAUGAAGGAUAGCAAAGUGGUCCUACAAAAUUUCACUUGCUUAAUUUUCACCAGUCUCUUAAGUUAUCCAUGUAAAAUCAUUGAACUCAUAUGGGCAUCCAAGUCCAUCUAGGGUAAGUUUAUAUGGAUGGAUUGUGGUAUGGAUCUAUAUUACCUCCUCUAGACCUAAUUUUCAUCUCUUAGUUUAUGAAAGUAAAGAGAUCUGGUGUCCACUAAUUUGGUCAAGCCAAGGACCAACAUGGAUACUUGUGAUAAAAAAUCUGAUGUUAAUUUCAAGCAUAAGCCAAGGACCAACAUGGAUUCUUGUGAUAAAAAAUCUUAUGUUAAUUUGAACACGGACUCUUUUUUUUUUUAUAUAUAUAUAAAGAUUUGAUAUUAAUUUCAAGCAUAAGCCAAUAGUGAGAAGGAUGGAGCCAUCGUGUUGACAGUGGGCAAUUACCUCUAUUAACUUCACAAAAUUUACAAAUUAAGAUUGACAGUUUUAUAAGUACAUUUUUAGGUUUUUCUCACAAUUUCCCCUCUCAUUUUCUAAAAGUACUUUUCUCUCUUGACAUUGCCCCUAUAUUUUCAAAAAUUCUCAUUUCUCAUCACAUUACCUCCCUAAAUAAUUAAUGUCUUUUAAUCAUCUCUCCUAUGGUACAAUUGUUUCAAAGCUAUUAAAGAACAAGUUUUAGUAGUACUUAAACAAGGACUAAUUAAAAAAACUCCAAAACAAAAAAUGGUAGAAUCUCAAAUCAAAUUAAACUUUACAUGAUUGUGACGCAUUUUUAGGUGUACAAUGGUGUACAAUCUUGCCCGUAUAGGUACAGAUGUGUCAAUUGUAUUGGAGCAUUGCUCUUAAGAUGGUCUCAUUGUAUAUCCACUCCUUGUGGUUAAUAAAUGUCACCUUUAUCAAUAAUGAUUAUCGGUAGAUGUAUUCUAGAUUGUCACUAUUUGCAACUUACCUCCAAAACUAUUUUUUUUAACAUUUUAGUACAUUAUACUGCCAAUCUAUGAAGCAUGCUCAAAUAAACUAAGAAGUAAUGAAUUAUCCUAGCUAUGUUUGAAUGAAAAGAAUUUAAUAUCUUUAAUAUGUGUUUGAUUAUUGAAAUUUUCUUAUUCACCUCAAGCUAUUAGAGUACUUUUAUUAAAUUAACUAUCAAAGUUCACCGAGUUUCAAUCAAUUUAAGUAAUGGUUUACAAAUUUAUAGUAUAAAGUAUUAUAUGAUCUGUAGUUUGAAAUCUUUAAAUUUCAAUUAGAAGUUAUGAUUCAUAUGCGUGGAUUUUUUUUUUUUAAAUCUAUAGUUACAAUGCGUGUUACUAUGACUCUAAUUAUUAGAUUUUGUUGUUCUUUUUAUUAGUAGCAUUAAUACUUGUUUAUAAGUUUCCUGAAACCAAAAUUUUUAGCUACAUGAGAUUACUUCAUCACUUUAAAAUCAACAAAAGAGAUGAUAUUGAUAGAUUAAGAAAAGCUUCUCAUUGUUUUCAAAAUUAUUUCUUGAGAUAAUUAUAACGAGCCUAACAUCAUUUUAAAACUAUGAGUUGCUUACAAUUACCCUAAUAUAUUAUGUAAUUUGAUCUAAUGUAGAGAACAACUAUUGAGAUCCUUUCACUAAAUUCUUUUGUGUUUUAUUGAAAUUAGGCUUGCAAUCUUUGAAACACUGUCUAUAACAAGUUCAAAUAAAUUAAUCAAUUACAAAAGCACUUGACUAGUAGAAAUUAUUUAGACCAUUGAACCAAAACUUAUAAUAAUAUUUCUUUAAUUUCAAAUACAUCUACAAAGAAUCGCUGAAAGAUUGCAUUUUUUUUGUCUAACCUUUAUUGCAUGAAUUUAUAUACUAUCUAUCAUUUUUUAUGUAGUUAUCUUUAGCUCAUACCGUUCAAAUUGAUUAGUAGUUCUGAACUUCUGAAAGCAUUUCCUCUACAACAACAAAAUAAAGCAAAAAAAAAAAAAAAAGUGCCCUAGAUUAGCUGUAAAAAAUUGUAAACUAACAUAGUAGAUCUAUUUUCCUGAAGUAGCAACUAGAUAUGUUAAAUGAAAUUCUCAAAUAUUGCAUAAACAUUUAUUAUCUCGAGUGCAUACAAUUAUGUUCUAGUUGUUGAUGAUGUUUGACAACCUCAUUUGAAUACGUUACGUUGAUUCAAAUAAUGUAUGUCACGAAAUAAAAAAAAAAAAGCAAUAAGUGCCUUUUGAAAUAGAGGAUAGAAGUCCAAAUUUUUAUAAAAAAAAAAAUGAAAGCUCUAAAAAUUCAAUCCCAUAUGGAAUAAACAUCUUUAUAUAUUAUAUAUUUAAGGAGGUGUUUUCAACCUCGGCCUCUCACAAAGUUUUUUUUUUAAUUUUGAUAUUUAAUUUGAUAUAAAACUACUUAGAUUACAUAUUUAUUACGUAGGGAUAAUUUCAGAAAUCUCACUCGAGGUUUUUCAUAAUAUCACUCAAUUCCUUUAAGGUUUUUAAAAUCUCACUUACCUUCUGUAGAUUGAUAUUUCUUGUAACCAUUUAACCCCUUUGGAGGAAAUACAAGAAAGAUAAAAUUUUUGUUCCAAUACUACCCUUAUUUCCUACUUAUGGAAUUUAUUACAACAAUAAAAAAUAAGAUAAGGUUAAAUUUUUAUGAGGAGUAAAUUUCUUGAUUUAAACUAUUUAUUUUAGUUGUAUUGGAACAAAAGCAAAAUUUACACCUUAAAAAACUCACACAUAUAAAGAGAUUAUUUUAGUUUUCAAUACAACUUAAACUAUACCAUGAAUUAAAACAUAUUUCUCUAAUAAAUAUCUUGACUUCCUUAAUUUUAAUUGUGCACGAAAUUUUUUAAUGUGUUAAUUACUCUCCAAAAUCCUCCUAGGUGGUUCUUGAUUAGAUUUAAUUUAUACUCGUCCUUUGCUAUCCCACCAUGACCCCAAUGUAAAGACAUAUAGACCAUUAUUAGCUUGUAAUUUUUUAUAAUUUAUAAUUUUUGCUUUUAAAAUUUUAUUUUGUUUUGACUUUUUGAUUAAAUUGUUAUUAAAAGAAAGGGUAAUAUUGUCAAUUUAUGAAUUUUGAUAGGGAUAUUUAGUCUUGUCAAGUUGACAAGGGAAGUAAGCGAGAUUUUAAAAUUUUGAGAGGAGCUGAGUGAUUAUGACAAAUCUCAGGGUAGGUUUCUGAAAUUAUCCCUUAUUAUGUAUGCAUGUAUCAAUCAGCAAAAUUUUCUAAAACUGAUAUAUUAAAAAUUUAGCAUCUUGCCACAAUUUGAGAAUGUACCAAAAAUAUAAAUGCAUCUAAUUGAAAAGGAUAUAAAUUAGUAUCAUUAAAAAACACAAAUAUUUCAAGCCUUUCAAUAUGGUAACAUUAAAUAUAAAACAAAACUUAGCACAUUAUAAAAAUUGGAUUAGACAUUCAAAUUCAAGAAGAAAACAUUCAAAAUAACAAUAAUCUUCUAUUUGACAACUUUAUCUUAAAUAUGUCAAUAGUAUUUGAUAUAAAACCUAAACAUAGAAAAAUUGAAAAAGUUAAUUAACAAUUUAGUAAACUAGCAAAAUUGAUUAACAAGUUUAAAUUGAGAGACAAUAAUAUUCCAUGAUUCGAUUUAAUAAUACCAACUAAGUAUGUGUCCUAUCCAAAAUAGUUAUAGUUCUUCAAUUUGACAAUAAUGACAUCAAAACAACUUAGUAGUUACAUUACCUAAAUUAAAACAAACAUUUAAAUUGAAGAAGGAAAUAAGAAUAUUCUAAUUUUUCAUUUAGUAAUUCAAAUUCUUAUAUGAAACUAUUAUCUUAACACAAAAUCUAUACAUACAAUUUGAGAACCAACAAAAUUUGAUGGACAACCAAAUUAAAAAAAAAGCCAUUAGUACAUAAAAUAACAAAAUGUAAAAACAACAAUAAAUAUCUAAUCAAUUUAAAUUGGUUUACUUUAUAAAUUUCAUUCCUAAUAUGGUAAUUCUAACUUAAAUUUGUAUAUCUUACCAAAAAUACAUAGUAGACAACAAGGUUCAGACUAUUAAUUAUGAAAAAAAAAUAUUAAAACAUGAAGAAAAUUCAUAUUUUUAUACCUUAUUUAACAUUUACACGCCUUAAUCACCUUAAUUUUCAUAUACUUUAGGUCAAUUUCAGGAGAUGUAAAUAUAUGAGCAGCAAACAUGUAUCAAUAUAACUACUUGAUCAAAAUUGCAGCAAAUUUUGGUGCAAAUUUUGAUUUGUUUUUUCUUUCUAUCAUAAUUUUCUUAGUCUAUCUUAGGUGUUUUAUAUAAAAUAUUAAAAAUAAGUUAUUUUUGCUAAAAAUUGACACUCAUUUGGAUUUUUUUUCAUGCAGUUUUUUCAAUAAAAUAAUUUCAAUGAUUUAGUUUAAAGUUUUAGCCUAUGCAUUGCACAAAUAAGAAUGCUAGUUCAAACUUCAUUCUAAACCUUCAAAAACUCCAAAAAGAAAUGAAAAGUUAUUUGAAUGUUGCACUACUUGCAUAAUAAAUUCAAUCAUUAAUAUAAAAUUUAUAAAAAAUACAAUCACCAAACCAUCGGUAGCUAUCAUUCUAUUAUAGGAAUAUCACAAAAUUUACAAUGUUGGGGCUAAUUUACAAAACAAUAUAUAUUACCCUGAAAAACUUUAAAUUGGUCUCAUAUAUCAUAUACCCUAUCUUAAAUUAUUUUGAUAAUCUGUAUAAUUGCUAUGUUCUCUCUACAGUUAUAACAUAAAAUUUUUUUUUUUGAAGAGUAUCUUUUUGGGAUAAAAUAACGAAACAAGUCCUACUUGAUUAGGUUUAAGAAAUGGUUUACAUCGCAAUUUAGGUUUCUUAGAACUUUGACUUGUGAUAGGCUCCACUGUGUCUAUAUCUAUAUAUAUUAUUAUGAGAUUUAUGAAUGGAAACUCAUCCCUUGUCAGCAACAUGUUCUAGUAAAGAAUUUUGCUCGGAUUACAUGAAUAGUACAACUUAUUUGCUAAAUUAAGAUAAACCGACUGAUUGUACAUAUUGCUAUAGCAUAUGCCAUCUUAUUUCGUUAAUACAUCCAUAAAACUGGAGUUUUAGGAUUACCAGCAAUGAAGUGUUUGUGAACUCCUUCCAAUUAAAUCCAUGUCAAUCACUUCCAUGACCAUCUAUGUGAGGACUCGUAAAAAUUAUUAUUUUUCGACUCCUAUUUUUGCUUAUUUAAUUAUUUAUCUGAAUAUUUGCUUCGAUUAUUAUUUUCUAACCUUAUUAGACUUAAAUACAUGGAAUUAUGACUUUAUUAUAUUUUUAAAGUGACUCGUUUCAAAAAUUAAUUUUUGGAAGCUCGAUUAAUGAAAAUAGUGAAAACGUGUUUGAAAAUUUUAGCCAAUUGGGAGUAAAAUAAGCUCGAAAAAUUGGAGACAUGUACAAUGGUUCUAAAAUAGGUAAUUUUAGGUUUAAGUACUCAAGUGAUAGUUAGUGGUACGAUCGUUAUAAGAAUUUCUCGAAGAUUUCACUUUAUCACGUCUAAAUUAGAAAUACGCGUUUUCACACGCGCGAUUAAUUGAGGGACUUUAGACCCUUAUUUUAGGACAAUUAAGAGUGAAUAAUAUUUAUAUGAAUAUAAGUGCAUUAGAGGUUUAGUGCACUAGUGAAAUAAACUCGAAAGGAAUUGAGCCCAAAAUGCCCGCGUACACGCGCGAGAGAGUUGAUUUUCGGGUGAAUUGUGGCCACACAUUUAAGCUUACUUUAGAAGCUUUAUUUCAGCACUACACUCUCUCUCUUUCCCUCUCACUUUGGCCGAACCAUCAGCUGCAAAAAAAACAACUCAAAGUUUCUCAAAUUUUCAUCUUCAAAUCUUGCACAAACCUUCACCAAAUUCAACCAAAAUUGAACUACACUUAACUCAACACUUGGAGAGUUCAUCUACCUACAAAAACAAGGAGCUUUCCACCAUUUUCUUGAGCAAAGAGAGGGCCGAAAUUUCUGCUUAGCUCAUCAACAAACGUAAGUGACGAUCAACCCUUGAAAUCUUGGUUUAUGGAAGUUGAUUUACACUUAUGAGCUUAGUUAUUCAUGUGGGUGGCUUGUUAUUGUUGGAAAAUUUUGAAGGUGGGCUCUAUGAACUCCCACUCUUGGAUUGAUGGCUGAUGUGAUGCUUGAUGUGAUGCUUGAUGAUGGAUAUAAUGUUAGUUUAGUGCUCAAAUUGGUAGAUUAAUGGUGCAUAGCUAGUAUAAAGUUGAAGGAAUGCAUGGCUGAAAAAUUUUCAAUUCUGCCCCUGUUUUGAUCGAGCCCCUUUUUGCGAAAUUCUGAGGGUUUGAUGGCUUGUAUAUAAUGUUUAUAUGUUGUAUAGAUGGUGUAUAAAGUUUCAUUGAAAAAUAUUGAGGUUUGGUUGGUCAAAUGGAUUAAUCUUGCAAAGCUAGUAAACUUGGAAAAUUUUCCCAUUAUGCUCAGAUAGCCUUCUUGUUUCGUCCAUACUUUUGUACUCCGAUGUCAAAAUCAAGUUCCGUUGGUGGCAUUUGAACCUAGACAUUCCCAGCUUUCCAAUGGUAUAAAAUUCAACCCCUAAUUCCACCCGAGUAUCCCGUACCAACCGUUUUAAGAUGACUGUCCUGUUUCUCUAUUUUCCGGGAAUGAAGUUAAACUACAACUUGAUGCUCGAAUUUGAGCUAGUUGUGUGCCGACUUUCAAAAUGAUUUCUUCUGUCAAAUUUUAUUUUUAUGAAUUUAUUUUCCAACGCCACCAACCAUGCUUAAUUCCGAGUUGAAUUGAGUGAUUUGUGAUCAAAAUACGAAACCUGCCCUGUUCUUGAAAACCCUAAAUUUUGGGCAAAGUAGAUGUUAGACUUGGUGUGGACUUGCCAAUUGAAUAUCUUGGAGUUAAAACACUUACCAAAUGUAUCGUGAAUGUUCCUCAGGUUUUUCCUAUACAAAUGAGCCAUGUUUGAGGAAUUUUUCCUUGACCAAAUGUUUGGAAUGGAAAACAAAAAGCUCAAGGCAGUUCUGCCUUAGGAUUUUCGAAACUUUGGUUGUUUGGUUGACUACCUUCCCGAAGGUAUUUUUCCAUGAAAUUUGAUAGACGGAUACCCUUUAUAUAUGAGUAUUAUACUGCUGAAUUUGGUACCAAUCCGAGUCCAUUUCACUGCUCGACUAAAUUACCAAAGUUCAAGACUUGAUAUUGGAAAACCCUUGUUUAACAAGGAAAUUUGGAUAACUUUGAGCUACCAUAUCUUGGUACUCACAACUCCGUUUCUCAUUUCCGCUUGUUUUGUUAUAAACUUGGACUACAACACUAAUAGAGUUACAAAUUUUAAAGGCUAGUUUCAAUCAAGUGAAUUUUGCCAAAUUUUCAAAGUUGGCCAAAAACUAACUUAAAUCUGUCUUAUGAACCAAAACAGCGAAUUUGAGCUCAUUUGUGAAUGUUUUCCAUUUGGAAUCUUAGAAAAGUGUAUUCUAGGAACUUUUAGUACUUUGGAAGAGAUUUCCAACGGUACCAAGUUUUCCAAUUUUGGACUUGUAAAGAAUGAGAUACGAUUUUUCAAAGAUCUCGUACCAAAACUGAAAUUUUCGAAUCUUAAGGAAAUGGAGAUUUUUGAAUUCUCCUUAUUCCUUUGAUGUUACUUGAGCGUAUUAAACUUGACUUCCAAGAUGAAACCUCGAUUGCUUUUGUGCUUUAAAAUCCCAUUUUAAAACCCCGAUUUACGAGUGAUUGGGAUUUGUUUCAUGGGAUUUUUCUUAGAUUGUGCACUAAGUACAAUCUUGGUAAUAAUUGGGGUUUUGAGUGAUAAAUCCUUAUUAAUUGCUCAGACACAUAAGAGGAACUUCAAGAGGAUCCCACGGUGGACGCUUGAACUUCGAGUGCUGUUUCUUCUUGUUUACUUGGUGAGUGUCAAGUGUGUGUUACUUGAACUACUGUGAACCAGAUACAUGUUUACUUGUUAUUGAUACUUGAGAUUUUAAAAUUCGAGACGGGGGUGUACUUUAUCGCACCCGUUCUCGCUUGAAAUAAAUGACUCGCACUUGAAGUACUCGAAUGUCUCAAUUGCUUGAAUAUGUUACUUGCUUGCUUGACUUGAAAUAGUAUGCUAUGGCUGCAUACAUCGUUGGAGUGAAUCUCUGUUGAUCUUGAUCCCUAUCUUUUGAUGUUUAUAAAACAAAUGGAUGAUACUAAUAUUUCUUCAAGAUAUACUUUCAGUUUUGAAGUUGUUUGAUUCCAUGAACAAGUGCAAUUGAAAGGCAAAGUUUGCUGAAGCUGUCGGACGUUCAAGAAGUCAGAAUCGGACGUCCGAAAGGAUGAAGAACAUCAAGAAGGAAACUCUGUUGGACGAUCGUGAGGAGCAUCGGACGUCCGGAAGGAUCGGACGCACGCCUCGAACGCACAUCGAUCGCAUCGGACGUCCGAGAAAUUUCGCAAAGAUUUGAUGACUCUCGGACUCGGGUUCGGACGUCCGACAGGCCAACGGCAAGUUUUGACAGCAUUUAAUAUUUGACCGUUGGAGAGCCUUUUGAAGCCAUUUCUCACCUUCUAUAAACACCCCAAAGCACAAGAAGAUACAAGACUUUUGCCAACACAAAAUAUAAGCUUACAAGUGAAAUUUUUGAGUAGAAAGAUUCUUUGUUAGUUGUAUAAGGGGUUGGGGAAGUUGGGCUGUGAGGUUGCUCAAGUGAAGGUUACUCUCUAGGAGGAGUAAAACCUUGGUGAAGGUGAACCUAUCACUUGAAGUGGUAAAACCUUGGUGAAGGUUGCCUCAUUUGUAUAAAAUAGUUCUUAAUUGGGUGAGUGAUCUUUCAAAUGUAGGUUGUUGAGGGUUAACUAGAAUAAUUGUAAAACUCCUUGGCUCAACCAAAGAGUGUUUGGGGUGAGGAAGGAGUGAACCUUCACUUGUACAUCUUGGUUAGCAUUGCCAUCUAUUGAAGAGGCUAUUGGAUUGAUAUUUGGUUUGCAUUUCUUAUCUUUUCUCUUUAAUUAAGUUUUCUUUGUUGUGCUUAAAUUUGAUAUAUUUUUGUGCAUCAUUGUGAUAUUGUUUGUACUCAUUGGGUUGCACCAGGCCUUACAAUUGGUAUCAGAGCUUGGUCUCCUAGAGAUUAAACUUAACCGCUUAGAGUAAAGAUCAUGGCAACCAUAAAAGUUUCCUUUUUAGAAGGGCAAUCUAUUGAUAGACCACCUAUGUUUAAAGGUUCCCAUUUUAGCAUGUGGAAACAAAGAAUGAUUUUUCUUACAAUCCGUUUAUAUUGAAUUAUGGUAUGUGGUAGAAGAUGGUUCUUAUGAAUCUAGAAUAGUUGACUCUAUCACUAAUUUGAGUAGAUUAAAGACUAGAUAAGAAUUGAAUGAAAAAGACAAGAGAUACCUUUCCUUGAAUGCCAAGGCCAUGUAUAUAUUGUACAAUGCAUUAGAUGUAAAUGAAUCUAGUAGGAUUAAAGGUUGUAAAUCAGCUAAAGAUAUUUGGGAUAAAUUGUGUGUAUUUCAUGAAGGUAACCAAGAUAUUAAAGAACAAAAGAAAUCUUUGCUUGUUUCUCAAUAUGAAUUUUUCAAAAUGCAUCCUCUUGAAAAUGUUGAUAAGAUGUGUAGUAGAUUUUGUGACAUUAUUCAAGAUCUUAAAUUGCUUGGAAAAGAAUAUUCUUUGGAUGAGAAAAAUAGAAAGAUUUUGAAUGCCUUGCCAAAAGAAUGGGAAAACAAAAUAAAUGCUAUAGAAGAGGCAAAGGAUUUAAAUUCUAUGUCCAUUGAAUCUCUUGUGAAUUCCCUAACCUCUUAUGAAUUAAAGGUGAAAUUCAAAGUGCAAGAGGAAGAAAAUGCAAGAAUGUAUAAGAGAGGCAUAGCUUUUAAAGUAUCUCAAGUGGGGAUAACCCAUCCUUCAUGGGUAAUGAAAUCAUGGAAGUGGACAAUGAUAUAACUCCUCACAUCAAAAGUUUCAAGAAGAUUUUCAACAAGAAAUGUUCAAGAGGAGAUUGCAAAAUUACGUGGGAUGAAUGCAAUUCAAAAAGAGAAAAAGAAGAGUUGGCCCAAAUGGCACUAAUGGCCGUUGGAGAAGAUGAGGUAAAUUCUUAUCACUCUUCUAGUGAUGAAGAUAAUGAAAAUGAUGAUAUGCAAAUUCUUAUGAUUAAAAUGCAUAAAAGUUUGAAAGAAUCUUAUGCUAGAAAUAAGGAGUUAAAACAGAAAAUUAGUUUUUUGCUUCGAGAUAAUGCAAAUCUUUUUCAACAAAAUAAAACAUUGAAAGUUGAAAAUGAUUAUUUCAAGAAGAGUGAGACUGCUUUAUAUUUUGAACUUGAUAGAAAAACAAAACUUUGUGAUUUGUUCAAAAAGGAACAAGGUGAUUUGAAAAGAAGAAUGGAUGGUCUAAAUGAAUUGCUUAAACACAAGAAACAAGUCUGUUUUUCAAAAGAAUAGGUUGAAUUCUAAUUCCAACGAAUUUGCUAUCCAUAGGAGAAGACAAGUAAGAUUUAUUAAACCUGUUCAUGUAGAUAACUCUUUGGUUAUGUGUAAUUUUUGUUGUCAAAAAAGUCACAUGAAAAGUGAUUGUUAUGUGAGAAAAAAAUAUGAGAAGAGGCAUGAAAUGCAUGUGAAUAGUUAAACAUGAUGCUAACUUUAACAAAUAGGAGUUUUUGUUAAUCAUUGCAGUGAUUCUUGUUCACAAUUUUUUUUGAUAUUUCUGAUACUUUGAUCUGAGUUUUCGCUGAUAUUUUUGAAUACUACUGAAUUUGUAUUAUGACAAACGGGGGAGAAAUGGAUGCUAUGUGUUAGGGGGAGUUAUUCUGAAAUUAUAAGUUUGGUUGCAAUGAGUGAGGGGGAGUCUAUGCUCAUAUGCUCAAUCUUUCUCCUUCAUUCCAUCCAUUGUUUUGUCAUCAUCAAAAAAGGGGAGAAUGUUGAUCUUGAUCCCUAUCUUUUGAUGUUUACAAAACAAAUGGAUGAUACUAAUAUUUCUUCAAGAUAUACUUUCAGUUUUGAAGUUGUUUGAUUCCAUGAACAAGUGCAAUUGAAAGGCAAAGUUUGCUGAAGCUGUCGGACGUUCAAGAAGUCAGGAUCGGACGUCCGAAAGAAUGAAGAACAUCAAGAAGGAAACUCUGUCGGACGAUCGUGAGGAGCAUCGGACGUCCAGAAGGAUCGGACGCACGCCUCGGACGCACAUCGAUCGCAUCGGACGUCCGAGAAAUGUCGUAAAGAUUUGAUGACUCUCUGACGACGUUCGGACGCAGGGUUCGGACGUCCGAUAGGCCAACGGCUAGUUUUGACAGCAUUUAAUAUUUGACCGUUGGAGAGCCUUUUGGAGCCAUUUCUCACCUUCUAUAAACACCCCAAGCACAAGAAGAUACAAGACUUUUGCCAACACAAAAUACAAGCUUACAAGUGAGAUUUUUGAGUAGAAAGAUUCUUUGUUGGUUGUAUAAGGGGUUGGGGAAGUUGGGUUGUGAGGUUUCUCAAGUGAAGGUUACUCUCUAGGAGGAGUAAAACCUUGGUGAAGGUGAACCUAUCACUUGAAGUGGUAAAACCUUGGUGAAGGUUGUCUCAUUUGUAUAAAAUAGUUCUUAAUUGGGUGAGUGAUCUUUCAAGUGUAGGUUGUUGAGGGUUAACUAGAAUAGUUGUAAAACUCCUUGGCUCAACCAAAGAGUGUUUGGGGUGAGGAAGGAGUGAACCUUCACUUGUACAUCUUGGUUAGCAUCGCCAUCUAUUGAAGAGACUAUCGGAUUGAUAUUUGGUUUGCAUUUCUUAUCUUUUCUCUUUAAUUAAGUUUUCUUUAUUGUACUUAAAUUUGAUAUAUCGUUGUGCAUCAUUGUGAUAUUGUUUGUACUCAUUGGGUUGCACCAGGCCUUACAAUCUCCUCGACACUCGAACAUGCUUGGGGGAUGCCCACAUUUCAUUGGCGAACAUUGGACUCGAGCCGGCAUGGGUUUGGUCGGGUUCCUUGGUAAACCAUGAGAAAAAUUGAAAAGUUUGAUCUAGUGAGAGAUCUCGCUUGGCAUACUCGAGUAGUAUUGCCUUAAACAAAUGGCAGGCGGGUCCGAAACAGGGGUAUGUAAGGUGAAAGGGGAACAGGUUAAGUGGAGUUCUACGGACUAAACCUAUCCGAUUGACGGAGUGUCAACUCGUGGAGGUUAUUGAUCGUGCAAGUGGAACAUAGCUCUUGAGAGCUCCAGUAUCCUUGAAUUGUUUAUGGUUACUUUCCUCGUAAAUUGUUAAUCAUGGAUAUAUUAUUGCUCGACUUGUCAAUUUGGGAUUGUUACUUGAACAAUGUGCUUGCAUGUGUGUUCUUGACCUCACGAGCGUUUUGCUCACCCUGUAGAUUUGUUUUCCUUAACAGGUUUGGGUUUGGAAUGAGACUCAGAGGAAAUUUCUAUUUUUGAGUGUUUUUGUGGGCUUUUGUAAUAGGGUUAACAAUUCUAUUAACUAGACAUUUUGGCUAUUGUAUAUUUUGGGAUGUAUUUGGAAACCCGUUAUAUGGAUUUGGAAUUGUAAAUAUUGUUAUGUUUGAACGCUUCCGCACUAAUUGCAUUUAUAUUAUUUGGAUGUGAUGUCUAGUACCGUUAUAAGCUUGAAUGUAAAUCGCUUGAGUCCUGGCGAGAGUUGGGCAGGCGUCCCGCGGAUACCCUUUGGUUCACCUUAGGAGAAGUGGGGGCGUCACAAUCUAUAUAAAUGAAAACAAAAUAUAACUUAAAAAAUUAGUAUUUUGGGUUAAAACUUAAAAAGUAUAUAUACAUUAACUAAAACGAGACAUAAUACAAAUAGUCGAAUGGAGCUUGUCCCAUACUGUCUCAAAAUUACAUUACAUUAAGAGGUUCUGCCCAGAGACCGUAAAUAUUUAAAAUAGUGAGUUAAUGUUUGCUUGUAUAAAAUAGAAUUCUAACAAUAUGUUGGUGAACAAGUUUAGAUCAAUUUAAACAUAACAAAUUGUUGUCUAUGCAAGUUUGUUAUAGUUAUCACUAGCCAAAGAAGCAUUUCUAAUGCCAUUAAGAUAUUGAGAUAAUACAAAUAAGUUAUUAGGAAUGAGAGUGAGAUCAUUAUUUAUUGUGCAAAUCAGUUUAUCAUGAGAUUUAUGAAAAAAUACAAAAGCAUGGAUCAAGUUAGAGAGAUGAUUCAAGUUUGGUCAAUACCAAACUCAAAAUUGAACAAGAAUAUUGGUUUCCUAUUUUAAUUAAACUUCUCAUUUAUAGCUACAUUAUAUUCUAUAAUAGAAAAUUUAUAUUUAUUUUACAUCCAAAUUUAUAGUUUUUAGUUUAUAUUUUCAUGAUUGUGUUGCAUAUAGGUAUAGGAUAAUUUUCUUUUGACCUCUAUCAACAUCACUAAACCCUUUUAACUAUUCAGUAUAGAGUUCUAGUUUUAAAUUAUAAUUCAAACAUGAAUUUAUCAUGAAAAAAUUAGUCAAAGAGAAAGAAUUUUUUAAUGACAUUAAUUAUGUCAAUUAUUAAAUUGGUUGAUAAAGGUGUGUGUGUGUAUAUAUAGUUUGAAUUAUUAUUUUAUUUUCAAAUUAUUCUUUUGAAAGUAUGUAUGCAUUGAUUUAUUAGCAAGUAUGUAUGCAUAGAUUUAUAGAUCAAAUUAAUGACAAAUAUUAAACCAUUUGGCAUCUUGAUUAAUUAAAUAUGUUUGGAUUAGCUACUUUUGGGUGUGUUUUUAAAUAUUUUACUAUAACAAUGUAUAUGCAAAACUUUUUUUUGAGAUUUUUUAAGUUGUUUUUGUUUAUGUCGUAUUGUAGCACUGUAUUUAAAAAACUUAUUUUUGAAAAAUAGGCCAAUCCAAAUGGAAAGUUUUUUAAAUUUAGUAAUAAGAGAUGUGAUUUAAUCAAGUGGAACUAUGAUAGAUCGCCUAAUUAAUAUUUUAAAUAGUAUCAAAUUAUAUGUUUUUUGAAUGUAUAGGCUCAAGUAAAAUUCUUUUUUUUUCUUUAAAACCAAUUCUCUCCUCACUCUCUCUAAAACAUUUCUCCAACCAAAACUUCUUUCAACUCUCUCACAAGAUCAAUGUUUUUUGUUAGUCUUUCCCCAUGAGAGGAGCAAUCUCUCAUUUUUUUUGUUUGAAUAAAGUCUCUAUUAGAGUUUUCUAGUGACAGUUUCUUCUAUUCGAAAUUGUUCUUGUAUAGUUUUACUCUCUCCUAAAAUUUUUUUGUAAGAGUUUUGUUAUUUUUUUACCAUUUUUCUAUUAGAACUAAGAUUUUAUAGAUCUGUAAUUUCUCACAUCGAUUAGGUUAGAUCUAUUUUUCUCUUUGGAUUAGAAAAUAUUUUAAUCAUAUAUAACUGUUAGAAGGCAUGCACAAGUUUGUUGGGUUGGAACAAUUCAUAUGGAUUGAAUAUGUUUUGGAGGUUACAAUAUUAUUUUUAUGGUUUUUAUUUUUUUUCAAAAUUGUUGUAUGAUUUUCUAACCUUUAUGUAUUUUUAGUCAUUAAUGCGUAUUCAUGGCAAUAAAAUUAUGUUUAUUAUUAAAAAAAUAAAAAAGAAAUACCCUUCCUCUAAACUAGUUGGAUGGUGUUAGAGUGUUUAUAAGUACAGAAUUAAAUUCUAACAAUGAAUGAGUUAUAUCUCCACUCAAAAAAAUUACUAUAAAUUAGGAUAAAGGAGUUGCCCUAAAAUCCAUAUGGACUUGAUGGUUGAGUAGAUUUCAAGAGAAAAUGCUUUAAUUAUGUCUUAUGGGUCUUAUACAAUUAAAGUACAUAACCGAUGGAGUAAUUUAGAUUUCCUCUAUGUUGUUCCAUGUUACAUCACCAUGCAAAAUAUUUUUGGUCUCAAUAUAUGAUAUGCUAGAGGAAAAAUUGAUUGGGUUGAAAGCAAUUGACAGGAGUAAGAUGCCAAUCCUAAAGUUCCAGUUAGAUGGUGUAUUCACAAAGAUUCCAUAUGGUCAUGUUAUCCAUAACAAAUUGAUACUUUACAAGAUUAAUAGGGAGGGCAUAGACACCAUAAAUGGUCCACGAGAUAUUGAUGCUAUUUAGAAGAUUGUCAAUGAUGGUGAUGAACAUUUUGGACUAUAUUUGAAUGAGAUUAGGUUGAUAGUAAUUGAUACACAUGCUGGAGAAGAAUUUCAAAUUAAAGUUGACAUCCAUAAAUUUGGGGAUUCAUAAAGCAUGCAACUUUUGAAUGAAUAAUCAAGUAGCAUUCCUAUCAGAACUACUACAAAAUUCUUGAAAAAUAACGUGGCAUUUAGAUUUUGGAAAUAGGAAUGGGAAUGGGAAAAAGCGGAGAGGACAGUGGAAAUUGAAAUAACAAAUCAAUCAAUGCUUUGAUUUUUGUGUAAGAAAUUGAAAUUGGAAGCAAGGUAUUGUUCUAGAUAAGUCCACAUGGAAGGCUUUAUUUAAACCCAUGUCAUUAUGUGUAAAUUGACUUUAUUGUGGAAUAAACACUUGCAAUCCUAUAAAGUAUUGUGCCUAUCUAAUAUAAGGUACUCAAUAAUAUUGAUGGACCAAAACAAUAGAGAACUGUACUGCAUUACAAAUCCUUGCCAUUAUAGUAGUACAAAAUGAAAUAGCCCAUAUUGUUUGUUAUGUAUUGGUUUAUUGAAAAUAUUGGACAAGAAUAUGCAGCCAAUAAGGUACUUUCAAAUGAAGGAAAGUGAUAUUAAUGCACAAUUUAUCAAGUCCAAAAACAGAGUCAGUACAGAAUUGGUAAAGGGAUAGCAAAUUUUUCUACGCUCAGUUUGUAGGGAUAAGAUUCCUCCUAAUCAAGCAAAAUAUUGAGAAAUUAAAGAAUUGGUGCAGACAUAGAAUAUAUUAUGAUAUUCAAUACUAGUUUUGGUUGAGAUUUUUGAUUAAAAAAAGCAGCUAGAUACUCAUUUAUUAUCGUCACACCAAAUACUGGUCCAAACCAUAUCAAUUGUCCACUUAUAUAGUGCAAAUAAGUUCUCAGUAGCUAGUAAUAAUUUAUCUCAAAGGAUCACAAUUUUCUUCAUCUAAUAACUAGGUAGCACAUUCUUUGCUUCUCGUAACUUUUAGUCUUAAAAUACUUUGACUAGGUAUAUUGUAAAUAAAUAUAUAAAAAUCCAUUACAAUUUUUGUUGUUCCUAAAAUUCAUUUAGAUGAGAUAAGUUGAAAUUGUGUUUUUUAACCUAUGUAGCACCUUAUCACUAUUAAAAAAAUGGUAAGUUAUGCUUUGGCCAUAUAAGUCAAAAUUCUAUUAUAAAAAUUUACCAAACAAUAGUUUGUGAAACUACAUUGAUUACAAUUUAUAUGUGAAAAGGAAUCUUAUAAAUUAAAAGUAAUAAUGAAUCAUAUAAUAAAUAUACAUAAAAUUUGGUAUUAAUGUUUUCUAUUAAUUUUGAUUCAAUCAUGAAUUUCAUGCUUUCAAAAGAAAAGGAAUUCUAAGUAGAUUUAUCUUAUAUAUUAAAUUCGCAUAAUUAUAUGAUACAAAAAUUUUGAAUCAGAAGAUGGAAUCAAUUUUAAAGAAUAACUUGAACAAAUCAUGACAUUUUGAUUACAUUAGAAAUAUAUUCUCAAAAAAUCUUUCCUUGCUAAGAAAAUUAUCCAAUGCAAUCAACUAAUACUAGUUUUCUAUCUAUACUACGAGUCAAGCCACACUCUAUGGGUGUGCUAAUAAGAAAAAUUAUAGUUAGAAAACAAAAUAUAUAUACAUAUAUAGCUAUUUAUAGAAAAAUUUCUAGAAAUUGGUAUUAUAUUUCAAAACUUAAGUUUCGAAGAGUUUUGAAAAUGAUAAUGUUUAAAUUGUUAGUAUUUUGAUAGCAAUGAACAAUUUUUGGUAAUUAUCUAAAAAGAGAUAAUUUUAUUGACAAGAUGACAAAGAUUUUUAGAAUAUAAGAUUUUCUCAAGUUAUGUAUAUAGUAAGACAUAGUCUAAACCAUCAUUUUUCUUAUAUUUUCUAUCCUAUUAUAUUGCAAGGAAAAUUUAUAACAAUAGUUUGUUGUCUUUAUCAAAUUGUAAUACUACUGUAAACUGGCAAAAUCUAUUUAAAUUCUACCUUUAGAGAACUACUAAAGUCUAUUCUUAAUACUAUCUUGAACUUUGCCAAAAAUUGGUUUGUAAUAUUUGAAAACACAAUCUAGCACUUAUUCACGGAUUACUCAAGUACUUGAGAUGGAGGAAUUUCCUUGGCCAUAUGUCCUUUAUUUCAAUAUACUUGCAAUGAAGUCAUUAGACUGUUGAAGGAAGAUAAUGCAUUUUCUAAAUACUGAUAUCCAUAACUUAAUUUUAUAGAUUGAUCAAUAGUUUAUAGGACUUCAAAAACAACUUCCCUUGUAACAACCAAGUAAAAAAAAGGCAUACUCUAGAAAACUUGUAAAAUUUUAAACUAUCUAAUAUUUUCCAAUCUAAAGCAACUAUGGUUAUUUUAAUUUAUUCAAUUAAAAACAAAAAUAAAUCUAUUAGCACUUUAAAAUAUUGAUUGCUGUUUAAUUAGUUUGCUAUUAUGUUGGAGUAUUUUUUUUGUUGCUACAAGUUGCUCCAAAUAUAUGGAUUCAAUCAAAUUCCAUGACAGUGGUAUUAGAGGAGCUACAUUCAACUUGGAAUAUAGUUAAUUAAAACUGAUAUAUUCUUCUCCUAAACUUUCCUUCAUUCUAAAACUUUAUUUUUUCUAUCACCAUCAUCUUAUUUUUUUAUCACAAAUAUUAUUUUUAAAAAUCAGUAUGAAAACCCUAAAAGAAAUUUCUAUAAUGAUGAACUAUAUAUUGAUAGAAUACAAAAGGUCUAAACAAAUAAUUUCAAUAACAAAGUACUUUAAAAAUAUAUGGUAAUCGGAGGUCUAAGAUGCUAGCUUUAAAACCAGAAGUAAUGUAUUAAUAACUUUGCUUUUGGCCUUGAUUUAAAGAUCCAGAUGAAACUAAUGGAAUUUAGGAACCUAUCUCGGAUUUUAUAUGAAACUUAUCUCUAUGCAAAAAUAAUGAAGCUGUAAUGGAAAAGUUCAACUCUACAAUGGCUAGUACUAUGGAACGUGGAUAUGUAGUUGAUAGUGGAGAAAUUAAGGAAUCAUUGAAGAAGCAAAUCACAAAUUAGCUUCAAUUAGAGGUGAAUUGAUGGAAGAUAAAUUUAUCUUAACUACAGACGACUAACAAAACAGGAAAUAGCUAAGGUUUUUGAUAAAUUAUCUCAACAAAAUUCUAUCAUAUUGGAGUUGGGAACUGAUUUUGUUAUCAGAUGUAUCCUUGGAAAGAUAAUUUUUAGCAAUAAGAAAACUAAUGAAUUAUUGAUCAUUCAGAAAUUGAUUUUGCUCUUCUUAUACUAAUUAAAGAAUAAAUAAAGUAGAAAGAUACAGGUAUAAAAGUUGAAUUUAGGGAUAUAGAUAUUGGCUUAGAGGAUCAAACUAAAGGUAGUCAUAUGUUUGAUAAAAUGUCUCAAAGUAAUUUAGGCUGGAGAGGAGACAUAAUUAAAAUGUUGGAAAUUUACUAUAUGCCUACUAACCAAGUAAUUUUACUUGUUACUCUAAUGGAUUUGACAUUAAGAGAAAAGUUUCAAUAUUUGCAUUUGUAUAUAUUAUCUAAACUUAUAUGCUAUUAAAGAAAAAAUUAUGUUGGCCAUAUGACAAAAGUAGGUAAUAAAGGAAACUGCUACACAAAUAUGAAUGAUGGGAUAAUUACCACUAUGAUAUUUCAUCCAAGUGACUCUAAGUAGGGAUAAAGAAGAGCUCUAAAGAUUUUGAAUAUGGAAUCAUUCUACGAAAUUGUGAGUAUAAAAUUAAGAAGCAACAUAUUAUUGAGAUUCUUAUGUCGAGCAUUGUUGGAAUUUUAGAUAUUGUUGCAGUACUAAAAUUUGGGAAAAGACUGAAUGUUAGAAAAUCCAAUAUUUGCCUUCAAUUUAGAUAGAAAAAAUAUAGCAGUUAUUUUUAAUAUAGAGAGACAACUAUAAUUGAUUUGUUUCUAAAGUUUGAGGUGGUCUAGAUUUUAAAAUUAAUUUGUUUACCAGAUGGUCACAAUUUUACACAAAAAAGAAAACUAGUAUUAGUCUUCAAUUUGAGGAAGAAUUAAAUAACAAUCAAUGUAGAAUAUGAGAUAUUGUAGAAAUUUUGUGAGGACCCGAAAUUUUUUAUUUUAUUUUAUCGAAUAUUAGUAGUUUGUUUAAAUAUUUAUUUACUCAUUUUUCUCCAAAUUAUUUAUUUCGAUCAUUUAAAAUCCAUUUAUAUGGAACGACGCCUCUUUAUAUUUUAAAAGCGUUUUGUUGGAAAAAUUCACUCUUCGAAAACUCGUUUAGUUCGGAACAACGAGUGCACGUUUUUUCGAGACUAUAUUUGAAUCGAGAGUGUAUUAAUAUUGGAGAAUUAAGAACGAUCAAUAAUAGAUUAAGAAAGGAUAAUUGAGGAAUUAAUACUCAAUUCACGUGAGGACUCGUAAAAUUAUUAUUUUUAAACCCUUAAUUUUGGCUCAAUUAAUUAUCUAUUUGGAUUUUUGCCCGAAUAUUAUUUUCUAUCCUUAUUAGACCUAAAUAUAUGGUUUUAUAGUUUCGUUAUAUUUUUAAAGUGUCUCGUUUCAAAAAAUUAUUUUUCUUAGAAGCUUGUUUAGUGAAAAAGUGAAAACGUGUCUGAAAACUUUAGCCAAUUAGGAGUACAAUAAGCUCAAAAAUUUAAGACAUAUACAAUGGUCCUAAAAUAGGCAAUUUUAGGUUUAAAGAUUGAAGUGAUAGUUAGUGGUACGAUCGUUAUAAGAAUUUCUCAAAGGUUUCAAUUUUAUUGCGCCUAAAUUAGAAAUACGUGUUUGCACGUGCGCGCUUAAUUGAGGGACUUUGGACCAUUAUUUUGGGACAAUUAAGAAUGAAUAAUAUUUAUAUGAAUGUAAGUGCCCUAGAGGUUUAGUGCACUAGUGCAACAAACGUAAGAGAAAUCGAACACAAAACGCGCGCGUAGGGCACUAGUUGUAAUUGAUUUGACGUAUUUAAUAUAUUAGACGUCAAGCGUCUUAUGUACGCAAAGGAACCAACAAUCUCAUUUCAUUUCUGCAAAGCUUCAUGGCCGGAUAGCAGCAGCAAAAGGGACAACCGAAACCUUCAACAUUUCUUCUUCCAAAACUCAUGCAAAUCACCACCAAAUCUUCUAAAAAUUUAGCACCACUUAGCCUAAGUCUUGGACAACAUAUUUAGCUGGAAAAGGGAGGAGCUUUCACGGUUCUUCAAGCUUCAAAGGGGCCGAAACUUCUGUCCUAACCAGCCAUCAAAGUAGAUAGUAAUCAAUCACCUUAAACUUGUCUUUUGGAGUUUGAUUUAUGCAUUUGAGCUAGAAUCGUCACUUUACUAGCUUGUAUUGUUGGGAAAAUUGUUAAACGUGGGCUCUAUGAACUCCCACUUUGGUUUGAUGGCUGUGAUGAUGUUUGAUGAUGGUUUUGUUGCUAAAUUAGAGCUUAAGGAAGUAGAUUAAAGGUGCUUUGUUACCAGAAACGUUAUUGAACUCUUGAAACAAAAAGUUCCAUUUUACCCCUGCUCUGUUCGGUCAUUUUAAUGCAGAAACUGAGGAUUUAAUGGCCUGAUUAUGUUGUUUACAUGUUGUAGCAGUUGUGUACAAAUUUUCGUUGAAAAAUAUUGAGUUUUGGUGGGUCAAACGAAUUUAUUUCCAAAGCUAGUAAUCUGGGAAAACGGUUGCCGUCGUAACCAGACCAGUGUUCGUGUUUCGUCCAUAACUCCGUACUCCGAUGUCGAAAUCAAGUGCCGUUAGAGCAUUUGAAACUUGACGUUCCCAUGUUCCAACGGUGUAUAGUGCACAUUCUGGUUUCAUGUGUGUGAGCCACACCAUUCAUCUGAAGUCGCCUGUCCUGUUUCUCCGUUCUGCCGAAAUGAUUUGAUGAUGCUGCAAGUUUAGGCUUAAUUUCGAACACAGUUGCAUGCUGAAACUUGAAAUGAUUUCUUCUGUGUAAUUUUAGCCCUAUGAAUGUAUUUUCUAACACUAUCAACCAUUCCUAAUUCCGAGUUAAAUUGAGGGAGUUAUGAUCAAAAUACGGCGACUGCCUCGUUUUUGAAACCUUAGAUUUGGACAGAUUGCCUUAAGGAUUUUUCCAAACUUUGGUUGAUUGAUUAACCACCUUUCCGAGGGUAUUUUUCCAUGAAAUUUUAUAGAGAGAUACCCUUCAUAUGGGAGUAUUAUACUGCAAAAUUUGUGUCAAUUCAAGUCCGUUUCGACACUUAACAAAAGGUCCAAAGUCGGAACCAAAUCUGGAAAUUUGUUAACAGUCUUGAAAUUUACCCAACUUUGAGCUACCAUAUCUUUGUGCUCGAAACUCCAAUUCUCGAUCCGCUUGUUCUGACCCAAACCUUACUUGCACCUCUAAUUGAGCUACAAAUUUCAAGGGCCGAUUUGCAACGAGUGAAUUCUGCUGAAUUUUCAAAGUUAGCGAAAAACCAACCCCGGCUCAAUCCUGGGUGAUUUGGAACAGCAACUUUAAACUCAUUUUUGAACACCUUCCACUUAGAUUCAUGGAAAAGUGUCUUCUAAGAACUUUUAGUACUUUGGAAAAGGUUUCCAACGGUACCAAGUUUUCCAAUUUUUGACAUGUGGAAUCUGAGAUACGAUUUUUUCAAAAUAUCAUAUCAAAACUGAAAUUUCUAAAUUUCAAGGAAAUGGAGUUUUUCAAGUAUUCCUUAUUCCUUCGAUAAUACUUGAACGUUUAUGCUUGAUUUCCAAGAUAACAAAACUCGAUUGCUCUUGUACAUUAAGAAACUCCACUUGAACCUCGAUUUACUAGUAAUUGAGGUUCAUUUUCAUGAAAUUUCCCCAGAUUGUACUAGUGCACAAUCUUCCUUGAUAAUUGGGAUGUGUGAAUGAUAAUUCACUAUUAAAUGCUCAGGCGCUCAAGAGGACCUUCCAGAGGAUCUCACGGGAGACGCCUAAACCAUCAUUUGAACUCGCUACUUGAAUCACUGUGAGUGUCAAGUGCAUGAACUUGUUGUUAAGUGGUUAUCUGUUUCUUAUCCGUUAUGUAAAUUUGAAAUUUUGAGACGAGGGUGUACUUUAUCGCACUCGUUCUCUUUCAAAUGAAAUUAUAUUCGAAUUUUGCUAUGUGAAUUCGUAUCCAACUUGUACAUGGUAAUGUGGAUGUGAUUUGUACUUGUGAUUCGUAUAUGUGAUCCGUAUUUGUGAUUCCUAUUUGGAAUCGUCGAUUUGAGCGUUGCUCAUCGACUUAUAUUCGUAUUCGUAUUCAUAUUCGGGGGACACCCAAAACUCGUUGGCUAACUUUGCGAAUCGAGCCAGCAUGGGCUUGGUCGAUAAGCUUAGCAAACCAUGAGAUAUUCGUAGAGCAUGAUCUAUUGGAGAGAUCUUGCUCGGCAUUACUCGUGCAGUAUUGCCAUGAUAUACUCGAGUAUUAUCAAAAACUUUGAUGAGCGGGCCCGGUAAGGGGGUGUAACGGUGACGGGAUUCGAAGAAAAGUGGUGUAUCUACGGAUUUGAUACUUAUGUGGUUGACGGAGUGUCAACGUGAGAUGUGAUCAAGACUUCGACUCGACUACGUGGAAUUUAGCUCCUGAGAGCUACAGUAUCCUUGAAUUGUUUCUGUUUAUUUUUCCUAUUCGAAAUGUGAAUUAUUCGAAUUUGAUAGCCUUACCUACAAUGUAAUUGUUGUCGCUACUUGGAUUAUGUGUUUGCAUGUGUGUUUUCUUGGCCUCACUGAGUAUUGGCUCAUCCUAUUAGUUUGUUUUCCUUAACAGGUUGGAUUGGAAGAUUUUGGUAAAGCCGACUAGAUUAUACUUUUGAUUGGAAUCGGGGCUGUAAAUGUGUAGUCGACUUUUAAUGGUUGCAUUUUGGAACUUGAUGUAUCUUUUGUGAAC